rnacentral:lncRNA from 1 species
GUCUUUGGAGUUCCAAGAAUUGAAUCUUAGCAUGAAUGGCUUCAAUGUGUACCAAAUGUUCUCUUGUUCCUCCCAAAUUAAUUACUGGUUGCAUUCUUAGUUGCUUUGACAUUCUUGGUUAAUGCAAUGUCUUGCCUACCAAUAUAUGCAUCCACACACGAUCAUAUUUAUAUGACCACUUACCUCUGUAUUCUGGUAUUUGUGCUUCAGAAUUUUUCUCUCAUUCAGUUUAUUCAUAGAUUAAAAACGUCGAUCGUUUCUUUAUUGGUUUGCAUUAUCUUGUUUGCCGAACGUAAGCAUCCACAGAUGCUCGUCAUGAUAUGAUUGGUCAUCAUUGUAUAUUUGUAUUUGUGUGUUGAUAGCUUAAGGAUUUUCUCGGAUUCACUUCAUAGUUUAAGGAUUUUCUCGCGUUCAAUUUAUUCUACCUUAUUCAUUUUCAUGUUUCUUUAUUGCAUUUAUAUCAAUUCUUACAAUAUAUUUUCCAAGAUAUGAACUCAACUACUAAUUAUGUAGUUUUUCAUCAAAAUUUACAUGUAAAAAUGGUACAAAUGCAUAAACAUGAUAAAAAUAUAUAUCAUAUUCCAUUGAGAGAUCGCCCAUUUAAAAAAACACGUUGACUUACAAAAAGGACAAUUCAAGCUGCAUGUACGUCCGACUCAUGUUUACCUGACAAUGUCGAUGUUGAUUUCAGCAGUAAAUGAGCUGUGUGUGACCUUUGCGCUUUCCGGUAUUCUUCUAUCCUGUGUGCUUUAUGAUCAAUUUGUUGUGCUUAGUACUGGACACUGGAGUAUACUAUCAUAUUUGGUACAAAUAAAUCUGAACUACUAUAGUUAUGAUCCACUGUAUAGUUAAUGUGGUGGUAAUUAAUAUAUGUGAUUAAAUACUUGCGCUCCUUAGGUGGGGAGUUGGAUUUGUAUUUCCCUAAAAUAAAUUUCAGAUUUCGUAAUAGUGGUGAAGCCAGCCGGAAGAACCUCUACGUCAUUAUUAAUUUUGGUGAUAUUUUUCUUCAUAGUGUAGAAUAAUUUUAGUGCUUAUUCCGCAAAAAAUAUGGCCUCAACUGACCCCAUAGCUUGUAUGUUGCGCCACCACUGUUUCCUAUAUCUUAUUACAUCCGUUGUUUUUAGAUCUUGAUGCAUAACUUUGACAAUUUUUAAUAGAUAUGUGUCUGUAUAAAAAUUAUAAAUGCUAUGAUAAUUUGAUUAAUUAUGAUGAAUAAAAUGUUAUUGCUCUGACUUGAUCCCUCUAGAAUUUUCCAAAAUUUCACAUUACAGUUGUAGUAGUGCAUGCUACCUCUUGAGCAUUGCGUUAGUUUUCCCUUGAAGAGGAAAGGGUGAUGCAGUAAAGCAGCGUCAGUAUUUCCCUCAGUUUUUGAGAAGCAAGGUAUCAAUCCAGUAGGAGGCCACGCACGAGUCCCUCGCACCUACACAAACAAAUAAAAUCCUCGCAACCAACGCAAUAAAGGGGUUGUCAAUCCCUUCACGGUCACUUACGAAAGUGAGAUCUGAUAGAUUUGAUAAGAUAAUAUUUUUGGUAUUUUUAUGAUAAAGAUGCAACGUAAAGAAAGCAAAAUAAAAACAGCGCUAGAAAUAGCUUGUUGACGGGAGAUUAAAUAUGAUGGAAAAUAGACCGGGGGGCCGUAGGUUUCACUAGUGGCUUCUCUCGAGAGCAUAAGUAUUUCGGUGGGUAGACAAAUUACUGUUGAGCAAUUGACAGAAUUGAGCAUAGUUAUGAGAAUAUCAAGGUAUGAUCAUGUAUAUAGGCAUCACGUCCGAGGCAAGUAGCCCGACUCCUGCCUGCAUCUACUACUAUUACUCCACACAUCGACCGCUAUCCAGCAUGCAUCUAGAGUAUUAAGUUCAAAAGAACAGAGUAACGCUUUAAGUAAGAUGACAUGAUGUAGAGGGAUAAACUCAUGCAGUAUGAUAUAAACCCCAUCUUGUUAUGCUCGAUGGCAACAAUACAAUACGUGCCUUGCUGCCCCUACUGUCACUGGGAAAGGACACCGCAAGAUUGAACCCAAAGCUAAGCACUUCUCCCAUCGCAAGAAAGAUCAAUCUAGUAGGCCAAACCAAACUGAUAAUUUGAAGAGACUUGCAAAGAUAACCAAUCAUACAUAAAAGAAUUCAGACAAGAUUCAAAUAUUGUUCAUAGAUAAACUUGAUCAUAAACCCACAAUUCAUCGGUCUCAACAAACACACCGCAAAAGAAGAUUACAUCGAAUAGAUCUCCACAAGAGAGGGGGAGAACAUUGUAUUGAGAUCCAAAAAGAGAGAAGAAGCCAUCUAGCUAAUAACUAUGGACCCGAAGGUCUGAGGUAAACUACUCACACAUCAUCGGAGAGGCUAUGGUGUUGAUGUAGAAGCCCUCCAUGAUCGAUGCCCCCUCCGGCGGAGCUCCGGAAAAGGCCCCAAGAUGGGAUCUCAUGGGUACAGAAGGUUGCGGCGAUGGAAUUAGGUUUUUGGCUCCGUAUCUGGUAGUUUUGGGGGUACGUAGGUAUAUAUAGGAGGAAGAAGUACGUCGGUGGAGCAACGUGGGCCCCACGAGGGCGCGCCCCCUACCUCAUGCCUUCCUGGUAGAUUUCUUGACGUAGGGUCCAAGUCCUCUAGAUCACGUUCGUUCCCAAAAUCACGUUUCCGAAGGUUUCAUUCCGUUUGGACUCCGUUUGAUAUUCUUUUUCUGUGAAACUCUGAACUAGGCAAAAAACAGCAAUUCUGGGGUGGGCCUCCGGUUAAUAGGUUAGUCCCAAAAAUAAUAUAAAAGUGUAUAAUAAAGCCCAUUAAUGUCUAAAACAGAAUAUAAUAACGUUGGAGACGUAUCAAGCAUCUCCAAGCUUAAUUCCUGCUCGUCCUCGAGUAGGUAAAUGAUAAAAACAGAAUUUUUAAUGUGGAAUGCUACUUGGCAUAAUUUGAAUGUAAUUCUCUUAAUUGUGGUAUGAAUAUUUAGACCCGAAAGAUUCAAGACAAAAGUUUAAUAUUGACAUAAAAAUAAUAAUACUUCAAGCAUACUAACUAAGCAAUUAUGUCUUCUCAAAAUAACAUGGCCAAAGAAAGUUAUCCCUACAAAAUCAUAUAGUCUAGCUAUGCUCUAUCUUCACCACACAAAGUAUUUAAAUUAUGCACAACCCCGAUGACAAGCCAAGCAAUUGUUUCAUACUUUUGAUGUUCUCAAACUUUUUCAAUCUUCACGCAAUACAUGAGCAUGAGCCAUGGACAUAGCACUAUAUGUGGAAUAGAAUGGUGGUUGUGGAGAAGACAAAAAAGGAGAAGAUAGUCUCACAUCAACUAGGCGUAUCAACGGGCUAUGGAGAUGCCCAUUAAUAGAUAUCAAUGUGAGUGAGUAGGAAUUGCCAUGCAACAGAUGCACUAGAGCUAUAAGUAUAUGAAAGCUCAACAAAAGGAACUAAGUGGGUGUGCAUCCAACUCACUUGCUCAUGAAGACCUAGGGCAUUUUGAGGAAGCCCAUCAUUGGAAUAUACAAGCCAAGUUCUAUAAUGAAAAUUUCCCACUAGUACAUGAAAGUGAUAUCAUAGGAGACUCUCUAUCAUGAAGAUCAUGGUGCUACUUUGAAGAACAAGUGUGGUAAAACGAUAGUAACAUUGUCCCUUCUCUCUUUUUCUCUCUUUUUUAUUUGGGUCUUUUAUCCUUUUUUUAUGGCCUCUUUUUUUUUAGUCCGAAGACUCAUCACGACUUGUGGGGGAAUCAUAGUCUCCAUCAUCCUUUCCUCACUUGGGACAAUGCUCUAAAAAAAUGAUGAUCAUCACACUUUUAUUUACUUACAACUCAACAAUUACAACUCAAUACUUAGAACAAAAUAUGACUCUAUGUGAAUGCCUCCGACGGUAUAUCGUGAUAUGCAAUGAAUCAAGAGUGACAUGUAUGAAAGAAUUAUGAACGGUGGCUUUGCCACAAAUACAAUGUCAACUACAUGGUCAUGGAAAGCAAUAUGACAAUGAUGGAGUGUGUCAUAAUAAACUGAACGGUGGUAAGUUGCAUGGCAAUAUAUCUCGGAAUGGCUAUGGAAAUGCCACGGUAGGUAGGUAUGGUGGCUGUUUUGAGGAAGGUAUAUGGUGGGUGUAUGAUACCGGCGAAAAGUGCGCGGUAUUAGAGAGGCUAGCAAUGGUGGAAGGAAGAAAGUGCGUAUAAUCCAUGGACUCAACAUUAGCCAUAAAGAACUCAUAUACUUAUUGCAAAAAUCUACAAGUUAUCGAAGCAAAGUAUUACCCGCAUCAUUCUAGGGGGAUAGAUUGGUAGGAAAAGACAAUCACUCGUCCCCGACCGCCACUCAUAAGGAAGACAAUCAAUAAAUAAAUCAUGCUCCGACUUCAUCACAUAACGGUUCACCAUACGUGCAUGCUAAGGGAAUCACAAACUUUAACACAAGUAUUUCACAAAUUCAAAACUACUCAACUAGCAUGACUCUAAUAUCACCAUCUCCAUAUCUCAAAACAAUUAUCAAGUAUCAAACUUCUCAUAGUAUUCAACACACUCAUAAGAUUUUUUUACUAAUCUUGAGUGCCUAUCAUAAUUAAAGCAAAUUACCACGCUGUUUUGUAGGACUAUCAAAAUAAUCUAAGUGAAUCAUGAGAGAACAAUAGUUUCUAUAAAACAAAACCACCACCGUGCUCUAAAAGAUAUACGUGAAGCACUAGAGCAAAAACUAUAUAGCUCAAAGGAUAUAAGUGAAGCACAUAGAGUAUUCUAACAAUUUCUGAAUCAUGUGUGUCUCUCUCAAAAGGUGUGUACUGCAAGGAUUAUUGUGGCAAACUAACAAAUAAAGACUUCAAAUAAUACAAGACGCUCCAAGCAAAACACAUAUCAUGUGGUGAAUAAAAAUAUAGCUCCAAGUAAAGUUACCGAUGGAAGUAGACGAAAGAGGGGAUGCCUUCCGGGGCAUCCCCAAGCUUUGGGUUUUAGGUGUCCUUAGAUUAUCUUGGUGUGCCAUGGGCAUCCCCAAGCAUAGGCUCUUGCCACUCCUUGUUUCAUAAUCCAUCAAAUCUUUCACCCAAAACUUGAAAACUUCACAACACAAAACUCAGCAGAAAAUCUCGUGAGCUCCGUUAGCAAAAAACAAAACACCACUUCAAGGUACUGUAAUGAACUCAUUCUUUAUUUAUGUUGGUGUUAAACCUACUGUAUUCCAACUUCUGUAUGGUUUAUAAACUAUUUUACUAGCCAUAGAUUCAUCAAAAUAAGCAAACAACACACGAAAAACAGAAUCUGUCAAAAACAGAACAGUCUGUAGUAAUCUGUAACUAACGCAAUUUUCUGGGACUCCAAAAAUUGACCCAAAAUAGGAAGACCUAGACAAUUUUUUUAUUGAUCAGCAGCAAUUGGAAUUAAUAUUUUAUCACGUCCUGGUGAUUUUUAACAAUUAUUUUCGUGAACAGAAAGUUUCUGGAAUUUUCAGCAAGAUCAAAUAACUAUCAUCCAAGAAGAUCCUAUAGGUUAAACUUGGCACAAACACUAAUUAAAACAUAAAAACACAUGUAACCAGAGGCUAGAUCAAAUAUUUAUUCCUAAACAAAAGAAAAAAUCAUAAAAACUAAAAAUAAAAUUGGGUUGCCUACCAACAAGCGCUAUCGUUUAACGCCCCUAGCUAGGCAUAAUAGCAAUGAUAGAUCUAGGUAUUGCCAUCUUUGGUAGGCAAUCCAUAAGUGGCUCUCAUAAUAGAUUCAUAAGGUAAUUUUAUUUUCUUUCUAGGGAAGUGUUCCAUGCCUUUCCUUAAUGGAAAUUGGAAUCUAAUAUUCCCUUCCUUCGUAUCAAUAAUUGCACCAAUCGUUCUAAGGAAAGGUCUACCAAGAAUAAUAGGACAUGAAGGAUUGCAAUCUAUAUCAAGAACAAUAAAAUAUAUGGGCACAUAAUUCCUAUUUGCAACAAUAAGAACAUCAUCAAUUCUUCCCAUAGAUUUCUUAAUGGUGGAAUCCGCAAGGUGCAAGUUUAAAGAGCAAUCAUCAAAAUCACGGAAACCUAGCAAAUCGCACAAAAUCUUUGCAAUCGUGGAAACACUAGCACCCAAAUCACACAAAGCAUAGCAUUCAUGAUCUUUAAUUUUAAUUUUAAUAGUAGGUUCCCACUCAUCAUAAAGUUUUCUAGGGAUAGAAACUUCCAACUCAAGUUUUUCUUCAUAAGAUUGCAUCAAAGCAUCAACGAUAUGUUUAGUAAGGCUUUAUUUUGACUAUAAGCAUGUGGAGAAUUUAGCACGGAUUGCAACAAGGAAAUACAAUCUAUCAAAGAGCAAUUAUCAUAAUUAAAUUCCUAGAAAUCCAAAAUAGUGGGUUCAUUAAUAUCUAGAGUUUUGAUUUCUUCAAUCCCACUUUUACCAUUUUUUGCAUCAAGAUCUAAAAACUCCGAAUUUUUGGAACGCCUUCUAGGUAGAGGUGGAUCAUAUUCAGUCCCAUCAUUAUCAAGAUUCAUAUUGCAAAACAAAGAUUUAAUAGGGGACACAUCAAUAACUUUUAGAUCUUCAUCUUUAUUUUCAUAGAAACUAGAAGAACACGCUUUCACAAAACAAUCUUUCUUAGCACGCAUCCUAGCGGUUCUUUCUUUGCACUCAUCAAUGGAAAUUCUCAUGGCCUUGAGAGACUCAUUGAUAUCAUGCUUAGGAGAAAUUGUAUCAGCGUUCCUAGCCAAUUCAUCAAAUUUAAGCAAUUUUUCUUCAAGCAAAGCAUUGAAAUUGUUUUGCGAAUUCAUAAAUUCUUUAACACUAGUCUCAAAUUCAGAAGGCAUCUUAUUAAAAUUUCCAUAAUAAUUGUUGUAGGAAUUACCAUAAUUAUUAGAGGAAUUACUAGGAUACGACCUUGGAUUAAAGUUUCCUCUAUACGCGUUGUUACCAAAAUUAUUCCGACCAACAAAAUUCACAUCCAUAGAUUCAUUAUUAUUCUCAAUCAAAGUAGACAAAGGCAUAUCAUUAGGAUCAGAAGAAACACUUUUAUUAGCAAAUAAUUUCAUAAGUUCAUCCAUCUUUCCACUCAAAACAUUAAUUUCUUCUAUCGCAUGCACUUUUUUAUUAGUGGAUUUUUCGGUGUGCCAUUGAGAAUAAUUAACUAUAAUAUUAUCUAGGAGUUUAGUAGCUUCUCCUAAAGUGAUUUCCAUAAAAGUGCCUCCCGCGGCCGAAUCUAAAAGAUUUCUAGAAGAAAAAUUCAAUCCGGCAUAAAAUUUUUGUAUAAUCAUCCACAAAUUCAAACCAUGAGUAGGGCAAUUACGUAUCAUUAAUUUCAUCCUCUCGCAAGCUUGUGCAACAUGUUCAUGAUCAAGUUGCUUAAAAUUCAUAAUAUCAUUUCUAAGAGAGAUGAUCUUAGCGGGAGGAAAAUACUUAGAGAUAAAAGCAUCUUUGCACUUAUUUCAAGAAUCACUACUAUUUUUAGGCAAAGACAAAAACCAAGCUUUAGCACGAUCUCUAAGCGAAAAAGGAAAUAGCUUCAAUUUAACAAUAUCUUUGUCCACAUCUUUCUUCUUUUGCAUAUCACACAAAUCAACGAAGUUGCCAUGUCUAGGAAUGCUUGAAGCUUCAAAGAUUUCCUAUAAUACAACAUGCCUCUAACUAUUCACAAUAAGAAAAACAUGUAAAUGCGGAAUCAACCAAAUGAUGGUAAAUUGUAGUUGAUUUUGGCCAAGCAAACGUGAGAUGAAAGAAACAUACAUGAGUGAACAUCACGAUUGGAUGUUUUAUUCAAAUUUAACAGGUUAAACUCACCAAAUCCAUCUGGAUAUUUAGUAUUAAACUUUAACAGAUGGUCAGUUGUAGCUAGAUUCACACCACUGAAGCAAAAUUCCAUCUGCCACGGUUACAUCACACCAUCUUUUCAUCGUUACUAUUUAAAUUCCAAAUGCCUGCAACUCAUUUUUUUGUUAUGAUGUAUGCAUGAUUUUUAACUCAAGAGGAAGAGGGGAAACUAAAUCCAAGAAAAGAACACCAAGGAAGCAUCCAAAAUAGAGAAAGGAAAAAUCCAAAAUAGAGGCAGAAUCGAAGGGAAGAAACCCCAUAAAAAAUAGGAGAUCAAACGGUGAAAAAAAUCUAAGAGUCAAACAAUUCCAGGUAAGACCAAAUCGACGGCAAAAUAGCACAAGAGGGACUCACAUUAACAGGUAUACCAGGUAUACCAAUUCAGAAAGAAGUGUAAAGCGAACAGUGCAAUGGACCACUAGUAUAAAUUGGAUGUACACAAACAUGGGACUUAAACAGGAACUGCGAGAUGCAGGGUUCACGUGCAAACCCAAAAAACGGAAAACUGAAACCCACAACAAGAUUUUAUCUUCAUGUUUGUGUAUUAGUUGCUUCUUCCGAAUCCCCACCUAUCAAGCGUUUUCUCUGAAUAAACAAACAGAAUAGUAUUCUCUGAAUUAUACUGUACAACGGUAUUUAACAAAGCGACUGGAAUUAACAAUAUUAUGAGCUAUUGGCUUUUUAGUCAGGUAAAUAUCAUUCUUAAGACUACGGAAAACAGCAGGCGGCGAAGAAAACAUCUAUUGAUGAGAACUAUACACAUACUUAAGAAGGAAGUGACAUCUAUGGUAGCAGAACAUAUAUCAAGCUGUUGCAGCUACAUUAGCAGUUUAGCACAGUUCCUCCAUAAUACACAGGCUAGUGUAAUUUCACAAAUACAAUAAGCUAACAAUAUAUAUUUGGUAGAUGGAAAUGGCUGGAUCAUGACCAAUAUACCAUUACACAUCCGAUGAUGCAAAUAAAGAAACGAGGCCCAACAAUAGUGGAAAAUAAACCACAAUAGAACAUGUAUUUGGCGAAACCUCCAUACUGCAAUAUCAAACAUGAAUUGAAAUUAACAAUCUAGCAAAAAAACAUGACAGAUGCAGUCUUGGUCAUUUUUCCUUUUGUGACAUCCCCUAAAAAAGUAAAAACAAUGUUGUUCGUAUUUUACCAGAGAUACACUGAGCUGGGACAAUUCGGUCUGAAAUAAAAUAUGAUGGCUUCGGAGGAUUCGGAAGGCAAGAAAUUUGCUUUCUUCCAACAUAUAUGGUCUGCUGAACUAAACUUCGUUUCAACGGGCUUUGGCAAAAAUUUGUAACUGCAAACAUCAACUUGUGUGCCCGUCCUACGUCAAACUUUAACCCUGACGGAUUAAAUAUUUUAGGUUAGGCUGAGAUCAGUGUACUUUAUGAGUGUUAAGUGUACUUUCUAAAUAGCAGAGAAACCAUAACAUCUAAGCACAACCCAGCAACUUGUACAAGCUAACAUCAAAUCUGAAAGAGGAAAUGUCGAGAACAGGUGAAGGUACCAUGAUCCACGACUGAGCAAAGUUAUCUAUAAUCCUCGGUGAAUAUCAUAAAUUAGGAUCAACUACGCUGAAGAACAAACGGGAAAGGAACCUAGAAAGAUCUUCUGCCGGUAGAAUAUAACUGAUACACUAUCCUCAUUCUCGAGAUCAAGGUCGUUUCUUGAAUUGCAGUUUCCUCACUGUAGUAUGGGGUCAUUACACUGCGAAGAACAAAGUGUCAUAUGAAUCAUUUAGAGCCCAAUAUUUUUCACUGAAACUCUUAUGAUCACAUAACGAAUUUAAACAUAAGGUUUAUUAGAUAUUUGUUGUUGUGAACAGAUAAUAUAUUUCUGGUGUUGACAAUGUUUUGAUUAUGGAUGCACUUCAAGAUGGGUGGCACAGAUUCUGUUGUACAGGCCUCCACCUGGAAUUUCAUCACUUGUUAUUUUUGUUUUAGAAUGUCUAGGUGCAUUUUUCCUUUAAGGUGGAAACAGAUGUACUUGUAUAAGCAACAAGAAUACAAAGCGCCACUGCCAUACAUUGUGGAAGUUCAGUGCUUCUGUUUACAAAAUCUGCUUCCCAAAACAGAAGGAUUUAUAAUUUUUUAUUACAAUCAAGCGGACAUGAGCUGAUGAGUACAGAUGUAGACAUGUACUGAGAGCAGCACCCUUUCAAAAGUGGAUCAUUUACAAGUUGGAUAGUUUGAUGGUCUGAAAUUAGUGGUCGUGUUUCAGAAUUGUUAUCGAAUAGUAGGGGAUAUAUAUUAACUUCUGAAAUUAGUGGCUGUUUGUCAGAACUGUUAUCGAAUAACAGAGCACAUAUAUUAACUUCAAUAAGUGGAGUAAUAUUUUUGGAUUCGCUGUGAGGAAAGAUUACCAAAACAAAACAGAAGUGAGUGCGAGGACCCAGAUCAAGGCGCUCUUGAGCCUCUUCCCGACCGACCUAGAUGCAGGAGCAGAACACGGCGGAUCUAAUCAGCCAACGAAUAAAGCUGAGGCAGGUAGAGGAAGUAAGGGAGGAAGAAGACUGACUUUUCCUGGUCGCCCUCGUAGUAGAACCUGUGUUUUGAUUUUCGGCCGAAAAAAGUGGAUUUCGGCCAUCUCGGCCUGGGGCGAAAAGUGUAUUUAGGCCGAAAUUGUUCAAAUUUAGCAAAUUUUGGUCAAAUUUAAGUCAAAUUGCAGUCAAAAUUUGGUCAAAUUUCAGCCGAAAUUUUUGAAAAUGGCCGAAAUUCGGCCAUCUCAGCCUAGGGAGAAAAAAAAGCUCAAACCGAAAAUCAAAACACAGAGUAGAACAUGGCGAACAGGAUGACGAGGAAGACGAGGACAGCGUCGAGGAUGUAGACGACGAGCCAGAGCGUGUUCAUGGGCAGGAUCAAGCAUGGGCAGGAUAAGGGCGCAGGCCCCGUUGUAGGCGGCGUGCUUGCAGGCCUGGCGGUUGGCGACGUCGGCGGGGAGCAUGAGGAUGGCGAGGACGGCGACGGUGAUGCCGAGCACGACGACGAGCUUGAGGAAGUAGGCCUGGUUGGCAUCAUCCGGCUGCUGGUAGUUGACGAGCAGGUAGACGCUGACGAGGAGCACCAGGAUGCUGACCACCGCCGCCACGAUCACUAGCGCCACGUUAAAAACCCCAUCUCCUCGGGGCUCCGGUCCCGGUUCCGGCCCGCCGCCUCGCCCCCAUUGGUCGGUCAGAUCUCUCUGUCCCUAGAGGCGGGGGGACACAGGCUAGGGUUUGGGCGUGGGCGGGGAAUAGGCUGCUAUGGUGCCGGCAGCGGGGCGUGUAGGAGAGAAGGAUUAGGAGGAAUAAUUCACCACACUUUGCUUAAGCUCUCGGCUGGUUCUUAUGUAUAGAUUACAGGGCCAGCCAGGGAGAUCAUGGGGUGAUCCACUACCUGGGAUCGUGCGCCACGAUCACUACAUGCGUGCGCCACGAUCAUAUACACACACGCUACACCUAGUGUCUACGCAACUACGGUAUAGCAGUACAGUACAGUCUAACACCCCCCCGCAGUCGUGACGUCGUCGGCGGCGACGCAAAGACUGGACCGGAACUCAGAGAAAACAUCCGAUGGCAGGCCUUUGGUCAUGAUGUCCGCGAGUUGUUGGCGCAUGGGGAUGUGAAGAACACGGAAGUGGCCGAGGGCGACGCGCUCCCGCACGAAAUGGAUGUCCAGCUCCACAUGCUUAGUGCGGCGAUGAUGCACCGAAUUGGCUGACAGGUAGACUGCGGACACAUUGUCAUAGUACACCAGUGCCGCCUUGGUCACUGGAGCGGAGAGCUCGCCGAGAAACUGGCGGAGCCAGAUGCAUUCAGCGACCGCGUUGGCAACGCCGUGGUAUUCAGCUUCGGCACUGGAGCGCGAUACGGUCGCCUGGCGCUUGGAGGACCAGGAGAUGAGAGCAUCGCCGAGGAAGACGCAGAAGCCCGACGUGGAGCGUCGGGUGUCGGGGCAGCCGGCCCAGUCCGCGUCGGUGAACGCACGGACGUCGAGCGUGGUCGAGGCGCGAAGAUGAAGCCCGAGUGUGCAGGUGCCCUUCACGUACCGGAGCACGCGCUUGACGAGCGCGAGGUGACAUUCGCGCGGGUCAUGCAUGUGCAAGCAGAUUUGCUGGACGGCGUAGGCGAUCUCUGGGCGCGUGAUGGUGAGGUAGUGCAGGGCCCCGGCGAUGCUCCGAUAGGCUGAGGGGUCGUCGACGCAGGGCCCAUCGGCUGAGGGGAGUUUGCUCUUCGUGUCGAUGGGUGUCGGGGAAGGGUGGCAGGUGUCCAUGCCGGCGCGUUCCAGGAGUUCGUCGGCAUAUUGUUGUUGCGACAGGAAGAAGCCAGCUCGGGUGCGGGUCACGCGGAUGCCGAGGAAGAAGGCGAGCGAGCCCAGGUCCUUCAUGGUGAAUUCGCCUGUGAGGCGUUGGAUGACAUGGUGAAGCACGCGUGACGAGGACGCGGUGAGCACGAUGUCGUCGACGUAGAGGAGGAGGAACGCCAUGUCGUUGCCGUGCCGGAAGGUGAACAGCGACGAGUCCGAACGCGUAGCUGCGAAGCCAAUGGAGCGGACGAAGCCGGCGAAGUGGAGGAACCAGGCACGGGGCGCCUGCUUGAGCCCGUACAAGGACUUGGAGAGGCGGCGAACGUGCUCUGGUUUGUCGGGGUCGACGAAUCCGGCGGGCUGGAGGCAGUAGACUUCCUCCUCCUAGUUGCCGUGGAGGAAGGCGUUGGAGACGUCGAGGUGGUGCACCGGCCAGCCGCGUGACGCGGCCAGAGUGAGCACCGUGUGGAUCGUCGCUGGCUUGACGACGGGGGAGAACAUCUCGCCGUAGUCGACGCCGGCACGCUGAUGAAAGCCCCGCACGACCCAGUGUGCUUUGUAGCGGGCCAGCGCGCCGUCGGCGUCGUUUUUGUGCUUGAAGAUCCACUUCCCUGUGAUCAGGUUGGCGCCCGGGGGGCGGGCACCAGCUCCCACGUGCGAUUGCGCACGAGCGCAUGGCACCGAGCCAGUUCGGGUCGCGAACAGCAGCGCGAAGCGAACGUGGCACCGGCGACACCGAUGAUGAGGUAGAGGCGGUGGCCGCGUCGUAGUAGCGUGGGUUGGGGCGGAAGAUGCCGCGCUGGGCACGCGUGACCAUGGGCACAGGAGGCGCCGGUGCGCGGCGCGCCGCUGGUGGCGCGCUCGGAGACGAGCUGUCGGAGGAGCCGCUGGCGGAGUUGUCGGAGGAGCCGCUGGCGGAGGCGAAGACAGGCGGACCAGGCGCGGAUGGGCACGUCGAGGAUGGAGCCGAGCCGCCAUCGGAAGCGCCCGCAGCGUACCGCGAGCUGACGCGGCGCGCCUCGCUGGUUGGCGAGGAUGAGCGGGGCAGGCCGGUGAUGGAGAUCGGGCGCGCCGGCAGCACGGGUGACAUGCUGCUGUCAGGCACCAGUGGAAGCGCGGGCAGCGCAGGAGGCCGGACGACGAGCGGGAUCUGCAGGGUAGAGGGUAUGACGGGUGGCGUAGGCGACGGGGAAGAGGAUGCGAACGGGAAAACGUGUUCGUGGAAGAGAACGUGGCGAGACGUGAGGACGCGGCGAGAGGUGAGGUCAAAGCAGCGAAAACCACGAUGAUCGGGAGGGUACCCGAGGAAGACGCAGGCGAUAGAACGUGGCUCGAGCUUAUGGCGGGUGGUGGCGGUGACGUUCGGAUAGCAGAGGCAUCCAAAGACGCGGAGCUGCGAGUAAUCUGGGGCGACGCCGAGCAGGAGUUCAUGCGGAGUGCAGGGCGCCGAGGCGCGGUAGGGCCGACGAUUGAGCAGGUAGGUCGAGGUGUUGAGAGCCUCUGCCCAGAAGCGAGCGGGCAUGUGCGCAUGACAGAGAAGCACACGAACGCCGUCGUUGAUCGUGCGGAGAACUCGCUCGUCCUUGCCGUUCUGCUGACUGGUGUAUGGGCAGGUGAGACGGAAGUGUGUGCCGUGGCGAGCAAGCAGAGAGCGCACGGCUGCGCUGUCGAAUUCACGACCAUUGCCCAUUUGCAGUGCAAGUAUGGGUAACUGAAACUGAGUCUGAACAUAGGCAAAGAAAUCAACAAGUAUGGGAAGAACUUCAGACAUGUGUUUCAGAGGGAAAGUCCAGACAUAGUGACUGAAAUCAUCUAGUAUAACUAAGUAAAACUGAUAGCCGGAUAUGCUUACAACGGGAGCGGUCCAUACAUCAAGGUGUAAAAGCUGGAAAGAACUAGCAGUGGUGGAUGUCUGAAACGGGAGCCAGGUGUGUUUGCCAACACGACAGGCAUGACAGACAGGCGGAUCACGGCAGAACUCCAGGGACUGAUCAACAGCAACAGUGCGGAGUGCGGCAGCCCCUGGGUGGCCAUGCGUUGGUGCCGGGUGCAGGCGUGGGGUACGCCGGGGGAGGGCGGGGAGCCUGGGAGGACGGCGUGGGCGGGCCACCAAUGCCGUUGCCACGUCUGCGGCGGCGUCCGCGCCCACGCCCUUGGUUGGUGUUGCUGGGCGGGGGUGUGGGUGGUGUAGGAGAGCCGCCACGCCCGGCGACGAGAGCGUGCGCAGACUGCUGGCGAGUGGUCGACUGCUCUGCUCGGUGUUCCUCAAGCAGGACGAAGGAGCGCACCUGCAGGAACGACGGGAGCGGGACCUGCGAGGUGAUGUGAGGGAUGGCGGAGUGGAACUGCUGGUUCAGACCGCGGAGCAGGUUGAAGACCUGCCGCGAGUCGGUUACCGGCUGCCCGAGGUCGCGGAGUCGAUCCGUGAACGACUUCAUCUUGGUGCAGUACGCCAUGAUCGACAUGUCGCCCUGAACGACAUAGUGGUACUCGGCGUCGAGGUAGACAGCGCGAGCGAGGUGGUUGUCGCGGAAGAUUCCAUCGACCGCAGUCCAGAUGGCCAGAGCAGUGUCGUCCGGCUGCAUGACGACGUCGAGCAGGUCCGGCGAUAUGGUAGUGUAGAACCAGUGGACGACGACGUGAUCAGCCAUGCCCCACUCGGGAUCAUCGUGGCGGUGGAUGGCCAUGGCGUCGACGUGAGUGCGGAGGCCGAACAUGCCGAUGACGGUGUCGAAGUGGCGGCGCCACUGCGUGUAGUUGCCGGCGAGAAGGUCGAGGGUGACCGGGACAUGACGACGGAUGUCCACGGUCUGCAGGAUCGCGGAGGCGACAGGUGCUGUAGGAGGAGGAGGAGGGAUGACGGGCACCGCGGGCGCGACAGGUGCUGGAGCCGGCGGUGCGUUGGCCAGGGGGACAGCGUUGAGGACGCCGUCGGCGCCGUGCUGCGAGGAGCGAGGGGACACGACGGGGUUGUCAUCCAUGGCGGUGGAAGCGGGACUGGCGACCUGCGCGAAGGGAUUGAGCAGGUCGGGGGAGUCUGAUACCAUAUAGGAAAGAAGGAUUAGGAGGAAUAAUUCACCACACUUUGAUUGAGCUCUCGGUUGGGUCUUAUGUACAGAUUACAGGGCCAGGGAGAUCAUGGGGUGAUCCACUACCUGGGAUCGUGCGCCACGAUCACUAUAUGCGUGCGCCACGAUUAUAUACACACAUGCUACAACUAGUGUCUACGCAACUACGGUAUAGCAGUACAAUAAAGUCUAACAGGGCGGCCACCGGCGGGGAGGGCGGGAUCCGUGCGGGGUGGCGGGAUUUGGGCAGGCGGUGGGCUCGGGGGAGGGCGAUGGCAGCGAAGCAGCAAGGAGGGGCUGGAGGAGAUGAAACGAAAGAGGUCGCGUGACACAGCGACAGCGUAGUCCAAUCCCCUCGCUGCUGAUUUAAAAAAAAGGUAAUGAUAACUCCCGAACGUUCGGGAGUUAAGCAUGGCAACCCGAACGGGUUUAGAUGGCAAGUUUAGUUUGCGUGAGAUUAGGGAAACAUGGCAAUUUUCUGACAAAAGAAAUGAAAAAGGACGAAGUUGCCAUCCCCUAUCAACUAAAGUUGCCAUCCCCUAUAAAUUAAAGUUGCCAUGUAAAAACGUUCGGGACGAAAUGCUCAAAAUCCGAACGUUCGGAAGUUACUGGAUUCAAAAAAAUCCCCUUGCUGCCAAUCGCUGGCCCGUUUCUUUUUUCGCCCAAUCGCUAGGUGAUGACGUGGCUAUCGCGGGAAGGCGCCCUUGAUGCGUAGUCGAAUGGUUUUAAUUAAUAGGAAACGAGUGCUUACUCUAGUUACUGAAUCAUGUACACCAAAUAAAGCCAUUUACACGUAGUUAAUGACAAAAAAAGUUGAUGUUUGCUACGCAAAUGUGUAGUACAAAUUAAGAAGUGCAAGAUUAAAAAAAAAUGCUGGUCCUUGAUUCGUUGUUGAUCGUCAGCAUGCCAUCAUCAAUUUGUAGUUAAUUAUCAUACAAAUUGGCUCUUUCAUAGAGUUGGAGGCUAGCUCCUUUGAUCAGCACGCGCUUAAACACAAACAGCACGUAUAUGUUUUGUCUCCGGAGUUCAAUUCUUCAUCGGCCAGCAAAAAUGGCCCGACCGGGUAGAGGAAAAGGCAUGUUUGUUAGUACGCCUGGAGGAAAUGCCUUUGAUUACGGCAUCUUCAACAGCGACCAGUAAAUUUCCUUCCGCGUUCGUUCACGGAUAGGGGAUCAGUCUGCGGAUACGAAUACAGGAAUCAUCCAUCCAACGCUGUCCGCGUAUAUUUCAAACACAUUUUUUUUUUAAAAUAGGAUGAAAUUCAUGCAAACACAAUGGAUUUCAUACAAACCGGACAAAAAUGUUUACAUUUUGGACAUAUUUUUUUACUAAAAACUCUACAGCCGGCGCCGGCGAAUAUCCACCCCGGCGACAUGGAUACCCUUGACUAGUCUACUGCCGGCCGCAGCGGAUCUCCAAUGUCGUCCCCAUAUCCGGCAGCUAUGAGCCCUAGAGGUAUAUGCUUCAGCGCAAAGAGCGGCUCGCCUCCCUACCGCUCAUCGGAGUGGAACAACCAGCUGAUGCUUCUGCCGAUGGAAAGGGUCCCUACGCUACACGGAUUAGAGUUGGUUUUCGGCUGGGAACGGCGGUGGCCUGCCAGAGGGCAAGACACCGACUGUGUAUGCUGGUGUCACCUGGUGUGGCAUUCGUGGGACCCAAGCGGCAGCGCCUCCUCGAUGAUGGCGGCGAGCGCGGACGUGUUUGACACCACCUCGUCGAUGUCCGUGCAGCCGGCUUCUUUCUCUGUAGGAAGGACGCGGUUACGCUUGCGUUGACAUCGGAUGACUCGGUCACAUGCACGGGAGGGGCGGUACGACAUGGCACCGCCAAUGGCAGCCAUGAUGCCCACGCCACCGUGCUCCCUCCCAGUGCCGAUCUAGAGCAACUUGCCACUCCUCUGCUCGUGACCGGUGGGCUUGACGGGCCACCUAGCCAUUUUUUAUGCCAGACAACUCUUCUUCCUGCUCGUCAGAUGUCAUGGAUAAAACUGUUUAAGGAGGAAAAUGAUGAGUGGACGUGUGAUGCGGUUCUUGCCCAACAUCUGACAUUGUUUAAAUAGCGAGGGGAGACGAGAGGAGCCAACCGGCGUACUGUUUAAUGCCAACCGGCUCGCGAACGAACAUGUGGCCGGAGUAAUUAUCCUAGCACACACGCGGGUUUAAUGGUGGAAGGCGGGCAGUCUGCAGGAAUGAGGCGAGGAUGUGUGCUUAGCCGGCGUGCAGCAGGCGGCGCCCUCGGCCGGCGUGCUGCUUCCAUUGCGGAGGCAGUGAGAGGUCGCGUCCGCUCUGCAGCGCAUGAAUGCGGGCAGCUGGCGCAGAGCGGGAACGCGUGCGGGCGAGGGAGGAGGGGGUUUGGGCGGGUGGUCAGAAGAGGUCGUGGGUGUUGUCCGAACGCCUGCAAAGCCCCCCUCCAUGUUUGUCUCCAGUUUGCGGGAGAAAGUACGUCCGGACCGUCUCCAAUGGACCAAUACAGGCCCGCAUUGGAUAGCACAACACGUCCGGACCAUGUGGUCCGGAUGGUUGUGGACAGUUUAAUUGAGGGUCGGCGUUGGAGAUGCCUUAGAGUUUAUGAAUCCAUUGUGUUUUUCUAAUCAUAAAAAAUCACUUACAAUAAGUUAUAAGGAAAGACACGUUUAUAUGUUAGGUUCAGACUCCAGCUUUCGUUUUACAUAUGCUUUAUUCAUCCGACUGAUUCCAAUAGAGUGAGCCUAGCGUUGUUUUUCUGGAAACUCGCGGGAUAAGGAGACAUGCAUACACAUUCUUUCAAGCAAAUCACAUCCAUUUUUUUUAACUCAUUUUUCUUCUUUUAAUAAUAUAAUAGAUCAUUUAUAUUUUUUAUCUGAAACAGUUGACGUGUAAUUUAUAUUGUAAUCUGAGGAUAAUGUUUGGAUUUUACUUUCAAAUAUAUUUGAAAUGGCCAUGAUGGAAUCACAUCCAUUUAUUUUAUUAUUAUUUGAAUUUGAUCCAAAAGAUAAAUAAUGAGUAGAGGUCAUGUCAACUUUUCUGAGAACUUUGCUAAUCAAAAUAUAAAUUGUAUUUAAAAACAUCUAUUUUUUAGCACGCAUGAAAAACAUAACACGUAUCUUUUCACACAUAAUGAACGGUUGUCAUAAGAACUCAUGCCAUGCCACAACCUCCCUCCGACCCUGCCAACAUUGUUGCAGCUGCACUCGCAAGCCUUAGCGUAGAUGAUAAUUUAUACAAUUUGCGUAAAACAAAAUAAGAUCUACAAAUGAAUAGAAGCUAGAACGUACAUUGGCAUGCACACACAUUGCAAGCCAUACUAAGCUGAUAAGUGUUAAUAACUUGUACAACAUAUACAACACUUAAGACAAGUAAAAGCAAUUUGAUGAGUCAUGGUCUAUCAAAGCCACAUUACUAGUCUAAUCCAUCUUAACAGGUCACACAUGAUUAAAAUCUUGUUUGUGUGCAAGUCAAGCUUAUCUAGUUUACAUGUAACAACUUGUAGAACAUUACAAAAUUUAUGUUUGCUAAUAACUUCUAGAACACUACAACACUUGACAUGUAAAAGGAAUUUGAUGAGUCAUGGCCUACUAAAGCAAGUUAUAUUACUAGUCUUAUCUACCAUAACAGGCCACACAAGAUUACAAACCAAGUUCUGUGCCAGCCAUGCUUAUCUAGUUUAUGCGUAACAAUUUGCAGAAAAUUACAAACUUAGUUUCAGAAAAAUAGGCAAUCUAGAUUAGUGUUUGAGCUGUAAAGUGAAUAAAAUGAGUCAUGCGUGUUAUCACACCUUUUUGGUUGUGGAAUGAUAGUGCAACAACAAGGAACUUUAAUGACCAGUUCAAGAAUACACUUGUAAGUAGUGCCACCGAACACAACAUACCAAAUUAUGAUUUUGAGAAGCAUCCAAGCACAUCCACACAAGCAAAUGCCAAUUGUGAAAGAGAUCAUGCCAUGGCAGCUAUAAAUAGGCCCGUAGCAUGACGAUCAUCCUUCCUCAUCCAUCAUUCUCAUAAGUAGAGCGCAUCAUUUAAGCCAAGCAAGCAGUGCUCAAUACAAAUCCACCAUGAAGACCUUUCUCAUCCUUGCCCUCCUUGCUAUUGUAGCAACCACCGCCACAAUUGCAGUUAGAGUUCCAGUGCCACAAUUGCAGCCACAAAAUCCAUCUCAGCAACAACCACAAGAGCAAGUUCCAUUGGUACAACAACAGCAAUUUCCAGGGCAGCAACAACCAUUUCCACCACAACAGCCAUAUCCGCAGCCGCAACCAUUUCCAUCACAACAACCAUAUCUGCAGCUGCAACCAUUUCCGCAGCCGCAACUACCAUAUCCGCAGCCGCAACCAUUUCGACCACAACAACCAUAUCCACAACCGCAACCACAGUAUUCGCAACCACAACAACCAAUUUCACAGCAGCAGCAGCAGCAGCAACAACAACAACAACAACAACAACAGAUCCUUCAACAAAUUUUGCAACAAUAACUGAUUCCAUGCAGGGAUGUUGUAUUGCAACAACACAGCAUAGCGCAUGGAAGCUCACAAGUUUUGCAACAAAGUACUUACCAGCUGGUGCAACAAUUGUGUUGUCAACAGCUGUGGCAGAUCCCCGAGCAGUCGCGGUGCCAAGCCAUCCACAAUGUUGUUCAUGCUAUUAUUCUGCAUCAACAACAACAACAACAACAACAACCGUUGAGCCAGGUCUGCUUCCAACAGCCUCAACAACAAUAUCCAUCAGGCCAGGGCUCCUUCCAGCCAUCUUAGCAAAACCCACAGGCCCAGGGCUCUGUCCAGCCUCAACAACUGCCCCAGUUUGAGGAAAUAAGGAACCUAGCGCUAGAGACGCUACCUGCAAUGUGCAAUGUCUAUAUCCCUCCAUAUUGCACCAUUGCUCCAGUUGGCAUCUUCGGUACUAACUGAGAAUAGAAUAACUCUAGUAGUAGAUAUAUGAUACACCGUUUUCUUAGUCCAUGGUUUGGUCGUUGUAGCGGUGAAAAAAUAAAGUGACAUGCACUAUCAUGUAAGAACCCGAACUAUACUAUUUCAAACAUGGGAAUAAAAGACAAACACAUGUCUUGUCUACAUAUGAUUGUUUGUUUGAGUUCCACUCAUGUGCCCACUCACAAGUUCACCCCUAAUUAUAUAUAUUAUGCAUUAAGUAGAUAUUUAUGUUGCAUUAAUCUAAAGAUAACAAAAUGAGUCUGAAAUUUGAAUUAAAUUGAAGUAUUUCCUUGGACUUUCAAAUGGAGUAUUAUUAAAGUAGUAAGGACUAUCCACAUCCUUGGCUUGCCCUUGAUCAAUUAUUUCCAGAGAAGCAUUCAAUUCAUCAAUCAAUUACAUUGAUUUUUGUGGCUGGUACUUCUCCUCAACAUGAGUAUAUUCAUCGCGGCUACUCCAAAUAGCCAUGAAUGAGGUACCGGUGCUCUGGAGCACUGGUACCUAACUGCUUCUCAUGUGAAGGGGUGCGGGCGCGGGAGAGGUGUUUUUGGUGGGCCAGGGGAGUAAGAAGCGGCCGUGGCAGCGGUCCAGACGCCCACAAAGCCCCGUAGUUUGUUUUUGGUUUACAGGAAAAUGCACAUCCAGACUGGCCUGCGGGCCGAUAUAGGACCGUAUUGGAUGGCAAAACAUGUCCGGAUGGUCGCGAGCGGUUUAAGGGUUAGCUUUUGUAACACCCGGUUAGUUAUGCUAUGGUAAUUCCCUGCUAAUGAUGUCACGUCAGCACGAUUACUGUUGUUAACCUCACAAUGAUUCAAUCCCAUUCAAAUUCAAAUUUAAAAUAAAGGCAAACAUCAAAAGUUUCAAACAUUAAAACUAAAAUCUUCGAGAGGUGAAAAAUAAUGCAUAAGUAAUUAUGGUGGAGAAACCACACUUUUAUAAAAUGUUUAAAUACUCUAAAAAUAAUAAAACAGUGGCUUAAACUAUUAUUUAAAUGCUUUUAAAAUAGUAAAAAUGUUCUAACUAAAUUAAUUGGGUACCAAACUUUUGGUGGCAGUGGUAUAUUUAGUAGAACUAAUUUAGAUGCUAAUAAAACAUAAAAGGAAAGACAAAACAAAUAAAAGUAAAAGGGGGCAACCCUUGGCUGGGCCUCGGCCAAGCUGGGCACUUGGCUAGCUAGGUUGGCCCAACCGCCUCCCUUAACCCCCCACUCCCCAUCGAACCCUAGACCGAUCGCCCCACUUCCCCCCCACCCCCUCGUCAGCCUCCCCACCUCUCGAUCCCAUCUGGAUCGGGGAGGGGAUCGCCUUCAUCGACCCCGUCGCGGUCGCUGGAUCGCCCGCUCGCCCAUCGCCCGCCGGCGUCGCCGGACCUCCUCCCCGUCGCAUGUCUCCGGCUCUCCUCCCCUCUCGCUCCUCUUCCCCGACCCGAUCUAGAUCGGGAAGGGCCAAUGAGCCCAACGCCCCCCUCCAUCGACGCUGUGCUCCAGCACCGCCGCCCGAAGACCUCGCCAUCGCCGGACCUCGCGUCGCCUCCUCGUAUCCCUCCCCGACUCGCCUCCUCAAGCCACGCCGACCCCCUCUCGGCAACGCCGUGAGCCGCACCCGUUUCCCUCCUUCUCUUUCCACCGUGUUCACCGCGCCGCCUGCCGUGCCCCUCGCCGCGCGCACGCCCACCACCGCGCCAGCCCCCGCUCCCGCCCUCUCCUGCACGCUUGUGCGCGCAUGACCCUAGCCGCGCCCACGCCGUGAUCCCCUUGUCCCGCCCGCCUUCGUCCCGCGCUCGCCGCGGCCCCCAUGCUCCCCUGCGCCCUCUUUUGGGGCCGUCGGCUGCCCCUGUCCCGCAGCUCGCUGGCAUGCGUCCCCGCCUGCGCCUCGCCACCGCUCUACUGCUACGCUACUAUUGCGCUGUGGCCGCCGCCGCUUCCCGCUGCUCUGCCAGCGCCAAAGCUCCUGGUUGGCCCUGCCGCUGCUCGCGUUUAACCGCCGGCCUAAGCGGCCUAACCUCCCCCCUCGCUAAUGAACCCCCACCGACCCGCUGACACCGGGACCCACAUCCCCUAAUUAACCAUUUAAUAAAUUAAAACUCUUAAAUUAACAUUAGUGUAUGACAUGUGGGUCCCCUAUUAAUUAAACUGAUUUAAUUAAAAUCUAUUAACUUUGAGUCUAUGACAUAUGGGCCCCACUAAACAUUUGACCAAUCAACGGUCCAGUCAAAUGCUGACCGGACAGUUGACCAGAGGGCCCCGCCAGUCAGCCAAUGUGCUGUUCUGCUGGGUACCUUUCUAAGUACACCUAGCAUUUUGCAUUUACAAUAUUUGUUUUAAAAUAAAUUAGAAUAAUUUCAAAAAAAUAUUAAAACUUUUAAAAUUAAAAUAAAAUAAUCCGUAACUCGGAUGAAAUUACUUUAUACAUGGAAGUUGCUCAAAAAAUGAGACGAAUCCGAAUACACAGUCCGUUCGUCUGCCACGCGUCCCUAGCAUAGCGAACAUGCAACCAUCCCCCUCCGGUUCGACUGUCCGAAAAAUUAUUAUUGCACAUGCCCGCUAAGAGGUUGGCUGUAUAUGACAUGACAACUUCUUAUAGCCGAGCCUUGGCUGUAUUAUUAACCAUGCUCUUAGUGAGGUAGCUAGUAUAUCAUAGACGACUAGCUAGUAUCAGACUAGCCAAAGUGGGAGUAACUUCAGCAGUAACAUCGACUCCAACUCAGCAAACUUCCUUAUGUGGGAGUAAACCGUGCCCAAUGCAAAAUACAAUCCCAGUCGUAAUUUUUUCAGGAAACGUGUGGGAUCCCAAACGAAAAGCACACGUCACUCUUGCGGCAACCGUCGGUGACACCCAAUAAAUCACAAACGGUCUGCAGCAGCUGUAUGUGUGCAAAGGGGCUCCUGAACCGUUUGUGAUAGAACAUUAUCGCAGACGGUAAUUGUUGGCAAACGUGUGCGAUGGAGUCUAGCAUGGCAGACGGGUUACGCAGAAAACUCGUGUGUGAUGGGGCACAAAUCGCACACAGUUCAUAUGUUGGUCCAUGUGCCUUACAUACUAUUUCCCAAAUGGUUUGUUACGACAGACCGUAUCGUUUCAGUGCGUCAUUAGAAACGCUUAAUCACUGAUACCACACGUGCGAAAGAAAUUAGUGCGUGAUGCAUCGCACACGAUUACAUUUUGGAAGGCCUCUGGAUCACUGCUCCAUAUCCCCGACGGUUUCUGGGCCGUGUGGGAAGGACACCCUAUCGCACACACUCACUUGGCGAUGGUUCCAAAUGCUGUCGCAGAAAAGGGUUAAAAACAGUUUGUUUAGGACCGACGCGUACCAGUGUCUAUCUAUCUAUCUAUCUAUCUAUCUAUGUAUCUAUCUAUCUAUCCAUCUAUCUAUCUAUCUAUCUAUCUAUCUAUCUAUCUAUCUAUCUAUCUAUCUCAAUCCACCUAUCUAUCUAUCCAUCUAUCUAUCUCUCCAUCUAUCCAUCUAUCUAUCCAUCUAUCCAUCCAUCUACUAUCCAUCUAUCUAUCCAUCCAUCCAUCUAUCUAUCCAUCCAUCCAUCUAUCUAUCUAUNNNNNNNNNNNNNNNNNNNNNNNNNNNNNNNNNNNNNNNNNNNNNNNNNNNNNNNNNNNNNNNNNNNNNNNNNNNNNNNNNNNNNNNNNNNNNNNNNNNNNNNNNNNNNNNNNNNNNNNNNNNNNNNNNNNNNNNNNNNNNNNNNNNNNNNNNNNNNNNNNNNNNNNNNNNNNNNNNNNNNNNNNNNNNNNNNNNNNNNNNNNNNNNNNNNNNNNNNNNNNNNNNNNNNNNNNNNNNNNNNNNNNNNNNNNNNNNUCUAUGUAUCCAUUUAUCCAUUGAUCCAUCUAUCGAUCCAUCCAUCCAUCCAUCUAUCCAUCAAUCUAUCUAUCCAUGUAUCCAUGUAUCCAUCUAUCCAUCUAUCGAUCUAUCCAUCCAUCUAUCUAUCUAUCUAUCCAUCUAUCCAUCUAUCGAUCUAUCCAUCUAUCUAUCUAUCCAUCCAUCUAUCGAUCUAUCGGUCUAUCCAUCUAUCGAUCUAUCCAUCUCUCCAUCUACCCAACUAUCCAUCUAUCCAUCUAUUCAUCUACCGAUCUAUCUAUCCAUCUAUCUAUCUAGCUAUCUAGCUAUCUAGCUAUCUAUCUAUCUAUCUAUCUAGCUAUCUAGCUAUCUAUCUAUCUAGUUAUCUAGCUAUCUAUCUAUCUACCUACCUACCUACCUACCUACCUACCUAUCUAUCUAUCUAUCUAUCUAUCUAUCUAUCUAUCUAUCUAUCUAUCUAUCUAUCUAUCUAUCUAUCUAUCUAUCUAAAGGAAAUAUGCCCUAGAUGCAAUAAUAAAGUUGUCAUUUAUAGUUCGUUAUAUCAUGAUAAACUAGCGGAGUCACCCGCGCAUUUGCGCGGCUAGAUUGACUACAUAUAUUGUUAUAUUUGGGAUUAUUUUUCUAUGCCAAUUUUAUGGCCUCUUACUCAGAUAUUAUCUAAUUGAAUUUACCACCACCAUAUGUUAUAUCCAUAGAUUAUAAUGAAAAGGCAACUUCCGACGAAACAUGGACAGAUUAUUGAGUGCUCAGAAGACGGACGCAAUAUCAUAUAUAGACUUCUAUACCAAUCUUCAUGGUUCCCAUCUUUGAUCCUCUCCUCGUCCCUUGGUAUCUAUCUUUGCACCCAAUAUGUCUUUGGAGUUCCAAGAAUUGAAUCUUAGCAUGAAUGGCUUCAAUGUGUACCAAAUGUUCUCUUGUUCCUCCCAAAUUAAUUACUGGUUGCAUUCUUAGUUGCUUUGACAUUCUUGGUUAAUGCAAUUUCUUGCCUACCAAUAUAUGCAUCCACACACGAUCAUAUUUAUAUGACCACUUACCUCUGUAUUCUGGUAUUUGUGCUUCAGAAUUUUUCUCUCAUUCAGUUUAUUCAUAGAUUAAAAACGUCGAUCGUUUCUUUAUUGGUUUGCAUUAUCUUGUUUGCCGAACGUAAGCAUCCACACAUGCUCGUCAUGAUAUGAUUGGUCAUCAUUGUAUAUUUGUAUUUGUGUGUUGAUAGCUUAAGGAUUUUCUCGGAUUCACUUCAUAGUUUAAGGAUUUUCUCGCGUUCAAUUUAUUCUACCUUAUUCAUUUUCAUGUUUCUUUAUUGCAUUUAUAUCAAUUCUUACAAUAUAUUUUCCAAGAUAUGAACUCAACUACUAAUUACGUAGUUUUUCAUCAAAAAUUACAUGUAAAAAUGUUACAAAUGCAUAAACAUGAUAAAAAUAUAUAUCAUAUUCCAUUGAGAGAUCGCCCAUUUAAAAAAAACACGUUGACUUACAAAAAGGACAAUUCAAGCUGCAUGUACGUCCGACUCAUGUUUACCUGACAAUGUCGAUGUUGAUUUCAGCAGUAAAUGAGCUGUGUGUGACCUUUGCGCUUUCCGGUAUUCUUCUAACCUGUGUGCUUUAUGAUCAGUUUGUUGUGCUUAGUACUGGACACUUGAGUAUACUAUCAUAUUUGGUACAAAUAAAUCUGAACUACUAUAGUUAUGAUCCACUGUAUAGUUAAUGGUGGUGGUAAUUAAUAUAUGUGGUUAAAUACUUGCGCUCCUUAGGUGGGGAGUUGGAUUUGUAUUUCCCUAAAAUAAAUUUCAGAUUUCGUAAUAGUGGUGAAGCCAGCCGGAAGAACCUCUGCGUCAUUAUUAAUUUUGGUGAUAUUUUUCUUCAUAGUGUAGAAUAAUUUUAGUGCUUAUUCCGCAAAAAAUAUGGCCUCAACUGACCCCAUAGCUUGUAUGUUGCGCCACCACUGUUUCCUAUAUCCUAUUACAUCCGUUGUUUUUAGAUCUUGAUGCAUAACUUUGACAAUAUUUAAUAGAUAUGUGUCUGUAUAAAAAAUUAUAAAUGCUAUGAUAAUUUGAUUAAUUAUGAUGAAUAAAAUGUUAUUGCUCUGACUUGAUCCCUCUAGAAUUUUCCAAAAUUUCACAUUACAGUUGUAGUAGUGCAUGCUACCUCUUGAGCACUGCGUUAGUUUUCCCUUGAAGAGGAAAGGGUGAUGCAGUAAAGUAGCGUCAGUAUUUCCCUCGGUUUUUGAGAACCAAGGUAUCAAUCCAGUAGGAGGCCACGCAUGAGUCCCUCGCACCUACACAAACAAAUAAAAUCCUCGCAACCAACGCAAUAAAGGGGUUGUCAAUCCCUUCACGGUCACUUACGAAAGUGAGAUCUGAUAGAUUUGAUAAGAUAAUAUUUUUGGUAUUUUUAUGAUAAAGAUGCAACGUAAAGAAAGCAAAAUAAAAAAAGCGCCAGAAAUAGCUUGUUGACGGGAGAUUAAAAUAGACCGGGGGGCCAUAGGUUUCACUAGUGGCUUCUCUCGAGAGCAUAAGUAUUUUGGUGGGUAGACAAAUUACUGUUGAGCAAUUGACAGAAUUGAGCAUAGUUAUGGGAAUAUCAAGGUAUGAUCAUGUAUAUAGGCAUCACGUCCGAGGCAAGUAGCCCGACUCCUGCCUGCAUCUACUACUAUUACUCCACACAUCGACUGCUAUCCAGCAUGCAUCUAGAGUAUUAAUUUCAAAAGAACAGAGUAACGCUUUAAGUAAGAUGACAUGAUGUAGAGGGAUAAACUCAUGCAGUAUGAUAUAAACCCCAUCUUGUUAUCCUCGAUGGCAACAAUACAAUACGUGCCUUGCUGCCCCUACUGUCACUGGGAAAGGACACCGCAAGAUUGAACCCAAGCUAAGCACUUCUCCCAUCGCAAGAAAGAUCAAUCUAGUAGGCCAAACCAAACUGAUAAUUCGAAGAGACUUGCAAAGAUAACCAAUCAUACAUAAAAGAAUUCAGACAAGAUUCAAAUAUUGUUCAUAGAUAAACUUGAUCAUAAACCCACAAUUCAUCGGUCUCAACAAACACACCGCAAAAGAAGAUUACAUCGAAUAGAUCUCCACAAGAGAGGCGGAGAACAUUGUAUUGAGAUCCAAAAAGAGAGAGGAAGCCAUCUAGCUAAUAACUAUGGACCCGAAGGUCUGAGGUAAACUACUCACACAUCAUCGGAGAGGCUAUGGUGUUGAUGUAGAAGCCCUCCAUGAUCGAUGCCCCCUCCGGCGGAGCUCCGGAAAAGGCCCCAAGAUGGGAUCUCACGGGUACAGAAGGUUGCGGCGAUGGAAUUAGGUUUUUGGCUCCGUAUCUGGUAGUUUGGGGGUACGUAGGUAUAUAUAGGAGGAAGAAGUACGUCGGUGGAGCAACGUGGGCCCCACGAGGGCGCGCCCCCCUACCUCGUGCCUUCCUGGUAGAUUUCUUGACGUAGGGAACAAGUCCUCUAGAUAACGUUCGUUCCCAAAAUCACGUUUCCGAAGGUUUCAUUCCGUUUGGACUCGGUUUGAUAUUCUUUUUCUGUGAAACUCUGAACUAGGCAAAAAACAGCAAUUCUGGGGUGGGCCUCCGAUUAAUAGGUUAGUCCCAAAAAUAAUAUAAAAGUGUAUAAUAAAGCCCAUUAAUGUCUAAAACAGAAUAUAAUAUAGCAUGGAACAAUAAAAAAUUAUAUAUACGUUGGAGACGUAUCAAGCAUCCCCAAGCUUAAUUCUUGCUCGUCCUCGAGUAGGUAAAUGAUAAAAACAGAAUUUUUAAUGUGGAAUGCUACUUGGCAUAAUUUCAAUGUAAUUCUCUUAAUUGUGGUAUGAAUAUUCAGACCCGAAAGAUUCAAGACAAAAGUUUAAUAUUGACAUAAAAAUAAUAAUACUUCAAGCAUACUAACUAAGCAAUUAUGUCUUCUCAAAAUAACAUGGCCAAAGAAAGUUAUCCCUACAAAAUCAUAUAGUCUAGCUAUGCUCUAUCUUCACCACACAAAGUAUUUAAAUUAUGCACAACCCGGAUGACAAGCCAAGCAAUUGUUUCAUACUUUUGAUGUUCUCAAACUUUUUCAAUCUUCACGCAAUACAUGAGCAUGAGCCAUGGACAUAGCACUAUAUGUGGAAUAGAAUGGUGGUUGUGGAGAAGACAAAAAAGGAGAAGAUAGUCUCACAUCAACUAGGCGUAUCAACGGGCUAUGGAGAUGCCCAUUAAUAGAUAUCAAUGUGAGUGAGUAGGAAUUGCCAUGCAACGGAUGCACUAGAGCUAUAAGUAUAUGAAAGCUCAACAAAAGGAACUAAGUGGGUGUGCAUCCAACUCGCUUGCUCAUGAAGACCUAGGGCAUUUUGAGGAAGCCCAUCAUUGGAAUAUACAAGCCAAGUUCUAUAAUGAAAAUUUGCCACUAGUACAUGAAAGUGAUAUCAUAGGAGACUCUCUAUCAUGAAGAUCAUGGUGCUACUUUGAAGAACAAGUGUGGUAAAAGGAUAGUAACAUUGUCCCUUCUCUCUUUUUCUCUCAUUUUUUUAUUUGGGUCUUUUAUCCUUUUUUAUGGCCUCUUUUUUUUAGUCCGAAGUCUCAUCCCGACUUGUUGGGGAAUCAUAGUCUCCAUCAUCCUUUCCUCACUUGGGACAAUGCUCUAAAAAAUGAUGAUCAUCACACUUUUAUUUACUUACAACUCAACAAUUACAACUCAAUACUUAGAACAAAAUAUGACUCCAUGUGAAUGCCUCCGGCGGUAUACCGUGAUAUGCAAUGAAUCAAGAGUGACAUGUAUGAAAGAAUUAUGAACGGUGGCUUUGCCACGAAUACAAUGUCAACUACAUGAUCAUGGAAAGCAAUAUGACAAUGAUGGAGUGUGUCAUAAUAAACUGAACGGUGGUAAGUUGCAUGGCAAUAUAUCUCGGAAUGGCUAUGGAAAUCCUAUGGUAGGUAGGUAUGGUGGCUGUUUUGAGGAAGGUAUAUGGUGGGUGUAUGAUACCGGCGAAAAGUGCGCGGUAUUAGAGAGGCUAGCAAUGGUGGAAGGAAGAAAGUGCGUAUAAUCCAUGGACUCAACAUUAGCCAUAAAGAACUCAUAUACUUAUUGCAAAAAUCUACAAGUUAUCGAAGCAAAGUAUUACCCGCAUCAUCCUAGGGGGAUAGAUUGGUAUGAAAAGACCAUCGCUCAUCCCAGACCGCCACUCAUAAGGAAGACAAUCAAUAAAUAAAUCAUGCUCCGACUUCAUCACAUAACGGUUCACCAUACGCGCAUGCUAAGGGAAUCACAAACUUUAACACAAAUAUUUCGCAAAUUCAAAACUACUCAACUAGCAUGACUCUAAUAUCACCAUCUCCAUAUCUCAAAACAAUUAUCAAGUAUCAAACUUCUCAUAGUAUUCAACACACUCAUAAGAUUUUUUUACUAAUCUUGAGUGCCUAUCAUAAUUAAAGCAAAUUACCACGCUGUUUUGUAGGACUAUCAAAAUAAUCUAAGUGAAUCAUGAGAGAACAAUAGUUUCUAUAAAACAAAACCACCACCGUGCUCUAAAAGACAUACGUGAAGCACUAGAGCAAAAACUAUAUAGCUCAAAAGAUAUAAGUGAAGCACAUAGAGUAUUCUAACAAUUUCCGAAUCAUGUGUGUCUCUCUCAAAAGGUGUGUACUGCAAGGAUUAUUGUGGCAAACUAACAAAUAAAUACUUCAAAUAAUACAAGACGCUCCAAGAAAAACACAUAUCAUGUGGUGAAUAAAAAUAUAGCUCCAAGUAAAGUUACCGAUGGAAGUAGACGAAAGAGGGGAUGCCUUCCGGGGCAUCCCCAAGCUUUGGCUUUUAGGUGUCCUUAGAUUAACUUGGGGUGCCAUGGGCAUCCCCAAGCUUAGGCUCUUGCCACUCCUUGUUUCAUAAUCCAUCAAAUCUUUCACCCAAAACUUGAAAACUUCACAACACAAAACUCAGCAGAAAAUCUCGUGAGCUCCGUUAGCAAAAGAAAACAAAACACCACUUCAAGGUACUGUAAUGAACUCAUUCUUUAUUUAUAUUGGUGUUAAACCUACUGUAUUCCAACUUCUCUAUGGUUUAUAAACUAUUUUACUAGCCAUAGAUUCAUCAAAAUAAGCAAACAACACACGAAAAACAUAAUCUGUCAAAAACAGAACAGUCUGUAGUAAUCUGUAACUAACGCAAUUUUCUGGGACACCAAAAAUUGACCCAAAAUAGGAAGACCUAGACAAUUUUUUUAUUGAUCAGCAGCAAUUGGGAUCAAUAUUUUAUCACGUCCUGGUGAUUUUUAACAAUUAUUUUCGUGAACAGAAAGUUUCUAGAAUUUUCAGCAAGAUCAAAUAACUAUCAUCCAAGAAGAUCCUAUAGGUUAAACUUGGCACAAACACUAAUUAAAACAUAAAAACACAUGUAACCAGAGGCUAGAUCAAAUAUUUAUUCCUAAACAAAAGAAAAAAUCAUAAAAAACUAAAAAUAAAAUUGGGUUGCCUCCCAACAAGCGCUAUCGUUUAAUGCCCCUAGCUAGGCAUAAUAGCAAUGAUAGAUCUAGGUAUUGCCAUCUUUGGUAGGCAAUCCAUAAGUGGCUCUCAUAAUAGAUUCAUAAGGUAAUUUUAUUUUCUUUCUAGGGAAGUGUUCCAUGCCUUUCCUUAAUGGAAAUUGGAAUCUAAUAUUCCCUUCCUUCGUAUCAAUAAUUGCACCAAUCGUUCUAAGGAACGGUCUACCAAGAAUAAUAGGACAUGAAGGAUUGCAAUCUAUAUCAAGAACAAUAAAAUCUACUGGCACAUAAUUCCUAUUUGCAACAAUAAGAACAUCAUCAAUUCUUCCCAUAGGUUUCUUAAUGGUGGAAUCCGCAAGGUGCAAGUUUAAAGAGCAAUCAUCAAAAUCACGGAAACCUAGCAAAUCGCAUAGAAUCUUUGGAAUCGUGGAAACACUAGCACCCAAAUCACACAAAGCAUAGCAUUCAUGAUCUUUAAUUUUAAUUUUAAUAGUAGGUUCCCACUCAUCAUAAAGUUUUCUAGGGAUAGAAACUUCCAACUCAAGUUUUUCUUCAUAAGAUUGCAUCAAAGCAUCAACGAUAUGUUUAGUAAGGCUUUAUUUUGACUAUAAGCAUGUGGAGAAUUUAGCACGGAUUGCAACAAGGAAAUACAAUCUAUCAAAGAGCAAUUAUCAUAAUUAAAUUCCUUGAAAUCCAAAAUAGUGGGUUCAUUAAUAUCUAGAGUUUUGAUUUCUUCAAUCCCACUUUUACCAUUUUUUGCAUCAAGAUCUAAAAACUCCGAAUUUUUGGAACGCCUUCUAGGUAGAGGUGGAUUAUAUUCAGUCCCAUCAUUAUCAAGAUUCAUAUUGCAAAACAAAGAUUUAAUAGGGGACACAUCAAUAACUUUUAGAUCUUCAUCUUUAUUUUCAUAGAAACUAGAAGAACACGCUUUCACAAAACAAUCUUUCUUAGCACGCAUCCUAGCGGUUCUUUCUUUGCACUCAUCAAUGGAAAUUCUCAUGGCCUUGAGAGACUCAUUGAUAUCAUGCUUAGGAGAAAUUCUAUCAGCGUUCCUAGCCAAUUCAUCAACUUUAAGCAAUUUUUCUUCAAGCAAAGCAUUGAAAUUGUUUUGCGAAUUCAUAAAUUCUUUAACACUAGUCUCAAAUUCAGAAGGCAUCUUAUUAAAAUUUCCAUAAUAAUUGUUGUAGGAAUUACCAUAAUUAUUAGAGGAAUUACUAGGAUACGGCCUUGGAUUAAAGUUUCCUCUAUACGCGUUGUUACCAAAAUUAUUCCGACCAACAAAAUUCACAUCCAUAGAUUCAUUAUUAUUCUCAAUCAAAGUAGACAAAGGCAUAUCAUUAGGAUCAGAAGAAACACUUUUAUUAGCAAAUAAUUUCAUAAGUUCAUCCAUCUUUCCACUCAAAACAUUAAUUUCUUCUAUCAUGCACUUUUUAUUAGUGGUUUUUUCGGUGUGCCAUUGAGAAUAAUUAACCAUAAUAUUAUCUAGGAGUUUAGUAGCUUCUCCUAAAGUGAUUUCCAUAAAAGUGCCUCCCGCGGCCGAAUCUAAAAGAUUUCUAGAAGAAAAAUUCAAUCCGGCAUAAAUUUUUUGUAUAAUCAUCCACAAAUUCAAACCAUGAAUAGGGCAAUUACGUAUCAUUAAUUUCAUCCUCUCGCAAGCUUGUGCAACAUGUUCAUGAUCAAGUUGCUUAAAAUUCAUAAUAUCGUUUCUAAGAGAGAUGAUCUUAGCGGGAGGAAAAUACUUAGAGAUAAAAGCAUCUUUGCACUUAUUUCAAGAAUCACUACUAUUUUUAGGCAAAGACAAAAACCAAGCUUUAGCACGAUCUCUAAGCGAAAAAGGAAAUAGCUUCAAUUUAACAAUAUCAUUGUCCACAUCUUUCUUCUUUUGCAUAUCACACAAAUCAACGAAGUUGCCAUGUCUAGGAAUGCUUGAAGCUUCAAAGAUUUCCUAUAAUACAACAUGCCUCUAACUAUUCACAAUAAGAAAAACAUGUAAAUGCGGAAUCAACCAAAUGUUGGUAAAUUGUAGUUGAUUUUGGCCAAGCAAACGUCAGAUGAAAGAAACAUACAUGAGUGAACAUCACGAUUGGAUGUUUUAUUCAAAUUUAACAGGUUAAACUCACCAAAUCCAUCUGGAUAUUUAGUAUUAAACUUCAACAGAUGGUGAGUUGUAGCUAGAUUCACAACACUGAAGCAAAAUUCCAUCUGCCACGGUUACAUCACACCAUCUUUUCAUCGUUACUAUUUAAAUUCCAAAUGCCUGCAACUCAUUUUUUUGUUACGAUGUAUGCAUGAUUUUUAACUCAAGAGGAAGAGGGGAAACUAAAUCCAAGAAAAGAACACCAAGGAAGCAUCCAAAAUAGAGAAAGGAAAAAUCCAAAAUAGAGGCAGAAUCGAAGGGAAGAAACCCCAUAAAAAAUAGGAGAUCAAACGGUGAAAAAAAUCUAAGAGUCAAACAAUUCCAGGUAAGACCAAAUCGACGACAAAAUAGCACAAGAGGGACUCACAUUAACAGGUAUACCAAUUCAGAAAGAAGUGUAAAGCGAACAGUGCAAUGGACCACUAGUAUAAAUUGGCUGUACACAAACAUGGGACUUAAACAGGAACUGCGAGAUGCAGGGUUCACGUGCAAACCCAAAAAACGGAAAACUGAAACGCACAACAAGAUUUUAUCUUCAUAUAUAUAUAUUAUGAGCUAUUGGCUUUUUAGUCAGGUAAAUAUCAUUCUUAAGACUACGGAAAACAGCAGGCGGCGAAGAAAACAUCUAUUGAUGAGAACUAUACACAUACUUAAGAAGGAAGUGACAUCUAUGGUAGCAGAACAUAUAUCAAGCUGUUGCAGCUACAUUAGCAGUUUAGCACAGUUCCUCCAUAAUACACAGGCUAGUGUAAUUUCACAAAUACAAUAAGCUAACAAUAUAUAUUUGGUAGAUGGAAAUGGCUGGAUCAUGACCAAUAUACCAUUACACAUCCGAUGAUGCAAAUAAACCACAAUAGAACAUGUAUUUGGCGAAACCUCCAUACUGCAAUAUCAAACAUGAAUUGAAAUUAACAAUCUAGCAAAAAAACAUGACAGAUGCAGUCUUGGUCAUUUUUCCUUUUGUGACAUCCCCUAAAAAAAGUAAAAACAAUGUUGUUCGUAUUUUACCAGAGAUACACUGAGCUGGGACAAAUUGGUCUGAAAUAAAAUAUGAUGGCUUCGGAGGAUUCGGAAGGGAAGAAAUUUGCUUUCUUCCAACAUAUAUGGUCUGCUGAACUAAACUUCGUUUCAGCGGGCUUUGCCAAAAAUCUGUAACUGCAAACAUCAACUUGUGUGCCCUUCCUACGUCAAACUUUAAACCUGAGCUCAGUGUACUUUAUGAGUGUUAAGUGUACUUUCUAAAUAGCAGAGAAACCAUAACAUCUAAGCACAACCCAGCAACUUGUACAAGCUAACAUCAAAUCUGAAAGAAGAAAUGUCGAGAACAGGUGAAGGUACCAUGAUCCACGACUGAGCAAAGUUAUCUAUUAUCCUCGGUGAAUAUCAUAAAUUAGGAUCAACUACGCUGAAGAACAAACGGGAAAGGAACCUAGAAAGAUCUUUUGCCGGUAGAAUAUAACUGAUACACUAUCCUCAUUCUCGAGAUCAAGGUCGUUUCUUGAAUUGCAGUUUCCUCACUGUAGUAUGGGGUCAUUACACUGCGAAGAACAAAGUGUCAUAUGAAUCAUUUAGAGCCCAAUCUUUUUCACUGAAACUCUUAUGAUCACAUAACGAAUUUAAACAUAAGGUUUAUUAGAUAUUUGUUGUUGUGAAUAGAUAAUAUAUUUCUGGUGUUGACAAUGUUUUGAUUAUGGAUGCACUUCAAGAUGGGUGGCACAGAUUCUGUUGUACAGGCCUCCACCUGGAAUUUCAUCACUUGUUAUUUUUGUUUUAGAAUGUCUAGGUGCAUUUUUCCUUUAAGGUGGAAACAGAUGUACUUGUAUAAGCAACAAGAAUACAAAGCGCCACUGCCAUACAUUGUGGAAGUUCAGUGCUUCUGUUUACAAAAUCUGCUUCCCAAAACAGAAGGUUUAUAAUUUUUUAUUACAAUCAAGCGGACAUGAGCUGAUGAGUACAGAUGUAGACAUGUACUGAGAGCAGCACCCUUUCAAAAGUGGAUCAUUUACAUGUUGGAUAGUUUGAUGGUCUGAAAUUAAUGGUCGUGUUUCAGAAUUGUUAUCGAAUAGUAGGGGAUAUAUAUUAACUUCUGAAAUUAGUGGCUGUUUGUCAGAACUGUUAUCGAAUAGUAGGGCACAUAUAUUAACUUCAAUAAGUGGACUAAUAUCUUUGGAUUCGCUGUGAGGAAAGAUUACCAAAACAAAACAGAAGUGAGUGCGACGACCCAGAUGAGGGCGCUCUUGAGCCUCUUCCCGACCGACCUAGAUGCAGGAGCAGAACACGGCGGAUCUAAUCAGCCAACCAAUAAAGCCGAGGAAGUAAGGGAGGAAGAAGACUGACUUGUCCUGGUCGCCCUCGUAGUUAGAACAUGGCGAACAGGAUGACGAGGAAGACGAGGACAGCGUCGAGGAUGUAGACGACGAGCCAGAGCAUGUUCAUGGGCAGGAUCAAGCAUGGGCAGGAUAAGGGCGCAGGCCCCGUUGUAGGCGGCGUGCUUGCAGGCCUGGCGGUUGGCGACGUCGGCGGGGAGCAUGAGGAUGGAGAGGACGGCGACGGUGAUGCCGAGCACGAUGACGAGCUUGAGGAAGUAGGCCUGGUUGGCAUCAUCCGGGUGCUGGUAGUUGACGAGCAGGCAGACGCUGACGAGGAGCACCAGGAUGCUGACCACCGCCGCCACGAUCACUAGCGCCACGUUAAAAAACCCAUAUCCUCGGGGCUCCGGUCCCGGUUCCGGCCCGCCGCCUCGCCCCCGUUGGUCGGUCAGAUCUCUCUGUCCCUAGAGGCGGGGGAUACAGGCUAGGGUUUGGGCGUGGGCGGGGAAUAGGCUGCUAUGGUGCCGGCAGCGGGGCGUGGAGGAGAGAAGGAUUAGGAGGAAUAAUUCACCACACUUUGAUUAACCUCUCGGCUGGGUCUUAUGUACAGAUUACAGGGCCAGCCAGGGAGAUCAUGAGGUGAUCCACUACCUGGGAUCGUGCGCCACGAUCACUACAUGCGUGCGCCACGAUCAUAUACACACACGCUACACCUAGUGUCUACGCAACUACGGUAUAGCAGUACGGUACAGUCUAACACCCCCCCCCCCCCGCAGUCGUGACGUCGUCGGCGGCGACGCAAAGACUGGACCGGAACUCAGAGAAAACAUCCGAUGGCAGGCCUUUGGUCAUGAUGUCCGCGAGUUGUUGGCGCGUGGGGAUGUGAAGAACACGGAAGUGGCCGAGGGCGACGCGCGCCCGCACGAAAUGGAUGUCCAGCUCCACAUGCUUAGUGCGGCGAUGAUGCAUCGGAUUGGCUGACAGGUAGACUGCGGACACAUUGUCACAGUACACCAGUGCUGCCUUGGUCACUGGAGCGGAGAGCUCGCCGAGAAGCUGGCGGAGCCAGAUGCAUUCAGCGACCGCGUUGGCGACGCCGCGGUAUUCAGCUUCGGCGCUGGAGCGCGAUACGGUCGCCUGGCGCUUGGAGGACCAGGAGACGAGAGCAUCGCCGAGGAAGACGCAGAAGCUCGACGUGGAGCGUCGGGUGUCGGGGCAGCCGGCCCAGUCCGCGUCGGUGAACGCAAGGACGUCGAGCGUGGUCGAGGCGUGAAGAUGAAGCCCGAGUGCGCAGGUGCCCUUCACGUACCGGAGCACGCGCUUGACGAGCGCGAGGUGGCAUUCGCGCGGGUCAUGCAUGUGCAAGCAGAUUUGCUGGACGGCGUAGGCGAUCUCUGGACGCGUGAUGGUGAGGUACUGCAGGGCCCCGGCGAUGCUCCGAUAGGCCGAGGGGUCGUCGACGCAGGGCCCAUCGGCUGAGAGGAGUUUGCUCUUCGUGUCGAUGAGUGUCGGGGAAGGGCGGCAGGUGUCCAUGCCGGCGCGUUCCAGGAGUUCGUCGGCAUAUUGUUGUUGCGACAGGAAGAAGCCAGCUCGGGUGCGGGUGACGCGGAUGCCGAGGAAGAAGGCGAGCGAGCCCAGGUCCUUCAUGGCGAAUUCGCCUGUGAGGCGCUGGAUGACAUGGUGAAGCACGCGUGACGAGGACGCGGUGAGCACGAUGUCGUGGAUGUAGAUGAGGAGGAACGCCAUGUCGUUGCCGUGCCGGAAGGUGAACAGCGACGAGUCCGAACGCGUAGCUGCGAAGCCAAUGGAGCGGACGAAGCCGGCGAAGCGGAGGAACCAGGCACGGGGCGCCUGCUUGAGCCCGUACAAGGACUUGGAGAGGCGGCAGACGUGCUCUGGUUUGUCGGGGUCGACGAAUCCGGCGGGCUGGAGGCAGUAGACUUCCUCCUCCAAGUUGCCGUGGAGGAAGGCGUUGGAGACGUCGAGGUGGUGCACCGGCCAGCCGCGCGACGCGGCCAUAGUGAGCACAGUGUGGAUCGUCGCUGGCUUGACGACGGGGGAGAACGUCUCGCCGUAGUCGACGCCGGCACGCUGAUGAAAGCCCCGCACGACCCAGCGUGCUUGCUAGCGGGCCAGCGCACCGUCGGCGUCGUUUUUGUGCUUGAAGAUCCACUUCCCUGUGAUCAGGUUGGCGCCGGGGGGGCGGGGCACCAGCUCCCAUGUGCGAUUGCGCACGAGCGCAUCGUACUCAGCACGCAUGGCACCGAGCCAGUUCGGGUCGUGAACAGCAGCGCGAACCGAACGCGGCACCGGCGACACCGAUGAUGAGGUAGAGGCGGUGGCCGCGUCGUAGUAGCGCGGGUUGGGGCGGAAGAUGCCGCGCUGGGCACGCAUGACCAUGGGCACAGGAGGCGCCGGUGCGCGGGGCGCCGUUGGUCGCGCGCUCGGAGACGAGCUGUCGGAGGAGCCACUGGCGGAGUUGUCGGAGGAGCCGCUGGCGGAGGCGAAGACAGGCGGACCUGGCGCGGAUGGGCACGUCGAGGACGGAGCAGAGCCGCCAUCGGAAGCGCCCGCAGCGCACCGCGAGCUAACGCGGCGCGCCCCGCUGGUUGGCGAUGAUGAGCGGGGCAGGCUGGUGAUGGAGAUCGGGCGCGCCGGCAGGACGGGUGACAUGCUGCUGUCAGGCACCGGUGGAAGCGCAGGCAGCGCAGGAGGCCGGACGGCGAGCGGGAUCUGCAGGGUAGAGGGUACGACGGGUGGCGUAGGCGACGGGGAAGAGGAUGCGAACGGGAAAACGUGGUCGUGGAAGAGAACGUGGCGAGACGUGAGGACACAGCGAGAGGUGAGGUCAAAGCAGCGAAAACCACGAUGAUCGGGAGGGUACCCGAGGAAGACGCAGGCGAUAGAACGUGGCUCGAGCUUAUGGCGGGUGGUGGCGGUGACGUUCGGAUAGAUGCGGAGUAAUUUGUGCGACGCCGAGCAGGAGUUCAUGCGGAGUGCAGGGCGCCGAGGCGCGGCAGGGCCGAUGAUUGAGCAGGUAGGUCGAGGUGUUGAGAGCCUCUGCCCAGAAGCGAGCGGGCAUGUGCGCAUGACAGAGAAGCACACGAACGCCGUCGUUGAUCGUGCGGAGAACUCGCUCGUCCUUGCCGUUCUGCUGACUGGUGUAUGGGCAGGUGAGACGGAAGUGUGUGCCGUGGCGAGCAAGCAGAGAGCGCACAGCUGCGCUGUCGAAUUCACGACCAUUGCCCGUUUGCAGUGCAAGUAUGGGUAACUGAAACUGAGUCUGAACAUAGGCAAAGAAAUCAACAAGUAUGGGAAGAACUUCAGACAUGUGUUUCAGAGGGAAAGUCCAGACAUAGUGACUGAAAUCAUCUAGUACAACUAAGUAAAACUGAUAGCCGGAUAUGCUUACAACGGGAGCGGUCCAUACAUCAAGGUGUAAAAGCUGGAAAGGAAAGAAACUAGCAGUGGUGGAUGUCUGAAACGGGAGCCAGGUGUGUUUGCCAACACGACAGGCAUGACAGACAGGCGGAUCACGGCAGAACUCCAGGGACUGAUCGGCAGCAACGGUGCGGAGUGCGGCAGCCCCUGGGUGGCCGAGACGUUGAUGCCACAGGUCGGUCGUGGCGGCGCCGGCGAAGAUGCCCGGGGAAUGGACGGAUGGCCGCACCACGGGAUAGAGAUCGCCGUCGGAGUCACAUCGGAGAAUCACUACCCUGGUUCGUAGGUCCUUGACAGAGAAACCACGAGCGUCAAAUUCAACAGAAACGGGGUAGGAACGACAAAGCUGCCGAACUGAAAGUAGGUUUUUGACGAGAGAUGGAGAGACGAGAACGUUGCGGAGAGGAAUGGGGGAAGUGCUGGUGAUCAGCGCGCCCGUGCCAACGUGGGUGAUGGGCAGGCGGUCACCACUGCCCACGAUGAUAGAUGCAGUAGUAGAGGACGGGCGAGUGGAGAGGAGAUUACCAGGGGAGGACGUCAUGUGCGCCGCGGCGCCGGAGUCGAGGUACCACUCCGGUGCGCUGCCAGAGGAGGAAGGGCUGGCCGAGGCGCUGUGGAGGGCGGCCUGGAGCGAGGCCAUGUCCCAUGGCUGGUGGGUUGCAGUCGACGAGCUGGCGCCGGGGUGCCCGUAGCCUGACAGGACGUCGGAGACGGGUGGAGUGACGCCGUAGCCGGGGAGGGUAGCGCCGUAGCCGUAUGGUGCAGCCGGCGACGGGGCGGCGAACAUGGCCUGCUGGUACGGCGUACCAGGGCGGGGGCCGAGCACUUCAGCUCCAGCCGCGCGCCAAGGCAUCGGCCAAGCCUGGACCAUGCCGGUCCAUGCGUUUGUACCGGGUGCAGGCGUGGGGUACGCUGGGGGAGGGCGGGGAGCCUGGGAGGACGGCGUGGGCGGGCCACCAAUGCCGUUGCCACGUCUGGGGCGGCGUCCGCGCCCACGCCCUUGGUUGGUGUUGCUGGGCGGGGGUGUGGGUGGUGUAGGAGAGCCGCCACGCCCGGCGACGAGAGCGUGCGCAGACUGCUGGCGAGUGGUCGACUGCUCUGCUCGGUGUUCCUCAAGCAGGACGAAGGAGCGCACCUGCAGGAACGACGGGAGCGGGACCUGCGAGGUGAUGUGAGGGAUGGCGGAGUGGAACUGCCGGUUCAGACCGCGGAGCAGGUUGAAGACCUGCCGCGAGUCGGUUACCGGCUGCCCGAGGUGGCGGAGUUGAUCCGUGAACGACUUCAUCUUGGUGCAGUACACCAUGAUCGACAUGUCGCCCUGAACGAUAGCGUGGUACUCGGCGUCGAGGUAGACAGCGCGAGCGAGGUGGUUGUCGCGGAAGAUUCCAUCGACCGCAGUCCAGACGGCCAGAGCAGUGUCGUCCGGCUGCAUGACGGCGUCGAGCAGGUCCGGCGAUAUGGUGGUGUAGAACCAGUGGACGACGACGUGAUCAGCCAUGCCCCACUCGGGAUCAUCGUGGCGGUGGAUGGCCGUGGCGCCGAACAUGCCGAUGACGGUGUCGAAGUGGCGGCGCCACUGCGUGUAGUUGCCGGCGAGAAGGUCGAGGGUGACCGGGACAUGACGACGGAUGUCCACGGUCUGCAGGAUCGCGGAGGCGACAGGUGCUGUAGCAGGAGGAGGAGGGAUGACGGGCACCGCGGGCGCGACAGGUGCUGGAGCCGGCGGUGCCUUGGCCAGGGGGACAGCGUUAAGGACGCCGUCGGCGCCGUGCUGCGAGGAGCGAGGGGACACGAUGGGGUUGUCAUCCAUGGCGGCGGAAGCGGGACUGGCGACCUGCGCGAAGGGAUUGAGCAGGUCGGGGGAAUCUGGUACCAUAGAGGAGAGAAGGAUUAGGAGGAAUAAUUCACCACACUUUGAUUAAGCUCUCGGUUGGGUCUUAUGUAUAGAUUACAGGGCCAGGGAGAUCACGGGGUGAUCCACUACCUGGGAUCGUGCGCCAGGAUCACUAUAUGCGUGCGCCACGAUUAUAUACACACAUGCUACAACUAGUGUCUACGCAACUACGGUAUAGCAGUACAAUACAGUCUAACAGGGCAGCCACCGGCGGGGAGGGCGGGAUCCACGCGGGGUGGCGGGAUUUGGGCAGGCGGUGGGCUCGGGGGAGGGCGGUGGCAGCGAAGCAGCAAGGAGGGGCUGGAGGAGAUGAAACGAAAGAGGUCGCGUGACACAGCGACAGCGUUGUCCAAUCCCCGCGCUGCCGAUUUAAAAAAAAGGUAAUGAUAACUCCCGAACGUUCGGGAGUUAAGCAUGGAAACCCGAACGGGUUUAGAUGGCAAGUUUAGUUUGCGUGAGAUUAGGAAAACAUGGCAAUUUUCUGACAAAAGAAAUGAAAAAGGAUGAAGUUGCCAUCCCUAUCAACUAAAGUUGCCAUCCCCUAUGAACUAAAGUUGCCAUGUAAAAACGUUCGGGACGAAAUGCUCAAAAUCCGAACGUUCGGAAGUUACUGGAUUCAAAAAAAUCCCCUUGCUGCCAAUCGCUGGUCCGUUUCUUUUUUCGCCCAAUCGCUAGGUGAUGACGUGGCUAUCGCGGGAAGGCGCCCUUGAUGCGUAGUCGAAUGGUUUUAAUUAAUAGGAAGCGAGUGCUUACUCUAGUUACUGAAUUAUGUACACCAAAUAAAGCCAUUUACACGUAGUUAAUGACAAAAAAAGUUGAUGUUUGCUACGCAAAUGUGUAGUACAAAUUAAGAAGUGCAAGAUAAAAAAAAAUGCUGGUCCUUGAUUCGUUGUUGAUCGUCAGCAUGCCAUCAUCAAUUUGUAGUUAAUUAUCAUACAAAUUGGCUCUUUCAUAGAGUUGGAGACUAGCUCCUUUGAUCAGCACGCGCUUAAACACAAACAGCACGUAUAUGUUUUGUCUCCGGAGUUCAAUUCUUCAUCGGCCAGUAAAAAUGGCCCGACCAGGUAGAGGAAAAGGCAUGUUUGUUAGUACGCCUGGAGGAAAUGCCUUUGAUUAGGGCAUCUUCAACAGCGACCAGUAAAUUUCCUCCCGCGUUCGUCCACGGAUAGGGGAUCAGUCCGCGGAUACGAAUACAGGAAUCAUCCAUCCAACGCUGUCCGCGUAUAUUUCAAACACAUUUUUUUUAAAAAUAGGAUGAAAUUCAUGCAAACACAAUGGAUUUCAUACAAACCGGACAAAAAUGUUUACAUUUUGGACAUUUUUUUUUACUAAAAACUCUACAGCCGGCGCCGGCGAAUAUCCACUCCGGCGACAUGGAUACCCUUGACUAGUCUACUGCCGGCCGCAGCGGAUCUCCGAUGUCGUCCCCAUGUCCGGCAGCUAUGAGCCCUAGAGGUAUAUGCUUCAGCGCAAAGAGCGGCUCGCCUCCCUACCGCUCAUCGGAGUGGAACAACCAGCUGAUGCUUCUGCCGAUGGAAAGGGUCCCUACGCUACACGGAUUAGAGUUGGUUUUGGGCUGGGAACGGCGGUGGCCUGCCAGAGGGCAAGACACCGACUGUGUAUGCUGGUGUCACCUGGUGUGGCAUUCGUGGGACCCAAGCGGCAGCGCCUCCUCGAUGAUGGCGGCGAGCGCGGACGUGUUGGACACCACCUCGUCGAUGUCCGUGCAGCCCGCUUCUUUCUCUAUAGGAAGGACGCGGUUACGCUCGCGUUGACAUCGGAUGACUCGGUCACAUGCACGGGAGGGGCGGUACGACAUGGCAUCGCCAAUGGCAGCCAUGAUGCCCGCGCCACCGUGCUCCCUCCCAGUGCCGACCUGGAGCAACUUGCCACUCCUCGGCUCGUGACCGGUGGGCUUGACGGGCCACCUAGCCAUUUUUUAUGCCAGACAACUCUUCUUCCUGCUCGUCAGAUGUCAUGGAUAAAACUGUUUAAGGAGGAAAAUGAUGAGUGGACGUGUGAUGCGGUUCUUGCCCAACAUCUGACAUUGUUUAAAUAGUGAGGGGACACGAGAGGAGCCAACCGGCGUUCUGUUUAAUGCCAACCGGCUCGCGAACGAACAUGUGGCCGGAGUAAUUAUCCUGGCACACACGAGGGUUUUAUGGUGGAAGGCGGGCAGUCUGCAGGAAUGAGGCGAGGAUGUGUGCUUAGCCGGCGUGCAGCAGGCGGUGCCCUCGGCCGGCGUGCUGCUUCCAUUGCGGAGGCAGUGAAAGGUCGCGUCCGCUCUGCAGCGCAUGAAUGCGGGCAGCUGGCGCAGAGCGGGAACGCGUGUGGGCGAGGGAGGAGGGGGUUUGGGCGGGUGGUCAGAAGAGGUCGUGGGUGUUGUCCGAACGCCUGCAAAGCCCCCCUCCAUGUUUGUCUCCAGUUUGCGGGAGAAAGUACGUCCGGACCGUCUCCAAUGGACCAAUACAGGCCCGCAUUGGAUGGCACAACACGUCCGGACGAUGUGGUCCGGAUGGUUGUGGACAGUUUAAUUGAGGGUCGGCGUUGGAGAUGCCUUAGAGUUUAUGAAUCCAUUGUGUUUUUCUAAUCAUAAAAAAGCACUUACAAUAAGUUAUAAGGAAAGACACGAUUAUAUGUUAGGUUCAGACUCCAGCUUUCGUUUUACAUAUGCUUUAUUCAUCCGACUGAUUCCAAUAGAGUGAGCCUAGCGUUGUUUUUCUGGAAACUCGCGGGAUAAGGAGACAUGCAUACACAUUCUUUCAAGCAAAUCACAUCCAUUUUUUUUAACUCAUUUUUCUUCUUUUAAUAAUAUAAUAGAUCAUUUAUAUUUUUUAUCUGAAACAGUUGACGUGUAAUUUAUAUUGUAAUCUGAGGAUAAUGUUUGGAUUUUACUUUCAAAUAUAUUUGAAAUGGCCAUGAUGGAAUCACAUCCAUUUAUUUUAUUAUUAUUUGAAUUUGAUCCAAAAGAUAAAUAAUGAGUAGAGGUCAUGUCAACUUUUCUGAGAACUUUGCUAAUCAAAAUAUAAAUUGUAUUUAAAAACAUCUAUUUUUUAGCACGCAUGAAAAACAUAACACGUAUCUUUUCACACAUAAUGAACGGUUGUCAUAAGAACUCAUGCCAUGCCACAACCUCCCUCCGACCCUGCCAACAUUGUUGCAGCUGCACUCGCAAGCCUUAGCGUAGAUGAUAAUUUAUACAAUUUGCGUAAAAACAAAAUAAGAUCUACAAAUGAAUAGAAGCUAGAACGUACAUUGGCAUGCACACACAUUGCAAGCCAUACUAAGCUGAUAAGUGUUAAUAACUUGUAUAACAUAUACAACACUUAACACAAGUAAAAGCAAUUUGAUGAGUCAUGGUCUAUCAAAGCCACAUUACUAGUCUAAUCCAUCUUAACAGGUCACACAUGAUUAAAAUCUUGUUUGUGUGCAAGUCAAGCUUAUCUAGUUUACAUGUAACAACUUGUAGAACAUUACAAAAUUUAUGUUUGCUAAUAACUUCUAGAACACUACAACACUUGACAUGUAAAAGGAAUUUGAUGAGUCAUGGCCUACUAAAGCAAGUUAUAUUACUAGUCUUAUCUACCUUAACAGGCCACACAAGAUUACAAACCAAGUUCUGUGCCAGCCAUGCUUAUCUAGUUUAUGCGUAACAAUUUGCAGAAAAUUACAAACUUAGUUUCAGAAAAAUAGGCAAUCUAGAUUAGUGUUUGAGCUGUAAAGUGAAUAAAAUGAGUCAUGCGUGUUAUCACACCUUUUUGGUUGUGGAAUGAUAGUGCAACAACAAGGAACUUUAAUGACCAGUUCAAGAAUACACUUGUAAGUAGUGCCACCGAACACAACAUACCAAAUUAUGAUUUUGAGAAGCAUCCAAGCACUUCCACACAAGCAAAUGCCAAUUGUGAAAGAGAUCAUGCCAUGGCAGCUAUAAAUAGGCCCGUAGCAUGACGAUCAUCCUUCCUCAUCCAUCAUUCUCAUAAGUAGAGCGCAUCAUUUAAGCCAAGCAAGCAGUGCUCAAUACAAAUCCACCAUGAAGACCUUUCUCAUCCUUGCACUCCUUGCUAUUGUAGCAACCACCGCCACAAUUGCAGUUAGAGUUCCAGUGCCACAAUUGCAGCCACAAAAUCCAUCUCAGCAACAACCACAAGAGCAAGUUCCAUUGGUACAACAACAACAAUUUCCAGGGCAGCAACAACCAUUUCCACCACAACAGCCAUAUCCGCAGCCGCAACCAUUUCCAUCACAACAACCAUAUCUGCAGCUGCAGCCAUUUCCGCAGCCGCAACUACCAUAUCCGCAGCCGCAUCUACCAUAUCCGCAGCCGCAACCAUUUCGACCACAACAACCAUAUCCACAACCGCAACCACAGUAUUCGCAACCACAACAACCAAUUUCGCAGCAGCAGCAACAACAACAACAACAACAACAACAACAGAUCCUUCAACAAAUUUUGCAACAACAACUGAUUCCAUGCAGGGAUGUUGUAUUGCAACAACACAGCAUAGCGCAUGGAAGCUCACAAGUUUUGCAACAAAGUACUUACCAGCUGGUGCAACAAUUGUGUUGUCAGCAGCUGUGGCAGAUCCCCGAGCAGUCGCGGUGCCAAGCCAUCCACAAUGUUGUUCAUGCUAUUAUUCUGCAUCAACAACAACAACAACAACAACAACAACAACAACAACAACCGUUGAGCCAGGUCUCCUUCCAACAGCCUCAACAACAAUAUCCAUCAGGCCAGGGCUCCUUCCAGCCAUCUCAGCAAAACCCACAGGCCCAGGGCUCUGUCCAGCCUCAACAACUGCCCCAGUUUGAGGAAAUAAGGAACCUAGCGCUAGAGACGCUACCUGCAAUGUGCAAUGUCUAUAUCCCUCCAUAUUGCACCAUUGCUCCAGUUGGCUUCUUCGGUACUAACUGAGAAGAGAAGAACUCUAGUAGUAGACAUAUGAUACACCGUUUUCUUAGUCCAUGGUUUGGUCGUUGUAGCGGUGAAAAAAUAAAGUGACAUGCAGUAUCAUGUAAGAACCCGAACUAUACUAGUUCAAACAUGGGAAUAAAAGACAAACACAUGUCUUGUCUACAUAUGAUUGUUUGUUUGAGUUCCACUCAUGUGCCCACUCACAAGUUCACCCCUAAUUAUAUAUAUUAUGCAUUAAGUAGAUAUUUAUGUUGCAUUAAUCUAAAGAUAACAAAAUGAGUCUGAAAUUUGACUUAAAUUGAAGUAUUUCCUUGGACGUUCAAAUGGAGUAUUAUUAAAGUAGUAAGGACUAUCCACAUCCUUGGCUUGCCCUUGAUCAAUUAUUUCCAGAGAAGCAUUCAAUUCAUCAAUCAAUUACAUUGAUUUUUGUGGCUGGUACUUCUCCUCAACAUGAGUAUAUUCAUCGCGGCUACUCCAAAUAGGCAUGAAUGAGGUACCGGUGCUCUGGAGCACUGGUACCUAACUGCUUCUCAUGUGAAGGGGUGCGGGCGCGGGAGAGGUGUUUUUGGUGGGCCAGGGGAGUAAGAAUCGGCCGUGGCAGCGGUCCAGACGCCCACAAAGCCCCGUAGUUUGUUUUUGGUUUACAGGAAAAUGCACAUCCAGACCGGCCUGCGGGCCGAUAUAGGACCGUAUUGGAUGGCAAAACAUGUCCGGAUGGUCGCGAGCGGUUUAAGGGUUAGCUUUUGUAACGCCUGGUUAGUUAUGCUAUGGUAAUUCCCUGCUAAUGAUGUCACGUCAGCACGAUUACUGUUGUUAACCUCACAAUGAUUCAAUCCCAUUCAAAUUCAAAUUUAAAAUAAAGGCAAAAAUCAAAAGUCUCAAACAUUAAAACUAAAAUCUUCGAGAGGUGAAAAAUAAUGCAUAAGUAAUUAUGGUGGAGCAACCACACUUUUAUAAAAUGUUUAAAUACUCUAAAAAUAAUAAAACAGUGGCUUAAACUAUUAUUUAAAUGCUUUUAAAAUAGUAAAAAUGUUCUAACUAAAUUAAUUGGGUACCAAACUUUUGGUGGCAGUGGUAUAUUUAGUAGAACUAAUUUAGAUGCUAAUAAAACAUAAAAGGAAAGACAAAACAAAUAAAAGUAAAAGGGGGCAACCCCUCGCUGGGCCUCGGCCAAGCUGGCCACUGGGCUAGCUAGGUUGGCCCAACCGCCUCCCUUAACCCCCCACUCCCCAUCGAACCCUAGACCGAUCGCCCCACUUCCCCCACACCCCCUCGUCAGCCUCCCCACCUCUCGAUCCCAUCUGGAUCGGGGAGGGGAUCGCCCCCAUCGACCCCGUCGCGGUCGCUGGAUCGCCCGCUCGCCCAUCGCCCGCCGCCGUCGCGAGACCUCCUCCCCGUCGCACGUCUCCGACUCUCCUCCCCUCUCGCUCCUCUUCCCCGACCCGAUCUGGAUCGGGAAGGGCCAAUGAGCCAAACGCCCCCCUCCAUCGACGAUGUGCUCCAGCACCGCCGCCCGAAGACCUCGCCCUCGCCGGACCUCGCGUCGCCUCCUCGUAUCCCUCCCCGACUCGCCUCCUCAAGCCACGCCGACCCCCUUCUCGGCAACGCUGUGAGCUGCCCCCGUUUCCAUCCUUCUCUUUCCACCGUGUUCACCGCGCUGCCUGCCGUGCCCCUCGCUGCGCGCACGCCCACCACCGUGCCAGCCCCUGCUCCGAGCCCUCUCCUGCACGCUUGUGCGCGCAUGACCCUAGCCGCGCCCACGCCGUGAUCCCCUUGUCCCGCCCGCCUUCGUCCCGCGCUCGCCGCGGCCCCCAUGCUCCCAUGCGCCCUCUUUUGGGGGCGUCGGCUGCCCCUGUCCCGCAGCUCGCUGGCAUGCGUCCCCGCCCGCGCCUCGCCACCGCUCUACUGCUACGCUACUAUUGCGCUGUGGCCGCCGCCGCUUCCCGCUGCUCUGCCAGCGCCAAAGCUCCCGGUUGGCCCUGCCGCUGCUCGCGUUUAACCGCCGGCCUAAGCGGCCUAACCUCCCCCCUCGCUAAUGAACCCCCACCGACCCGCUGACACCGGGACCCACAUCCCCUAAUUAACCAUUUAAUAAAUUAAAACUCUUAAAUUAACAUUAGUGUAUGACAUGUGGGUCCCCUAUUAAUUAAACUGAUUUAAUUAAAAUCUAUUAACUUUGAGUCUAUGACAUAUGGGCCCCACUAAACAUUUGACCAGUCAACGGUCCAGUCAAAUGCUGACCGGACAGUUGACCAGAGGGCCCCGCCAGUCAGCCAAUGUGCUGUUCUGCUGGGUACCUUUCUAAGUACACCUAGCAUUUUACAUUUACAAUAUUUGUUUUAAAAUAAAUUAGAAUAAUUUCAAAAAAAUAUUAAAACUUUUAAAAUUAAAAUAAAAUAAUCCAUAACUCGGAUGAAAUUACUUUAUACAUGGAAGUUGCUCAAAAAACGAGACGAAUUCGAAUACACAGUCCGUUCGUCUGCCACGCGUCCCUAGCAUAGCGAACAUGCAACCAUCCCCCUCCGGUUCGACUCUCCGAAAAAUUAUUAUUGCACAUGCCCGCUAAGAGGUUGGCUGUAUAUGACAUGACAACUUCUUAUAGCCGACCCUUGGCUGUAAUAUUAACCAUGCUCUUAGUGAGGUAGCUAGUAUAUCAUAGACGACUAGCUAGUAUCAGACUAGCCAAAGUGGGAGUAACUUCAGCAGUAACAUCGACUCCAACUCAGCAAACUUGCUUAUGUGGGAGUAAACCCUGCCUAAUGCAAAAUACAAUCCCAGUCGUAAUUUUUUCAGGAAACGUGUGGGAUCCCAAACGAAAAGCACACGUCACUCUUGCGGCAACCGUCGGUGACACCCAAUAAAUCACAAACGGUAUGCAGCACUUGUAUGUGUGCAAAGGGGCUCCUGAACCGUUUGUGAUAGAACAUUAUCGCAGACGGUAAUUGUUGGCAAACGUGUGCGAUGGAGUCUAGCAUGGCAGACGGGUUACGCAGAAAACUCGUGUGCGAUGGGGCACAAAUCGCACACUGUUCAUAUGUUGGCCCAUGUGCCUUACAUACUAUUUCCCAAAUGGUUUGUUACGACAGACCGUAUCGUUUCAGUGCGUCAUUAGAAACGCUUAAUCACUGAUACCACACGUGCGAAAGAAUUUAGUGCGUGCUGCAUCGCACACGAUUACAUUUUGGAAGGCCUCUGGAUCACUGCUCCAUAUCCCCGACGGUUUCUGGGCCGUGUGGGAAGGACACCCUAUCACACACACUCACUUGGCGACGGCUCCAAAUGCUGUCGUGGAAAGGGGUUAAAAACAGUUUGUUUAGGACCGACGCGUACCAGUGUCUAUCUAUCUAUCUAUCUAUCUAUCCAUCUAUCUAUCUAUCUAUCUAUCUAUCUAUCUAUCAAUCUAUCUAUCCAUCUAUCCAUCUAUCCAUCUAUCCAUCUAUCCAUCUAUCUAUCUCAAUCCACCUAUCUAUCUAUCCAUCUAUCCAUCUAUCUAUCUCUCCAUCUAUCCAUCUAUCUAUCCAUCUAUCCAUCCAUCUACUAUCCAUCUAUCUAUCCAUCCAUCCAUCUAUCUAUCCAUCCAUCUAUCUAUCUAUCUAUCUAUCUAUCUAUCUAUCUAUCUAUCUAUCUAUCUAUCUGUCUGUCUAUCUAUCUAUCUAUCUGUCUGUCUGUCUAUCUAUCUAUCUAUCCAUCUAUUCAUCUAUCUAUCUAUGUAUCCAUUUAUCCAUUGAUCCAUCUAUCGAUCCAUCGAUCCAUCCAUCUAUCCAUCCAUCUAUCCAUCCAUCUAUCUAUCCAUAUAUCCAUGUAUCCAUGUAUCCAUCUAUCCAUCUAUCGAUCUAUCCAUCUAUCCAUCUAUCCAUCUAUCCAUCUAUCUAUCUAUCCAACCAUCUAUCGAUCUAUCGAUCUAUCGGUCUAUCCAUCUAUCGAUCUAUCCAUCUCUCCAUCUACCAAUCUAUCCAUCUAUUCAUUUACCGAUCUAUCUAUCCAUCUAUCUAUCUAGCUAUCUACCUAUCUAUCUAUCUAUCUAUCUAGCUAUCUAGCUAUCUAUCUAUCUAGUUAUUUAGCUAUCUAUCUGUCUACCUACCUACCUACCUAUCUAUCUAUCUAUCUAUCUAUCUAUCUAUCUAUCUAUCUAAAGGAAAUAUGCCCUAGAUGCAAUAAUAAAGUUGUCAUUUAUAUUUCCUUAUAUCAUGAUAAACUAGCGGAGUCACCCGCGCAUUUGCGCGGCUAGAUUGACUACAUAUAUUGUUAUAUUUGGGAUUAUUUUUCUAUGCCAAUUUUAUGGCCUCUUACUCAGAUAUUAUCUAAUUGAAUUUACCACCACCAUAUGUUAUAUCCAUAGAUUAUAAUUAAAAGGCAACUUCCGACGAAACAUGGACAGAUUAUUGAGUGCUUAGAAGACGGACGCAAUAUCAUAUAUAGACUUCUAUACCAAUCUUCAUGGUUCCCAUCUUUGAUCCUCUCCUCGUCCCUUGGUAUCUAUCUUUGCACCCAAUAUGUCUUUGGAGUUCCAAGAAUUGAAUCUUAGCAUGAAUGGCUUCAAUGUGUACCAAAUGUUCUCUUGUUCCUCCCAAAUUAAUUACUGGUUGCAUUCUUAGUUGCUUUGACAUUCUUGGUUAAUGCAAUGUCUUGCCUACCAAUAUAUGCAUCCACACACGAUAAUAUUUAUAUGACCACUUACCUUUGUAUUCUGGUAUUUGUGCUUCAGAAUUUUUCUCUCAUUCAGUUUAUUCAUAGAUUAAAAACGUCGAUCGUUUCUUUAUUGGUUUGCAUUAUCUUGUUUGCCGAACGUAAGCAUCCACACAUGCUCGUCAUGAUAUGAUUGGUCAUCAUUGUAUAUUUGUAUUUGUGUGUUGAUAGCUUAAGGAUUUUCUCGGAUUCACUUCAUAGUUUAAGGAUUUUCUCGCGUUCAAUUUAUUCUACCUUAUUCAUUUUCAUGUUUCUUUAUUGCAUUUAUAUCAAUUCUUACAAUAUAUUUUCCAAGAUAUGAACUCAACUGCUAAUUACGUAGUUUUUCAUCAAAAAUUACAUGUAAAAAUGUUACAAAUGCAUAAACAUGAUAAAAAUAUAUAUCAUAUUCCAUUGAGAGAUCGCCCAUUUAAAAAAAACACGUUGACUUACAAAAAGGACAAUUCAAGCUGCAUGUACGUCCGACUCAUGUUUACCUGACAAUGUCGAUGUUGAUUUCAGCAGUAAAUGAGCUGUGUGUGACCUUUGCGCUUUCCGGUAUUCUUCUAACCUGUGUGCUUUAUGAUCAGUUUGUUGUGCUUAGUACUGGACACUGGAGUAUACUAUCAUAUUUGGUACAAAUAAAUCUGAACUACUAUAGUUAUGAUCCACUCUAUAGUUAAUGGUGGUGGUAAUUAAUAUAUGUGGUUAAAUACUUGCGCUCCUUAGGUGGGGAGUUGAAUUUGUAUUUCCCUAAAAUAAAUUUCAGAUUUCGUAAUAGUGGUGAAGCCAGCCGGAAGAACCUCUGCGUCAUUAUUAAUUUUGGUGAUAUUUUUCUUCAUAGUGUAGAAUAAUUUUAGUGCUUAUUCCGCAAAAAAUAUGGCCUCAACUGACCCCAUAGCUUGUAUGUUGCGCCACCACUGUUUCCUAUAUCUUUUUACAUCCGUUGUUUUUAGAUCUUGAUGCAUAACUUUGACAAUAUUUAAUAGAUAUGUGUCUGUAUAAAAAAUUAUAAAUGCUAUGAUAAUUUGAUUAAUUAUGAUGAAUAAAAUGUUAUUGCUCUGACUUGAUCCCUCUAGAAUUUUCCAAAAUUUCACAUUACAGUUGUAGUAGUGCAUGCUACCUCUUGAGCACUGCAUUAGUUUUCCCUUGAAGAGGAAAGGGUGAUGCAGUAAAGCAGCGUCAGUAUUUCCCUCGGUUUUUGAGAACCAAGGUAUCAAUCCAGUAGGAGGCCACGCAUGAGUCCCUCGCACCUACACAAACAAAUAAAAUCCUCGCAACCAACGCAAUAAAGGGGUUGUCAAUCCCUUCACGGUCACUUACGAAAGUGAGAUCUGAUAGAUUUGAUAAGAUAAUAUUUUUGGUAUUUUUAUGAUAAAGAUGCAACGUAAAGAAAGCAAAAUAAAAAAAGCGCCAGAAAUAGCUUGUUGACGGGAGAUUAAAAUAGACCGGGGGGCCAUAGGUUUCACUAGUGGCUUCUCUCGAGAGCAUAAGUAUUUCGGUGGGUAGACAAAUUACUGUUGAGCAAGUGACAGAAUUGAGCAUAGUUAUGAGAAUAUCAAGGUAUGAUCAUGUAUAUAGGCAUCACGUCCGAGGCAAGUAGCCCGACUCCUGCCUGCAUCUACUACUAUUACUCCACACAUCGACCGCUAUCCAGCAUGCAUCUAGAGUAUUAAGUUCAAAAAACAGAGUAACGCUUUAAGUAAGAUGACAUGAUGUAGAGGGAUAAACUCAUGCAAUAUGAUAUAAACCCCAUCUUGUUAUCCUCGAUGGCAACAAUACAAUACGUGCCUUGCUGCCCCUACUGUCACUGGGAAAGGACACCGCAAGAUUGAACCCAAGCUAAGCACUUCUCCCAUCGCAAGAAAGAUCAAUCUAGUAGGCCAAACCAAACUGAUAAUUCGAAGAGACUUGCAAAGAUAACCAAUCAUACAUAAAAGAAUUCAGACAAGAUUCAAAUAUUGUUCAUAGAUAAACUUGAUCAUAAACCCACAAUUCAUCGGUCUCAACAAACACACCGCAAAAGAAGAUUACAUCGAAUAGAUCUCCACAAGAGAGGGGGAGAACAUUGUAUUGAGAUCCAAAAAGAGAGAAGAAGCCAUCUAGCUAAUAACUAUGGACCCGAAGGUCUGAGGUAAACUACUCACACAUCAUCGUAGAGGCUAUGGUGUUGAUGUAGAAGCCCUCCGUGAUCGAUGCCCCCUCCGGCGGAGCUCCGGAAAAGGCCCCAAGAUGGGAUCUCACGGGUACAGAAGGUUGCGGUGAUGGAAUUAGGUUUUUGGCUCCGUAUCUGGUAGUUUGGGGGUACGUAGGUAUGUAUAGGAGGAAGAAGUACGUCGGUGGAGCAACGUGGGCCCCACGAGGGCGCGCCCCCCUACCUCGUGCCUUCCUGGUAGAUUUCUUGACGUAGGGAACAAGUCCUCUAGAUAACGUUCGUUCCCAAAAUCACGUUUCCGAAGGUUUCAUUCCGUUUGGACUCCGUUUGAUAUUCUUUUUCUGUGAAACUCUGAACUAGGCAAAAAACAACAAUUCUGGGGUGGGCCUCCGGUUAAUAGGUUAGUCCCAAAAAUAAUAUAAAAGUGUAUAAUAAAGCCCAUUAAUGUCUAAAACAGAAUAUAAUAUAGCAUGGAACAAUAAAAAAUUAUAUAUACGUUGGAGACGUAUCAAGCAUCCCCAAGCUUAAUUCUUGCUCGUCCUCGAGUAGGUAAAUGAUAAAAACAGAAUUUUUAAUGUGGAAUGCUACUUGGCAUAAUUUCAAUGUAAUUCUCUUAAUUGUGGUAUGAAUAUUCAGACCCGAAAGAUUCAAGACAAAAGUUUAAUAUUGACAUAAAAAUAAUAAUACUUCAAGCAUACUAACUAAGCAAUUAUGUCUUCUCAAAAUAAAAUGGCCAAAGAAAGUUAUCCCUACAAAAUCAUAUAGUCUAGCUAUGCUCUAUCUUCACCACACAAAGUAUUUAAAUUAUGCACAACCCGGAUGACAAGCCAAGCAAUUGUUUCAUACUUUUGAUGUUCUCAAACUUUUUCAAUCUUCACGCAAUACAUGAGCAUGAGCCAUGGACAUAGCACUAUAUGUGGAAUAGAAUGGUGGUUGUGGAGAAGACAAAAAAGGAGAAGAUAGUCUCACAUCAACUAGGCGUAUCAACGGGCUAUGGAGAUGCCCAUUAAUAGAUAUCAAUGUGAGUGAGUAGGAAUUGCCAUGCAACGGAUGCACUAGAGCUAUAAGUAUAUGAAAGCUCAACAAAAGGAACUAAGUGGGUGUCCAUCCAACUCGCUUGCUCAUGAAGACCUAGGGCAUUUUGAGGAAGCCCAUCAUUGGAAUAUACAAGCCAAGUUCUAUAAUGAAAAUUUCCCACUAGUACAUGAAAGUGAUAUCAUAGGAGACUCUCUAUCAUGAAGAUCAUGGUGCUACUUUGAAGAACAAGUGUGGUAAAAGGAUAGUAACAUUGUCCCUUCUCUCUUUUUCUCUCUUUUUUUAUUUGGGUCUUUUAUUCUUUUUUUAUGGCCUCUUUUUUUUAGUCCGAAGUCUCAUCCCGACUUGUGGGGGAAUCAUAGUCUCCAUCAUCCUUUCCUCACUUGGGACAAUGCUCUAAAAAAAUGAUGAUCAUCACACUUUUAUUUACUUACAACUCAACAAUUACAACUCAAUACUUAGAACAAAAUAUGACUCUAUGUGAAUGCCUCCGGCGGUAUACCGUGAUAUGCAAUGAAUCAAGAGUGACAUGUAUGAAAGAAUUAUGAACGGUGGCUUUGCCACAAAUACAAUGUCAACUACAUGAUCAUGGAAAGCAAUAUGACAAUGAUGGAGUGUGUCAUAAUAAACUGAACGGUGGUAAGUUGCAUGGCAAUAUAUCUCAGAAUGGCUAUGGAAAUGCCACGGUAGGUAGGUAUGGUGGCUGUUUUGAGGAAGGUAUAUGGUGGGUGUAUGAUACCGGCGAAAAGUGCGCGGUAUUAGAGAGGCUAGCAAUGGUGGAAGGAAGAAAGUGCGUAUAAUCCAUGGACUCAACAUUAGCCAUAAAGAACUCAUAUACUUAUUGCAAAAAUCUACAAGUUAAUGAAAAUCUAGGGGGAUAGAUUGGUAGGAAAAGACCAUCGCUCGUCCCCGACCGCCACUCAUAAGGAAGACAAACAAUAAAUAAAUCAUGCUCCGACUUCAUCACAUAACGGUUCACCAUACGUGCAUGCUAAGGGAAUCACAAACUUUAACACAAGUAUUUCGCAAAUUCAAAACUACUCAACUAGCAUGACUGUAAUAUCACCAUCUCCAUAUCUCAAAACAAUUAUCAAGUAUCAAACUUCUCAUAGUAUUCAACACACUCAUAAGAUUUUUUUUACUAAUCUUGAGUGCCUAUCAUAAUUAAAGCAAAUUACCACGCUGUUUUGUAGGACUAUCAAAAUAAUCUAAGUGAAUCAUGAGAGAACAAUAGUUUCUAUAAAAAAAAACCACCACCGUGCUCUAAAAGAUAUACGUGAAGCACUAGAGCAAAAACUAUAUAGCUCAAAAGAUAUAAGUGAAGCACAUAGAGUAUUCUAACAAUUUCCGAAUCAUGUGUGUCUCUCUCAAAAGGUGUGUACUGCAAGGAUUAUUGUGGCAAACUAACAAAUAAAGACUUCAAAUAAUACAAGACGCUCCAAGAAAAACACAUAUCAUGUGGUGAAUAGAAAUAUAGCUCCAAGUAAAGUUACCGAUGGAAGUAGACGAAAGAGGGGAUGCCUUCCGGGGCAUCCCCAAGCUUUGGCUUUUAGGUGUCCUUAGAUUAUCUUGGGGUGCCAUGGGCAUCCCCAAGCUUAGGCUCUUGCCACUCCUUGUUUCAUAAUCCAUCAAAUCUUUCACCCAAAACUUGAAAACUUCACAACACAAAACUCAGCAGAAAAUCUCGUGAGCUCCGUUAGCAAAAGAAAACAAAACACCACUUCAAGGUACUGUAAUGAACUCAUUAUUUAUUUAUAUUGGUGUUAAACCUAAUGUAUUCCAACUUCUCUAUGGUUUAUAAACUAUUUUACUAGCCAUAGAUUCAUCAAAAUAAGCAAACAACACACGAAAAACAUAAUCUGUCAAACACAGAACAGUCUGUAGUAAUCUGUAACUAACGCAAUUUUCUGGGACUCCAAAAAUUGACCCAAAAUAGGAAGACCUAGACAAUUUUUUUAUUGAUCAGCAGCAAUUGGAAUCAAUAUUUUAGCACGUCCUGGUGAUUUUUAACAAUUAUUUUCAUGAACAGAAAGUUUCUGGAAUUUUCAGCAAGAUCAAAUAACUAUCAUCCUAGAAGAUCCUAUAGGUUAAACAUGGCACAAACACUAAUUAAAACAUAAAAACACAUGUAACCAGAGGCUAGAUCAAAUAUUUAUUCCUAAAAAAAAGAAAAAAGCAAAAAAACUAAAAAUAAAAUUGGGUUGCCUCCCAACAAGCGCUAUCGUUUAACGCCCCUAGCUAGGCAUAAUAGCAAGGAUAGAUCUAGGUAUUGCCAUCUUUGGUAGGCAAUCCAUAAGUGGCUCUCAUAAUAGAUUCAUAAGGUAAUUUUAUUUUCUUUCUAGGGAAGUGUUCCAUGCCUUUCCUUAAUGGAAAUUGGAAUCUAAUAUUCCCUUCCUUCAUAUCAAUAAUUGCACCAAUCGUUCUAAGGAAAGGUCUACCAAGAAUAAUAGGACAUGAAGGAUUGCAAUCUAUAUCAAGAACAAUAAAAUCUACGGGCACAUAAUUCCUAUUUGCAACAAUAAGAACAUCAUCAAUUCUUCCCAUAGGUUUCUUAAUGGUGGAAUCCGCAAGGUGCAAGUUUAAAGAGCAAUCAUCAAAAUCACGGAAACCUAGCAAAUCGCACAAAAUCUUUGGAAUCGUGGAAACACUACCACCCAAAUCACACAAAGCAUAGAAUUCAUGAUCUUUAAUUUUAAUUUUAGUAGUAGGUUCCCACUCAUCAUAAAGUUUUCUAGGGAUAGAAACUUCCAACUCAAGUUUUUCUUCAUAAGAUUGCAUCAAAGCAUCAACGAUAUGUUUAGUAAGGCUUUAUUUUGACUAUAAUCAUGUGGAGAAUUUAGCACGGAUUGCAACAAGGAAAUACAAUCUAUCAAAGAGCAAUUAUCAUAAUUAAAUUCCUUGAAAUCCAAAAUAGUGGGUUCAUUAAUAUCUAGAGUUUUGAUUUCUUCAAUCCCACUUUUACCAAUUUUUGCAUCAAGAUCUAAAAACUCUGAAUUUUUGGAACGCCUUCUAGGUAGAGGUGGAUCAUAUUCAGUCCCAUCAUUAUCAAGAUUCAUAUUGCAAAACAAAGAUUGAAUAGGGGACACAUCAAUAACUUUUAGAUCUUCAUCUUUAUUUUCAUAGAAACUAGAAGAACACGCUUUCACAAAACAAUCUUUCUUAGCACGCAUCCUAGCGGUUCUUUCUUUGCACUCAUCAAUGGAAAUUCUCAUGGCCUUGAGAGACUCAUUGAUAUCAUGCUUAGGAGAAAUUGUAUCAGCGUUCCUAGCCAAUUCAUCAACUUUAAGCAAUUUUUCUUGAAGCAAAGCGUUGAAAUUGUUUUGCGAAUUCAUAAAUUCUUUAACACUAGUCUCAAAUUCAGAAGGCAUCUUAUUAAAAUUUACAUAAUAAUUGUUGUAGGAAUUACCAUAAUUAUUAGAGGAAUUACUAGGAUACGACCUUGGAUUAAAGUUUCCUCUAUACGCGUUGUUACCAAAAUUAUUCCGACCAACAAAAUUCACAUCCAUAGAUUCAUUAUUAUUCUCAAUCAAAGUAGACAAAGGCAUAUCAUUAGGAUCAGAAGAAACACUUUUAUUAGCAAAUAAUUUCAUAAGUUCAUCCAUCUUACACUCAAAACAUUAAUUUCUUCUAUCGCAUGCACUUUUUUAUUAGUGGAUUUUUCGGUGUGCCAUUGAGAAUAAUUAACCAUAAUAUUAUCUAGGAGUUUAGUAGCUUCUCCUAAAGUGAUUUCCAUAAAAGUGCCUCCCGCGGCCGAAUCUAAAAGAUUUCUAGAAGAAAAAUUCAAUCCGGCAUAAAAAUUUUGUAUAAUCAUCCACAAAUUCAAACCAUGAGUAGGGCAAUUACGUAUCAUUAAUUUCAUCCUCUCGCAAGCUUGUGCAACAUGUUCAUGAUCAAGUUGCUUAAAAUUCAUAAUAUCGUUUCUGAGAGAGAUGAUCUUAGUGGGAGGAAAAUACUUAGAGAUAAAAGCAUCUUUGCACUUAUUUCAAGAAUCACUACUAUUUUUAGGCAAAGACGAAAACCAAGCUUUAGCACGAUCUCUAAGCGAAAAAGGAAAUAGUUUCAAUUUAACAAUAUCAUUGUCCACAUCUUUCUUCUUUUGCAUAUCACACAAAUCAACGAAGUUGCCAUGUCUAGGAAUGCUUGAAGCUUCAAAGAUUUCCUAUAAUACAACAUGCCUCUAACUAUUCACAAUAAGAAAAACAUGUAAAUGCGGAAUCAACCAAAUGAUGGUAAAUUGUAGUUGAUUUUGGCCAAGCAAACGUCAGAUGAAAGAAACAUACAUGAGUGAACAUCACUAUUGGAUGUUUUAUUCAAAUUUAAUAGGUUAAACUCACCAAAUCCAUCUGGAUAUUUAGUAUUAAACUUCAACAGAUGGUCAGUUGUAGCUAGAUUCACACCACUGAAGCAAAAUUCCAUCUGCCACGGUUACAUCACACCAUCUUUUCAUCGUUACUAUUUAAAUUCCAAAUGCCUGCAACUCAUUUUUUUUGUUACGAUGUAUGCAUGAUUUUUAACUCAAGAGGAAGAGGGGAAACUAAAUCCAAGAAAAGAACACCAAGGAAGCAUCCAAAAUAGAGAAAGGAAAAAAAUCCAAAAUAGAGGCAGAAUCGAAGGGAAGAAACCCCAUAAAAAAUAGGAGAUCAAACGGUGAAAAAAAUCUAAGAGUCAAACAAUUCUAGGUAAGACCAAAUCGACGGCAAAAUAGCACAAGAGGGACUCACAUUAACAGGUAUACCAGGUAUACCAAUUUAGAAAGAAGUGUAAAGCGAACAGUGCAAUGGACCACUAGUAUAAAUUGGAUGUACACAAACAUGGGACUUAAACAAGAACUGCGAGAUGCAGGGUUCACGUGCAAACCCAAAAAAUGGAAAACUGAAACCCACAACAAGAUUUUAUCUUCAUAUAUAUAUAUAUAUAUAUAUAUAUAUAUAUAUAUAUAUAUAUAUAUAUAUAUAUAUAUAUAUAUAUUCAAGGCUCGCCCUAUCUAUUAGUUGCUUCUUCCGAAUCCCCACCUAUCAAGCGUUUUCUCUGAAUAAACAAACACAAUAGUAUUCUUUGAAUUAUACUGUACAACGGUAAUUAACCAAGCGACUGGAAUUAACAAUAUUAUGAGCUAUUGGCUUUUUAGUCAGGUAAAUAUCAUUCUUAAGACUACGGAAAACAACAGGCGGCGAAGAAAACAUCUAUUUAUGAGAACUAUACACAUACUUAAGAAGGAAGUGACAUCUAUGGUAGCAGAACAUAUAUCAAGCUGUUGCAGCUACAUUAGCAGUUUAGCACAGUUCCUCCAUAAUACACAGGCUAGUGUAAUUUCACAAAUACAAUAAGCUAACAAUAUAUAUUUGGUAGAUGGAAAUGGCUGGAUCAUGAGCAAUAUACCAUUACACAUCCGAUGAUGCAAAUAAAGAAACGAGGCCCAACAAUAGUGGAAAAUAAACCACAAUAGAACAUGUAUUUGGCGAAACCUCCAUACUGCAAUAUCAAACAUGAAUUGAAAUUAACAAUCUAGCAAAAAAACAUGACAGAUGCAGUCUUGGUCAUUUUUCCUUUUGUGACAUCCCCUAAAAAAAGUAAAAACAAUGUUGUUCGUAUUUUACCAGAGAUACACUGAGCUGGGACAAAUCGGUCUGAAAUAAAAUAUGAUGGCUUCGGAGGAUUCGGAAGGCAAGAAAUUUGCUUUCUUCCAACAUAUAUGGUCUGCUGAACUAAACUUCGUUUCAACGGGCUUUGGCAAAAAUCUGUAACUGCAAACAUCAACUUGUGUGCCCUUCCUACGUCAAACUUUAAACUUGACGGAUUAAAUAUUUUAGGUUAGGCUGAGAUCAGUGUACUUUAUGAGUGUUAAGUGUACUUUCUAAAUAGCAGAGAAACCAUAACAUCUAAGCACAACCCAGCAACUUGUACAAGCUAACAUCAAAUCUGAAAGAGGAAAUGUCGAGAACAGGUGAAGGUACCAUGAUCCACGACUGAGCAAAGUUAUCUAUAAUCCUCGGUGAAUAUCAUAAAUUAGGAUCAACUACGCUAAAGAACAAACGGGAAAGGAACCUAGAAAGAUCUUCUGCCGGUAGAAUAUAACUGAUACACUAUCCUCGUUCUCGAGAUCAAGGUCGUUUCUUGAAUUGCAGUUUCCUCACUGUAGUAUGGGGUCAUUACACUGUGAAGAACAAAGUGUCAUAUGAAUCAUUUAGAGCCCAAUCUUUUUCACUGAAACUCUUAUGAUCACAUAACGAAUUUAAACAUAAGGUUUAUUAGAUAUUUGUUGUUGUGAACAGAUAAUAUAUUUCUGGUGUUGACAAUGUUUUGAUUAUGGAUGCACUUCAAGAUGGGUGGCACAGAUUCUGUUGUACAGGCCUCCACCUGGAAUUUCAUCACUUGUUAUUUUUGUUUUAGAAUGUCUAGGUGCAUUUUUCCUUUAAGGUGGAAACAGAUGUACUUGUAUAAGCAACAAGAAUACAAAGCGCCACUGCCAUACAUUGUGGAAGUUCAGUGCUUCUGUUUACAAAAUCUGCUUCCCAAAACAGAAGGAUUUAUAAUUUUUUAUUACAAUCAAGCGGACAUGAGCUGAUGAGUACAGAUGUAGACAUGUACUGAGAGCAGCACCCUUUCAAAAGUGGAUCAUUUACAAGUUGGAUAGUUUGAUGGUCUGAAAUUAGUGGUCGUGUUUCAGAAUUGUUAUCGAAUAGUAGGGGAUAUAUAUUAAAUUCUGAAAUUAGUGGUUGUUUGUCAGAACUGUUAUCGAAUAACAGAGCACAUAUAUUAACUUCAAUAAGUGGAGUAAUAUCUUUGGAUUCGCUGUGAGGAAAGAUUACCAAAACAAAACAGAAGUGAGCACUGGUAGAAAAUGGGCCUUUAGUCCCGGUUCGCAAAGGCCAUUAAUCCCGGCUGUGCAACCGGGACUAAANNNNNNNNNNNNNNNNNNNNNNNNNNNNNNNNNNNNNNNNNNNNNNNNNNNNNNNNNNNNNNNNNNNNNNNNNNNNNNNNNNNNNNNNNNNNNNNNNNNNNNNNNNNNNNNNNNNNNNNNNNNNNNNNNNNNNNNNNNNNNNNNNNNNNNNNNNNNNNNNNNNNNNNNNNNNNNNNNNNNNNNNNNNNNNNNNNNNNNNNNNNNNNNNNNNNNNNNNNNNNNNNNNNNNNNNNNNNNNNNNNNNNNNNNNNNNNNNNNNNNNNNNNNNNNNNNNNNNNNNNNNNNNNNNNNNNNNNNNNNNNNNNNNNNNNNNNNNNNNNNNNNNNNNNNNNNNNNNNNNNNNNNNNNNNNNNNNNNNNNNNNNNNNNNNNNNNNNNNNNNNNNNNNNNNNNNNNNNNNNNNNNNNNNNNNNNNNNNNNNNNNNNNNNNNNNNNNNNNNNNNNNNNNNNNNNNNNNNNNNNNNNNNNNNNNNNNNNNNNNNNNNNNNNNNNNNNNNNNNNNNNNNNNNNNNNNNNNNNNNNNNNNNNNNNNNNNNNNNNNNNNNNNNNNNNNNNNNNNNNNNNNNNNNNNNNNNNNNNNNNNNNNNNNNNNNNNNNNNNNNNNNNNNNNNNNNNNNNNNNNNNNNNNNNNNNNNNNNNNNNNNNNNNNNNNNNNNNNNNNNNNNNNNNNNNNNNNNNNNNNNNNNNNNNNNNNNNNNNNNNNNNNNNNNNNNNNNNNNNNNNNNNNNNNNNNNNNNNNNNNNNNNNNNNNNNNNNNNNNNNNNNNNNNNNNNNNNNNNNNNNNNNNNNNNNNNNNNNNNNNNNNNNNNNNNNNNNNNNNNNNNNNNNNNNNNNNNNNNNNNNNNNNNNNNNNNNNNNNNNNNNNNNNNNNNNNNNNNNNNNNNNNNNNNNNNNNNNNNNNNNNNNNNNNNNNNNNNNNNNNNNNNNNNNNNNNNNNNNNNNNNNNNNNNNNNNNNNNNNNNNNNNNNNNNNNNNNNNNNNNNNNNNNNNNNNNNNNNNNNNNNNNNNNNNNNNNNNNNNNNNNNNNNNNNNNNNNNNNNNNNNNNNNNNNNNNNNNNNNNNNNNNNNNNNNNNNNNNNNNNNNNNNNNNNNNNNNNNNNNNNNNNNNNNNNNNNNNNNNNNNNNNNNNNNNNNNNNNNNNNNNNNNNNNNNNNNNNNNNNNNNNNNNNNNNNNNNNNNNNNNNNNNNNNNNNNNNNNNNNNNNNNNNNNNNNNNNNNNNNNNNNNNNNNNNNNNNNNNNNNNNNNNNNNNNNNNNNNNNNNNNNNNNNNNNNNNNNNNNNNNNNNNNNNNNNNNNNNNNNNNNNNNNNNNNNNNNNNNNNNNNNNNNNNNNNNNNNNNNNNNNNNNNNNNNAUAUAGAGCUCAAAUGAUUGAAAAUAAUUACUUUUGCAGCAUUUUUCUCAUGUCGGCCCAACGCUUUGGAUCCGAAUCCAUAGAGUCCAUGAUUAGAACUCUGGAGGUGUGAAGUUCAAUAUUUAGCAGAAUCCAGUGGAACCUGCGGACACGUUACAUGCACAGUCAUGCAUAACUCAUCGAUUAGACAUACCAUGCAUGGAGUAAACAAAAGAGAAUGGGCACAAGAGAGAAACACUCACCCAAAAUGGUAAGGAAAUAGAAUAUGACUUUUGAGUUGAUGCUUUCUAAGAAACUUGUACAAGUCUUUCUCCAUGUCUUCGGGGUGAUUUUGUAACACAUGUCCAUUAACGAUAUGUGGGUCAAUGAACCCAACAUCAUGGAUGUUUCUUAUUUUGCAUUCCCAAAUCUUCAAUCUGCAUAAUAGCGUACGCAACAAUAUAGUUAGGACAAUAUAUAUAUAUAUAUAUAGUGCAGGCAAUGAAGAACGAGAUGAGGUAGAAAUAAAUCACUUACAUAACGUAGCAACUCAGGAUAGAUUUGUCGAGCUCGCGCAGAUUGAACAGCUGGAACAAUUCACUCAUAUGAACUUGUACAAAGUACCGUUUGGUGUGAUGCUCCUCUGUAACAUCCGCAUAAAUAUAUUCUUUGUCGGCCCAUGUUAUGAAUUGCUUGUACCAACGUAGAAGAUUUCGCAUUUGUGGUGGUAGACUCUUUUCCCGUGCAGGCUCGACGAGAGGCCCAUUCCGCACAUAUUGUAAUGCUAUCUCACAUACUGGCGCAUCCUCAAGGCCUAAGAUGGCACGAAGAGUCAAACCCAUCUCGGACGUUUGUUUCAUGGCACUCGCUACAGUCAAUCCAAGUGCUGCCGCAGCUCCUAUGAUCUCGGGGUCCUCUUCCGGACCGGCUUUCACUAUGAGCGGGGGGAUCGAUUGUUUAUUCUGCAUCCCGAGCUGGUCAACUUGUUUCCCGCUUUUUUUACUUUCUUCUUUCUCCUCCUUCAAUAUUUUUGCUUGCCAACGAAGUUCAUGUCAAUAGUCGUCAGGCAUAUUCAGCUCGGCUUGGGACGGUGUCGUCAAAAAAUCCUUAGCCCACUUCUUUUGCUUCUCAGUGAAUACUUGCUUGGGCUCAGGCUCUUUUUUCGAAUUCGUAUCCGCCUUCCAUUUCUCAUAAUGAGCAGACGCGGCCAAUUUGGUUUCAGCUUCACUAAGUUCCCAAGGCCUUGGGAGGAGAGGCUUCAGUGAUGGCUCCGGUACCCUUGUGGUCUUACGUACAUAAGGGUCCGGGUUAAUAGUCCAGGAGAGGGUUUCCUUGCUGUCCGCCUGCUUCUACUUCUUCGCCGGAGGUGGAUUGGGGGGCGUCGUACCCGCCGGAGGAGGAUUGGGGGGCGUCGUACCUGCCGGAGGAGGAUUGGGGGGCGGCGGCUGCUUACCCGCCGGAGGUUGUGGAUCGGGGGACGGCGUCGAAUGGCGUGAAGGAGGUGUAGGUGAACCACCACGACCACCACCACCACCACCACCAUCGGAGGGGGUGGACUUGUUAGCAUUGGCGCCUCGCCUGGAAACACUAUGUACUUCUUUUUCCAUAGAAUGAUCUGGCGCUUGACAUCUCCAAGUCUUCUCUCCCCUUCGGGUGUAGCUUUGUCAAUCUCCAGGUCCUCAAACUAUUGGACUAUGUCUUCCACCGUGACACGAGCAUAGCCAUAUGCAAUGGGGUUGUUGUGGUGGAGUGCUCCAGGUGUACAGGGUAAAGCACUGCCAGUAGCUACCUUCGUGGAAACGUUCCCCACGGGAUAAUGCAGAUCACAUUCUUUCAUCUCCUUUACAUCAUCCACGGGGUAGUGAGGCUCCGGUGCACGAAUCUCGAUCAUCGGUGCAUUAGCACCAGGCGGGGCAUCCGUGGAAGCCACGCUGCUUCUCCGCUGCUGGCUUCCGCGAUCCGCUUCAUGAUCUUCAUGCGGCCCUGCAGCCGAUUUUUCUUUUACUAGUUCAUGCACGGUCUGCUUCAACUCAUGGAGUUCCGAUGCAAACUUCACCAAAAGAUCUGCAUCCCGGUCCGUCUUUCUCUUACGGCUUCUGUAACAGUACGGGUCAUUGUCCUGGGAAAACCCUACUUUCCACGAAAUUCUGCCUUUGCCUCGUACACGUCCUCCGUGUUCAUCAUUCCGAGGGCUGUUGUCAGUGCGUCUUUCUCUCUGUUGAACUUGAUCAAGCCCUCUUGAGCUUGGGUCAUUGCGUCAAUAAGGGCUUGGGUGGGAGCAAACUUUUUCUUCCGGUGAACACACACCCCUGUCUCCGGGUCUAGCGAUCCCCCAUGCCCGUACCACCAGCUUUUGGCCCUUGGGUCCCAUCCCUCUGUACCUAGAGGGAUUCCUCGCACCCUCAGGUCCUCCUCCAUCUUCUGCCACUUAGGCUCCGAAAGGCGGUAUCCUCCUGGCCCCAUAAUAUGAUGGAACUUUUUCUUACUCGCAUUAUCCUUAUUUUUUCCGACAUUUCCUUGAAAUGCUCUGAUUUUUUUUGCCUCACAAAUUCUGGCCAAUCAUCUUUCAGUUUCUCAUGUUGUCCAUUGAAAUCCGGAGUCUUGCCCUUGUUGACAUAGUCACGGGUUAAAUUUUUCUUGAAGUUCCGGAAUGCUUCGCCCAUCUUCUCAAGAGCGAACUCUUUAACUAGCCUCCUCCUCUCACGUCCACCCGGAACCUCGUUACCGAAUUCAUCGACUUUGUUGUAUUCCGGAGGUAGAAUGAAAUGUUCCAUAAGCUUUUUCCAGCAAUCCUUUUUCGUUCUCUUGUCGACAAAACUGAAACCAAGACGUGCCUUCUUUGGCUCCUUCCAUUCCUGGACGGUGAUCGGGACGUUGUCUCUAACAACGACUCCACAUUGGUUGAUAAACUUUGAGGUGUGCUGUAGGGGCUUGCCGGUUUCACUGACAAAAUCAAUGGCAUAUGUUUCUCCUUUUUUCAUCGCCUUGGAUUUGCCACGCUUUGUCGUACUCGAUCCGGCCGAGGGUCGCGCACGUUAAUACAUAUGUAUUCGCAUUUCAGUAAGUUUGUAUCACGAGAGGCUCAAUGUAUAUAUAUACCUCGCCGGAGGUGGUUGCUACUUGCAAUUCGAGAUUGUCGUUUGUUGACGGUUGACCUCCGUUGACAAUGUCCGUUCCUUCACCUUCUUGAUCAUCGACAAUGUCUGUUCCACCGUCAAGGUUCAGAAAAGAAGAGACUACAUCCUCUUCUUGCUCAUAUUCUGAGCCCGGCACAUAAGGAAUCUCGUUGUUUAUGAUGCCCAUUAAAUAACGUUCAGCCUCCGGAUCCCUAAGCGGCUCGGCUCUAUCGUCCGCCAUAUGUCACUCCUGCAUGUAGUCAAAAUUAAUUAAGUAUAAAGGAAUUAAAAAAUAAGAUUAAGGGGACAUAGAGGAGGAGCAGCUACGGUUGAAUGAUUAAGAGCUAUUAAAAAAUAAAAUUGAUGUUUUUCCUUUUCUUUUUCCUUUUCUUUUUCCUCUCUACUCUCUCUUUCCUUUUCUUUUUCCUUUUCUUUUCCUUUUCUUUUUCCUUUAUACAAUUAUUCCCAAAUAAAUUUCCUUUUCUUUUUCCUUUUCUUUUUCCUCUCUGCUCUCUCUUUCCUUUUCUUUUUCCUUUUCUUUUUCCUUUAUACAAUUAUUCCCAAAUAAAUUUCCUUUUCUUUUUCCUUUUCUUUUUCCUCUCUGCUCUCUCUUUCCUUUUCUUUUUCCUUUUCUUUUUCCUUUUCUUUUUCCUCUCUACUCUCUCUUUCCGUUUGUUGACGGCAGGCGGCGGCGGGAGGCAGAGGAGGGCAGGCCNNNNNNNNNNNNNNNNNNNNNNNNNNNNNNNNNNNNNNNNNNNNNNNNNNNNNNNNNNNNNNNNNNNNNNNNNNNNNNNNNNNNNNNNNNNNNNNNNNNNNNNNNNNNNNNNNNNNNNNNNNNNNNNNNNNNNNNNNNNNNNNNNNNNNNNNNNNNNNNNNNNNNNNNNNNNNNNNNNNNNNNNNNNNNNNNNNNNNNNNNNNNNNNNNNNNNNNNNNNNNNNNNNNNNNNNNNNNNNNNNNNNNNNNNNNNNNNNNNNNNNNNNNNNNNNNNNNNNNNNNNNNNNNNNNNNNNNNNNNNNNNNNNNNNNNNNNNNNNNNNNNNNNNNNNNNNNNNNNNNNNNNNNNNNNNNNNNNNNNNGCAGGGCAGGGCAGGGGCGGCGGCGGCAGUGCAGGGCAAGGGCGGCGGCGUAGGGCAGGGGAAGUGGGGGGCGGCGGAGCUCACUGGGGGCAGGGCGCUGGUGUCGGGGCAGGGCGUCGGCGUCGAUCGGCGUCGGGGCAGCAGCCUGGCGGCGUCGGCGUCGAUCGGCGUCGGGGCAGGGCGUCGGCGUCGAGAGGAGAAUGAGAGGUGGGGGAAAAUUUACUAAGUGUUAUAUAUAUAGACAGAGCAUUAGUCCCGGUUGGGGACGCCAACCGCGACUAAAGGUACCUUUAGUCGCGGUUGGUCUCCCCAACCGGGACUAAAGGUUCUUUCGCGCCGCUUUCGUUCCCGCGCGGAAAGAGCCUUUAGUCGCGGUUCGUGUCACGAACCGCGACUAAAGGUCCUUUUUCAUAUACUUUUCAGAAAAUACAAAUAAUAUAUCAAAAAAUUCAGAAAAAUAAAACUAAUUCAUUUUAAAAUCUUAAAAAUAGAAAUAAUAUAUCAAAAAAUUCAGAAAAAUAAAANNNNNNNNNNNNNNNNNNNNNNNNNNNNNNNNNNNNNNNNNNNNNNNNNNNNNNNNNNNNNNNNNNNNNNNNNNNNNNNNNNNNNNNNNNNNNNNNNNNNNNNNNNNNNNNNNNNNNNNNNNNNNNNNNNNNNNNNNNNNNNNNNNNNNNNNNNNNNNNNNNNNNNNNNNNNNNNNNNNNNNNNNNNNNNNNNNNNNNNNNNNNNNNNUUAAAAUCUUAAAAAUAGAAAUAAUAUAUCAAAAAAUUCAAAAAAAUAAAACUAAUUCAUUUGAAAAUCUUAAAAAUACAUAUAAUAUAUCAAAAAAUUCUGAAAAAUAAAACUAAUUCAUUUUAAAAAUUCAGACCGAUUGUUUUGUUCUACAUCCUCGAUCCCUUGAAGGUUUGACAAAAGGUUUGAUACAUCAUUCAGUUCAUCGGCCAAAUACAAAUCAUCCGGAUUCGCCAUCGUACGUUUUAAUUCACAUGAUCCAUUCAACAAAGUUUGGUACAAUAAAUUAUUACACAUCAAUUCUUCCCGUGUGUCCCUGCUUGCUUACGAUUGUGCCGUAUCCAUGGAGCAUCCUCAUCAUUUAACUUAAUGCUUGGGUCAGUGUUCACUUUGAAGGGCGGAAUUUCACCAAACAUAUUAUAAUCUUCUGACAUGUCUGUCUUGUCCUCCACUCCCACAAUGUUUCUUUUCCCUGAAAGAACAAUGUGGCGCUUUGGAUCAUCGCAUGAUGUACUGAUCGUUUUCUUAUCUUUCCGUUUCCUCGGUUUGCUACUCAUGUCCUUCAAAUAAAAAACCUGAGCGACAUCUUUGGCAAGGACGAAUGGUUCGUCAAGGUAACCAAGAUUGUUGAAAUCCACCAUUGUCAUUCCGUAUUGCUCGUCCACCUUUACCCCACCUCCUGUUAGCUUGAACCAUUUGCACCGGAACAAAGGGACCUUAAAGGAGGGUCCAUAGUCAAGUUCCCAUAUCUCCUCUAUGUGACCAUAAUAUGUGACCUUUUGCCCAUUCUCGGUUGCUGCAUCAAAGCGGACACCACUGUUUUGGUUGGUGCUCUUUUUAUCUUGGGCGAUGGUGUAAAAUGUAUUCCCAUUUAUCUCGUACCCUUGGAAAGUCGUUAUAGUCGAAGAUGGUGUCUUGGCCAACAUGUACAGCUGAUCUCCAACAUCAUUGUCAUUCAUUAAAUGUUUUCGCAACCAACUGCCGAAAGUCUCCAUGUGGGCCUUUCUAAUCCAGGAUUCAGGUUUCCCCGGGUUGUCCGAGCGUAAAAUAUUCUUGUGUUGCUCGAACUACGGAGCCACCAAGCUGGAAUUUUGUAGAACUGUGUGGUGUGCUUCAGUCAUAGAAUGACCGUCCAUACAUAUCGUUGAUUUCCUUCCGAUCGUGCCUUUUCCACUUAGUCUCCCCUCGUGCCGCGAUUGAGGAAUACCAAUCGGCUUAAGGUCAGGAACAUAGUCAAUACAGAACUCAAUUACCUCCUCAUUUCCAUAGCCCUUGACGAUGCUUCCUUCUGGCCUAGCACGGUUACGAACAUAUUUCUUUAAUACUCCCGUGAACCUCUCAAAGGGGAACAUAUUGUGUAGAAAUACAGGACCGAGAAUGGAAAUCUCUUCGACUAGGUGGAGCAGGAGGUGCGUCAUAAUAUCGAAGAAGGAUGGUGGGAACACCAACUCAAAACUGACAAGGCAUUGGACCACAUCGUUCUGUAACCGUGGUAGAUCUUCUGGAUUGAUUACCUUCUGAGAGAUUGCAUUGAGGAAUGCACAUAGCUUCACAAUGGCUACUCGAACAUUUUCCGGUAAGAGCCCCCUCAAAGCAAUCGGAAGAAAUUGCGUCAUAAUCACGUGGCAGUCGUGAGACUUCAGGUUUAGGAACUUUUUGUCCGCCAUGUUUAUUAUUCCCUUUAUAUUCGACGAGAAGCCAGACGGGACCUUCAUACUGCUCAGGCAUUCAAAAAAUGACCUUCUCUUCUUUGGUAAGAGCGUAGCUGGCACGACCUUGAAACCAUUCCGGAUGCCGGUCAUCUGGGUCUUUCAAAAGUUGUUGGUCCUGCCGUGCUUCCUUUGUAUCAUUUGUCUUCCCAUACACGCCCAAGAAGCUUAGCAGGUUCACGCAAAUAUUCUUCGUAACAUGCAUCACGUCGAUUGCAGAGCGGACAUCUAGGACUUUCCAAUAUUCUAGCUCCCAAAAUAUAGAUUUCUUCUUCCACAUGGGUGCGUGCCCGUCAACUCCCCGCGGAACUGAUUGUCCGCCAGGACCCUUUCCAAAGAUGACUUUCAAAUCCUUGACCAUAUCAAAUAUCUCAGCACCAGUACGUUCCGCAGGCUUCGGCCGGUGAUCUGCCUUGCCGUUGAAAUGCUUGCCUUUCUUUCUUACGUUAUGAUUUCGGGGAAGAAAUCGACGAUGACCCAGGUACACGUUCUUCUUACAAUUACCCAAACGUACACUUUCAGUCUCAUGUAAGCAGUGCGUGCAUGCAUUGUAUCCCUUAUUUGUCUGUCCCGAAAGGUUACUGAGAGCAGGCCAAUCGUUGAUGGUUACAAAAAGCAACGCUCGUAGGUCAAAUUCCUCUUCUUUGUGCUCAUCCCAGACACGUACACCAGCUCUGCCCCACAACUGUAAAAGUUCAUCAACUAAUGGCCUUAGGUACACAUCGAUGUCGUACCCGGGUUGCUUUGGACCUUGGAUGAGCACUGGCAUCAUAAUGAACUUCCGCUUCAUGCACAACCAAGGAGGAAGGUUGUAGAUGCAUAGAGUCACGGGCCAGGUGCUAUGGCUGGAGCUCUGCUCGCCAAAAGGAUUCAUGCCAUCAGUACUUAGACCAAAUCUUAUGUUCCUUGCGUCAGCUGCAAAAUCUUUGAACACUCUGUCGAUCUUUCUCCAUUGCGUUCCAUCAGCGGUGUGUCCCAACUCCCCGUCGGACUUACGGUCCUCUUUGUGCCAUCGCAACGACUUGGCAUGCUUUUUGUUCCUGAACAGACGUUUCAACCGUGGUAUUAUAGGAGCAUACCACAUCACCUUGGCGGGAACCCUCUUCCUGGGUUUCUCGCCCUCAACAUCGUCACCAGGGUCAUCGCCUCUGAUCUUAUAACGCAAUGCAGUGCAUACAGGGCAUUCAUUCAAAUUCUCGUAUUCACCGCGGUAGAGGAUGCAGUCGUUAAUGCAUGCAUGUAUCUUCAGAACCUCUAAACCUAGAGGGCAGACAACCUUCUUUGCUUCGUACGUACUGGCGGGCAACUCGUUAUUCUUCGGAAACAUAUUCUUCAACAUUUUCAGCAAAUUUUCAAAUGAUGAGUCAGCUACACCUUCCUGUGCCUUCCAUUUUAGCAAAUCCAGUGUGCAACCCAACUUUUUCAGACUAUUAUCGCAUCCUGGGUACAACGACUUUUUGUGAUCCUCUAACAUGCGAUCCAAAUUCUCCCUCUCCUUGUCAGUUUCGCAGCGUCUCCGUGCAUCAGCAAUGGUCCGACCAAGAUCAUCAGCGGGCUCAUCAUGUGCCUCUUCUUCACCUUCACCUAACCCUUCCCCACCUUCAGCAUCAUCCUCCAUGAAAGUAUCACCGAAAUGAUCAUGAUAGUUGUCAUCGAUAUCAUCCCCUUCUUCAUCUUGUUCCAUUCUAACCCCUCUUUCUCCAUGCUUGGUCCAACAAUUAUAGCUUCGCAUGAAACCGUGCCGAAGCAGGUGCAUGUGAACGUCUCUUGAGGAGGAGUAACCCUUCUGAUUCUUACAGACACCACAUGGACAGAUAAUAAAACCUCGCUGCUUGUUCGCAUUUGCCACUACGAGGAAAUCUUUCAAACCCGUAGUGAACCGCCGGAGAGUCGGGGACCGUACAUCCAUUGCCGAUUCAUCUGCAUUAUUAUUAUAUAAAGUAUAUAAUUAACCAUCAUGCAUUUGUUAAACUAACUAGCUAGAAAUAAUACAAAUUAAACAAUGAACUACACACAUCCAUAUUUUAUCAAUGACACAUGAAAGGUUCAAGUUGCUAACCGCGAUCGCGGAGGAAAAAUAAAUGAGAAAGCUCAAGUGUGGCUCGGACACUUCAUAUCAUGUUUGUUUCAUGCUCUCGGGCAUUUCAUCGAACACCUUGUGUGCAUAGGAGGAACCAAAAGCAAACCCACCAGCCCCCUUCUGAAUUGUGGCUAAGUGAAGUGAGCUGAGUCCUAUAUAUAGGGAUGGGCCUUUAGUCCCGGCUGGCCUGGCCAACCGCAACUAAAGGCCUUCGGGCCAGCCUGAGGACCUUUAGUCCCGGUUGGCCAGGCCAACCGGGACUAAAGCCCCUCCCGUCCGCCAGCUGUCGACCGAGCGCGCUGGGCCCAGAUAGUUGGUCGCGGGUCUCCUCCCGAACCGCGACUAAAGACCCCUUUGGUCGCGGUUCGAUUAUUUUAGAGACUAAUGGGGGCGUAUGGAAGCCUCUGUUUCUACUAGUGGAGUGCGACGACCCAGAUGAGGGCGCUCUUGAGCUUCUUCCCGACCGACCUAGAUGCAGGAGCAGACCACGGCGGAUCUAAUCAGCCAACGAAUAAAACUGAGGCAGGUAGAGGAAGUAAGGGAGGAAGAAGACUGACUUGUCCUGGUCGCCCUCGUAGUAGAACCUGUGUUUUGAUUUUCGGCCAAAAAAGUGGAUUUCGGCCAUCUCGGCCUGGGGCAAAAAGUGUAUUUAGGCCGAAAUUGUUCAAAUUUAGCAAAUUUUGGUCAAAUUUAAGUCAAAUUGCAGUCAAAAUUUGGUCAAAUUUCAGCCGAAAUUUUUGAAAAUGGCCGAAAUUCGGCCAUCUCAGCCUAGGGAGAAAAAAAAGCUGAAACCAAAAAUCAAAACACAGAGUAGAACAUGGCGAACAGGAUGACGAGGACAGCGUCGAGGAUGUAGACGACGAGCCAGAGCAUGUUCAUGGGCAGGAUCAAGCAUGGGCAGGAUAAGGGUGCAGGCCCCGUUGUAGGCGGCAUGCUUGCAGGCCUGGCGGUUGGCGACGUCGGCGGGGAGCAUGAGGAUGGAGAGGACGGCGACGGUGAUGCCGAGCACGACGACGAGCUUGAGGAAGUAGGCCUGGUUGGCAUCAUCCGGGUGCUGGUAGUUGACGAGGAGCACCAGGAUGCUGACCACCGCCGCCACGAUCACUAGCGCCACGUUAAAAAAACCAUCUCCUCGGGGCUCCGGUCCCGGUUCCGGCCCGCCGCCUCGCCCCCUUGGUCGGUCAGAUCUCUCUGUCCCUAGAGGCGGGGGGAUACAGGCUAGGGUUUGGGCGUGGGCGGGGAAUAGGCUGCUAUGGUGCCGGCAGCGGGGCGUGUAGGAGAGAAGGAUUAGGAGGAAUAAUUCACCACACUUUGAUUAAGCUCUCGGCUGGUUCUUAUGUACAGAUUACAGGGCCAGCCAGGGAGAUCAUGGGGUGAUCCACUACCUGGGAUCGUGCGCCACGAUCACUACAUGCGUGCGCCACGAUCAUACACACACACGCUACACCUAGUGUCUACGCAACUACGGUAUAGCAGUACAGUACAGCCUAACACCCCCCGGAGUCGUGACGUCGGCGGCGGCGACGCAAAGACUGGACCGGAACUCAGAGAAAACAUCCGAUGGCAGGCCUUUGGUCAUGAUGUCGGUGUGUUGUUGGCGCGUGGGGAUGUGAAGAACACGGAAGUGGCCGAGGGCGACGCGCUCCCGCACGAAAUGGAUGUCCAGCUCCACAUGCUUAGUGCAGCGAUGAUGCACCGGAUUGGCUGACAGGUAGACUGCGGACACAUUGUCACAGUACACAAGUGCCGCCUUGGUCAUUGGAGCGGAGAGCUCGCCGAGAAGCUGGCGGAGCCAGAUGCAUUCAGCGACCGCGUUGGCGACGCCGCGGUAUUCAGCUUCGGCGCUGGAGCGCGAUACGGUCGCCUGGCGCUUGGAGGACCAGGAGACGAGAGCAUCGCCGAGGAAGACGCAGAAGCCCGACGUGGAGCGUCGGGUGUCGGGGCAGCCGGCCCAGUCCGCAUCGGUGAACGCACGGACGUCGAGCAUGGUCGAGGCGUGAAGAUGAAGCCCGAGUGCGCAGGUGCCCUUCACGUACCGGAGCACGCGCUUUACGAGCGCGAGGUGGCAUUCGCGCGGGUCAUGCAUGUGUAAGCAGAUUUGCUGGACGGCGUAGGCGAUCUCUGGACGCGUGAUGGUGAGGUACUGCAGGGCCCCGGCGAUGCUCCGAUAGGCCGAAGGGUCGUCGACGCAUGGCCCAUCGGCUGAGGGGAGUUUGCUCUUCGUGUCGAUGGGUGUCGGGGAAGGGCGGCAGGUGUCCAUGCCGGCGCGUUCCAGGAGCUCGUCGGCAUAUUGUUGUUGCGACAGGAAGAAGCCAGCUCGGGUGCGGGUGACGCGCAUGCCGAGGAAGAAGGCGAGCGAGCGCAGGUCCUUCAUGGCGAAUUCGCCUGUGAGGCGCUGGAUGACAUGGUGAAGCACGCGUGACGAGGACGCGGUGAGCACGAUGUCGUCGACGUAGAGGAGGAGGAACGCCAUGUCGUUGCCGUGCCGGAAGGUGAACAGCAACGAGUCCGAACGCGUAGCUGCGAAGCCAAUGGAGCGGACGAAGCCGGCGAAGUGGAGGAACCAGGCACGGGGCGCCUGCUUGAGCCCGUACAAGGACUUGGAGAGGCGGCAGACGUGCUCUGGUUUGUCGGGGUCGAUGAAUCCGGCGGGCUGGAGGCAGUAGACUUCCUCCUCAAGUUUCCGUGGAGGAAGGCAUUGGAGACGUCGAGGUGGUGCACCGGCCAGCCGCGCGACGCGGCCAUAGUGAGCACCAUGUGGAUCGUCACUGGCUUGACGACGGGGGAGAACGUCUCGCCGUAGUCGACGCCGGCACGCUGAUGAAAGCCCCGCACGACCCAGCAUGCUUUGUAGCGGGCCAGCACGCCGUCGGCGUCGUUUUUGUGCUUGAAGAUCCGCUUCCCUGUGAUCAGGUUGGCGCCGGGGGGGAGCGGGGCACCAGCUCCCACGUGCGAUUGCGCACGAGCGCAUCGUACUCAGCACACAUGGCAGCGAGCCAGUUCGGGUCGCGAACAGCAGCACGAACCGAACGCGGCACCGGCGACACCGAUGAUGAGCUAGAGGCGGUGGCCGCGUCGUAGUAGCGCGGCUUGGGGCGGAAGAUGCCGCGCUGGGCACGCGUGACCAUGGGCACAGGAGGCGCCGGUGCGCGGGGCGCCGCUGGUGGCGCGCUCGGAGACGAGCUGUCGGAGGAGCCACUGGGGAGUUGUCGGAGGAGGCGCUGGCGGAGGCGAAGACAAGCGGACCAGGCGCGGAUGGGCACGUCGAGGACGGAGCCGAGCCGCCAUCGGAAGCGCCCGCAGCGUACCGCGAGCUGACGCGGCGCGCCCCGCUGGUUGGCGAUGAUGAGCGGGGCAAGCCGGUGAUGGAGAUCAGGCGCGCCGGCAGCACGGGUGACAUGCUGCUGUCAGGCACCGGUGGAAGCGCGGGCAGCGCAGGAGGCCGGACGACGAGCGGGAUCUGCAGGUUAGAGGGUACGACGGGUGGCGUAGGCGACGGGGAAGAGGAUGCGAACGGGAAAACGUGUUCGUGGAAGAGAACGUGGCGAGACGUGAGGACGCGGCGAGAGGUGAGGUCAAAGCAGCGAAAACCACGAUGAUCGGGAGGGUACCCGAGGAAGACGCAGGCGAUAGAACGUGGCUCGAGCUUAUGGCGGGUGGUGGCGGUGACGUUCGGAUAGCAGAGGCAUCCAAAGACGCGGAGCUGCGAGUAAUUUGUGCGGGCAUGCGGUGACGUUCGGAUAGAUGCGGAGUAAUUUGUGCGACGCCGAGCAGGAGUUCAUGCGGAGUGCAGGGCGCCGAGGCGCGGCAGGGCCGACGAUUGAGCAGGUAGGUCGAGGUGUUGAGAGCCUCUGCCCAGAAGCGAGCGGGCAUGUGCGCAUGACAGAGAAGCACACGAACACCGUCGUUGAUCGUGCGGAGAACUCGCUCGUCCUUGCCGUUCUGCCGUGGCGAGCAAGCAGAGAGCGCGCGGCUGCACUGUCGAAUUCACGACCGUUGCCCGUUUCCAGUGCAAGUAUGGGUAACUGAAACUGAGUCUGAACAUAGGCAAAGAAAUCAACAAGUAUGGGAAGAACUUCAGACUUGUGUUUCAGAGGGAAAGUCCAGACAUAGUGACUGAAAUCAUCUAGUACAACUAAGUAAAACUGAUAGCCGGAUAUGCUUACAACGGGAGCGGUCCAUACAUCAAGGUGUAAAAGCUGGAAAGGAAAGAAACUAGCAGUGGUGGAUGUCUGAAACGUGUUGGAUCGAUGUCCGUGUAGCCCGCUUCUUUCUCUGUAGGAAGGACGCGGUUACGCUCGCGUUGACAUCGGAUGACUCGAUCACAUGCACGGGAGGGGCGGUACGACAUGGCACCGCCACGCCACCGUGCUCCCUCCCAGUGCCGACCUGGAGCAACUUGCCACUCCUCAGCUCGUGACCGGUGGGCUUGACGGGCCACCUAGCCAUUUUUUAUGCCAGACAACUCUUCUUCCUGCUCAUCAGAUGUCAUGGAUAAAACUGUUUAAGGAGGAAAAUGAUGAGUGGACGUGUGAUGCGGUUCUUGCCCAACAUCUGACAUUGUUUAAAUAGCGAGGGGACACGAGAGGAGCCAACUGGCGUUCUGUUUAAUGCCAACCGGCUCGUGAACGAACAUGUGGCCGGAGUAAUUAUCCUGGCACACACGAGGGUUUAAUGGUGGAAGGCGGGCAGUCUGCAGGAAUGAGGCGAGGAUGUGUGCUUAGCCGGCGUGCAGUAGGCGGCGCCCUCGGCCGGCGUGCUGCUUCCAUUGCGGAGGCAGUGAGAGGUCGCGUCCGCUCUGCAGCGCAUGAAUGCGGGCAGCUGGCGCAGAGCGGGAACGCGUGCGGGCGAGGGAGGAGGGGGUUUGGGCGGGUGGUCAGAAGAGGUCGUGGGUGUUGUCCGAACGCCUGCAAAUCCCCCCUCCAUAUUUGUCUCCAGUUUGCGGGAGAAAGUACGUCCGGACCGUCUCCAAUGGACCAAUACAGGCCCGCAUUAGAUGGCACAACACGUCCGGACCAUGUGGUCCGGAUGGUUGUGGACAGUUUAAUUGAGGGUCGGCGUUGGAGAUGCCUUAGAGUUUAUGAAUCCAUUGUGUUUUUCUAAUCAUAAAAAAGCACUUACAAUAAGUUAUAAGGAAAGACACGUUUAUAUGUUAGGUUCAGACUCCAGGUUUCGUUUUACAUAUGCUUUAUUCAUCCGACUGAUUCCAAUAGAGUGAGCCUAGCGUUGUUUUUCUGGAAACUCGCGGGAUAAGGAGACAUGCAUACACAUUCUUUCAAGCAAAUCACAUCCAUUCUUUUUAACUCAUUUUUCUUCUUUUAAUAAUAUAAUAGAUCAUUUAUAUUUUUUAUCUGAAACAGUUGACGUGUAAUUUAUAUUGUAAUCUGAGGAUAAUGUUUGGAUUUUACUUUCAAAUAUAUUUGAAAUGGCCAUGAUGGAAUCACAUCCAUUUAUUUUAUUAUUAUUUGAAUUUGAUCCAAAAGAUAAAUAAUGAGUUGAGGUCAUGUCAACUUUUCUGAGAACUUUGCUAAUCAAAAUAUAAAUUGUAUUUAAAAAAUCUAUUUUUUAGCACGCAUGAAAAACAUAACACGUAUCUUUUCACACAUAAUGAACGGUUGUCAUAAGAACUCAUGCCAUGCCACAACCUCCCUCCGACCCUGCCAACAUUGUUGCAGCUGCACUCGCAAGCCUUAGCGUAGAUGAUAAUUUAUACAAUUUGCGUAAAACAAAAUAAGAUCUACAAAUUAAUAGAAGCUAGAACGUACAUUGGCAUGCACACACAUUGCAAGCUAUACUAAGCUGAUAAGUGUUAAUAACUUGUACAACAUAUACAACACUUAAGACAAGUAAAAGCAAUUUGAUGAGUCAUGGUCUAUCAAAGCCACAUUACUAGUCUAAUCCAUCUUAACAGGUCACACAUGAUUAAAAUCUUGUUUGUGUGCAAGUCAAGCUUAUCUAGUUUACAUGUAACAACUUGUAGAACAUUAAAAAAUUUAUGUUUGCUAAUAACUUCUAGAACACUACAACACUUGACAUGUAAAAGGAAUUUGAUGAGUCAUGGCCUACUAAAGCAAGUUAUAUUACUAGUCUUAUCUACCUUAACAGGCCACACAAGAUUACAAACCAAGUUCUGUGCCAGCCAUGCUUAUCUAGUUUAUGCGUAACAAUUUGCAGAAAAUUACAAACUUAGUUUCAGAAAAAUAGGCAAUCUAGAUUAGUGUUUGAGCUAUAAAGUGAAUAAAAUGAGUCAUCUGUGUUAUCACACCUUUUUGGUUGUGGAAUGAUAGUGCAACAACAAGGAACUUUAAUGACCAGUUCAAGAAUACACUUGUAAGUAGUGCCACCGAACACAACAUACCAAAUUAUGAUUUUGAGAAGCAUCCAAGCACUUCCACACAAGCAAAUGCCAAUUGUGAAAGAGAUCAUGCCAUGGCAGCUAUAAAUAGGCCCGUAGCAUGACGAUCAUCCUUCCUCAUCCAUCAUUCUCAAAAGUAGAGCGCAUCAUUUAAGCCAAGCAAGCAGUGCUCAAUACAAAUCCACCAUGAAGACCUUUCUCAUCCUUGCCCUCCUUGCUAUUGUAGCAACCACCGCCACAAUUGCAGUUAGAGUUCCAGUGCCACAAUUGCAGCCACAAAAUCCAUCUCAGCAACAACCACAAGAGCAAGUUCCAUUGGUACAACAACAGCAAUUUCCAGGGCAGCAACAACCAUUUCCACCACAACAACCAUAUCCGCAGCCGCAACCAUUUCCAUCACAACAACCAUAUCUGCAGCUGCAACCAUUUCCACAGCCGCAACUACCAUAUCCGCAGCCGCAACUACCAUAUCCGCAGCCGCAACCAUUUCGACCACAACAACCAUAUCCACAACCGCAACCACAGUAUUCGCAACCACAACAACCAAUUUCGCAGCAGCAACAACAACAACAACAACAAAUCCUUCAACAAAUUUUGCAACAACAACUGAUUCCAUGCAGGGAUGUUGUAUUGCAACAACACAACAUAGCGCAUGGAAGGUCACAAGUUUUGCAACAAAGUACUUACCAGCUGGUGCAACAAUUGUGUUGUCAGCAGCUGUGGCAGAUCCCCGAGCAGUCGCGGUGCCAAGCCAUCCACAAUGUUGUUCAUGCUAUUAUUCUGCAUCAUCAUCAACAACAACAACAACAACAACAACCGUUGACCCAGGUCUCCUUCCAACAGCCUCAACAACAAUAUCCAUCAGGCCAGGGCUCCUUCCAGCCAUCUCAGCAAAACCCACAGGCCCAGGGCUCUGUCCAGCCUCAACAACUGCCCCAGUUUGAGGAAAUAAGGAACCUAGCGCUAGAGACGCUACCUGCAAUGUGCAAUGUCUAUAUCCCUCCAUAUUGCACCAUUGCUCAAGUUGGCAUCUUCGGUACUAACUGAGAAGAGAAGAACUCUAGUAGUAGAUAUAUGAUACACCGUUUUCUUAGUCCAUGGUUUGGUCGUUGUAGCGGUGAAAAAAUAAAGUGACAUGCACUAUCAUGCAAGAACCCGAACUAUACUAGUUCAAACAUGGGAAUAAAAGACAAACACAUGUCUUGACUACAUAUGAUUGUUUGUUUGAGUUCCACUCAUGUGCCCACUUACAAGUUCACCCCUAAUUAUAUAUAUUAUGCAUUAAGUAGAUAUUUAUGUUGCAUUAAUCUAAAGAUAACAAAAUGAGUCUGAAAUUUGAAUUAAAUUGAAGUAUUUCCUUGGACUUUCAAAUGGAGUAUUAUUAAAGUAGUAAGGACUAUCCACAUCCUUGGCUUGCCCUUGAUCAAUUAUUUCCAGAGAAGCAUUCAAUUCAUCAAUCAAUUACAUUGAUUUUUGUGGCUGGUACUUCUCCUCAACAUGAGUAUAUUCAUCGCGGCAACUCCAAAUAGGCAUGAAUGAGGUACCGGUGCUCUGGAGCACUGGUACCUAACUGCUUCUCAUGUGAAGGGGUGCGGGCGCGGGAGAGGUGUUUUUGGUGGGCCAGGGGAGUAAGAAGCGGCCGUGGCAGCGGUCCAGACGCCCACAAAGCCCCGUAGUUUGUUUUUGGUUUACAGGAAAAUGCACAUCCAGACCGGCCUGCGGGCCGAUAUAGGACCGUAUUGGAUGGCAAAACAUGUCCGGAUGGUCGCGAGCGGUUUAAGGGUUAGCUUUUGUAACACCCGGUUAGUUAUGCUAUGGUAAUUCCCUGCUAAUGAUGUCACGUCAGCACGAUUACUGUUGUUAACCUCACAAUGAUUCAAUCCCAUUCAAAUUCAAAUUUAAAAUAAAGGCAAACAUCAAAAGUUUCAAACAUUAAAACUAAAAUCUUCGAGAGGUGAAAAAUAAUGCAUAAGUAAUUAUGGUGGAGAAACCACACUUUUAUAAAAUGUUUAAAUACUCUAAAAAUAAUAAAACCGUGGCUUAAACUAUUAUUUAAAUGCUUUUAAAAUAGUAAAAAUGUUCUAACUAAAUUAAUUGGGUACCAAACUUUUAGUGGCAGUGGUAUAUUUAGUAGAACUAAUUUAGAUGCUAAUAAAACAUAAAAGGAAAGACAAAACAAAUAAAAGUAAAAGGGGGCAACCCCUCGCUGGACCUCGGCCAAGCUGGCCACUGGGCUAGCUAGGUUGGCCCAACCGCCUCCCUUAACCCCCCACUCCCCAUUGAACCCUAGACCGAUCGCCCCACUUCCCCCACACCCCCUCGUUAGCCUCCCCACCUCUCGAUCCCAUCUGGAUCGGGGAGGGGAUCGCCCCCAUCGACCCCGUCGCGGUCGCUGGAUCGCCCGCCGGCGUCGCCGGACCUCCUCCCCGUCGCACGUCUCCGGCUCUCCUCCCCUCUCGCUCCUUUUCCUCGACCCGAUCUGGAUCGGACAGGGCCAAUGAGCCCAACGCCCCCCUGCAUCGACGCUGUGCUCCAGCACCGCCGCCCGAAGACCUCGCCAUCGCCGGACCUCGCGUCGCCUCCUCGUAUCCCUCCCCGACUCGCCUCCUCAAGCCACGCCGACCCCCUUCUCGGCAACGCUGUGAGCCGCCCCCGUUUCCCUCCUUCUCUUUCCACCGUGUUCACCGCGCCGCCUGCCGUGCCCCUCGCAGCGCGCACGCCCACCACCGCGCCAGCCCCCGCUCCGCGCCCUCUCCUGCACGCUUGUGCGCGCAUGACCCUAGCCGCGCCCACGCCGUGAUCCCCUUGUCCCGCGCUCGCCGCGGCCCCCAUGCUCCCCUGUGCCCUCUUUUGGGGGUGUCGGCUGCCCCUGUCCCGCAGCUCGCUGGCAUGUGUCCCCGCCCGCGCCUCGCCACCGCUCUACAGCUACGCUACUAUUGCGCUGUGGCCGCCGCCGCUUCCCGCUGCUCUGCCAGCGCCAAAGCUCCCGGUUGGCCCUGCCGCUGCUCGCAUUUAACCGCCGGCCUAAGCGGCCUAACCUCCCCCCCCCCUCGCUAAUGAACCCCCACCAACCCGCUGACACCGGGACCCACAUCCCCUAAUUAACCAUUUAAUAAAUUAAAACUCUUAAAUUAACAUUAGUGUAUGACAUGUGGGUCCCCUAUUAAUUAAACUGAUUUAAUUAAAAUCUAUUAACUUUGAGUCUAUGACAUAUGGGCCCCACUAAACAUUUGACCAGUCAACGGUCCAGUCAAAUGCUGACCGGACAGUUGACCAGAGGGCCCCGCCAGUCAGCCAAUGUGUUGUUCUGCUGGGUACCUUUCUAAGUACACCUAGCAUUUUGCAUUUACAAUAUUUGUUUUAAAAUAAAUUAGAAUAAUUUCAAAAAAAUAUUAAAACUUUUAAAAUUAAAAUAAAUAAUCCGUAACUCGGAUGAAAUUACUUUAUACAUGGAACUUGCUCAAAAAACGAGACGAAUCCGAAUACACAGUCCGUUCGUCUGCCACGCGUCCCUAGCAUAGCGAACAUGCAACCAUCCCCCUCCGGUUCGACUGUCCGAAAAAUUAUUAUUGCACAUGCCCGCUAAGAGGUUGGCUGUAUAUGACAUGACAACUUCUUAUAGCCGACCCUUGGCUGUAUUAUUAACCAUGCUCUUAGUGAGGUAGCUAGUAUAUCAUAGACGACUAGCUAGUAUCAGACUGGCCAAAGUGGGAGUAACUUCAGCAGUAACAUCGACUCCAACUCAGCAAACUUGCUUAUGUGGGAGUAAACCUUGUCCAAUGCAAAAUAGAAUCCCAGUCGUAAUUUUUUCAGGAAACGUGUGGGAUCCCAAACGAAAAGCACACAUCACUCUUGCGGCAACCGUCGGUGACACCCAAUAAAUCACAAACGGUCUGCAGCACUUGUAUGUGUGCAAAGGGGCUCCUGAACCGUUUGUGAUAGAACAUUAUCGCAGACGGUAAUUGUUGGCAAACGUGUGCGAUGGAGUCUAGCAUGGCAGACGGGUUACGCAGAAAACUCGUGUGCGAUGGGGCACAAAUCGCACACAGUUCAUAUGUUGGCCCAUGUGCCUUACAUACUAUUUCCCAAAUGGUUUGUUACGACAGACCGUAUCGUUUCAGUGCGUCAUUAGAAACGCUUAAUCACUGAUACCACACGUGCGAUAGAAUUUAGUGCGUGCUGCAUCGCACACGAUUACAUUUUGGAAGGCCUCUGGAUCACUGCUCCAUAUCCCCGACGGUUUCUGGGCCGUGUGGGAAGGACACCCUAUCGCACACACUCACUUGGCGACGGUUCCAAAUGCUGUUGCGGAAAGGGGUUAAAAACAGUUUGUUUAGGACCGACGCAUACCAGUGUCUAUCUAUCUAUCUAUCUAUCUAUCUAUCCAUCUAUCUAUCUAUCUAUCCAUCUAUCUAUCUCAAUCCACCUAUCUAUCUAUCCAUCUAUCCAUCUAUCUAUCUCUCCAUCUAUCCAUCUAUCUAUCCAUCUAUCCAUCCAUCUACUAUCCAUCUAUCUAUCCAUCCAUCUAUCUAUCUCUCUCUCUCUAUCUAUCUAUCUAUCUAUCUAUCUAUCUAUCUAUCUAUCUAUCUAUCUAUCUAUCUAUCUGUCUGUCUAACUAUCUAUCUGUCUAUCUAUCUAUCCAUCUAUUCAUCUAUCUAUCUAUGUAUCCAUUUAUCCAUUGAUCCAUCUAUCGAUCCAUCCAUCUAUCCAUCCAUCUAUCCAUCCAUCUAUCUAUCCAUGUAUCCAUGUAUCCAUCUAUCCAUCUAUCCAUCUAUUGAUCUAUCCAUCUAUCUAUCUAUCUAUCCAUCUAUCCAUCUAUCGAUCUAUCCAUCUAUCUAUCUAUCCAUCCAUCUAUCCAUCUAUCGAUCUAUCGGUCUAUCCAUCUAUCGAUCUAUCCAUCUCUCCAUCUACCCAUCUACCCAUCUAUCCAUCUAUCCAUCUAUUCAUCUACCGAUCUAUCUAUCCAUCUAUCUAUCUAGCUAUCUAGCUAUCUAUCAAUCUAUCUAGCUAUCUAGCUAUCUAUCUAUCUAGUUAUCUAGCUAUCUAUCAAUCUACCUACCUACCUACCUACCUAUCUAUCUAUCUAUCUAUCUAUCUAAAGGAAAUAUGCCCUAGAUGCAAUAAUAAAGUUGUCAUUUACAUUUCCUUAUAUCAUGAUAAACUAGCGGAGUCACCCGCGCAUUUGCGCGGCUAGAUUGACUACAUAUAUUGUUAUAUUUGGGAUUAUUUUUCUAUGCCAAUUUUAUGGCCUCUUACUCAGAUAUUAUCUAAUUGAAUUUACCACCACCAUAUGUUAUAUCCAUAGAUUAUAAUUAAAAGGCAACUUCCGACGAAACAUAGACAGAUUAUUGAGUGCUCAGUAGACGGACGCAAUAUCAUAUAUAGACUUCUAUACCAAUCUUCAUGGUUCCCAUCUUUGAUCCUCUCCUCGUCCCUUGGUAUCUAUCUUUGCACCCAAUAUGUCUUUGGAGUUCCAAGAAUUGAAUCUUAGCAUGAAUGGCUUCAAUGUGUACCAAAUGUUCUCUUGUUCCUCCCAAAUUAAUUACUGGUUGCAUUCUUAGUUGCUUUGACAUUCUUGGUUAAUGCAAUGUCUUGCCUACCAAUAUAUGCAUCCACACACGAUCAUAUUUAUAUGACCACUUACCUCUGUAUUCUGGUAUUUGUGCUUCAGAAUUUUUCUCUCAUUCAGUUUAUUCAUAGAUUAAAAACGUCGAUCGUUUCUUUAUUGGUUUGCAUUAUCUUGUUUGCCGAACGUAAGCAUCCACACAUGCUCGUCAUGAUAUGAUUGGUCAUCAUUGUAUAUUUGUAUUUGUGUGUUGAUAGCUUAAGGAUUUUCUCGGAUUCACUUCAUAGUUUAAGGAUUUUCUCGCGUUCAAUUUAUUCUACCUUAUUCAUUUUCAUGUUUCUUUAUUGCAUUUAUAUCAAUUCUUACAAUAUAUUUUCCAAGAUAUGAACUCAACUGCUAAUUACGUAGUUUUUCAUCAAAAAUUACAUGUAAAAAUGUUACAAAUGCAUAAACAUGAUAAAAAUAUAUAUCAUAUUCCAUUGAGAGAUCGCCCAUUUAAAAAAAACACGUUGACUUACAAAAAGGACAAUUCAAGCUGCAUGUACGUCCGACUCAUGUUUACCUGACAAUGUCGAUGUUGAUUUCAGCAGUAAAUGAGCUGUGUGUGACCUUUGCGCUUUCCGGUAUUCUUCUAACCUGUGUGCUUUAUGAUCAGUUUGUUGUGCUUAGUACUGGACACUGGAGUAUACUAUCAUAUUUGGUACAAAUAAAUCUGAACUACUAUAGUUAUGAUCCACUCUAUAGUUAAUGGUGGUGGUAAUUAAUAUAUGUGGUUAAAUACUUGCGCUCCUUAGGUGGGGAGUUGGAUUUGUAUUUCCCUAAAAUAAAUUUCAGAUUUCGUAAUAGUGGUGAAGCCAGCCGGAAGAACCUCUGCGUCAUUAUUAAUUUUGGUGAUAUUUUUCUUCAUAGUGUAGAAUAAUUUUAGUGCUUAUUCCGCAAAAAAUAUGGCCUCAACUAACCCCAUAGCUUGUAUGUUGCGCCACCACUGUUUCCUAUAUCUUAUUACAUCCGUUGUUUUUAGAUCUUGAUGCAUAACUUUGACAAUUUUUAAUAGAUAUGUGUCUGCAUAAAAAAUUAUAAAUGCUAUGAUAAUUUGAUUAAUUAUGAUGAAUAAAAUGUUAUUGCUCUGACUUGAUCCCUCUAGAAUUUUCCAAAAUUUCACAUUACUGUUGUAGUAGUGCAUGCUACCUCUUCAGCACUGCGUUAGUUUUCCCUUGAAGAGGAAAGGGUGAUGCAGUAAAUCAGCGUCAGUAUUUCCCUCAGUUUUUGAGAACCAAGGUAUCAAUCCAGUAGGAGGCAACACACGAGUCCCUCGCACCUACACAAACAAAUAAAAUCCUCGCAACCAACGCAAUAAAGGGGUUGUCAAUCCCUUCACGGUCACUUACGAAAGUGAGAUCUGAUAGAUUUGAUAAGAUAAUAUUUUUGGUAUUUUUAUGAUAAAGAUGCAACGUAAAGAAAGCAAAAUAAAAACAACGCCAGAAAUAGCUUGUUGACGGGAGAUUAAAUAUGAUGGAAAAUAGACCGGGGGCCAUAGGUUUCACUAGUGGCUUCUCUCGAGAGCAUAAGUAUUUCGGUGGGUAGACAAAUUACUGUUGAGCAAUUGACAGAAUUGAGCAUAGUUAUGAGAAUAUCAAGGUAUGAUCAUGUAUAUAGGCAUCACGUCCGAGGCAAGUAGCCCGACUCCUGCCUGCAUCUACUACUAUUACUCCACACAUCAACCGCUAUCCAGCAUGCAUCUAGAGUAUUAAGUUCAAAAGAACAGAGUAACGCUUUAAGUAAGAUGACAUGAUGUAGAGGGAUAAACUCAUGCAAUAUGAUAUAAACCCCAUCUUGUUAUCCUCGAUGGCAACAAUACAAUACGUGCCUUGCUGCCCCUACUGUCACUGGGAAAGGACACCGCAAGAUUGAACCCAAAGCUAAGCACUUCUCCCAUCGCAAGAAAGAUCAAUCUAGUAGGCCAAACCAAAUUGAUAAUUCGAAGAGACUUGCAAAGAUAACCAAUCAUACAUAAAAGAAUUUAGACAAGAUUCAAAUAUUGUUCAUAGAUAAACUUGAUCAUAAACCCAUAAUUCGUCGGUCUCAACAAACACACCGCAAAAGAAGAUUACAUCGAAUAGAUCUCCACAAGAGGGGGGGAGAACAUUGUAUUGAGAUCCAAAAAGAGAGAAGAAGCCAUCUAGCUAAUAACUAUGGACCCGAAGGUCUGAGGUAAAGUACUCACACAUCAUCGGAGAGGCUAUGGUGUUGAUGUAGAAGUCCUCCGUGAUCGAUGCCCCCUUCGGCGGAGCUCCGGAAAAGGCCCCAAGAUGGGAUCUCACGGGUACAGAAGGUUGCGGCGAUGGAAUUAGGUUUCAUUCCGUUUGGACUCGGUUUGAUAUUCUUUUUCUGUGAAACUCUGAACUAGGCAAAAAACAGCAAUUCUGGGGUGGGCCUCCGGUUAAUAGGUUAGUCCCAAAAAUAAUAUAAAAGUGUAUAAUAAAGCCCAUUAAUGUCUAAAACAGAAUAUAAUAUAGCAUGGAACAGUUAAAAAUUAUAUAUACGUUGGAGACGUAUCAAGCAUCCCCAAGCUUAAUUCCUGCUCGUCCUCGAGUAGGUAAAUGAUAAAAACAGAAUUUUUAAUGUGGAAUGCUACUUCGAAUAAUUUCAAUGUAAUUCUCUUAAUUGUGGUAUGAAUAUUCAGACCCGAAAGAUUCAAGACAAAAGUUUAAUAUUGACAUCAAAAUAAUAAUACUUCAAGCAUACUAACUAAGCAAUUAUGUCUUCUCAAAAUCAUAUAGUCUAGCUAUGCUCUAUCUUCACCACACAAAGUAUUUAAAUUAUGCACAACCCCGAUGACAAGCCAAGCAAUUGUUUCAUACUUUUGAUGUUCUCAAACUUUUUCAAUCUUCACAGAAUACAUGAGCAUGAGCCAUGGACAUAGCACUAUAUGUGGAAUAGAAUGGUGGUUGUGGAGAAGACAAAAAAGGAGAAGAUAGUCUCACAUCAACUAGGCGUAUCAACGGGCUAUGGAGAUGCCCAUUAAUAGAUAUCAAUGUGAGUGAGUAGGAAUUGCCAUGCAACGGAUGCACUAGAGCUAUAAGUAUAUGAAAGCUCAACAAAAGGAACUAAGUGGGUGUCCAUCCAACUCGCUUGCUCAUGAAGACCUAGGGCAUUUUGAGGAAACCCAUCAUUGGAAUAUACAAGCCAAGUUCUAUAAUGAAAAUUUCCCACUAGUACAUGAAAGUGAUAUCAUAGGAGACUCUCUAUCAUGAAGAUCACGGUGCUACUUUGAAGAACAAGUGUGGUAAAAGGAUAGUAACAUUGUCCCUUCUCUCUUUUUCUCUCAUUUUUUAUUUGGGUCUUUUAUCCUUUUUUUAUGGCCUCUUUUUUUAGUCCGAAGUCUCAUCCCGACUUGUGGGGGAAUCAUAGUCUCCAUCAUCCUUUCCUCACUUGGGACAAUGCUCUAAAAAAAUGAUGAUCAUCACACUUUUAUUUACUUACAACUCAAUACUUAGAACAAAAUAUGACUCUAUGUGAAUGCCUCUGGCGGUAUACCGUGAUAUGCAAUGAAUCAAGAGUGACAUGUAUGAAAGAAUUAUGAACGGUGGCUUUGCCACAAAUACAAUGUCAACUACAUGAUCAUGGAAAGCAAUAUGACAAUGAUGGAGUGUGUCAUAAUAAACUGAACGGUGGUAAGUUGCAUGGCAAUAUAUCUCGCAAUGGCUAUGGAAAUGCCAUGACAGGUAGGUAUGGUGGCUGUUUUGAGGAAGGUAUAUGGUGGGUGUAUGAUACCGGCGAAAAGUGCGCGGUAUUAGAGAGGCUAGCAAUGGUGGAAGGAAGAAAGUGCGUAUAAUCCAUGGACUCAACAUUAGCCAUAAAGAACUCAUAUACUUAUUGCAAAAAUCUACAAGUUAUCGAAGCAAAGUAUUACCCGCAUCAUCCUAGGGGGAUAGAUUGGUAGGAAAAGACCAUCGCUCGUCCCCGACCGCCACUCAUAAGGAAGACAAUCAAUAAAUAAAUCAUGCUCCAACUUCAUCACAUCACGGUUCACCAUACGUGCAUGCUAAGGGAAUCACAAACUUUAACACAAGUAUUUCGCAAAUUCAAAACUACUCAACUAGCAUGACUCUAAUAUCACCAUCUCCAUAUCUCAAAACAAUUAUCAAGUAUCAAACUUCUCAUAGUAUUCAACACACUCAUAAGAUUUUUUUACUAAUCUUGAGUGCCUAUCAUAAUUAAAGCAAAUUACCACACUGUUUUGUAGGACUAUCAAAAUAAUCUAAGUGAAUCAUGAGAGAACAAUAGUUUCUAUAAAACAAAACCACCACCGUGCUGUAAAAGAUAUACGUGAAGCACUAGAGCAAAAACUAUAUAGCUCAAAAGAUAUAAGUGAAGCACAUAGAGUAUUCUAACAAUUUCCGAAUCAUGUGUGUCUCUCUCAAAAGGUGUGUACUGCAAGGAUUAGUGUGGCAAACUAACAAAUAAAGACUUCAAAUAAUACAAGACGCUCCAAGCAAAACACAUAUCAUGUGGUGAACAAAAAUAUAGCUCCAAGUAAAGUUACCGAUGGAAGUAGACGAAAGAGGGGAUGCCUUCCGGGGCAUCCCCAAGCUUUGGCUUUUAGUUGUCCUUAGAUUAUCUUGGGGUGCCAUGGGCAUCCCCAAGCUUAGGCUCUUGCCACUCCUUGUUUCAUAAUCCAUCAAAUCUUUCAUCCAAAACUUGAAAACUUCACAACACAAAACUGAGCAGAAAAUCUCGUGAGCUCCGUUAGCAAAAGAAAAGAAAACACCACUUCAAGGUACUGUAAUGAACUCAUUCUUUAUUUAUAUUGGUGUUAAACCUACUGUAUUCCAACUUGUCUAUGGUUUAUAUACUAUUUUACUAGCCAUAGAUUCAUCAAAAUAAGCAAACAACACACGAAAAACAUAAUCUGUCAAAAACAGAACAGUCUGUAGUAAUCUAUAACUAACGCAAUUUUCUGCGACUCCAAAAAUUGACCCAAAAUAGGAAGACCUAGCCAAUUUUUUUAUUUAUCAGCAGCAAUUGGAAUCAAUAUUUUAUCACGUCCUGGUGAUUUUUAACAAUUAUUUUCGUGAACAGAAAGUUUCUGGAAUUUUCAGCAAGAUCAAAUAACUAUCAUCCAAGAAGAUCCUAUAGGUUAACCUUGGCACAAACACUAAUUAAAACAUAAAAACACAUGUAACCAGAGGCUAGAUCAAAUAUUUAUUCCUAAACAAAAGAAAAAAGCAAAAAAACUAAAAAUAAAAUUGGGUUGCCUCCCAACAAGCGCUAUCGUUUAACGCCCCUAGCUUGGCAUAAUAGCAAGGAUAGAUCUAGGUAUUGCCAUCUUUGGUAGGCAAUCCAUAAGUGGCUCUCAUAAUAGAUUCAUAAGGUAAUUUUAUUUUAUUUCUAGGGAAGUUUUCCAUGCCUUUCCUUAAUGGAAAUUGGAAUCUAAUAUUCCCUUGCUUCGUAUCAAUAAUUGCACCAAUCGUUCUAAGGAAAGGUCUACCAAGAAUAAUAGGACAUGAAGGAUUGCAAUCUAUAUCAAGAACAAUAAAAUCUACAGGCACAUAAUUCCUAUUUGCAACAAUAAGAACAUCAUCAAUUCUUCCCAUAGGUUUCUUAAUGGUGGAAUCCGCAAGGUGCAAGUUUAAAGAGCAAUCAUCAAAAUCACGGAAACCUAGCAAAUCGCACAAAGUCUUUGGAAUCGUGGAAACAGUAGCACCCAAAUCACACAAAGCAUAGCAUUCAUGAUCUUUAAUUUUUAUUUUAAUAGUAGGUUCCCACUCAUCAUAAAGUUUUCUAGGGAUAGAAACUUCCAACUCAAGUUUUUCUUCAUAAGAUUGCAUCAAAGCAUCAACGAUAUGUUUAGUAAGGCUUUAUUUUGACUAUAAGCGUGUGGAGCAUUUAGCACGGAUUGCAACAAGGAAAUACAAUCUAUCAAAGAGAAAUUAUCAUAAUUAAAUUCCUUUAAAUCCAAAAUAGUGGGUUCAUUAAUAUCUAGAGUUUUGAUUUCUUCAAUCCCACUUUUACCAAUUUUUGCAUCAAGAUCUAAAAACUCAGAAUUUUUGGAAUGCCUUCUAGGUAGAGGUGGAUCAUAUUCAGUCCCAUCAUUAUCAAGAUUCAUAUUGCAAAACAAAGAUUUAAUAGGGGACACAUCAAUAACUUUUAGAUCUUCAUCUUUAUUUUCAUAGAAACUAGAAGAACACGCUUUCACAAAACAAUCUUUCUUAGCACGCAUCCUAGCGGUUCUUUCUGUGCACUCAUCAAUGGAAAUUCUCAUGGCCUUGAGAGACUCAUUGAUAUCAUGCUUAGGAGAAAUUCUAUCAGCGUUCCUAGCCAAUUCAUCAACUUUAAGCAAUUUUUCUUCAAGCAAAGCAUUGAAAUUGUUUUGCGAAUUCAUAAAUUCUUUAACACUAGUCUCAAAUUCAGAAGGCAUCUUAUUAAAAUUUCCAUAAUAAUUGUUGUAGGAAUUACCAUAAUUAUUAGAGGAAUUACUAGGAUACGGCCUUGGAUUAAAGUUUCCUCUAUACGCGUUGUUACCAAAAUUAUUCCGACCAACAAAAUUCACAUCCAUAGAUUCAUUAUUAUUCUCAAUAAAAGUAGACAAAGGCAUAUCAUUAGGAUCAGAAGAAACACUUUUAUUAGCAAAUAAUUUCAUAAGUUCAUCCAUCUUUCCACUCAAAACAUUAAUUUCUUCUAUCGCAUGCACUUUUUUAUUAGUGGAUUUUUCGGUGUGCCAUUGAGAAUAAUUAACCAUAAUAUUAUCUAGGAGUUUAGUAGCUUCUCCUAAAGUGAUUUCCAUAAAAGUGCCUCCCGCGGCCGAAUCUAAAAGAUUUCUAGAAGAAAAAUUCAAUCCGGCAUAAAAUUUUUGUAUAAUCAUCCACAAAUUCAAACCAUGAGUAGGGCAAUUACGUAUCAUUAAUUUCAUCCUCUCGCAAGCUUGUGCAACAUGUUCAUGAUCAAGUUGCUUAAAAUUCAUAAUAUCAUUUCUAAGAGAGAUGAUCUUAGCGGGGGGGAAAUACUUAGAGAUAAAAGCAUCUUUGCACUUAUUUCAAGAAUCACUACUAUUUUUAGGCAAAGACGAAAACCAAGCUUUAGCACGAUCUCUAAGUGAAAAAGGAAAUAGCUUCAAUUUAACAAUAUCAUUGUCCACAUCUUUCUUCUUUUGCAUAUCACACAAAUCAACGAAGUUGCCAUGUCUAGGAAUGCUUGAAGCUUCAAAGAUUUCCUAUAAUACAACAUGCCUCUAACUAUUCACAAAAAGAAAAACAUGUAAAUGCGGAAUCAACCAAAUGAUGGUAAAUUGUAGUUGAUUUUGGCCAAGCAAACGUCAGAUGAAAGAAACAUACAUGAGUGAACAUCACGAUUGGAUGUUUUAUUCAAAUUUAACAGGUUAAACUCACCAAAUCCAUCUGGAUAUUUAGUAUUAAACUUCAACAGAUGGUCAGUUGUAGCUAGAUUCACACCACUGCAGCAAAAUUCCAUCUGCCACGGUUACAUCACACCAUCUUUUCAUCGUUACUAUUUAAAUUCCAAAUGCCUGCAACUCAUUUUUUUUGUUACGAUGUAUGCAUGAUUUUUAACUCAAGAGGAAGAGGGGAAACUAAAUCCAAGAAAAGAACACCAAGGAAGCAUCCAAAAUAGAGAAAGGAAAAAUCCAAAAUAGAGGCAGAAUCGAAGGGAAGAAACCCCAUAAAAAAUAGGAGAUCAAACGGUGAAAAAAAUCUAAGAGUCAAACAAUUCCAGGUAAGACCAAAUCGACGGCAAAAUAGCACAAGAGGGACUCACAUUAACAGGUAUACCAGGUAUACCAAUUCAGAAAGAAGUGUAAAGCGAACAGUGCAAUGGACCACUAGUAUAAAUUGGAUGUACACAAACAUGGGACUUAAACAGGAACUGCGAGAUGCAGGGUUCAUGUGCAAACCCAAAAAACGGAAAACUGAAACCCACAACAAGAUUUUAUCUUCAUAUAUAUAUAUAUAUAUAUAUAUAUAUAUAUAUAUAUAUAUAUAUUCAAGGCUCGCCCUAUCUAUUAGUUGCUUCUUGCGAAUCCCCACCUAUCAAGCGUUUUCUCUGAAUAAACAAACACAAUAGUAUUCUCUGAAUUAUACUGUACAACGGUAAUUAACCAAGCGACUGGAAUUAACAAUAUUAUGAGCUACUGGCUUUUUAGUCAGGUAAAUAUCAUUCUUAAGACUACGGAAAACAGCAGGCGGCGAAGAAAACAUCUAUUGAUGAGAACUAUGCACAUACUUAAGAAGGAAGUGACAUCUAUGGUAGCAGAACAUAUAUCAAGCUGUUGCAGCUACAUUAGCAGUUUAGCACAGUUCCUCCAUAAUACACAGGCUAGUGUAAUUUCACAAAUACAAUAAGCUAACAAUAUAUAUUUGGUAGAUGGAAAUGGCUGGAUCAUGACCAAUAUACCAUUACACAUCCGAUGAUGCAAAUAAAGAAACGAGGCCCAACAAUAGUGGAAAAUAAACCACAAUAGAACAUGUAUUUGGCGAAACCUCCGUACUGCAAUAUCAAACAUGAAUUGAAAUUAACAAUCUAGCAAAAAAACAUGACAGAUGCAGUCUUGGUCAUUUUUCCUUUUGUGACAUCCCCUAAAAAAAGUAAAAACAAUGUUGUUCGUAUUUUACCAGAGAUACACUGAGCUGGGACAAAUCGGUCUGAAAUAAAAUAUGAUGGCUUCGGAGGAUUCGAAAGGCAAGAAAUUUGCUUUCUUCCAACUUAUAUGGUCUGCUGAACUAAACUUCGUUUCAGCGGGCUUUGGCAAAAAUCUGUAACUGCAUACAUCAACUUGUGUGCCCUUCCUACGUCAAACUUUAAACCUGAUGGAUUAAAUAUUUUAGGUUAGGCUGAGAUCAGUGUACUUUAUGAGUGUUAAGUGUACUUUCUAAAUAGCAGAGAAACCAUAACAUCUAAGCACAACCCAGCAACUUGUACAAGCUAACAUCAAAUCUGAAAGAGGAAAUGUCGAGAACAGGUGAAGGUACCAUGAUCCACGACUGAGCAAAGUUAUCUAUAAUGCUCGGUGAAUAUCAUAAAUUAGGAUCAACUACGCUGAAGAACAAACGGGAAAGGAACCUAGAAAGAUCUUCUGCCGGUAGAAUAUAACUGAUACACUAUCCUCAUUCUCGAGAUCAAGGUCGUUUCUUGAAUUGCAGUUUCCUCACUGUAGUAUGGGGUCAUUACACUGCGAAGAACAAAGUGUCAUAUGAAUCAUUUAGAGCCCAAUAUUUUUCACUGAAACUCUUAUGAUCACAUAACGAAUUUAAACAUAAGGUUUAUUAGAUAUUUGUUGUUGUGAACAGAUAAUAUAUUUCUGGUGUUGACAAUGUUUUGAUUAUGGAUGCACUUCAAGAUGGGUGGCAAAGAUUCUGUUGUACAGGCCUCCACCUGGAAUUUCAUCACUUGUUAUUUUUGUUUUAGAAUGUCUAGGUGCAUUUUUCCUUUAAGGUGGAAACAGAUGUACUUGUAUAAGCAACAAGAAUACAAAGCGCCACUGCCAUACAUUGUGGAAGUUCAGUGCUUCUGUUUACAAAAUCUGCUUCAAAAAACAGAAGGAUUUAUAAUUUUUCAUUACAAUCAAGCGGACAUGAGCUGAUGAGUACAGAUGUAGACAUGUACUGAGAGCAGCACCCUUUCAAAAGUGGAUCAUUUACAUGUUGGAUAGUUUGAUGGUCUGAAAUUAGUGGUCGUGUUUCAGAAUUGUUAUCGAAUAGUAGGGGAUAUAUAUUAACUUCUGAAAUUAGUGGCUGUUUGUCAGAACUGUUAUCGAAUAACAGAGCACAUAUAUUAACUUCAAUAAGUGGAGUAAUAUCUUUGGAUUCGCUGUGAGGAAAGAUUACCAAAACAAAACAGAAGUGAGUGCGACGAACCAGAUGAGGGCGCUCUUGAGCCUCUUCCCGACCGACCUAGAUGCAGGAGCAGAACAGGGCGGAUCUAAUCAGCCAACGAAUAAAGCCGAGGCAGGUAGAGGAAGUAAGGGGGGAAGAAGACUGACUUGUCCUGGUCGCCCUCGUAGUAGAACCUGUGUUUUGAUUUUCGGCCGAAAAAAGAGGAUUUCGGCUGAAUUUCGGCCAUCUCGGCCUGGGGCGAAAAGUGUAUUUAGGCCGAAAUUGUUCAAAUUUAGCAAAUUUUGGUCAAAUUUAAGUCAAAUUGCAGUCAAAAUUUGGUCAAAUUUCAGCCGAAAUUUUUGAAAAUGGCUGAAAUUCGGCCAUCUCAGCCUAGGGAGGAAAAAAAGCUCAAACCGAAAAUCAAAACACAUAGUAGAACAUGGCGAACAGGAUGACGAGGAAGACGAGGACAGCGUCGAGGAUGUAGACGACGAGCCAGAGCGUGUUCAUGGGCAGGAUCAAGCAUGGGCAGGAUAAGGGCGCAGGCCCCGUUGUAGGCGGCGUGCUUGCAGGCCUGGCAGUUGGCGACGUCGGCGGGGAGCAUGAGGAUGGAGAGGACGGCGACGGUGAUGCCGAGCACGACGACGAGCUUGAGGAAGUAGGCCUGGUUGGCAUCAUCCGGGUGCUGGUAGUUGACGAGCAGGUAGACGCUGACGAGGAGCACCAGGAUGCUGACCACCGCCGCCACGAUCACUAGCGCCACGUUAAAAACCCCAUCUCCUCGGGGCUCCGGUCCCGGUUCCGGCCCGCCGCCUCGCCCCCGUUGGUCGGUCAGAUCUCUCUGUCCCUAGAGGCGGGGGGAUACAGGCUAGGGUUUGGGCGUGGGCGGGGAAUAGGCUGCUAUGGUGCCUGCAGCGGGGCGUGUAGGAGAGAAGGAUUAGGAGGAAUAAUUCACCACACUUUGAUUAAGCUCUGGGAUGGGUCUUAUGUACAGAUUACAGGGCCAGCCAGGGAGAUCAUGGGGUGAUCCACUACCUGGGAUCGUGCGCCACGAUCACUACAUGCGUGCGCCACGAUCAUAUACACACACGCUACACCUAGUGUCUACGCAACUACGGUAUAGCAGUACAGUACAGCCUAACACCCCCCUCCCCCGGAGUCGUGACGUCGGCGGCGGCGACGCAAAGACUGGACCGGAACUCAGAGAAAACAUCCGAUGGCAGGCCUUUGGUCAUGAUGUCGGCGAGUUGUUGGCGCGUGGGGAUGUGAAGAACACGGAAGUGGCCGAGGGCGACGUGCUCCCGCACGAAAUGGAUGUCCAGCUCCACAUGCUUAGUGCAGCGAUGAUGCACCGGAUUGGCUGACAGGUAGACUACGGACACAUUGUCACAGUACACCAGUGCCGCCUUGGUCACUGGAGCGGAGAGCUCGCCGAGAAGCUGGCGGAGCCAGAUGCAUUCAGCGACCGCGUUGGCGACGCCGCGGUAUUCAGCUUCGGCGCUGGAGCGCGAUACGGUCGCCUGGCGCUUGGAGGACCAGGAGACGAGAGCACCGCCGAGGAAGACGCAGAAGCCCGACGUGGAGCGUCGGGUGUCGGGGCAGCCGGCCCAGUCCGCAUCGGUGAACGCACGGACGUCGAGCGUGGUCGAGGCGCGAAGAUGAAGCCCGAGUGCGCAGGUGCCCUUCACGUACCGGAGCACGCGCUUUACGAGCGCGAGGUGGCAUUAGCGCGGGUCAUGCAUGUGCAAGCAGAUUUGCUGGACAGCGUAGGCGAUCUCUGGACGCGUGAUGGUGAGGUACUGCAGGGCCCCGGCGAUGCUCCGAUAGGCCGAGGGGUCGUCGACGCAGGGCCCAUCGGCUGAGGGGAGUUUGCUCUUCGUGUCGGUGGGUGUCGGGGAAGGGCGGCAGGUGUCCAUGCCGGCGCGUUCCAGGAGCUCGUCGGCAUAUUGUUGUUGCGACAGGAAGAAGCCAGCUCGGGUGCGGGUGACGCGGAUGCCGAGGAAGAAGGCGAGCGAGCGCAGGUCCUUCAUGGCGAAUUCGCCUGUGAGGCGCUGGAUGACAUGGUGAAGCACGCGUGACGAGGACGCGGUGAGCACGAUGUCGUCGACGUAGAGGAGGAGGAACGCCAUGUCGUUGCCGUGCCGGAAGGUGAACAGCGAUGAGUCCGAACGCGUAGCUGCGAAGCCAAUGGAGCGGACGAAGCCGGCGAAGUGGAGGAACCAGGCACGGGGCGCCUGCUUGAGCCCGUACAAGGACUUGGAGAGGCGGCAGACGUGCUCUGGUUUGUCGGGGUCGACGAAUCCGGCGGGCUGGAGGCACUAGACUUCCUCCUCCAAGUUGCCGUCGAGGAAGGCGUUGGAGACGUCGAGGUGGUGCACCGGCCAGCCGCGCGACGCGGCCAGAGUGAGCACCGUGUGGAUCGUCGCUGGCUUGAUGACGGGGGAGAACGUCUCGCCGUAGUCGACGCCAGCACACUGAUGAAAGCCCCGCACGACCCAGCGUGCUUUGUUGCGGGCCAGCGCGCCGUCGGCGUCGUUUUUGUGCUUGAAGAUCCACUUCCCUGUGAUCAGGUUGGCGCCGGGCGGGCGGGGCACCAGCUCCCACGUGCGAUUGCGCACUAGCGCAUCGUACUCAGCACGCAUGGCACCGAGCCAGUUCGGGUCGCGAACAGCAGCGCGAACCGAACGCGGCACCGGCGACACCGAUGAUGAGGUAGAGGCGGUGACCGCGUCGUAGUAGCGCGGGUUGGGGCGGAAGAUGCCGCGCUGGGCACGCGUGACCAUGGGCACAGGAGGCGCCGGUGCGCGGGGCGCCGCUGGUGGCGCGCUCGGAGACGAGCUGUCGGAGGAGCCGCUGGCGGAGUUGUCGGAGGAGCCGCUGGCGGACACGAAGACAGGCGGACCAGGCGCGGAUGGGCACGUCGAGGACGGAGCCGAGCCGCCAUCGGAAGCGCCCGCAGCGUACCGCGAGCUGACGCGGCGCGCCCCGCUGGUUGGCGAGGAUGAGCGGGGCAGGCCGGUGAUGGAGAUCGGGCGCGCCGGCAGCACGGGUGACAUGCUGCUGUCAGGCACCGGUGGAAGCGCGGGCAGCGCAGGAGGCCGGACGACGAGCGGGAUCUGCAGGGUAGAGGGUACGACGGGUGGCGUAGGCGACGGGGAAGAGGAUGCGAACGGGAAAACGUGUUCGUGGAAGAGAACGUGGCGAGACGUGAGGACGCGGCGAGAGGUGAGGUCAAAGCAGCGAAAACCACGAUGAUCGGGAGGGUACCCGAGGAAGACGCAGGCGAUAGAACGUGGCUCGAGCUUAUGAUGGGUGGUGGCGGUGACGUUCGGAUAGCAGAGGCAUCCAAAGACGCGGAGCUGCGAGUAAUCUGGGGCGACGCCGAGCAGGAGUUCGUGCGGAGUGCAGGGCGCCGAGGCAGGGCCGACGAUUGAGCAGGUAGGUCGAGGUGUUGAGAGCCUCGGCCCAGAAGCGAGCGGGCAUGUGCGCAUGACAGAGAAGCACACGAACGCCAUCGUUGAUCGUGCGGAGAACUCGCUCGUCCUUGCCGUUCUGCUGACUGGCGUAUGGGCAGGUGAGACGGAAGUUUGUGCCGUGGCGAGCAAGCAGAGAGCGCAUGGCUGCGCUGUCGAAUUCACGACCAUUGCCCGUUUGCAGUGCAAGUACGGGUAACUGAAACUGAGUCUGAACAUAGGCAAAGAAAUCAACAAGUAUGGGAGGAACUUCAGACUUGUGUUUCAGAGGGAAAGUCCAGACAUAGUGACUGAAAUCAUCUAGUACAACUAAGUAAAACUGAUAGCCGGAUAUGCUUACAACGGGAGGGGUCCAUACAUCAAGGUUUAAAAGUUGGAAAGGAAAGAAACUAGCAGUGGUGGAUGUCUGAAACGGGAGCCAGGUGUGUUUGCCAACACGACAGGCAUGACAGACAGGCGGAUCACGGCAGAACUCCAGGGACUGAUCGGCAGCAACGGUGUGGAGUGCGGCAGCCCCUGGGUGGCCGAGACGUUGAUGCCACAGGUCGGUCGUGGCGGAGCCGGCGAAGAUGCCCGGGGAAUGGACGGAUGGCCGCACCACGGGAUAGAGAUCGCCGUCGGAGUCAGAUCGGAGAAUCACCACCCUGGUUCGUAGGUCCUUGACAGAGAAACCACGAGCGUCAAAUUCAACAGAAACGGGGUAGGAACGACAAAGCUGCCGAACUGAAAGUAGGUUUUUGACGAUAGAUGGAGAGACGAGAACGUUGCGGAGAGGAAUGGGGGAAGUGCUGGUGAUCAGUGCGCCCGUGCCAACGUGGGUGAUGGGCAGGCGCUCACCACUGCCCACGAUGAUAGAUGCAGCAGUAGAGGACGGGCGAGUGGAGAGGAGAUUACCAGGGGAGGACGUCAUGUGCGCCGCGGCGCCGGAGUCGAGGUACCACUCCGGUGCGCUGCCAGAGGAGGAAGGGCUGGCCGAGGCGCUGUGGAGGGCGGCCUGGAGCGAGGCCAUGUCCCAUGGCUGGUGGGUUGCAGUCGACGAGCUGGCGCCGGGGUGCCCGUAGCCUGACAGGACGCCGGAGACGGGUGGAGUGACGCCGUAGCCGGGGAGGGUAGCGCCGUAGCCGUAUGGUGCAGCCAGCGACGGGGCGGCGAACAUGGCCUGCUGGUGCGGCGUACCAGGGCGGGGGCCGAGCACUCCAGCUCCAGGCGCGCGCCAAGGCAUCGGCCAAGCCUGGACCAUGCCGGUCCAUGCGUUGGUGCCAGGUGCAGGCGUGGGGUACGCCGGGGGAGGGCGGGGAGCCUGGGAGGACGGCGUGGGCGGGCCACCACUGCCGUUGCCACGUCCGCGGCGGCAUCCGCGCCCACGCCCUUGGUUGGUGUUGCUGGGCGGGGGUGUGGGUGGUGUAGGAGAGCCGCCACGCCCGGCGACGAGAGCGUGCGCAGACUGCUGGCGAGCGGUCGACUGCUCUGCUCGGUGUUCCUCAAGCAGGAGGAAGGAGCGCACCUGCAGGAACGACGGGAGCGGGACCUGCGAGGUGAGGGAUGGCGGAGUGGAACUGCCGGUUCAGACCGCGGAGCAGGUUGAAGACCUGCCGCGAGUCGGUUACCGGCUGCCCGAGGUCGCAGAGUUGAUCCGUGAACGACUUCAUCUUGGUGCAGUACGCCAUGAUCGACAUGUCGCCCUGAACGACAGCGUGGUACUCGGCGUCGAGGUAGACAGCGCGAGCGAGGUGGUUGUCGCGGAAGAUUCCAUCGACCGCAGUCCAGACGGCCAGAGCAGUGUCGUCCGGCUGCAUGACGGCGUCGAGCAGGUCCGGCGAUAUGGUGGUGUAGAACCAAUGGACGACGACGUGAUCAGCCAUGCCCCACUUGGGAUCAUCGUGGCGGUGCAUGGCCGUGGUGUCGACGUGAGUGCGGAGGCCGAACAUGCCGAUGACGGUGUCGAAGUGGCGGCGCCACUGCGUGUAGUUGCCGGCGAGAAGGUCGAGGGUGACCGGGACAUGACGACGGAUGUCCACGGUCUGCAGGAUCGCGGAGGCGACAGGUGCUGUAGGAGGAGGAAGAGGGAUGACGGGCACUGCGGGCGCGACAGGUGCUAGAGCCGGCGGUGCGUUGGCCAGGGGGACAGCGUUGAGGACGCCGUCGGCGCCGUGCUGCGAGGAGCGAGGGAACACGACGGGGUUUUCAUCCAUGGCGGCGGAAGCGGGACUGGCGACCUGCGCGAAGGGAUUGAGCAGGUCGGGGGAGUCUGAUACCAUAUAGGAAAGAAGGAUUAGGAGGAAUAAUUCACCACACUUUGAUUGAGCUCUCGGUUGGGUCUUAUGUACAGAUUACAGGGCCAGGGAGAUCAUGGGGUGAUCCACUACCUGGGAUCGUGCGCCACGAUCACUAUAUGCGUGCGCCACGAUUAUAUACACACAUGCUACAACUAGUGUCUACGCAACUACGGUAUAGCAGUACAGUACAGUCUAACAGGGCGGCCACCGGCGGGGAGGGCGGGAUCCGCGCGGGGUGGCGGGAUUUGGGCAGGCGGUGGGCUCGGGGGAGGGCGGUGGCAGCGAAGCAGCAAGGAGGGGCUGGAGGAGAUGAAACGAAAGAGGUCGCGUGACACAGCGACAGCGUCGUCCAAUCCCCUCGCUGCCGAUUUAAAAAAAGGUAAUGAUAACUCCCGAACGUUCAGGAGUUAAGCAUGGCAACCCGAACGGGUUUAGAUGGCAAGUUUAGUUUGCGUGAGAUUAGGGAAACAUGGUAAUUUUCUGACAAAAGAAAUGAAAAAGGACGAAGUUGCCAUCCCCUAUCAACUAAAGUUGCCAUCCCCUAUGAACUAAAGUUGCCAUGUAAAAACGUUCGGGACGAAAUGCUCAAAAUCCGAACGUUCGGAAGUUAUUGGAUUCAAAAAAAAUCCCCUUGCUGCCAAUCGCUGGCCCGUUUCUUUUUUCGCCCAAUCGCUAGGUGAUGACGUGGCUAUCACGGGAAGGCGCCCUUGAUGCGUAGUCGAAUGGUUUUAAUUAAUAGGAAGCGAGUGCUUACUCUAGUUACUGAAUUAUGUACACCAAAUAAAGCCAUUUACACGUAGUUAAUGACAAAAAAAGUUGAUGUUUGCUGCGCAAACGUGUAGUACAAAUUAAGAAGUGCAAGAUAAAAAAAAUGCUGGUCCUUGAUUCGUUGUUGAUCGUCAGCAUGCCAUCAUCAAUUUGUAGUUAAUUAUCAUACAAAUUGGCUCUUUCAUAGAGUUGGAGGCUAGCUCCUUUGAUCAGCACGCGCUUAAACAUAAACAGCACGUAUAUGUUUUGUCUCCGGAGUUCAAUUCUUCAUCGGCCAGCAAAAAUGGCCCGACCGGGUAGAGGAAAAGGCAUGUUUGUUAGUACGCCUGGAGGAAAUGCCUUUGAUUAGGGCAUCUUCAACAGCGACCAGUAAAUUUCCUCCCGCGUUCGUCCACGGAUAGGGGAUCAGUCCGCGGAUACGGAUACAGGAAUCAUCCAUCCAACGCUGUCCGCGUAUAUUUCAAACACAUGUUUUUUUGAAAAUAGGAUGAAAUUCAUGCAAACACAAUGGAUUUCAUACAAACCGGACAAAAAUGUUUACAUUUUGGACAUAUUUUUUUUACUAAAAACUCUACAGCCGGUGCCGGCGAAUAUCCACUCCGGCGACAUGGAUACCCUUGACUAGUCUACUGCCGGCCGCAGCGGAUCUCCAAUGUCGUCCCCAUGUCCGGCAGCUAUGAGCCCUAGAGGUAUAUGCUUCAGCGCAAAGAGCGGCUCGCCUCCCUACCGCUCAUCGGAGUGGAACAACCAGCUGAUGCUUCUGCCGAUGGAAAGGGUCCCUACGCUACACAGAUUAGAGUUGGUUUUGGGCUGGGAACGGCGGUGGCCUGCCAGAGCGCAAGAUACCGACUGUGUAUGCUGGUGUCACCUGGUGUGGCAUUCGUGGGACCCAAGCGGCAGCGCCUCCUCGAUGAUGGCGGCGAGCGCGGACGUGUUGGACACCACCUCGUCGAUGUCCGUGCAGCCCGCUUCUUUCUCUGUAGGAAGGACGCGGUUACGCUCGCGUUGACAUCGGAUGACUUGGUCACAUGCACGGGAGGGGCGGUAUGACAUGGCACCGCCAAUGGCAGCCAUGAUGCCCGCGCCACCGUGCUCCCUCCCAGUGCCGACCUGGAGCAACUUGCCACUCCUCGGCUCGUGACCGGUGGGCUUGACAAGCCACCUAGCCAUUUUUUAUGCCAGACAACUCUUCUUCCUGCUCGUCAGAUGUCAUGGAUAAAACUGUUUAAGGAGGAAAAUGAUGAGUGGACGUGUGAUGCGGUUCUUGCCCAACAUCUGACAUUGUUUAAAUAGCGAGGGGACACGAGAGGAGCCAACCGGCGUUCUGUUUAAUGCUAACCGGCUCGCGAAUGAACAUGUGGCCGGAGUAAUUAUCCUGGCACACACGAGGGUUUAAUGGUGGAAGGCGGGCAGUCUGCAGGAAUGAGGCGAGGAUGUGUGCUUAGCCGGCGUGCAGCAGGCGGCGCCCUCGGCCGGCGUGCUGCUUCCAUUGCGGAGGCAGUGAGAGGUCGCGUCCGCUCUGCAGCGCAUGAAUGCGGGCCACUGGCGCAGAGCGGGAACGCGUGCGGGCGAGGGAGGAGGGGGUUUGGGCGGGUGGUUAGAAGAGGUCGUGGGUGUUGUCCGAACGCCUGCAAAUCCCCCCUCCAUGUUUAUCUCCAGUUUGCGGGAGAAAGUACGUCCGGACCGUCUCCAAUGGACCAAUACAGGCACGCAUUGGAUGGCACAACACGUCCGGACCAUGUGGUCCGGAUGGUUGUGAACAGUUUAAUUGAGGGUCGGCGUUGGAGAUGCCUUAGAGUUUAUGAAUCCAUUGUGUUUUUCUAAUCAUAAAAAAGCACUUACAAUAAGUUAUAAGGAAAGACACGUUUAUAUGUUAGGUUCAGACUCCAGCUUUCGUUUUACAUAUGCUUUAUUCAUCCGACUGAUUCCAAUAGAGUGAGCCUAGCGUUGUUUUUCUGGAAACUCGCGCGAUGAGGAGACAUGCAUACACAUUCUUUCAAGCAAAUCACAUCCAUUCUUUUUAACUCAUUUUUCUUCUUUUAAUAAUAUAAUAGAUCAUUUAUAUUUUUUAUCUGAAACAGUUGACGUGUAAUUUAUAUUGUAAUCUGAGAAUAAUGUUUGGAUUUUACUUUCAAAUAUAUUUGAAAUGGCCAUGAUGGAAUCACAUCCAUUUAUUUUGUUAUUAUUUGAAUUUGAUCCAAAAGAUUAAUAAUGAGUAGAGGUCAUGUCAACUUUUCUGAGAACUUUGCUAAUCAAAAUAUAAAUUUUAUUUAAAAACAUCUAUUUUUUAGCACGCAUGAAAAACAUAACACGUAUCUUUUCACACAUAAUGAACGGUUGUCAUAAGAACUCAUGCCAUGCCACAACCUCCCUCCGACCCUGCCAACAUUGUUGCAGCUGCACUCGCAAGCUUUAGCGUAGAUGAUAAUUUAUACAAUUUGCGUAAAACAAAAUAAGAUCUACAAAUGAAUAGAAGCUAGAACGUACAUUGGCAUGCACACACAUUGCAAGCCAUACUAACCUGAUAAGUGUUAAUAACUUGUACAACAUAUACAGCACUUAAGACAAGUAAAAGCAAUUUGAUGAGUCAUGGUCUAUCAAAGCCACAUUACUAGUCUAAUCCAUCUUAACAGGUCACACAUGAUUAAAAUCUUGUUUGUGUGCAAGUCAAGCUUAUCUAGUUUACAUGUAACAACUUGUAGAACAUUACAAAAUUUAUGUUUGCUAAUAACUUCUAGAACACUACAACACUUGACAUGUAAAAGGAAUUUGAUGAGUCAUGGCCUACUAAAGCAAGUUAUAUUACUAGUCUUAUCUACCUUAACAGGCCACACAAGAUUACAAACCAAGUUCUGUGCCAGCCAUGCUUAUCUAGUUUAUGCGUAACAAUUUGCAGAAAAUUACAAACUUAGUUUCAGAAAAAUAGGCAAUCUAGAUUAGUGUUUGAGCUGUAAAGUGAAUAAAAUGAGUCAUGCGUGUUAUCACACCUUUUUGGUUGUGGAAUGAUAGUGCAACAACAAGGAACUUUAAUGACCAGUUCAAGAAUACACUUGUAAGUAGAGCCACCGAACACAACAUACCAAAUUAUGAUUUUGAGAAGCAUCCAAGCACUUCCACACAAGCAAAUGCCAACUGUGAAAGAGAUCAUGCCAUGGCAGCUAUAAAUAGGCCCGUAGCAUGACGAUCAUCCUUCCUCAUCCAUCAUUCUCAUAAGUAGAGCGCAUCAUUUAAGCCAAGCAAGCAGUGCUCAAUACAAAUCCACCAUGAAGACCUUUCUCAUCCUUGCCCUCCUUGCUAUUGUAGCAACCACCGCCACAAUUGCAGUUAGAGUUCCAGUGCCACAAUUGCAGCCACAAAAUCCAUCUCAGCAACAACCACAAGAGCAAGUUCCAUUGGUACAACAACAGCAAUUUCCAGGGCAGCAACAACCAUUUCCACCACAACAGCCAUAUCCGCAGCCGCAACCAUUUCCAUCACAACAACCAUAUCUGCAGCUGCAACCAUUUCCGCAGCCGCAACUACCAUAUCCGCAGCCGCAACCAUUUCGACCACAACAACCAUAUCCACAACCGCAACCACAGUAUUCGCAACCACAACAACCAAUUUCGCAGCAGCAGCAACAACAACAACAACAACAACAACAACAACAACAAAUCCUUCAACAAAUUUUGCAACAACAACUGAUUCCAUGCAGGGAUGUUGUAUUGCAACAACACAACAUAGCGCAUGGAAGCUCACAAGUUUUGCAACAAAGUACUUACCAGCUGGUGCAACAAUUGUGUUGUCAGCAGCUGCGGUAGAUCCCCAAGCAGUCGCGGUGCCAAGCCAUCCACAAUGUUGUUCAUGCUAUUAUUCUGCAUCAACAACAACAACAACAACAACCGUUGAGCCAGGUCUCCUUCCAACAGCCUCAACAACAAUAUCCAUCAGGCCAGGGCUCCUUCCAGCCAUCUCAGCAAAACCCACAGGCCCAGGGCUCUGUCCAGCCUCAACAACUGCCCCAGUUUGAGGAAAUAAGGAACCUAGCGCUAGAGACGCUACCUGCAAUGUGCAAUGUCUAUAUCCCUCCAUAUUGCACCAUUGCUCAAGUUGGCAUCUUUGGUACUAACUGAGAAGAGAAGAACUCUAGUAGUAGAUAUAUGAUACACCGUUUUCUUAGUCCAUGGUUUGGUCGUUGUAGCGGUGAAAAAAUAAAGUGACAUGCACUAUCAUGUAAGAACCCGAACUAUACUAGUUCAAACAUGGGAAUAAAAGACAAACACAUGUCUUGUCUACAUAUGAUUGUUUGUUUGAGUUCCACUCAUGUGCCCACUCACAAGUUCACCCCUAAUUAUAUAUAUUAUGCAUUAAGUAGAUAUUUAUGUUGCAUUAAUCUAAAGAUAACAAAAUGAGUCUGAAAUUUGAAUUAAAUUGAAGUAUUUCCUUGGACUUUCAAAUGGAGUAUUAUUAAAGUAGUAAGGACUACCCACAUCCUUGGCUUGCCCUUGAUCAAUUAUUUCCAGAGAAGCGUUCAAUUCGUCAAUCAAUUACAUUGAUUUUUGUGGCUGGUACUUCUCCUCAACAUGAGUAUAUUCAUCGCGGCUACUCCAAAUAGGCAUGAAUGAGGUACUGGUGCUCUGGAGCACUGGUACCUAACUGCUUCUCAUGUGAAGGGGUGCGGGCGCGGGAGAGGUGUUUUUGGUGGGCCAGGGGAGUAAGAAUCGGCCGUGGCAGCGGUCCAGACGCCCACAAAGCCCCGUAGUUUGUUUUUGGUUUACAGGAAAAUGCACAUCCAGACCGGCCUGCAGGCCGAUAUAGGACCGUAUUGGAUGGCAAAACAUGUCCGGAUGGUCACGAGCAGUUUAAGGGUUAGCUUUUGUAACGCCCGGUUAGUUAUGCUAUGGUAAUUCCCUGCUAAUGAUGUCACGUCAGCACGAUUACUGUUGUUAACCUCACAAUGAUUCAAUCCCAUUCAAAUUCAAAUUUAAAAUAAAGGCAAACAUCAAAAGUUUCAAACAUUAAAACUAAAAUCUUCGAGAGGUGAAAAAUAAUGCAUAAGUAAUUAUGGUGGAGAAACCACACUUUUAUAAAAUGUUUAAAUACUCUAAAAAUAAUAAAACAGUGGCUUAAACUAUUAUUUAAAUGAUUUUAAAAUAGUAAACAUGUUCUAACUAAAUUAAUUGGGUACCAAACUUUUGGUGGCAGUGGUAUAUUUAGUAGAACUAAUUUAGAUGCUAAUGAAACAUAAAAGGAAAGACAAAACAAAUAAAAGUAAAAGGGGGCAACCCCUCGCUGGGCCUCGACCAAGCUGGCCACUGGGCUAGCUAGGUUGGCCCAACCGCCUCCCUUAACCCCCCACUCCCCAUCGAACCCUAGACCGAUCGCCCCACUUCCCCCACACCCCCUCGUCAGCCUCCCCACCUCUCGAUCCCAUCCAGAUCGGGGAGGGNNNNNNNNNNNNNNNNNNNNNNNNNNNNNNNNNNNNNNNNNNNNNNNNNNNNNNNNNNNNNNNNNNNNNNNNNNNNNNNNNNNNNNNNNNNNNNNNNNNNNNNNNNNNNNNNNNNNNNNNNNNNNNNNNNNNNNNNNNNNNNNNNNNNNNNNNNNNNNNNNNNNNNNNNNNNNNNNNNNNNNNNNNNNNNNNNNNNNNNNNNNNNNNNNNNNNNNNNNNNNNNNNNNNNNNNNNNNNNNNNNNNNNNNNNNNNNNNNNNNNNNNNNNNNNNNNNNNNNNNNNNNNNNNNNNNNNNNGAGGGGAUCGCCCCCAUCGACCCCGUCGCGGUCGCCGGACCUCCUCCCCGUCGCACGUCUCCGGCUCUCCUCCCCUCUCGCUCCUCUUCCCCGACCCGAUCUGGAUCGGGAAGGGCCAAUGAGCCCAAGCCCCCUCCAUCGACGCUGUGCGCCAGCACCGCCGCCCGAAGACCUCGCCGUCGCCGGACCUCGCGUCGCCUCCUCGUAUCCCUCCCCGACUCGCCUCCUCAAGCCACGCCAACCCCCUUCUCGGCAACGCUGUGAGCCGCCCCCGUUUCCCUCCUUCUCUUUCCACCGUGUUCACCGCGCCGCCUGCCGUGCCCCUCGCCGCGCGCAUGCCCACCACCGCGCCAGCCCCAGCUCCGCGCCCUCUCCUGCACGCUUGUGCGCGCAUGACCCUAACCGCGCCCACGCCGUGAACCCCUUGUCCCGCCCGCCUUCGUUCCGCGCUCGCCGCGGCCCCCAUGCUCCCCUGCGCCCUCUUUUGGGGGCGUCGGCUGCCCCUGUCCCACUGCUCGCUGGCAUGCUGAAGGAAAUAUGCCCUAGAGGCAAUAAAUAAAGUAUUAUUUAUUUCCUUAUAUCAUGAUAAAUUUUUAUUAUUCAUGCUAGAAUUGUAUUAACCGGAAACAUAAUACAUGUGUGAAUACAUAGACAAACAGUGUGUCACUAGUAUGCCUCUACUUGACUAGCUCGUUAAUCAAAGAUGGUUAUAUUUCCUAGCCAUAGACAUGAGUUGUCAUUUGAUUAACGGGAUCACCUCAUUAGGAGAAUGACGUGAUUGACUUGACCCAUUCCGUUAGCUUAGCACCCGAUCGUUUAGUAUGUUGCUAUUGCUUUCUUCAUGACUUAUACAUGUUCCUAUGACUAUGAGAUUAUGCAACUCCCGUUUACCGGAGGAACACUUUGUGUGCUACCAAACAUCACAACGUAAAUGGGUGAUUAUAAAGGUGCUCUACAGGUGUCUCCAAAGGUACUUGUUGGGUUGGCGUAUUUCGAGAUUAGGAUUUUUCACUCCGAUUGUCGGAGAGGUAUCUCUGGGCCCACUCAGUAAUGCACAUCACUAUAAGCCUUGCAAGCAUUGUGACUAAUGAGUUAGUUGCAGGAUGAUGUAUUACGGAACGAGUAAAGAGACUUGCCGGUAACGAGAUUGAAAUAGGUAUCGAGAUACCGACGAUCGAAUCUCGGGCAAGUAACAUCCCGAUGACAAAGGGAACAACGUAUGUUGUUAUGCGGUCUGACCGAUAAAGAUCUUCGUAGAAUAUGUAGGAACCAAUAUGAGCAUCCAGGUUCCGCUAUUGGUUAUUUACCGGAGAGGUGUCUCGGUCAUGUCUACAUAGUUCUCAAACCCGUAGGGUCCGCACGCUUAAAGUUACGAUGAUAGUUAUAUUAUGUGUUUAUAUGUUUUGAUGCACCGAAGGUUGUUCGGGGUCCCGGAUGUGAUCACGGACAUGACGAGGAGUCUCGAAAUGGCCGAGACAUAAAGAUUGAUAUAUUGGACGACUAUAUUCGGACACCGGAAGUGUUCCGGAGAAGUUUCGGAUAAAACCGGAGUGCCGGAGGGGUUACCGGAACCCCCCGGGGAAGUAUUGGGCCUUAGUGGGCCUUCAGGGGAGAGAGAGGGCAGCAGCGAGGAGGUGGCGCGCCCCCUCCCAUGAGGAGUCCGAAUUGGACUAGGGGAGGGGGCGCAGCCCCUCUUUCCCUCUCCCUCUCCCUCUCUUUCCUUCCCCCCCUCUCUUCCUAGUUGGACUAGGAAAGGGGAGUCCUACUCCUACUAGGAGGAGGACUCCCCUCUCUCUCCUUGGCGUGCCAAAGGGCAGCCGGCCUCCCCCUUGCUCCUUUAUAUACGGGGGCAGGGGGCACCUCUAGGCACACUUGAUAUACGAUAUUUUAGCCGUGUGCGAUGCCCCCCUCCACCAUAUUACACCUCGAUAAUACCGUUGCGGAGCUUAGGCGAAACCCUGCGUCGGUGGAACAUCAUCAUCGUCACCACGCCAUCAUGCUGACGAAACUCUCCUUCAACACUCGGCUGGAUCGGAGUUCGAGGGAUGUCAUCGAGCUGAACGUGUGCUGAACUCGGAGGUGCCGUGCGUUCGGUACUUGAUCGGUCGGAUCGUGAAGACGUACGACUACAUCAACCGCGUUGUGAUAACGCUUCCGCUGUCGGUCUACGAGGGUACGUGGACAACACUCUCCCCUCUCGUUGCUAUGCAUCACCAUGAUCUUGCGUGUGCGUAGGAAAUUUUUUGAAAUUACUACAUUCCCCAACACAUGUGUCCCCGCCCGCGCCUCGCCACCGCUCUACUGCUACGCUACUAUUGCGCUGUGGCCGCCGCCGCUUCCCGCUGCUCUGCCAGCGCCAAAGCUCCCGGUUGGCCCUGCCGCUGCUCGCGUUUAACCGCCGGCAUCCCCUAACCUCCCCCCCUCGCUAAUGAACCCCCACCGACCCGCUGAUACCGGGACCCACAUCCCCUAAUUAACCAUUUAAUAAAUUAAAACUCUUAAAUUAACAUUAGUGUAUGACAUGUGGGUCCCCUAUUAAUUAAACUGAUUUAAUUAAAAUCUAUUAACUUUGAGUCUAUGACAUAUGGGCCCCACUAAACAUUUGACCAGCCAACGGUCCAGUCAAAUGCUGACCGGACAGUUGACCAGAGGGCCCCGCCAGUCAGCCAAUGUGUUGUUCUGCUGGGUACCUUUCUAAGUACACCUAGCAUUUUGCAUUUACAAUAUUUGUUUUAAAAUAAAUUAGAAUAAUUUCAAAAAAAGAUUAAAACUUUUAAAAUUAAAAUAAAAUAAUCCGUAACUGGAUGAAAUUACUUUAUACAUGGAAGUUGCUCAAAAAACGAGACGAAUCCGAAUACACAGUCCGUUCGUCUGCCACGCGUCCCUAGCAUAGCGAACAUGCAACCAUCCCCCUCCGGUUCGACUGUCCGAAAAAUUAUUAUUGCACAUGCCCGCUAAGAGGUUGGCUGUAUAUGACAUGACAAAUUCUUAUAGCCGACCCUUGGCUGUAUUAUUAACCAUGCUCUUAGUGAGGUAGCUAGUAUAUCAUAGACGACUAGCUUGUAUCAGACUAGCCAAAGUGGGAGUAACUUCAGCAGUAACAUCGACUCCAACUCAGCAAACUUGCUUAUGUGGGAGUAAACCGUGCCCAAUGCAAAAUACAAUCCCAGUCGUAAUUUUUUCAGGAAACGUGUGGGAUCCCAAACGAAAAGCACACGUCACUCUUGCGGCAACCGUCGGUGACACCCAAUAAAUCACAAACGGUCUGCAGCACUUGUAUGUGUGCAAAGGGGCUCCUGAACCGUUUGUGAUAGAACAUUAUCGCAGACGGUAAUUGUUGCCAAACGUGUGCGAUGGAGUCUAGCAUGGCAGACGGGUUACGCAGAAAACUCGUGUGCGAUGGGGCACAAAUCGCACACAGUUCAUAUGUUGGCCCAUGUGCCUUACAUACUAUUUCCCAAAUGGUUUGUUACGAUAGACCGUCUCGUUUCAGUGCGUCAUUAGAAACGCUUAAUCACUGAUACGACACGUGCGAAAGAAUUUAGUGCAUGCUGCAUCGCACACGAUUACAUUUUGGAAGGCCUCUGGAUCACUACUCCAUAUCCCCGGCGGUUUCUGGGCCGUGUGGGAAGGACACCCUAUCGCACACACUCACUUGGCAACGGUUCCAAAUGCUGUCGCGGAAAGGGGUUAAAAACAGUUUGUUUAGGACCGAAGCGUACCAGUGUCUAUCUAUCUAUCUAUCUAUCUAUCUAUCUAUCUAUCCAUCCAUCUAUCUAUCUAUCUAUCUAUCUAUCCAUCUAUCCAUCUAUCUAUCUCAAUCCACCUAUCUAUGUAUCCAUCUAUCCAUCUAUCUAUCUCUCCAUCUAUCCAUCUAUCUAUCCAUCUAUCCACCCAUCUACUAUCCAUCUAUCUAUCCAUCCAUCCAUCCAUCUAUCCAUCCAUCUAUCUAUCUAUCUAUCUAUUUAUCUAUCUAUCUAUCUAUCUACCUAUCUAUCUAUCCAUCUAUUCAUCUAUCUAUCUAUGUAUCCAUUUAUCCAUUGAUCCAUCUAUCGAUCCAUCGAUCCAUCCAUCCAUCCAUCUAUCCAUCCAUCAAUAUAUCCAUGUAUCCAUGUAUCCAUGUAUCUAUCUAUCGAUCUAUCCAUCUAUCUAUCUAUCUAUCCAUCUAUCCAUUUAUCGAUCUAUCCAUCUAUCUAUCUAUCCAUCGAUCUAUCGAUCUAUCGAUCUAUCGGUCUAUCGGUCUAUCCAUCUAGCGAUCUAUCCAUCUCUCCAUCUACCCAUCUAUCCAUCUAUUCAUCUACCGAUCUAUCUAUCCAUCUAUCUAUCUAGCUAUCUAGCUAUCUAGCUAUCUAGCUAUCUAUCUAUCUAUCUAUCUAGCUAUCUAGCUAUCUAUCUAUCUAGUUAUCUAGCUAUCUAUCUGUCUACCUACCUACCUACCUACCUACCUAUCUAUCUAUCUAUCUAUCUAUCUACCUAUCUAAAGGAAAUAUGCCCUAGAUGCAAUAAUAAAGUUGUUAUUUAUAUUUCCUUAUAUCAUGAUAAACUAGCGGAGUCACCCGCGCAUUUGCGCGGCUAGAUUGACUACAUAUAUUGUUAUAUUUGGGAUUAUUUUUCUAUGCCAAUUUUAUGGCCUCUUACUCAGAUAUUAUCUAAUUGAAUUUACCACCACCAUAUGUUAUAUCCAUAGAUUAUAAUUAAAAGGCAACUUCCGACGAAACAUGGACAGAUUAUUGAGUGCUCAGAAGACGGACGCAAUAUCAUAUAUAGACUUCUAUAGCAAUCUUCAUGGUUCCCAUCUUUGAUCCUCUCCUCGUCCCUUGGUAUCUAUCUUUGCACCCAAUGUCUUUGGAGUUCCAAGAAUUGAAUCUUAGCAUGAAUGGCUUCAAUGUGUACCAAAUGUUCUCUUGUUCCUCCCAAAUUAAUUACUGGUUGCAUUCUUAGUUGCUUUGACAUUCUUGGUUAAUGCAAUGUCUUGCCUACCAAUAUAUGCAUCCACACACGAUCAUAUUUAUAUUACCACUUACCUCUGUAUUCUGGUAUUUGUGCUUCAGAAUUUUUCUCUCAUUCAGUUUAUUCAUAGAUUAAAAACGUCGAUCGUUUCUUUAUUGGUUUGCAUUAUCUUGUUUGCCGAACGUAAGCAUCCACACAUGCUCGUCAUGAUAUGAUUGGUCAUCAUUGUAUAUUUGUAUUUGUGUGUUGAUAGCUUAAGGAUUUUCUCGGAUUCACUUCAUAGUUUAAGGAUUUUCUCGCCUUCAAUUUAUUCUACCUUAUUCAUUUUCAUGUUUCUUUAUUCCAUUUAUAUCAAUUCUUACAAUAUAUUUUCCAAGAUAUGAACUCAACUACUAAUUACGUAGUUUUUCAUCAAAAUUUACAUGUAAAAAUGGUACAAAUGCAUAAAGAUGAUAAAAAUAUAUAUCAUAUUCCAUUGAGAGAACGCCCAUUUAAAAAAACACGUUGACUUACAAAAAGGACAAUUCAAGCUGCAUGUACGUCCGACUCAUGUUUACCUGACAAUGUCGAUGUUGAUUUCAGCAGUAAAUGAGCUGUGUGUGACCUUUGCGCUUUCCGGUAUUCUUCUAACCUGUGUGCUUUAUGAUCAGUUUGUUGUGCUUAGUACUGGACAUUGGAGUACACUAUCAUAUUUGGUACAAAUAAAUCUGAACUACUAUAGUUAUGAUCCACUGUAUAGUUAAUGGUGGUGGUAAUUAAUAUAUGUGGUUAAAUACUUGCGCUCCUUAGGUGGGGAGUUGGAUUUGUAUUUCCCUAAAAUAAAUUUCAGAUUUCGUCAUAGUGGUGAAGCCAGCCGGAAGAACCUCUGCGUCAUUAUUAAUUUUGGUGAUAUUUUUCUUCAUAGUGUAGAAUAAUUUUAGUGCUUAUUCCGCAAAUAAUAUGGCCUCAACUGACCCCAUAGCUUGUAUGUUGCGCCACCACUGUUUCCUAUAUCUUAUUACAUCCGUUGUUUUUAGAUCUUGAUGCAUAACUUUGACAAUUUUUAAUAGAUAUGUGUCUGUAUAAAAAAUUAUAAAUGCUAUGAUUAAUUAUGAUGAAUAAAAUGUUAUUGCUCUGACUUGAUCCCUCUUGAAUUUUCCAAAAUUUCACAUUACAGUUGUAGUAGUGCAUGCUACCUCUUGAGCACUGCGUUAGUUUUCCCUUGAAGAGGAAAGGGUGAUGCAGUAAAGCAGCGUCAGUAUUUCCCUCAGUUUUUGAGAACCAAGGUAUCAAUCCAGUACGAGGCCACGCACGAGUCCCUCGCACCUACACAAACAAAUAAAAUCCUCGCAACCAACGCAAUAAAGGGGUUGUCAAUCCCUUCAUGGUCACUUACGAAAGUGAGAUCUGAUAGAUUUGAUAAGAUAAUAUUUUUGGUAUUUUUAUGAUAAAGAUGCAACGUAAAGAAAGCAAAAUAAAAACAGCGCCAGAAAUAGCUUGUUGACGGGAGAUUAAAUAUGAUGGAAAAUAGACCAGGUGGCCAUAGGUUUCACUAGUGGCUUCUCUCGAGAGCAUAAGUAUUUCGGUGGGUAGACAAAUUACUGUUGAGCAAUUGACAGAAUUGAGCAUAGUUAUGAGAAUAUCAAGGUAUGAUCAUGUAUAUAGGCAUCACGUCUGAGGCAAGUAGCCCGACUCCUGCCUGCAUCUACUACUAUUACUCCACACAUCGACUGCUAUCCAGCAUGCAUCUAGAGUAUUAAGUUCAAAAGAACAGAGUAACGCUUUAAGUAAGAUGACAUGAUGUAGAGGGAUAAACUCAUGCAAUAUGAUAUAAACCCCAUCUUGUUAUCCUCGAUGGCAACAAUACAAUACGUGCCUUGCUGCUCCUACUAUCACUGGGAAUGGACACCACAAGAUUGAACCCAAAGCUAAGCACUUCUCCCAUUGCAAGAAAGAUCAAUCUAGUAGGCCAAACCAAAAUGAUAAUUCGAAGAGACUUGUAAAGAUAACCAAUCAUACAUAAAAGAAUUUAGACAAGAUUCAAAUAUUGUUCAUAGAUAAACUAGAUCAUAAACCCACAAUUCAUCGGUCUCAACAAACACACCGCAAAAGAAGAUUACAUCGAAUAGAUCUUCAUAAGAGAGGGGGAGAACAUUGUAUUGAGAUCCAAAAAGAGAGAAGAAGCCAUCUAGCUAAUAACUAUGGACCCGAAGGUCUGAGGUAAACUACUCACAAAUCAUCGGAGAGGCUAUGGUGUUGAUGUAGAAGCCCUCCAUGAUCGAUGCCCCCUCCGGCGGAGCUCCGGAAAAGGCCCCAAGAUGGGAUCUCACGGGUCCAGAAGGUUGCGGAGAUGGAAUUAGGUUUUUGGCUCCGUAUCUGGUAGUUUGGGGGUACGUAGGUAUAUAUAGGAGAAAGAAGUACGUCGGUGGAGCAACGUGGGCCCCACGAGGGCGCGCCCCCCUACCUCGUGCCUUCCUAGUAGAUUUCUGGACGUAGGGUCCAAGUCCUCUAGAUCACGUUCGUUCCCAAAAUCACGUUUCCGAAGGUUUCAUUCCGUUUGGACUCCGUUUGAUAUUCUUUUUCUGUGAAACUCUGAACUAGGCAAAAAAUAGCAAUUCUGGGGUGGGCCUCCGGUUAAUAGGUUAGUCCCAAAAAUAAUAUAAAAGUGUAUAAUAAAGCCCAUUAAUGUCCAAAACAGAAUAUAAUAUAGCAUGGAACAAUAAAAAAUUAUAUAUACGUUGGAGACAUAUCAAGCAUCCCCAAGCUUAAUUCCUGCUCGUCCUCGAGUAGGUAAAUGAUAAAAACGGAAUUUUUGAUGUGGAAUGCUACUUGGCAUAAUUUCAAUGUAAUUCUCUUAAUUGUGGUAUGAAUAUUCAGACCCGAAAGAUUCAAGACAAAAGUUUAAUACUGACAUAAAAAUAAUAAUACUUCAAGCAUACUAGCUAAGCAAUUAUGUCUUCUCAAAAUAACAUGGCCAAAGAAAGUUAUCCCUACAAAAUCAUAUAGUCUAGCUAUGCUCUAUCUUCACCACACAAAGUAUUUAAAUUAUGCACAACCCCGAUGACAAGCCAAGCAAUUGUUUCAUACUUUUGAUGUUCUCAAACUUUUUCAAUCUUCACGCAAUACGUGAGCAUGAGCCAUGGACAUAGCACUAUAUGUGGAAUAGAAUGGUGGUUGUGGAGAAGACAAAAAAGGAGAAGAUAGUCUCACAUCAACUAGGCGUAUCAACGGGCUAUGGAGAUGCCCAUUAAUAGAUAUCAAUGUGAGUGAGUAGGAAUUGCCAUGCAACGGAUGCACUAGAGCUAUAAGUAUAUGAAAGCUCAACAAAAGGAACUAAGUGGGUGUGCAUCCAACUCGCUUGCUCAUGAAUACCUAGGGCAUUUUGAGGAAGCCCAUCAUUGGAAUAUACAAGCCAAGUUCUAUAAUGAAAAUUUCCCACUAGUACAUGAAAGUGAUAUCAUAGGAGACUCUCUAUCAUGAAGAUCAUGGUGCUACUUUGAAGAACAAGUGUGGUAAAAGGAUAGUAACAUUGUCCCUUCUCUCUUUUUCUCUCAUUUUUUUAUUUGGGUCUUUUAUCCUUUUUUUAUGGCCUCUUUUUUUUAGUCCGAAGUCUCAUCCCGACUUGUGGGGGAAUCGUAGUCUCCAUCAUCCUUUCCUCACUUGGGAAAAUGCUCUAAAAAAAUGAUGAUCAUCACACUUUUAUUUACUUACAACUCAACAAUUACAAAUCAAUACUUAGAACAAAAUAUGACUCUAUGUGAAUGCCUCCGGCGGUAUACCGUGAUAUGCAAUGAAUCAAGAGUCACAUGUAUGAAAGAAUUAUGAACGGUGGCUUUGCCACAAAUACAAUGUCAACUACAUGAUCAUGGAAAGCAAUAUGACAAUGAUGGAGCGUGUCAUAAUAAACUGAACGGUGGUAAGUUGCAUGGCAAUAUAUCUCGGAAUGGCUAUGGAAAUGCCAUGGUAGGUAGGUAUGGUGGCUGUUUUGAGGAAGGUAUAUGGUGGGUGUAUGAUACCGGCGAAAAGUGCGCGGUAUUAGAGAGGCUAGCAAUGGUGGAAGGAAGAAAGUGCGUAUAAUCCAUGGACUCAACAUUAGCCAUAAAGAACUAAUAUACUUAUUGCAAAAAUCUACAAGUUAUCGAAGCAAAGUAUUACCCGCAUCAUCCUAGGGGGAUAGAUUGCUAGGAAAAGACCAUCGCUCGUCCCCGACCGCCACUCAUAAGGAAGACAAUCAAUAAAUAAAUCAUGCUCCGACUUCAUCACAUAACGGUUCACCAUACGUGCAUGCUAAGGGAAUCACAAACUUUAACACAAGUAUUUCGCAAAUUCAAAACUACUCAACUAGCAUGACUCUAAUAUCACCAUCUCCAUAUCUCAAAACAAUUAUCAAGUAUCAAACUUCUCAUAGUAUUCAACACACUCAUAAGAUUUUUUUACUAAUCUUGAGUGCCUAUCAUAAUUAAAGCAAAUUACCACGCUGUUUUGUAGGACUAUCAAAAUAAUCUAAGUGAAUCAUGAGAGAACAAUAGUUUCUAUAAAACAAAACCACCACCAUGCUCUAAAAGAUAUACAUGAAGCACUAGAGCAAAAACUAUAUAGCUCAAAAGAUAUAAGUGAAGCACAUAGAGUAUUCUAACAAUUUCCGAAUCAUGUGUGUCUCUCUCAAAAGGUGUGUACUGCAAGGAUUAUUGUGGCAAACUAACAAAUAAAGACUUCAAAUAAUACAAGACGCUCCAAGCAAAACACAUAUCAUGUGGUGAAUAAAAAUAUAGCUCCAAGUAAAGUUACCGAUGGAAGUAGACGAAAGAGGGGAUGCCUUCCGGGGCAUCCCCAAGCUUUGGCUUUUAGGUGUCCUUAGAUUAUCUUGGGGUGCCAUGGGCAUCCCCAAGCUUAGGCUCUUGCCACUCCUUGUUUCAUAAUCCAUCAAAUCUUUCACCCAAAACUUGAAAACUUCACAACACAAAACUCAGCAGAAAAUCUCGUGAGCUCCGUUAGCGAAAGAAAAAAAAACACCACUUCAAGGUACUGUAAUGAACUCAUUCUUUAUUUAUAUUGGUGUUAAACCUACUGUAUUCCAACUUCUCUAUGGUUUAUAAACUAUUUUACUAGCCAUAGAUUCAUCAAAAUAAGCAAACAACACACGAAAAACAGAAUCUGUCAAAAACAGAACAGUCUGUAGUAAUCUGUAACUAACGCAAUUUUCUGGGACUCCAAAAAUUGACCCAAAAUAGGAAGACCUAGAAUUUUUUUUUUAUUGAUCAGCAGCAAUUGGAAUCAAUAUUUUAUCACGUCCUGGUGAUUUUUAACAAUUAUUUUCGUGAACAGAAAGUUUCUGGAAUAUUCAGCAAGAUCAAAUAACUAUCAUCCAAGAAGAUCCUAUAGGUUAAACUUGGCACAAACACUAAUUAAAACAUAAAAACACAUGUAAACAGAGGCUAGAUCAAAUAUUUAUUCCUAAAAAAAGCAAAAAGCAAAAAAACUAAAAAUAAAAUUGGGUUGCCUCCCAACAAGCGCUAUCGUUUAACGCCCCUAGCUAGGCAUAAUAGCAAGGAUAGAUCUAGGUAUUGCCAUCUUUGGUAGGCAAUCCAUAAGUGGCUCUCAUAAUAGAUUCAUAAGGUAAUUUUAUUUUCUUUCUAGGGAAGUGUUCCAUGCCUUUCCUUAAUGGAAUUUGGAAUCUAAUAUUCCCUUCCUUCGUAUCAAUAAUUGCACCAAUCGUUCUAAGGAAAGGUCUGCCAAGAAUAAUAGGACAUGAAGGAUUGCAAUCUAUAUCAAGAACAAUAAAAUCUACGGGCACAUAAUUCCUAUUUGCAACAAUAAGCACAUCAUCAAUUCUUCCCAUAGGUUUCUUAAUGGUGGAAUCCACAAGGUGCAAGUUUAAAGAGCAAUCAUCAAAAUCACGGAAACCUAGCAAAUCGCACAAAGUCUUUGGAAUCGUGGAAACACUAGCACCCAAAUCACACAAAGCAUAGCAUUCAUGAUCUUUAAUUUUAAUUUUAAUAGUAGGUUCCCACUCAUCAUAAAUUUUUCUAGGGAUAGAAACUUCCAACUCAAGUUUUUCUUCAUAAGAUUGCAUCAAAGCAUCAACGAUAUGUUUAGUAAGGCUUUAUUUUGACUAUAAGCAUGUGGAGAAUUUAGCACGGAUUGCAACAAGGAAAUAAAAUCUAUCAAAGAGCAAUUAUCAUAAUUAAAUUCCAUGAAAUCCAAAAUAGUGGGUUCAUUAAUAUCUAGAGUUUUGAUUUCUUCAAUCCCACUUUUACCAAUUUUUGCAUCAAGAUCUAAAAACUCCGAAUUUUUGGAACGCCUUCUAGGUAGAGGUGGAUCAUAUUCAGUCCCAUCAUUAUCAAGAUUCAUAUUGCAAAACAAAGAUUUAAUAGGGGACACAUCAAUAACUUUUAGAUCUUCAUCUUUAUUUUCAUAGAAACUAGAAGAACACGCUUUCACAAAAACAAUCUUUCUUAGCACGCAUCCUAGCGGUUCUUUCUUUGCACUCAUCAAUGGAAAUUCUCAUGGCCUUGAGAGACUCAUUGAUAUCAUGCUUAGGAGAAAUUCUAUCAGUGUUCCUAGCCAAUUCAUCAACUUUAAGCAAUUUUUCUUCAAGCAAAGCAUUGAAAUUCAUUUGCGAAUUCAUAAAUUCUUUAACACUAGUCUCAAAUUAAGAAGGCAUCUUAUUAAAAUUUCCAUAAUAAUUGUUGUAGGAAUUACCAUAAUUAUUAGAGGAAUUACUGGGAUACGGCCUUGGAUUAAAGUUUCCUCUAUACGCGUUGUUACCAAAAUUAUUCCGACCAACAAAAUUCACAUCCAUGAAGGAAAUAUGCCCUAGAGGAAAUAAUAAAGUUAUUAUUUAUUUCCUUAUAUCAUGAUAAAUGUUUAUUAUUCAUGAUAGAAUUGUAUUAACCGGAAACAUAAUACAUGUGUGAAUACAUAGACAAACAGAGUGUCACUAGUAUGCCUCUACUUGACUAGCUCGUUAAUCAAAGAUGGUUAUGUUUUCUAGCCAUAGACAUGAGUUGUCAUUUGAUUAACGGGAUCACCUCAUUAGGAGAAUGACGUGAUUGACUUGACCCAUUCCAUUAGCUUAGCACUCGAUCGUUUAGUAUGUUGCUAUUGCUUUCUUCAUGACUUAUACAUGUUCCUAUGACUACGAGAUUAUGCAACUCCCGUUUACCGGAGGAACACUUUGUGUGCUACCAAACGUCACAACGUAACUGGGUGAUUAUAAAGGUGCUCUACAGGUGUCUCCAAAGGUACCUGUUGGGUUGGCGUAUUUCGAGAUUAGGGUUUGUCACUCCGAUUGUCGGAGAGGUAUCUCUGGGCCCACUCGGUAAUGCACAUCACCAUAAGCCUUGCAAGCAUUGUGACUAAUGAGUUAGUUGCGGGGUGAUGUAUUACGGAACGAGUAAAGAGACUUGCCGAUAACGAGAUUGAACUAGGUAUCAAGACACCGACGAUCGAAUCUUGGGCAAGUAACAUACCGAUGACAAAGGGAACAACGUAUGUUGUUAUGCGGUCUGACCGAUAAAGAUCUUCAUAGAAUAUGUGGGAACCAAUAUGGGAAUCCAGGUUCCGCUAUUGGUUAUUGACCGGAGAAGUGUCUCGGUCAUGUCUACAUAGUUCUCAAACCCGUAGGGUCCGCACGCUUAAAGUUACGAUGACAAUUAUAUUAUGAGUUUAUAUGUUUUGAUGCACUGAAGGUUGUUCGGAGUCCCGGAUGUGAUCACGGACAUGACGAGGAGUCACGAAAUGGUCGAGACAUAAAGAUUGAUAUAUUGGACGACUAUAUUCGGACACGGAAGUGUUCCAGAGAAGUUUCGGAUAAAACUGGCGUGCCGGAGGGGUUACCGGAACCCCCCGGGGAAGUAUUGGGCCUUAGUGGGCCUUGAGGGGAGAGAGAGGGCAGCAUCCAGGAGGUGGCGCCCCCCCUCCCAUGAGGAGUCCUAAUUGGACUAGGAGAGGGGGGCGCAGCCCCUCUUUCCCUCUCCCUCUCCCUCUCCCUCUCUUUCCUUCCCCCCUCUCUUCCUAGUUGGACUAGGAAAGGGGAGUCCUACUCCUACUAGGAGGAGGACUCCCCCCCUCUCCUUGGCGCGCCCAAGGCAGCCGGCCUCCCCCUUGCUCCUUUAUAUACGGGGGUAGGGGGGCACCUCUAGACACACUUGAUAUACGAUAUUUUAGCCGUGUGCGGUGCCCCCUCCACCAUAUUACACCUCGAUAAUACCGUUGCGGAGCUUAGGCGAAGCCCUGCGUCGGUGGAACAUCAUCAUCGUCACCACGCCGUCGUGCUGACGAAACUCUCCCUCAACACUCGGCUGGAUCGGAGUUCGAGGGAUGUCAUCGAGCUGAACGUGUGCUGAACUCGGAGGUGCCGUGCGUUCGGUACCUGAUCGGUCGGAUCAUGAAGACGUACGACUACAUCAACCGCGUUGUGAUAACGCUUCCGCUGUCGGUCUACGAGGGUACGUGGACAACACUCUCCCCUCUUGUUGCUAUGCAUCACCAUGAUCUUGCGUGAGCGUAGGAAAUUUUUUGAAAUUAAUACGUUCCCCAACAGUGGUAUCAGAGCCUGAUUUUAUGCGUUGAUGUUAUGCACGAGUAGAACACAAGUGAGUUGUGGGCGAUAUAAGUCAUACUGCUUACCAGCAUGUCAUACUUUGGUUCAGCGUUAUUGUGAGAUGAAGCGGCCCGGACCGACAUUACGCGUACGCUUACGCGAGACUGGUUUCACCGUUGCGAGAACUCGUUGCUUAAAGGUGACUGGCGGGUGUCUGUUUCUCUCACUUUAGUUGAACCGAGUGUGGCUACGCCCGGUCCUUGCGAAGGUUAAAACAACACCAACUUGACAAACUAUCGUUGUGGUUUUGAUGCGUAGGUAAGGACGGUUCUUGCUAAGCCCGUAGCAGCCACGUAAAACUUGCAACAACAAAGUAGAGGACGUCUAACUUGUUUUUGCAGGGCAUGUUGUGAUGUCAUAUGGUCAAGACAUGAUGCUAUAUUUUAUUGUAUGAGAUGAUCAUGUUUUGUAACCGAGUUAUCGGCAACUGGCAGGAGCCAUAUGGUUGUCGCUUUAUUGUAUGCAAUGCAAUCGCCAUGUAAUUGUUUUACUUUAUCACUAAGCGGUAGCGAUAGUCGUAAAAGCAAUAAGUUGGCGAGACGACAACGAUACUACGAUGGAGAUCAAGGUGUCGCGCCGGUGACGAUGGUGAUCAUGACGGUGCUUCGGAGAUGGAGAUCACGAGCACGGUGCUUCGGAGAUGGAGAUCACAAGCACAAGAUGAUGAUGGCUAUAUCAUAUCACUUAUAUUGAUUGCAUGUGAUGUUAAUCUUUUAUGCAUCUUAUCUUGCUUUGAUUGACGGUAGCAUUAUAAGAUGAUCUCUCACUAAAAUUUCAAGAUAAAAGUGUUCUCCCUGAGUAUGCACCGUUGCGAAAAUUCUUCGUGCUGAGACACCACGUGAUGAUCGGGUGUGAUAGGCUCUACGUUCAAAUACAAUGGGUGCAAAACAGUUGCACACGCAGAAUACUCAGGUUAAACUUGACGAGCCUAGCAUAUGCAGAUAUGGCCUCGGAACACGGAGACCCAAAGGUCGAGCGUGAAUCAUAUAGUAGAUAUGAUCAACAUAGUGAUGUUCACCGUUGAAACUACUCCAUCUCACGUGAUGAUCGGACAUGGUUUAGUUGAUAUGGAUCACGUGAUCACUUAGAGGAUUAGAGGGAUGUCUAUCUAAGUGGGAGUUCUUAAAUAAUAUGAUUAAUUGAACUUAAAUUUAUCAUGAACUUAGUCCUGAUAGUAUUUUUGCAAAUUAUGUUGUAGAUCAAUAGCUCGCGUUGUUGCUUCCCUGUGUUUAUUUUUGAUAUGUUCCUAGAGAAAAUUAUGUUGAAAGAUGUUAGUAGCAAAGAUGCGGAUUGGAUCCGUGAUCUGAGGAUUAUCCUCAUUGCUGCACAGAAGAAUUAUGUCCUUGAUGCACCGCUAGGUGACAGACCUAUUGCAGUAGCAGAUGCAGACGUUAUGAACGUUUGGCUAGCUCAAUAUGAUGACUACUUGAUAGUUUAGUGCACCAUGCUUAACGGCUUAGAAUCGGGACUUCAAAGACGUUUUGAACGUCAUGGACCAUAUGAGAUGUUCCAGGAGUUGAAGUUAAUAUUUCAAGCAAAUACCCAAGUUGAGAGAUAUGAAGUCUCCAACAAGUUCUAUAGCUAAAAGAUGGAGGAGAAUAGCUCAAGCAGUGAGCAUGUGCUCAGAUUGUCUGGGUACUACAAUCGCUUGAAUCAAGUGGGAGUUAAUCUUCUAGAUAAAAUAGUGAUUGACAGAAUUCUCUAGUCACCAUCACCAAGUUAGUAGAACUUCGUGAUGAACUAUAGUAUGCAAGGGAUGACGAAAGUAAUUCCCGAGCUCUUCGUGAUGCUGAAAUUGACGAAGGUAGAAAUCAAGAAAAACAUCAAGUGUUGAUGGUUGACGAGACCACUAGUUUCAAGAAAAGGGCAAAGGGAAGAAGGGGAACUUCAAGAAGAACGGCAAGCAAGUUGCUGCUCAAGUGAAGAAGCCUAAGUCUGGUCCUAAGCCUGAGACUAAGUGCUUCUACUGCAAAGGGACUGGUCACUGGAAGCGGAAUUACCCCAACUAUUUGGUGGAUAAGAAGGAUGGCAAAGUGAACAACGGUAUAUUGGAUAUACAUGUUAUUGAUGUGUACUUUACUAGUGUUUAUAGCAACCCCUCGGUAUUUGAUACUGGUUCAGUUGCUAAAGUAGUAACUCGAAACGGGAGUUGCGGAAUAAACAGAGACUAGUAAAAGGCGAGGUGACGAUGUGUGUUGGAAGUAGUUCCAGGAUUGAUAUGAUCAUCAUCGCACAGUCCCUAUACUUUCGGGAUUAGUGUUGAAACUAAAUAAGUGUUAUUUGGUGUUUGCGUUGAGCAUGAAUAUGAUUUGAUCAUGUUUGUUGCAAUACGGUUGUUCAUUUAAAUUAGAGAAUAAUUGUUGUUCUGUUUACAUGAAUAAAACCUUCUAUGGUCAUACACCCAAUAAAAUGGUUUGUUGGAUCUCGAUCGUAGUGAUACACAUAUUCAUAAUAAUGAAGCCAAAAGAUGCAAAGUUAAUAAUGAUAGUGCAACUUAUUUGUGGCACUGCCGUUUAGGUCAUAUUGGUGUAAAGUGCAUGAAGAAACUCCAUACUGAUGGGAUUUUGGAAUCACUUGAUUAUGAAUCACUUGAUGCUUGCGAACCGUGCCUCAUGGGCAAGAUGACUAAAACGCCGUUCUCCGGAACUAUGUGGAGAGCAACAGAUUUGUUGGAAAUCAUACAUACAGAUGUAUGUGGUCCGAUGAAUAUUGAGGCUCGUAGCAGGUAUCAUUAUUUUCUGACCUUCACAGAUGAUUUGAGCAGACAUGGGUAUAUCUACUUAAUGAAACAGAAGUCUGAAACAUUUGAAAAGUUCAUAUAAUUUCAGAGUGAAGCGGAAAAUCAUCGUAACAAGAAAAUAAAGUUUCUACGAUCUGAUCGUGGAGAAGAGUAUUUGAGUUACGAGUUUGGCCUUCAGUUAAAACAAUGUGAAAUAGUUUCACUACUCACGCCACCUGGAACACCACAGCAUAAUGGUGUGUCCGAACGUCAUAACCGUACUUUAUUGGAUAUAGUGCAACCUAUGAUGUUUCUUACCGAUUUACCACUAUAGUUUUGGGGUUAUGCAUUAGAGACAGCUACAUUCACGUAAAAAAAAGGGGGCACCAUCUAAAUCCGUUUGAGAUGACACCGUAUGAACUGUGGUUUGGCUAGAACCCAAAGUUGUCGUUUCUUAAAGUUUGGGGUUGCGAUGCUUAUAAGAAAAAGUUUCAUCCUGAUAAGCUCAAACCCAAAUCGGAGAAAUGUGUCUUCAUAGGAUACCCAAAGGAGAAAGUUGGGUACACCUUCUAUCACAGAUCCGAAGGCAAGACAUUCGUUGCUAAGAAUGGAUCCUUUCUAGAGAAGGAGUUUCUCUCGAAAGAAGUGAGUGGGAGGAAAGUAGAACUUGAUGAGGUAACUGUACCUGCUCCCUUAUUGGAAAGUAGUUCAUCACAGAAAUCUGUUCCUGUGACUACUACACCAAUUAGUGAGGAAGCUAAUGAUGAUGAUCAUGUAACUUCAAAUCAAGUUACUACCGAACCUCGUAGGUAAACCAGAGUGAGAUCCACACCAGAGUGGUACGGUAAUCCUGUUCUGGAGGUCAUGUUACCUGACCAUGAUGAACCUACGAACUAUGAGGAAGCGAUGAUGAGCCCAGAUUCCGAGAAACGGCUUGAGGCCAUGAAAUCUGAGAUAAGAUCCAUAUAUGAGAACAAAGUAUGGACUUUGGUUGACUUGCCCGAUGAUCGGCAAGCCAUAGAAAAUAAAUGGAUCUUCAAGAGGAAGACGGACGCUUAGUGUUACUAUCUACAAAGCUAGAAUUGUCGCAAAAGGUUUUCGACAAGUUUAAGGUGUUGACUACGAUGAGAGUUUCUCACUCGUAUCUAUGCUUAAGUCUGUCCGAAAUAUGUUAGCAAUUGCCGCAUUUUAUGAAAUCUGGCAAAUGGAUAAACAAAACUGCAUUCCUUAAUGGAUUUAUUAAAGAAGAGUUGUAUAUGAUGCAACCAGAAGGUUUUGUCAAUCCUAAAAGUGUUAACAAAAUAUGCAAGCUCCAGCGAUCCAUCUAUGGACUGGUGCAAGCAUCUCGGAGUUGGAAUAUACGCUUUGAUAUGUUGUUCAAAGGAUAUAGUUUUAUACAAACUUGCGGUGAAGCAUGUAUUUACAAGAAAGUGAGUGGGAGCACUACAACAUUUCUGAUAAGUAUAUGUGAAUGACAUAUUGUUGAUCGGAAAUAAUGUAGAAUUAUUCUUAUAAGCAUAAAGGAGUGUUUGAAAUGAGCUUUUCAAAGAAAGACUUCGGUGAAGCUGCUUACAUAUUGAGCAUCAAGAUCUAUAGAGAUAGAUCAAGACGCUUGAUAAGUUUUUUCAAUGAGUACAUACCUUAACAAGAUUUUGAAGUAGUUCAAAAUAGAACAAUCAAAGAAAGAGUUGUUGGCUGUGUUACAAGGUGUGAAAUUGAGUAAGACUCAAAGCCCGACCACGGCAGAAGAUAGAAAAAGAAUGAAAGUCGUUCCCUAUGCCUUGGCCAUAGGUUCUAUAAAGUAUGCCAUGUUGUGUACCAGAUCUAUUCUAUACCCUACACUGAUUUUAGCAAGGGAGUACAAUAGUGAUCUAGGAGUAGAUCACUAGACAGCGGUCAAAAUUAUCCUGAGGAAUAAGGAUAUGUUUCUCGAUUAUGGAAGUGACAAAAGGUUCAUCGUAAUGGGUUACGUCGAUGCAAGUUUUGACACUAAUCUAGAUGACUCUAAGUCUCGGUCUAGAUAUAUAUUGAAAGUGGGAGCAAUUAGCUAGAGUAGCUCCGUGCAGAGCAUUGUAGACAUAGAAAUUUGCAAAAUACUUACGGAUCUGAAUGUGACAGACCCGUUGACUAAAAUUAUCUCACAAGCAAAACAUGAUAUCACCUUAGUACUCUUUGGGUGUCAAUCACAUAGCGAUGUGAACUAGAUUACUGACUCUAGUAAACCCUUUGGGUGUUGGUCACAUGACGAUGUGAACUAUGGGUAUUAAUCACAUGGUGAUGUGAACUAUUGAUGUUAAAUCACAUGGCGAUGUGAACUAGAUUAUUGACUCUAGUGCAAGUGGGAGACUGAAGUAAAUAUGCCCUAGAGGCAAUAAUAAAGUUAUUAUUUGUUUCCUUAUAUCAUGAUAAAUGUUUAUUAUUCAUGCUAGAAUUGUAUUAACCGGAAACAUAAUACAUGUGUGAAUACAUAGACAAACAAAGUGUCACUAGUAUGCCUCUACUUGACUAGCUCGUGAAUCAAAGAUGGUUAUGUUUCCUAGCCAUAGACAUGAGUUGUCAUUUGAUUAACGGGAUCACCUCACUAGGAGAAUGACGUGAGUGACUUGACCCAUUCCAUUAGCUUAGCACUCAAUCGUUUAGUAUGUUGCUAUUGCUUUCUACAUGACUUAUACAUGUUGCUAUGACUAUGAGAUUAUGCAACUCCCGUUUACCGGAGGAACACUUUGUGUGCUACCAAACGUCACAACGUAACUGGGUGAUUAUAAGGGUGCUCUACUGGUGUCUCCAAAGGUACUUGUUGGGUUGGCGUAUUUCGAGAUUAGGAUUUGUCACUCCGAUUGUCGCAGAGGUAUCUCUGGGCCCAAUCGGUAAUGCACAUCACUAUAAGCCUUGCAAGCAUUGUGACUAAUGAGUUAGUUGCGGGAUGAUGUAUUACGGAACGAGUAAAGAGACUUGCCGGUAACGAGAUUGAACUAGGUAUCGAGAUACCGAAGAUCGAAUCUCGGGCAAGUAACAUACCGAUGACAAAGGGAACAACGUAUGUUGUUAUGCGGUCUGACCGAUAAAGAUCUUCGUAGAAUAUGUGGGAACCAAUAUGAGCAUCUAGGUUCCGCUAUUGGUUAUUGACCGGAGAAGUGUCUCGGUCAUGUCUACAUAGUUCUCGAACCCGUAUGGACCCACGCUUAAAGUUACGAUGACAGUUAUAUUAUGAGUUUAUAUGUUUUGAUGUACCGAAGGUUGUUCGGAGUCCCGGGUGUGAUCGCGGACAUGACGAGGAGUCACGAAAUGGUCGAGACAUAAAGAUUGAUAUAUUGGACGACUAUAUUCGGACACCGGAAGUGUUCCGGAGAAGUUUCGGAUAAAACCGGAGUGCCGGAGGGGUUACCGGAACCCCCCGGGGAAGUAUUGGGCCUUAGUGGGCCUUGAGGGGAGAGAGAGGGCAGCAGCCAGGAGGUGGCGCGCCCCCUCCCAUGAGGAGUCCUAAUUGGACUAGGAGAGGGGGGCGCAACCCCUCUUUCCCUCUCCCUCUCCCUCUCUUUCCUUCCCCCCCUCUCUUCCUAGUUGGACUAGGAAAGGGGAGUCCUACUCCUACUAGGAGGAGGACUCCCCCCCUCUCCUUGGCGCGCCCAAGGCAGCCGGCCUCCCCCUUGCUCCUUUAUAUACGGGGGCAGGGGGGCACCUCUAGACACACUUGAUAUACGAUAUUUUAGCCAUGUGCGGUGCCCCCCUCCACCAUAUUACACCUCGAUAAUACCGUUGCGGAGCUUAGGCGAAGCCCUGCGUCGGUGGAACAUCAUCAUCGUCACCACGCCGUCGUGCUGACAAAACUCUCCCUCAACACUCGGCUGGAUCGGAGUUCGAGGGACGUCAUCGAGCUGAACGUGUGCUGAACUCGGACGUGCCGUGCGUUCGAUACUUGAUCGGUCGGAUCGUGAAGAUGUACGACUACAUCAACCGCGUUGUGAUAACGCUUCUGCUGUCGGUCUACGAGGGUACGUGGACAACACUCUCCCCUCUCGUUGCUAUGCAGCACCAUGAUCUUGCGUGUGCGUAGGAAUUUUUUUGAAAUUACUACAUUCCCCAACAAUCCAUAGAUUCAUUAUUAUUCUCAAUCGAAGUAGAAAAAGGCAUAUCAUUAGGAUCAGAAGAAACACUUUUAUUAGCAAAUAAUUUCAUAAGUUCAUCCAUCUUUCCACUCAAAACAUUAAUUUCUUCUAUCGCAUGCACUUUUUUAUUAGUGGAUCUUUCGGUGUGCCAUUGAGAAUAAUUAACCAUAAUAUUAUCUAGGAGUUUAGUAGCUUCUCCUAAAGUGAUUUCCAUAAAAGUGCCUCCGCGGCCGAAUCUAAAGACUUCUAGAAGAAAAAUUCAAUCUGGCAUAAAUUUUUUGUAUAAUCAUCCACAAAUUCAAACCAUGAGUAGGGCAAUUACGUAUCAUUAAUUUCAUCCUCCCGCAAGCUUGUCCAACAUGUUCAUGAUCAAGUUGCUUAAAAUUCAUAAUAUCGUUUCUAAGAGAGAUGAUCUUAGCGGGAGGAAAAUACAUAGAGAUAAAAGCAUCUUUGCACUUAUUUCAAGAAUCACUACUAUUUUUAGGCAAAGACGAAAACCAAGCUUUAGCACGAUCUCUAAGCGAAAAAGGAAAUAGCUUCAAUUUAACAAUAUCAUUGUCCACAUCUUUCUUCUUUUGCAUAUCACACAAAUCAACGAAGCUGUCUAGAUGGGUAGCGGCAUCUUCACUAGGAAGGCCGGGGAAUUGAUCUUUCAUGACAAGAUUCAACAAAGCGGCAUUAAUUUCACAAGAUUCAGUAUCGGUAAGAGGAGCAAUCGGAGUGCUAAGAAAAUCAUUGUUGUUGGUAUUGGUAAAGUCACACAAUUUAGUAUUAUCUUGAGCCAUCGUGACAAGCAAGCAAUCCAACACACGAGCAAACAAGAAGCAAGCGAAAAAGAGGCGAACAGAAAGAGAGGGCGAAUAAAACGGCAAGGGUGAAGUGGGGGAGAGGAAAACGAGAGGCAAAUGGCAAAUAAUGUAAUGCGGGAGAUAAGGGUCUGUGAUGGGUACUUGGUAUGUUGACUUUUGCGUAGACUCCCCGACAACGGCGCCAGAAAUCCUUCUUGCUACCACUUGAGCACUGCGUUGGUUUUCCCUUGAGGAGGAAAGGGUGAUGCAGUAAAGCAGCGUAAGUAUUUCCCUCUGUUUUUGAGAACCAAGGUAUCAAUCCAGUAGGAGGCCACGCACGAGUCCCUCGCACCUACACAAACAAAUAAAAUCCUCACAACCAACGCAAUAAAGGGGUUGUCAAUCCCUUCACGGUCACUUACGAAAGUGAGAUCUGAUAGAUAUGAUAAGAUAAUAUUUUUGGUAUUUUUAUGAUAAAGAUGCAACGUAAAGAAAGCAAAAUAAAAACAGCGCCAGAAAUAGCUUGUUGACGGGAGAUUAAAUAUGAUGGAAAAUAGACCUGGGGGCCAUAGGUUUCACUACUGGCUUCUCUCGAGAGCAUAAGUAUUACGGUGGGUAGACAAAUUACUGUUGAGCAAUUGACAGAAUUGAGCAUAGUUAUGAAAAUAUCUAGGUAUGAUCAUGUAUAUAGGCAUCACGUCCGAGACAAGUAGACCGACUCCUGCCUGCAUCUACUACUAUUACUCCACACAUCGACCGCUAUCCAGCAUGCAUCUAGAGUAUUAAGUUCAAAAGAACAGAGUAACGCUUUAAGUAAGAUGACAUGAUGUAGAGGGAUAAACUCAUGCAAUAUGAUAUAAACCCCAUCUUGUUAUCCUCGAUGGCAACAAUACAAUACGUGCCUUGCUGCCCCUACUGUCACUGGGAAAGGACACCGCAAGAUUGAACCCAAAGCUAAGCACUUCUCCCAUUGCGAGAAAGAUCAAUCUAGUAGGGCAAACCAAACCGAUAAUUCGAAGAGACUUGCAAAGAUAACCAAUCAUACAUAAAAGAAUUCAGAGAAGAUUCAAAUAUUGUUCAUAGAUAAACUUGAUCAUAAACCCACAAUUCAUCGGUCUCAACAAACACACCGCAAAAGAAGAUUACAUCGAAUAGAUCUCCACAAGAGAGGGGGAGAACAUUGUAUUGAGAUCCAAAAAGAAAGAAGAAGCCAUCUAGCUAAUAACUAUGGACCCGAAGGUCUGAGGUAAACUACUCACACAUCAUCGAGAGGCUAUGGUGUUGAUGUAGAAGCCCUCCAUGAUCGAUGCCCCCUCCGGCGGAGCUCCGGAAAAGGCCCCAAGAUGGGAUCUCACGGGUACAGAAGGUUGCGGCAGUGGAAUUAGAUUUUUGGCUCCGUAUCUGGUAGUUUGGGGGUACGUAGGUAUAUAUAGGAGGAAGAAGUACGUCGGUGGAGCAACGUCGGCCCCACGAGGGUGGAGGGCGUGCCCGGGGGGUAGGCGCGCCCCCUACCUCGUGCCUUACUGGUAGCUUUCUUGACGUAGGGUCCAAGUCCUCUGGAUCACGUUCGUUCCGAAAAUCACGUUCCCGAAGGUUUCAUUCCAUGGAACAAUAAAAAAAUAUAGAUACGUUGGAGACGUAUCAGUGCAUGUUAGACGUAGAAAAUUUUCAAGGCUGUAAGAGGAAGUUAUCUCCCGUUCAUCAUCAAACAUGCAUUGUUCCCUCUCGGAACCACGAACCUUCUAGGGAGUUGCUCCGGUUUGUGAGGGGUGUGUGUCCAAACUUUCGUCAAACAUGCCAAUUUCUUUACCACAUCAUCUUGGUGGCUUGACAUUAAAUCAAGCAAGGUUUCAUGUUUUCUGAUCAUUUUUUAAUUUUUUGGAAUUAAAAUGCCAUGGCAUGCACUCCAUGCAUGUGCCCAUGCCUUGACACCAAUAUGUUUGAAAAUUCCUUCUAAUUUACUGCCCAUCGAAUUAACUCGCACACAAGUACACAAAAAUAUUAUUUUUCAAACCGUUAUGGUAAGGCGUUGCAUGUAGAUGUAGUUCAAAUUUGAAUUACCGUCAUUGAAUGGUUGGAAAAUCACUUAAAUGUCUUUAAAAGGUCAAAUGACCCCUGAAAUUUACCAAAUUUUCACAUGACAGUUGUAUUAGUGCACGUUAAAAGUAGGAAAAAAUGGCCGUAAGAGGAAGUUAUCUCCCGUUCGUCAUCAAACAUGCAUUGUUCCCUCUCGGAACCACGAACCUUCCAGUGAGUUGCUCUGGUUUGUGAGGGGUGUGUGUCCAAACGUUCGUCAAACAUGCCAAUUUCUUUACCACAUCAUCUUGGUGGCAUGACAUUACAUCAACUAAGGUUUCAUAUGUUUUUGAUCAUUUUUAUAUUUUUUUGAAUUAAAAUGCCAUGUCACUCCAUGCAUACGUAUGCAUGUGUCCAUGCCGUGAGACCCAUAUGUUUGAAAAUUCGUUCUAAUUUACUGCACAUGGAAUAAACUCGCACACACGUACAUAGAUAUGAUUUUUCACACUGUUUCGGAUAGGCGUUGCAUAUAAAUGUAGUUCAAAUUUGAAUUAUGGUCAUUAAAUAUGUAGCGACCCGACCUCAGACGGUCAAGUCUCUGUGCUCAAGUGUCAUCCCUGGAUCGGUAUGCUGACACACAUAGUACUGGAGGAUUUAUAACAGAGGUAAAUCACAUGUAUAAAGUAAUGUAAAUACUAUUACCUCAAUCCAAAUAGCGGAAGUAACAACAAGGUUGUGGAUUCCCAUCAACACCAACGGCAAAGUUGAGUGUAGAAAUCGUAACCCUAACGUAUCACUUACUCGUCGUAAGAAUCCUGCAACAUGAGACGUUGCAGCCACAAAGGGUCAGUACAUUGAAUGUACUGGCAAAUUCACACCAUAGAGAAAUUAUGAACAAUGGCUAUCACUACAUGCAUAUAUGGCUGGUGGAAAAGCUCUAUGGUUAUAAUGUUUUUGCGAAAAGCCAAUUUUUCCCUACUGCAAAGGAAUAUAUUUUAUUUAACUACAAAGUUUGUUGAAAAAUAUUGAGAAGGUAAACCCCCUCUCAAUCCCAAUUAAAAGUAAUCAUUAACAACCCAACAAAUUAAGAUUAAAAGUGAUGAGAUCAACAUGAUAAUCCCAGAACCAGAUACUCAAGAUGUCCAUAACCGGGGACACGGCUAACCAUGAUUAGUUUGUACACUCUCUAGAGGUUUGCGCACUUUUCCCCACAAGACUCGAUCUCCUCCGUUUGAUUUCUCGCACUACAUGGUGUUUGAGAAACGGAUGACCGAGACACAGUCUUUCAGAAGCGUUAGCACCUUACGAUGGGUAGACAGUUACACCUACUUUCCCCUACAUCUGCUAGUCUACCACUGUAAGAGUUCACACGACUUAAUAAACUAUGCUAGAGCCCAUAAUAGCUUGUGGCUGCACACGGAAGUUUCUAGUAUGAAUAAUCUCAUGAUCCCUUUGAGCCUGGGUGGCAGUCCAUAGGAGAAUCACACGGUACCCCGGGAUUUCAAAAAAAUACAGGCAAUCACUGGAAUUCCCCAGGUGCAUCAAUCCACCCAGAUGUGUAUCGAAGUUGCCACCUUAAGUUGAACCAUUACUUAACAAUACUCACAUCUAUCAUGAAUACUCUCAAACCCAAUCCACGUCAACGAGCAUAGCAUGGCAAUAUAAGCAUAACGUAAUAGUAACUCCCAAGGUUUGAAUGCAGGGCAAUAGGUUCCUACCUCAUCAACUACUUCCCAAUACCCACAUGUUAUCAAUUCCUAACCAUGCAAUUUUUGAGGGUGAAACUAAUGCAUAAAAACUGGGUAUGAAAGGGAUAUGAUCAAAGUGUGAACUUGCCUGCAAUGUUGAUGAAGAUGAUUCGCACUCAUAACUAUUGAUAGUUCUACUCGGCACACUCCGGUCAAUCUAUCGUGAGCAAGCAAUAGUAACCACACAUAAGCAAUCACUCAAAAGAUCGGAAAGAGCGAAGAAUACGAUUCAGAAAACAUCAAAACCAAGCAAACAACUCUUGCAACAUAAAACAAUUUCUAACAGUACCAAAAUUAUGUGAAUUUGGCCUUAUCACAAAGUUUAGGUCACGAGCUUCGAUAAGCAAAAAGAAUCAACUAAAUCGGAGCUACGAAACUCAAGUUAUGAUCAAAAGAAUAUUCAAAUUCAAAUGUGUUUGAAACAAAUUUUAAAUUUUCAAAAACAUGUUUAAGUUGUUUACCUGGAUAGAGGGGAUCAUAACAAAGACGUGGGCGUUGGUUUCGUUGGAUUUGGAUAAACGAGUAAAAAGAUGUGGUCGUUUGAAGAUCAGGGACUGAACUGUGAAUAAAAUAUUCACGGAUGGGUCCCUGGCCGAAAACUAAAAUAAAAAGAAAAAUCCUAUCGAACGAAUGUUCGCUACAGAACGCUAACGAACGAAAACCGUUCACUACAGAACCCUAACUAACGAACGCUCGCAAAAAAAUAAAAACCUAAAUAAUAAACCGAUCUAAAAGAAUAAAACCGAAGAAAAAUCGGGGUGGUUUAAAUUGGUUUAUACCGGUUCAAGGGAAAUAAACCGAAGGCGGCGGUUACUCCGGCGAGACGACGGCUCCGGCGAGUGCGAGCGUCGGCGGCUGCGCGAGGCGGCGGCGCUGGCGGCUAGCGGUGGCGAGGACGGCGGCNNNNNNNNNNNNNNNNNNNNNNNNNNNNNNNNNNNNNNNNNNNNNNNNNNNNNNNNNNNNNNNNNNNNNNNNNNNNNNNNNNNNNNNNNNNNNNNNNNNNNNNNNNNNNNNNNNNNNNNNNNNNNNNNNNNNNNNNNNNNNNNNNNNNNNNNNNNNNNNNNNNNNNNNNNNNNNNNNNNNNNNNNNNNNNNNNNNNNNNNNNNNNNNNNNNNNNNNNNNNNNNNNNNNNNNNNNNNNNNNNNNNNNNNNNNNNNNNNNNNNNNNNNNNNNNNNNNNNNNNNNNNNNNNNNNNNNNNNNNNNNNNNNNNNNNNNNNNNNNNNNNNNNNNNNNNNNNNNNNNNNNNNNNNNNNNNNNNNNNNNNNNNNNNNNNNNNNNNNNNNNNNNNNNNNNNNNNNNNNNNNNNNNNNNNNNNNNNNNNNNNNNNNNNNNNNNNNNNNNNNNNNNNNNNNNNNNNNNNNNNNNNNNNNNNNNNNNNNNNNNNNNNNNNNNNNNNNNNNNNNNNNNNNNNNNNNNNNNNNNNNNNNNNNNNNNNNNNNNNNNNNNNNNNNNNNNNNNNNNNUUAAAUAAUGGGAGGGGGCGACGGGUGGCGUGGAGGAGGGGUCAAGGGGAGAGGCAGCGAGGAGGAGUCCGCGGCGCGGAUGGCUCAGACGCCGAGGCGGCGGCGGUGGCGUGCGGGAUCCGGCCUCCUGCGUGAGAUCGGGGACGGCGCGACCGGGCUGGGCUAGGCCUGGCCCGGUUGGGUGCUGGGCCGGCCCAGUCGGCGAAGAAGAAUUUUUUUUAAAACACUGGCAAACAAAAUAAAUAAAACAAAGGAAAAAAUAUAUAUAUUAUAUAGGCAUAUAAUAUAUCAAAAUUUUCAGAAAAAGAUUUUCUACAAGAUGAACAUUUUCCUAACGUCAAAUAAACUCCACACAAACUCAAAUAAUUCAAAGAGUCCUACUACCCUACUAAAAUCCAAUAAAAUUAUUUUAAAAAUACCAAAAGGAUUUCAAACUUAUUUAUCUCCAAUUUUCUGAUGUAGGGAAUCAUGUUACCCUAUUUUCCAUAUAUUUUAUUUUUGGAGAAAAACAAUUCGAAUAAAACUCAAAUAACUCCAAAUUAAAAAUAAAUUCAAAAAGGACUUUAAAUUUGAUCAUUGAAACUCCCAUCUCAUAUUUCAUGAAGAAGUCAUUUUAUCUUCUCUCGUGAAAAUCAUUGAGUUGCAUAAAGUUUCUGAAUUGGAAAAUAUUUCCAAAUGGAAUUCAAAUAUUUUUCGAACACCCUUUUCAUUUAUUUAAAUGGAAGAUGUCAUGUCAUCUACUCUCCAGGGUUUUGAAUUUUGAAAAGAAUUUGAAUUCACGAAGAUCAUAAAUGCAAAAAUGAAAGUUUGGGAAAGUCCUUUUAUUCCCUCUCAUUUAAUUUUCAAAAAGUUCGAAUUUCAAUCACUUUCAGUCAAUCAUUCACACAACAAUCAAACAAUCAAUCAAAUCUAUCUAUUUAUCAUAACAUUCCAAAAUUUAGAAUUUUGGGAUGUUAUGAACCUACCACCCUUAAAAUGAAUCUCGUCCUCGAGAUUCGGAGGGGCUAGCAAGAAAUAGGUUAGGUUUGGGGUCUUCUUAAAAUCCAUCGAUCAUCACAGGGGGUCUGGGGUGCUACCACCCUUAGAAACAUCGUUACGGUCCCAUCAAUACUCAUAUACUCCAUCCUUAUUCUUGACAGGGCCGGUCUUCUCAGAUUCUCGAGAUAAUUCCUUCUCUAGGCUCUUCCGGUAGUGGCAUAACCUUUACCACAAUUCUUCUGUCCUUUCAUCUUGGUAAGGUUCUUCCAUGACUGGGUCUUCUUAGCUGACGGGUCUGGCGCCAAAACUAAACAACUAUCGAUAUCUCAUGGUGGUCAUCAAUUUAUGGUUUCUCCUGCAGGAAAUGGGUCUGGUUGAUCCUCACACGGUAGGCAAAAGCUGCCUUGUACAAGGGAAAAAAUACUUAUACCAUUCUAAGGUUUAAACAAGGUUUUGAUCAUCGUCUCUCUACUAUGGGUAAGUCACUCAGAUUUACCAUCCCACAUAGCAAGGCGAAUAAUAAGAGUAAGUUGGUAUGGUGAUCAAUCCAUCCCGCACCCAAAUCUCGCAUUCUAACACUCGGUCAUCCUCACAAGCAUUGCAGAAUUUCUCUUGUCGACGAACCAGGUUCGGAUGAAUCCAUUGAUUCUGCAAGCCAAACAAUCAUCUAUCGUUCCUUCACAACUCUCAGGUUUUGCGUAACUCCUAUAAGAUCGUCUGUCGAUAAAAUCGUAACUCCUUCCAGGGUUUUUCCUUUAGCAAGAGUGUGCUUGCUUCUUCGCAGGUCCUGGGACCUGUGGGUUAUGGCCCAUCUCAUCACUUGUAAACCGUGAACUCAUCAUCUGGGCCAACUGAUCAUUAUCUCAACAUCUAACUUCCAGCUUCCUAGCAUUCUUAAAUCCAUCCAAUUGUACUAUCUUCCUUCCUUCUAUUGGCACCAAACUAGGACAUGAUUACUCAGACUCGUCAUGGAAUUUACAUUGAUCCAUAUUUCCAACAUCAUACCUCCUUUAUGUCCAAUAGUACUUCAUCUCUUCAUAUUCUUGGGGUAUCCAACAUAUCGAGAUAAAACUCGUACUUAUUUUGUCCGAAAUCCACUUCGGGGAAUAACAUCAUUAUCCUUUCCAGGGUCAGGCAUCCUUACAGGGGAAUAUUGGCCAUCUCUGCAUGGCACUCUUCAACUGGGAAACGUGAAACACAUCAUGAACUCCUGACAGUCCUUCGGGUAACUCCAACUUGUAGGCCACUUCUCUCAUACGCUCCAAAACUCGGUAUGGUCCUACAAAUCUCGGGGCUAACUUUUCCUUAACUCCAAAUCGUUUAACUCCUCGCAAAGGUGGCACACGAAGAUAUGAUCUGUCUCUGAUUUCAUAGACUACCUCCUUGCAUUUUGAGUCUACAUAACUCUUCUGCCUGGACCGAGCUACCUUCAGUCUAUCUCGAAUCAACUUAACAUUCUCUUCUGACUCCUUGAUCACAUUUGGUCCAAACAACUGACGGUCUCCAACUUCAUCCCACAUCAACAGUGUCUGGCUCCUUCUCCCAUACAAAGCUUCAAAAGGGGCCAUCUUCAAACAGGCUUGGAAACUGUUGUUGUAUGAGAACUCCGCGUAAGGUAGAUUAUCAUCCUACUAGAUCCAUAAUCUAGCGCACACGCUCUCAACAUGUCCUCCAGAAUCUGAUUGACUCUCUCGGUCUAUCCAUCUGUCUGCGGAUGAAAGGUUGUACUGAACUCUAGCCUAGUACCCAAAGUCUGGUGCAGCUGAUUCCAAAACAUUUUUUUUGACAGAAAGACUGUAAGGGAACCCCUUACAGUAUAAUUGGUGCAACAAACCCAAAUUGCAAGUACCAUGCCUUGAACCUGGGUGGGUGGGAAGGCAUCAGCCCCUUCCCACCACUAGGCUAUGCCUUAGUCUGUUGAUUCCAAAACAUUGAGGUAAACUGUGUUCCUCUAUCUGAUACGAUGGUCCUCAGAACUCCAUGCAGACAUACGAUCCUGUUCAUAUAUAUCUUGGCCAACUUCGCACUUGUAUAGGUGGUUUUCACUGGGAUAAGGUGAGCCACUUUGGUCAAGCGAAUCAACUACUACCCAGAUAGAAUCAUAUCCCGAUCUGGUUCUGAGAAAUCCGGUAAUGAAAUCCAUGCCAAGCUUAUCCCACUUCCAUUCGGGUAUCGGCAUAGGCUGUAGUAAUCCGGCUGGCUUAUGAUGCCCUGCCUUUACUCUCUGGCAUACAUCACCAACGACUACAUACUCCGCAAUAUCCUUCUUCAUACCAGUCCACCAUAAACGCUCCUUCAAAUCCAAAAACAUCUUGGUGUUUCCAGGGCGAAUCGAGUAUGGUGAGUCAUGAGCCUCCUGAAGUAUUAACUUCCCGAUCUUUGCAUUAUUGGGCACAUAUACACGGUCCUCGAGGCAUAAGGUGUCAUGCUCAUCCUUACGAAAUCCUCUGGCCUUUCCUUUCCUCAUCCUCUCUUUUACCUCAGCAAUUUCUUUGUCAUCCUUCUGAGCUUCACGGAUCUUUCCCAACAAUGUAGACUGAACUUCCCUUGCUGCAAGAAAACCUUUGGGAACAAUCUCCAACCGAAGUUCCCUUAGAUCCUCGGCUAACUCCUUUGGUAAUCCUCCGCUUUUGAGGGUAUUCGUCCUUGUUUUCUUAAUGGUUGUGUCCUAUUUCUCCACAAAGCUUGUAUGCACAAGGUUUCUUCAUAUCCUUUCCAUAAGGCCUCAACUUUUGGGACACAAGACGAGAUCUUUGCAGAGUCAGCUUAAAUUCUUCCCAAGUGGUUACUCUUUGCCAUCCAUUGAUGGUUUGGUACAUCCUCCACCAAGUAGCAGCACCUCUUUCAAAACACUGCAGAGCAUGCUGGGUCAUAUCCUUUCUGGCUACAGAGUUAUUCUUCAUGUGAUCCGCCAAGUUCUGAAUCCAUCGGUCCGUCUCCAAUUGACUUAUCGGUCCCGGAACUGUGAGUUCAUCUCCAUUCAUCCUCUAUUGGGUCCAUGGGUUUGGGGUGAGAUAAGAGAGAUAGAGAGGGAUACACACAACACAACCAAUAGUUUUGAAAAGACAAAUUUUUAUUUGUGGCUGUCGGAAAGACAUCAAACAAAUGACAGCUCACAAACGUCGCAUCUAACAUAGGUAUAUAACCGGGUUUGGUAUUCUAAAGGUCAAUAAAUCUUCAACAUCGUCAAACUCUUCAAGUCUUGUUCAUGUCUACGGUGGCUUCUUCCGAUCAUGCUUGUCUUUCGCAAGUCCUUUUGCCAGAUCCUCUCUGUUGACGCGAAGUCUCUCGUGGCUUCCUUUAAUAAUUGCGUUCCAAACUUCUGGAUUUCAACAUCCUUGGCAUGAACUAUAGUCCUACUGUCCUUCAGUUCCUGACGUAUCUCCGGUAUCUUGAGGUUUUGCUCCUCUAGCUUGGCUACUUUCAACUUCUGGGUCCUGAGUUCUUCACGAAACGCUUCCUUAUGAAAUACUGCUUCUUGUAGGUCCAUCUUACCUUCUUGAUGUAACACUCCAGAUCCUGGUGAUACACCGGCUAAGGUUAAAACUUCAUCUUGCUGAUAGGUGCUCCAUCAGCCUUCUGCCAUCCAAUACUUCCAUGCAUAUGCAUGCUUAACUCGGCACGGUGACAAUAGCAUAAGCGGGCGAUAACAUCGUGGAUAGCAGUGUUUCUGCUCUUGUCAUUUCCAUGAGCUAUUUCUCCAUAGUUGAUAUCUCCUGCCUUAGGGUUUUCCUUGACAAAACUUUGUUUUCUAAUGCUCCACGUUCUAGUAUUUCUCCAAUACACCUUGAUAUCGGGCAUUGACGGCUUCCAUAGUCUGCCAACUUCCAUAAGGGUAGCCAUUCCUAGGUCAUACAAAUCCGGGAAUUCCUCAGAGCCUUCAAAUUCUCCUAGUCUUCAGAGUCUUCAACCGUUGUAGUUUCCAUUUACACGGUAAAAUCUUCUUCAUUCCAAAAUGGUCUUAGUUGUCCGAUAUCUUGUACUUCUUGAAGUGGUCUCAUCCGUCGAAUUUUCGAGUGGUCCAAAGGGAAAAGGGGUAUGGUCUCACUUAAAGGGAAUGUUUGAAUAAGCUCAGAAGAGAAGAGAGGUAAAAGAUCUUUUUGAAAAAGAAAGUUCUAGAGAAAAUUCCUUCCUAUGGGCUUGCCAGUUUCUAGGGUCACGUCCUACAGUCAACAUGUGCUCUGAUACCAUCUUGUAGCGACACGACCUCAAACGGUCAAGUCUCUGUGCUUAAGUGUCAUCCCUGGAUCGGUAUGCUAACACACAUAGUACUAGAGGAUUUAUAACAUAGGUAAAUCACAUGUAUAAAGUAACGUAAAUACUAUUACCUCAAUCCAAAUAGCGGAAGUAACAACAAGGUUGUGGAUUCCCAUCAACACCAACGACAAAGUUGAGUGUAGAAAUCAUAACCCUAACAUAUCACUUACUCGUCGUAAGAAUCCUGCAACAUGAGACGUUGCAACCACAAAGGGUCAGUACAUUGAAUGUACUGGCAAAUUCACACCAUAGAGAAAUGAUGAACAAUGGCUAUCACUACAUGCAUAUAUGGCUGGUGGAAAAGCUCUAUGGUUAUAAUGUUUUUGCGAAAAGCCAAUUUUUCCCUACUACAAAGGAAUAUAUUUUAUUUAACUACAAAGUUUGUUGAAAAAUAUUGAGAAGGUAAACCCCCUCUCAAUCCCAAUUAAAAGUAAUCAUUAACAACCCAACAAAUUAAGAUUAAAAGUGAUGAGAUCAACAUGAUAAUCCAAGAACCAGAUACUCAAGAUGUCCAUAACCGGGGACACGGCUAACCAUGAUUAGUUUGUACACUCUGCAGAGGUUUGCGCACUUUUCCCCACAAGACACGAUCUCCUCCGUCUGAUUUCUCGCACUACAUGGUGUUUGAAAAACGGAUGACCGAGACACAGUCUUUCAGAAGCGUUAGCACCUUACGAUGGGUAGACAGUUACACCUACUUUCCCCUACAUCUGCUAGUCUACCACUGUAAGAGUUCACACGACUUAAUCAACUAUGCUAGAGCCCAUAAUAGCUUGUGGCUGCACACGGAAGAUUCUAUUAUGAAUAAUCUCAUGAUCCCUUUGAGCCUGGGUGGCAGUCCAUAGGAGAAUCACACGGUACCCCGGGAUUUCAAAAAAAUACAGGCAAUCACUGGAAUUCCCCAGGUGCCUCAAUCCACCUAGAUGUGUAUUCAAGUUGCCACCUUAAGUUGAACCAUUACUUAACAAUACUCACAUCUGUCAUGAAUACUCUCAAACCCAAUCCACGUCUACGAGCAUAGCAUGGCAAUAUAAGCAUAACGUAAUAGUAACUACCAAGGUUUGAAUGCAGGGAAUAGGUUCCUACCUCAUCAACUACUUCCCAAUACCCACAUGUUAUCAAUUCCUAACCAUGCAAUGUUUGAGGGUGAAACUAAUGCAUAAAAACUGGGUAUGAAAGGGAUAUGAUCAAAGUGUGAACUUGCCUGCAAUGUUGAUGAAGAUGAUUCGCACUCAUAACUCUUGAUAGUUCUACUCGUCACACUCCGGUCAAUCUAUCGUGAGCAAGCAAUAGUAACCACACAUAAGCAAUCACUCAAAAGAUCGGAAAGAACGAAGAAUACGAUUCAGAAAACAUCAAAACCAAGCAAACAACUCUUGCAACAUAAAACAAUUUCUAACAGUACCAAAAUUAUGUGAAUUUGGCCUUAUCAGAAAGUUUAGGUCACGAGCUUCGAUAAGCAAAAAGAAUCAACUAAAUCGGAGCUACGAAACUCAAGUUAUGAUCAAAAGAAGAUUCAAAUUCAAAUAUAUUUGAAACAAAAUUUAAAUUAUCAAAAACAUGUUUAAGUUGUUUAUCUGGAUAGAGGGGAUCAUAACAAAGACGUGGGCGUUGGUUUCGUUGGAUUUGGAUAAACGAGUAAAAAGAUGUGGUCGUUUGAAGAUCAGGGACUGAACUGUGAAUAAAAUAUUCAUGGAUGGGUCCCUGGCCGAAAACUAAAAGAAAAAGAAAAAUCCUAUCGACCGAACGUUCUCUACAGAACGCUAACGAACGAAAACCGUUCACUACAGAACCCUAACUAAUGAACGCUCGCAAAAAAAUAAAAACCUAAAUAAUAAACCGAUCUAAAAGAUAAAACUGAUCUAUAUAAAAAACCGAAGAAAAAUCGGGGUGGUUUAAAUUGGUUUAUACCGGUUCGAGGGAAAUAAACUUAAGGCGGCGGUUACUCCGGCGAGACGACGGCUCCGGCGAGUGCGAGCGUCGGCGGCGGCGCGAGGCGGCGCCGCUGGCGGCUAGCGGUGGCNNNNNNNNNNNNNNNNNNNNNNNNNNNNNNNNNNNNNNNNNNNNNNNNNNNNNNNNNNNNNNNNNNNNNNNNNNNNNNNNNNNNNNNNNNNNNNNNNNNNNNNNNNNNNNNNNNNNNNNNNNNNNNNNNNNNNNNNNNNNNNNNNNNNNNNNNNNNNNNNNNNNNNNNNNNNNNNNNNNNNNNNNNNNNNNNNNNNNNNNNNNNNNNNNNNNNNNNNNNNNNNNNNNNNNNNNNNNNNNNNNNNNNNNNNNGGUAGCGGCGCGAUCCGGCGGCGGCGAGGUGCGGUGCGACGGUGCGGCGAGGAGCGGCAAAGUGCGGCGGCGGCGGCAUGACGCGAGGGCGGCAGCGCGGCUCGGAAAGUGGAGCGGCGUGGAGGAGGGGUCAAGGGGAGAGGCGGCGAGGAGGAGUCCGCGGCGGGGACGGCUCGGACGCCGAGGCGGCGUCGGUGGCGUGCGGGAUCCGGCCUCCUGCGUGAGAUCGGGGACGGCGCGACUGGGCUGGGCUUGGCCUGGCCCGGUUGGGUGGUGGGCCGGCCCCGUCGGCGAAGAAGAUUUUUUUUAAAACACUGGCAAACAAAAUAAAUAAAACAAAGGAAAAAAUAUAUAUAUUAUAUAGGNNNNNNNNNNNNNNNNNNNNNNNNNNNNNNNNNNNNNNNNNNNNNNNNNNNNNNNNNNNNNNNNNNNNNNNNNNNNNNNNNNNNNNNNNAUAUAAUAUAUCAAAAUUUUCAGAAAAAUAUUUUCUACAAGAUGAACAUUUUCCUAACGUCAAAUAAACUCCACACAAACUCAAAUAAUUCAAAGAGUGCUACUGUCUUACUAAAAUCCAAUAAAAAUCAUUUUAAAAAUACCAAAAUGAUUUCAAACUUAUUUAUCUCCAAUUUUCUGAUGUAGGGAAUCAUGUUACCCUAUUUUCCAUAUAUUUUAUUUUUGGAGAAAAACAAUUCGAAUAAAACUCAAAUAACUCCAAAUUAAAAAUAAAUUCAAAAAGGACUUUAAAUUUGAUCUUUGAAACUCCCAACUUAUAUUUCAUAAUUUGAAGAAGUCAUUUUAUCUUCUCUGGUGAAAGUCAUUGAGUUGCAUAAAGUUUCUGAAUUGGAAAAUAUUUCCAAAUGGAAUUCAAAUAUUUUUCAAACACCCUUUUCAUUUAUUUAUAUGGAAGAAGUCAUGUCAUCUUCUCUCUAGGGUUUUGUAUUUUGAAAAGAAUUUGAAUUCACGAAGAUCAUAAAUGCAAAAAUGAAAGUUUGGGAAAGUCCUUUUAUUCCCUCUCAUUUAACUUUCAAAAAGUUCGAAUUUCAAUCACUUUCAAUCAAUCAUUCACACAACAAUCAAACAAUCAAUCAAAUCUAUCUAUUUAUCAUAACAUUCCAAAAUUUAGAAUUUUGGGAUGUAACAAAAUGGUUAGAAAAUCACUUAAAUGUUUUUAAAAGGCCACAUGACCCCUAGAAUUUUGCAAAAUUUCACAUUACAGUUGUAGUAGUGCACGUUAGACAUAGAAAAAAUUUGUAGGACGUAAGAGGAAGCUAUCUCCCGUUCGUCAUCAAACAUGCAUUGUUCCCUCUCGGAACCACGAACCUUCUAGCGAGUUGCUCCGGUUUGUGAGGGGUGUGUUUCCAAACUUUCGUCACACAUGCCAAUUUCUUUACCACAUCAUCUUGGUGGCAUGACAUUACAUCAACCAAGGUUUCAUGUGUUUCUGAUUUUUUUUGGAAUUAAAAAGCCAUGCCACUCCAUGCAUACGUAUUCGUGCAUAUAUGUCCAUGUCGUAAUACAAAUAUGUUUGAAAAUUCCUUCUAGUUUACUGCACAUGGAAUUAACUCGCACACAAGUACACAAAUUUGAUUUUUCAAACCGUUUCGGUUACGCGUUGCAUGUAGAUGUAGUUCAAAUUUCAAUUACGGUCAUUAAAUGGCUAGAAAAUCACUUAAAUGUCUUUAAAAGGUCGAAUGACCCCUAGAAUUUUCAAAAAUUUCACAUUACAGUUGUAGUAGUGCACAUUAGACGUACAAAAAUUUGAAGGCCGUAAGAGAAAGCUAUCUCCCGUUUGUCAUCAAACAUGGAUUGUUCCCUCUCGGAACCACGAGCCUUCUAGUGAGUUGCUUCGGUUUGUGAGGGGUGUGUGUCCAAACUUUGGUCAAUCAUGCCCAUUUUUUUAUCACAUCAUCUUGGUGGCAUGACAUUACAUCAACCAAGGUUUCAUGUGUUUCUGAUUGUUUUAAUUUUUUGGAAUUAAAAUGCCAUGUCACUCCAUGCUUAAUUGUGUCAUAGCCGUUAGACCAAUAUGUUCGAAAAUUCCUUCCAAUUUACUACACAUGGAAUUAAAUCGCACACAAGUACACGAAAUAUGAGUUUUCAAACCGUUAUGGUUAGCUGUUGCAUGUAUAUGUAGUUCAAAUUUCAAUUACGGUCAUUAAAUGACUAGAAAAUCACUUAAAUGACUUAGAAGGUCAAAUGACCCCUGGAAUUUUCCAAAAUUUGACAUUACAGUUGUAUUAGUACUACAAAAUUUCUCGUUCAUUUAAAACACCAUCCGUUGGCACUUCAUUCCAAAUUCGUCUUUCACAGCUAGUAAAAAAUAUCUACAACAUCACACACAGUUGUUUUCUAGGAACCGUUUGCGAUGAAAAUAUCUGGGUCUAUUUAAGUCUCCCUCCUUAAGCUUCGCCAGGCUCGUCUGCUCUAGUGCCGGCAACCCCCGAAUCCACGAAUCCCGAUCCCCAUUCCCGCACCCCCUUCUUGCAAAGAUGAGGCCGUGGAAACGCUUCGUGAAGGCCCGUACGAUGGCCGCGUCCCCCCUGAGCGCCGCCGCCUGCGCCGAGAGCGAGGCCGCCUACGCCGAGAGUGCCACCGCAUCCGCAUUGAGCGCGGCUGCUUCCGCCGAGAGGGCGUCUGCAGUAGCCGAGACGGCUGCAGCUGCUGCUGCGAUGGCGGCUGCAAACACCGAGAGCGCUCGAGCUGCCGUCCGUGCCGCUGAUGUCGCCCUGGCCCGGGUCGAGGCCAUCCACGCCAAGAUCGAGGAUGCACACGCCAAGAUAUUCCAGGCCACCUUGGACUCCAGCAUGCAACCCAUGUAUGAAAAGGCGGCGGUGGCCAUGGAGCACCUGCUUCCUCAUGAGGUCGCCGAGCGGGAGCUGCAGAUGUAGGAGGCGGCGGAGAUAGAGGAGCGCCGGGAGGAGGAGUUGCGCGUGGCCGAGGUCAAGGUAGAGAACAGUCUAUUCGUCGAGGAAUCGGCGAUGGAGUACCAACGCGAGCUCUGGCGCAGGCACUACUACGAGUACUACAACCUUGAGGGCGGCGCCGAGGACGAGGACGAGGACACGGUCGACUUCAGCAGGGGGACGCGGAGUCCACCAACGGCAGCAUGUUGCCAGGACAAGUCAUCAACGUCUCAUCGCACACCGGCGAUGCAUAGGCCGGCACGGCGGCGGAUUUUUCAUUAUGCAUACUUAGGCUUUGUUUUUAAUGCUGGUCUUUUGUUAGAGCAAUGUUUAGGUCAACUAGCUCUGUGUAAUUACUAAAAUUGUUUGAUUCUGUAAGUGUGGUCUGUCUGCUGUACGCUCUUUUGUGUGCCCAAAUUAGCAAGCGAUGUUAAAUUAUGCAAUGACGUACCCGGGGAAAUUUCCACCAAAAUUUGAAUUAUCAAACUCAUCCCAUGCGCGUAAAGCAAAAGAAUCGUUUGUGAUGCACACAAUUUUUCAAAGUGAAUGGUCCGGCGGCACCGCACGCGUUCAAAGUGAAUGUGCCCAUGCCUUGAGACCAAAAUUUUAAUUAUCAAACUCAUCCCAUGCGCGUAAAGAAGAAAUAAUCGUUUGCGAUGCACACAAUCAUUCAAAGUGAAUGGUCCAGCGGCACCGCGCGCAAAGUUUCCCUCCACAUUUCCAAAAUUUUGGCCUACCGCCAAAAUAUCUACCCCGCCCCCCCCCCCACCCCCCUUCCCCACCCCCUUUUCUCCCUGACNNNNNNNNNNNNNNNNNNNNNNNNNNNNNNNNNNNNNNNNNNNNNNNNNNNNNNNNNNNNNNNNNNNNNNNNNNNNNNNNNNNNNNNNNNNNNNNNNNNNNNNNNNNNNNNNNNNNNNNNNNNNNNNNNNNNNNNNNNNNNNNNNNNNNNNNNNNNNNNNNNNNNNNNNNNNNNNNNNNNNNNNNNNNNNNNNNNNNNNNNNNNNNNNNNNNNNNNNNNNNNNNNNNNNNNNNNNNNNNNNNNNNNNNNNNNNNNNNNNNNNNNNNNNNNNNNNNNNCUUCCUUCCUUGCUAAGCUAUAGCCGCUUCUUCGCUCUCGCCGUCUCGCAUCCUACCACCGGGGUCGCCAUGGUCUUCUUCAAAGACAUCUCCAACGGUUCCUCCUCCGGCGACUACUCCUUCACCACCCGGGUAUGCCUCUCUUCUCUCUCUCGGGCUAUGACUUGGAAUGAAGGAUUUUUACCCGGAGGUCGAUUUGAGUCGUUUCUUCCUCUUGUAGCUCCCUAAGACCAUCAGUGACAACGAAUGGAGCGGGGUGGCUGAAGAUCUAUCUGCUCAUUGUCACCAUCAAUCUCCAUGCGUGAAGAUACUUGCGUUUGAUUCUGUGGACACUGGGAGGAAGUUUCUGGCAUGUGCAGAGAAGGUUAGACCCUCUUUCGUUGUUCCAAAUCAUUUGUUAGAUGUGAUUCAGACACUGUCACGGUCCCAACCCAUUCAUACCACACCUUCAACCAAACGCAUCCUAAGAUAGUGUCAUAGUUUUUACCUAGUAUCUUAAAUUGUUUCCAUCUCAUCAGCGGUGCCAUUAGAAAAUUAUUUGGCACCGCUUCAGCGGUUUGUGCAGCCAACUUUGGUCCACACAUCCGAGCAGCCAUGCAGUAAAAUAUUAAAUCUUUAUGGCACGAAGGAACUGGGCAUCGGAGCAACUACGUGCUCCGGAGUCUGGGUCCCUGAUUCUUUUUCCGCCGCAUCGGCUUGCCAGUUCAGGGCACCGGUCUGAGAUGUAGCAACAGUUGUCUUUACACCAGUUUUGGCAUACAUAGUGGACGGCCUUAGUGCUAUUAGUUCUAUGUUACUAAAUUUGUGCAUGUACACACCUGUUAGUAUCAAUUUGCUGUCACUCAAACACUGUCGCUAUGUUGUUGCAGUUAUAUUUACCUUCCUCAUAAAAUGUUCAACUUGGUAUUUAUUGUACAUGAGUAAGAACUUGUAGCAUCGUUGUAGUCAAUUAUAGCUUCUGAUGUUCCAGAAUUUGGUUGUUGUCUCAGUAGCAAUUAUUUCAUUUGCACAUUGAUCUCUUUGAGAAGAUAUGUCAUAAUUAACAUGUGUCUUCAGUUUUUCAAAAUAAGCAUUGGUGAUUUUCUAUGUUGCUAUAAACCCAUUUCCCCUACAAUUGUUACUGAUGUAGUUUUAAAUAUUAUAGGAUGAACGGAAGUGUUCUUACUUGGAGUGGGUUGAUCAAGAGUGGCCACAGUCUUUGAAGAUGUGCCCAACGAAGCUCUGGAGCAUGCAUGAGGAAGUGAAACACAGCUAGGCUUAGAGAAAGUCUUGUCAACGCUGAAGCAUAUUUCAAGAUGUGGGAUAAAAAUUUGAAGGUGCAGAAUGAGCUCAGAUUUUAAAAAAAUACUUUGCUAAGAUGGUGUUGGCGAAGGAGGAGACACUUCCUAGUUGGCCCGUGCAAAACGGGUUCUUACUGAACUGAAAGCAGAGGUGGAUAAGACGAGCAUGGAUGAUCUCGAUUAGGAAAAUGAAUAUAUUGUUCUUAUGAAGUUGAACUAGCUAUAUGUUGUACUGUGCUGUUUUCAUGUAGCUAUCGUACUGUGAUGUUAUAAUAUAUUUAUGUGCCUGAUAUGAAAUUGGCAAACAGUUGUUCGAUAUGAAAUGUGAAUUUGCAUAAUACUGGAAUUAUUAAUUAUAAACUAAUAAACCGGCUAAAUGUGUUAUGGACCUUUGCAAACGGGUGUAGCAGUAAAAGCGCUUCCGAUGGAUAGCCCAAUGCCACACAGUUUUCUACAUCAAAUCGUGUGUGAUGUAGUUAAUGAAAGCAAAUAGUUAACCAAGGCAGAGUGUGUGUGAUAGUUAUACCUUUCACACACGAGCGUAUAGAUAAACCCGUGUGGGAUGUACAUCUGAACGGAAAUGUUUUCCCUGUAUUGACUGUGUGGGAUGUACAUAAGAACGGAAACGUAUUCGUUGGAUUAACUGUGUGUGAUAUACAUACGAACGGAAAUGAUUUUCUAGUAUUCACCAUGUGGGAUGUACAUACCUACGGAAAUGAUUUCUGGGAUGUACUGUGUGGGAUGUACAUACCUACGGAAAUGAUUUCUAGGAUUCACCGUGUGGGAUGUACAUACCUACGGAAAUGAUUAGGUUUCGAUGCCUCGCCCGAUCGCACACGGCCCCAGCCUGGCACCCAGGAGGGCCUAUCCCCGACGAUUUCUGGGUCGUGUGGGAAGGACACCCUAUCGCACACACUCACUUGGCGAUGGUUCCAAAUGCCAUCGCGGAAAGGGGUCAAAAACCGUUUGUUUAGGACCGACGCGCACCAGUGAUAGAGACGUUCACCAUUGAAAACUACUCCAUCUCACAUGAUGAUCGGACAUGGUUUAGUUAAUAUGCAUCACGUGAUCAUUUAGAUGACUAGAGGGAUGUCUAUCUAAGUGGGAGUUCUUAAGUAAUAUGAUUAAUUGAACUUAAUUUAUAAUGAACUUAGUCCUGAUACUAUUUGCAUGUCUAUGUUAUAGAUCAAUAUCUCGCGUAUAGCUCCCCUGUUUUAUUUUGAUAUGUUCCUAGAGAAAACUAAGUUGAAAGCUGAUAGUAGCAACGAUGCGGGCUGGGUCCGUGAUAUGAGGAUUAUCCUCAUUGCUGCACAGAAGAAUUAUGUCCUUGAUGCACCGCUAGGUGACAGACCUAUUGUAGGAGCAGAUGCAGACCUUAUGAACGUCUAACAAAGCUCGGUAUGAUGACUACUUGAUAGUUUAGUGCGCCAUGCUUUACUGCUUAGAACCGGGACUUCAAAAAUGUUUUGAACGCCAUAGAGCAUAUGAGAUGUUCCAAGAGUUGAAAAUGAUAUUUCAGACUCAUGCCCGUGUUAAGAGGUAUGAGACCUCUUGUCACAUCCCUAGUUCUGGUUUGCUCUAGGCUAGCUAGUCAUGUGUGCAUCAUGUUUAAAUUUCAAUGAAUUUGAAAUGGGGACAUGUGAAAGCCUCAGAAAUCAUUUCUGAAAAAGACCAAGAUAAAAAUUGCUUCAAAUAGGUCCAAGAAAAUGUUCAUGUUUCUCUAUGAAAAUAUUGGCCAGAAUUAAAAUUCAAACCAAUAUUUUUAGGAGCUCAUAAAUAUUUAUUUUGGGCAUUUGAAGCUAAUGCAAUAACUAUUUGCAUUGGAUUUAUAUUUGCUAUAUAUCGAAUAUGUGUCCAAUAAUUCUGAGAAAUUGUGAGGGGCUUUGGGAUAAUCCUUUUAGUCCCUGCAAAAUUAUCAGAAGAAAGCAAAAUGGUUUAGUGCUUAAAAAUAAAUCAAAACAAAUAACAGAAAAAGAAAACAGAAAACAGAAAUGAAAAAGGAGUCUUACCUGGCGCUUACCUCGCAUGGCCCAGCACGGCCCAGCCCACUGGCCUGGUGCCAGUCAUCGCCUACCUCUGCCAGUAGGCAGAGGAGGGACACCGCGACACCGCCGAGCUCGCCACGCCUCCUCCUGCUUGCCGCCGACCGCUUGGAGCUGGCUGGAGACGCCAUGCACCCCCCCCCCCUGGUACCCCCUCGCUCACCUCCUCGACCCAUCCCCUUCCCUGGCUCCCUCGCGAACACACCCGAGCGCCCCCGUCACCACCGCUCGCCGUAGCNNNNNNNNNNNNNNNNNNNNNNNNNNNNNNNNNNNNNNNNNNNNNNNNNNNNNNNNNNNNNNNNNNNNNNNNNNNNNNNNNNNNNNNNNNNNNNNNNNNNNNNNNNNNNNNNNNNNNNNNNNNNNNNNNNNNNNNNNNNNNNNNNNNNNNNNNNNNNNNNNNNNNNNNNNNNNNNNNNNNNNNNNNNNNNNNNNNNNNNNNNNNNNNNNNNNNNNNNNNNNNNNNNNNNNNNNNNNNNNNNNNNNNNNNNNNNNNNNNNNNNNNNNNNNNNNNNNNNNNNNNNNNNNNNNNNNNNNNNNNNNNNNNNNNNNNNNNNNNNNNNNNNNNNNNNNNNNNNNNNNNNNNNNNNNNNNNNNNNNNNNNNNNNNNNNNNNNNNNNNNNNNNNNNNNNNNNNNNNNNNNNNNNNNNNNNNNNNNNNNNNNNNNNNNNNNNNNNNNNNNNNNNNNNNNNNNNNNNNNNNNNNNNNNNNNNNNNNNNNNNNNNNNNNNNNNNNCUCCCCAUCUACCCACUCAACGCCAGACGCCUCAAAACGCCGUCCCCGACCUCUUCUACAUCGUUGGCCGCCGCGGAUCCCCAUCGUCGAAUCGUUGCCGUCCGGCCUUCCCCGAGCCCGCUUCGACGCCUGCUGCAACCGCCGUGAGCCACCGAACCGUUUCCCCCUCUCUGUUCUCGCUCUCGUGUGCCAUAGCCGCCGCACCUUGCUCGCCCGCACGCGCCGCCGCCUGUGACCACCGCCGACGAGCCUCCGGCCACCUAGCGGUCCGUCCGUUGUGCUCAACUUCCUUCCCGCGCCACGUAGAGCACGUAGGUGCCCCGCACGAGCCUCCCCGGCCACCGUAGCGUCGACCCCGAGCUCACCCGAGCUCCGGCGACCGCCAAGGACGAUGCCGGCGACAACCCCGGCCACCCCAGGCCCAACCGCCACCACCACUCGAUGCGCGAGGUCGUCCGCAUCACGUAGAUGCCCUCCGCCGGCCAUUUGGUCGCCGGAGGAGGAAUCCCGCACCUCGCCGCCGCGUCUGGCCUCGCCGGCGGCGAGUCGCCGGUGGAUUAGCCCCAGUUGACUGGGGAUUUGACCCCCAGGGUCACUGACGUGUGGGCCAUGCCCCUGUUUAGUUUAGGUGUUAGCUUAGUUAGCGCAAAUUAACUUAGUUAGUUAGUUGUUACACUGACAUGUGGGUCCCAGCCGUCAGGUUUAACCUAGGCUGGCGCCUUUGACCUGCUGACAUCACCACGACGUCAUGCUGACGCAGUUAACCUUUUUGUGGAUUUAUUCUUAUAUAGGAAAUUCCAGAAAAUCUUAUAAACUUCUAAAAAUCAUAGAAAAUAAUCUAUAGCUCAGAAUGAAAAGAUUUAUAUAUGAAAAAUGAUCAGAAAAAUCCAAUCUAUCCAUCUGUACUGGUUUCAUGCAUGUUAGAGCAACCUAACCAUGCUGUUUAGAUGAAACAAGAUAAUGCACUUAUAUGACUCUAUAAAAUGGGUUUGCAUUUGAAUCUUUGGUUCAAAUGGACUCAUCUCAAUCUGUUCUAGCUUGCAUUAGCCCAAAACACAUUCAUAUUGCCAUGUCAUGAUCAUGCAUCAUAUUGUGCAUUGCAUUGAUUGUAUUUCUUCUCUGUUGCCGGUAUUUGUCCCUUCUCGGUAGACGAUGUUCCGGCGUUGUGAUCGUUGACACUAAUGAAGACUCAAUGCGAUCUUCAGAAGUGCCAGGCAAGCGAAACCCCCUUGUUCAUUCCGAUACAAACCCACUCUCUCGCUUCUGCUCUCUUUUACUGCAUUAGGACAACAACGAUUCAACUGUUACAUGCUGCGGUAGUUGAACCCCUUUCCUCUGGAUGACCUGUCAUUGCCACAGUAAAUAGAUGAAACCCACUAGCAUGAGUAGGAGUUGUUUGAGCCCUGAUGUGCCUACUCAUUCAUGCCUGUUUGUCAUGCCUGCUAUUGCUUAGAGUUGUGUCAGGUCUGAUUCAUCGGGGAUGAAUUGUAAUGUGGUGAACAUGUCCUACUGUUGAGAGCUAAGUGUGUGAACACGAUUUGGUAAAGGUAGCGGUGAGAGGCCAUGUAGGAGUACAUGGUGGGUUGUCUCAUUGCAGCCGUCCUCAGGAACUGAGUUCUGUGUUUGUCAUCCAUGAACAGUUACUACCACACAUUGGAAUGCUUAAGUGCCCCUCUCGACUUAUUAAUCAACUUGAUCUCUGUCCAGGAGUUGCAACUAGUUUCUGGUGUUUGUAGGUUGUGUUAGUAGUCUACCAAGUGGUACCCGGUACAGGUGGGCUUGGGACAGACUAGGCACCGUGGCACGGUGUACCAAGCGUAGAUCCAUCCGUCGAGGUGGGCUUGGGAACCCUGCACACAUCGUUUGGGGCCGUGAGCGACACCCCGGCCGGAUCUCCUUGCGGAUGGAACCCGAAUAGGCGAUAAACCUGGACUAGAGACUUGUGUGGUUAGUCAAGUCGUGGCCGACUCCCUCGCCAGGCUUCCGCUUGAAGGUUGCCGAGGUACACGACAUGUACAUGGUGGUAAGUGGCGAGAGCGUGUGUGAAGAAGUACACCCCUGCAGGGUUAACAUCAUCUAUUCGAAUAGCCGUGUCCGCGGUAAAGGACUUCUGGGUUGCCUAUAACAGUUCAUAGACAAGUGAAAGUGGAUACUCUAAAAUGCGCAAGAUAAGCGUGAGUGCUAUGGAUGGCGCUCUCGUAGGGAGACGGGAGGGGAUCCAUAGUGGUGUAUUGAUAUGGUGAAUAUGUGGACUCGUGUGCGCCACCUCAAAAGAGUUGCUUGCAGUCGUAGUUCAGGUUAGCCACUGAGUCAAAGCUGGCUUGCUGCAGUUAAACUCCACCACCCCUUUUGUUGAUACCGAUGCAUAUGUAGAUAGUUCUGAUGUAAGUCUUGCUGGGUACAUUUGUACUCACGUUUGCCUAUUUUAUGUUUUGCAGAGAGACGUCAGUCUCGCUAGUAGUGCUGUGUGGACUUCGACGCUUAGCUUGUUACCUCAGCUACGAUCUUGUGCCCUCGGCAGGAUCUGGUAGAUAGUCAGGCUUCUCAGCCUUUUUCAUUUAUAGUUGUCUGUACUCAGACAAGUUAAGCUUCUGCAUGUGAUUGUUGCUUGUAUGCUCUGUAUGUUUGGGUCAUGAGACCCAUGUUUGUAAUAUCUGGCUCUUCGGACCCUAAUGAAUAAAUACUCUGAGUCGUAGAGUCUUGUUGUGAUGCCAUGUUGUAUUUGCACAUAUCGAGCAUAUUGUGUGUAUGAUUGAAAUGCUUGGUAUGUGUGGGAUCCGACAACCUAGUUGUUUAUCCUUAGUAGCCUCUCUUAUGGGGAAAUGUAGUCUUGUGCUUCCAUGAGCCAUAGUAGUCCGCUACAGCCCGGUUCACCGGAGUCCUGCUAGCCCAGCACUACUGCUCCGGAACACUUGACUGGCCGGCAUGUGAUUCACUUCGUUCCUGUGUCUGUCCCUUCGGGGAAAUGUCACGCGGUGACAUCCGGAGUCCUGCCUAGCCUGCUACAGCCCGGGUUCCCGGAGUCCUGUUAGCCCAGAGCUACAGCCCGGAUUCGCACGCUGCUGACCGACAUGCUCGAUGUUGAUUCAUGUAUGCCUGUCCCCGUAAGUUAGUGCCACUUUGGGUUCACGACUAGUCAUGUCGGCCCGGGUUCUCUGUCAUAUGGAUGCUAGCGACACUAUCAUAUACGUGAGCCAAAAGGCGCAAAUGGUCCCGGGCCAUGGUAAGGCGACACCCAUGGGAAUACCGUGCGUGAGGCCACAAAGUGAUAUGAGGUGUUACCGGCUAGAUCGAUGUGACUUGGAAUCGGGGUCCUGACAGUUUCGGUAUCAGAGCCUGACUGCCUGUAGGAUUACCAAGCCAAACUGGUCGAAGUCGAGUCUAGAAAUGCUUUAGUUAUAUAAGGGAAUUGAUUGUGGAUGGGAUCUUAUGAUGUCUCUCCCCCUCUACUCUCUUGUAAUGGAUUGAGUUUUCCCUUUGAAGUUUCUUAUCGGAUUGGGUCUUUAAGGAUUUGAGAACACUUGAUGUAUGUCUUGUCGUGCUUAUCUGUGGUGACAAUGGGAUAUCACGUGAUCCACUUGAUGUAUGUUUUGGUGAUCAACUUGCGGGUUCCGCCCAUGAACCUAUGCAUAGGGGUUGGCACACGUUUUCGUCUUGACUCUCCGGUAGAAACUUUGGGGCACUCUUUGAAGUACUUUGUGUUGGUUUGAAUACAUGAAUCUGAGAUUGUGUGAUGCAUAUCGUAUAAUCAUACCCACGGAUACUUGAGGUGACAUUGGAGUAUCUAGGUGACAUUAGGGUUUUGGUUGAUUUGUGUCUUAAGGUGUUAUUCUAGUACGAAUUCUAUGAUAGAUUGAACGGAAAGAAUAGCUUCAUGUUAUUUUACUACGGACUCUUGAAUAGAUCGAUCGGAAAGAAUAACUUUGAGGUGGUUUCGUACCCUACCAUAAUCUCUUCGUUUGUUCUCCGCUAUUAGUGCUUUGGAGUGACUCUUUGUUGCAUGUUUAGGGAUAGUUAUAUGAUCCAAUUAUGUUAUUAUUGUUGAGAGAACUUGCACUAGUGAAAGUAUGAACCCUAGGCCUUGUUUCAACGAAUUGCAAUACCGUUUGUGCUCACUUUUAUCAUUAGUUACCUUGCUGUUUUUUAAUUUUCAGAUUACAAAAACCUAUAUCUACCAUCCAUAUUGCACUUUUAUCACCAUCUCUUCGCCGAACUAGUGCACCUAUACAAUUUACCAUUGUAUUGGGUGUGUUGGGGACACAAGAGACUCUUUGUUAUUUGGUUGUGGGGUUGUUUGAGAGAGACCAUCUUCAACCUACGCCUCCCACAGAUUGAUAAACCUUAGGUCAUCCACUUGAGGGAAAUUUGCUACUAUCCUACAAACCUCUGCACUUGGAGGCCCAACAACGUCUACAAGAAGAAGGUUGCGUAGUAGACAUCAAGCUCUUUUCUGGCGCCGUUGCCGGGGAGGUGAGUGCUUGAAGGUAUAUCUUUAGAUCUUGCAAUCAAAUCUUUUAGUUUCUUGUUUUAGCACUAGUUUAGUCUAUAAAAGAAAACUACAAAAAAUGGAAUUAAGGGUGCCUCAUAUGCUUCAUCUUUUUAAUGUCUUUCGUGAAAAUGAUGGGAAGGAAAAUUGUGCUCAAGUACUAGAAGAAGAAUUACAUAGAAUGCUUGGCAUAAAAUAUGUGAAUGAUGAGCAUGAUUGCAAUGUUGUUAGUAUGAAUUCUUUGAAUAUCCAUAAUGCUAAUGAUAUGCAAAGCCACAAGCUUGGGGAUGCUAUGUUUGAUGAAGAUGAUAUUUUUUGUCCCCCAAGUUUUGAUGAGCAAAUUUAUUAUGAUAAAAGCAUGCCUCCUAUCUAUGAUGAUUAUUGUGAUGACACGUAUGCUAUAAAGAAUAAAGAUAAGCAUGAAACUUGUCAUCAUGAUUUUAAUUUUCAAUUGGAUUAUCCUUCACAUGAUAGUUAUUUUGUUGAGUUUGCUCUCACUACUAUUCAUGAGAACAAAUUUGCUUUUGUGGAGAGUAAUAAAAUUUCUAUGCUUGUAGAUCAUGAAAAGAAUGCUUUAUGUGAUAGUUAUAUUGUUGAAUUCAUUCAUGAUGCUACUGAAAAUUAUUAUGAGAGAGGAACAUGUGCUUUUACAUAUUGCAAUAAUAUCAAGUUUCCUCUCUAUCUGUUGAAAUUUUUGAAGUUGCACUUGUUUUGCCUUCCUAUGCAAGUUGAUUAUUGUUCCCAUAAAUUGUUUGAUCACAAAAUCCCUAUGCAUAGGAAGUGUGUUAGACUUAAAUGUGCUAGUCAUAUUCUUCAUGAUGCUCUCUUUAUGUUUCAAUUCUUAUGUUUUAUGUGAGCAUCAUUGAAAUCAUCAUGCCUAGCUAGGGGCGUUAAACGUUAGCGCUUGUUGGGUGGCAACCCAAUUUUAUUUUUGUUUCUUGCUUUUUGGUUCUGUUUAGUAAUAAAUAAUCCAUCUAGAUUCUGUUUAGAUGUGGUUUUAUAUUUUAAUUAGUGUUUGUGCCAAGUAAGACCUAUAGGAUCUUCUUGGAUGAUAAUUAUUUGAUCUUGCUGAAAAAGACAGAAACUUUCUGCUCACGAAAACAAUUGUUAAAAAUCACCAGAAAGGGAUAAAAUACUGAUUCCAAUUGCAGUGGAUCAAUAAUCAAAUUAUCUAGUUCUUCCUAUUUUGGCAGAUUUUUCUGAGUUCCAGAAGUAUACGUUUGAUACAGAUUACUACAGACUGUUCUGUUUUUGACAGAUUCUGUUUUCUAUGUGUUGUUUGCUUAUUUUGAUGAAUCUAUGAGUAGUAUCGGAGGGUAUGAACCAUAAAGAAGUUGGAAUACAGUAGAUAUUACACCAAUAUGAAUUUAGAAUGAGUUCACAACAGUACCUAAGUGGUGAUUUAUUUUCUUAUACUAACGGAGCUUACGAGUUUUCUGUUGAGUUUUGUGUUGUGAAGUUUUCAAGUUUUGGGUAAAGAUUCGAUGGGAUAUGGAAUAAGGAGUGGAAAGAUCCUAAUCUUGGGGAUGCCCAAGGCACCCCAAGGACAACUAAGAGCCUAAGCUUGGGGAUUCCCCGGAAGGCAUCUCCUCUUUCGUCUUCGUUCAUCGGUAAACUUUACUUGGAGCUAUAUUUUUAUUCACCACAUGAUAUGUGUUUUGCUUGGAGCGUCAUUUUAUUUUCUUUUGUUUUGAUUGCUGUUUGUAUAAAAUACCAAGAUCUGAAAUUCUUAAAUGUUAGAGAGUCUUCACAUAGUUACUCAUUGAUCUUCACAUAUCUUUCGGAGUAGUUUGUCGUUUGCUCUAGUGCUUCACUUAUAUCUUUUAGAGCACGGCGGUGGUUUUAUUUUGAAGAAAUAGAUGAACUCUCAUGCUUCACUUAUAUUAUUUUGAGAGUCUUAAACAGCAUGGUAAUUUGCUUUGGUUAUGAAUUUAGUCCUAAUAUGAUAGGCAUCCAAGAGGGAUAUAAUAAAAACUUUCAUAUAAAGUGCAUUGAAUAGUAUGAGAAGUUUGAUUCCUUAUGAUUGUUUUGAGAUAUGAAGAUGGUGAUAUUAGAGUCAUGCUAGUUGAGUAGUUGUGAAUUUGAGAAAUACUUGUGUUAAAUUUUGUGAUUCCCGUAGCAUGCACGUAUGGUGAACCGUUAUGUGAUGAAGUCGGAGCAUGAUUUAUUUAUUGAUUGUCCUCCUUAUGCGUGGUGGUCGGGGACGAGCGAUGGUCUUUUCCUACCAAUCUAUCCACCAAGGAGCAUGCGCGUAGUACUUCGUUUCGAUAACUAAUAGAUUUUCGCAAUAAGUAUGUGAGUUCUUUAUGACUAAUGUUGAGUCCAUGGAUUAUACGCACUCUCAUCCUUCCACCAUUGCUAGCCUCUCUAAUACCGCGCACCUUUCGCCGGUACCAUACACCCACCAUAUACCUUCCUCAAAACAGCCACCAUACCUACCUAUUAUGGCAUUUCCAUAGCCAUUCCGAGAUAUAUUGCCAUGCAACUUUCCACCUUUCCGUUUAUUAUGACGCGCUUCAUCAUUGUCAUAUUGCCUUGCAUGAUCGUGUAGUUGACAUCGUAUUUGUGGCAAAGCCACCUUCAUAAUUCUUUCAUACAUGUCACUGUUGAAUCAUUGCACAUCCCGGUACACCGCUGGGGGCAUUCAUAUAGAGUCAUAUUGUGUUCUAAGUAUCGAGUUGUAAUUCUUGAGUUGUAAGUAGAUAAAAGUGUGAUGAUCAUCAUUCUUAGAGCAUUGUCCUAGUGAGGAAAGGAUGAUGGAGACUAUGAUUCCCCCACAAGUAGGGAUGAGACUCCGGACGAAAAAUAAAAAAAAAGAGGCCAAAAAAAAGAGAAGGCCCAGAAAAAAACAAAAAAUGAGAGAAAAAGAGAGAAGGGGCAUUGCUACUAUCCUUUACCACACUUGUGCUUCAAAGUAGCACCAUGAUCUUCAUGAUAGAGAGUCUCCUAUAUUGUCACUUUCAUAUACUAGUGGGAAUCUUUCAUUAUAGAACUUGGCUUGUAUAUUCCAAUGAUGGGCUUCCUCAAAAUGCCCUAGGUCUUUGUGAGCAAGCGAGUUGGAUGCACACCCACUUAGUUUCUUUUUGAGCUUUCAUACACUUAUAGCUCUAGUGCAUCCGUUGGAUGGCAAUCCCUACUCACUCACAUUGAUAUCUAUUGAUGGGCAUCUCCAUAGCCUGUUGAUACGCCUAGUUGAUGUGAGACUAUCUUCCCCUUUUUGUCUUCUCCACAACCACCAUUCUAUUCCACCUAUAGUGCUAUGUCCAUGGCUCACGCUCAUGUAUUGCGUGAAGAUUGAAAAAGUUUGAGAACAUCAAAAGUAUGAAACAAUUGCCUGGCUUGUCAUCGGGGUUGUGCAUGAUUUAAAUAUUUUGUGUGAUGAAGAUAGAGCAUAGCCAGACUAUAUGAUUUUGUAGGGAUAGCUUGCUUUGGCCAUGUUAUUUUGAGAAGACGUGAUUGCUUUGUUAGUAUGCUCGAAGUAUUAUUGUUUUCAUGUCAAUAUUAAACUUUUGUCUUGAAUCUUAUGGAUCUGAAUAUUCUUGCCACAAUAGAGAAGAUUACAUUGAUAAAUAUGUUAGGUAGCAUUCCACAUCAAAAAUUCUGUUUUUAUCAUUUACCUACUCGAGGACGAGCAGGAAUUAAGCUUGGGGAUGCUUGAUACGUCUCCAACGUAUCUAUAAUUUUUGAUUGUUCCAUGCUAUUAUAUUAUCCAUCUAAGAUCUUUUAUAUGCAUUUAUAUGCUAUUUUAUAUGAUUUUUGGGACUAACCUAUUAACCUAGAGCCCAGUCCCUACCUCGUGGACAGCCCGGAGACCCCCCCUGACUUGUUCUCGACGCCAAAACCUCUUAUAUAUACAGAAACCUCCAGAGCAUAACCUAGAUCGGGAGUUCCGCCGCCGCAAGCCUCUAUAGCUACAAAACCAAUCGGGACCCUGUUCUGGCACCCUGACGGAGGGGGGAACCCUCACCGGUGGCCAUCUUCAUCAUCCCGGCGCUCUCCAUGACGAGGAGGGAGUAGUUCACCCUUGGGGCUGAGGGUAUGUACAAGUAGCUAUGUGUUCGAUCUCUCUCUCUCUCGUGUUCUUGAGGUGGUACGAUCUUGAUGUAUCGCGAGCUUUGCUAUUAUAGUUGGAUCUUAUGAUGUUUCUCCCCCUCUACUCUCUUAUAAUGGAUUGAGUUUUCCCUUUGAAGUUAUCUUAUGGGAUUGAGUCUUUAAGGAUUUGAGAACACUUGUUGUAUGUAUUGCAUGUGCUUAUCUGUGGUGACAAUGGGAUAUCACGUGAUUCACUUGAUGUAUGUUUUGGGGAUCAACUUGCGGGUUCCGUGAGCUCGUGAACUUAUGCAUAGGGGUUGGCACACGUUUUCGUCUUGACUCUCCGGUAGAAACUUUGGGGCACUCUUUAAAGUUCUUUGUAUUGGUUGAAUAGAUGAAUCUGAGAUUGUGUGAUGCAUAUCGUAUAAUCAUACCCACGGAUACUUGAGGUGACAUUGGAGUAUCUAGGUGACAUUAGGGUUUUGGUUGAUUUGUGUCUUAAGGUGUUAUUAUAGUACAAACUCUAUGAUAGAUUGAACGGAAAGAAUAGCUUCAUGUUAUUUUACUACGGACUCUUGAAUAGAUCGAUCAGAAAGGAUAACUUUGAGGUGGUUUCGUACCUACCAUAAUCUCUUCGUUUGUUCUCCGCUAUUAGUGACUUUGGAGUGACUCUUUGUUGCACGUUGAGGGAUAUUUAUAUGAUCCAAUUAUGUUAUUAUUGUUGAGAGAACUUGCACUAGUGAAAGUAUGAACCCUAGGCCUUGUUUCCUAGCAUUGCAAUACCGUUUAUGCUGACUUUUAUCAUUAGUUACCUUGCUGUUUUUAUAUUUUCAGAUUACAAAAACCUAUAUCUACCAUCCAUAUUGCACUUGUAUCACCAUCUCUUCGCCGAACUAGUGCACCUAUACAAUUUACCAUUGUAUUGGGUGUGUUGGGGACACAAGAGACUGUUUGUUAUUUGGUUGCAGGGUUAUUUGAGAGAGACCAUCUUCAUCCUAUGCCUCCCACGGAUUGCUAAACCUUAGGUCAUCCACUUGAGGGAAAUUUGCUACUGUCCUACAAACCUCUGCACUUGGAGGCCCAACAACGUCUACAAGAAGAAUGUUGUGUAGUAGACAUCACUUCUACUGCAAAGGGAAUGGUCACUGGAAGCGGAACUACCCCAAAUACUUGGCGUGUAAGAAGGAUGGCAAAGUGAACAAAGGUAUAUUUGAUAUACAUGUUAUUGAUAUGUACUUUACUAGUGUUCAUAGUAGCCCCUCGGUAUUUGAUACUGGUUCAGUUGCUAAGAUUAGUAACUCAAAACAGGAGUUACAAAAUGAACAGAGACUAGUUGAAGUGACGAUGUGUGUUGGAAGUGAUUCCAAGAUUGAUAAGAUCACCAUCGCACACUCCCUCUACCUUCGGGAUUAGUGUUGGACCUAAAUAAAUGUAAUUUGGUAUUUGCGUUGAGCAUGAAUAUGAUUGGAUCAGGUUUAUUGCAAUACGGUUAUUCAUUUAAGUCAAAGAAUAAUAGUUAUUCUGUUUACAUGAAUAAAACCUUCUAUGGUCAUACACUCAAUAUAAAUGGUUUAUUGAAUCUCGAUCGUAGUGAUACACAUAUUCAUAAUAUUGAUGCCAAAAGAUACAAAGUUGAUAAUGAUAGUGCAACAUACUUGUGGCACUGCCGUUUAGGUCAUAUUGGUGUAAAACGCAUAAAGAAACUCCAUGCGGAUGGACUUUUGGAAUCACUUGAUUAUGUAUAAGUUGAUACUUGUGAACCAUGCCUCAUGGGAAAGAUGACUAAAACUCCGUUCUCCGGAACAAUGGAGCGAGCCACUGACUUAUUGGAAAUAAUACAUACCAAUGUAUGCGGUCUGAUGAGUGUUGAGGCACGCGGCGGGUAUCGUUAUUUUCUGACCUUCACACAUGAUUUGAGCAGAUAUGGGUAUAACUACUUGAUGAAACACAAGUCUGAAACAUUUGAAAAGUUCAGAGAAUUUCAGAGUGAAGUGGAGAAUCAUCGUAAUAAGACAAUAAAGUUUCUACGAUAUGAUCGCGGAGGCGAUUAUUUGAGUUACGAGUUUGGCCUUCAUUUAAAACAAUGUGGAAUAGUUUCACAACUCACACCACCUGGAACACCACAACAAAAUGGAGUGUCCCCACGUUGUAACCGUACUUUAUUAGAUAUGGUGCGAUCUAUGAUGUCUCUUGCCGAUUUACCACUAUCAUUUUGGGGUUAUGCAUUAGAGACAACUGCAUUCACGUUAAAUAGGGCACCAUCUAAAUCUGUUGAGACGACACCAUAUGAACUGUGGUUUGGCAAGAAACCUAAGCUGUCGUUUCUUAAAGUUUGGGGUUGUGAUGCUUAUGUGAAAAAGCUUCAGCCUGAUAAGCUCGAACCCAAAUCGGAGAAGUGUGUCUUCAUAGGAUACCCAAAAGAAACUUUUGGGUACACCUUCUAUCACAGAUCCGAAGGCAAGACAUUUGUUGCUAAGAAUGGAUCCUUUAUAGAGAAGGAGUUUCUCUCGAAAGAAGUGAGUGGGAGGAAAGUAGAACUUGAUGAGGUAGUUGUACCUUCUCUUGAAUUGGAAAGUAGUUCAUCACAGAAAACUGUUCCUGUGAUGCCUACACCAAUUAGUGAGGAAGCUAAUGAUGAUGAUCAUGAAACUUCAGAUCAAGUUACUACCGAACCUCGUAGGUCAACCAGAUUGCGGUCUGCACCAGAGUGGUACGAUAAUCCUGUUCUGGAAGUCAUGUUACUAGACCAUGACGAACCUACGAACUAUGAGGAAGCGAUGAUGAGCCCAGAUUCCACAAAAUGGCUUGUGGCCAUGAAAUCUGAUAUGGGAUCCAUGUAUGAGAACAAAGUAUGGACUUGGUUGACUUGCCCGAUGCUCGGCAAGCCAUAGAUAAUAAAUGGAUCUUCAAGAGGAAGACGGACGCUGAUAGUAGUGUUACUAUCUACACAUCUCGAAUUGUCGCAAAUAGGUUUUAGACAAGUUCAAGGUGUUGACUACAAUGAGAUUUUCUCAGUCGUAUCGAUGCUUCAAGUCUCCGAAUCAUGUUAGGAAUUGCCACAUUUUAUUAAAUCUGGCAAAUGGAUGUCAAAACUGCAUUCCUUAAUUGAUUUAUUAAAGAAGAGUUGUAUAUGAUGGAACCAGAAGGUUUUCUCAAUCCUAAUGGUGCUAACAAAGUGUACAAGCUCCAACGAUCCAUCUAUGGACUAGUGCAAGCAUCUCGGAGUUGGAAUAUACGCUUUGAUGAGUUGAUCAAAGCAUAUAGUUUUAUACAGACUUGCGGCAAAGCAUGUAUUUACAAGAAAGUGAGUGGGAGCACUACAUCUUUUCUGAUAAAUAUAUGUGAAUGACAUAUUGUUGUUCGGAAAUGAUGUAGAAUUUUCUAGAAAGCAUAAAGGAGUGUUUGAAAGGAUUUUUUUCAAUGAAAGACUUCAGUGAAGCUACUUACAUAUUGGACAUCAAGAUCUAUAGAGAUAGAUCAAGACGCUUGAUAAGAUUUUUCAAUGAGUACAUACCUUGACAAGAUUUUGAGGUAGUUCAAAAUGGAACAAUCAAAGAAGGAGUUCUUGCCUGUAUUGCAAGGUGUAAAGUUGAGUAAGACUCAAAAACCGACCACGGCAGGAAAUACAAAGAGAAUGAAAGUCAUUCCCUAUGCCUCAGCCAUAGGUUCAAUAAAGUAUGCUAUGUUGUGUACCAGACCUAUUGUGUGCCUUGCCAUGUGUUUGGCAAGGGGUACGAUAGUGAUCCAGGAGUGGAUCACUAGACAACGGUCAAAGUUAUCCUUAGUUACCUAAGAGGACUAAGGAAAUAUUUCUCGGUUAUGGAGGUGAUAAAGAGUAUGUCGUGAAGAGUUACGUCGAUGCAAGCUUUUACACCGAUCCGGAUGACUCCGAGUCUCAAUCUGGAUACGUAUUGAAACUGGGAGCAAUUAGCUAGAGUAGCUCCAUGGAGAGCAUUGUAGACAUAGAAAAUUUGCAAAAUACAUACCGCUCUGAAUGUGGCAGACUCGUUGACUAAACUUCUCUUACAAGCAAAACAUGAUCACACCUUAGUACUCUUUGGAUGUUAAUCACAUAGCGAUGUGAACUAGAUUAUUGACUCCAGUAAACCCUUUGAGUGUUAGUCACAUGGAGAUGUGAAAUAAUCAUAUAAAGAUGUGAACUAUUGGUGUUAAAUCACAUGAUGAUGUGCACUAGAUUAUUGACUCUAGUGCAAGUGGGAGACUGAAGGAAAUAUGCCCUAGAGGCAAUAAUAAAGUUGUUAUUUAUAUUUCCUUAUAUCAUGAUAAAUGUUUAUUAUUCAUCCUAGAAUUGUAUUAACCGGAAACUUAGUACAUGUGUGAAUACAUAGACAAAACAUAGUGUCCCUAGUAUGCCUCUACUUGACUAGCUCGUUAAUCAAAGAUGGUUAAGUUUCCUGACCAUAGACAUGUGUUAUCAUUUGAUGAACGGGAUCACAUCAUUAGAGAAUGAUGAGAUGGACAAGACCCAUCUGUUAGCUUAGCAUAAUGAUUGUUAAGUUUUAUUGCUAUUGCUUUCUUCAUGACUUAUACAUAUUCCUCUGACUAUGAGAUCAUGCAACUCCCGAAUACCGGAGGAACACCUUGUGUGCUAUCAAACGUCACAACGUAACUGGGUGAUUAUAAAGAUGCUCUAUAGGUGUCUCCGAAGGUGUUUGUUGGGUUGGCAUAGAUCAAGAUUAGGAUUUGUCACUCCGAGUAUCGGAGAGGUAUCUCUGGGCCCUCUCGGCAAUGCACAUCAAUAUAAACCUUACAAGCAAUGUGACUAAUGAGUUAGUUGCGGGAUGAUGCAUUAGGGAAUGAGUAAAGCGACUUGCCGGUAACGAGAUUGAACUAGGUAUGAAGAUACCGACGAUCGAAUCUCGGGCAAGUAACAUACCGAUGAGAAAGGGAAUGACGUAUGUUGUUAUUGUGGUUUGACCGAUAAAGAUGUUCGUAGAAUAUGUAGGAACCAAUAUGGGUAUCCAGGUUCCGCUGUUGGUUAUUGAUCAGAGAUGUGUCUCGAUCAUGUCUACAUAGUUCUUGGACCCGUAGGGUCCGUACGAUUAAUGUUUCGAUGACGAUUUUGUAUUAUAUGAGUUAUGUGAUUUGGUGACCGAAUGUUUUUCGGAGUACCGGAUGGGAUCACGGACAUGACGAGGAGUCUCGAAAUGGUCGAGAGGUAAAGAUUCAUAUAUAGGAUGAUAGUAUUCGGACACUUGAAGUGUUCUGGGGAUACCGGGUACGUAUCGGGUCAGCGGAAGGGGUUCCGGGCACCCCCCGGCAAAGAUAUGGGCCUUAUAGGGCCAAGGGCGGGACAGACCAGCCCCUAAGGAGAUGGUGCGCCCUCAUAUGAGCCGGCCUAAGUGGAGAAAGGAAAAGGGGAGGAGAAAAGGAAAUAGAGGGAAUAGGAUCCCCCCUUCCUCUCCCCUCUCCCCUCUUUCCUUUCCCCCUCCGGAGAUAAGGAAAGGGGGAGGCCGAAUUGGAGGAGGCCCCCAAGUAAGAUUCCUCCUACUUGGGGCGCCCCAUGGCUGUCCCCCUCCCCCUCCCACCUAUAUAUAUGUGGGGAGGGGGCACCUAGAACACACAAUAAACAUUGUUAGCCGUGUGCAGCGCCCCCCUCCAUAGUUUACGCCUCCGGUCAUAUUCACGUAGUGCUUAGGCGAAGCCCUGCGCGGAUCACAUCGCCAUCACCAUCACCACACCGUCGUGCUGACGGAACUCUCCCUCGACACUUUGCUGGUUCAAGAGUUCGAGGGACGUCUUCGAGCUGAACGUGUGCAGAACUCGGAGGUGCCGUACGUUCGGUACUUGAUCGGUAGAAUCGAGAAGACGUUCGACUAUAUCAACCGAUUAAACUAACGCUUCCGCUUUUGGUCUACGAGGGUAUGUGGACACACUCUUCCUCGUUGCUAUGCAUCUCCUAGAUAGAUCUUGCAUGAGCGUAGGAAAAUUUGGAAAUUGCAUGCUACGUUCCCCAACACUAUCUAGCGUAGGUGUGGCUGCAUCUUGGCUCCCUUGAACAUUUUUGAUAGGAUAAUAUGGAAAAUUAAACGUUAUGUGUGGCAUGGGCAUACAGUGAAGCCACUUCCUCUCGUCUUGCCAGCCAUCAAUAUUCGUGAUGAGAUCUCGAACAUGGAUGCCAAGUAAUUCGCCAUGUGCUGAUGUUGUCGGGCGACCGAGUCAUGGAGUCGCUAUGUCCCGUGAAUGAUCUUUUCGUAUAUAAUUGGUUGUUGCUUUAAUUAGAAGAAACUGCACCAAUCAAAAGUGUUGUUAGUAGUGGAGUGGUAGGCAUAUGCAAAUCAAAGCAUCAUUUUCCUUCUAAUUACACUUGUAAAAGCAUUAUGAGUGUCUUCUAGUGGAGUGGUAUACAGAUUUAUAAUGCUUGAAGGGAUGCUGCCACUUCGUAGGAGCAAGGGCUUACUUUUAUUGGUUUUGUCUAUUCUAGUGAUAUUUAUAUAGUGAUGCCGGGUUUGCCUUUUCUGAUUUCUUAUGGUUUAAUAAUUAUGCGAGAUACAUUAUGAGUGCCAGUUGUGUUGUACCCUUUUUUUUUGUGAGGCACAACAACUGGAUUGUUGUCGAUAUAAGGGAAAACAGAAACUUGUAUCGGUGCUUUUGUAUUUACAAACUUGUUACUGAUAUAUCAUAGAGUCUUGUUAUUGAGCCGCGAGACAGAGAGGGAGGAACGAGAUGAAGGUCCCAACCGCCAGACCAAAGAGGUGAACUAGAGCUCAUCCUAAUUGUGCUCUUGGUUAUUUUCAGUUACUAAUAGGAGUAAGAAGCAUUACGAAUUAAUCUCUUUGUUCACAAAUAUAAGAUGUCUAGAGUAACUUUCUUCUUAAUCGAAUGCAUAUAAACACAUUUUAUUGGGUUUAUUCACUCAUUUCAGUCUGUAUAUAUUCCUAUUAAUAUAUUUAAAACAUAUUAUAUUUAUGAAUGGAGGGAGUAAUUUAUAGUAAUGCAGUGAUUUUAGGAAAACCAAAUAUGUGUAUGUAAUCUUAUAUUUUCUUCAGGAAAACACAGUAAAUCCUAUGUUUUCUUCUGGGAAAUAUAUGUAUGUAUCCAGUUGUAUCAUUGGUAAACAAAGGCUGCUAUAUAGCACAAAGAGUGUUUUCUUCGAUUCGUUCAGGCAAAUCAGGUUCGUGGUUGACUGCCAAAGUCACAACCGUUUAUGUCUUUGGCACGGAAAAGAGACUGUGCAGUGCAAAGGCUAGGGACGGAGCCAGGAUUCUAACAUAGGGGUGUGUGUGUGUGUNNNNNNNNNNNNNNNNNNNNNNNNNNNNNNNNNNNNNNNNNNNNNNNNNNNNNNNNNNNNNNNNNNNNNNNNNNNNNNNNNNNNNNNNNNNNNNNNNNNNNNNNNNNNNNNNNNNNNNNNNNNNNNNNNNNNNNNNNNNNNNNNNNNNNNNNNNNNNNNNNNNNNNNNNNNNNNNNNNNNNNNNNNNNNNNNNNNNNNNNNNNNNNNNNNNNNNNNNNNNNNNNNNNNNNNNNNNNNNNNNNNNNNNNNNNNNNNNNNNNNNUUCAGACUUGGCGUUUGGCAGCGUGGCCUGUUCAUGUGUUUGAUUGGGCGUAGUACUGUGUGGGUACUUCAGUUAGAAGGUAUGCAGUGGACCGAGUCUAUCGACCGUGUGGCGAUGCCUGUAGAUUGUAGCACUGAACUUUGAUGCUGAUUCAUAAACUAAUUUAGAUAAAGCCGCACAAAAAAUGUGCUAGUUUUAUUUUUUUGCUCACAUACUCUGUUCUGUCUCAGUUUUAUCCAGGGCAACUUUGAAGCUUAUCCAGGGCAACUUUAACUAUUUACAGGAGAAAUAGUUAAAUACCUUAUUAAGAAGUGAAGAAGAAUAGUCGUCUCCAGUUUUUGUUUCUCCAACUCUAUGCCUACACUGUAAAUUAAUGGAUCAGCUCCAGUUGAUGCAACUGUACUCUUUCUGGUAGGUUUGAGAUCAGAUGCGACUGAGCCAGAUCGAUCCUGAGCUAGCUACUUGUCUCCCUUAAGUGUUACAGCGAGACAAAUGCACUGGACUACAAAGAGGAAAUUCUCCUGCAGGUUCGUAAUGCAUCUGUUUUGGUUCUUGCAUUCACACCAAUCAUAAAACAGUGUUUGUUAGUAGUGGAGUGGUAGGCGGACGCAAAUCAAACCAUCAUUUUUCUUCUAAUUACACUUGUAAAAGUAUCGAUGCAUCUCCUUCGCUUAAUUUUAUUUGUCAUUCUGUUCAAUACCUGGCUCAGGAAGAGCUCCUUUUCCUAUGCAAAAAUGUAUAACGUAUACGUUUCUAAUUCCAAUUGCAGGCAUAUUCAUCGCAAUUGUGUUUUGACAAGAAAAAUGAAUAUUUGCCACUUUCAAUAUGUGGCUUUUCAAAAUUGCCACUUUCAAGAUUGGUUUCGCAGAAUUGCCACUCCGCUCAUUGGCUCCUUGAUUACGAUGCCACUUUCUUUGUGAUUUUCCUUUUUCCUUAUCCAUUUAUAAACACAGGAAAAGACCAAACUACACAGUUCAGUAUCUGACUAUCUGUAUCUAUUUAUGCAUCUGUUCAAGUAGAGGAGAACGAGCUGCACAGAUCUUGUCGUCCGUAAAAGCGCCGCUGACGCCACCCGCUCAGUCGCCGUCGUCGUCCGCGCCACUCGGCUGCUUGCUGCUUGCUCCGCCCUUCCGCCAUCGCCCAUCGCCCUGUCUGCCCGCGCGCCAUAGCCACUCAGGCCAGUGGCCUGCUCGGCGCUCCCGCCGCUCGUCCCGGCCGCCUAACCACUCGGCUGGGAUGAGGAGGCGGAUGGAUCAAUCACUACAGAUUUUUGAACAAAGCAAGGUCAACACAAUACCAUCGAGAAUUCAUACACGCGGCCUGGACGAGAUUAGCGGCAUGCGGCGUUGCCGAUAUCGGCGGCACGCUGCGUAUAGAAGAUCGGCAACACGGGACGUCGAGAAGAUCGGCGGCACGCGACAUCUAAGCGAUGUGCGACACUCCGCGUCGAGGUCACGGUAUUCUCGGCAGCCGGUGCGCUCUCGUAUCAAUCAGAACGUACGUGGAUAGUAGCUGUAUAGAAUCAGGGGUAGUUUGGUCUUUUCCGGUGCUUGGAAAAGAAAAAAUAAAAUCACUAAAGAUAGGGAAGUUGCAUGGUAAUCAACGAGCCAACAUGGAGAGUGGCAAUUUUGCGAAGUCAAUCCUGAAAGUGGCAAUUUUGAGAAGCCACAUAUUGAAAGUGGCAAAUAUCCAAUUUUCUCCUGAUGACUUGACAGAACAUCGACCGAGAGCAGCAACAUGCCAUGAUAUAUUAGAACAGCAGAAUGAUUAGCGUGCUUGAAACCAGUUCAUCACCGCUACCUUUACUGUCAGACCGGUGGCGUAUCCCAGAAACGCGCUGUUGACUGGUGGCGUAAAUCACGUCUAUGUGUAUCCCUGAUUACGUGGAUUAACUACCGAUAUGCUUUGGUCCUUUGUUUUGGGAAACAACUUGCAGAUUUAGGCAGGUAGAUUCCUUACGAAGCAAAUCUUCUUUCUUUUUUUGUUUUUGGCGAGGAACGAGAAGCAAAACUUUUACCCAACGAGUUACCAAACUUUGCAUCGCAUGCAUCUAAUUUGUGCUUCCACGUUUCUUUCUAAUGUUGUGCAUCAGUUUGCUUCCUUUACAACAAAUUAGAUUGUGUUUUUGAUUGAAACUUUUGAUAUGUAACGUGAUAUUUUGUUUCAGAAGCAUCAUUACCGUGCUUCCAUCAAGAUCCUACCAUCAAAAAGGAAAUUAUUUCACAUGUUUGAGAAGCAUCACAUAUCUUUUUCACAUCGACUAGACAAUUGCUUCCAACUAAAUAUUAUCUUGCUUCCAUCAGAGAGAAAAAUAUUUCCAAUAAAACUUACACAUGUUUCAUACAAGUUAGGGGUUUGUUUGCAAAGAAAUAAAAAAAUGGCUACUGUAAAAUGGAGAGUAUGCCUCAAUGGGCAGAGUCAAAUUGCUUCCACCGAUCAUGUUUACUAAUUCAAAUAUGACCUAGCCAUCAUACGAUGGAAGGCAUGAUCCAUGAUGCCGGCGGGUAGAAGCUGUGGUGCCCCUGCCUGAGCGCCGUGAUCUUCUUCACCGUAAAUCCUUGAACGCCAAUAUCCCGAACGUCUCGGUCACAGCAAUUGGUGUGUGAGCUCGGCUUGUCUUCUUUGAAGUAGGAUGCAAUCAGCCUUGAUCUCUAGGCGCCUCCUACUCGUAGAAACAUAUGUGAAAGGUCAGAAAUCAGAAAGUAUGAGUCAUAUAGCUAACACAAAAUCAAUAAUUUGAUGCUAUCAUGCAAUAGAAGCAUAGAAAUUUGAUUUGAGAAAUAUACAUGCUUGUUGGGCAAGAUUUGGGUGCACAAAUUUAAUGUCUCGAAACAUUGUUUUGGUGCGGCAUUACAUGUGCACAUUAGAGGCUAAUGAGAAAAAUUAAGGAAGCACGAUUUACUAGAAGAACCAAGUUGCUACCUUUCAACCACUUGCUAUUCACCAAUUGAAGCAUAUUCUAUGGCCUCCAGAAGCAUAUGUAUAACAAUGUAGAAGCCCAAUGGAUAAGAAGCAUGAAAACAAUGGAUAAGAAGCAUCAAACUAUGUUGUGGGUACACAGGCAGUAUUACUUGGAAGCAUUGAUAUUUGAAAAAAAGGAUAUAUGAAACUAAAAUUGCGGCCAACAUGAGCAACAUAUUUCUGUCACGUAUGUACCAAAUACACAUGAUGAUUUAGCGAUCCACUACAUGAUGUACAUAACGAAAUCAGUUCCCCGAAAAGGGAAUGAAGAUCCGAACGUUUGGAAUCUACCAAUUUCGAUAUAUACAGAGACAGAGAACAUGGAUAUUUUUGGAAAUCAGCUAAUUUCUAAGGAUAAGGACUUCUAUACCUAUGUCAGAAGAGGAUGGUGCCUAUUGGGAGGGGCGAAUCCUGCAAUCUUUGGUGGCUGUCGGUGCUCCGGCGCGGCAGAACGGAGGCCACGGUGCCCAACCUGUUGUAUAUGACCGGGAUGGCGAGGGGGUAGUGAGUGAGUUCGUUCACCGUGGUGGAUAAUGGAGGGCGCAGCCGCUGGACAGGAGACAUCGGAGUCGGUGACUAGGAAGGCGAUGGGGUUGCGACCUUGCCACCGGAUGGGGUUGCGAGCAGCCACCGGAUGUGGCGGCACACCGGUGCGGUGCGUCUCAUGGCCACAGGGGGCAAGGUCGGUUCAUGGAGGAGUGGCCCGGGGCGGCGAGGGAUUGGCGAGGUCGACGAUGGAGCGGAUUCUGGAGGAGCCGGGCAACGGAGACGGGAUGACGAACGGGUUUUUGGGGCAGGAGAGUAUAAUUAGGGAGGUGUUAUGGGUUGACGUGGCGAGAUAAUCGGGAGGUUAUGCAGGCAUCGAAGGUUUUUGGAAGGAAUCUACGCCGUGAGCUGAAAAACAAAUCGACGGUGCACAAUCGGUCUGGGUCUGACGAAUUGAUCCUUUCAGACGUCUGUUGGGAAGCGUUUCCCAGGGCGCUAGGGCGUUUCCCGGGGCGCUAUAGGCAUCAGACUACUGAUGUUUUGCCUCUUAUCAGGCUAGUGGCCGUUCGAUCAAAAGCAGGCUGGUCCUCCGAUCUGUUAGUAAGCUCUCGCGUGAUUUUCUGGAUCCAGUCGUUAAUUAACUGCUCAUGCAUACCUUUUAUUACGCGUGCAUGUGGCUGGUGGUAGUUAAUGUAAAUUGAUUACGUAGGACUACUCGCAUAUAUUUGUUGCGUUUCUGCUAGUACUUGUUGCUUCCGAGAUUUGCUUCCUAGAAUCAUUUUUUGAUCCCACAGUAAUAUGGCAUUUAAUUGAUUUGUUUCUUUUACUUGUUGCUUCCGAGAUUUGCUUCCAUAUAUCAUUUGUUUGCCACUGUAAUAUGACUUUCUUUUUAAAUCAGGUAAAAAUUAUGUUUGAUGCUGCUGGGGUAUAAUUUUAAUUGAUUUGUUUCUCCUAGUUGUUGCUUCCAAGAAUAAUUUGUUUGAUAUCACUGUAAUGUGACUUCUCUUUUUAAACUCGUGGAAGCAUACACUUCAAUAAUUAUGAUAAAUAGUUAUUUAUUUUUAGACGCUUUUUUACUUCGAUGGUGACAUAGCUUUUCUGCCAUGGAAACAUUCCUUUUGACCGAUGAAAGCAUACUUUGUGGUCAGCAGAAACAGAUUGUUCAUCAGAAGCAUCUGAUUUAUGCUAUAUAUUUUUAAAAGGUUUGGAAACAAUUUAUCGGUGUAACGGAAACAUAUUUUUGUGUGAAUGGAAACAUGUGCUUGGCAAGAAAGUAUGUUGAAGCACAACAAAAAAGUUUAAGCUUCAGAACAAACUAACUGGAUAUGUUCAAAAUCUUACAACUCAUUUUACAACAAAAUAAAGGAGAACUAAAAUAGCCCUGUUUACAAGCUGAUAAUGGACAAGAUCCACGUGCACCACGAGCUCUCCGUUGUUCACUCUACAAACCGACAACUCUUAGCAGGUAGCUAGGUCUCAGAUCGUAGCCCACUCAACGGCAUUGCAAUGCAACAAAGAGCACAUCUGGAUUUGGGCGCGGCAAAAUGCCUGUACAACAGAAGCAUCCAGUGAGAAAGAAGGAAGCACACACUGAUAGUUGUUGAUACAUAAAUUCACUUAAAGAUCAAAUUUAUGUACAAUAAAAUUUCACUAGCAGAAGCAACACUAGCAGUGGUUGAAGCACAUAGUAGUGAUUGAAGCAUAAACUAGUGUCUGCUAUGUUUGUACAAUAAAUGAAAGCAUACACUUACAAUGGUUGAAUCCAAAAUUCACUACCAUAGAAACAUAUGUAAUAAAUAAAAGUAGGAAGUAUAUAUAACACAACGGAAGCAUGGAUCUUUUUUGGAUUCUAGACAGGAGUACAACUUGCAUGGAAGUUUGGAAGCAUCAAUUUCAUGCUCUCUAACAUAAAACAGGGCCAUAAAAAAAUGGAAGUAUGGAUGAACACAAACUCUACGCAGUGAACAAGCACAUGUAUGAAACAUAUGAAUCAUAAAUAUUUGAAAGAAUCAUAUUCAUGCAAUUCAACACAACAGAAGGGGCAGUGGUUACAACAAGAAGAUGUCGAACUUGAGAAGCAUGGUUGCAUUGUCGAUCCAUCUAAACGUAUGAAGCACGCAUGAUAUAUAUGAAGCACCGCACGUCUUGAAAUCACAGGACAGGUCACAGGUGAUACCUAGAGGAAGCAUAGAAAUCUAAAAAUGUGAGACUUAGUAGAAGUAUGGAAGCCAUCCAUAUAAAUAGAAGAAGCACAUGGCGUGUCAUUCUGAAACGGCAUUUGCAGGAAGCAUGAAAAUCUGUUAUUUCAGUAGGAUUCAUCUUAAAUUGGAAGCAGGGAAUAAACCAAGAUGUUAAAUGUUAUCAGCAAACAAAUGUUCAGAGACCAUCUACGAGUGUAGAAAUUAAGACCUAGUUUGGCAGCAAAGUAUUUUAAAACUAUGGUAAUUGAAAACCAAAGUAUUCUCCUGGGUGGGCAAGGAAUACUACUGUUUUCUAAAAACAAUGUUUUUCUCAGUUUUACAUAUGUUUGGUUGGUGCUGUUUUAUUAAAGUUUUGACCAAGGAUUUUAGCGUGAAUGACUGAGAGUAAUUAGCGGCUGUUAACGGGGCCGGGCUGCAUGCAGCUGCCAUGCACACAUCCGCCGGACCUAGAUGCUAGGAUCUGUAGACUAUGUCUAUCCGUGAUGCACCUACAUGCAUGGGCUGCUGGCAGAGAAGAGACGAGACUCGCACGGAACGCCGGCUGGAAGAAUAACCUGAGAGACCUACUACUCGUGAUAGGAUGGGAUUGGCUAUAAUCAGGAGUUUACCAUAUAACAGAAAGAGGAAAAAUAGAAUGGGAUUGCAGCUGGUAUUCUUAUCUCGGCGCAGACGACAACGUCAUUGUGAUCUCCGCGAUGAUUUCUCUUCGUUCUGUUAAAAAAAAAAAAGGUCGGGGCCUCCACCACUAGGAAAAGGUCUGUUAGUGGCAUACCUAUUUUGACCAUUAAUGGCGCACUAUAGGUGCGCCACUAUCAUCACGCCACUAGUAACAAGUACUAAUGGCGCAUUCCUGGUGCGUCAUUAGUAUACCAGAUAAUAGUGGCGCAUCUGGCAGUACACCAUUACUAUGUCCAACGGUGCGCCAUUACUAUGCCUGGGGGCCAUAUUUACCUUCACGUAUGCCCCCAAGUGCGCCAUUAUAAUGACCCAUAAUGCGCCACUGGUAUUUAGCCCUGGUGCGCCACUAAUGCUCAACAAGGUGCGCCACUACUAUGAAUAUUAGGAUUUUUUUUUGCUUUUCUGAUAUUUGCACAUGUUACAAAAUACAUUACAGAAUAUAAACAACACAACAUAUAAACAUCAGAUUUAUCGAAUACAAUAGAAGAUUAGUUUCCGAAUACAAUUCAUUAUAUUAGUCUCCGAAUUCAAAAUACCGAACAAAGUUAGAACAUUACAAGUCUCGAGACCGCGAGUAGCGAGUUUGUCUUCACAUUACAAGUCGAUAUCUAAACUACCAUCACAUAGAAGAGAGCUGCGGUCACGAUGAGCAUCAUCGCGAUGAAACUGGUCUUCAUCUGGUUCCUCCUCCGCUCCCUCCUCUCUCCCGCUAGAUAGCGCGCGUAUCUAGCUUCCGCCUCCGCCCUAGUGGUGUACCCUUUGUAACAGUUACCGCUGAAACGGUGAACCUGUCUCCGACACUCCUCCCAGCCGCCGUAGACUCCGGAAACCUUACCCUUGUACACGACAUACGACGGCAUUUCUAUGCACUAGACAAACAAAACGUUAGUAGCAAUUCACAGACAAUAUAUAAGCAAUAUAUAAGUAUGCAACAAAAGGAUCGGAAAAGAAAAGCAACACAUUAAUAGCACGAUUCAUGAUCCUACUAAUAAAUAGCAUCGAUUACAUAUAAGUUGAACGACUGUCCAAACCAAAGAGACAUACAAGUUCAUUAAAGUUUAAUUACAACAUGAGCUAAUCGAUAUAUCAGAACUACAUAGCAUCACUACUUUCGACUCGACUCAGGGACCGGAGCGUGGAUGAAGCUGCCGUCUUUUGUGAUGGUCAUGAAUGUGCGGUCGUUGUUAGCCUGCAUUUGUAGCGUUGUUUCUAUUUCACUGUUGGACGGUUGAUAUUUGAGGUAGAACUGCCCCGAGGUACGAAGGACAUCUUGAUGGAUGAUUUCCGCAAACUCCGACUGGAUGCGAAAGAAUUCUUGUCUGAGGUCCGCGCCCUGGACUACCCACAAGCGUGCAGCCCAAUCUUUGAGACUAUUUGGUAGCAGAAGGUGAUUAUGGUCCCGUACGAUUGCCCGCAUGUGAUGGAGGGCGUAGUAGGCAUCCUUCUGACCGCCAGGCGGCUGCUUGACGCAGGGGAAUGUCGUUACAUGGGUGAACACGUGCUUGCCGUACCUAAAAAUUGGCCUCCUGAAGGUGCCUCCAGAUUUGGCGUAGCCGGGGAGUACAUCAUCAAGAACUUUCUUGAUAUUUGUGUAGUCUUUUUUCGACUGACGGUCCGGGUCGAAAUACGUGGCCAUGGAAUAGUUCGGGCUUAAGAGGAUGAGUGUGCAAUGUGUGUCACUGCACAAAACACGGAAUGUUAGAAAAAAAAGAAUGAUCAAAAUCUAAGAAAUGAUAUGUUACGGGGCGGUGAGGGGAUGACUUACUCGGGAAAGUAAGGCACGAGGAAGUUAUCCUUAUCUGGGUUCGCCAGAAUGACGCCUUCGAGGUAUGAACUCGCGGCUUGCCGGUCCCCAGCGCUGCCCAAGAUCUUGGCACGCAUGUAGAAGGGGUCGACUAUCACGAUGUCCGGGGUCUUGUCUCUAAUGAUCCGCAUCUCCAUACUGAGUGAAAAUAGCCGAACAAAUGUGUAGUGCAGCGGAUGAAGGUUAAACAUAGCGAAGAUGUCAUCAAACCGCAGGACGAUCAUACCCCCGAUGGCGCUAUCGACAAAGCCCUUGCCCUCUGGCACCUUGGCCACGAAAACCGGGUAUGCCACAUCAUUCUCGGAGAGACGCCGCUUCUCCAAAGAAAGAACAAUGUCAUGCAGACUCCGCAUAGCACCGGUUGCAGCAUUGAGCAGAUUAGUCGGUAGCAUCGUCCUACCCGCUACAUGCACCCUCCUCGAGAUAUCCUUAGGUGAAGGUGGCCCGUCCUGAGCACGGAUCGUACUCGGUGCCAGCUGGCUCGCACCCUUGUUAUUCUUUCUUUUCCGUCCCUUCCGCUUCUUCUGCUGUAAUGGGAUCGAGUUUUGCUCAGAGACCACCUUCUUGAGUGUGUUGGGGCUGAUAAUAUUUCGCACCUCGGCUAUCUGAGGCUCAGUGAAGGCGGCAGCUGGAGGCAUCUCCUGAGAACUGAACGCCAGACGACACCUAUUGCAAUUGGCUUUCUCCGCGGUACCAGCUAGAUCGCGAUCGUCUUUUGCAGGGUUGGGUUCAUGAGAAGGAGGCCCCAAAAAUUCGUCAUCGUACCCAUGUUCGUUGAAGUACUUAUCGACGUUGGUAAAUGUACAGUCGUCGCCGUCCGGAUCCUGUGCCAUAUGCAUGUCCGGAUCAGGUGACAGCAGUAGCGUUCCGGCGGUCUUGCCAUGGCUUGGCGCCGGCACGACUGGCGGUGUUGUCUGUGGGGUGGUGUCCCCCGCCCCCAAACGAAUCUGGCUCUUCAGCCAAAGCAUGGGCCAGCUUAUGCAGGCGCUGAGGGUCAUCACAUCAUCUUCGUCGGCCCCAGGGGGUCGAUAUGGAGGUAACAAGUUGUCAAAGCCCCGCAGCACCCGAACCAGUUGAACCCUAUACACGGUGGGUGGCAUCGGAUUACCGUGGAACACGCGGCUGCCCGGUUGAACGAUUCUGGCCUUGGCGACAUCGAUCAACUCGCCGUCCAUGAAGUGCAGGAGAGUGCAUGGAACGUCGGCGGCGCCCUGCGAAAACAUGUAGGGCGUCAGGGAUAUCCAGUCAAAGGCAAGGAGAUGAAGUCAUCGGCCGAGAGGCUUAGUUACCGUGAUGGCGUCGAGCUCGGCUAAUGUCGAGGCACCGCCAACGGCAGGCGUGCAAGUGACGGAGGGGCCGUUUGCUACCGCGGUGCCGGAGACACCAAUGCCGCCUCCGCCGGAGACACCAAUGGUGCCGCCGGCGCGUUGUGCGAGUUGCUGCCCGUGAAGCUGGGAAUCGGGGGCGGCCCCUGUUGGCCGCCCGCAAUCCACGCCUGCAGCCCCUCAAUCAAGAUAGGCACAAUGGCGGUGAUCGUCGCUCCCAGUUGGUCUCGCACUUGCUCUUCGACUAUCUCCGGAAUCCGCGCCACUUGUGCCUUGAGUUCUUGAACCUCGCGCUCCUGGCUUUCCGAGCUAGUCUUUCUCUCCUUUUGCCCAGUGGUAUAGUAUUCCGACCAUUUCGUGGACAAGCCUUUGCCGGCCACACGACCAGCUGACGAAGGAUUACUGAGUUUAUCCUUGUGUUACAUUACGUUCAAUGCCCUAUUUAAAGUGGUGUCCCAAGGGGAGCUCUUAGACGACCCCGUGCUACUGCUUUCAGUGUCCUGCGGAAGGAACGUGAACCAUUUAGAAAUUUGGCUUCAUUAAUUAGAAUGCAACCAUAUGGANNNNNNNNNNNNNNNNNNNNNNNNNNNNNNNNNNNNNNNNNNNNNNNNNNNNNNNNNNNNNNNNNNNNNNNNNNNNNNNNNNNNNNNNNNNNNNNNNNNNNNNNNNNNNNNNNNNNNNNNNNNNNNNNNNNNNNNNNNNNNNNNNNNNNNNNNNNNNNNNNNNNNNNNNNNNNNNNNNNNNNNNNNNNNNNNNNNNNNNNNNNNNNNNNNNNNNNNNNNNNNNNNNNNNNNNNNNNNNNNNNNNNNNNNNNNNNNNNNNNNNNNNNNNNNNNNNNNNNNNNNNNNNNNNNNNNNNNNNNNNNNNNNNNNNNNNNNNNNNNNNNNNNNNNNNNNNNNNNNNNNNNNNNNNNNNNNNNNNNCAGAACAAGCUCAAGCGCCUUGGUCUUCGGAUCAGUGGUAAGCUCCUUUGUUACCGGGUCAAUCUUGUACCGGGCCCUGACAUGGUUCCUGGUCUGCUUGUCACGGUAUUUAUCGCAUAGGGGCGGUAGGCCAGCACGCUCCGCGUCCUCCUUGUCCCAUAUAGGUUCCGCCACUCUGUAACCGCCGGGACCGAGUUUGUGGACCCCUAAGUUCAAGUCCCGCAUAUCUUUCCCCCACUGACUUGAUUCCGCGGUUGCGUUGCUCUCGCACUUGAUCUUGAACUCCAGGUAGUCAGCUUCGCUGAUCGAAGGAUUUGUCUCCUUGAUCUUCUCAUAACUAUCACCUUUUUCAAUCCUUCUCUUCACCGCGGCUCUCCAAGUAGCCAGGGCCGUGCUCAUCUUCGUGAGGGCGGCACUGUUCACUUUAUUCCCUGAGAGGCGUGUGUUUGCGAAGUGACCACAGAACUUGUAUCGUUCGUGCAGCUUCGUGAAGAGGAGGUUGCGCAAAUUCCCUCCGGUCACGAUGCCUUAGGUUCUCGGUGUUGAUCGAGACGGUGCUCCGAAGAAUGCACCCGAGCUUUCCCGCGUACCCCUUGACUAAUUCUUUUGGCGCCGUUGGAUGCGAACUGGAGGACACUUCAGUAAAUCCCUCCUUGACGGUGCCGAGCAUGUUCGGGCGCCGGUCCUUCCAUUGCCUCUUCGGUAGGCUGCCAUCUUUGCGUGCGCUGCCAUCAUCAGUGGUGGCAUCCUCGGCGACACCAUCAGUGGUGUCAUCCCCGAUGCCACUAGGGGUUGUGUAGUCGGGAUCGGUGUCUUCCGCGGCGUCCUCAUAGCGGUGAGGUUCUUCAUCCAUCUCCUGGGACAGCUCCCAGAAUGCCUUGCCCGAACCGCCGGCCUCAUCGUUGUUGGCCAUGUUCGCUCUAAAUAGGAAAAAAGUUUGGUCAAAAAGUUGGUUAUUGUCAAGGAACAAGAUCUCUAAGUUGACCAAAUAACCUAAUUCUAGAGGAAUGUCGCCAAAAAGUUGGUUAUUGUCAAGGAACAAUUGAGAGAUGUUUGUGAUAUUGCCUAGGUAUUUUGGGAUGGAACCUGUUAGUGUGUUGUUGCUAGGUGUUUUGGGAUGGAGCCAGUAGCUUACUUGCAACCCACAAAAGACAAAGGAAAAGGGGUGAAAAGGGGGAGAUGGGUAGCUUUGAUGAGCAGGCAGCAUCUUCCUAACUCCCUUCUUCUUGUCUCCUCUCACUAUCUCUCUCACACACAUGGCAAGCAAGGGUGUUUGAGUGUGUGAAAAAAUACUAAACUAAUCCAACCACUAAAGCACUAGAUCACUACUAUUGUAUAAUCUUUUUAUAGCUUUGUAUAUAUGUAUGGCUCCAAUGGGUGCCACUGCCAUGCAUCCCUCUCCUAUCAUUUAAUCAUUAUUAGCCCAUCAUUUUGACCAGAGAUUAGUUUUGGUUAAUUAAUUAACUAGUGUGUGCCACAGCUAGCAGAGCACGGAUCUCCAUCUAGAUAGUAGGAGUAGCUUUCCAAGCCCUCUUUCCAAAGCCACAACUCCUCUAAGUUCUCAAGAUACAUGCUGAUUAAUUUUUGUUUCGGUUGAGAAUCGGGCACCUUCUAGGUCAAGAAAAUUGGGCAUGACCUUUGCUAAUUGAAGGGCCAUUACUAACUUUUUUUUGGAUCUUUAGUUGCAUCUAAUAAUUUUUUAGAAAAUAUUAACAAAUUCAAUACUUUUUGUGAGUUAGAAAUUCAAUACCAGAAUAAACCUAAAUAAAAAUUGGUAUACCAAUGGCACACCUCCUAGAGGUGCGCCGUAAGUACCUUGAUAGCAAUGGCGCACCUUCUCCUAGUGCGCCAUUAGUAACUUUUUUUUGGAUUUUUGGUUGCAUUCAUUUGUGAAUUGGUAAAACAUUUAUGAAUAUGAAAAAAUAUCAUCCAAUUUGAAAAAAUUUCAUGAACUCAAAAAGUGCCCAUGAAAUUUAAAAAUAUUCAUGAGUUCAAAAAAUAUUAACAAAUUCAAUACUUUUUGUGAGUUAGAAAUUCAAUACCAGAAUAAACAUAAAAAAAAUUGGUAUACCAGAAUAAACAUAAACACCAGAAUAAACAUAAAUAAAUAUUCAUGAGGACUAGAACAGAAGAAAUGUCAUUUCCGUAUGUCGAAAUACAAUCGAGAAAUGAAGACUACAAUUUAAAUACAAUCGAUCUUAGCUAGCUAUCUUUUCACAAUCUUCUUGCCCUUCUUUUUCGCAAAUGGAGUUCUUCUCUUGAACGGACGUCCUUUAGGUAGGGAACGGACGUCCUUUAGGUAGGGUGGUCCUGCUUCUUCUUGUGGUGUAUGGCACUUCAUCGUCGUCGUUAUGUUCCAUCUUCGGGUCGCCAUACUUGUCGAAGUCUUGCUCAUUCGCGACUCCAUCCAUUCCGAUGAUCUUCCUUUUGCCUCUCCUCACGACUACACGACUGGGCUUUGACGGGUCGGUAAUGAAGAAGCAUUGGUCCACUUGGGAAGCCAGUACCCAUGGCUCAUUUUUCGCGGUGACGUUUGCGCCCGCGGUCUUGGAUUUGGCUUCGGGUAUAACCAUGGUGGUGAAAUACCGGUCUUCUUUUAGGACGCUCUUGGCCCAUCUGACACGGAACAUCGGCUCCAGCGUAGCUCAGCUCCCAGAUCUCCUCGAUCCUUCCGUAGUAUCUGUCCUUGUUGUUACCGGUGUAGGAUUCCAUCGUUACCACGGAGUUCUGAUAACCAUCGCUCUUCAUGUCCUUUUCCUCGGUGUAGAAUGUGUAGCCAUUGAUAUCGUACGCCUCAUAGGUCAUCAGGUUGUGCUCGGCGCCCUGUGACAAGGCGAAUAUGAGUUUUUCUUCUGUGGAAGAAUCCUCAUGUAAAGGGUACGACAGAAGCUUCUCCUUGAACCAGCGCGCGAAACAUGAGUUGUGCUCUUUGAUUAUAUCUCCGUCCAUCCACUGUUGGCCUUGGUCAUUGUACAUCUUCUCAAUAAAGGAUUUGUGCUCUACCACCCAAGGAUCGACCACGUCUAUGUGUUGUAGCGCGACUAGGUUUGCUCUUUCAAAGUCGGCGAGUCGACCCUCGAAGUCGACAUGCAUUUCGCGGCGACCAUCGCGGUGACCCCAUCCAGCGAGCCCGCCGAGGUGCCUGUUUACAGGCAGACCAACGGGGUUCUCGAUGCCUACAUAAUUCGUGCAGUAGGAGAUGCACUCUUCGGUCAGAAAGCCCCUGGCUAUGCUUCCCUCUGGACGUGACAUGUUGUGAACGUAUCCUUUGAUGACACCAUUCAUCCUUUCGAACGGCAUCAUGCUGUGCAGGAACGUCGGCCCGAGUUGGAUGAUAUCCUCCACGAUAUGGACCAGCAGAUGCACCAUAACGUCGAAGAAUGCGGGCGGGAAGUACAUCUCAAGCUCGCAUAGUAUCACCAUGAUCUCUUCCUGUAGCCUUCUGAGUUGCCUCACGCCAGCCGACUUCCGAGAGAUGACGUCGAAAAAGUUGCAUAGGCCAAAUAGCGUUUCACGGACGUGCGCGUCCAUGAUCCCAUGGAUUGCAACUGGAAGUAUCUGCGUCAUCAGCACGUGACAGUCGUGAGACUUUAUCCCGCUGAACUUCUGCUUCGCUGAGUCUAGGUAUCUGCUUAUCUUCCCCGCGUAACCGUAAGGAAGUUUUACUCCUACGAGGCAGGUGAAAAACUGCUCGAUCUCCUCCCGACUUAGAGUGAAGCACGCGGGAGGGUAGUCAUUUCCGAUCUUCUUGGCCUUUUUGCCUUUGCGACGACUUUCCGUGUCCUUCGCCUCAUCAUCAUCAUCAUCAUCAUCAUCAUUAGCGUGAAACUCCUCCCUGAUGCCCAUUGAUUUCAAGUCUGCCCUUGCUUUUGGCCCAUCUUUGGUCCUCUCUGGCAUGUUGAGCAGGGUACCAAGCAGACUCUCGCACACGUUCUUCGUGAUAUGCAUGACAUCAAGGCUGUGAGGCACACGGAGGAUCUUCCAGUACGGCAAGUCCCAGAAAACAGAUCUCGUUUUCCAUACCUUCAGCAGCAGCUCUGGUGCCUUUCGCUUCUUUCCCGGCUCUGGCACCUUUCGCUUCUUUCCCGGCAGUGGGCAAUCUUUCCAAUUUUUCAACAGCUCAUCUAUUUCCUCGCCGCUCCUCGUACGCGGGCGUCUUCGGGGUUCGGUUUCAUCAUCGAACAGAUCCUUGCGUUUUCUCCAUGAGUCAUCGUCGCGAAGCCACCUUCGAUGUCCCAUGAACAUGGUUUUCGAAGACCCGGGAUCUCUAUCUAGCUGGCGAUACGUUGUGUCAUCCAUGCACCUGACGCAUCCAGAAAAUCCGUGGACCACCUGCCCCGCGACAUAUCCGUAACCGAGAUAGUCGUGCACCGUCGUGAGCAGUGCGGCUCUCAUAGGGAAAUAUUCUUUCUUUGCGGCGUCCCACGUAUUGGCUGGCGUUUUCCAUAGCGUGUCUAGCUCCUCUUUCAGCAGCCACAGAUACAGAUUGAUGUCGUUCCUUGGUUGUUUCGGCCCUUCAAUUAGCAUACUCGUGUGAAUGUACUUCCUCUUCAUGCACAACCAGGGGGGAAGGUUGUACAUCCACACAAACACAGGUCAGGUGCUAUGUGUGCUUCUCUGGCUGCCAAACGGAUUGACUCCAUCGGUGCUCGCGCCCAGCACGAUGUUCCUUGGAUCGUCCCCAAAUUCUGGGUGUUCGAAGUUUAACGCUUGCCACUGGCUUGCAUCCUUAGAAUGACUCAGCAUCUUGUCUUUUUUAUUUAUCUCCGGAUCAUUUCCGUCAUCUUCUCGCUUCUUCUCCUCCCUAUCCGCGUGCCAACGUAGGAGCUUUGCUAGCUUAGGGUCCGCGAAAUACCGCUGCAGACGAGGAGUGAUCGGAAAGUACCACACCACUUUUCGAGGAGCUUUCUUCCUCUUCUUGUAUCGAGUGACGCCGCACACCGGACAUAUGGUAGACUCCGCGUGCUCGUCCCGAUAAAUGAUGCAAUUGUUCAUGCACACAUGGUAUUUCACGUGCGGUAAAUCCAGAGGACACACGAUUUUCUUCGCCUCCUCGAAACUGGUCGCGCACUUGUUCCCCUUGGGAAGACGUUCGUGCCAGAAUGACAUGUUCUCGUCGAAGCAUGCGUUAGUCAUUUUGUGCUUUACCUUCGUCUCCAGAGCCAUGAGCGUUACUUUCAGACGGGUAUCCUCGGGCCUGCAUCCUUCAUAGAAUGGAGUAACCACGUCUAUCUCCAGUUGGUCCAGCUUGGCUUUCUCUCGGGCGGCAGCUCUUGCGUUAUCCGUCUGCUUGAGAAGCAGCUCUUGAAUAUGAGGGUCCUACACCCAGCCCAUCGAUGGUCCAUCGUCGUCUGCUCCGGCAUCUUCAUCUUCAUGAUCAUGCCCUUCGUCUUGACCUUCCUCAUCAUCAUGUCCGGCAUCUUCUACAUGAUGACUGUGUACUGCAUCUACUUCGUGAUCAUGUCCUGAAGAUUCUUCGUCUUCUCGCCCGCCCUCGCCGUGGUUGUCUUGCUGCCCUUCCUCAUUUCUUGCCCGACCCCCAUGGACGACUUCAUAGUCAUCUUCAUCACCUUGCCACCGAUAGCCAUCCAUGAAACCACGCAAGAGCAGGUGGUCCCGCACCUGUACGGAAUCCGGGUCCAUAAGGCUCUUCAGCUUGCAUCUUCAACACGGACAUCUUAUCUCCGUCUCGUUCUUUUGAAGCAUCACGGCCUUCGCGGAGCUCAAAAACCUAUUCACGAUGCCUUCAAUCAUCGUGCGGACCAUGGUCGCCUGCGGGGUAGAGCAAAACGAUAUUUUCGAACCAAAAAAAUUUUUGGCAUGACUUUGCCUAAAAAUAGGACAAAAUUCUCGGCGAAACGGAAAUGAAUCAACAUUCCGGCAAAAUAUUGGCAACUAUCGCAUUUCAAAUACCGGUACCUGCAAACACAAACAUAUGCAACACCACAAACAUACGUAGAUAUAGGCCAUAAAAAGUGUGUACAUUGUUGGUGGGAGAAAAAAGUAGAUCUAGAACAUAAAUAAAGCUUUCCCCUUACUUACCUAUCAAAAAAAAGGAAAUUUAACGACUUAAUUUGGGUGAAUCUAUGGUGCAAAUGAGGUGAGGAGGAGGAGGCAGCCGAGACCAAGCUUGGUAGAGGUGGAGAGAAUGAAGUGGGAAAACUGAGUGUGAUAGGUGGCUGUCCAAAAUAUCUAGCUGCUCCCAGGUUACCAAUGGCACACCACCUAAGAAUGCGCCAUUAGUAACCAGGGUUACUAAUGGCGCACCUGGUGAGUGGUGCGCCAUUACUAGUUUUAAAAAAAACAUGUUAGUAGUGGCGCACCAGUGGACAGUGCGCCAUUACUAGUUAGAACUAGUAAUGGCGCACUAUCCCCUGGUGCGCCACUGCUAACAAUUUUUUACCUUUUAAAAAAAAUUAGUAAUGACGCACCACCCACCAGGUGCGCCAUUAGUAAUGAGGACAUUAAUGACGUACCUGUAUCUGGUGCGCCACUGCUAUAUAGUAGUGGCGCACCACAUACAUGAUGCGCCAUUAAUGUCUAUAUUAGCUAUAGUCCUUUUCCUAGUAGUGCUCUUUUCCAGAUACCGCAAAAAUACCUUGGUUUCUGGCAUACUGUAGUUUACAAAACUUUGGUUUUUUCUGAUGCCAAACCCAGCAAAGUAUUCAAAACCAUGGUUUUUUUUCCAGAAACCACAGUAUUCUCAGAAAACAUUAAAAAAACUUUACUGCCAAACGCAGCCUAAAGGUUAAGAGGUACUCAUGCAACCAGUUGAUAUUUCGGGCAAGCUGGUGAUGCAACAUAAACGUGGUGGGGAUGACGACCGCAGCUGCCCAAAGCCAGGAUGGCGGACAGACGAGGUUAUUCGAGGACUGUAUCGAGGAUGGUGGGUCGACGAGGUUACCCGAGCUGAUUCAACCCAUGAGUAACCUGGCGAAGCACGAUUCACAGUUGAGGAGGGGCUCGACCCCCUAAUGCCCGAAUGGCGCACCGUCGCCCGGGGGUCACGUCGGUGGAGAGGACGAGGGGCAGCCGUGCUACUCGACGAUGAGUAGAGCCGUAGAUGAGGAGCAGGAAGGCGGAGCUGGCCGGUGAGCUCGCGGUGCGAGGCUGGCGGAGAUUGGGAUCUGGGCGAGGCGAGCGAGGUUGAGGAAGAGGUGGGAGCUCUGGGCGGUGCGGGCAAUUAGGAAGAUGGAAUCAUUUUUUUUUUUGAGCCGAAAGAUGGAAUCAUUGAGAGAAGAUUACGCGCAGGAUUUACAGCUUGCGGGUAGUUAUUCUGAUAGGAUUUUUUCCCGUUUUUCAUUUACAUACGAAGCAAAAUUGUGAACGUCGGAUUUGGAACCAAUCGACGUUAUUCAAGUGGUCCGACGCUCACGUUCCUUCAGACUACGGAUGGAAAGCGUUUCCCGAAACCGCUAGUUUCUCUCAUGUUCCCGAGACGAUAACACCAUGGCUAUUACUGCCAUUCCCCUUCUCUAUUAAUACCUUCCACCCUUUCCAUUAUAAAUAACAAAAUUGAAACACAUCAUUCUCUUGGUUGUAUUUUUCCUAAAAUGUUUAAGGUGUAUGUGUCAUUGAAUGUGAAUAUAUUCUGUUGCAAAGUUUCAUGAAAUUUAAUUAGUAUGCAACCUGUGCACUAGAGAAAUAAAGAUUAAAAUAAAUUUAGUUAUUUUUGUUAGCCCAUCAUUAUUGUUUUUAGAACAAAAAAGUCAAGUCACUUUUUCAUGAAAGCUGGAGACAAAUUGUGUAUUCUAAAAUAAAAAUGAUCGAUUUUCCUAUCUCUCUGUCUCUCAUACACGCGCGCGCGCAUGUACACACGUGCAAACUUAGAAUUUUGGAAAUAAUGGGCGCAAUGGCCAUUUGAAAAUAUGAGGUACUCCCUCCAUCCAUGAAUAAGUGUACGCAUGGCAUUCAAAAAAUUUCCACAAAAGAAUGUGCUUCUAUCUUCACAAUACACUUUAAAGUAAAGAAAAUGUCUCUAAUCACACAGUAAUCAAGACCAAUAAAAUUCAACACAUGGUCCUUUAUACAUCAUAUAUACGUGCCUAUGCGCGAAGAGCAAUACAUUAUGCAAUCAUACAUGGUAUCAGUUUUUAUGUUUUCAUCCUAGUCUUCCGCCGCCGCCGCCACGCGCCUCCUCCGCGGCGCCGCCGCCGCCGUCUGCGCGUCUCCCGCGCCGGCCGCCGCUGCUUCCUCUCCCUGCGCGUGCGCCUUGCACCGUCAGUCCUGCCCGGUCGCUAGCUGCAUCGCCUCGCCUCGCUAGCCCGGUCACUAGCCGCAUCGCCUCGCCUCGCUAGCUACCUCGCUUCACCUCGCUAGCUGCACGUACCUGCCCACCCGCACGCCCGAUCACUCGCCGCAUCACCUCGCCUCGCUAGCUGUCGAGUCGCCGAGUCAUCCGCUAGCUGCCUGCCGAGUCGCCGAGUCAAACUCCACUCGCCGCCUGCCAGUCCGCCCGCUAGCUGCACCCAAUCCUGCCCGCAGCAGCGCCCAACUCCGCUCGCCAGAUGCACCCGCAACCUGCUCGCCCGCCCAGCCGCUCCACGCGAAGCCAGCAGCGCCCGACUCCGCUCGCCAGCUGCACCCGUAACCCGCUCGCCCGCCCAGCCGCUCCACGCCAAGCCCAUAACUCGCUCGAUCGCCCAACGCCGCCGCCUAUCAAUUUUUAGGUUUUUCGUUUCCGCCACCACCGCCGCCGUGCACCUCCUCUGCGCCGCCGCCGCUGCCCAGCUGCCGUCGUCGGACCAGCAAUGGCGUCCACCGGCCCGUCCGCCGCCGCCUCUGCCAUCCCGCCGCCGGCGCCCUACGGCGCGGCCCCGCCAGCCCAUCCCGACUUGCCGCGCGGCUCGGCUCCGCUGCCCUCGCUGGCGUACGUCGCCGCCCCACUGCCGACGCUCUCCGGCCAGUCCAUCAUCGCCCCGCUGCCGGCGCCGACUCUGCCCGUCAACCCCUUGCUGUCGCGUGGGGCGUUCGACGCGCCCAUGUACGGGGCUCCCGGGUACUGGUGGGGGUCGUCAGCAGGCCAGCACUCGCCCGCUGGGCAGCCGCCAGACGGCGCCCAACACCUGCAGCAUCUUUUAGCGGGCCAGCAGGUUUUUCCGGCGUGCUAUCCGGCCUACCCGGCACCGCAGUCGCAGUCAGGACUGCUUCCCAUACCGUCUGGAGAGUACCCACCGCUGCUGCCGAGCGAUGGCUACAGCCUCCCCAUGGCGUCUCCGUCCCCCUUACCGGCCCUGCUGCCGGCGCCCUGGGACCCGGUGCUCCUUCCCGCACUGCAUGCCGCUCCUACGCCGAACAACUACGCCCAAUGUGAUGACAGGUACAUGGACACCGGGGCUACGGCUCACAUGUUUGCUCAUCCUGGUAAUCUUGCCUCCUUCACUCCCAUCACCACCGACCGCCGCAUCAUUGUCAGCGACGGUUCCACACUCCCUAUCACACAUGUCGGGCACACUUCUUUUCCUUCUAAUUCCAUGCCUAUUACUUUGUCUAACAUACUUGUGUCACCUCAUCUUAUUAAGAACCUUGUUUCCAUUCGUCGUUUAACUCGUGAAAAUCAUGUUACUGUUGAAUUUGACGAGCUUGGGUUUUGUGUCAAGGAUGCUGGAACCAGGAUGGUACUUCACCGAUGUGACAGCCUCGACGAGCUCUAUCCGGUGCAUUCGCCGUCCACCUCCACCACCGCAUCGGUUGCUCUCUCCGUCAGCGUCGAUCUCUGGCACGCUCGUUUGGGUCUUCCCAACCCCGUCACACUUCGUCAUAUUCUUAGGAGUUUCAGUUUCAGUUGUCAUAAGAUAGAGGAUCACACCUGUCAUGCCUGUCGUGUCGGCAAACAUGUUCGCCUCCCGUUUAAUAACUCCACCACCAUAGCUUCUUUCCUUUUCAGUUGAUUCAUAGCGAUGUGUGGACCUCUCUGGUUCCUAGUAAUUCAGACUAUUAUAUUAUCUGGUUAUCCUUGAUGAUUAUUCUCAUUAUGUGUGGACUUUUCCUUUGCGUAGAUAGUUAGAUGCACUCACGACUUUGACGGCUUUUUACUCCUAUGUCAGCACGCAGUUUGGGCGUCCCAUCAUUGCUCUUCAGACUGACAAUGGGAAAGAGUUCGACAACCUUGCUUUCCGCACUUUUCUGUCGCACCAUGGCAAGAUUUUCGUCUCACAUGCCCGUAUACUUACCAGCAGAACGGUCGAGCCGAACGCGUCCUUCGCACUCUGAACGACCUCGUUCGCACGCUCCUGUUCCAUGCUAAUGUGCCGCCUCAUUUCUGGCCGGACGCACUCGCCACUGCUGCUCUUCUCCUUAACCUUCGCCCUUGCCGCCCACGAUGGAACUAUGCACCUCACCAUCUUCUCUUCGGUAUGCCCCCAUCUUAUGAUGGCUUGCGUAUUUUCGGGUGCCUUUGCUAUCCUAGCACUGCCGACUCCGCUCCUCACAAACUCGCACCUCGUUCUGUCGCUUGCAUCUUCAUCGGCUGCCCCUCCAACUCCAAGGGAUAUCGGUGCUACGAUCCUGUCUCCCACCGUGUGUUCACUUCUCGGCACGUUUACUUUGAUGAGCAUGUGUUUCCGUUUCACCAGGUACCCCCGGCUGUUCCUCCCGCCACCGGUGACGCAGGCUCCUCGACACCCCUCAUAGGGUGCUCGUGCGCCUCUCUUCGCCCGCCCUUGGCUUUGAGGCACGCCCCUGUGAUACGUCCAUUUUGCAUCAUGCUUUUAUAUCGAUAUUUAUUGCAUUAUGGGCUGUUAUUACACAUUAUGUCACAAUACUUAUGCCUAUUCUCUCUUAUUUUACAAGGUUUACAUAAGGAGGGAGAAUGCCGACAGCUGGAAUUCUGGGCUAGAAAAGGAGCAAAUAUUAGAGACCUAUUCUGCACAACUCCAAAAGUCCUGAAACUCCACGAAAGUUAUUUUCGGAAAUAAUAAAAAAUACUGAGCGGAAGAAAUACGUCAGGGGGGCCUCCACCUGUCCACGAGGAUGGGGGGCACGCCCUACCCCCUGGGCGCGCCCCCUGCCUCGUGGGCCCCCUGUUGGCCCUCCGGUGCCCAUCUUCUGCUAUAUGAAGUCUUUCGUCCGAAGAAAAAUCAUAGGCAAGCUUUCGGGAUGAGACUCCGUCGCCACGAGGCGGAACCUUGGCGGAACCAAUCUAGGGCUCCGGCAGAGCUGUUCUGCCGGGGAAACUUCCCUCCGGGAGGGGGAAAUCAUCGCCAUCGUGAUCACCAACGCUCCUCUCAUCGGGAGAGGGCAAUCUCCAUCAACAUCUUCACCAGCACCAUCUCAUCUCAAACCCUAGUUCAUCUCUUGUAUCCAAUUCUUGUCUCUAAGUCUGGGAUUGGUACCUGUAGGUUGCUAGUAGUGUUGAUUACUCCUUGUAGUUGAUGGUAGUUGGUUUAUUUGGUGGAAGAUCAUAUGUUCAGAUCCUAUAUGCAUAUUAAUACUCCUCUGAUUAUGAACAUGAAUAUUCUUUGUGAGUAGUUACGUUUGUUCCUGAGGACAUGGGAGAAGUCUUGCUAUUAGUAAUCAUGUGAAUUUGGUAUUCGUUCGAUAUUUUGAUGAGAUGUAUGUUCUCUAUCCUCUAGUGGUGUUAUGUGAACGUCGACUACAUAACACUUCACCAUUAUUUGGGCCUAGAGGAAGGCAUUGGGAAGUAAUAAGUAGAUGAUGGGUUGCUAGAGUGACAGAAGCUUCAACCCUAGUUUAUGCGUUGCUUCGUAAGGGGCUGAUUUGGAUCCAUAUGUUUCAUGCUAUGGUUAGGUUUACCUUAAUACUUUUGUUGUAGUUGCGGAUGCUUGCAAUAGAGGUUAAUCAUAAGUGGGAUGCUUGUCCAAGUAAGGGCAGCACCCAAGCACCGGUCCACCCACAUAUCAAAUUAUCAAAGUACCGAACGCGAAUCAUAUGAACGUGAUGAAAACUAGCUUGACGAUAAUUCCCAUGUGUCCUCGGGAGCGCUUUUCUCUUUAUAAGAGUUUGUCCAGGAUUGUCCUUUGCUACAAAAACGAUUGGGGCACCUUGCUGCACUUUAUUUACUUUUUUUAUUUGUUGCUCAUUACAAAUUAUCCUAUCACAAAACUAUCUGUUACCUAUAAUUUCAGUGCUUGCAGAGAAUACCUUGCUGAAAACCGCUUAUCAUUUCCUUCUGCUCCUCGUUGGGUUCGACACUCUUACUUAUCGAAAGGACUACGAUAGAUCCCCUAUACUUGUGGGUUAGGAAGACUCAUUUCUGGCGCCGUUGCCGGGGAGUGAAGCGCCUUUGUUAGGUGGAAUUUGGUAAGGAAAAAUUUAUAUAGUGUGCUGAAAUUUACUGUCACUUGUCACUAUGGAAAGUAAUCCUCUGAGGGGCUUGUUCGGGGUAUCUUCACCCCGACCUGUAGAGCAAAGGGGUGCUCCUCAACCUACUGAACCUACUGAAGAUGAAAAUGUCUACUUUGAAAUACCUUCGGGUAUGUUAGAAAAACUGCUAGCUAAUCCUUUUGUAGGAGAUGGAACAAUGCAUCCUGAUGAGCACCUAAUCUAUGUGGAUGAAGUUUGUGGAUUAUUUAAGCUUGCAGGUAUACCCAAUGAUGUUAUUAAGAAGAAGGUAUUCCCUUUAUCUUUGAAGGGAGAUGCAUUGACAUGGUAUAGGCUAUAUGAUGAUACGGGGUCAUGGAACUACAAACGAUUGAAAUUGGAAUUUCAUCAGAAGUUUUAUCCUAUGCAUCUUGUUCAUCGUGAUCGCAAUUAUAUAUAUAAUUUUUGCCUCGCGAAGGAGAAAGCAUCGCUCAAGCUUGGGGGAGGCUUAAAUCAAUGUUAUAUUCAUGCCCCAAUCAUGAGCUCCCAAGAGAAAUAAUUAUUCAAAGUUUUUAUGCUCGGCUUUCUGAUAACAAUCGCACCAUGCUCGAUACUUCCUGUGCUGGCUCUUUUAUGAUGAAGACUAUUGAAUUCAAAUGGAAUUUAUUGGAAAGAAUUAAAUGUAACUCUGAAGAUUGGGAUCUCGACGAAGGUAAGGAGUCAGGUAUGACACCUAAGUUUGAUUGUGUUAAAUCUUUUAUGGAUACCGAUGUUUUCCGUAAAUUUAGCACUAAAUAUGGACUUGACUCUGAGAUAUUAGCUUCCUUUUGUGAAUCUUUUGCUGCUCACGUUGAUCUCCCUAGGGAGAAGUGGUUUAAAUAUCAUCCUCCCAUAGAAGUAAAAGUAGCUGCACCUAUUAAAGUUGAAGAAAAGACUAUCACUUAUAAUGAUCCUAUUGUUCCUACUGCUUAUGUUGAAAAACCACCUUUCCCUGUUAGAAUAAAGGAUCAUGCUAAAGCUUCAACUGUGGUUCGUAAAAGCAGUAUUAGAACCUAUGCACCUCCUGAGCAAGUUAAAGUUGAACCUAAUAUUGCUAUUGUUAAAGAUCUCUUGUCUGAUAAUAUUGAUGGGCAUGUUAUUCAUUUUCGUGAUGAAACUGCUAGAAUUGCUAAACCUUGUGCUAAAGAUAAACAUAGACCUGUGGUAGGCAUGCCUGUUAUUUCUGUUAAAAUAGGAGAUCAUCGUUAUCAUGGCUUAUGUGACAUGGGUGCUAGUCCUAGUGCAAUACCUAUUGACUUAUACAAAGAAAUUAUGCAUGAUAUUGCACCUACUGAGUUAGAAGAUAUUGAUGUCACAAUUAAACUUGCCAAUAGAGAUACUAUUUCACCCAUGGGAAUUGUAAGAGAUGUUGAAGUCUUGUGUGGGAAAACUAAAUAUCCUGCUGAUUUUCUUGUUCUUGGUUCCCCACAAGAUAGCUUUUGUCCCAUUAUUUUUGGUAGACCCUUCUUGAACACUGUUAAUGCUAAGAUAGACUGCGAAAAGGAUGUUGUUACUAUUGGUUUGGGUGAUAUGUCUCAUGAGUUUAAUUUCUCUAAAUUUCGUAGACAACACCGUGAAGAGGAAUUGCCUAGUAAGGAUGAAAUUAUUGGUCUUGCUACUAUUGCCGUACCUCCAAGUGAUCCUUUAGAACAAUAUUUCCUAGACCAUGAAAAUGAUAUGUUUAUGAAUGAAAGAAGGGAAAUAGAUGAAGUAUUCUUUAAACAGGAACCUAUCCUGAAACACAAUUUGCCUGUUGAAAUCCUAGGGGAUCCUCCUCCAACUAAGGGUGAUCCCGUGUUUGAGCUUAAACCAUUGCCUGAUACUCUUAAAUAUGCUUAUCUUGAUGAAAAGAAGAUAUAUCAUGUUAUUAUUAGUGGUAACCUUUUAGAGCAUGAAGAAGAGAGAUUAUUGAAAACUCUGAAGAAGCACCAUGCUGCUAUUGGAUAUACUCUUGAUGAUCUUAAGGGUAUUAAUCCCACUCUAUGCCAACACAAAAUAAAUUUGGAGAAAGAUGCCAAACCAGUUCGUGAUCACCAACGAGGGCUGAAUCCUAAGAUGAAAGAAGUGGUAAGAAAGGAAAUACUAAAGCUCCUUGAGGCAGGUAUAAUUUAUCCCGUUGCUGAUAGUCAGUGGGUAAGUCAUGUCCAUUGUGUCCCUAAGAAGGGAGGUAUUACCGUCGUUCCUAAUGAUAAAGAUGAAUUGAUUCCGCAAAGAAUUAUUACAGGUUAUAGGAUGGUAAUCGAUUUCCGCAAAUUAAAUAAAGCUACUAAAAAAGAUCAUUACCCCUUACCUUUUAUUGAUCAAAUGCUACAAAGAUUAUCCAACCAUACACAUUUUUGCUUUCUAGAUGGUUAUUAUGGUUUCUCUCAAAUACCUGUGUCAGCCGAUGAUCAAUCAAAGAUCACUUUCACUUGUCCUUUCAGUACUUUUGCUUAUAGACCUAUGCUACCUUUCAAAGAUGCAUGAUGGCUAUAUUCUCUGACUUUUGUGAAAAGAUUUGUGAGGUUUUCAUGGAUGAUUUCUCCGUUUAUGGAUCCUCUUUUGACGAUUGCUUGAGCAACCUUGAUCGAGUUUUGCAGAGAUGUGAAGAAACUAAUCUUGUCUUGAAUUGGGAAAAGUGCCACUUUAUGGUUAAUGAAGAUAUUGUCUUGGGGCAUAAAGUUUCUGAAAGAGGUAUUGAAGUUGAUAAAGCCAAGGUUGAUGCUAUUGAAAAGAUGCCAUGUCCCAAGGACAUCAAAGGUAUAAGAAGUUUCCUUGGUCAUGCCAGUUUUUAUAGGAGGUUCAUUAAGGACUUCUCAAAAAUUUCUCGGCCUCUGACUAAUUUAUUACAAAAAGAUAUACCAUUUGUCUUUGAUGAUGAUUGUGUAGAAGCAUUUGAAAUACUUAAGAAAGCAUUGAUCUCUGCACCUAUUGUUCAGCCACCUGAUUGGAAUUUACCCUUUGAAAUUAUGUGUGAUGCUAGUGAUUAUGCUGUAGGUGUUGUUCUAGGGCAAAGAGUUGAUAAGAAAUUAAAUGUUAUCCAAUAUGCUAGCAAAACUCUAGACAAUGCUCAAAGAAAUUAUGCUACUACUGAAAAGGAAUUCUUAGCAGUUGUAUUUGCUUGUGAUAAGUUCAGACCUUAUAUUGUUGAUUCUAAAGUAACUAUUCACACUGAUCAUGCUGCUAUUAAAUAUCUUAUGGAAAAGAAAGAUGCUAAACCUAGACUUAUUAGAUGGGUUCUCUUGUUACAAGAAUUUGAUUUGCAUAUUAUUGAUAGAAAGGGAGCUGAGAACCCCGUUGCAGACAACUUGUCUAGGUUAGAAAAUGUUCUUGAUGACUCACUACCUAUUGAUGAUAGCUUUCCUGAUGAACAAUUAAAUGUCAUAAAUGCCUCUCGUACUGCUCCAUGGUAUGCUGAUUAUGCUAAUUACAUCGUUGCUAAAUUCAUACCACCUAGUUUCACAUACCAGCAAAAGAAAAAGUUUUUCUAUGAUUUGAGACAUUACUUUUGGGAUGACCCACAUCUUUAUAAAGAAGGAGUAGAUGUUGUUAUUAGAUGUUGUGUACCUGAGCAUGAACAGGAACAGAUCCUACACAAGUGUCACUCCGAGGCUUAUGGAGGACACCACACUGGAGACAGAACUGCACAUAAGGUAUUGCAAUCCGGUUUUUAUUGGCCUACUCUCUUCAAGGAUGCCCGUAAGUUUGUCUUGUCUUGUGAUGAAUGUCAAAGAAUUGGUAAUAUUAGUAGACGUCAAGAAAUGCCUAUGAAUUAUUCACUUGUUAUUGAACCAUUUGAUGUUUGGGGCUUUCACUAGUAGAAAACAGGGCUUAGGUCACAGGGCAGUUUUCUCAUUAGCCCCGGUUCAGUCACGAACCGGGACCAUGGGGGCAUUCGUCCCAGUUCGUGAGCCCAGGGGGCCGGCCGGGGCCUCGUGGGCAUUGGUCCCGGUUCGUAUGGAACCAUUUGUCCCGGUUCGAGCCACGAACCGGGACUAAUGUACCUCGCUCCUGGCCCACAACCAUUUGUCCCGGUUCUUGGCAUGAACCGGGACAGAAGGCCCGGAUUUAGUACCGGUUCAUGCCGCGAACCGGGACCAAUGAGGUGCCUAUAUAUACCCCUCGCCCGCGAGCAGAGCACUCCAGUGCUCUGUUUUUCUCUGGCCGGCGAGGGGAGGGCUUUGUGGUGCUCUAGCUCACCUCCUAUGCACAUGAGGUGUUCGAUGAAAUGCCCGAGCCACACUAGUUAAGCUUUGUCCUCUCGAAGCUCGACCUCAAAGCUCCAUUUUCCUCGAGAUUUGUCUAGGUUUAGCGGCCCGUCAGGUCCCAUUCCCGUCUUCACCGCCGUCGACCGCCUGCGCCGAUCUCGUCGCCGGCACCACCGUGGUGAGCCUCUUGUUCUUAUCUUCUUUUUGAAAGAAAAAAAUUCUUACUUUAGAUAGAUACUUGUCUAAUUUUCUUACUAUUUUAUUCCUUCUUAUUACAUAGUGCGAUGGUUUUGGUAUCCGCCCCCGUCGGCCCUCGUCCUGUCUAUGAUUCGGAUGUGGUAUAUAUUAUCUUUUUAUAACUAUUUGAUUCAUUUAUUGUUUAUGACAAAUAUACCAACCAGCGUGACAUAGAUUUUAUUUAUCUAGGAGGUGGUUGAACCGGAAAUUCUAACCGACCCUAUUGUCGAGAGGUUAAAUUUAGUUGAAGAAGAAAACAAUUACUUGAAGGAAGAAAUAAAAAAAAUUGAGGAGGAGAAGAUGAUAUUCACUACUGGAAUCAGCUAAUUUGCCAUCUGCCAGAUCUUUGCCGUCUGCUAGCUGACGGCAAAGAUGCUCUUUGCCAUCAGCUACACAUAAACAGACGGCAAAGAAAAGGCUGACGGCAAACACACUCUUUGCCAUCUGCCUGGUCUUUGCCGUCUGCCAGCGGACGGCAAAUAAUCUUUGCCGUCCGCUGGCGGACGGCAAAGAGUGUGGUGGCCCCACCCCCCGCUCGUUUGAAAAAAUCCUAACGGCCCACCUCUUUGCCGUCCGCUAGCGGACGGCAAAGAGGCAGAAAGGCGGACGGCAAAGGCUGGCGGACGGCAAAGAGGGCACUUGCCUAACGGCAGGUACCCCCCGCCCGUUACUCACUUCGUCCUCGCCUCGCCCUUCUCCUCCCACCCCGCCGCCGCCGCCGCCGCCCGCCGCGCGCCGCCGCCCCGUCGCCCCCGNNNNNNNNNNNNNNNNNNNNNNNNNNNNNNNNNNNNNNNNNNNNNNNNNNNNNNNNNNNNNNNNNNNNNNNNNNNNNNNNNNNNNNNNNNNNNNNNNNNNNNNNNNNNNNNNNNNNNNNNNNNNNNNNNNNNNNNNNNNNNNNNNNNNNNNNNNNNNNNNNNNNNNNNNNNNNNNNNNNNNNNNNNNNNNNNNNNNNNNNNNNNNNNNNNNNNNNNNNNNNNNNNNNNNNNNNNNNNNNNNNNNNNNNNNNNNNNNNNNNNNNNNNNNNNNNNNNNNNNNNNNNNNNNNNNNNNNNNNNNNNNNNNNNNNNNNNNNNNNNNNNNNNNNNNNNNNNNNNNNNNNNNNNNNNNNNNNNNNNNNNNNNNNNNNNNNNNNNNNNNNNNNNNNNNNNNNNNNNNNNNNNNNNNNNNNNNNNNNNNNNNNNNNNNNNNNNNNNNNNNNNNNNNNNNNNNNNNNNNNNNNNNNNNNNNNNNNNNNNNNNNNNNNNNNNNNNNNNNNNNNNNNNNNNNNNNNNNNNNNNNNNNNNNNNNNNNNNNNNNNNNNNNNNNNNNNNNNNNNNNNNNNNNNNNNNNNNNNNNNNNNNNNNNNNNNNNNNNNNNNNNNNNNNNNNNNNNNNNNNNNNNNNNNNNNNNNNNNNNNNNNNNNNNNNNNNNNNNNNNNNNNNNNNNNNNNNNNNNNNNNNNNNNNNNNNNNNNNNNNNNNNNNNNNNNNNNNNNNNNNNNNNNNNNNNNNNNNNNNNNNNNNNNNNNNNNNNNNNNNNNNNNNNNNNNNNNNNNNNNNNNNNNNNNNNNNNNNNNNNNNNNNNNNNNNNNNNNNNNNNNNNNNNNNNNNNNNNNNNNNNNNNNNNNNNNNNNNNNNNNNNNNNNNNNNNNNNNNNNNNNNNNNNNNNNNNNNNNNNNNNNNNNNNNNNNNNNNNNNNNNNNNNNNNNNNNNNNNNNNNNNNNNNNNNNNNNNNNNNNNNNNNNNNNNNNNNNNNNNNNNNNNNNNNNNNNNNNNNNNNNNNNNNNNNNNNNNNNNNNNNNNNNNNNNNNNNNNNNNNNNNNNNNNNNNNNNNNNNNNNNNNNNNNNNNNNNNNNNNNNNNNNNNNNNNNNNNNNNNNNNNNNNNNNNNNNNNNNNNNNNNNNNNNNNNNNNNNNNNNNNNNNNNNNNNNNNNNNNNNNNNNNNNNNNNNNNNNNNNNNNNNNNNNNNNNNNNNNNNNNNNNNNNNNNNNNNNNNNNNNNNNNNNNNNNNNNNNNNNNNNNNNNNNNNNNNNNNNNNNNNNNNNNNNNNNNNNNNNNNNNNNNNNNNNNNNNNNNNNNNNNNNNNNNNNNNNNNNNNNNNNNNNNNNNNNNNNNNNNNNNNNNNNNNNNNNNNNNNNNNNNNNNNNNNNNNNNNNNNNNNNNNNNNNNNNNNNNNNNNNNNNNNNNNNNNNNNNNNNNNNNNNNNNNNNNNNNNNNNNNNNNNNNNNNNNNNNNNNNNNNNNNNNNNNNNNNNNNNNNNNNNNNNNNNNNNNNNNNNNNNNNNNNNNNNNNNNNNNNNNNNNNNNNNNNNNNNNNNNNNNNNNNNNNNNNNNNNNNNNNNNNNNNNNNNNNNNNNNNNNNNNNNNNNNNNNNNNNNNNNNNNNNNNNNNNNNNNNNNNNNNNNNNNNNNNNNNNNNNNNNNNNNNNNNNNNNNNNNNNNNNNNNNNNNNNNNNNNNNNNNNNNNNNNNNNNNNNNNNNNNNNNNNNNNNNNNNNNNNNNNNNNNNNNNNNNNNNNNNNNNNNNNNNNNNNNNNNNNNNNNNNNNNNNNNNNNNNNNNNNNNNNNNNNNNNNNNNNNNNNNNNNNNNNNNNNNNNNNNNNNNNNNNNNNNNNNNNNNNNNNNNNNNNNNNNNNNNNNNNNNNNNNNNNNNNNNNNNNNNNNNNNNNNNNNNNNNNNNNNNNNNNNNNNNNNNNNNNNNNNNNNNNNNNNNNNNNNNNNNNNNNNNNNNNNNNNNNNNNNNNNNNNNNNNNNNNNNNNNNNNNNNNNNAUAGCAUGGGAAAAUGAACCCAAUCUAAACAUACUCGGGUGGGAUUAGGACCUAUCAUUACCUAUUAGAGUGUAGGUUGCAUGGACGUAAUAAAAUUGACAAAGUAGAUCAACUGAUGAAUACAUACAUGGUGAAUUAUAUAUAUAUAUUUGUUGUGUGUCUAGUAGCUCUGAAAGUCAAGAUGAGUGAUCGUGCGUGGAUGUACACCGGUCACACUGGUCAGAACAAAUGGAGCACUGAAUGGUUCACAAAAACCAAGGGGUUUGUGCGAGCCGCAUUUGCAAAUGGCCAGAGGAAAACCUGGUGCCCCUGUUUACGGUGCGGCAAUUGGGAAAAGAGGACAGAGGCUGAAAUGGGCAAACACCUGCAGAAGAGUGGUUUUACGCCCGAUUAUACGGUGUGGACAUUUCAUGGUGAGUCUGCCCAACGUGACCGAGCUGAGGUGGAUCUUCGUCGCACCGACGAGCAUGGUACCGGUAUGGAAAACAUGGUGCAAGACUUUGAUGAUGCUCAGGAUUCGGACGAGGAGAUGGAGGAAUCUGCAAAGGCCUUCAAUGAAAUGUUGGAGUCUUCAAAACGUCCGCUCCAUGAGCACACUGAGCUUUGUCAGUUGGAUGCCAUCUCACAAGUAAUGGCUCUGAAGGCUCAGUUCAACUUGGGCAGAGAAUGCUACGAUGCAAUGAUGACAGUAUUUGGACGCUUUCUACCCAAAGGCCAUGUAAUGCCUGCAAACCUGUACCAGUCGGACAAAAUCCUCCGUGCACUGAAGAUGCCCUAUGAUAAGAUACAUGCCUGUGAGAAAGGAUGUGUCUUGUUUAGGCUUGACUAUGCGGACUUGAACUGUUGUCCCAUUUGCAAGUCUUCCAGGUAUGUUGUGGUAGACAACGGUAUGGGUGAGAAGACACAGACCAAAAUCCCCGUUAGUGUUCUUCGGUAUAUGCCAAUCGUACCAAGACUUCAACGUCUUUUCAUGGUCGAAGAGACGGCCAGACAGAUGACAUGGCACAAAACGGGCAAAGGAACCGAACUAGAUGCAGAUGGGAAUCUGAUGAUUGUACACACAUCUGAUGGUGUUGCGUGGAAAAAGUUUGAUGAAUUACAUGGUGACAAAGCGGCAGAUCCGAGGCAUCCUCGAGUCGGCAUCAACACGGAUGGGUUCAGUGUGUUUGGUAUGACGGCAGCCCAAUACAGUUGUUGGCCCGUAUUUGUCUUUCCACUCAAUCUCCCCCCCGGACAGAUUAUGCAAAGAAAGAACAUUUUCCUGACGUUGAUAAUUCCAGGGCCCAACUAUCCGGGGAAAAAUAUGAAUGUGUACAUGCAACCGCUUAAGGACGAAUUGCAAGAAGCCUGGGAUAAUGGGUUCAAGACAUACGAUGACUAUAGCAAACGGAACUUCAUAAUGCGUGUCUGGUACAUGUACUCGACGCAUGACUUGCCGGCGUAUGCGCUAUUCGUUGGCUGGUGUGUGCAUGGAAGGUUCCCGUGCCCCACAUGCAAGGGAGCUCUUGAGUUUCGUUGGCUUCAGGCCGGUCGCAAGUUUUCUUGCUUCGACAUGCAUAGAGAGUUCCUGAAUCCUCGCCAUAAGUUCAGGAAAGACAAGAAGAACUUCAUCAGAGGUAGAGUUGUCAAAAACUCUGCACCACAUGCAUUGACAGGCCAACAGACCCUGGAUCAGUUAAACGCUCUCGAGCCAGAUCCCGAGCGUCCAGGGUACUUCAAGGGGUAUAAUUCUAAGCACGCCUAGACUCACAAAACAUGCUUAUGGGAUCUGCCUUACUUCAAAGACCUCCUUUGCCCACACAACAUCGACGUGAUGCACACUGAGAAGAAUAUCGCCGAGGCACUUUUUGGUACAUUGUUCGGCAUAGAUGGGAAGUCAAAGGAUAAUACUAAGGCUAGAGUCGAUCUGGAGGCGCUAUGUGAUAGGCCGUUACAAAACAUGAAAGAACCGAAAGGAAAGCAGAACUGGACGAAGCCAAAGGCAUGGUUCAAUCUUGGAAGGCCGGCUAUGAGGGAAAUUAUCUUGUGGGUGAAAAUGCAGUUGAUGUUCCCCGAUGGGUAUGCAGCGAAUCUACAGAGGGGAGCCAGUCUUGAUAAAUUGAAGAUAUUUGGUCUCAAGAGUCAUGAUUGGCACAUAUGGAUUGAGCGGGUAAUGCCGGUGAUGUUGCGUGGCUUCAUCCCUGAGGAUGAAUGGCUAGUACUGGCAGAACUCAGCUAUUUCUUCCGUGUUCUUUGUGCGAAAGAACUAUCGCCUAGCGUGCUAGAAGAAAUGGAAGAGUUGGCGCCGGAGUUGAUCUGCAAGUUAGAGAAGAUCUUUCCACCGGGCUUCUUUAAUCCAAUGCAAUAUUUGAUUUUGCAUCUCCCGACCGAGGCAAGAUUGGGGGGGUCCGUGCAAAAUCGUUGGUGCUACCCAACUGAGAGGAUGCAGAAGACGCUUCGACAAAAAUGUAAAAAUAAACGUAGAAUUGAAGCAUCGAUGGCUGAGGCAUUCAUCACUGAGGAGGCGGCAAACUUCGUGACAGCACACUACGAAGCCAAAAAUCGCCAUUUGCAUAAUCCGAAGCCUCGGUACAAUGCUGACGACCCUAAAAAGGGUGGAUCCAACCUCAGCCUAUUCAAAGGGAAUCUCGCACCAGCCAGUGUUUCAAAUCCAGUAUCUUUGGAUAACAAACAAUGGCGGACCAUUUCGUUGUAUAUCUUCAACAACCUGAUAGAAGUGCGGCCGUACAUCGAGUAAGUUCUCGGUACAUAGUUUCGCAACUUCUAUUUCCUUUGAACUGCUCUUAUUCCUGGAUAUUUCAUACAGUCGAUACGUCGCCUUAUUCUCGUAUGGAGCGGUGAUCCAAAAGGAUUCUGUCGAAGAGUAUGAGCUUCUCGCAAAGCAAGGUGGCGGCUAUCCCGGUUUCAUCUCUUGGUUCAAACAAACGGUAAUUUCUAUUAGACUUGUAGGCUAAUUUGUAGGCGGCUAUCCCGGUUUCAUUCGCUAAUUUGUGUGUAAUGCAACAAUCCUUUCAUAUUAAACUUGUAGGCUAAUUCAGAGUCUAUGGACGCCGAAUUGAGACAAGUCGCUAAUGGUUUUGACUAUAAGGUCCGUUCAUUUGACAAAUACGACAUCAACGGGUAUCGCUUUCGUACCUAUGGCAAAGAGCUAUCUAUGGCCGGCCGAAAGUCUACAAAUUGUUGUGUAUCUGCUAUCGGCGAAGGAGGUACCGAGUAUUAUGGGAGAGUUGAAGCAAUUUAUGAACUUCUAUUCUAUGGUGAAAACCCACCGAAUGUCGUAGUCUUCAAAUGUUAUUGGUUUCAGCCGAAGGAGACUAGAAGAACUCAUGAACAUAUAGGGCUAGUUGAAAUCAACCAAAGCACCCAUUUAGAUGUUCCUGAUGUCUAUAUUACGGCUCAACAGGCGACCCAAGUAUUCUAUCUACCGUGGGCCUGCCAAACUAAUCCAAAUCUGAAAGGUUGGGAAGUCGUUUAUGAAGUGCCGCCACGUGCUAGACUAUCUCCCCCAAAGGAAGAGGAUUAUGAACCUCACAUUAACCCAGACACAUAUGAAGGAGAAUUCUUCCAAGAGACACGUCUUUCCAAAAAGCGUUUCAAGAACCGCUAUACUUCACCCCAAAACAUUGAAGUAGACACUGACAGUGAAUCCGACAUCACCCCAGAGGAGGAACAAGAAGAGCCGGAACAAGAAGAGGUUACUGCUGCGGAUGACCUGUCAUUGCUUGACCGAUUACGUCAAGGUGGCCUUGCAUAUGUUGAUGCCACUGAACCCUAUGAGCCCGUCAUUGAUUAUAGUGAUGAUGAUGAUUAUGCAUUUAUUGAUGAUACUGAUCGAGAUUAUUAGUAGUGUCAGGUAUUAAAUUUUUUAAUGUUGUACUUGAUGAUGAUACACUUAAGUGAUACACAUAUUAUUAUUCAUGUCGGUUUUUUUUUAUGUUGUACUAAUUUCGUUUACUGUUUGUCAUGGCAGGUGUUGAAAGAUGGUGGGCGCUGGUCGGGAGCGCGCCAAGGCCCCUUCUUCCUCGGCGCGUGGUCUGAGGUCCUCGAUUCCAGACGUACCUCUUCGCCGAGCGUUGCUGGACAGUAUGUCCACACCGCCGGGCCCUUCUUCGUCCACCGCGGUGCCCAGCAGGGGACGAGGUAGGAAGAGAGGAGGUGGGGCACGUGGUCGCGGGAGAGGAGGUAGGGUGACUGCUAGGGAGCCUUCCUCGCCGCCACCCCCAGCUGUUUCACCCGAGCACGUGACUGCUAGGGUGGACUCGUCCGAGGAGGAGGCUACACGGACUCCGGUCCACGAGCCUCCGGUCCACGGGUCUUGGGCCCACGAGCCUCGGGUCGACUGGCCUUCGGCCCACGAGAGUUCGGCCCACGAGACCCCGGAGGAGCACACGUCCGGAUGGGGUACCUGGCCGGAUCAGCCCGAGGAGCCGAGUGGCCAUGCUGAUGAUGGCGGGGAGCCGACUGAUCUUGAGGAGGAGGGUGGCACCGUCUACCAGCGUGGUGCUACACGGCUCCCGUCCGUGCCGGCAACUCGCGAGCAGAGGUGGUUGAUCUUCCCUGAUGGGGAGAGGUACGUAAGUGCAUUUAAUAUUUUUGUACCUUCUGCAUUCACGUUUCUUCAAAUAACUAAUGCGUUGGCCUUGUCAUGCUGCAGGGGUUGGGACCACCAUCAUAGUGUCCGCCGGCCCAACUCCGUCCUUGGAGUUCUUUGCCGGCAAAACUUCCCGGGGUUUGUCACGUUGCCUGGUGAGGGUCGGCUUCCAGAGCUUGGGUUGAGCUGGGAGCACUACGUGGCUGCCCCGGCCCCGCCGGAUGUCAUUAUCGACGGUGUCGUGUGCGACACGAGGGCAGACAUGGUGAUCAGGACGUUCUGGGUAAUUUCUCCUUUACACAUUUCAAAAUCUUCAACUAGCUAGUUAUUAAUUGUACUAAUCAAUAUUGUCUCAUUUGAUUGCAGACAUUCUACAGGUGUGAGGAGGGAUACGAGGAGGACUGCGCAAAUGUUAUCCAGAACGUCUGCAAGCGCCUACUCCAGAACUUACGGCACGAGGCUCGGGUGCAGGCUGUUCGAGACUACUACGCCUUGCAUGGUAUCAAGAAGACCAAGCCGGCGUGCCGCGAUAAGUUCCUGAGUAAGGAGCAGUACAUGAAGGUAAUUCUUAAGGCCUUCUACUUAAGUUCCUUCAUUUAGUAAUUCUUAGCCGUAGCGCUCAAGUUUCUAUUUGCUAACUUAGGCGCCUCCGAGAUGGUGUGCGGAUCGGAUGGAUUGUUGGGAGGUGUUGGUCGAUGAGUGGUGCUCACAAGAAUGGCUAGCCCUCCACAACCAGGCCAAGGACAAACGUGCCCAAAUGGAAGGUGUGCCACACCAUCAAGGCAGCUCCAACUUAUAUCAGUUCGGGCGCAACUGGGUAUGUGGUUUGCUUCAUGAUUCAUGCAAUUCAUUCAUCAUGCUAGCUUGAGCCCUUUAGUUACUAAUUUUCAUUGUUUCUCUCUUUCAGGCACGCCACAAUAAGGCGGAUAAGGUGCCAGAGGUGUACGACCUGUAUGCCAUGGCCCACACUGGCUCUUACAAGAAAGUCAAGUCUUUCUCUCAGUCUGACCUCGAUGAUGCAAACAACUUCACCAACAUCUCCUCCCACAACAAGCUCGUGAGAUAUAGAGAUGAGGGGAAGGCGAGGAAAGGGGAGGACUUUAACCCGAGCCAGGGUCCCAUUGAUCCAGAGCUGGUGAUGAUAUCUGGUGGCGGGAGGUCCCAUGGCUCCAUAGCCAUUGGAGAUGGACUUAUCCGUUGUCCUAGCACUCUCCCAGAGAUCAAGGCGCGCCAGUCGAGCUCCGCUCCUGAGAUAAGGCCUCGUGAACGGCCAGUGCAACUCGCCAUCAAGGUUAGUGAUACGUACUCAGCUAUCUUUCUCCAUUACAUUGUGUGCGCUUCCAUCAAUGAUUACAAAUGGUCAUGUGAGUGGUGUUGCAGGCUGCUAUACAGAGUGAGAGAGAUAGAACGGAGAAACUUCUGGCGGAGGCGGCGGAGAGGCAGCGGGAGUUGGAGGAGAGGACGACACAGAUGAUGGAGGAGGAGAGGGCACGGAAUGACAUGCAGGCAAGGGCCAUGUACGAGCUCCUUGUGGUAAGUUUCUUCUGCAGAUUAGCCAAAACAUUCAUGUAGUGUUUGUCUCAUUACUAACUAGUAUGACUGAGUCGUCAAAACCAAAUGUGCAGUCUGUGUGCGAGAAGACCGGUCAGACCGCUCCGCCGAUGCCAGUGAUUGCUCCUGGGACCACGGUGAGUUUAAUUUGAAUGGACAUUACUUGCUAGUCUUAACAUUUGAGUGUCAUAAUGCUAACGAGACAUUGGAAAUGAUCUUUGGUGCAGCUUAACUCCAGAAACGCAUCGCAUGAUCCUUCUCCAGCUACCGGCACUAGCCAGCCCGCUCCUACACCUCCCUGAUCACGGUAAGUUUCUCUAGUGUUUUGCUUAACAAAUGCAUAAAGACCUAUACUUAGCUUUAUUUCCUCCAAUAUGCUUACCAUAAUGACCUAGAGUUAGCUUCUUUUCCUCCAAAAUGACUUAAUAAGCUUACUGACCUCAUAAACCAUCCAUUUUACCUAAGUUAGCUCUAAAACGAUAUGUACUUAGCUUACUUAUGUCAAAAAUUGCAUAAUUAGCUCAUAAACGACCCAUUUCACCUAGGUUAACUCAUAAACGACCCAUUUCACCUAGGUUAGCUCAUAAACGACCCAUUUCACCUAGGUUAGCUCAUAAACGACCCAUUUCACCUAGGUUAGCUCAUAAAUGACCCAUUUCACCUAAGUUAGCUCAAAAAGAUCCAUUUCAACUAAAUUAGCUCAUAAAUGAUCCAUUUCACCUAAGUUAGCUCAAAAACGAUCCAUUUCAACUAAAUUAGCUCAAAAAUGAUCCAUUUCAACAAAGUUAGCUCAAAAACGAUCCAUUUCAACUAAGUUAGCUCAAAAACGAUCCAUUUGACCUAAGUGAGCUAAAAAAGAUCCAUUUCACCUUAGUUACCUCAAAAACGAUCCAUUUCAACUAAGUUAGCUAAAAAACGAUCCAUUUCAACUAGGUUAGCUCCAAAAUGACCCAUUUCACCUUACUUAGCUCAAAAACGAUGCCCUUCACCUUAGUUAGCUCAUAAACGACCCAUUUCAACUAAGUUAGCUCAUAAAUGAUCCAUUUCAACUAAGUUAGCUCAUAAACAACCCAUUUCAACUUAGUUAGCUCAUAUAUGAUCCAUUUCACCUAAGUUAGCUCAUAAAUGACAUAUACUUCUUGUUCUAGUCUUCUUCUUGUUCUAGUCACCUAUUUCUAACUUUCUUAUUUACCAUUUUGCAGAUUUCAUUCACUUGAUGGAAGCUAGCUUGCUAUGAUGGAGUGCCUUUGAUGAAACUUUGCAUUGUAUCUAGCUUGCUAUCUUCAUGACACUUUGCAUUGUAAUAUAUAUAUGGAUGGAACAAUGUGUAUGGAUGGAACUUCCUUAUGUAUGAACAAUGUGUAUGGAUGAAACUGAUGUGAUAUGUGAUAUGUGCUGGAUAUGUGAUAUGUGAUAUGUGAUGGAUAUGUGAUAUGUGAUAUGUGCUAGAUAUGUGUUGGAUAUGUGCUGGAUAUGAAACUUAUAUAUGUGAUAUGUGCUGCAAAUUGUGGGAUUUAAUAAAAAACAGAAAAAACAGACAAUAUCCAGGCUCUUUGCCGUCUGCCACCGACGGCAAAGAGCCUUUGCCGUCUGCCGCGGACGGCAAAGAAGCCACGUGGCAGCCAACUGUGCUUCCUGGGAGCUGACCCAUUUGGUCAGUUUGCCUACAGUGGCAGACGGCAAAGACUUUGCCGUCCGUGGCAGACGGCAAAGAACCUGCACUUUGCCAUCAGUGGCAGACGGCAAAGAACCUGCCAUCUAGUGACGUGUACAUGACAUCAUAAGGUGGACGGCAAAGAACAAAGGCUCUUUGCCGUCUGCGGCGGACGGCAAAGGUCUGCCGUUAGCCACUUAACGGACUGACAGCGCAAUUAUUGCCGUCCGCCCUCUUUGCCGUCCGCCGCGGACGGCAAAGAGCCUUUGCCGUCCGCCGCCAGGAAGCAGACGGCAAAGCAGCUGUUUACCGUAGCCUUCUUUGCCGGAGCCUUUUGCCGUCCGCGGCUGAUGGCAAAGGUCUUUGCCGUCCGCCUUUCGAGCCUUUGCCGUCCGCCAUGGCAGACGGCAAAGUAGCUGUUUCCUGUAGUGAUUGGAGUUGCAUGCUACGGAUGUCGUCGAUGAUCACAAGAUCAAGAUGGAUGCAAUGCGCUUGAAGAUUAGAAAGAUUAGAAAAUAUGCCAUUCAUACCGAGGCUUGGUAUCACUAUGCCGUUGGAUCAAUUGUUACCUUGGUUGCGAUUAUGAUCGCAUUUGUUUUCGCAUUGAAAUGUUUUACAUAGUUUCAAUGUAUGGUUUAAUUAAUUAGAUGCUCUGGAGAGCUAUAUAUAUGUUGUUAGAUGAGAACUAUGUAUGUACUUUGGUUCUAAUGUGAUGAUGAACUUCUAUUAAUUUGGUCACUUAAUUAUCUAUUCAUGAUGUUCUGUAAUGGUUUUUGACACACUUAAUUAUAUAUAAUGCACGCAGAUGAACCGGCAAUGGAUGUACGGUGACAGACACACCUCCGAGUACAUUAAGGGCGUGCAUGAUUUUCUCGAAGUGGCUGAGGCAAACAAGCAGAAUGGUUUUAUGUGUUGUCCAUGCCCUAUAUGUGGGAAUACGAAGUCUUACUCUGACCGGAAAAUCCUUCAAGCCCACCUGCUUUACAAGGGUUUCAUGCCACACUAUAAUGUUUGGACGAGGCAUGGAGAAAUGGGGGUUAUGAUGGAAGACGGCGAAGAAGAAGAGGACGAUGACAACUAUGUGCCCCCUGAAUACGGUGAUGUUGCAACGGGGGAAGCUGCUGAAGAUCAAGAGGAACCAGACGAUGUGCCCAAUGAUGCUGCAAGGGGGGAAGCUGCUGAAGAUCAAGAGGAACCAGUGCCCGAUGAUGAUGAUCUCCGCCGGGUCAUAGUCGAUGCAAGGACGCAAUGCGAAAGUCAAAAGGAGAAGUUGAAGUUCGAUCGCAUGUUAGAGGAUCACAAAAAAGGGUUGUACCCCAAUUGCGAAGAUGGCAACACAAAGCUCGGUACCGUACUGGAAUUGCUGCAGUGGAAGGCAGAGAAUGCUGUGCCUGACAAAGGAUUUGAGAAGCUAUUGAAAAUAUUGAAGAAGAAGCUUCCAAAGGAUAACGAAUUGCCCGACAGUACAUACGCAGCAAAGAAGGUCGUAUGCCCUCUAGGAUUGGAGGUGCAAAAGAUACAUGCAUGCCCUAAUGACUGCAUCCUCUACCGCAGUGCGUACAAGGAUCUGAACGCAUGCCCGGUAUGCGGUGCAUUGCGGUAUAAGAUCAGACGAGAUGACCCUGGUGAUGUUGACAGCGAGCCCCCCAGGAAGAGGGUUCCUGCGAAGGUGAUGUGGUAUGCUCCUAUAAUACCACGGUUGAAACGUCUGUUCAGAAACGAAGAGCAUGCCAAGUUGAUGCGAUGGCACAGUGAGGACCGUAAGAAAGACGGGAAGUUGAGAGCACCCGCUGACGGGUCGCAGUGGAGAAAAAUCGAGAGAAAGUACUGGGAUGAGUUUGCAGCUGACCCAAGGAACGUAUGGUUUGGUUUAAGCACGGAUGGCAUUAAUCCUUUCGGGGAGUAGAGCAGCAAUCACAGCACCUGGCCCGUGACUCUAUGUACAUAUAACCUUCCUCCUUGGAUGUGCAUGAAGCGGAAGUUCAUUAUGAUGCCAGUUCUCAUCCAAGGCCCUAAGCAACCCGGCAACGACAUUGAUGUGUACCUAAGGCCAUUAGUUGAAGAACUUUUACAGCUGUGGAAUGGAAACGGUGUACGUACGUGGGAUGAGCACAAACAGGAGGAAUUUAACCUGCACGCGUUGCUGUUUGUAACCAUCAACGAUUGGCCCGCUCUCAGUAACCUUUCAGGACAGACAAACAAGGGAUACCACGCAUGCAUGCACUGUUUAGAUGACACUGAAAGUAUAUACCUGGACAAAAGCAGGAAGAAUGUGUACCUGGGCCAUCGUCGAUUUCUUCCGACCAACCAUCAAUGUCGAAAGAAAGGCAAGCAUUUCAAAGGCGAGGCAGAUCACCGGAAGAAGCCCACCAUGCGUACCGGUGAUCACGUACUUGCUAUUGUCAAUGAUUUACACGUAAUCUUUGGAAAGGGUCCCGGCGGACUAGCUGUUCCGAAUGACGCUGAGGGACACACACCCAUGUGGAAGAAGAAAUCUAUAUUUUGGGACCUACCCUACUGGAAAGAGCUAGAGGUCCGCUCUUCAAUCGACGUGAUGCACGUGAUGAAGAACCUUUGCGUGAACCUGCUAGGCUUCUUGGGCGUGUAUGGGAAGACAAAAGAUACACCUGAGGCACGGGAGGGCCUGCAACGUUUGCACGAAAAAGACGGCAUGCCUCCGAAGCAGUAUGAAGGUCCUGCCAGCUACGCUCUUACGAAAGAAGAGAAAGAAAUCUUCUUUGAAUGACUGCUCAGUAUGAAGGUCCCGACUGGCUUCUCGUCGAAUAUAAAGGGAAUAAUAAAUAUGCCAGAGAAAAAGUUCCAGAACCUGAAGUCUCAUGACUGCUACGUGAUUAUGACGCAACUGCUUCCGGUUGCAUUGAGGGGGCUUCUACCGGAAAACGUCCGAUUAGCCAUUGUGAAGCUAUGUGCAUUCCUCAAUGCAAUCUCUCAGAAGGUGAUCGAUCCAGAAAUCAUACCAAGGCUAAGGAGUGAUGUGGCGCAACGUCUUGUCAGUUUCGAGCUGGUGUUCCCACCAUCCUUCUUCAAUAUCAUGACGCACGUCCUAGUUCAUCUAGUCGACGAGAUUGUCAUUCUGGGGCCCGUAUUUCUACACAAUAUGUUCCCCUUUGAGACGUUCAUGGGAGUCCUAAAGAAAUAUGUCCGUAACCGCGCUAGGCCAGAAGGAAGCAUCUCCAUGGGCCAUCAAACAGAGGAUGUCAUUGGGUUUUGUGUUGACUUCAUUCCUGGCCUUAAGAAGAUAGGUCUCCCUAAAUCGCGGUAUGAGGGGAGACUGACUGGAAAAGGCACGCUUGGAGGGGGGGGGCUCAAUAAUAUGCAGGGACGGAUAUUCUUGGUCUGAAGCACACUACACAGUUCUAUAGAACUCUACCUUGGUGACCCCGUAUGUCGAUGAACACAAGAACAGUCUGCGCUCCAAACACCCGGAGCAGUGUGACGACUGGAUUACAUGUGAACACAUCAGGACUUUCAGUAGUUGGUUGGAAACACGUCUCAGAGGUGACACCACUGUUUGUGAUGAGUUGUACUCGUUGUCCAGGGGACCAUCUUCGAUUGUAUUGACUUACAAAGGAUACGAGAUAAAUGGGAAUACAUUUUACACGAUCGCCCAAGAUCAAAAGAGCACCAACCAAAAUAGCGGUGUCCGCUUUGAUGCAGCAACCGAGAGGGGAAAGGACACAUAUUAUGGUUACAUAAUGGACAUAUGGGAACUUGACUACGGACAUGAUUUUAAGGUCCCUUUGUUUAAGUGCAAAUGGGUCAAUCUGUCAGGAGGCGGGGUACAGGUAGACCCAUAGUACGGAAUGACAACAGUGGAUCUGAACAAUCUUGGGUACACUGACGAACCAUUCGUCCUAGCCAAUGAUGUGGCACAGGUUAUCUAUGUGAAGGACAUGUCUACCAGACCGAGGAAAAGAAAAGAUAAGGAAGCGAAUACAUCAUACGAUGAGCCAAAGCGGCACAUAGUUCUUUCAGGAAAAAGGGACAUUGUGGGAGUGGAGGGCAAGACAGACAUGUCUGAAGAUUAUGAAAAGUUUCAUGAAAUUCCUCCCUUGAAAGUCAAGGCUGACCCAAGCAUCCUGAUAAACGAUGAAGAUUAUCCAUGGUUACGGCGCAAUAAGCAAAUGACACAAGCGAAGAAAAAGUGAAGACUUUCUCCCGCAACUAUUAUGAUGAUACCAUGCCAACUUUGUAAUAGACGAUUAUGAUACCAUUGCCCGUUUUGUACAAGAAGUGCAUCUAGUUUUUGACGUAACCCUCUCAACUUUCUUGCACAUGCUAUGUGGAUGAAAUGAUGAUACCAUGCCAACUUUCAACCUUUUCAGAGUUCAUUUGAAAUGCUUUAUAAGCCCUGAGUGCAGAGAGGUUAGGCCCGUAAGCCUGCUUUAGAGAGGAGCUCGACAGCUCAGGCGCACCGCACCUUAUAAACAGGUGCGGCUCUCUCUUAGCUAGCGAAGUGGGACUAAACUCACCACCACGCCGCUGUGCAAGGCCAUUGGUCCCGGUUCGUGGCACGAACCGGGACCAAUUCCACCCUUUGGUCCCUGUUGGUGCCACGAACCGGUACUAAUGAGGCUGUGGCCCCACGAGCACCUUUAGUACCUGUUCGUGGCACGAACCGGUACUAGAGUUUCUUACUAGCUAAGCAGUUUUUUAGUCCCACCUCGCUAGCUGAGAGGCACUAGGAGCGGUUUAUAAGCCCUGAUUGCAGAGACGAUGAAGAAGAGGCGCAAUGCUCACGUUGCUUAGCUUCAAGCCUUGAGGAAUAAGGUAGACUGCAUCGAGCUAUGUGCAGUGCAGUCUACACUAUUCCGAAAGGCUUGAAGCAAAUCAACGCGCAUUGUGCCUCUUUUUUAUUUUUAAUCAUUAAAAGCAAAAAGAAUUUUCAUAAAGAACUUUUUUUGAUAUAAACUUUAAUAGCAGAAAGAAUUAUCAUAAAGUAAAAUAAAUAAGUAAUUAGAAACAAAAUAAAAUAAAAUAAAUAAGUUUUUUGUUGUAAGUAGAAACAAAACAAAAUAAAUAUAGCAAAAAAGAAAACAAAAAAACUAAACACAGCAAAAAGAAUUUUCAUAAAGAACUAAUGGCACUAAUAGAAAGUUUAUAUGUUUUCUAAAACUAAUGGCACUAACAGACAGUUUAUAAUUUUGCUGACCUAAAAGCAAAAAGAAUUAAAAAAUAAAGCAAAAAACAAAAGAAAAUAAAUAAUGCAAAAAACAGAACCAAAAAACUGGAUUUUUUUUUAAAAAACUGCCACCUAUUGGGCCACCACGGCCUGAAUACGACUAGAAACCCAACCUGGGCCAGGAUUCAGGCCCGCAGAAGGCCCAAUAGGCCAACAGACAGCACAGUGUGACAUUAGGCCCGUAAGCCUGCAUUUGAGAGGAGCUCGAGAGGGCAGCCGCAGUGGGGAUUAUAAACCACUACGAGCCCCUCUCAACUAGCGAGGUGGGACUAAACUUUUGGCCGCGGGCAGCGCAAGGCCUUUGGUCCCGGUUGGUGCCACCAACCGGGACCAAUGCCCCCCUUUAGUCUCGGUUGGUGNNNNNNNNNNNNNNNNNNNNNNNNNNNNNNNNNNNNNNNNNNNNNNNNNNNNNNNNNNNNNNNNNNNNNNNNNNNNNNNNNNNNNNNNNNNNNNNNNNNNNNNNNNNNNNNNNNNNNNNNNNNNNNNNNNNNNNNNNNNNNNNNNNNNNNNNNNNNNNNNNNNNNNNNNNNNNNNNNNNNNNNNNNNNNNNNNNNNNNNNNNNNNNNNNNNNNNNNNNNNNNNNNNNNNNNNNNNNNNNNNNNNNNNNNNNNNNNNNNNNNNNNNNNNNNNNNNNNNNNNNNNNNNNNNNNNNNNNNNNNNNNNNNNNNNNNNNNNNNNNNNNNNNNNNNNNNNNNNNNNNNNNNNNNNNNNNNNNNNNNNNNNNNNNNNNNNNNNNNNNNNNNNNNNNNNNNNNNNNNNNNNNNNNNNNNNNNNNNNNNNNNNNNNNNNNNNNNNNNNNNNNNNNNNNNNNNNNNNNNNNNNNNNNNNNNNNNNNNNNNNNNNNNNNNNNNNNNNNNNNNNNNNNNNNNNNNNNNNNNNNNNNNNNNNNNNNNNNNNNNNNNNNNNNNNNNNNNNNNNNNNNNNNNNNNNNNNNNNNNNNNNNNNNNNNNNNNNNNNNNNNNNNNNNNNNNNNNNNNNNNNNNNNNNNNNNNNNNNNNNNNNNNNNNNNNNNNNNNNNNNNNNNNNNNNNNNNNNNNNNNNNNNNNNNNNNNNNNNNNNNNNNNNNNNNNNNNNNNNNNNNNNNNNNNNNNNNNNNNNNNNNNNNNNNNNNNNNNNNNNNNNNNNNNNNNNNNNNNNNNNNNNNNNNNNNNNNNNNNNNNNNNNNNNNNNNNNNNNNNNNNNNNNNNNNNNNNNNNNNNNNNNNNNNNNNNNNNNNNNNNNNNNNNNNNNNNNNNNNNNNNNNNNNNNNNNNNNNNNNNNNNNNNNNNNNNNNNNNNNNNNNNNNNNNNNNNNNNNNNNNNNNNNNNNNNNNNNNNNNNNNNNNNNNNNNNNNNNNNNNNNNNNNNNNNNNNNNNNNNNNNNNNNNNNNNNNNNNNNNNNNNNNNNNNNNNNNNNNNNNNNNNNNNNNNNNNNNNNNNNNNNNNNNNNNNNNNNNNNNNNNNNNNNNNNNNNNNNNNNNNNNNNNNNNNNNNNNNNNNNNNNNNNNNNNNNNNNNNNNNGAUAACUUCAACACGAGGGGGGGUCGAUAUACCCCCUCCUCGAUAACAUUAUUUUCCCGUGUAUGUAUGUCGUCGUUGUCGAUAUAAAACCCCCUCCCGAUAACUUCAACACGUGGGGGGGUCGAUAUAUACCCCCUCCCCGAUAACAUUAUUUUCCCGUGUAUGUAUGUCGUCGUUGUCGAUAUAUAUAACUCCCUCCCAGAUAACUUCGACAUGAUGGACGGUCGAUAUGUAUACCCCCUCUCGACCGUGAUAACUUAUACCACGGGAGCACCCCCGGCCCUCUCGCUCGACCAAAACUCUCGAGGACACCCAAACCCUAGAAAAAAAACGAUGUCGGUCUCCUACCCCCUCCCGCCGCGCCCCUACCCUUGAAGCGUUGCCUAGGCCACCCCAAACCCGGAAUAAGCUAGGUCUACGUUUGCACUAAUAUAUCCACCUGCUGUCGUGUUUGUGUAAUAAUUGCCAUGUUGUAAUAUUUGCAGAAACAAUGGAGCACGGACGAGAUGAGCAAGCAGAAGAUGUGUUGGGGGACAUAAUCUUAGCCGGAGGUUAUAUCUUGUCGUAUCUUAACGACAAUGAUGGUCUAGAAGAACAGGGUGAAGAAGCAGGCUGUGGUGAUCGAAGAGUGGAGGAGGAAAGACAUGAUUAUGAUGCCUCCGGUGACCCAAUGCUGGUGCAAGAAGGAGCCCGUGGUGACGGCUCCGGUGACCGAACAGAGUCCGGCCAGGUAAAUAUAUUAGUUAAGCCUGUGCUGACUAGCUAAUUGAUGCAUUCAUUGUUUUGGUAUGUACACAUAUUAAUUAACACUCGUCUUUCUUCUUUUUUCUAGCCCUCCGGAUCAAGCACAACUGCGGUAAAGAGACGAGGCCCGAAGAGAAAGUUGCGCUCGGAUGAAAGGUUUGAGAUCACAGCAAUCGCGCGCGACGACCAACCGAUUGAACCCAUCCGGACAAAGGAUGCUUUUGCUGCUCAGUGUGGGGUUCCAGUUAGGGACAAGAUCCCGAUCAGCAUCCACCAAUGGUAUAAGCCUAAGAAGGAAGACCCUGAGGUGUCUUAUGUCAAUGAUAUGCAGAAAGAUGAUCUUUGGACUGAGCUGAAGGCAAAUUUCACCCUACCGCCAGAGGAGGAUCCGGAGAAGCCAGUUAUAGAGCAAUUAAUCAAGUCUCAUGCUCUUAAGAAGAUGGCAGACCUAUUCAGGAGGUGGAAGAAUGAGCUGAAAAAUUUUGUCGACAAAGAAGAGACACCAGAAUUCGUCAGCCGGUAUGAGAAGAUCAGAGAUCACUGGCCCGCAUUUGUGGCCCACAAGACAUCGGAAAAGAGUAAGAAGAUGUCAGCGACAAACAAGAAGAAUGCUGCGAAGAAGAAGCUUCACCAUCGCACGGGGUCAGGUGGCUACCUCAAAGCCCGGCCUAAGUGGGCCAAGUCUGAGAGGGAUCUGCUUGAUAAAGGGAUCGAACCAGAGACAAUGAACUGGCCAGACCGUUGGCGGACUUGGUUCUUCGGGGCUGGCGGAACCUUGGACCCUGUAUCAGGGACGUGUCGUUGGACGGACGAGCAACUUGCAAUACCCGUCAAGAAGCUUAAGCACUAUCGAUGCAGCGCAGCAAGGGACGUUCGUUCCAGACAGAGAGAACGACGAGCUCACAAUGGCCCUCGGGAAUCCUGAGCACCCUGGACGGACACGAGGCAUGCCAGGUUCCGUUCCGUGGAAGGCUGGUUUUUCGGACGCGGGCGGUUACAAAACCCAGGAGAGGAGGAAAAAAGUGGAGCAGAUCCAAAUUCAGCGUCUGCACGAAAGGGUUCAAGUGCUAGAGGAACGAGACGGCAAUAGAGAUGCCGAAACUGCCCCCGAAGCUACACCGCCAUCUCAGCGUAGAAGCAGCGUGGCUUCCACCGAGCUGCCUCAGCUGGAGCAUGCGGCUACUCCUAGCUACCCCGUGGAUGCUAUCAUGGAGUCUCAACAUUGCAACCUUAUGGCGGAAUGGCAGAACUUGAAAGUCAAGGCGGCUGUUGGCUCUGUUUUACCUACUGAACCCGGCGCAACCUACCACUGCCGGCCGAUUCCAGAAGGAUAUGCUAGGGUGAUGGUGGAUGAAAUAACGGAGGGAUUUGAGGACCUCCAGCUUGACCACCCUACCGGUGAAGGGGAGACUCGGCUGGGUUUAGCUCUGAAGACUCCAUGCCUAUGGCGGAAGGAGCUCAUCAAGCUUCCGAACUGGACGGCUCCGGCGAGUAAGGGCACUCCGCCUCCUCCUCCGCCUCCUCCUCUGGCGAGUGAUCAGGGCACUCAGCCUCCUUCUCCGGCGCGUGGCGGCACUCCGCCUCCUUCUCCGCCAGCGCCGGCGCGCCAGAGCAGCCAGCCUCCUCCUUCUCCGCCUCGUCAGCAAGGGCGGAAGAGACCCGCCGCCGCUGCGGCUGCUCCGGCGCGUCGUAGUCCUUCUCCUCCGCCUCGUAAGCAAGGAAAGAAGACAGCCGCAGCUGCUCCGUCUGCUCUGCCGGCGUCUAGCAGUACAGCUGCCAGAGGCGGGAGGCAAUACAGAUUCGGUCCUUCUCUGAAGACUCCAGAGAAGUUACCAUAUGAGAGGACCGAGGAGGACAACGCGAAGAUCUGGCGAGCCGAAGUGAAGAACUUCUUUGAAGGGGUCAAAGCAAAGAAACAUCCACCUCCGGAGGAGAAGGUAGAUCCGGUGAAAGCAAAGCGCACUCUGGCUGCCCUGACAAAACCACCAAAGUCUCCGCCAAGAGGCAACUAUGAGCGCGUUCUUGGAAAGGCAUAUGCCGAAGCGGAGCGGUCGGGAAGUACUAUCAGUGAUAAAAGGAUGAAAGAAUGACGAGCUGGGAAAAAAUUGCCCAGCUCGGCGAACAAGCGAACCAAUCGUGCCCCCCGCUCAAGGUGUCAAAAAACAUCGUCGCUAAUGAUCCGGGUAUGGUGCCCGGUUAUAGCAAUCUUGGAGAUUACCUGCCCGACGAUGUACAUUAUGAAAUCAUGGAGGUGGACGAACACAAAUACCAUUACGGGAAGCCUCUCGUCAAAGAUGUCAGAUCUCUAAGCACGAUGAUGCGAAGACUACAUGAUUGGUACAUGAAAACCUGCAGAGAGUCUGAUGGGAUGAGUACUUUGACGCUGAGAGUUAAACCGGAGCAUGACCUCGUUGGAAUUGAACUGCUGAAUGUUCCAUUUGAGGAUUUCUUCCAGUUUUACAAUCUAAAGUCCCUCGAUAAAACAACGAUCACUUGCUACUGUCUGUAAGUAGUACUACUUCUGUCAUUAAGUCUCUCUAUAUAGGUCAGCUCUUUCAUUGCAUGUAUUUAUACUUAUCCUCACUAUAUUAUGCAGAUUGAAGAUCGCCGAAUUGAAGAAAAGACAAAUCGGUGAUAUUGGGUUCAUUAACACAAAUCUCAUAGAUGCAUAUACGGUUGAAAAACAUCCCAAAGAAGCCGAGGCCAACUUGCUACAAUCGUUGGUAUUAAAUCAAAACAAAGAUAUAAUACUCUUUCCUUACAACUUCAAGUGAGUGUUACUGUCUUCUGCAUAUUCGGUUUCCCUUAUUAGUCCAGGUUAUGGUAAUGUAAUUGAUGACUUAUGCAUGCAUGCGCAGCUUCCACUAUAUUCUCCUAGAGAUUAAGCUUGAGCCGGGAGUAGUAACCGUCUUAGACUCGAGACGAAAAGAUCCCCAGGACUAUGCGAACAUGACUCAAAUGCUCUAGAAGUAAGUUAAAUCGAUCAUUAUCCACCAUAUCAGCAACUUUGUUCAUUUCCUGAUAUCAAGUAAUUGUUUUCUUUGUCUGGCAGGGUUUGGAGAAAAUUCACCUCAAAAGCCCCGGGACUACCGAACCAGCUGCAAUUUAGACACCCGAAAGUAAGUACUAUAGUAGCAUGUUCCGCGCAUCUCCUAGUGAUUCAAGCGCUAGUUUGAUCAAUACCAUUUAGCAUGCUUGCUUAUCAGUUUGAUUGACCUCUAUUUUUUGUAAAGUGGUUGUGGCAGCAACCCGGGAAUAAUUACUAUGGAUACUACGUUUGCGAGUCCAUCCGCUACCAUACCUGUGAGCGGGGCUACACUGAAGAACAAUAUGAAGUGCGUAAGCAAUAAUAUUCACAAUUUUAUUUUAUUACCAUCAUUUGUGUUGAGUUUCAUUUAUUCAUAUAUAUAUGUAUUGACCCCCUUCUUCAAAUUAGAUUUUUCGGAAGCGGGAUCAACUCCUAGCAGAAGAUCGUAUGCGAGGAAUUCAAGAGGAAUUGGCGGCAUUCUUCCUUGACCACGUGAUCGCUGAAAACGGAGAAUACUAUGUGGACCCUGUGUUCCUACAAUAUAAUUAGGAGAUUGUAUUGUAAGAGAUAAUUAUUGUAUAUAUGUAGCCCGUAGUGUCGGAUAGAUAUACGAGAACUUGUUGUUCGACCAAUAUCUCGGAGAAGGAGAGGUGGUCGAUAUCACUUCUCUCUGUAUGCAUAUGUUCAUGACGAUCUUCUGCUUCCUUCAUUUGAUUACUAGCUAGCGUGUCUACUCCUCUCCAUACGUAUAUAGUACGUAGCGUCGACCAAGCACGGAGAUAAGAGAGGACACUUCUCUCUAUUAAUUAGCUAGCUAACACAAUAUAUGAAACACCUAAAUUAACCCCCCAAAACCCCUAAACCACCCCUUUUCAAAAAAACAAAAACCUCAGCUCCUGCCAGGUGCUGACGCAUGGAUGCCUAUUGGUCCCGGUUGGUGGCACCAACCGGGACCAAAGGCCCUCCUGCCUGGGCUCCCCGCACCGGCCACGUGGACGGCCUUUAGUCCCGGUUCGUGUAAGAACCGGGACUAAAGGGCUAGGGCAUUAGUAAUGACCCUUUAGUCCCAGUUCCAGAACCGGGACUAAAGGCCCUUAUGAACCGGGGUAAAAGCCCCUUUUCCUACUAGUAUUUGAUUAUAUGGGACCUUUUCCUGCCUCUAAAGGAUAUACACAUAUUUUAGUUGCUGUUGAUUACGUUACUAAGUGGGUAGAAGCUAUUCCAACUAGUAGUGCUGAUCAUAACACUUCUAUUAAAAUGCUUAAAGAAGUUAUUUUUCCGAGGUUUGGAGUCCCUAGAUAUUUAAUGACUGAUGGUGGUUCACAUUUUAUUCAUGGUGCUUUCCGUAAAAUGCUUGCUAAAUACGAUGUUAAUCAUAGAAUUGCAUCUCCCUAUCACCCACAGUCUAGUGGUCAAGUAGAAUUGAGCAAUACAGAGCUCAAAUUAAUUUUGCAAAAGACUGUCAAUAGAUCUAGAAAGAAUUGGUCCAAGAAACUUGAUGAUGCAUUAUGGGCCUAUAGAACUGCAUAUAAAAAUCCUAUGGGUAUGUCUCCGUAUUAAAUGGUUUAUGGAAAAGCAUGUCACUUACCUCUCGAACUAGAACAUAAGGCUUAUUGGGCUAUUAAGGAGCUCAACUACGAUUUUAAACUUGCCGGUGAAAAGUGGCUAUUUGACAUUAGCUCACUUGAUGAAUGGAGAACCCAGGCUUAUGAAAAUGCCAAGUUGUUCAAAUAAAAAGUUAAAAGAUGGCAUGACAAAAGAAUACAAAAGCGUGAGUUUAAUGUAGGUGAUUAUGUAUUGCUAUAAAACUCUCGUUUAAGAUUUUUUGAAGGGAAAUUUCUCUCUAAAUGGGAAGGUCCUUACGUUAUCGAGGAGGUAUAUCGUUCCGGCGCCAUAAAAAUCAACAACUUCGAAGGCACAAAUCAGAAGGUGGUGAACGGUCAAAGAAUCAAACAUUAUAUCUCAGGUAAUCCUAUAAAUGUUGAAACCAAUGUUAUUGAAACCAUAACCCCGGAGGAAUACAUAAGGGACACUUUCCGGAAUGUUUCAGACUCCGAAAAGGAAUAGGUAUGUGGUACGGUAAGUAAACCGACUCCAAAACAGUUCUAAUGGCAUUUUUUCUCCGUUCUGGAAUAUUUAGAAAAAAAGAAAAAUAAGAAGCAGUCCGGGAAGGACACGAGGCCUCCACGAGGGUGGAGGGCGCGCCCUACCCCCUGGGCGCGCCCCCUACCUCGUGGGCACCUCGUGUGCUCUCCGGACUCCGUUUUCUUGCACGAUACAUAUUUUGGUCAGUAAAAAUUCAUUAUAUAAUCUCCCGAAGGUUUUGACUCCUGUAUCAUGCAAUUGUCCUCUGUUCUUGUUUCGAGCUGUUUUCUGUCAGGGUUGUCAAGGCUGGGCAUCAUGUCGUCCCCCUCCUCCAACAAUGGUGAUAACGAUGCUUGGCUAAUGAAGAUAGAGCUGAAGAGGGAAGAACCCAUGGAGAUCAACAAGGAUGAAGGGAUCAAGAAGGCCACGGAGAACCAAGUUCCGGCAACAGAAGACAUCCUUCAACCUGAUCACAAUCUUCUUACCCCAACUGAGAUCGAAGCUUUCAAGAUGAUUGAGCUAGCUCGUAUACAAAACAAGUAUCUCACACGUGAAAAUAUUUUGUUGAAGGAGCAUAUUGUUGCACUCAAGGGCAUUAUCCGCAAGCUGGAGGAUCUCUUACGCUCGAUGUGCGACUACCCAUCAUCACCACCAUCCUCUUCACCAACAAAGGAGACAUAAUCACAUGGGUAUGGGCACUCCCCUUGGCAACUGCCAAGCUUGGGGGAGGUGCCCCGGUAUCGUAUCACCAUCACAUCUCUAUCUUUACCGCUUUUCUUAGUUCGAUCCUAUUAGUAGUAUCUUGAUCUAGUAGAAUAAAGUUUUGGUAUGAUCUAGUUUUGAGUUUUGCUUUAUGAUCCCUCUACGUAAUCGAGUCCGUGAGCUAUAUAAUAAAGAUUAGUGUUGAGUCAAGGGCUUGAUUAUUUGCUAUGAUCUUGAGUGAAUAAAAGAAAAGAGAAAAGAAUAAAAAGAAAUUAAAAAGAGGUCAUAUUGAUCUUAUUGAGAGUAAUGACUUCACAUAGAAAGAGUAUGAUGAUUAAAAAUUGUUGAGAGUUGACAAACAUAGCCUUGGUCAUCGUUGCAAUUAAUAGGAAGUAAUAAAGAAAGAGAGGUUUCAUCAAAAAUAUACUAUCUUGGACAUCUUUUAUGAUUGGGAGCACUCAUUAAAAUAUGACAUGCUAAAGAGUUGAUGUUGGACAAGGAAGACAACGUAAUGGGUUCUGUUUUCUUAUAUCUAAGAUAAAGUAUAUUGUCAUGGAUCAUCCAACAUGUUGAGCUUGCCUUUCCCCCUCAUGCUAGCCAAAUUCUUUGCACCAAGUAGAGAUACUACUUGUGCUUCCAAAUACCCCUAAACCCAGUUUUGCCAUGAGAGUCCACCAUACCUACCUAUGGAUUGAGUAAGAUCCUUCAAGUAAGUUGUCAUCGGCGCAAGCAAUAAACAUUGCUCUCUAAAUAUGUAUGAUUGAUUGGUGUGGAGGAAGUAAGCUUUAUACGAUCUUGUGAUGUGGAAGAAAUAAAAGCGACAGACUGCAUAAUAAAGGUUCAUAUCACAAGUGGCAAUAUAAAGUGUCGUUCUUUCGCAUUAAGAUUUUGUGCAUCCAACCUUGAAAGCGCAUGGCAACCUCUGCUUCCCUCUGCGAAGGGCCUAUCUUUUAUUAUUACCUUCUACCUUAUGCAAGAGUCAUGGUGAUCUUCACCUUUCCUUUUUACAUUUUAUCCUUUGGCAAGCACAGGAUGUUGGAAAGAUCCUAAUAGAUAUAUCUAAUUGGAUAUGGGUUAGCAUGAAUUAUUACUGUUGACAUUACCCUUGAGGUAAAAGGUUGGGAGGCGAAACUAUAAGCCCCUAUCUUUCUCUGUGUCCGAUUAAAACUCCAUAACCACAAGUAUUGCGUGAGUGUUAGCAAUUAUGAAAGAUUAAAUGAUAGUUGAGUAUGUGGACUUGCUAGAAAUCUCUGACAUAGACUCUUUCUGAUGUUAUGAUAAAUUGCAAUUGCUUCAAUGACUGAGAUUACAGUUUGUUGGUUCUCAAUAAAGUUUCUGAUUCAUACUUUGCAUUGUGAAUAGAUUAUUACUUGAGCAUAAGAAAUCAUAUGACAAUAUCCAUAUAUGUUGCUGUUAUAAGAAUGAUCAUGAUGCCCUCAUGUCCGUAUUUUAUUUUAUCGACACCUCUACCUCUAAACAUGUGGACAUAUUUAUCGUUAUCGUUAUCGUCUUUCGCUUGAGGACAAGCGAGGUCUAAGCAUGGGGGAGUUGAUACGUCCAUUUUGCAUCAUGCUUUUAUAUCGAUAUUUAUUGCAUUAUGGGCUGUUAUUACGCAUUAUGUCACAAUACUUAUGCCUAUUCUCUCUUAUUUUACAAGGUUUACAUAAGGAGGGAGAAUGCCGGCAGCUGGAAUUCUGGGCUGGAAAAGGAGCAAAUAUUAGAGACCUAUUCUGCACAACUCCAAAAGUCCUGAAACUCCACGAAAGUUAUUUUUGGAAAUAAUAAAAAAUACUGAGCGGAAGAAAUACGUCAGGGGGGCCUCCACCUGUCCACGAUGGUGGGGGGCGCGCCCCCUGCCUCGUGGGCCCCCUGUUGGCCCUCCGGUGCCCAUCUUCUGCUAUAUGAAGUCUUUCGUCCGAUGAAAAAUCAUAGGCAAGCUUUCGGGACGAGACUCCGCAGCCACGAGGCGGAACCUUGGCGGAACCAAUCUAGGGCUCCGGCAGAGCUGUUCUGCCGGGGAAACUUCCCUCCGGGAGGGGGAAAUCAUCGCCAUCGUCAUCACCAACGCUCCUCUCAUCGGGAGAGGGCAAUCUCCAUCAACAUCUUCACCAGCACCAUCUCCUCUCAAACCCUAGUUCAUCUCUUGUAUCCAAUUCUUGUCUCUAAGUCUGGGAUUGGUACCUGUAGGUUGCUAGUAGUGUUGAUCACUCCUUGUAGUUGAUGCUAGUUGGUUUAUUUGGUGGAAGAUCAUAUGUUCAGAUCCUAUAUGCAUAUUAAUACUCCUCUGAUUAUGAACAUGAAUAUGCUUUUUGAGUAGUUACGUUUGUUCCUGAGGACAUGGGAGGAGUCUUGCUAUUAGUAGUCAUGUGAAUUUGGUAUUCGUUCGAUAUUUUGAUGAGAUGUAUGUUGUCUAUCCUCUAGUGGUGUUAUGUGAACGUCGACUACAUAACACUUCACCAUUAUUUGGGCCUAGAGGAAGGCAUUGGGAAGUAAUAAGUAGAUGAUGGGUUGCUAGAGUGACAGAAGCUUAAACCCUACUUUAUGUGUUGCUUCGUAAUGGGCUGAUUUGGAUCCAUAUGUUUCAUGCUAUGGUUAGGUUUACCUUAAUACUUUUGUUGUAGUUGCGGAUGCUUGCAAUAGAGGUUAAUCAUAAGUGGGAUGCUUGUCCAAGUAAGGGCAGCAUCCAAGCACCGGUCCACCCACAUAUCAAAUUAUCAAAGUACCGAACGCGAAUCAUAUGAACGUGAUGAAAACUAGCUUGACGAUAAUUCCCAGGUGUCCUCGGGAGCGCUUUUCUCUACAUAAGAGUUUGUCCAGGCUUGUCCUUUGCUACAAAAAGGAUUGGGCCACCUUGCUGCACUUUAUUUACUUUUGUUAUUUGAUGCUCGUUACAAAUUAUCCUAUCACAAAACUAUCUGUUACCUAUAAUUUCAGUGCUUGCAGAGAAUACCUUGCUGAAAACCGCUUAUCAUUUCCUUCUGCUCCUCGUUGGGUUCGACACUCUUACUUAUCGAAAGGACUAUGAUAGAUCCCCUAUACUUGUGGGUCAUCACCCUGCAUGCAGCGCCUCCUACAGUCACGGCACUGCCGCCCGCGGCCCCCUUGGCACCCGNNNNNNNNNNNNNNNNNNNNNNNNNNNNNNNNNNNNNNNNNNNNNNNNNNNNNNNNNNNNNNNNNNNNNNNNNNNNNNNNNNNNNNNNNNNNNNNNNNNNNNNNNNNNNNNNNNNNNNCUCGGAUGACUACGUCCAUGUGGCAUCCACCUCUGAGUCGUUGUCGUUACCGUCCUCCAUUUGAGCCGCUCUUCGUGACCCGCUCAGGAUGGCUGCGAAGCAAGAGGAGUUUGACGCCCUAUUGCGUAACCGGACGUGGCAGCGUGUUCCCCAUCCCUGGCACGCCAACGUGAUUACCGGGAAGUGGGUCUUUAAACACAAGCUCCGUCCUGAUGGUACCCUUGAUCGCUAUAAAGCGCGCUGGGUCGUUCGUGGCUUCCGACAGCUUGCUGGCAUCGACUUCACCGACACCUUUGCUCUGGUCAUCAAGCCCGGCACGAUACACAUGGUUCUCCACCUUGCGGUCUCUCGUGCUUGGCGGUGCACCAGAUGGACGUCGCCAAAACCUUCCUCCAUGGUCACCUUGAAGAGUAGGUCUUCUGCCAGCAGCCCACCGGGUUUGUGGACCCGGCGCUUCCUGACCACGUGUGCCUGCUUUCACGGUCCUUGUACGGACUCAAGUAGGCUCCGCGCGCUUGGUACCAGCGCAUCGCGUUGUUUCUCCACUAGCUUGGGUUCCGCUCUACCCGCUCGGACGCCUCGCUCUUCGUCUAUCAUCAGGGCUCUGACACGGCCUAAUUGCUGCUCCAUGUCGACGACAUCAUCCUGACGGCAUGUACGGCUGGUCUCCUUAGCCAGCUCACGGCUCGUCUUCGCGCUGAGUUCGCCAUCAAGGACUUGGGUCCUUUGCACUACUUCCUAGGUGUCGAGGUGGUGCGCCGUCCGGAUGGCUUCUUCCUUCAUCAGCGAAGUACGCUCACGAGCUCCUGGGGCGCUCCGGCAUGCUUAACUGCAAGCCCGCCGCUAUGCCUGUUGAUACGAAGGCCAAGCUUUCUGCCACGGAUGGUUCUCCUGCUUCGGAUGCUGCUUUCUAUCGGUCUAUCGUUGGUGCUCUCCAGUACCUCACUCUGACUCGACCGAAGAUCUAGUAUGCCGUGCAGCAGGUGUGUCUUCAUAUGCAUGCUCCUUGAGACGUUCACUGGGCUGCCGUCAAGCGGAUUCUCCGCCAUAUCUGUGGCACUAUGGAUCUUGGCGUCACGCUUCACGCCUCCGCCGACACCGCCCUCACCGCCUACUCCGAUGCAGACUUGGCGGGCUGCCCUGACACUCGUCGCUCCACUUCGGGCUAUUGUGUCUACCUUGGACCCUCACUUAUCUCGUGGUCGUCCAAGCCGCAACCUACGGUCUCUCGUUCCAGUGCUGAAGCUGAGUAUCGCGCGGUGGCCAACGCCGUCGCCGAGUGUUCGUGGCUUCGCCAGCUGCUUCAGGAGCUCUCUUGUCCUGUUGACCAUGCCACGGUGGUCUACUACGACAACGUCUCGGCGGUCAACCUCUCCACUAACCCGGUGCAUCAUUGACGGACCAAGCAUAUUGAGUUGGAUAUUCAUUUUUUUCGGGAAUAGGCGACCCUUGGCCAUAUUCGUGUUUUACACGUCCCUACUUCCCAACAAUUUGCCGAUAUCAUGACCAAGGGCUUGCCUACGACGUCAUUUGAGGAGUUCCGGCCCAGUCUUUGCGUCAGUUGCGGUGCUGCUUCGACUGCGGGGGGUGUUGAGUAUAUGUGUUAUGUGCAUAUUGUGUAUUGGGCCCACCUCCUAGUUCCAUGCAUGUAUAGUUGAGGUUCGUGGCCCACCUUUGUACAUCAUAUAUACAUGCCUAUGCAUGAAGAGCAAUACAUCGUGCAAUCAUACACAGAGGAGUAGUGUACAUUGGUCUCUAGUGCACUUUGCUCAACAAAUUGGGUGAAAAUGUUCAGUAGAACCAUGCAAGUCUUCAUACUUUUUCUCAUGGCACAGGUUUGCCUUGUCUUGAUGAUGGCCGCACCGUUUGCACAAGCCGCUGGGAGGCCUGUGGCAUCCUUACCAUGGAUUGCGGGGUGUUGCCCGAGGAACUAUUUGUGUUGUGGUGUUGGUGCGGUUGCCCCGACAUCCCAUGCAUUGCAGGCCACCCCUGUACCUUGAGUUAUGGUUUCGCUUGAUCUCCUCUCAUAACAUAGUUGAUAUAACAUAGUAGCAUCACAAAGGUUGCAUGGUUUCAUUGAUUCAUCUCUUUUCUACUGCUUGAAUCUUGUGAUGCCGCUUUUGAACAAUGUCAUUCCUAUGUCUUCUUAUAACUAAUAAAAUGUGAGGAUAUUUUUAUCUUAUUUGAAUUGUGUUGUAACAUUACCUACUAAUGUGGAUGAUCUGGGUGGACUACAUAGAUCAGAUCUUGUAAAGAUGUAAUCUAGGACUUUGCGAGAUGAUGAAAUUGUCCUUUAUCUUGGUCACCUUUUCGUAGAAGUGUUGGUCGGCUGUCGGCAUCCCUUAAUUUGUGUCUUCUUGUAGUGCAUGCUCUAGAAUCAUCCAUAUUUUGUAGUUUUACAAUAACCUUUGAGGCAAAUGGGGCGUGGUACGUCUGAGGAAGUCAGUUCACCAAAGCAAUGCCCCCCCCCCCUCCAAAAAAAGAAAAACCAAUUAUGUGUGCCAUGGGCGUACAGUGAAACCACUUCCUUUCGACAUGCAAGCCAUCAAUAUUCAUAAUGAGAUCUCGAACAUGGAUGCCAAGUAAUUCGCCCCGUGCUGAUGUCGUCAGGCAACCCGCUCACUUUUUUAUGAACAAAGUAAGGCACCGACCGGUGCCAAUUUCAUUCAGCUCAAAGAAAUAGUACAUCAGGGAAUACAAUGGCAUGAAGAAAACAGAGAAGAGUGGGUACAACCAUUGGAAGUGAGCCAAAGAAAAAUACUACAGAUAGGCUGGCUGAAACACCAACCAGAUGAACUACUCAAAGAACAGAUACAUCUGAAGAAAAUUCAGGAUGGAGGCAGAGUAGAGUGGGCACUGCAUGAAGAAGAUCUAAAUACGCCUUAGAACCACUGAAAGAACAGUAAUCUUGUUUGAUGUCCUCAACAGAAGCCAGCUUGAUUGUAAAUGUGCUUCCUCGAUAGAAGUCCUCAGAACCAUGUGCUCUACUAGUAACAAUGCACCGCAUGCAACCUGAAUCCUUGAACCUGGAAAUUGGAAAUAAGAGACACCACUGGAUAGGAAGCAUGUGAAUGAUUAGAAGCAAAACAAGAAACUUGAGUAUUGCAUCAGACCGAAGUACCUGUUGCGCAAGAUUGUGAGCAAUACCAUUAAUUUCUCGAGAAAUAUGAAACACCUUAGGAUGCAAAUUAGAAGUACAUUUGAAAAAAAAUAGCCAGUGCUUUUCUGAUACUCCAGGGAGAUGUGGGCUCAGAGAUGUUCCCCAAAGUAGCAAACUUAGCUAAUGAAAGACAGUCCAUUAAGAAAGUGGGAGAAGAAACAUUCAGCUGAGAGGCCAAAUGAGCAGCAAAAGAAAGAGCAAUCACCUCAGCUUGCAAAGGAGUAGAGGUUGGGGGAGCCGAAGCUUGAAUUUGUACAUUGUAAUCCCCUCGAUUACAAGGCACAGAGAUGAAAACUCCCACACCUGUAGCAACUUCUCCUUGCAUUAAACCAGGAAUCUUGUUAGACCCGAAAGUUGCGUCAGAAUAUACUUUAGAACCAACAAUUAGUAAAUCUGAUCUAAGUGUAUCUCCCUGUGUAGGGAGAUGAUCCGCAAAAGGCUGAUCCCGAGGUUGAGACUGCUUCAUAGGGAAACAUGGGAGAUUAUCAUAGGAAUCCGGAAGUAAGGCAGUAGUAGCAAUCUGAACUUGGUGAGGAGAAGCUUUUUCCCUGUCAAAGAGAAAAUCAUUCCUAGCUUUCCAGAGCCACCACAAAAAGUUGAGAAUAUUAAAAAUGGAUCCAUGAGGAUGACCCAUACGAACGAAAGCAAUAAGAACCGAGUGAAUAGUGGAAUGGCCUUGGAUUAAGACAUCUGAUCUAAUGAACCAAGGAGAGGAAAACCAGGCCACACGAGCAAAGUGACACAGGAAAAACAAAUGAAACUCAUCCUCUUGUUGGCCACAUCUACAACAAUUCUGAGAAAUGUGAAUGGAGAAACGGCCUACUCGCAAACCCGUAGGUAAAGCCUUUCUAAGUAAUCUCAAAGCAAAAGUUUACACCCUAGGAAGCAUAUGCUUUCGUUUCCAAAUCAAUUUAAGCGGGCUUUUUAAAUCCAAGGAAACAGCAGCAUGCACAUUUCUAGUAUUAGCAUAAAUCUCUUGCAAACAAAGUUUAUAACCAGACUUAGAACAGCAAAUGCCAUUAGGAGUGAGAUCCCAACAUAGCAAAUCUGGACCAUCAUCAUCAAUAAUUUCAGUUUGAACAAUGAUAGAGGCCAUAGGUUGGAGAAAAAGAGAGAAAACAAGAUCAUGAUUCCAACUAUUUUGCCCCGGAAGCCAGAGAUCUCUAACUAUAGAUGGGUAAGCAAAACCAGCUUGCUGAGGAAUGAGAUGGUCAUGGAUAGAGUUCCAAAGACUACACCAAGGCAUGCUCCAAAUGGAAAUGUUUCCCUGAGUUAAUUGAUAGAAAGAAUGAGCCUUAAGUUUAGGUAACAUUUUCAAAAUAGAAGCCCAGAACGCAGAUUUAGGAGGGGUCGCAGCAGCUGUCCAAAUGGAAGUACCAUGAAAAUACUUAGCCUUAAGAACUAGGUACAAGUGAGAAGAAGGAAAUUUAGCUAACCUCUAAGCAGCAGCCAAAAGAAGGCUCUCAUUAAUGGCUUUUAAAUUCCUAAUACUCAGACCACCUUCUUUAGAGUUGCAAAUAUCCUUCCAAGCUCUAAAACAAAGACUUUUCUUAGAAUCAUUUUCUCGCACACCCGUUCACCAGAAAUUCCUAAUAACAGCCGUCAGCUUAGCAAUGAAUUUCUUUGUAAACAAGAUAUUAGCCAUAUAAUAGACCGGAAUAGCCGAGAAAACAGAACAGAUCAAUUCAUGUCUAGCAGCAUGAGAAAGCAUGUUAGCUUUAUAAGUGGGCAGUUUAUUUAAAAAUUUGUCAAGAAAAAAGUUGUAAGCUGCAACUCUAUUUUUAGCAGGAAGAACAAGCGGGUGACCAAGGUGGGUGAAGUUACUAUCCAAAGUAGCAACCGGAAAGAUUUUCCUAAUCUCCUACAUAGCUGUAUGAGAAACAUGAGAGCUAAAAAGAAUAGCAGAUUUAGCCCAAUUUGGAAUUUGACCUGAGAUAGAACAAAAGUCACUACUAGAAAACAGGGCUUUCGUUCGGGCCUGGCCAGCCCAUUAGUCCAGGUUCCGCACGAACCGGGACCCAUGGGGUGCAUUAGUCCCGGUUCGUGAGCCCAGGGGGCCGGCCGGGCCACGUGGGCCACUGGUCCCGGUUCGUCUGGACCUUUUGGUCCCGGUUCAACGCACGAACCGGGACCAAUGCGCCUCGCCCCUGGCCCAUGACCAUUAGUCCCGGUUUGUGCCACAAACCGAGACUAAAGGGUUGGUCCUUGUUGCGGCCAGAGUUUAGUCCCACCUCGACGACCGAAGGGCGCUCACACCGGUUUAUAAGCCCGUCCCUCUGUGCCUUGUUGAGCUCCUCUCAAAAUGAAAAUAGAUGCCCUUAUACAGGGAAUUUGACCAAAAUUCAUAGUGAGUUUCUCUGAAAUUCAUCCAAAUUUAUUAUGAAUUUAGGUUGAAUUUUCUCUAUAGGCGCAUCUAUGCUCAUUUUUUUAUGUUGGGGUUGGCGAUCUUUACAGACUUUUUGUGUGUUGAAUAUGCACCAUUCAAAAUCAGUCUCUGCUUUGAAUGGUUCAUUUUGAACACACAAAAAGUCUGGAGUUCAAAUAAGUUCAAGAAAAUGAAAUCCCUUUGUAACAGAUGAGUUUUCGUCCGAAACCCUGAUACUUCGAAAGAGAUUGUCCAUUUUGUUCACGAAGUGCAUCCACCUUUUGCGGGGACCCUCUCAACUUUCUUGCACAUGCUAUGUGGAUGACAUGAUGAUACCAUGCCAACUUUCAACCUUUUCAGAGUUCAUUUGAAAUGCUUUUCAAUUUUAGGGUCUUAUAGCUCAAAAUAAUUAGUAAAUGCAUGAAAAAUAACAAAUGAAGUCAGAAAGGAUUGAAAAAUGAUGAUGUGGCUUUGAAUGGUGCAUUUUGAACACACAAAAAGUCAGGAGUUCAAAUAAGUUUAAAAAAAUGAAAUCCCUUUGUAACAGACGAGUUUCCGUAUGAAAUCCCGAUACUUUGAAAGAGAUUGUCCUUUUGUACACGAAGUGCAUCCAGUUUUUGUCGUAACCCUCUCAACUUUCUUGCACAUGCUAUGUGGAUGAAAUGAUGAUACCAUGCCAACUUUCAACCUUUUCAGAGUUCAUUUGAAAUGCCUUUCAAUUUAUGGUCUUAUAGCUCAAAAUAAUUAGUAAAUGCAUGAAAAAUAACAAAUGAAGUCAUAAAGGAUUGAAGUGGCUUUGAAUGGUGCAUUUAGAACACACAAAAAGUCAAGAGUUCAAAUAAGUUUUAAAAAAUGAAAUCUCUUUGUAACAGACGAGUUUCCGUAUGAAAUCCUGAUACUUUGAAAGAGAUUGUCCGUUUUGUACACGAAGUGCAUCCAGUUUUUGCCGGGACCCUCUCAACUUUCUUGCACAUGCUAUGUGGAUGAAAUGAUGAUACCAUGCCAACUUUCAACCUUUUCAGAGUUCAUUUGAAAUGCCUUUCAAUUUUAGGGUCUUAUAGCUCAAAAUAAUUAGUAAAUGCAUGAAAAAUAACAAAUGAAGUCAGAAAGGAUUGAAAAAUGAUGAUGUGGCUUUGAAUGGUGCAUUUUGAACACACAAAAAGUCAGGAGUUCAAAUAAGUUUUAAAAAAUGAAAUCCCUUUGUAACAGACGAGUUUCCGUAUGAAAUCCUGAUACUUUGAAAGAGAUUGUCCGUUUUGUACACGAAGUGCAUCCAGUUUUUGCCGGGACCCUCUCAACUUUCUUGCACAUGCUAUGUGGAUGAAAUGAUGAUACCAUGCCAACUUUCAACCUUUUCAGAGUUCAUUUGAAAUGCUUUUCAAUUUUAGGGUCUUAUAGCUCAAAAUAAUUAGUAAAUGCAUGAAAAAUAACAAAUGAAGUCAGAAAGGAUUGAAAAAUGAUGAUGUGGCUUUGAAUUGUGCAUUUUGAACACACAAAAAGUCAGGAGUUCAAAUAAGUUUUAAAAAAUGAAAUCCCUUUGUAACAGACUAAAGCUUCAUGUAUAUAAGGCACACUUGUGAAAAUUUUGGUUUGCAUCUUGCAGUUCGCCCCUGACGACGCGCGCGGAGAGGACGCCGCCAGGCUGUCGGACGCCGUCGCCAUCGCCCCCGCCCCGGAGCCCACGCCGACGCCGUCGCCGUCCGCCGCCCCCGCCCCGGAGCCCACGCCNNNNNNNNNNNNNNNNNNNNNNNNNNNNNNNNNNNNNNNNNNNNNNNNNNNNNNNNNNNNNNNNNNNNNNNNNNNNNNNNNNNNNNNNNNNNNNNNNNNNNNNNNNNNNNNNNNNNNNNNNNNNNNNNNNNNNNNNNNNNNNNNNNNNGUUAGAUUAGUUGAAUUAGAUGUUUUUCCAUGUAUUUUAGAUUUGUUGAAUUAGAUGUUUUUUUGUCAAUUUAUGUAUAUAUGUGCAUAUUUAGAAAAAAUGUGUUGAACUAGUUAAAUAUAAUAGAACUAGUUAAACAAGUUUAUUUUUAGUAAGUGCUUAGUAGUUGAACUAGUUGAUUUAAUAAAACUACUUUAUUUUACUAUAGAAGUGGUUUAUUUUAGUAAGUACUACUUUAUUUUAUUUAUAGUAAGUGCUUAAUUAGUAGUUGAACUAGUUGAUUUAAUAAAACUACUUUAUUUUACUAUAUAUAGAAGUAAUUUAUUUUUAGUAAGAACUACUUCAUUUUAUUUAUUUAUAGUAAGUGCUUAGUAGUUGAACUAGUUGAACUACUUUAUUUUAGCAAGAAAUUUAAUAGAACUAGUUUAUUUUUUUAGUUCAAGCAAUUAAUCCCGCAUCGACGUCGACGAUGCCUAUCCCGCAUCCUCGUCGUCGACUCGGCGGAGGAGGCCGGCUUGAUCAGAGGGGCCAUGUCUGGGACUGGGCUCCGCCGGGCUGGUUUUGGGAGGUGCUACCUUCCGGUGGGUGUAGGUUGGUGAGGAGCCAGCCCGUCGUUGACCUGAUCCUUGUUUGGUUGCGGUUGCGUGGGCCAGUGACGGUGCCGAGGCUUCCGGACACCGCGGAGGUGGUACGUCACCGUGUCAGCGAGGAGGACCAGCACGUCCAUCGCUACAUGUUUGCGUUGGAGGGCAGGUUCGACAAUACCUGGCAGGUUCUUCAGGGUUCUCACUGGAGCUAUGAUCCUGUGAUGGUUCCGUCCCUUUGGGUGUCCACCGCCCGCGCCGAUACCCGUCGGGCGCUACUGUUCUAGCUGUACUAGCGAUGCUAUAUGUAUGAUAGUAUUCGAGGCGUAUUAGUGAUAAUAUUCGACGAUGUACGGACGCAUGGAGAUGAUGUAGUUUUGCUUAUAAUUGAAUGCAUCCUAAUUUGAAUACUACUUUAUUUUGUGAUUUGAUUUUGCUUAUUGAAUGCUCAAAGUGGAAAACUACUCCUACUUUGAAUGCUAAAAUUGGAGAGCACUAUGCAAGGCGUAUGCAUAUGAUUAGUUGAUAGCUUAUAGGGUUUUUGUUUUCGCAGAAAUCUAGGAGCCCCCGGCCCCUCCAUCAUCCCCGCCGUCGUCCCCGUCACUGCCCCCUCCGACAUCGAGGUGAGACUAGCCAAAUCCUCUUUUAGAAAGAUAAUUAAACGAUAUUUCGGGUUGACUGUAAGUCUGUCGAGUCUCCACCAUAUAUGAGAGGACGAAGAAUCCCGACUGUUGUCGUGGGGGUAGCUUCUCCUUCGUUCCCGUGUGCUAGACAAUUUGCUGUAAUGCACUCGAGAACGAAAGGAGGAGCUACCAUACCAUCACCGACGGUCGCAAAUGUCAGAGAGGAAUCAGUGAGGGAGAGUUCCACCAUAUAUAUAUGAGAGGACGAAGAAUCCCGGCUGUUGUCGUGGGGGUCGCUUCUCCUUUGUUCCCGUGUGCUAGACAUUUUGGUGUAGUGCACUCGGGGACAAAUGGAGGAGCGACCAUCACCAACGGUCGAAUGUAUACACCACGUGAGCUGAGAGUUUUCAAGAAAAGACUCGACAAACCGAUAGUCAACCCGUGAUGAAUAAUAAUGAUCUAACUUAGGUUUUUUUUAGUACAUAUAUUUAAUUGUAGACGUUUAAUAUUUGAAUUACGAACAUAGGAAAUGUCGUACUCGGACGACGAAAGUCUCCCGGAGUGCGACUGGUGCCACGACGACCGAGGUCAGUGCGACAGGCCUUCCCUGGACGAAGAUCGGCGCUUCAGUAUUAACCUGGAGGAGACCUUCGAUGUUGAAACGGUACGCAAUGAUGACAAGUGUUAUUUUUUUGUAAUUAAGCACGACUUCAACUAUUUCAACGUGUACUUUUCAUCAUUUACAAUUCGGCUAGCUUAUCCCAUGCCAUGCAAGACGCUACGUCUUGGAGAGGAUGGGUUUUGAAGACCAUGAAAAUAUGGAAACAAAGAAACUUCACCUAAGGACCCAUCAUGAUAUAGAUUUUGAAGUAAAUCUGUAUAAUUCUAAGAGCGUAACCCAUUUUGGUUGCAAAAAUUGGGAAGCAUUUUUCAAGAUGUAUGGUUUUGAUGAGGGUAUGCUUGUCACCAUGGAUCUUGGUGAUCCUGACAUCGAGCAAGACAAUAUGGACAUUUGGGUCCUUGUUGAUACGCCUCCAAUUCUACCGCUAUGUGAGUUUCUCAAACAUAGUUAUUAGCUAAUUUAUAUUGUUCAUUUCAAAAUAGUUGACAGCUUAUUUUCAUUGACAGCUUAUUUGAUUGUUGAAACAAUGUGCGGAACAUGGUAGUCAGAACCUACUACACCGAUGGCUCUGAGUUAACUUAUAAGGAGAAAACUCAUCUGGUCGGAUUUUGUACUGAUCUUGAGAAUUACAAUAUCUAUUGUAAAACUCCUCCACAUUAUGGUCAAUAUGUGCCACUAGUGCACGUGUUGAACUACGGUAACUACUAUGGAGAUACCCUGGUAAGAUUUCUUACUAUUACGACAUCCAUGCAUCUUUUGCAUACUUCUAAAACUAGUACAUCAUUGCUAACUAUGAAGUUAUUACUAUAUUUUUUUAACAGAUAAUCCCAGAGGAUUGUGUGCCUCAUUUGAUGUAUCAGAAUGGUAGGCUUGAUGUUUUGAACAUACAACCAGGUCAUCCUACGAAUCGCAACUGUCCAUACCAGAUUUCUAAAAGAAGUGGAGACAUGCAAAUCAAAGAAUGGAAAAAAUGUAUGGACAGUCGCAAGGAGGUUCUUGGAAGCAAAAGGAAGCGAAGCGCAAGAAUGGAGACAGGAUGAUCUCCAGUCUCCAUAAUGGAGAGUCAGGGUCUAUAUUGUUUUAUGCUAUUUUACCUUAAAGAGGGUAUUUCGGUCCUACCUAAUACUGAUGAUCAUGUGCUAAGAACAAUUAAGUAGGGUUGGUUCGAUGACUAUGAGGAUGAUGAUCGUAUGACUGGUUAUUAAUAACGAGUAGAAGUUGUAUGAUGAUGAUUAGUAGGACUUGUUAUUAUAUAUGAUGAUGCAUGAUGCACGCAUGAAGAGUUAUUAUAUAUCAGCGGGUGAAAUGAUCAUGGAUUGGAUUGAAGUGAAGGCAACAUGCAUGUGGUGCAUGUCGAAAGUAGUACAAUCCAAACUUGAUCAAGUUAGGAUUAGUAUUACUUUCGACAUGCACCACAUGUUGCCUUCACUUCAAUCUAGGCCAUGUUUAGGCAUAGUAGUACGUAGCGUUGGUAAACCAAGCACGGAGAUAUAAGAGAGGACACUUCUCUCUAAUAGCUACCUAAUAACAACCUAAAUUAGCCCCCAAAACCCCUAAAUCAGCCCCUUUCAAACAAAAAAACCUCAGCUCCAGCCAGAUGCUGACGCGUGGAUGCCUAUUGGUCCCGGUUGGUGACACCAACCGGGACCAAAGGCCCCCCGGCCUGGGCUGGCCGCAGCGGCCACGUGGAGGCCCAUCUGUCCCGGUUCGUAUAAGAACCGGGACUAAAGGGUUAGGGCAUUAGUAACGAUCCGUUAGUCCCGGUUCAAAAACCGGGACAAAAGGCCCUUACCAACCGGGACAAUAGGCCCUUUUUCUAUUUGUGAGUGAUGAAUAAUAUUAGCCAUAGCAUGAGCCUCCUAUAAAGUGGCUUUCCCACAAACCAAAAGGGCAUCAGCAAAUAAAAGAGAGUGAAUGGAAGGACAAUCUGGACCAAGAGAAAUACCCUGGAGAUGAUGAGCAGCAAGCGCUUCAUUAAGAGCAAUGGAUAAUUCAUUUAUAGCAAUAACAAACAAAUAGGGGGAGAUAGGGCAACCUUGACGAAUACCUCAAAAACUUCUAAACUUGUGAGAAGGUUGUCCAUUAAUGAGCACAGAGAAAGUGGGAGAAGAGAUGCAAGCAUGAAUCAAAUUAAUAAAAUGACCAUGCAGCCCUUUGCGCGUAAGCGCCGACACUAUGAAAUUUCAUUCUAAACGAUCAAAAGCUUUGGCAAGAUCAAUUUUAAGCAUGAAAACAUUGUGUUUCCAAAAUUGAAGAGAAAAAGAGUGGGUAAUCUCCUGAGCAAUAAUAAUAUUAUCACUAAUUCUUCUACCCGGCGACCCGCUCACUGAUGUUUUGACUCACGGAGUCACUAUGUUCCCUUAAUGAUCUUUUCGUAUAUAACUGGUUGUUGCUUUAAUUAGAAGAAACCACACCAAUCGUAAUUGUUGUUAGUAAUGGAGCGGUAAGCAUAUGCAAAUCGAAGCACCAUUUUCCUUCUAAAUACACUUGUAAAAGCAUUAUGAGUGUCUUCUUCUGAUUUAAUAUUUAUGCAAGACACAUUAUGAGUGCCAGUUGUGUUGUAACUUUUUUUGCGAGGCACAACAACUGGAUUGUUGUCGAUAUAAGGGAAAACAUAAAAUAGUAUCAGAACUUCUGCAUUUAGAAACCUGUUACUAAUAUAUAGUGGCAUCUUUUUGCUCUCGAUCGAUGUCCUGGCAUGACAGGCUUUGUCGCUGUUCCCUCACCAUGGAGUGGGGAAGUAAAAUCGGUAAGUUAGCCUAUUUACCUAGUCGCCGUUCAUUUGUUCACCGAGUCAUGAGACAGCGGGAGGAAGGAGACGAAGGUCCCAAACGUGAGACCAAAAAGGUGGACUAGGGCUCGCCCUAGUUGUGCUCUCGGGUAUUUUUAGUUACUAGUAGGAGUAAGAAGCAUUGCAAAUUGCUCCCUCUGUUCAAUCCGUGCCAACCCUAGCCGCCCCUCCUCCUCACCACCCCCCUCGAACUAGAUCGCCGCCGCCUGAGGCAGCCGCCGGGCAAACGGGGCGCCAACGAUGGUGGCGGCGGGGCCUCGGUUGCCUUGCCUCUGCGUGGGGAACCCCGGAUCUGGAGCGGCGGCUCCAUUGGCAAGGCACGGACGGCUAGCAGCCGUGCGGGCGGUGGAUCUGGUGUCCCGGCCGCGCGGGCGGCGGGAUAAGGUGGUCGUUGGCGGCCGGCGAAGGCUUCUACGGCGGUCGGUGCGGGCGAUCUGGCACCUCCCUUCCUCCUCCGCUCGGCGUGCGGGCCAGCCUGGUCGGGCCGUGCUUCCUCUUGGUCGCCGGUUCUGUACAGGAGGCGCUGCUGGUGGCGGGGAUCUAGUUCGGGCGAAAUCCCUUGCCGGCCAUGACCGGCCGCGCCGACGGCGACGCCUGAGGGCGUCGUUCCGCUCCUUGGAGGCGUCGGUAUGGACUGAUCUCCUCACGGCGCCGUUCCCUUCUUGAAGGCGCCGCUUCGGGAACCUUGGGGUUGGGUGGCGCUUGUAGGUGGUUGGCGACGGCGGUGCUGCGGCCCUAUCCUAGCAUGGAUUUACGUCCGUUGCUUGGAGAUGGACUCGCGUAGGUGGAGGUCGUCGCCUGGCGUCGUGGUGGCGUCAAAGGCGGAGGACCUGCCAAGACUCGCGUAGGUGGAGGUCGUCAUUUGGCGUCGUGGUGGCGUCGAUGGCGGAGAACCUGCCAAGGUUGUCAUCUCAAUCGCUCUGAAGAUGGACCAGUGGAAUAUGGCGGCGACAACACAUGUGAGUGCGUCGGACCGGUUUGAGCCCCGGACCCGGUAGAUGGCUCGGUCGGGGCCUCCGGCUUUAGAUGUUAGGCUUAGGUGAGAGGUCUAGAUAUGUGGCCCAGCUUGCACCCCUUCAUCAUUUGAAUAGGAGUAGCGACAGAUGUUGCGAAGAUGACGGAUUCAAGUAUAUUGUUGUUCUACUUUGUAAGUUCCUCGAGAAUAAUCAAUAAAAUGGCCGCAUGCAUCUUCCAGAUGCAUAUGCCGGAGGUUAUCCUCCUUUUUUUUUAAAAUGUAGUCCAUAUUAAUAUAUUCAAAAUAUUUUAUAGUAUUUGUGAACGAAAGGAGUAAUUAAUAGUAAUGCAACAAUUUCAGUGGAGGCCAGUCAGCAGCUAACUAAAUGUGCUGGAUGAGACUGGAGAAAUGCAUAAACGAUUUACACAUGAUAGAACUACUCUUUUCUUAUUAAGGCGAAUCAGGUUCGUUACUGACUGCCAAAGUCACGGCCGUUUCUGCCUUUGACGCUGAUAAGAGAUUCUACACUGUAAGGCCUCGUUUGAAAUGGAGGGAUUCAGGAGGACUUGAGGUGUGGAGAUUGGAGGGGAUUUGAUGAAUCCCUCCCCUCCACCCAAUCUCCUCAACUCCCCUUGCAAUCAAUCCCUUCCUGAAAAAACGCGUUUGGUAGGCGGAGAGUGGAGGAGGCAUGCACUGCCGCUGCCCUCGAGGUUCUGCUUGUGCAAGGCCCUCGACUAGAGUUCUGAACCGCGCGGGUACGAGGGGAUUGGAAGGGAUCGGAGGGGGUUGGGCUGUGCAAACCCCACCUAUCAAAUGGGCCGAUGAGGUUUCGUGGGGCUUCUGGCCCUCCGGGGGUUCAUCCUCUCCAAACCUCCUGAAUCCUCCUGCGCCAAACGAGGCCUAAAGGAAAAGCUGAAAGCUCUCCUAUCUCGUGUGUUUCUCUUCUCUUGCACCUUGUCGGAAAACAGCGUGCACCAGGGACGCUUGAUUCCAUUGCAGGCAUCAGUUCAAUCUAUCAUGCUACAGGGAACCGGCACUAUCUUCUUUUUCUUCUUCUUUUAGGUCGUGAACGCAAGUCAUUUGAGACAUUCACAUGGGAUUACAUAAUCGGUACGUUGUGACGGAACUGGACGCACAUGAUGAAAUAGAUAGAUAUUCCUACGGUAGAUUUAUCAGCAUCAGUGUGGAGCUAAAGUGUUUGAUGUUUUGUAUGAAUGGUUUGGUCUGAACAAUAAAGCCGACCACUCAGGACCUACUUUUGGGCUUUUUUUUGUAUUAUUGUAUACUAGCAAAAGGGCCCGUGCGCGGAGAAAAAAAUUAUAAUCUUGAAUGGCCAAGAUCACAUUUUUUUGCAUCACCGACAUUUUUCAAAUUCAUGAACACUUUUACGAAUUUGCAAACAUAUUCUAAAAUCAAUAACAUAUUUUGAAUUCAUGAACAUUUUAUAGUAUUUACAAACAUUUUUAGAAAUUGUGAACAUUUUUUAACAAUUUUCUUGAAUAGGCAAAUAAUUCUAAAAUGGACGAACAUUGUUUUAGAAAUCGGUGGAACCAUUUUUGAAAUUCACGAACAUUUUUUGAUUUUACAAACAUAUUUUGAAAUGCAUGAUCAUUUUUUGAAUCAGCGAACAUUCUAUGAAUGAAUAAACUAUUUUGUAAGUCACGAAUAGUUUUUCAAAUAUUUGGUUAUUUCCCCAUUCAUGAACAUUUUUUGAAUGAUGAGAUGUUCUUCAAUUACAUUAAAAAAAAUUUAUACACGAAUUUUUAAAAAGUCAUGAACGUAUUUUGAUUUCAUGAACAUUUGUUUCCGAAAUUUCGAACAUUUUUUGAGUCAGAUUCCUUAAUAAAAUUGCAAAUAUUUUUUGAAUACACAAACAUUUUAUGAUUUAUCAAACCUUUAUUUGAAAAUUAUUUUCUAAAUUUCAAAUAUUUUUUUGUAUUCCGAAAUUAUUUAAAAAAUAAAAAAGGAAAAAGAUAAAAAGUGAAAUGUUAAAAACAGGCCGCCCGGACAUGGGCCCGCCCAGAUAUGCGGCCCACGCCUUAUCCCUCCCCGCAGAGCCGAGUAUGUGAGGUCCCUACUACAUGGGCCUGUCCAGACGGGGAUUUCCCUGUGUGAAACAUUUAUAUCACUUAUAUGUGACAUUUGUGGGUAAUUUCUAUGACGUGCCAUAAGAAGAAAUAGCCCCUUUUAUUACUAGCAAAAGGGUCCGUGCGUUGUAACGGGAGAAAUAAAAUCAAAAUCUCCAAUGACCAUGACCAUAUUUGCUACAUCACUGAGACACCCUAUCACUCUCAAUUUCAUGAAAUCAUGAAUAAUUUUUGAAAUCACGAACAUGUUUUAAAAUUCUUACACAUGUUUGGAAUCAUGAACAUUUUCCAAAUUCAUGAACACUCAUACAAAUUUUCAAACAUUUUCUAAAAUCAAGAACAUUUCUAGAAUUGAUGAAAAAAAUUAUACUAUUUGCAAACACUUAUUAAAAAUUCUGAACAUCUUUAUAAAUAAUUUUGUUUAAUCGGCAAACAUUUUAUGGAAAUUGAUGGAAAAAAAUUCGAAAUUCAAAAACAUUUUUCGUUUUGACUAAAUUUUUUGAAAUACAUGAUCAUUUUUUGAAACAGUGAACAUUUUCUGAAUGACUAAACUAUGUUGUAAGUCAAGAAAUAGUUUUUCAAUUUUAGGAUAUUUUUCCAUUCAUGAACAUUUUUUGAAUUAGCGAUUUAUUUCAAUUUCAUUAACAAUUUUUGAUACACAAAAUAUUUAGAAAAUCAUGAAUAUUAUUUGAUUUCCGAAAAUUUUGUUUUUAAAAUUUUGAACAUUUUUUGUGUAAGCAAUUAUUUUUUGCAAACUGCGACCAUAUUUUGAAUCCACAAGUAUUUUAUGAUUUAUGAAAAAUUUAUGUCAAAUUCUCAUUUUUUUUUUCGAAACUAUUUUGAAAUCUCAAAAUAUUUAUAGUAGAAAAGAAAAAAACAGGAAAGAAAAAUUAAAAUGGAAAACGAAAUUAAAAAAACAGGCCAGCCUGUAAUGGGCCAGCCCAAACAUGCGGGUAGCGUCUUCUCCCAGCGUGCAGAUAGCAUUAAAGGAGGUCCCAAGUGUAGGGCCGGCCCAGAUGGGGGAAUUCCCCUGUGUGAAUUUUUUUAUCACUUAUAUGUGGCAUUGAACUCAUGAAUCAUGCGCUAUCACAUCCAGCUAGCCGCCAUGUCUCGCUCGGACAACCAGAUGAACUUUCUUUCGUCCCUGUAAACAUUUUGACGAUAUAAUAAAAAGCUUUGGAAUUUGUCUAAAAAAAACUUAUAAGUGGCAUUGGUGGGUAAUAUUUUGUAACUUUAGAGGUAAUUUCCACGACGUACCACUAGAAGCGCAAUAGCCCAUUUACUAUUAUUAGGUACUCUUUUUUCCUUGUGGAGGUUUGGAAAUGAGAGAAUUUGAAUAUAGUAACUCUCGAAAACUCUUAUUGGACGAGAGAGAUUUAAUAUGAUAUUGGCAUGGGUUCUACCAACUAAACGAAGAAGUAUUUGACUGGAUAAACAGACAAUUUCCUUUAAUUGACAAACAUUUUUAUGAAAAUUGGUGGAACAACUUUUGAAAUUCAAAAAUAUUUUUUGAGUUAAUGAACAUUCUUUUAACUUAAUGAACAUUUUUUUUAAAUACAUGACCAUUUUUUUGAAUCUGUGAACGUUGUAUGAAUGAAUAAACUAGUUUCUAAGUCAUGAGCAGUUAUUCAAUUUUUAAGAUAUUUUUUCCUUCAUGAACAUUUUUUCAAUUGGUGAAAUUUUGUUCAAUUUCAUUAACAACCCUUUUUAAAAAAUCAUGAACAUUAUAUUUUACCAAAAAAGCAAAUUGUUUUUUUACAAAAUCGUGGACAUUUUUUGAAUCCACAAACCUUUUAUGAUUUAUGAAAUCCUAAAUUAUUUAAAGUAGAAAAAUCAUAAAAAGAAAAGAGAAAGGAAUAAUAGAAAACGAAGUUACAAAAAUAGGCCGACCGAACAUGGGCCGGCCCCAAACAGGCGCACUGCAUCUUCUCCGAGCGCCUAGAGCGUAGUAUAGGAGGUCCCUACUGCAUGGGCUGGCCUAAGCGUUGUCAAAUUUAUUCAUAUAUUAUUUUCGAUUGUACAACCAUAAUUUUUCUUAUCUCUCUCGUUCCACUACAUGCUCCUAGUCAAUGAAUUUCUUUAAUAAUGGUUGUUUUUAUUAACUCAAAAUAUAGCAUCAAGCAGAUACAAAACAUAAUGAGCCACACCCGGUCUAUGCAUAACUAAGAUGCACACAGCCAAAAGCAGAAGUCUGACAAAAAUAAGAUAAGAAGAUCGAUAUAUCGACAACAGUGAGUCAUAUAGUUGGUUUUGGGUUGGGAACGGCGGUGGCCUGCCAGAGGGCAAGACACUGGCUGUGUACGCUGGUGUCACCUGGUGUGGCAUUCGUGGGACCCAAGUGGUAGCGCCUCCUCAGUGAUGGCGGCGAGCGCGGACGUGUUGGACACCACCUCGUCUAUGUCCAUGCAGCCCACUUCUUUCUCUGUAGGAAGGACGCGGUUACACUCGCGUUGACAUCGGAUGACUCGGUCACAGGCACGGGAGGGGUGAGAGGACAUGGCACCGUCAAUGGCAGCCACGAUGCCCGUGCCACCGUGCUCCCUCCCUGUGCCGACCUGGAGCAACUUGCCACUCCUCGGCUCGUGGCCGGCGGGCUUUACGGGCCACCUAGCCAUUUUUAUGCCAGACAACUCUUCUUCCUGCUCGUCAGAUGCCAUGGAGAAAACUGUUCAAGGAGGAAAAUGGUGAGUGGAGGUGUGAUGCGGUUCUUGCCCGACAUCUGGCAUUGUUUAAAUAGCGAGGGGACACGAGGAGCCAAGCGACAUUCUGUUUAAUGCCAACCGGCUCACGAAUGAACAUGUGGCCGGAGUAAUUAUCCUGGAACACACGUGGGUUUAAUGAUGGAAGGCGGGCAGUCUGCAAGAAUGAGGCGAGGAUGUGUGUUUAGCCGGCGUGCAGCGGGCGGCGCCCUCGGCCGGCGCUCUGCUUCCAUUGCGGAGGCAGUGAGAGGCCGCGUCCGCUCUGCAGCGCAUGAAUGCGGGCAGCUGGCGCAGAGCGGGAACGCGUGCGGGCGAGGGAGGAGGGGGUUUGGGUGGGCAUGGGUGGUCAGAAGCGGUCGUGGGUGUUGUCCGAACACCUGCAAAGCCCCCCUCCAUGUUUGUCUCCGGUUUACGGGAGAAAGUACGUCCAGACCUUCCAAUGGACCGAUACAGGCCCGCAUUGGAUGGCACAACACGUCCGGACCAUGUGGUCCGGAUGGUUCAGGACGGUUUAAUUGAGGGUUGACGUUGGAGAUGCCUUAGAGUUUAUGAAUCCAUUGUGUUUUUCUAAUCAUAAAAAAACACUUAUAAUAAGUUAGAAGGAAAGACACGUUUAUAUGUUAGGUUCAGACUCCAGCUUUCCUCUUACAUAUGCUUUAUUCUGAUCCGACUGAUUCCAAUAGAGGGAGCCUGGCGUUGUUUUUCUGGAAACUCGCGGGAUAAAGAGACUUGCAUACACAUUCUUUCAAGCAAAUCACAUCCAUUCUUUUAACUCAUUUUUCUUAUUUUAAUAAUAUAAUAGAUCAUUUAUAUUUUUUAUCUCAAACAGUUGACGUGUAAUUUAUAUUGUAAUCUGAGGAUAAUGUUUGGAUUUUACUUUCAAAUAUAUUUGAAAUGGCCAUGAUGGAAUCACAUCCAUUUAUUUUAUUAUUAUUUGAAUUUGAUCCAAAAGAUAAAUAAUGAGUAGAGGUCAUGUCAACUUUUCUAGAACUUUGCUAAUCAAAAUAUAAUUUGUAUUUAAAAACAUCUAUUUUUUAGCACGCAUGAAAAACAUAACAUUGUAUCUUUUCACACAUAAUGAACGGUUGUCAUAAGAACUCAUGCCAUGCCACAACCUCCCUCCGACCCUGCCAACAUUGUUGCAGAUGCACUAGCAAGCCUUAGCGUAGAUGAUCAUUUAUACGAUUUGCGUAAAACAAAAUAAGAUCUACAAACGAAUAGAAGCUAGAACGUACCUUGGCAUGCACACACAUUGCAAGCCAUACUAAGCUGACAAGUGUUAAUAACUUGUACAAUAUAUACAACACUUAAGACAAGUAAAAACAAUUUCACGAGUCAUGGUCUAUCAAAGCAAGCCACAUUACUAGUCUAAUCCAUCUUAACAGGUCACACAUGAUUAAAAUCUUGUUUGUGUGCAAGUCAAGCUUAUCUAGUUUACAUGUAACAACUUGUAGAACAUUACAAAAUUUAUGUUUGCUAAUAACUUCUAGAACACUACAACACUUGACAUGUAAAAGGAAUUUGAUGAGUCAUGGCCUACUAAAGCAAGUUAUAUUACUAGUCUUAUCUACCUUAACAGGCCACACAAGAUUACAAACUAAGUAACGUGCCAGCCAUGCUUAUCUAGUUUAUGCGCAACAAUUCGCAGAAAAUUACAAACUUAGUUUCAGAAAAUAGGUAAUCUAGAUUAGUGUUUGAGCUGUAAAGUAAAUAAGAUGAGUCAAGCGUGUUAUCACACGUUUUUGGUUGUGGAAUGAUAGUGCAAUAACAAGGAACUUUAAUGACCAGUCCAAGAAUACACUUGUAAGUAGUGCUACCGAACACAACAUACCAAAUUAUGAUUUUGAGAAGCAUCCAAGCACUUUCCACACAGGCAAAUGCCAAUUGUGAAAGAGAUCAUGCCAUGGUAGCUAUAAAUACGCUCGUAGCAUGAUGACCAUCCUUCCUCAUCCAUCAUUCUCAUAAGUAGAGUGCAUCAUUUAAGCCAAGCAAGCAGUGGUCAAUACAAAUCCAUCAUGAAGACCAUUCUCAUCCUUGCCCUCCUUACUAUCGUGGCGACCACCGCCACAACUGCAGUUAGAGUCCAAGUUCCACAAUUGUAGCCACAAAAUCCAUCUCAGCAACAGCCACAAGAGCAAGUUCCAUUGGUACAACAACAACAAUUUCCAGGGCAGCAACAACCAUUUCCACCACAACAGCCAUAUCCGCGGCCGCAACCAUUUUCAUCACAACAACCAUAUCUGCAGCUGCAACCAUUUCCGCAGCCGCAACUACCAUAUCCGCAGCCGCAACCAUUUCGACCACAACAACCAUAUCCACAACCGCAACCACAGUAUUAGCAACCACAACAACCAAUUUCGCAGCUGCAGCAGCAACAACAACAACAAUAGCAACAACAACAGCAACAAAAACAGCAGCAACAACAACAGCAGCAGCAACAACAACAACAACAGCAACAACACCAGCAACAACAGCACCAACAGCAGUAGCAGCAGCAGCAACAACAACAANNNNNNNNNNCAACAACAACAACAACAACAACAACAACAACAACAACAACAACAACAACAACAACAACAACAACAACAACAACAACAACAACAACAACAACAACAACAACAACAACAACAACAACAACAACAACAACAACAACAACAACAACAACAACAACAACAGCAGCAGCAGCAGCAGCAGCAGCAACAACAACAACAACAACAACAACAACAACAACAACAACAACAACAACAACAACAACAACAANNNNNNNNNNNNNNNNNNNNNNNNNNNNNNNNNNNNNNNNNNNNNNNNNNNNNNNNNNNNNNNNNNNNNNNNNNNNNNNNNNNNNNNNNNNNNNNNNNNNNNNNNNNNNNNNNNNNNNNNNNNNNNNNNNNNNNNNNNNNNNNNNNNNNNNNNNNNNNNNNNNNNNNNNNNNNNNNNNNNNNNNNNNNNNNNNNNNNNNNNNNNNNNNNNNNCAACAAUAACAACAACAAAUUUUGCAACAACAACAACAACAAAUUUUGCAACAACAACAACAACAACAAAUUUUGCAACAACAACUGAUUCCAUGCAGGGAUGUUGUAUUGCAACAACACAACAUAGCGCAUGGAAGCUCACAAGUUUUGCAACAAAGUACUUACCAGCUGGUGUAACAAUUGUGUUGUCAGCAGCUGUGGCAGAUUCCCGAGCAGUCGCGGUGCCAAGCCAUCCACAAUGUUGUUCAUGCUAUUAUUCUGCAUCAACAACAACAACAACCGUCGAGCCAGGUCUCCUUCCAACAGCCUCAACAACAAUAUCCAUCAGGCCAAGGCUCCUUCCAGCCAUCUCUGCAAAACCCACAGGCCCAUGGCUCUGUCCAGCCUCAACAACUGCCCCAGUUUGAGGAAAUAAGGAACCUAGCGCUACAGACGCUACCUGCAAUGUGCAAUGUCUACAUCCCUCCAUAUUGCACCAUUGCUCCAUUUGGCAUCUUCGGUACUAACUGAGAAGAGAAGAACUCUAGUACUAGAUAUAUGAAGCAUUGUUUUCUUAGUCCAUGGUUUGGUCGUUGUUGCUGUGAAAAAAUAAAGUGGCAUGCACUAUCAUGUAAGAACCCGAACUAUACUAGUUCAAACUUGGGAAUAAAAGACAAACACAAGUCUUGUCUACAUAUGAUUCUUUGUUUGAUUUCCAUUCAUGUGCGCAUUCACAAGUUCACCCCUAAUUAUAUAUAUAUGCAUUAAGUAGAUAUUUAUGUUGCAUUAAUCUAAAGAUAACAAAAUGACUCUAAAAUUUGAAUUAAAUUGAAGUAUUUCCUUGGAAUUUCAAAUGGAAUAUUAUUAAAGUAGUAAGGACUAUCCACAUCCUUGGCUUGCCCUUGAUCAAUUAUUUGCAGAGAAGCAUUCAAUUUGUCAAUCAACAUGAGUAUAUUCAUCGCGGCUACUCCAAAUCGGCAUGAAUGAGGUACCGGUGCUCUGGAGCACUACUAGCUAACUGCUUCUCAUGUGAAGGGGUGCGGGCGCGGGAGAGGUGUUUCUGGUGGGGCAGGGGAGUAUGAAGCGGCCGUGGCAGCGGUCCAGAUGCCCACAAAGACCCGUAGUUUGUUUUUGGUUUACAGGAAAGUGCACAUCCAGACCGGCCUGCGGGCCGAUAUAGGACCGUAUUGGAUGGCAAAACAUGUCCGGAUGGUUGCGAGUGGUUUGGGGGUUAGCUUUUGUAAUGCCCGGUUAGUUAUGCUAUAGUAAUUCCCUGCUAGUGAUGCCACGUCACCCUGAUUACUGUUGUUAACCUCACAAUUAUUCAAUCCCAUUCAAAUUCAAAUUUAAAAUAAAGGCAAACAUCAAAAGUUUUCAAACAUUAAAACUAAAAUCUUCGAGAGGUGAAAAAUAAUGCGUAAGUAAUUAUGCUGGAGAAACCACACUUUUACAAAAUGUUUAAAUACUAUAAAAUGAAUAAAACAGUGGCUUAAACUAUUAUUAAAAUGCUUUUAAAAUAGUAAAAAUGUUAUAACUAAAUUAAUUGGGUGCCAAACUUUUGGUGGCAGUGGUAUAUUUAGUAGAACUAAUUUAGAUGCUAAUUAUAUAAUUUACAAAAUUAAAGUAAAUUGAAAACAGGAUAAAACAGAAAAGGAGAGACAAAACAAAUAAAAGCAAAAGGGGGCAACUCCUCGCUGGGCCUCGGCCAAGCUGGCCACUGGGCUAGCUAGGCCGACCCAGCCGCCUACAUUAACCCACCACUCCCCAUCGAACCCUAGCCCGAUCUCCCCACUUCCCCCACACCCCCUUGAUGUCUACUACGCAACUUUAUUCUUAUAGACACGUGUUGGGCCUCCAAGCGCAGAGUUUUGUAGGAUAGUAGCAAUUUUCCCUCAAGUGGAUGACCUAAGGUUUAUAAAUCCGUGGGAGGCGUAGGAUGAAGAUGGUCUCUCUCAAACAACCCUGCAAUCAAAUACAAGAAAUCUCUUGUGUCCCUAACACACGCAAUACAAUGGCAAAUUGUAUAGGUGCACUAGUUCAGUGAAGAGAUGGUGAUAAAAGUGUAAUUUUGAUGGUAGAAAUAUAUUUUUAUAAUCUGAAUAAAUAAAAACAGCAAGUUGGGAAAUAGUAAAUGGGCACAAAAACGGUAUUGCAAUGCUUGAAACCAAGGCCUAGGGUCCGUAAUUUUGCUAGUGCAAUUUCUCAACAGUGCUAAUAUAGUUGGAUCAUAUGAUUAUCCCUCAAAGUGCAAUAAAGAAUCACUCCCGAGUUCCUAAUAGCGGAGAACAAAAGAUAGAAAUUGUUUGUAGGGUAUGAAACCACCUCAAAGCUUCGGUUCGAUCUGUUCAAGAUUUCGUACUAAAAUAACACAAAGCUAUUUUUUCCGUUCGAUCUGUCCUAGAGUUCGUACUAAAAUAACACCAAAGCAAAUUCAUAUUCAUAAUACACAAUCCACACAAAGAACUACAAAGAGACCCCAAAGUUUCUAUCGGAGAAAAGAUAAUAAAAACGUGCAUCAUCCCCUAUGCAUAGAUUACCCCAACAUCACCUUGGGAAACCGCAAGUUGAGUGCCAUAACAUAUAUCAAGUGAAUCAAUACGAUACCCCAAUGUCACCUCAAGUAUUCAUACCGCAAGACAUACAUCAUGUGUUCUCAUAUCUGAAUAUUCAAUCCGACAAGACAAAACUUCAAAGGCUAAAGAUUCAGAGUAUAGAGGGGAGAAACAUCAUAUGAUCCAUCUAUAUUAACAAAGCCCAUGAUAUAGAUCACGAGAGAGAGAUUAAACACAUAGCUACUGGUACAAACCCUCAGCCCCGAGGGUGGACUACUCCCUCCUCAUCGUGGUGGCCGCCAGGAUGACGAAGAUGGCCACCAAAGAUGAUUCCCCCCUCCGGCAGGGUGCCAUAAAGGGUCUAGAUUGGUUUUCGGUGGAUACAGAGCCUAGCGGCGGCGGAACUUCUGAUCUAGGUUAACCCCAAAGGGUUUCGGAAUAUUUGGGAAUUUAUAGUGCAAAGAGGGGGUGCGGGAGGCCACCGAGGUGGGCACAACCCACCUGGGCGCGCCAGGGGGCCCUGGCGCGCCCUGGUGGGUUGUGCCCCCCUCAUGCUUCUUCGGCCCACUGUUGGUCUUCUAGUCCAUAAAAAAUCUCCAUGAAGUUUCAUUGCAUUUGGACUCCGUUUAGUAUUGAUUUCCUGCGAUGUAAAAAACAAGCAAAAACGGCAACUGACACUGGGUCAAUAGGUUAGUCCCAAAAAAUGAUAUAAAGAUGCUAUAAAAUGAUUGUAAAACAUCCAAGAAUGAUAAAAUAACAGCAUGAAUACUUCAUAAAUUAUAGAUACGUUCGAGACGUAUCAGCAUCCCCAAGCUUAAUUCCUACUCGUCCUCGAGUAGGUAAAUGAUAAAAGAAAUAAUUUAUGAAGUGUGAAUGCUAGGAAAGUGCACAAGUUUGAUCAAUCACAAUUUCAAUCACUUUUCCUAGCAUCAUAACCGCGAUUCUUUCUUAUAAAACUUCUCAUGAUACAAUGGCAACCAAUUCACAUAUUAAGGUUCAAACAGUGAAUUCUCUUAAAACUCAACAACCUAUGUUCUUAGUCACCAAGCAAUUGCAAUUCAACUUAUUCAACGGAGUUUAAGUAAGAGCUCCACAUACUCAACCAUCUUAUAGUCUUCUAUGAUUGCUAACACUCACCGCAUACACAUGGGCAAAACGUUUCAACCGGACACAUAGAAAGAUAGGGGCUUAUUGUUUUUCCUCCCAACGUAUUCACCUCAAGGGUGAUGUCAACAAUAAUAACUCAUGCUACCCAUAUUCAACUGGACAUAUGUGCCUAGAUCUUUCCUCACCACAUGAUGCUUGCCAAAGGAGAAAAAUAGAAAGGAAUAGAGAGAAAAACUUUGACUCUUUGCAUAAAAGUAAAUACUGGAAAGUAAAAGAUAGGCCCUUCGCAGAGGGAAGCAGAGGUUGCCAUGCGCUUAUUUGUUUGUAUGCUCAACCCAUUAGUGAAAAAGAACGUCACGUUAUAUUGCCCCUUAUGAUAGCAACCUUUAUUAUGCAUUCUGUCGCUUUUAUUCUUUGCCAUCACAUGUUCGUACAAUGCUCAAUUUUCUCUUACACUAAAUGAUCUCACACUUUUAGAAGCAAUUUUUAUUGCCUUAUUGCACUGAUGACAACUUACUUGAAGAAUCUUAUUGAAUCCUUAGGUAGGUAUGGUGGACUCUUGAAAAUAAGAUUUGGGUUUAAGGGUUUUUGGAUGCACAAGUAGUAUCUCUACUUGGUGCGGAAUUUUUGGCUAGCAAAGAUGGGGGGCAAGCACCACAUGUUGAAGGAUCUAUGACAAUAUUACUUCUAUGUGAAUAUGAGCAAACAUAAAUCAUUAUGUUGUCUUCCUUGUCCAACGUCAACAAUUUUGGCAUAUAAUAUUUUGAUGGGGGCUCACAAUCACAAAAUAUUUCCAAGAUAGUGUGUUUGCAUGUGAAAGUUCUCUUCCUUAUACUAAUUAUUCGUGAAUUGAUUGUAUGACCAAAAUUUUGAUUGUCAAGCCUCAGAAGAUUUCACUUUCUAAACCCAAUGUGAAGCUACCACUAGGAAUGAUAUGAUUUCAUCUUCAUGACAUUCAAUUUAUUAAAAAAUUUACUCAUAGGAUAUAAGUGAAGCACAAGAGGAAUUCCAAAGAAAGAGCUUCGUUGACGGGAUGUGAAUGUCGCUUACUUAGCUUCCUUGGCAACUAUUUGAGGACUCUAUUUUUUUUAAAACUUUCAGAUCUAAGUAUUUUAUUAAAACAAUAAGGAAAACAAAAUAAAAUGACAUUCCAAGGAUAGCACAUAUCAUGUGAAGAAGCAAAAACUUAGGCUCAACCGAUACUAACCGAUAAUUGUUGAAGGAAAAAGGUGGGAUGCCUACUGGGGCAUCCCCAAGCUUAGAUGCUUGAGACUUCUUGAAAUAUUAUCUUGGGAUGACUUGGGCAUCCCCCAAGCUUGAGAUUUUGUGUCUCCUUAAUUUUUCUCAUAUCACGGUUUUCCUAAAUCUCAAAAGCUUCAUCCACACAAAACUCAACAAGAACUCAUGAGAUAAGUUAGUAUAGACCAAUGCAAAAGCCUUAUCAAUCUCUACUGUAGCAAAUCACUAAAAUUAUUAUUCAACAUUGCAUACUAAAUGCCUCUUCACAUUUAAUACUCCUAUCCUUAAAUAGAGUCAUUAAACAAGCAAACAUAUGCAAACAAUGCAAACAUAACAGCAAUCUGCCAAAACAGUAUAGUCUGUAAAGAAUGCAAGAGUAUCAAUACUUCCCUAACUCCAAAAAUUAUGAAAUUCUACCAUACUGUAGAGAAUUUAUCAGAUCUUAUUACGCAAAAAGUUUCAACAUUUUAUCACACUCUGACUUUUCUAGGGAAUUUUUGCAACAGCGGUAAACUUUCUGUUUUCAAACAGCAACAUGUAGACUUGUAAAAUAAGCAUAGUAAAGGUUAUCCUUGACAUUUUUAUUGAAAUAAAAGAUGCAAAACAUUAUUAUAAAUAAAAUAAAGCAAUUCCUAACAAAAAAACUUUACACUCCAAGCAAAACUCAUAUCAUGUGAAGAAUAAAAACAUAGCUCCAAGUGAGGUUACCGAUAAUGUUGGAGACGAAAGAGGGGAUGCCUUCCAGGGCAUCCCCAAUCUUAGUUGCUUGGAUAUUCCUUGAGUAUUAUUUUGGGGUGCCUUGGGCAUCCCCAUGCUUAGGGUCUUGACACUCCUUAUUCUCCUCAUAUCGAUAUCUCACCCAAAACUUGAAAACUUCAAUCACACAAAACUUAACAGAACUUCGUGAGAUAGGUUGGUAUAAUAAAGAGCAAACCAUUUCACUUUUGGUACUGUGAAAGACAAGAUUCAUAAUUUUUCUCACACAAUUCCUACUGUAGAAUAUCAUUUCCACAAUUUAUAUUGAGCAAUAUAAGCCAUAGAAACUAGAAAGCAAGCAAACUAUGCAUUGAAAACAGAAUCUGUCAAAAACAGAACAGUCUGUAAUAAUCUGGAUAACUGCCAUACUUCUUGUACUCCAAAAAUUAUGAAAAAAUUAGGACCACGUGAGAAAUUUGUAUAUUAAACUUCUGCAAAAAUAAUCAACUCAAAAUCACUCUUCUGUUAAAAAUGAGACUUAUUUUCAUGAGCGCAAAAGUUUCUGUUUUUCAGCAGGGUCAAAUCAACUAUCACCCAACAUGAUCCCAAAGGCUUUACUUGGCACUUUAUUGAAACAAAAGCUAUAAAAAUGAUCAAUGCAGUAGCAUAAUCAUGUUAACACACAAAAACCGUAAGUAAAAGUGUUGGGUUGUCUCCCAACAAGCGCUUUUCUUUAAUGCCUUUUAGCUAGGCAUGAUGAGUUCAAUGAUGCUCGCAUAAAAUUAAGAUAAGAAUUGAAACACAAAGAGAGCAUCAUGAAGAAUAUGACUAGCACAUUUAAGUCUAACCCACUUCCUAUUUAUUGGGAUUUUGUUAGCAAACAAUUUAUGGGAGCAAGAAUCAACUAGCAUAGGAAGGCAAAACAAGCAUAGCUUCAAAACUUUCAACAUAAAGAGAGGAAACUUGAUAUUAUUGAACCUAAUAGCAUAUGUUCCUCUCUCGUAAUAAUUUUCAGUAGCAUCAUGAAUGAAUUCAACAAUAUAAACAUCACAUAAAGCAUUCUUUUCAUGAUCCACAAGCAUAGAAAUUUUGUUACUCUCCACAUAAGAAAAUUUCUUCUCAUCAAUAGUAGUGCGAGCAAACUCAACAAAAUAACUCUCAUGUGAUUGGAAAUUAAAAUCAUGAUGACAAGUUUCAUGUUUAUAAUUAUUCAAUAUAGCAUAUAUGUCAUCACCAUAAUCAUCAUAUAUAGGAACUUUGUUGUCAUAAUCAAUUGCAACCUCCUCCAAAAUAGUGGAUUCAUCAUUAAAUAAAGUCACGACCUCUCCAAAUCCACUUUCAUCAAUAUAAUCAUCAUAAAUAGGAGGCAUGCAAUCAUCAUAAUAAAUUUUCUCAUUAAAACUUGGGGGACUAAAAAUAUCAUCUUCAGCAAACAUAGCAUCCCCAAGCUUAUGGCUUUGCAUAUCAUUAGCAUCAUGGAUAUUCAAAGAAUUCAUACUAACAACAUUGCAAUCAUGCUCAUCAUUCAAAUAUUUUGUGCCAAACAUUUUAUUGACUUCUUCUUAUAACAAUUGAGAACAAUUUUCCGAUCCAUCAUUUUCAAGAAAGAUAUUAUAAAGAUGAUCAAUAAUAUGAUGCAACCUCAAUUCCAUUUUUUAUGUAGUUUUCUUUUAUAAACCAAACUAGUGAUAAAACAAGAAAGUAAAAUAUUUAAUUGCAAGAUCUAAAGAUAUACCUUCAAGCACCCACCUCCCCGGCAAUGGUGUCAGAAAAGAGCUUGAUGUCUACUACGCAACUUUAUUCUUGUAGACACGUGUUGGGCCUCCAAGCGCAGAGUUUUGUAGGACAGUAGCAAUUUUCCCUCAAGUGUAUGACCUAAGGUUUAUCAAUCUGUGGGUGGCGUAGGAUGAAGAUGGUGUCUCUCAAACAACCCUGCAAUCAAAUACAAGAAAUCUCUUGUGUCCCCAACACACCCAAUAAAAUGGCAAAUUGUAUAGGUGCACUAGUUCGGCGAAGAUAUGGUGAUAAAAGUGUAAUUUUGAUGGUAGAAAUAUAUUUUUAUAAUCUGAAUAAAUAAAAACAGCAAGGUAGCAAAUUUUAAACGGGCACAAAAACGGUAUUGCAAUGCUUGAAAACAAGGCCUAGGGUCCGUAAUUUCGCUAGUGCAAUUUCUCAACAAUGCUAACAUAGUUGGAUCAUAUGAUUAUCCCUCAAAGUGCAAUAAAGAAUCACUCCCGAGUUCCUAAUAGCGGAGAACAAAAGAUAGAAAUUGUUUGUAGGGUACGAGACCACCUCAAAGCUUCCGUUCGAUCUAUUCAAGAGUUCAUACUAAAGUAACACAAAGCUAUUUUUCCGUUCGAUCUAUCCUAGAGUUCGUACUAAAAUAAGACCAAAGCAAAUUCAUAUUCAUAAUACUCAAUCCACACAAAGAACUACAAAGAGACCCCAAAGUUUCUAUCGGAGGAAAGAUGAUAAAAACGUGCAUCAUCCCCUAUGCAUAGAUUACCCCAACGUCACCUCGGGAAUCCGCAAGUUGAGUGCCAUAACAUAUAUCAAGUGAAUCAAUACGAUACCCCAUUGUCACCUCAAGUAUUCAUACCGCAAGACAUACAUCAUGUGUUCUCAUAUCUGAAUAUUCAAUUCGACAAGAAAAAACUUCAAAGGCUAAAGAUUCAAUUCAUCACAACAAGAGUAUAGAGGGGAGAAACAUCAUAUGAUCCAUCUAUAUUAACAAAGCCCAUGAUAUAGAUCACGAGAGAGAGAUUAAACACAUAGCUACUGGUACAAACCCUCAGCCCCGAGGGUGGACUACUCCCUCCUCAUCGUGGUGGCCGCCGAGAUGAUGAAGAUGGCCAUCAGAGAUGAUUCCCCCCCUCCGGCAGGGUGCCAGAAAGGGUCUAGAUUGGUUUUCGGUGGAUAAAGAGCCUUGCGGCGGCGAAACUUCUGAUCUAGGUUAACCCCGAAGGGUUUCGGAAUAUUUGGGAAUUUAUAGUGCAAAGAGGGGGUGCGGGAGGCCACCGAGGUGGGCACAACCCACCUGGGCGCCAGGGGGCCCUGGUGUGCCCUGGUGGGUUGUGCCCCCUCGGGGCACCCCUAGGUGCUUCUUCGGCCCACUGUUGGUCUUUCGGUCCAUAAAAAAUCUCCGUGAAGUUUCAUUGCAUUUGAACUCCGUUUGGUAUUGAUUUCCUGCGAUGUAAAAAACAAGCAAAAAACAGCAACUGGCACUGGGCACUGGGUCAAUAGGUUAGUCCCAAAAAAUGAUAUGAAGUUGCUAUAAAAUGAUUGUUAAACAUCCAAGAAUGAUAAAAUAACAGCAUGAAUACUUCCUAAAUUAUAGAUACGUUGGAGACGUAUCACCACUCGUUAGCCUCCCCACCUCUCGAUCCCAUCUGGAUCGGGGAGGUGAUCGCCCCCAUCAACCCCAUUACCGUCACCGGAUCGCUCGCUCGCCCAUUGCCCACCGGCGUCGCCGGGCCUCCUCCCCGCCCCCCCGUCUCUGGCUCGCCUCCCCCUCGCUCCUCUUCCCCGACCCGAUCUGGAUCCGGAAGGGGCAAUGAGCCUGACGCGCCCCCUUCACCGACGCCGUGUGCCACUACCGCCGCCCAAAGACCUCGCCGUCGCCGGACCUCGCGUCGCCUCCUCGUAUCCUUCCCCGACUCGCCUCCUCAAGCCACGCCGGACCCCUUCUCGGCAAUGUUGUGAGCCGCCCCCCGUUGCCUUCCUCCUCUUUCCACCGCGUUUACCGCGCCGCCAACCGUGCCCCUCGCCGCGCGCACGCCCACCACCACGCCAGCCCCCGCUUCGCACCCUCUCCUGCACGCUUGCGCGCGCAUUACCCUAGCCGUGCCCGUGGCACGAUCCCCUUGUUCGCCCCGCCUUCGUCCCGCGCUCGCCGCGGUCCCCUGCUACCUCUUGAGCACUGCGUUGGUUUUCCCUUGAAGAGGAAAGGGUGAUGCAGUAAAGUAGCGUAAGUAUUUCCCUCAGUUUUUGAGAACCAAGGUAUCAAUCCAGUAGGAGACCACGCACGAGUCCCCCGCACCUACACAAACAAACAAGAACCUCGCAACCAAUGCGAUAAAGGGGUUGUCAAUCCCUCAACGGUCACUUACGAGAGUGAGAUCUAAUAGAUAUGAUAAAAGAUAAUAUUUUUGGUAUUUUUAUGAUAAAGAUGCAAAGUAAAAUAGAAGGCAAUAAAAAUAGCUAAGUGUUGGAAGAUUUAUAUGAUGGAAAAUAGACCCGGGGCCAUAGGUUUCACUAGUGGCUUCUCUCGAGAGCAUAAGUAUUACGGUGGGUGAACAAAUUACUGUUGAGCAAUUGACAGAAUUGAGCAUAGUUAUGAGAAUAUCUAGGUAUGAUCAUGUAUAUAGGCAUGACGUCCGAGACAAGUAGACCGACUCCUGCCUGUAUCUACUACUAUUACUCCACACAUCGACCGCUAUCCAGCAUGCAUCUAGAGUAUUAAGUUCAAAAGAACAGAGUAACGCUUUAAGUAAGAUGACAUGAUGUAAAGGGAUAAACUCAUGCAAUAUGAUAUAAACCCCAUCUUGUUAUCCUCGAUGGCAACAAUACAAUACGUGCCUUGCCGCCCCUACUGUCACUGGGAAAGGACACCGCAAGAUUGAACCCAAAGCUAAGCACUCUCCCAUUGCAAGAAAGAUCAAUCUAGUAGGCCAAACCAAACUGAUAAUUCAAAGAGACUUGCAAAGAUAACCAAUCAUACAUAAAAUAAUUCAGAGAAAAUUCAAAUAUUGUUCAUAGAUAAACUUGAUCAUAAACCCACAAUUCAUCGGUCUCAACAAACAAACCGCAAAAGAAGAUUACAUCGAAUAGAUCUCCACGAGAAUCAUGGAGAACUUUGUAUUGAGAUCCAAAGAGAGAGAAGAAGCCAUCUAGCUAAUAACUAUGGACCCGAAGGUCUGAGGUAAACUACUCACACAUCAUCGGAGAGGCUAUGGUGUUGAUGUAGAAGCCCUCCGUGAUCAAUGCCCCCUCCGGCAGGACGCCGGAAAAGGCCCCAAGAUGGGAUCUCACNNNNNNNNNNNNNNNNNNNNNNNNNNNNNNNNNNNNNNNNNNNNNNNNNNNNNNNNNNNNNNNNNNNNNNNNNNNNNNNNNNNNNNNNNNNNNNNNNNNNNNNNNNNNNNNNNNNNNNNNNNNNNNNNNNNNNNNNNNNNNNNNNNNNNNNNNNNNNNNNNNNNNNNNNNNNNNNNNNNNNNNNNNNNNNNNNNNNNNNNNNNNNNNNNNNNNNNNNNNNNNNNNNNNNNNNNNNNNNNNNNNNNNNNNNNNNNNNNNNNNNNNNNNNNNNNNAAGUCCUUUGGAUCACGUUCGUUCCGAAAAUCACGUUCCCGAAGGUUUCAUUCCGUUUGGACUCCGUUUGAUAUUCUUUUUCUGCGAAACUCUGAAAUAGGCAAAAAACAACAAUUUGGGCCGGGCCUCCGGUUAAUAGGUUAGUCCCAAAAAUGAUAUAAAAGUGUAUAAUAAAGCCUGUUAAACAUCCAAAACAGAAUAUAAUAUAGCAUGAAGCAAUCAAAAAUUAUAGAUACGUUGGAGACGUAUCAAGCAUCCCCAAGCUUAAUUCCUGCUCGUCCUCGAGUAGGUAAAUGAUAAAAACAGAAUUUUUGAUGCGGAAUGCUACUUGGCAUAAUUUUCAAUGUAAUUCUCUUAUUUGUGGUAUGAAUGUUCAGAUCCGAAAGAUUCAAGACAAAAGUUUAAUAUUGACAUAAAAAUAAUAAUUCUUCAAGCAUACUAACUAAGCAAUUAUGUCUUCUCAAAAUAACAUGGCCAAAGAAAGUUAUCCCUACAAAAUAAUAUAGUCUGGCUAUGCUCUAUCUUCACCACACAACGUAUUUAAAUCAUGCACAACCCCGAUGACAAGCCAAGCAAUUGUUUCAUACUUUUGGUGUUCUCAAACUUUUUCAAUCUUCACGCAAUACAUGAGCGUGAGCCAUGGACAUAGCACUAUAUGUGGAAUAGAAUGGUGGUUGUGGAGAAGACAAAAAGAGGGAGAAGAUAGUCUCACAUCAACUAGGCGUAUCAACGGGCUAUGGAGAUGCCCAUUAAUAGAUAUCAAUGUGAGUGAGUAGGGAUUGCCAUGCAAUGGAUGCACUAGAGCUAUAAGUAUAUGAAAGCUCAACAAAAGAAACUAUGUGGGUGUGCAUCCAACUCGCUUGCUCACGCAGACCUAGGGCAUUUUGAGGAAGCUCAUCAUUGGAAUAUACAAGCCAAGUUCUAUAAUGAAAAAUUCCCACUAGUAUAUGAAAGUGAUAUCAUAGGAGACUCUCUAUCAUGAAGAUCAUGGUGCUACUUUGAAGCACAAGUGUGGUAAAAGGAUAGUAACAUUGUCCCUUCUCUCUUUUUCUCUCAUUUUUUAGCUGGGCCUUUUCUCCUUUUUUAUGGCCUCUUUUUUUUAGUCCGAAGUCUCAUCCCGACUUAUGGGGGAAUCAUAGUCUCCAUCAUCCUUUCCUCACUUGGGACAAUGCUCUAAAAAUGAUGAUCAUUACACUUUUAUUUACUUACAACUCAACAAUUACAACUUAAUACUUAGAACAAAAUAUGACUCUAUGUGAAUGCCUCCGGCGGUGUACCGGGAUAUGCAAUGAAUCAAGAGUGACAUGUAUGAAAGAAUUAUGAAUGGUGGCUUUGCCACAAAUACGAUGUCAACUACAUGAUCAUGCGAGGCAAUAUGACAAUGAUGGAGCGUGUCAUAGUAAACGGAACGGUGGUAAGUUGCAUGGCAAUAUAUCUCGGAAUGGCUAUGGAAAUGCCAUGAUAGGUAGCUAUGGUGGCUGUUUUGAGGAAGGUAUAUGGUGGGUGUAUGAUACCGGUGAAAAGUGCGCGGUAUUAGAGAGGCUAGCAAUGGUGGAAGGAAGAAAAAUGUGUAUAAUCCAUGGACUCAACAUUAGUCAUAAAGAACUCAUAUACUUAUUGCAAAAAUCUACAAGUUAUCAAAGAAAAGUAUUACGCGCAUGCUCCUAGGGGGAUAGAUUGGUAGGAAAAUACCAUCGCUCGUCCCCGACCGCCACUCAUAAGGAAGAAAAUCAAUAAAUAAAUCAUUCUCCGACUUCAUCACAUAACGGUUCACCAUACGUGCAUGCAACGGGAAUCACAAACUUUAACACAAUUAUUUCUCAAAUCCACACCUACUCAACUAGCAUGACUCUAAUAUCACUAUCUUCAUAUCUCAAAACAAUUAUCAAGCAUCAAACUUCUCAUAGUAUUCAACACACUCAUAAGAAACUUUUUGUUAAUCUCGAAUGCCUAUCAUAAUUAAAGCAAAUUACCACGCUGUUUUGUAGGACUCUCAAAAUAAUAUAAGUGAAGCAUGAGAGAACAAUAGUUUCUAUAAAACAAAUCCACCACCGUGCUCUAAAAGAUAUAAGUGAAGCACUAGAGCAAAAACUAUAUAGCUCAAAAGAUAUAAGUGAAGCACAUAGAGUAUUCUAACAAAUUCCGAAUCAUGUGUGUCUCUCUCAAAAGGUGUGUGCAGAAAGGAUGAUUGUGGCAAACUAACAAAUAAAGACUCAAAUAAUACGAGACGCUCCAAGCAAAACACAUAUCACGUGGUGAAUAAAAAUAUAGCUCCAAGUAAAGUUACCGAUGGAAGUAGACGAAAGAGGGGAUGCCUUCCGGGGCAUCCCCAUGCUUUGGCUUUUUGGUAUCCUUAGAUUAUCUUGGGGUGCCAUGGGCAUCCCCAAGCUUAGGCUCUUUCCACUCCUUGUUCCAUAAUCCAUCAAAUCUUCCACCCAAAACUUGAAAACUUCACAACACAACACUUAACAAAAAAUCUCGUGAGCUCCGUUAGCGAAAGAAAACAAAACACCACUUCAAGGUACUGUAAUGAACUCAUUAUUUAUUUAUAUUGGUGUUAAACCUACUGUAUUCCAACUUCUCUAUGGUUUAUAAACUAUUUUAUUAGCCAUAGAUUCAUCAAAAUAAGCAAAGAACACACGAAAAACAGAAUCUGUCAAAAACAGAACAGUCUGUAGUAAUCUGUAACUAACGCAAACUUCUGGAACUCAAAAAGUUCAGCCAAAAUAGGACAACCUAUACCAUUUGUUUAUUGAUCAGAAGCACUUGGAAUCAAUAUUUUAUCUCGUUCCGGUGAUUUUUAACAAUUGUUUUCGUGAACAGAAAGUUUCUGGAAUUUUCAGCAAGAUCAAAUAACUAUCAUCCAAGAAGAUCCUAUAGGUUUAACUUGGCACAAACACUAAUUAAAACAUAAAAACAAAUCUAACCAUAGGUUAGAUCAAAGAUUUAUUCCUAAACAGAAGAAAAAAGUAAAAAACUAAAAAUAAAAUUGGGUUGCCUCCCAACAAGCGCUAUCGUUUAACGCCCCUAGCUAGGCAUAAAAGCAAGGAUAGAUCUAGGUAUUGCCAUCUAUGGUAGGAAAUUCUUCAAUAAGACACCUAUCACCCUUAGGAGUUUCUUUCUUUCUAUUAAUUAUCAAACUUCUAGGCACAAAAUCGAAAAAAGCAUUUGCAGCAAAUGGUUCCUUAAUGAUAGCAAGGAGAUUGGGAUGAACACUUAUUGAUUUGAGAUCCGCAGUUUCCUUAUUAGAGGAUUCACCCUUAUUUUUAGGAACAUACAUAAGCUUAGCAAUUUUAGUAGGAGGACUUGGGGUAUUCUUUACGGAAGAAAAGGCGGUUCCCAAGUUGGUAAUGAUACCCUCAAGUUUUUCUUCAUAAGAUUGCAUCAAAGCAUCAACGAUAUGUUUAGUAAAAGCUUUAUUUUGACUAUAAGCAUGUGGAGAAUUUAUCACGGAUUGCAACAAGGAAAUACAAUCUAUCAAAGAGCAAUUAUCAUAAUUAAAUUCCUCGAAAUCCAAAAUAGUGGGUUCAUUAAUAUCUAGAGUUUUGAUCUCUUCAAUCCCACUUUUACCAAUUUUUGCAUCAAGAUCUAUCAACUCCGAAUUUUUGGAACGCCUUCUAGGUAAAGGUGGAUCAUAUUCAGUCCCAUCAUUAUCAAGAUUAAUAUUGAAAAACAAAGAUUUAAUAGGGGACACAUCAAUAACUUUUAGAUCUUCAUCUUUAUUUUCAUAGAAACUAGAAGAACACGCUUUCACAAAGCAAUCUUUCUUAGCACGCAUCCUAGCGGUUCUUUCUUUGCACUCAUCAAUGGAAAUUCUCAUGGAUUUGAGAGACUCAUUGAUAUCAUGCUUAGGAGGAAUAGAUCUAAGUUUCAAGGAAUCAACAUCAAGAGAAAUUCUAUCAACGUUUCUAGCCAAUUCAUCAACUUUAAGCAAUUUUUCUUCAAGCAAAGCAUUGAAAUUCUUUUGCGAAUUCAUAAAUUCUUUAACACUAGUCUCAAAUUAAGAGGGCAUCUUAUUUAAAUUUCCAUAAGAAUUGUUGUAGGAAUUACCAUAAUUAUUAGAGGAAUUACUAUGGUACGGCCUAGGAUUAAAGUUUCCUCUAUACGCGUUGAUACCAAAAUUAUUCCUACCAACAAAAUUCACAUCCAUAGAUUCAUUAUUAUUCUCAAUCAAAGUAGACAAAGGCAUAUCAUUAGGAUCAGAAAGAAACACUUUUAUUAGCAAAUAAUUUCAUAAGUUCAUCCAUCUUUCCACUCAAAACAUUAAUUUCUUCUAUCGCAUGCACUUUCUUAUUAGUAGAUCUUUCAGUGUGCCAUUGAGAAUAAUUAACCAUAAUAUUAUCUAGGAGUUUAGUAGCUUCUCCUAAAGUGAUUUCCAUAAAAGUGCCUCCCGCGGCCGAAUCUAAAAGAUUUCUAGAAGCAAAAUUCAAUCCGGCAUAAUUUUUUUGUAUAAUCAUCCACAGAUUCAAACCAUCGGUAGGGCAAUUACGCAUCAUUAAUGAUUUUAGCCGGAGGAAAAUACUUAGAAUUCAUACAAAACUUAGAGAUAAAAUUCAUAAUAUCGUUUCUAAGAGAGAUGAUUUUAGCCGGAGGAAAAUACUUACAGAUAAAAGCAUCUUUGCACUUAUUCCAAGAAUCAAUACUAUUUUUAGGCAAAGACGAAAACCAAGAUUUAGCACGAUCUCUAAGCGAAAAAGGAAAUAGCUUCAAUUUAACAAUAUCAUUGUCCACAUCUUUCUUCUUUUGCACAUCACACAAAUCAACGAAGCUAUUUAGAUGGGUAGCGGCAUCUUCACUAGGAAGGCCAGCGAAUUGAUCUUUCAUGACAAGAUUCAACAAAGCAGCAUUGAUUCCACAAGACUCAGUAUCGGUAAGAGGAGCAAUCGGAGUGCUAAGAAAAUCAUUGUUGUUGGUAUUGGUAAAGUCACACAAUUUAGUAUUAUCUUGAGCCAUCGUGACAAGCAAGCAAUCCAACAAACGAGCAAACAAGAAGCAAGCGAAAAAGAGGCGAAUGGAAAAGAGAGGGCGAAUAAAACAGCAAGGGUAAAGUGGGGGAGAGGAAAACGAGAGGCAAAUGGCAAAUAAUGUAAUGCGAGGGAGAUGAGUUUGUGAUGGGUACUUGGUAUGUCUUGACUUGACUUGACUUGGCGUAGAUCUCCCCGGCAACGGCGCCAGAAAUCCUUCUUGCUACCUCUUGAGCACUGCGUUGGUUUUGCCUUGAAGAGGAAAGGGUGAUGCAGUAAAGUAGCAUAAGUAUUUCCCUCAGUUUUUGAGAAUCAAGGUAUCAAUCCAGUAAGCGACCACUGUCACGCCCAAGAUGCGACCCUAUCCUAAAGUAACUUGAAGGUCCCACCAAGGAUAGAAGUGCAUCUUGAAGACGCUUUUGCAAGGUGGAUAUCAUUACAUCGACAUUACAUAAUAGAUGGGGAUACAUACAAGGCAAACAAAUGUCGCAAGAAUACAUCAAUAGAUCAUGAUCAACAUCCGACUACGGAUGAAACACAAACAGAAACUCAAACGACAUCCACCCUGCUAGCCCAGGCUGCCGACCAGGAACCUAACCCAAGAUCGGCGAAGAAGAAGAAGAACUCCAACACAAGCAAUCGAGCAUCGCUCUCACGUCAUGAGCAUCACACAACCUGUACCUGCAACUGUUGGUGUAGUAAUCUGUGAGCCACGAGGACUCAGCAAUCCCAUUACCAUGGGUACCAAGACUAGCAAAGCUUAAUGGGUAAGGAAGGGGUAAAGUGGUGAGGUUGCAGCACCGGCUAAGCAAAGUAUGGUGGCUAACUUACAAAACAAGAGCGAGAAGAGGAGCUAAGCAAACGGUCGCCAACUAGUAAUGAUCAAGAAGUGAUCCUGAACUCCUACUUACGUCAAACAUAACACAAACCGUGUGCUCCUCCCGAACUUCCUCGAAAAGAGACAAUCACGGGUACCCACGCGGUUAGUGUAUUUUAGAAGAGUUUACUUCAAGUUUACUACAACCGGAUAUUAACAAAUUCCCAUCUGCCACAUAACCGCGGGCACGGCUCUCGAAAGUUUAUACCCUGCAGGGGUGUCCCAACUUAGCCCAUCACAAGCUCUCACGAUCAACGAAGGAUAUUCCUUCUCCCGGGAAGACCCGAUCAGACUCGGAAUCCCGGUUACAAGACAUUUCGACAAUGGUAAAACAAGACCAGCAAGACCGCCCGAACGUGCCGACAAAUCCCGAUAGGAGCUGCACAUAUCUCGUUCUCAGGGCACAUCCGGAUGAGACAUCCUACGAGUGAAACCAGCCCUCAAGUUUCCCCAAGGUGGCCCCGCAGUCUACUCAGCUCGGACCAGCACUUAGAGGAGCACUGGCCCGAGGGGGGGGGGCUAAAAUAAAGAUGACCCUCAGGCUCCGGAAACCCAAGGGAAAAAUUCUUAGGUGAGGCAAAUGGUAAAACCAAUGUUGGGCCUUGCUGGAGGAGUUUAUUCAAGGCGAACUGUCAAGGGGUUCCCAUAACACCCAACCGCGUUAGGGACGAAAAAUCCGGGAACAUAAUACCGAUAUGACGGAAACUAGGGCGGCAAGAGUGGAACAAAACACCAGGCAUAAGGCCGAGCCUUCCACCUUUUACCAAGUAUAUUGAUGCAUUAAUAAUAUAAGAGAUAUUGUGACAUCCCAACAUAAACAUAUUACCACAUGGAGCAAUCUUCAUCUUCACCUGCAACUAGCAACGCUAUAAGAGAGGCUGAGCAAAUGCGGUAACAUAGCCAAACAACGGUUUGCUAGGAAGGGUGACAAAGGUUAGAGAUUCAAGGCAAUUUGGGAGGCUUGAUAAGCAAGUGGUAGGUAACGCGGCAUAACGCUAGCAUCGAGGCACCUAGCAUAGCAAUGAUAGUAAUGAGAUCCAAGGUGACGGUAAUCUUGCCUGAAAUCCCGCUAGGAAGAAGAACGGCUCCAUGAAGAAGAUGAAGCCACGAAGACGAACCAAGCGUAGACGAACAAAUCCUCACGAUCGCAACAAAACGGGAACUAUCGAGAAGAAGCACACAACAUGGUAAACACACCACACAUGAACAAGGCAUGAUGCUCAAUCAAGUAUGAUGCAUGGCAAGGCUACAUGAGGCUACGCAUGGCAAGAGAUGAUGCAUACAAGAGCAACACAUCAAAGCAAGUUUAAAUGAGGCCGGAAACAACAUAUAACAAUUCCGGUAAGUCCUAUGCAAAUUUUGAAAUUGGUCCAGAUCUGAAUAAACCUUAUGUUCAAGUUGUUAAACAGCAGUCUACUCGGUUCGGACCAGCACUGGCCCCGGUGGGGGGGGGGCUAAAAUAAAGAUGACCCUCGGGCUCCGGAAACCCAAGGGAAAAAGGCUUAGGUGAGGCAAAUGGUAAAACCAAUGUUGGGCCUUGCUGGAGGAGUUUUAUUCAAGGCGAACUGUCAAGGGGUUCCCAUAAAACCCAACCGCGUUAGGGACGCAAAAUCCGGGAACAUAAUACCGAUAUGACGGAAACUAGGGCGGCAAGAGUGGAACAAAACACCAGGCAUAAGGCCGAGCCUUCCAACUUUUGCCAAGUAUAUAGAUGCAUUAAUAAUAUAAGAGAUAUUGUGAUAUCCCAACAUAAACAUAUUACCACAUGGAGCAAUCUUCAUCUUCACCUGCAACUAGCAACGCUAUAAGAGAGGCUGAGCAAAUGCGGUAACAUAACAACGGUUUGCUAGGAAGGGUGACAAAGGUUAGAGGUUCAUGGCAAUUUGGGAGGCUUGAUAAGCAAGUGGUAGGUAAAGCGGCAUAGCGAUAGCAUCGAGGCAACUAGCAUAGCAAUGAUAGUAAUGAGAUCCAAGGUGACGGUAAUAUUGCCUUAAAUCCCGCUAGGAAGAAGAACGGGUCCAUGAAGAAGAUGAAGCCACGACGACGAAUAAACGGAAGACACCUGGCGCAUCCCAUUCCGAGAACAUUCAAAUGCCACUCACGAAACGAGGUCUGAGAGGGGCAACGGGUGCGUGUGGGAGUGUCGGAACGCGAAACGGACAACGGGGAAAAAGACUGGAUGCAAGCUUUGAAAACAUGAGGAUGCAAUGCAGAUGAUGACAUGACAAAAUGCAACACGCAAGCAAAUGACAUGGAAACGACGAUGAAUAAACGGAAGACACCUGGCGCAUCGGAUUCGGGGCGUUACAACCACGCAUGAGUCCCUCGCACCUACACAAACAAACAAGAACCUCGCAACCAACGUGAUAAAGGGGUUGUCAAUCCCUCAACGGUCACUUACGAGAGUGAGAUCUGAUAGAUAUGAUAAGAUAAUAUUUUUGGUAUUUUUAUGAUAAUGAUGCAAAGUAAAAUAAAAGGCAAUAAAAAUAGCGAAGUGUUGGAAGAUUUAUAUGAUGGAAAAUAGACCCGGGGGCCAUAGGUUUCACUAGUGGCUUCUCUCGAGAGCAUAAGUAUUAUGGUGGGUGAACAAAUUACUGUUGAGCAAUUGACAGAAUUGAGCAUAGUUAUGAGAAUAUCUAGGUAUGAUCAUGUAUAUAGGCAUCACGUCCGAGACAAGUAGACCGACUCCUGCCUGCAUCUACUACUAUUACUCCACACAUCGACCGCUAUCCAGCAUGCAUCUACAGUAUUAAGUUCAAAAGAACAGAGUAACGCUUUAAGUAAGAUGACAUGAUGUAGAGGGAUAAACUCAUGCAAUGUGAUAUAAACCCCAUCUUGUUAUCCUUGAUGGCAACAAUACAAUACGUGCCUUGCUGCCCCUACUGUCACUUGGAAAGGACACCGCAAGAUUGAACCCAAAGCUAAGCACUUCUCCCAUUGCAAGAAAGAUCAAUCUAGUAGGCCAAACCAAACUGAUAAUUCGAAGAGACUUGCAAAGAUAACCAAUCAUACAUAAAAGAAUUCAGAGAAGAUUCAAAUAUUGUUCAUAGAUAAACUUGAUCAUAAACCCACAAUUCAUCGGUCUCAACAAACAGACCGCAAAAGAGGAUUACAUCGAAUAGAUCUCCACGAGAAUCGCGGAGAACAUUGUAUUGAGAUCCAAAGAGAGAGAAGAAGCCAUCUAGCUAAUAACUAUGGACUCGAAGGUCUGAGGUAAACUACUCACACAUCAUCGGAGAGGCUAUGGUGUUGAUGUAGAAUCCCUCCGUGAUCAAUGCCCCCUCCGGCAGGACGCCGGAAAAGGCCCCAAGAUGGGAUCUCACGGGUACAGAAGGUUCCGGCGGUGGAAUUAGGUUUUCGUGGAUGCUUCUGUUGGUUUGGGGGUACGUGGGAUAUAUAGGAGUAAGAAGUACGUCGGUGGAGCAACAUGGCCCCCACGAGGGUNNNNNNNNNNNNNNNNNNNNNNNNNNNNNNNNNNNNNNNNNNNNNNNNNNNNNNNNNNNNNNNNNNNNNNNNNNNNNNNNNNNNNNNNNNNNNNNNNNNNNNNNNNNNNNNNNNNNNNNNNNNNNNNNNNNNNNNNNNNNNNNNNNNNNNNNNNNNNNNNNNNNNNNNNNNNNNNNNNNNNNNNNNNNNNNNNNNNNNNNCCCCUACCUCGUGCCCUCCUCGUAGCUUUCUUGACAUAGGGUCCAAGUCCUCUGGAUCACGUUCGUUCCGAAAAUCACGUUCCCGAAGGUUUCAUUCCGUUUGGACUCCGUUUGAUAUUCUUUUUCUGCGAAACUCUGAAAUAGGCAAAAAACAUCAAUUUGGGCUGGGCCUCCGGUUAAUAGGUUAGUUCCAAAAAUGAUAUAAAAGUGUAUAAUAAAGCCAGUUAAACAUCCAAAAUAGAAUAUAAUAUAGCAUGAAGCAAUAAAAAAUUAUAGAUACGUUGGAGACGUAUCAUCCCCAUGCCCCCCGCGCACUCUUUCGGGGGCGCCGGCUGCCCCUGUCCCGCUGCUCACCGUCGCGCUGAAGGAAAUAUGCCCUAGAGGCAAUAAUAAAUUUAUUUUUUAUUUCCUUAUUUCAUGAUAAAUGUUUAUUAUUCAUGCUAGAAUUGUAUUAACCGGAAACUUAGUACAUGUGUGAAUACAUAGACAAACAGAGUGUCACUAGUAUGCCUCUACUUAACUAGCUCGUUGAAUCAAAGAUGGUUAAGUUUCCUAGCCAUAGACAUGAGUUGUCAUUUGAUUAACGGGAUCACAUCAUUAGAGAAUGAUGUGAUUGAAUUGACCCAUUCCGUAAGCUUAGCACUUGAUCAUUUAGUAUGUUGCUAUUGCUUUCUUCAUGACUUAUACAUGUUCCUAUGACUAUGAGAUUAUGCAACUCCCAAGUAACGGAGGAACACUUAGUGUGCUACCAAACAUCACAACGUAACUGGGUGAUUAUAAAGAUGCUCUACACGUGUCUCCGAUGGUACUUGUUGAGUUGGCAUAGAUCGAGAUUAGGAUUUGUCACUCCAAUUAUCGGAGAGGUAUCUCUGGGCCCUCUCGGUAAUGCACAUCACUAUAAGCCUUGCAAGCAAUGUGACUGAUGAGUUAGUUGCGGAAUGAUGCAUUACAGAACGAGUAAAGAGACUUGCCGGUAAUGAGAUUGAACUAGGUAUUGAGAUACCGACGAUCGAAUCUCGGGCAAGUAACAUACCGAUGACAAAGGGAACAACGUAUGUUGUUAUGCGGUUUGACCGAUAAAGAUCUUAGUUGAAUAUGUAGGAACAAAUAUGAGCAUCCAGGUUCCGCUAUUGGUUAUUGACCGGAGAUGAGUCUCGGUCAUGUCUACAUAGUUCUCGAACCCGUAGGGUCUGCACGCUUAACGUUCUGUGAUUAUCGGUAUUAUGAGUUUAUGUGUUUUGAUGUACCGAAGGUUGUUCGGAGUCCCGGAUGUGAUCAAGGACAUGACGAGGAGUCUCGAAAUGGUCGAGACAUAAAGAUCGAUAUAUUGGAUGGCUAUGUUUGGACAUCGGAAUGGUUCCGGUGAGUUCGGGCAUUUACCGGAGUACCGGGCGGUAACCAGAACCCCCCGGGGAGUGUAUGGGCCUUAUUGGGCCUUAGUGGGAGAGAGGAGGAGGCGGCCUAGGAGGGGGCGCACCCCCCAAGCCCAAUCUGAAUUGGGAGGGGGGCCGGCCCCCCUUUCCUUCCUCCCUCUCUCCUCCUUCCUUCCUCUCCUACUCCUACUUGGAAGGGGGGAAUCCUACUCCCGGUGGGAGUAGGACUCCCCUAGGGCGCGCCAUAGAGAGGGCCGGCCCUCCCCCUCCACUCCUUUAUAUACGGGGGAGGGGGGCACCCCAUAGGCACACAAGUUGAUCAUUGUCUUAGCCGUCUGCGGUGCCCCCCUCCACCAUAAUCCACCUCGGUCAUAUCAUCGUAGUGCUUAGGCGAAGCCCUGCACCUGUAGCUUCAUCAUCACCGUCAUCACGUUGUCGUGCUGAUGAAGCUCUCCCUCGACACUCAGCUGGAUCGAGAGUUCGUGGGACGUCACUGAGAUGAACGUGUGCAGAUCGUGGAGGUGUCGUACUUUCGGUACUAGGAUCGGUCGGAUCGUGAAGACGUACGAUUACAUCAACUGCUUUGUCACAACGCUUCCGCUUACGGUCUACGAGGGUACGUGGACUACACUCUCCCCUCUCGUUGCUAUGCAUCACCAUGAUAGAUCUUGUGUGUGCGUAGGAUUUUUUUGAAAUUACUGCGUUCCCCAACACGCGCCUCCCCUGCCCGUGCCUCGCCACCGCUCUGCUGCUACGCUACUACUGCGUUGUGGCUGCCGCCGCUUCCCGCUGCUCCGCCAGCGCCGUAGUUCCCGGUUGGCUCCGCCNNNNNNNNNNNNNNNNNNNNNNNNNNNNNNNNNNNNNNNNNNNNNNNNNNNNNNNNNNNNNNNNNNNNNNNNNNNNNNNNNNNNNNNNNNNNNNNNNNNNNNNNNNNNNNNNNNNNNNNNNNNNNNNNNNNNNNNNNNNNNNNNNNNNNNNNNNNNNNNNNNNNNNNNNNNNNNNNNNNNNNNNNNNNNNNNNNNNNNNNNNNNNNNNNNNNNNNNNNNNNNNNNNNNNNNNNNNNNNNNNNNNNNNNNNNNNNNNNNNNNNNNNNNNNNNNNNNNNNNNNNNNNNUAACCAUUUAAUAAAUUAAAACUCUUAAAUUAACAUUAGUGUAUGACAUGUGGGUCCCCUAUUAAUUAAACUGAUUUAAUUAAUUUCUAUUAACUUUGAGUCUAUGACAUAUUGGCCCCACUGAACAUUUGACUAGUCAACGGUCCAGUCAAAUGCUGACCGGACAGUUGACCAGAGGGCCCCACCAGUCAGCCUCUGUGCUGUUCUGCUGGGUACCUUUCUGAGUACACCUAGCAUUUCGCAUUUACAAUAUAUGUUUUAAAAUAAAUUAGAAUAAUUUAAAAAAAUGAUUAAAACUUUUAAAAUUAAAAUAAAAUAAUCCGUAACUCGGAUGAAAUUACUUUAUACAUGGAAGUUGCUCAAAAAACGAGACGAAUACGAAUACACAGUCCGUUCGUCUGGCACACGUCCCUAGCAUAGCGAAAAUGCAACCACCCCCCUCCGGUUCGACUGUCCGAAAAUGUCAAACACCGGGAAUAAGUUUCCGGAUGUUUCUCCCUUCACCAGUAGCACCUAGUACCAUGUGAGGGCAUACCUAGCACCACUUAUUGUCAUGUCAUGCAUCGUCAAGCAUCUGUUUGCAUUGUAUUCAUUGUUUCUUCCUCCUCUUCUCUCCGGUAGACUACGAGACCGACGCCGCUGCUGCCCCGGUCGACUAUGGUGUUGACGACCCCUCCUUGUCAGCAGAGCUUCCAGGCAAGCAAACCCCCUUGAUCAUCCCAAUAUUGCCUACUCUUUCCCUCUACUGCUUGCAUUAGAGUAUUGUUACUGUUUGUCAGUUUGAUCCUAUACUGCUGCAUGGCCUGUCUUUGAUACUACUUUUGAUACCUUUACCUGCAAUCCUAAAUGCUUAGUGUAGGAUGCUAGUACUUCAUCAAUGGACCUACAUUCUUGUCCGUCUGCCAUGCUAUACUGUCGGGCCGUGAUCACUUCGGGAGGUGAUCAAGAGUAUAUACUAUAUACAUAUUAUACUUGACACAUGAUGUGACUAAAAUCGGGUCGGCACGUAGAGUACCCACGAGUGAUUCAUGACCUAGGGGCUGAAGGGGCAUGUGGUUCCAUCCAGGUUGUGAUGGGCCUGGGUUCCCGACGCCCCCCCCACCCCGAGUGAUUCUUUGUGGCGGAGCGACAGGGCAGGUUGUGACCACCUAGGAGAUAGGUGGGCCUGGUCCUGGUCGGCGUCCGUGGUUACUUCAAAAUAAUACGCUUAACGAGGUUGGGUAUUUGAUCUGAGUUGGUCGUUGGCCUUAUUCGCACUAACCGCCACGUGGGACAAGAUAUGGGCAACCAGUGUCGUAGUAUCAGCCAAAGCUCUUCAGACGUCAGUGACUGAGUGGUGCGCGCCGGGUUGGACCGCGUAAUGCAUCCUCCUUUGUAAUGGAGGUUCCUAGCUCUGCUCACCGACGAUGUUCGCAACAUGCAGGAGUGCAACGGGCGAUGGGCCCAAGACCCCUGCGCGCUUAGGAUUUAGAUCGGCGUACUGACCUCUCUGUUGGGCCUAGGUAGGGUUGCGACGUGUUGAUCUUCCGAGGCCGUACGUGACCCAGGAAAGUGUGCCCAGCCAGAGCGAUCGAGCAUUUUCGGGUAAUGUGGUGCACCCCUGGAGGGAAGAUUGAUCUAUUCGGAUAGCCGUGUCCACGGUAACAGGAAGACUUGGAGUUGCAUUUCGACCUCAUGACAACUAGAGCCGGAUACUUAAUAAAACUCACCCAGAUAUGUUCCAGAUACAACCCGGUGAUCGCUCUCUCACAGGGUGACGAGGAGAGGAUCGUCGGGUAGGUUUAUGCUAUACGAUGUUACUUGGUUAACUUACUAGCUACUCUCUUCUAUAUGCUUCAAGAUGGAGGCUGCAGAAGCGUAGUGUUUGAUAGGACUAGCUUCUCCCCCUCUUAUUCUGAAAUUCUGCAGCUCAGUCCACAUAUACUACCCAUUUCAUUGAUACCGAUGCAUAUGUAGUGUAGAUCCUUGCUUGCGAGUAUUUUGGAUGCGUACUCACGGUUGCUUUGCUCCCACUUUUCCCCAUUUUCCAUUCUUCUCGGACGUCACAACCAGAUGCUAGUGCCUCAGAGCCAUACGCCACCUUCGACGACUCCUACUACACCGAGGGUGCCUACUACUACGUGCAGGCCACUGACGACCAGGAGUAGUUUAGGAGGAUCCCAGGCAGGAGGCGUGCGCCUCUUCGAUCUUUAUCCAUGUUUGUGCUAGCCAUCUUAUGGCAACUUGGUUAACUUAUGUCUGUACUUAGAUAUUUUUGCUUUGGCUGACUUGUCUGUGACAAGCUUAUGUAUUCGAGCACUCGAGGCCCCUGGCUUGUAAUAUAAAGCUUGUAUUAUUUUAUUCAUGUCUAGAGUUGUGUUGUGAUAUCUUCCCGUGACUCCUUGAUCUUGAUCGUACACAUUUGCGUGUAUGAUUAGUGCAUGAUUGAAUCGAGGGUGCCACAGCUUUGGAGAUACCCCUUACUUGGCCCCUCGCUCCGAAAACACGUUUGACGAUAGUUUUCUCUCGGAUCAAAUAUAUGUCAAGUUUAACAAAGUUUAUAUGAAUUAUUUUAUCAUAUCUAUAGUACCAUACAAAUAUACCAUAGAAAAAAAACAUAUUUCAUGCUGCACCAUGAAUUGGUCCGGUAAAUGUCGGGUAUGGAGACUCUAUUCUCUUUUGGCAUAAGUUGCCUCGGUCUCAAAAGUUUCAUGAACCGUUCUCUUUUGCCAUUAAGAAAAAGCUCUAUUUGGCUGAUUUUAUUCAUAGUGACCAUCUGGCUCUCCAUUUUCAUAGGCAUACCACCCUGCAAGCUCUUGCUCAAUUCAUUGACAUCAUUGACUUAGUUCAUAAAAAAAUCAACAAAUGGAAUAAAAUAAUAUCACGAAGAUACCAAUUACACCCGUCCUCUCUAUCAACAAGAUAUCCAAAGACAUCAAGGGUACACACAGCCAGAAAAAGGAUUAGAAGAAAAAAGACCCCCCCCCCUCCCUGAGGUGAUAAAUCACUAGCAUUAGUAGCACUCUCACCACACCGAAGACAACGCCCGGAUUACAAAAAAAGUUCUCCAAAAUCAACCCCCCAAGAAGGAAGCAAUGCACAAGUGUUGUCAUUGUCCGAUCGAAGAUCGUGGGUUUUCACCCUAGAAAAAUUCCAAGCUCAGCCAAAAGCAUUGCCUUGAAGGCCAUUUCCAGGUACAACCAAUAAAGGCUAGACCUUGGAUUUUCACCCUAGGAAUUCAGACUCAGUACUCGAGAGGUACCACCAAAAAUGUAGUCCUCCAGUGAUGGUGCCCCGCACUUCCCCAGCCCGCUGUUUCAAGUCACCAAACACCCCGCGCACAUUCUUCAUCGCAUUAAUUACAUCAUUCCACCAAAGCUUCAAGACCUCCAAUCACAGCCGCCAUGACUUCAUCCACCUCUAUCAAUGCCUUGAGAAUCCUGACUUAGACAUGUCCCAUGACACCAAUAAGAAAUCAAAGCUUCUUGCCAUGCCCUCUUGAGGUCGUGUUGGCUGAUAAUAUGAGCGUGCGCGACCGAAGCCUUUCCAAUCUAGAUAUCCAGGGGCGACAUACACCAAUUCAUAUAGAUAUCCGAUGGGAAAGACCGAAACUCGUCAGCGGCUAGAUCUAAGAGGUCGACGUAUGGCAGAAAGACGACUUGGCGGAAGAAUAGUACUAGGGCCAAACCACCAUUAUUAGGCCGAAGCUAACAUCCCCACACGCCGUCCUCCCCUCAAUCUAGACCUACAGACAAAGAUCAGCGACGCCGCAUCGUGCCACCCACAUGCGUGGAGGCCCGAACAUGGCAAGACGCCAACCAUGGCAGGAGACUAGGACCAGCCACUCCUGGGCUGAUCCGGCGACUCCCAGGCCCACCCCUGCCACUAUGGUGGCACCACCCCUGCCUACAAGCCCAUCCACGAUGAUGCCUGAUUAGAAGGAUACAUGGAUAUACAGAUGGAAAGGCCCUUUUUUUGCGAAUGAAUUCUUUCAUUACUCAGGUAUCAAAGAAUACAAUUCGUCCCACAAGUGCCAAAACAUCUUCCGGACCAGAUCCUAGCCAAACCAAAGUUCAGCGUUGCAACCUACCAAAAUUUGCCAAGGCAUGACUAACCCUAUUACAGCUCCGGCGAAUAUGAGUAAUGCAAGAAUUCCUUUCUCCCAAACUACUAAUGAUCUCUCUGAUGAUGAAAGCAUAUUUAGAUUUGUUGCUAUUCCCUCUCUUAAUCAUAUUGACAGCCUCUAAACAAUCAGACUCCACGUCUAUUGGUAAGAUGCUCCACUGAAGGGCCAAAGAAAUUCCCUCCCUUAUUGCAAGUAACUCUGCCUCCAGUACAUCAUCACAUGCAUAGAGAAAUCUGCAAGCAGUGAAAACAAUUUCUCCUUCCUGAUUCCUUAGGAUCAUUCCGGCUCCCGCAGUAGAGCCCAGGACCGAAGCAUCCGUGUUGAGUUUGACUCUGCCCACCGCUGGAGCGGACCAAGAGCCCUGCACUUCAUCAACUUUGUAUAUGUCCUGAUCGGGAAUCUGAAAACAUGCAGCUGGCAUUUUUCCUUUCACUAAAGCAUCACUUCAGCAUAUGUGAAUGGAGUUUAAGGAUGACAGAUAGCUGGACAGGAAGCACACCGAAACAUCCACGGGCGGUGGUUGUUUUGCAUGCACAAUUUCGUUACGCACAUACCAGAUUUGCCAGAAUAGCAUCAUGAUCCUAGCUCUCUCCUCUUCAUGCAUUUUCGAUAGGAGAUGAAGGAACCCAUCACGACCAACAUGUACAAUGCUUAGUCGGUCCGGCAAUGUCCAUUCCUUCACCAUGGCCUUCCAUAGGAUCGCAGCAUGAUUACAAGUGCAAAAAACAUGGAACGAGUCCUCCUCCUCCGUACCACACACAGGGCAUGUACCUGAGACUUCCAAGUUCCUUUUCACUUUAUUUGUCCAAUUUGCUAGCGAAUCUGUAGCUAAUCUCCAAGCAAAAGACUGAACCUUUGGUGGUACAGUACUUUGCCAUAUAAAGUUCCAUGCUUCUCUUGUUCCAUCCGGCCGGGAACUUGUAGAAACCUCACUAGGAUUUGAGCAUUCAUCACUAGCCAGUUUGUACGCACUACGUACCAUAAAACCUCCACCUUUUUCAGGCGCCCAAGGAACAAAGUCUUCAUCAAGCCGAGCAGAUGGUUUUAUUUUCUAGAUUUCAACAAUGCCGCCCGGGAGAAAAAACUGAUUUAUCUUGUCAAAGUCCCAAUUACCAUGGAUAUUCAGUAGCUCCGAGACCCACCUCAGGCGGCACCUACCACGCUGUGUAAUCAAGCCUCCAGUUGGCUCGCGUGCUAUCCAUCGGUCUCUCCAUAUACGUACAUUUUGACCAUUUCCGAUUCUCCAGACCACGUCUUUUUUUCAGAACUUCGAGACCAUAGGCAAUGGCCUGCCAUGUAGGUGAUGGGUUACUAGUGAACACCGUAUCCAGUAAGCGCCAAUUUGGUAAAUACUUCACUUUUAAAAGCCUUGAGCAUAAACUGUUAGGGAACUCUAGUAUUCGCCACGCCUGACGAGCAAGGAGCGCUUGGUUAAAUAGACAAAAGUCUUUAAAACCAAGGCCGCCUUGCUUCCUUGGCCUAGUCAUUUUCUCCCAUGCAUACCAAUGUGUUUUCCUCUUCCCUUUCUCUGCACCCCAAAAAUAGUUCCUAACCAUGCGGUUUAGAUCAUCACAUACCUCCAGCGGGAGCUUGAACACACUCAUAAUAUAUGUAGGGAUACAUUGACCAACAACACGGAUUAACACUUCCUUUUCCGCUUGAGUAGGGUUCUAAGACUGACAGUAGAAUGGGGGUUAGGUAUGAAGAGGCAAGAUCCCAGCUGUGGUGAAGUUGUACACACGAGAUUUACGAGUUCAGGCCCUUCACGGUGGAAGUAAUAGCCCUACGUCUCGGUGUCCGGAGGCGGUCGACUGGAUUAUAUGUGUGUGGAGUUACAGGGGGUGCGAACCCUUAUCCCUGAGGAGGGGGGUGGCUUAUAUAGAGUUCGCCAGACCCCUCCCGCCCUCAGUUACACAGGGUUUAAGGUACAUAAAGAUGGGGCGUUUCUGGUAACGCCAGUAAUAAAGUGACAUAAAUGUCCAUUAAGUCUACAGACUAAACGUCCGACCUUUGCUAUUCAGAGUGACUUUAGGUCUCCUGCCUGUCGAGGCAUUCCUGUUACGAUCGAGUGAGCUUGAAUCUUCCGAGUGGAAUGCCUCUAGUCGAGUGGAUGAUGAUAUCCCUUGAAUGCUUCUGACUUUAGGGUAAUGACCUAGGGGAGGGUGUCCAGGUCAGGUCUAUGACCCUACCCUAGGUACAUGUCUUCAUCAUUAGCCCCCGAAUGGUUCAGGGUUUGAGUGGAGAAGGAGUUGAUAAUAUUUUCGACUCAAUUUUUGCGCUUCGGAGGCGUCUUGUUGGGAUCAAUGAACAACAUGAUGACUUCAUCUUCUUUUCCAGCCGCCUUGACCCAUUCUUAAUUAGUCAAGUGAACUUUUACUGCUAAGCUUCGAGUGUUGGUAUGGAAAAAAAUCUUCAGUCUGACAGGUUGUUCUGCUGCUCGCGGAUCUUCCGGGAUUCGAAUUUCGGGAAGCGCGCGGGGUGGAGGAGGCCGCGGUAAUCAGAGAAGAUUAGGCAGGGAUGCCUCGAUAUCCGCGCCACCUUUUUCGCCACGUGCUGCGCGCGCAACUGUUGCGGGUUUGACAGGAUCGCCUGGGCCCACAGGUCAGCCACUCGGAAAUGGUUCCAUAUAAGGCGUCGCGGCUGGGGUUUUCUGCACAGUACACCUCAUCUCCUCUCUUCCUCCUCUGUUUUCCAUCGCAUCCACCUCCUCCCUCGGCGCCGCCGCUCUGCCCGAAAUCGACCCUCCGCAAUGGGAAAGGAGAAGACGGUGGCUCUGGAGCGCACGAAGAAGGCGACAGCGAAGGCGAAAGGGAGAAAGACGAGCCGGGGAGGGUCCUCGUCGAGAUCCGGUUUACUGCCCGGCUCAUCCAGGGUGAUUGGAUUCCGUGGACGAUCCGGCAAGUCGACGUCGAUGAUUUGGUCGAGGGGGGACUGAUUCCCCACGGAUCUGGGUGGCUCCCGGAGGACGAGACUGAGCCGCGGCCGCAGGAGGGUGAGUGUGUUCUCCUCGCCACCCAUGUUGACCGUGGUUUUUCUUUGCCUCCCCAUCCUUUCUUCCGAGGCUUCUUGAACUUCUUUGGAGCACAACUUCAUCACUUUUCCCCCAACACAAUCACGUACCUCGCUGCAUUCAUUUCUAUGUGUGAGAAUUUUCUGGGUUGUCGACCACACUGGGGUCUCUUCAAACACAUUUUCACCUGUCGUUCUCAGUCGGUCAAAAAGGCCAAUCCGAGUGACGAGAGGAUGCAUGUGAUCCAGACGUGUGGGGGUCUUGGGAUCCAAAUGAGAGGCAAGAGUACUUUCCCAGCCAUGAUUCUUCCCGAGUCAGUCAGAGGGUGGUAGUCGACCUGGUUCUACUGCAAAGACCAGCCGACUCCAGGCCAGUCGACUGGACUUCCCCCCUUUUCCAUGGCUCGAGUUGAGAAGCCCUCUGCCUUGAAAGUGACUCCAGCAGAAAAAGCGGAGGUGAAGGUGUUGGUCGAGCGAGUGGUCCAGCUCGUUCGUGACGGCGUGACUGGCAGGGAUCUGUUGGAGGUCUUCCUUAGACGACGCAUUCAGCCACUUCAAGCUCGUGACCAUCCGAUGUGGAUGUACUCCGGCAUUGAUGAUACCACUCGGAUCCACCCGGAGGAGGUCGACAAGGAUACAGUGGCACAAUGGCUGAGGGGCAUCACUGGUAACAAGGAUAACCCAGGGGGUCCAGGAGGAUCCCUCCACUCGACAACUCGUAUGAACCAGAUAAGGUCCAACUCUAAAUUUCCGAGUGUUUUCUUGAUCUACCGUGUAAUUACUUUUUGCCAACCGACUGACAUUUGUUCCACCUAUUGUCUUUUAGGCCCUCACUGAGAUGUACUCGAUGCCCAACAGAGAGCAGGAGCAGGAUCCGGAAGGGGAGGCGAGAGCGGCGAGUGGCACUCUGAUGGGGGAGAAGAUGACGAAAGUGACGACUCUGGUGACGGCGAAGAAGUCGACUCACCCCCUCGCACCGAAAGGCGAUCCAAAGAAAUCCACGACCCGGCAAGUAUCUGAGGCAAAGCGACCGCGCAGACUGGGCGGCAGACCUCAAAGUGCCCUCGGACGUCUUCUCCAGCGCCGACUGAGAGGGCCCCGAAACAAUCAAAAGCUACGCCGUCAAAACCGCGGAAGCCUUUGCCCAAGAUCAAAGUGGUCGUGCCCCUUGAUUCCAGGUAAUAAUUGGACUUGAUUUCUUGGUUUAGCAUGAAUUGAAUUUUGGUCGACUCAUUUCGGCAGACAUAACCGACUGAAUCUUGAGAUUUGCAGUGCUGCUACCUUUGAGACUUCUGUUUAUAGGAAUGAAGACGAGUAAAUGGAAGAUGCAGUCACCUCUAAUCCGGGUACGACUCUCGUAAUCCUAUUUUUACUUUCUCGGCCGUUUUAUUGGUCGACUGAAUUCCGGCGAUUGAUUCUUUUUGCAGCUCCUCCCAAUGUCAUUGAUCUUCCAGACGACGACGAGGAUGUGCCGCUGAGGCCUCUGGGAAGAAGAAACAGGAAGACGUCAACUGGCAGAGCGCCUUAGUCGACGCCGGUGACGGAACCGGUAAUCCAGGAGGGCGGUGAUGCCAAUCGGACUUCCCUGAUUUUCGCCGUACCAUUGACGAGUGCCCAGCCCUCAGCGUCGACUGCGCAGACUCCAGCCGAUCCAUCUUCACUCUUUACUGCACAUCACGUCCCAGAGGACCAAGUGGGCGCUGCCAAGGAGGCUAUACACCAGGCGGGCAUCAUGAUGGAGCAGAUGAAGGUGGUACGGGAGACCAGCCAAGCUGCUUAUGACGCCAGCUCAGCUCUCCAGAACAAUGUCCAGGUUAGUUGAUCACCGACUGACUCUUUAGCUUGUUGCUUGUUCUGUUAGGAUAUGCUACCUGAAAACUUUCCUUGAAGGAUCUUUCCAUCAGUCUGCGUUUUGCAUUUGUACACCCACUGGGUGUUUUGAUAUGUCACUGAGUAGUCUUGUAUCUUGAAUCGACUAAGUUGUCUCGAUUGAGUCUUUGAACUAGUGGGGGCACGCUGAGUGCACCCACUGGGUGUAGUCCCCAAGACCAUAGUUGACUACGAGCAGUCAACUAUGGUGUGAGAAUUGGAAUUUUCUCACUCGGCCUGCACAGACCAUGUCGAGUGGAACUUGAGCCAGUGGCGGCACGCUAAGUGCACCCACUGGGUGUAGUCCUCGAGACCAUAGUUGACUACGGGCAGUCGACUAUGGUCUGAGAACAACUUUUUUUUACACUCAGCCUGGACAGACCAUGUCGGGUGGAAACUGGACCAGUGGUGGCACGCUAAGUGCACCCACUGGGUGUAGUCCCCGAGACUACUGUUGGAUGUUCGAUUCGGCAGUAGUCUUAGAACUUGUUGAAUUUAUCACUCUAUUGCUCUGAAGUAACCAAUAUUUCCAUCCGUCGACUGACCGUCUUUUGAUUACAGAAAUCCUGUGAACUUGGAGCCCGUUUUGCUGACCUGGAGCAGAAGCAGAUUCAGCUCAACCUCGACCUAGAGCUGGCCAAGACAAACUUGCAGAAGGCCAAGGAUGAAGUCACUGGUACAAAAAACUUGCCGACUGAUUUGUUUCCGACCCGGGUGUUAUUUGUUUUUUCUGAACCAAGCAUCAUUUCUUUCAGAAGCAAUGAACCAAGCUCUGGCGAAGAAGGAUCUGGACCUUGCAGCCGCGCAGAAAGCAGCCGAAGAGAAAACUGCACUCGCCGACCAGAAGCUGGCUUCAGUCGGCAAACUGGAGGAAGAGAACACCAAGCUGAAGACUGCCUUGGAUGAAGCCAACAAGGAGGCGACUCGUCUGAAGAAGGACAGGAACAACCUGACCGAAAAGGUGGAAGCUAUUGCCCGCAAGAGAGAUGACUUGGAAAAUUAUCUGGGAGGUCUUGCCAAGAAGCUGUUCGUCAUGCUUGAAGGUGCUUUCCUUUGUCCGACUGACUUGUUGCUGUCGACUCGAUAUAUAACCAUUGACUCAUCCUUGUAUUGUGUGCGCAGAAUUUUGCCAGAACUUCGAGGAAGAGACUGGGCGAGUUGAGACAAGCUUGGACCCCAUCUCUCUCCUGUGAAGGAUGAAGCUGCCAUGAACGUGCUCUGACUGGAAUCCCGUGUCGCUGGCAUUAUCGAUUAUCUUGCCCGAUUGAAAGUCGCGGUGUCGCGAAUCGACACAGCACUCUGGCCAAGGGCGACGCUCCAAAAUGACCUCGAGUCUCUGAUGGCUCGACUUAAUGAAGUUCACGGUCGAGUGCAGGAAUGGAAGAAGUCUUCUGCUCCAUGCGGUGCUGAUGUGGCUCUGUCCCUGGUUCGUGUCCACUACAAGGAAGCGCGAGAAGAGAAGCUAGCAGCAAUCAAGGUUGCCAAUACCAAAAGGCACGACUUCCAAUCCUUCAUGGAAUCCUUUAUUGCUGCCGCCACUCGGAUUGCUGACGGAAUCGACCUGGACGAGUUCGUCGAGCCCGCUAGCCCACCUCCUGCGGAGUGAACAAACUUUAUGCCUCACCUUAAAUUUGCCUCGGAAUGCCGAGUGAUUUUGUAACCGUUAAACUCCUUCGGGCCUGACGCCCGAGUACUUUAAUCCGUGGUCUGGUACUUUAGGAUUCAUCUGAACUUGGUUUAUCUAAGAAUAUGCUUGUGUUUGUCUUCGGGUGGAACUUGUUGUUCACUCGGAAUAGUCUUUGUACUUGUGAUGCACCUCCGAGGAGAAGGUCGCAAUCGACCUGCACCUCGUUGUCCUUGCGGAUCGGGAUGGAGCGCGCAUUGUACUUAUGGCGCAGCUCUGAGGAGAAGGUCGCAGUCGACCUGCACCCCAUCGUCCUUGCGGAUCGGAAUGGAGCGCACAUUGUACUUAUGGCACAACUCUGAGGAGAAGGUCGUAGUCGACCUGCACCUCGUCGUCUUUGCGGAUCGGGAUGUGUUUUUAAAGUUAGGCGAGUACUGGACUGCAGCUAAGCCCCCGAGUGAGAGGUUUUCUCUCCACUCGGUAAGAUUUUUCAGACUUAGGCGAGUACUGGACUGCAGCUAAGCCCCCGAGUGAGAGGAUUGCUCUUCACUCGGUGGGAUUUUUCAAACUUAGGCGAGUACUGGACUGCAGCUAAGCCUCCGAGUGAGAGGAUUGCUCUUCACUNNNNNNNNNNNNNNNNNNNNNNNNNNNNNNNNNNNNNNNNNNNNNNNNNNNNNNNNNNNNNNNNNNNNNNNNNNNNNNNNNNNNNNNNNNNNNNNNNNNNNNNNNNNNNNNNNNNNNNNNNNNNNNNNNNNNNNNNNNNNNNNNNNNNNNNNNNNNNNNNNNNNGAGUGAGAGGCUUGAUCACCACUCGGUAGGAUUUUUCAAACUUAGGCGAGUACUGGACUACAGCUAAGCCCUCGAGUGAGAGGCUUGCUCACCACUCGGUAGGAUUUUUCAAACUUAGGCGAGUACUGGACUGCAGCUAAGCCCCCGAGUGAGAGGCUUGCUCACCACUCAGUAGGAUUUUUCAAAGUUAGGCGAAACGGAUUCGCAGCUAAGCCUCCGAGUGAGAGGCUUGCUCACCACUCAGUAGGAUGUUUUAGACUUAGGCGAAACGGAUUCGCAGCUGAGCCACCCACCGGGGGAUUUUAAACAUAUGAAUAAGCAACGACAAUCAUUUUAGAAGACUGUAAAACUCUGUCUUUGAUAAACAAACUAAAAGUUAUUUCUUAUUACAUCUCAACAGACUGAGUACUUAAGUAUAAAAACGACGGAGCAACUCUCCAUUCCAAGCAUGUGGUUCGCCCUUCUUAUGCUCGUUGUUGUAGAGGUGAUACGCUCCGUUGUGGAGCACUUUGGUGAUGAUGAAGGGGCCUUCCCAAGCAGGAGUGAGCUUGUGUGGUUUCUGCUGAUCCACUCAAAGAACCAGGUCUCCCUCUUGAAAUGCCCGACCUUUCAUGUUUCUAGCGUGGAAUCGACGGAGAUCUUGCUGAUAGAUGGUCGACCUGAUCAAGGCCAUCUCUCUUUCUUCUUCCAGAAGAUCAACGGCAUCUUGCCGUGCCAGCUCUGCUUUGGCUUCUGAGAAAAGUUCUACUCGGGGUGCAUUGUGAAGCAAAUCACUCGGAAGCACAGCCUCAGCUCCGUAAACAAGAAAGAACGGGGUUCGACCAUUCGACCGAUUUGGAGUUGUUCUCAAUCCCCAGAGUAGUGACGACAGUUCAUCAACCCAAGCUCCUGCAACAUGCUUGAGAUCACGCAUCAGUCGGGGUUUUAGCCCCUUGAGGAUCAAACCGUUUGCUCUUUCUGCUUGUCCAUUCGACUGUGGGUGGGCGACUGAAGCACAGUCGACCUGAGUGCCUUGGGAAGCACACAAAGCUCUGAAUUCAUCUGAUUCAAAGUUUGAUCCAUUAUCCGUGAUAAUGUUGUGUGGGACUCCAUAUCUGAAAGUUAACUCUUUGAUGAAGCUGACAGCGGUACUCGCUUCGAGGUUCUUGAUGGGCUUGGCCUCAAUCCAUUUGGUGAACUUGUCGACUGCUACGAGCACGUGAGUGAAACCACUUCUGCCAGUCCUCAAGGGUCCAACCAUAUCUAAACCCCAGACAGCAAAUGGCCAGACGAGUAGAAUGGUCUUCAAGGCUGAUGCGGGUUUGUGUGACAUGUUGGAGUAGAACUGACAGCCUUCACAUUUGUCUACUAUUUCUUUCACCAUCUCAUUGGCAUGUGGCCAGUAAAAUCCGGCUCGGUAUGCUUUGGCCAUGAAGGUCCGAGAGGACGCAUGGUGACCACAGGUCCUCGAGUGAAUAUCAUUGAGGAUCAUUCGGCCUUCUUCUGUCGUGAUGCAUUUCUGGCUGACUCCAGUUAAACUUUCUCUGAACUGCUGUCCUCUUAUCACAGUAAAGGCCUUGGAUCGACAGACGAUCUGUCGAGCCUCUUCUUCAUCCUUUGGGAGUUCCUUCCUAAGAAUGUUUGCAAUGUAUGGCACUGUCCAGUCGGGAGUGACGACCAAAACCUCCAUGAUCAAGUCGACCACGGCUGGGACUUCGACUUCAGUCGGAUCAGUGGCACUCUUAGGCUGUGGGGGCUCUUCAGUGAAAGGAUGUUCCUGAACUGAAGGUGCGUGAAUAUGCUCCAAAAACACAUUGCUGGGAACGGUCUCUCUCUUGGAACCUAUCUUUGCCAAGUCAUCAGCAACUUGAUUUUUUAGUCGGGGUAUAUGGUGGAGCUCUAACCCCUCAAACUUCUUUUCCAGUUUUCUCACUUCAUUAUAAUAACCAGUCAUAGCCGGGCUUCUGACGUAUUACUUGAUUAACCACCAAAUCUGAGUCGCUGUAGACCAUUAGGCGACGGACGCCGAGUGAAAUGGCCAUACGCAACCCGUAUAGAGGUGCUUCAUAUUCAGCUUCGUUGUUGGAGGAAUCAAAAUGAAUCUGAAGAACAUAGCUGAGUCUGUCUCCUCGGGGGGAUACCAAUACCACCCCAGCACCAGAACCAUUCAGCAUCUUGGAUCCAUCAAAGAACAUGGUCCAAUGCUCCGAGUGAAUCUGAGUCGGUUGUUGCUGCUCAACCCACUAGAAGAGGAAAUCUGCUAUUGCUUGGGACUUGAUAGCUUUCUUUGCCUCAAACUUGAUAUCCAAGGAACGGAGUUCAGUCGCCCACUUUGCCCCUCAACCAGUUGCAUCUCUGUUGUUCAGAAUUUAUGACAAUGGUGCGUCGCUAACGACUGUAAUGGAGUGAUCAGAGAAAUAAUGCGCAACCUUCUUCGUGGUGAUGUAAAUUCCAUAGACAAGCUUCUGAUAAUGUGGAUAUCUUUGCUUGGAUGGAGUCAAGACUUCAGAAAUAUAGUACACUCGGAGUUGAACUUUAUAGGCUUUUCCUUCUUCUUCCCGCUUGACCGUGAGCACUGUAUUGACAACUUGUCCAGUGGCUGCAAUAUAAACCAGUAAAGGCUGUUUGCUGAUUGGGGCAGCAAGCAUCGGCUGUGUGGAAAGCAGAGUUUUGAGUUCUGCAAACGCUCCGUCAGCUUCAGGAGUCCACUCGAACUUAUCAGAUUUCUUCAUCAGUCGGUAAAGAGGCAAUGCAUUUUCACCGAGGCGAGAGAUGAAUCGACUCAAGGCGGCCAAGAAACCAGUAAGCUUCUAAAUGUCAUGCACAUGCACAUGGCGUUUCAUCCGGAGUAUGGCCCCAACUUUCUCUGGGUUCACGUCGAUCCCACGUUCGGAAAUGAGAAAACCGAGUAACUUUCCUCCUGGAAUUCCGAAUGUGCAUUUCGUCGGAUUAAGCUUGAUAUCAUAUCUUCUCAGGUUGGCAAAGGUUUUAGUGAGGUCAGUCAGCAGGUCGGAACCUUUACGCGACUUGACCACAAUGUCAUCCAUAUAUGCUUCCACAUUUCGACUGAUUUGAGUGAGUAGACACUUCUGAAUCAUCCUCAUAAAUGUGGCGCCAGCGUUCUUGAGACCGAAUGGCAUGGUGACAUAACAAAAGCACCCGAAUGGAGUGAUGAAAGUUGUUUUUAUCUCAUCGGGUCCAUACAGUCGGAUCUGAUGAUACUCGGAAUAGGCGUCCAGAAAAGACAAACACUCACACCCCGCAGUCGAGUCGACGAUUUGGUCGAUACGGGGGAGAGGGAAAUGAUCUUUCGGACAGGCCCAAUUGAUAUGCUUGAAGUCAAUGCACAUACGAAGUGAGUCGUCCUUCUUGGGAACCAUGAAAACAUUGGCGAGCCACUCGGAAUGGUAAAUCUCUCGAAUGAACUCAGCCGCUAGGAGCCGAGCCACUUCUUCACCAAUUGCAUUUCUCUUCUGUACGGCGGACCGUCGAAGAUGUUCCUUGACUGGUUUCACUUUCGGGUCGACUCGCAAACGGUGCUCAGCCAGUCCCCUGGGUACACCCGGCAUGUCAGAAGGUUUCCAUGCCAAGAUGUCCCAGUUCUCACGGAGGAACUGGAUGAGCGCUUCUUCCUAUUUGCUAUCGAGUGAUGUUGAAAUAUGAGUAGGAGCAGCAUUAGGAUCGGUUGGGUGAAUAUGAAUUGGCUUUGUUUCAUCGGACGACUAAAACGCAGAAUCUGUGGCAGGCUUCUUGGCUCGCAAUAAAUCACUCGGAUCCGCAUUUUUCUGAUACUCUUGCAUUUCAACUGCUGCAAUUUGUGCAUCGGCAAUUUUAGAACCCUUCUUGAAGCAUUCUUCUGCCUUCUGCCGAUUGCCAGUGACUGUGAUCACUCCUCUGGGACCAGGCAUUUUCAACUUGAGAUAUACAUAACAUGGCCGAGCCAUGAAUCGUGCAUACGCCGACCUCCCCAUAAUAGCAUGAUAAGCACUCUGGAAAUCCACUACUUCAAAUGUCAACUUUUCCUUACGGUAAUUCUUUGAAUCACCGAAAACCACGUCAAGGUUUAUUUGGCCGAGUGAUUCAGCCUUCUUGCCAGGGAUGACGCCGUGAAAGGUCAUGUUGCUCUCACUAAGUUUGGACAUCGGGAUGCCCAUCCCCUUCAAGGUUUCAGCAUAAGGGAUAUUCAGGCCGCUACCACCAUCCAUUAGCACUUUCGUCAGUCGAGUGCCUCCAACCACUGGGUCGACCACCAACGCUUGCCUCCCAGGGCUGGCUAUGCGAUCAGGGUGAUCAGACUGGUGGAAUGUGAUAGCUGUUUGUGACCACUUCAGGUAUGUUGUCGUUGCCGGAGCAACCAUAUUCACUUGUCUAUUGAUCACUUUCAGUCGACUUUUGCUGUCAACAUCAGCAAAAAUCACUAGGAUGGAAUUGACAUUGGGAAAACCAUCAUCUUCCUCUUUGUCCUCAUCCUUGUCUGAUUCCUUUUCCUUCUCAUUAGGCUGUUUCUCUCGGAAUUGCUGGAUCAGAACCUGACAUUGUCGAGUGGUAUGCUUAGGAUAAAUCAGAUUGCCUUCUUCAUCCUUCUUGGUGUGAAUGUGACAUGGCAAAUCCAACACAUCAUUUCCGGCUUGAUCUUUCACUUUCUUGGGGGUCCAGGGCCCCUUAGGUUUCCCUUUAAAUUUUCCUUGAAUCACUCCGCAGUUUCACCAGGUCCCGCAGGUUCAGCUUUACGCUUCUGUUUCCGAUUGGAAUUGCCUCCACCUGUGUCCUGAUCGACUGGUUUGCUCUUUCCACUGCGGAGUCGAUCCUCUUCUUCUCCAUUAGCGUACCGAGUGGCUAUUUCCAUCAUCCAAGUCAGAGACAUAUCUCCCAUCCGAUAGAACUUCAGAACCAGUUCUCGAUACUUAACGCCUUCCUUGAAGGCACAAACUGCUUGAUGCUCGGGUACAUUUUCCACUGUGUGAUGCAAAGUGGUCCACCGCUGAAUGUAAUCUCUCAGAGUUUCAUUCGGUUUUUGCACGCAAUGCUACAAUUCUGUUAACCCCGCUGGCCGCUUGCAUGUACCCUCAAAUGUUCUAACAAACACUCGGGCGAGUUCCUCCCAACUGAAUAUACUGCUCGGUGCUAACUGAGUCAACCAUGCCCUGGCCGAGCCUUCCAACAUCAUAGGUAGAUGCUUCAUGGCCACUUCAUCAUUGCCGCUACCAAUCUGCACAGCCACUCGGUAAUCCUCAAGCCAAGUAUCAGGCUUGGACUCACCAGUGAACUUGCUGACUCUAGUCGCCAACCUGAAGUUGGGAGGAAUCACCGCAGCUCUGAUGGCUCUGCUAAAACACUCUGGACCUGAAACAUGAACUCUGCUGCGAGUCGGGUCAUCUCUAUCAAGGCCCUAUCUGUGUGCCCUGUUCCUGUUGACUAGACCUUGAACGAGAAUAGAUCUCGCAUCAAAUCCUGGCUCUCUUGGGUCGACUGGUAUUCUUCGCUCACCACUGUGAGGGCGUCUGUCUUCAUAUUGCCGAGGCACAUAUGACCCACUCCUCGGAGGAGGUGUGGUCACUCGACGACGGUCAUCAUGGCCGAGUCAGUGAUCAUAUUGCUCGUGGUUUCUGUACUGAUCUUGCUGGUGCCCACGUCCCUCACGCCGAGGGGGCGGUCUUGGGCUGUGGGCGGACUGGACUAUAUCUGCCAUCACAGAUCUGCUAUGAAUCUUAUUCGGCGACUGAGACACUGCUAUGUUCUGCUCUCCUGCUGCCCGUAGUAAGGCCCGGAUCUGCAUCAAACCUCUGCCAGCUUCCGACUGGGAAGGCUGAAUUCACACUGCGACAUGGGCUGUAGCUGUGAGAUUUUGAAUCGGAGUGCUGUAUACCUGAGGUUGUGGUGGAAAAAGCUGUCGUCGACUAGACUCAGGGAUCCGCUGCCGAGCACGCUCGUCGAUGCAUGGUGAAGGUUCUCCAGUCGAGUGCGCUCAGCCAAGUUGGCCAGGCGCGCCUCCUCCAAGGCCCGAGCCUCGAGGGUUUCCCCAACGAUGGGCGUGUGGAGUGCAUCCACGUUGCGGCGGCGAAGCUCUUCCCUCUGCUGCGAAGAAAGGGGUUCCGGGCGAUACUCCUCGUGAACGCGUGACGGAUCGACGCCACCAUCACCGCCGUCAUCGCGGCAGAAGCCAGGCGGACUACAUGGUCCGUCGACCAUCAAGACUUCAGCUGCGGGGUCGCUGCUAUCGCACUCGGAUGCGGUCUUGAUGUCUACUACGCAACCUUCUUCUUGUAGACGUUGUUGGGCCUCCAAGUGCAGAGGUUUGUAGGACAGUAGCAAAUUUCCCUCAAGUGGAUGACCUAAGGUUUAUCAAUCUGUGGGAGGCGUAGGAUGAAGAUGGUCUCUCUCAAACAAGCCUACAACCAAAUAACAAAGAGUCUCUUGUGUCCCCAACACACCCAAUACAAUGGUAAAUUGUAUAGGUGCACUAGUUUGGUGAAGAGAUGGUGAUACAAGUGCAAUAUGGAUGGUAGAUAUAGGUUUUGUAAUCUGAAAAUAUAAAAACAGCAAGGUAACUAAUGAUAAAAGUGAGCGUAAACGGUAUUACAAUGCUAGGAAACAAGGCCUAGAGUUCAUACUUUCACUAGUGCAAGUUCUCUCAACAAUAAUAACAUAAUUGGAUCAUAUAACUAUCCCUCAACAUGCAACAAAGAGUCACUCCAAAUUCACUAAUAGCGGAGAACAAACGAAGAGAUUAUGGCAGGGUACGAAACCACCUCAAAGUUAUUCUUUCGGAUCGAUCUAUUCAAGAGUUCGUACUAGAAUAACACCUUAAGACACAAAUCAACCAAAACCCUAAUGUCACCUAGAUACUCCAAUGUCACCUCAAGUAUCCGUGGGUAUGAUUAUAUGAUAUGCAUCACACAAUCUCAGAUUCAUUUAUUCAACCAACACAUAGAACCUCAAAGAGUGCCCCAAAGUUUCUACGGGAGAGUCAAGACGAAAACGUGUGCCAACCCCUAUGCAUGGGUUCAUGGGCGGAACCCGCAAGUUGAUCACCAAAACAUACAUCAAGUGAAUCAAUAGAAUAACCCAUUGUCACCACGGUUAUCCCACGCAAGACAUACAUCAAGUGUUCUCAAAUCAUUAAAGACUCAAUCCGAUAAGAUAACUUCAAAGGGAAAACUCAAUCCAUUACAAGAGAGUAGAGGGGGAAGAAACAUCUUAAGAUCCAACUACAAUAGCAAAGCUCGCGAUACAUCAAGAUCGUAUCACCUCAAGAACACGAGAGAGAGAGAUCAAACACAUAGCUACUGGUACAUACCCUCAGCCCCGAGGGUGAACUACUCCCUCCUCGUCAUGGAGAGCGCCGGGAUGAUGAAGAUGGCCACGGUGACGGAUCCCCCGUCCGGCAGGGUGCCGGAACAGGGCCCCGAUUGGUUUUUGGUGGCUACAGAAGCUUGCGGCGGCGGAACUCCCGAUCUAUUCUGUUCCCUGAAGGUUUUAGGGUAUAUUGGUAUAUAUAGGUGAAAGAAGUACAUCAGGGGAGCCACGAGGGUGGAGGGCGCGCCCAGGGGGGUGGGCGCGCCCCCCUGCCUCGUGCCUUCCUCGUUGCAUUCUUGAUGUGGACUCCAAGUCUCCCGGGUUGCUUUCCUUCCAAAAAUAACUUCUCCAGAAGGUUUCAUUCCGUUUCGAAUCCGUUUGAUAUUCCUUUUCUUCAAAACACUGAAACAAGGGAAAAAACAGGAACUAGCGCUGGGCUCUGGGUCAGUAGGUUAGUCCCAAAAGUAAUAUAAAAGUGCAUAGUAAAGCCCAUAAAACAUCCAAGAUGGAUAAUAUAAUAGCAUGAAUACUUCAUAAAUUAUAGAUACGUUGGAGACGUAUUUGCAUCCCCAAGCUUAAUUCCUGCUCGUCCUCGAGUAGGUAAAUGAUAAAAGAAAGAAUUUAUGAAGUGUGAAUGCUAGCAGGUGCAUAGGUUUGAUCAAUGAUAAUUUCAAUCACCUUUCCUAGCAUCAUUAUAUGUCAUAACAGUAGCUCAUACCAUAAAACUUUGCAUGAUCAAGUAACAAACUAUUCACAUGUUAAAGCAUAGACCAUAAACUUUCUUGAAAACUAACAAACCGUGUUAUUAGUCAUCAAACAAUUACAAUUCAUCUUAUUUUCAGGAAGAGUCUAUGUCAGAGCUUUGAUUUAGCAAAUCCCACAUACUCAACUAUCAUAUAGUCUUCCAUGAUUGCUACCACUCAAAGCAUAUUUUUAGAACAAAUAGCAUCCAUCGAACACAUAGAAAGAUAGGGGCUUAAUGUUUCGCCUCCCAACUUAUUCAUCAUAUAGAUAAUUGUCAACAAUAUAAUUCAUGAUCAAAUAUAUUUGAAUGGCCAUAUAUGCUCAGAUCUUUCCAUCACAUGAUGCUUGCCAACUAAAGAGUAGGUUGGAAUGAGAAGGAAUACUACUGACUCUUGCAUAAAAGUAAAAGAUAGGCCCUUCGCAGAGGGAAGCAGGGAUUUGUAGAGGUGCCAGAGCUCGAAGCAAAAACAGAGAUGAAAAUAAUUUUGAGAGGUAUGCUUUCAUUGUCAACAUAACGACCAAGAGUUCCCAAUAUCUUCCAUACUACAUACAUUAUAGGCGGUUCCCAAACAAAAAGGUAAAGAUUUUUACUCCCCCUCCACCAACAAUCAUCAAUCCAUGGCUUGCCCGAAACAACGGGUGCCUCCAACUAACAUCAAUACUGGGGGAGUUUUGUUUGCAAUUAUUUUUGAUUUGAUUUCGAUCUUUUGAUCAUGGGACUGGGCAUCCCAGUUACCAGCCAUUUUCUCGUGAAUGAUGAGCGGAGUCCACUCAUCGUGAGAAUAACCCACCUAGCAUGGAAGAUACUCCUAGCCCCUAGUCACUACAUGAGAGAUUCGGGCAUACAAAACAGAUUAUUAUUUGAAGGUUUAGAGUUUGGCACAUGCAAAUUUACUUGGAACGGCAGGUAAAUACCGCAUAUAGGUAGAUAUGGUGGACACUCAUGGAAUAAACUUGGUUCAAGGAAUUUGGAUGCACAAGCAGUAUUCCCGCUUAGUACAGAUAUUUUGGCUAGCAAAGGAUUCUAAAUAGCAAGCGCCACAUGUUAGAGGAUCCAUAACAAUAUAACUUCUAUACAAAUAUACCCAAGCAUAACUCAUUAUGUUGUCUUCCUUGUCCAACUUCAACUAAUUUGCUCAGGUUUGAAAAUAAUUAAUGGGGAUCACAAUCAUAGAAGAUGUCCAAGAUAGUAUAUUUAUAUGUGAAAUCUCUCUUCCUUCAAUAUUCUUUCAUGAAUUGUUCAAGUGACCAAUACAAUGUUUGCUAACCUUCAAUAAAUUUACCACCUCUACUUCUUAUAUCUGAAGUCAUUACUCCAUGGGAAAGGCAUACGAAACAUAUAUAAUUUCAGAUUUAUGACAUUCAAAUCAUUCAACCAUUUACUCAUAGGAUAUAAGUGAAGCACACGAGUAAAUGACAAACUACUCCAAAAAGAUAUAAGUGAAGAUCAGUGAGUAGUUAAAUAAUUAUGUAUCUAUGUGAAGACUCUCUCUCUCAUUUAAUAAUUUCAGAUCUUGGUAUUUUAUUUAAACAGCAAGCAAAGCUAAAGAAAAUAAAAUGACGCUCAAAGCAAAACACAUAUCAUGUGGCGAAUAAAAAUAUAGCUCCAAGUAAAGUUACCGAUGAAUGAGGGGAUGCCUUCCGGGGCAUCCCCAAGCUUAGGCUCUUGGUUGUCCUUGAAUAUUACUCCCUCCGUUCCAAAAUAGAUGACCCAACUUUGUACUAAAGUUAGUACAAAGUUGGGUCAUCUAUUUUGGAACGGAGGGAGUACCUUGGGGUGCCUUGGGCAUCCCCAAGCUUAGGCUCUUGCCACUCCUUAUUCCAUAGUCCAUCGAAUCUUUACCCAAAACUUGAAAACUUCACAACACAACACUCAACGGAAAACUCGUAAGCUCCGUUAGCGAAACAAAACAAAACACCACUUCAAGGUACUGUAAUGAACUCACUCUUUAUUUAUAUUGGUGUUAAAUUUACUGUGUUGAAACUUCUCUAUGGUUUGUAAACUAUUUUACUAGCCAUAGAGUCAUCAAAAUAAGCAAACAACACACGAAAAACAGAAUCUGUCAAAAACAGGACAGUCUGUAGUAAUCUGUAACUAACGCAAACUUCUGGAACUCAGAAAAAUCUACCAAAAUAGUAAAACCUAGAUAAUUUGAUUAUUGAUCUGCUGCAAUUGGAAUCAGUAUUUUAUCACGUUCUGGUAAUUUUUAACAAUUGUUUUCGUGAGCAGAAAGUUUCUGUCGUUUUCAGAAAGAUCAAAUAAUUAUCAUACAAGGAGAUCCUAUAGGUCUUACUUGGCACAAACACUAAUUAAAACAUAAAACCACAUCUAAGCAGAAGCUAGAUGGAUUAUUUAUUUGUAAACAGAACCAAAAAGCAAUAAACUAAAAUAAAAUUGGGUUGCCUCCCAACGAGCGCUAACGUUUAACUCCCCUAGCUAGGCAUGAUGAUUUCAAUGAUGCUCACGUAAAAGAUAAGAAUUAAAACAUAAAGAGAGCAUCAUGAAGAAUAUGACUAGCACAUUUAAGUCUAUCCCACUUUCUAUGCAUAGGGAUUUUGUGAGCAAACAACUUAUGGGAACAAUAAUCAACUAGCAUAGGAAGGCAAAACAAGCAUAACUUCAAAACUUUAAGCACAUAGAGAGGAAACUUGAUAUUAUUGCAAUUCCUACAAGCAUAUAUUCCUCCCUCAUAAUAAUUUUCAGUAGCAUCAUGAAUGAAUUCAACAAUAUAACCAUCACAUAAAGUAUUUUUUUCAUGAUCUACUAGCAUAGAAAUUUUAUUACUCUCCACAUAAGCAAAAUUCUUCUCUUUCGAAAUAGUGGGAGCAAACUCAACAAAAUAACUAUCAUGUGAAGGAUAAUCCAAUUGAAAAUUAAAAUCAUGAUGACAAGUUUCAUGGUUAUAUUUAUUCUUUAUAGCAUACAUGUCAUCACAAUAAUCAUCAUAGAUAGGAGGCAUGCUUUCAUCAUAAUAAAUUUGCUCAUCAAAACUUGGGGGACAAAAAAUAUCAUCUUCAUCAAACAUAGCUUCCCCAAGCUUGUGGCUUUGCAUAUUAUUAGCAUCACGGGUAUUCAAGGAAUUCAUACUAACAACAUUGCAAUCAUGCUCAUUCACAUAUUUAAUGCCAAGCAUUCUAUGUAAUUCUUCUUCUAGUACUUGAGCACAAUUUUCCUUCCCAUCAUACUCACGAAAGAUAUUAAAAAGAUGAAGCGUAUGAGGUAAACUCAAUUCCAUUUUUUUGUAGUUUUCUUUUAUAAACUAAACUAGUGCUAAAACAAGAAAAAAAAGAUUCGAUUGCAAGAUCUAAAGAUAUACCUUCAAGCACUCUCCUCCCCGGCAACAGCGCCAGAAACUGCUUGAUGUCUACUACGCAACCUUCUUCUUGUAGACGUUGUUGGGCCUCCAAGUGCAGAGGUUUGUAGGACAGUAGCAAAUUUCCCUCAAGUGGGUGACCUAAGGUUUAUCAAUCCAUGGGAGGCGUAGGAUGAAGAUGGUCUCUCUCAAACAACCCUGCAACCAAAUAACAAAGAGUCUCUUGUGGCCCCAACACACUCAAUACAAUGGUAAAUUGUAUAGGUGCACUAGUUCGGCGAAGCGAUGGUGAUACAAGUGCAAUAUGGAUAGUAGAUAUAGGUUUUUGUAAUCUGAAAAUAUAAAAACAGCAAGGUAACUAAUGAUAAAAGUGAGCGUAAACAGUAUUGCCAUGCUAGGAAACAAGGCCUAGGGUUCAUACUUUCACUAAUGCAAGUUCUCUCAACAAUAAUAACAUAAUUGGAUCAUAUAACUAUCCCUCAACAUGCAACAAAGAGUCACUCCAAAGUCACUAAUAGCGGAAAACAAACGAAGAGAUUAUGGUAGGGUACGAAACCACCUCAAAGUUAUUCUUUUGGAUCGAUCUAUUCAAGAGUUUGUACUAGAAUAACACCUUAAGACACAAAUCAACCAAAACCCUAAUGUCACCUAGAUACUCCAAUGUCACCUCAAGUAUCCGUGGGUAUGAUUAUACGAUAUGCAUCACACAAUCUCAGAUUCAUCUAUUCAACCAACACAUAGAACCUCAAAGAGUGCCCCAAAGUUUCUACGGGAGAGUCAAGACGAAAACGUGUGCCAACCCCUAUGCAUAGGUUCAUGGGCGGAACCCGCAAGUUGAUCACCAAAACAUACAUCAAGUGAAUCAAUAGAAUAACCCAUUGUCACCACGGUUAUCCCACGCAAGACAUACAUCAAGUGUUCUCAAAUCAUUAAAGACUCAAUCCGAUAACAUAACUUCAAAGGGAAAACUCAAUCCAUUACAAGAGAGUAGAGGGGGGAGAAACAUCAUAAGAUCCAACUACAAUAGCAAAGCUCGCGAUACAUCAAGAUCGUAUCACCUCAAGAACACGAGAGAGAGAGAUCAAACACAUAGCUACUGCUACAUACCCUCAGCCCCGAGGGUGAACUACUCCCUCCUCGUCAUGGAGAGCGCCGGGAUGGUGAAGAUGGCCACCGGUGAGGGAUCCCCCCUCCGGCAGGGUGCCGGAACAGGGCCCCGAUUGGUUUUUGGUGGCUACAGAAGCUUGUGGCGGCGGAACUCCCGAUCUAUUCUGUUCCCCGAAGGUUUUAGGGUAUAUUGGUAUAUAUAGGUGAAAGAAGUACGUCAGGGGAGCCACGAGGGGCCCACGAGAGUGGAGGGCGCGCCCAGGGGGGUGGGCGCGCCCCCUUGCCUCGUGCCUUCCUCGUUGCUUUCUUGACGUGGACUCCAAGUCUCCCGGGUUGCUUUCCUUCCAAAAAUAACUUCUCCAGAAGGUUUCAUUCCGUUUCGACUCCGUUUGAUAUUCCUUUUCUUCGAAACACUGAAACUAGGGAAAAACAGGAACUGGCGCUGGGCUCUAGGUCAAUAGGUUAGUCCCAAAAGUAAUAGAAAAGUGCAUAGUAAAGCCCAUAGAACAUCCAAGAUUGAUAAUAUAAUAGCAUGAAUACUUCAUAAAUUAUAGAUACGUUGGAGACGUAUCAGGUCUCAACGGAGCCAGUCGAACAGGCCGUAGAGAGUUUCGUCGGGCUUGAUUCCCGCGACUUGUGGGGUGGCCGACUGACGAGCCACCACAUAUUUCACCCACCGCUAAAGCCGCGACCGACCGGAUCGCUUGCGUCGGCGAACAGCGGGGAGCGAGGACAUCACGGGAGCCGACCGAUACUGGGUCGACGGCUGCCAGAGAAGGACGCCGCAAACGCACGCGCGAAAGUGCGUCGCCCCGGGGACGGGGAGCGCCUCGACGUCGAGGGGAGCUUCCUGAAACCAGGCGGAGUCGUCGGCAAAGAAGACGAGCGCGCCGAGACGGAUCUCGCGGCCCUCAGCCAAUCCUCCACCAGAAACCAUGAUGAUGGGAAUCGGAAAAAUCGCAACUUCACCAAAAAGUCGCUAAGACACCUUCCCCACGGUGGGCGCCAACUGUCGUGGUUCUAAGACUGACAGUAGACUGGGGGGUAGGUAUGAAGAGGCAAGAUCCCAGCUGUGGUGAAGUUGUACACACGAGAUUUACGAGUUUAGGCCCUUCACGGUGGAAGUAAUAGCCCUACGUCUCGGUGCCCGGAGGCGGUCGCCUGGAUUAUAUGUGUGUGGAGUUAUAAGGGGUGCGAACCCUUGUCCCUGAGGAGGGGGGUGGCUUAUAUAGAGUUCGCCAGACCACUCCCGCCCUCAGUUACACAGGCUUUAAGGUACAUAAAGAUGGGGCGUUUCUAGUAACGCCAGUAAUAAAGUGACAUAAAUGUCCAUUAAGUCUACAGAGUAAACGUCCGACCGUUGCUAUUCAGAGUGACUUUAGGUCUCCUGCCUGUCGAGGCAUUCCUGUUACGGUCGAGUGAGCUUGAAUCUUCCGAGUGGGAUGCCUCUAGUCAAGUGGAUGAUGAUAUCCCUUGAAUGCUUCUGACUUUAGGGUAAUGUCCUAGCGGAGGGUGUCCAGGUGAGGUCUAUGAUCCUACCCUAGCUACAUAUCUUCAUCAGGCAGUCCCAAAUAUUUCUCUUCAAACCCUGUCGUGAUUACUUGCAAAAUAUGUUUUACUCCAUCUCUGGUUACAUCCGGACAUGAACUACCCACCAUCAUGGAGCACUUGGCAGGGUUUAACAACUGCCUCGUGGCAUUUGCAUAAACUUCCAGAGUGCUUUUAAUAUAUUGUGCUUCUUGGUCACACGACUUGAAAAAUAAGAGUGUCAUCCGCGAAUAAUAAGUGUGAGACUCCCGGUACACUUCUAGUAAUUUUCAGUGGAGAUAUAUUACGGGUAGCAAUCCCUAUAUUGAUAAAAGCAGAGAGACCAUCAGCAACAAACAAGAAUAAAUAUGGGCACAGCGGAUCACCUUGCCGAAGACCACGCGACGGUGCAAACGAAUCCAGGAUGGCUCCAUUGAAUUUUACUGAGUAUCUCACCGAGGUCACACAUGACAUAAUCCAGUCAACCCACCGGUGAGCAAAGCCAAGCUUUUGCAUCAUUUGCCUAAGGUAAUUCCAGUCCACUCUAUCAUAGGCUUUUGAGAGAUCAAGCUUAUAAGCACAAUAACUCCUGGUAGGGUCCUUCUCUUGCUUUAUAUGAUGAAUACAUUCAAAGGCAACAUAGGCAUUGUCGGUAAUCAUACGUUCAGGAAUGAAAGCACUUUGCCAAGGCGAAAUAAUCUCAUCUAAAACAGGCCUUAACCGGUUUACUAAGCAUUUUGAGACCACUUUGUAAACCACAUUACAUAAACUUAUGGGGCAGAAAUCCGUGAUUUUCACCGGGUUAUCAAUUUUUGGGAUCAUUACAAUGAUAGUAUCAUUAACAUAUUCAGGCAUUAUCCCACUUUGGAAGAAAAAUUUUACCGCGGCAAUUAUACCUUCCUUCAUUGUCCCCCAGUUACGCUGAAAAAACGCGCGGGGAAACCAUCCGGACCCGACGCUUUUAGAGGUCCAAUCUGGAAAAGAGCGUCUCCAAUCUCCUUAUCUGAAAAUUCCGCACAUAAAACAUCAUUUAUUUGCUGAGUUACAACAGCCUCAAACAAAUCAGUGACUUGGGCGUGAUCAAGACUUGGGUCAGCCGUAAACAGCUCCUCAAAAUAAUCUGUAACGGCCUUCCCCAUCUCCUUAAUCCCCGUAUGCACAACACCCUGAGCAUCUUCCAACUUCUUAACUCUAUUUUUCCUGGCCCGCCAUACUGAUUUUGCAUGGAAAAUUUUUGUGUUCCUGUCUCCUGCUUUUAACCAAUCUAUCCGUGAUCUUUGCAACCACAUCAAUUCUUCUCGGUACAGUAACUCAUUCAUCUUGUCUGUAACUUUACGUAUCUCGCAUCUGUCCGCAUUCAUCAACAUCAAUUCCUCCAGCUGGGAUCUAGAUUUCUCGAGCUCAUUUUUUAUACUUCCAAACUUAACUCUACUCCACUCAAACAGUUUAGACAUGGUUGACCUGAGCGCAGCAUGUACGUCGCCCAAACUUGUUUUCUGCCCAGCUGCCUCCCAUGCUCGUGCAAUGAUUUCCUGAAGGGCCGGGUCCCUCUCCCACAUUACUUCAUAUUGGCGGAUUUUUUUCUUUAUACGUACAUCCUCCAUACGAGCACAAUUAACAUGCAGAGCCACAUGAUCAGACACGGGCGAUACCAGGUGGCGAACAACAGGAGAUUCAAAAUUAUCGCGCCAAGCCGGGGUAGCCACAGCCCUGUCCAAUCGCACUUUCACAUUUGCCAAACCACCUCUCUUGUUGUCUUAUGUGUGAGGAACACCCGAGAAUCCCAAGUCUGACAACUCACAUAUCUCCAGUACAUCAUGAAAAGCUUGCAUCUGACUCAUUGGCCUCGGUGAUAAGGAGAAGUGCUCAAAGUCCCACAUGCAUUCAUUAAAAUCACCCACAACUAACCAGGGUAGAUUAGACUAGGAGCUGAGAUUAUUAAGCAGAGUCCUCAUGUUAUGUCUAUCUUCCGCCCUUGGCUCUCCAUAGGUCAGUCUCCACAUAAUUUCAUCCGGCCCCAAUCUAACGUGGGCAUCGAUGCAUCUCUGUUUUGAGAACACCACCUCCACUUUGAGGGAUUCAUACCAGUAAAGGGCCAAUCCACCACUGUUUCCCAUACAAUCCACUCCCUCAAAACCUUUCAAACCAAACCGAGAUCUGUAUUUUUCAUCUUACUUUUUUGUUGCCUUGGUUCACAUAAAAACACCAACAUGGGGGAAAGCGACUGAAUGAAAGUCGCCACUUCGCGAACUGUCCGGGAGUCCACCCCCCCUGGCGGUCCCUGACGUGGAGGCCGCCACUGCAACACUUGACGCCCUAUUGAUAGCCGUUUCGUUUUCUCCUCUCAGCUUUUUUCUGUUGGCACUUUUCUGUGGUGUACCAUCCACCCCUUCCCUGGUUAUUUCUUCAUCUGCACCUUCAAAUUGCUCAACAAUUUCAGCAGUAUUACCUACAGGAACAAUAUCAGUGCUACUCACCCCCAAGUUGUUUGUAUCCGGCAUGAGAGUCACUAAAUCAGCAGCUAAUCUUUUCCCAAGGGUGUUCAGAUCCUCCUUAUACCCAUUCUCCCUUUCAGCUGGGUCAUUGACACCCUUACUUGGGUCUAUUACCAAGGGAUUAACUGCGUUAUGUGGCCAGCUCCUCACCCGGUGUUGGCCAUCUGCUGCAUCAUCAGUCCUUUUAUCCCCAUCAUAAUUAUAUGUCCCACUGUCCCUCCAUAAUUCUCGCUGCACUCCAGUCCUACCAGCACCCCGCCCCCUUCCAAAGGCUUCAUGCUGGGUAGCAGAUUGAAAGGCAUCACCUCUGCCAUACCCAUGGCCAGCUCCCCGGCCCGUGCCACGUCCACCCCCACCACGGCCUCUCCUUGGUGCUAGAACGAAGGGGCCCCAUUCCAUCUCUUCCUCCUUGUGAUCACCAGUACCACAUUCCUCAUGCCAAUGGCCCAAAAGACCACACAUAUAGCAAAACACUGGCAGCUUUUCGAACUUAACCUGGUACCAUUCAGUUUCCCCAGCCUUUGUGAAGCUAACAAACCUUGUAAGCUUUUUAUUGACAUCUAACUUCACUCUUGCUCUUAUGAACUCUCCCACGAAACCAUUGGGAAGGAUAUCUGAAGCUCUAACACUUCGCCAAUGCGUGCUGCCAUAUUCUUCACAAACUGCUCCCUUUUCAGUACCAUGUCAGGAAGCUUAUGUAUUUGGCACCAGGUCUCGAUUUUAUCGAGCUUUACUGUCUCCGGCUUCUUGAAGCCAUCAUACUCCUCGAUUAUAAGCGCCAUGCCUUUGAAGUCCCAAGGACCUUGGUGGAUAGCUUUGUUCCAAUCCCCCAAACAAUUGAACUGUACUGAGAACAGAUUUGGAUUAAUCCUACGCCAGAUGGAAAGGCCCUUGUUAUCGCUGAAGCAAUAUAUAUAAAGCUUAAUAGGGCCUAAGAAAGCUCACACAAUUUUGCAGUGGCUAUGGAAAUGUGUUGCCAAACUGAGACAUAAGAUUUUCGUUUGGCAUCCAGACCGUUUGUGUCAUCCUUAAUCUAUGGUUACUCUAAUUUUUUCCGGCCAGGCCUUCCCUGUGGUACCGCAUCAAGGCAUGCGUGUGUAUACGUUUCCUUUAACUACCAUGUGCAGGAUGAGGAUUUACUGCACGCAUGUGCGGCGGCACUCAGGUCCUGGUGCCGGCUUUUUAUUUUGGCUUUAGAUUUUCAAACUUCUAUAUCUUCUAUACAAAAAAUUUAAUUUAAGUUAUGUUUUCAUAUUCGUGUUUCUCGCAGCCAGCACUUUCAAAUAAGAUCCAUUUUGAAUACAGUUUGGCGAUUUUUGAAAACAAUGUUAAGUUUCAUUGUUUGAAACUUAGUACGAGCGGCUGAUAGAAUUCAAUUAUUUUGUGUCUACGACCAACACAGAAAAUUUCUUAAAAUUACAUCUUUGAAACUAGUUUGUAAGUCAUGGACAGUUUUUGAAUUUUUAGGAUAUUUUUUCAUUCAUGAACAUUUUUUAAAUUGGUGAAAUUUUGUUUAAUUUCAUUAACAAAUUUUAGUCACAAACCUUUUUAAAAAAUCAUGAACAUUAACUAGUUCGUGAAAUCCCAAAUUACUUAAAGCAGAAAAAACAAAAACAGAAAAGAGAAAGGAAUAAUGGAAAACAAAGUUAAAAAAUAGGCCAACCGAACAUGGGCCAGCCCAAACGGGCGCACUGCGUCUUCUCCCAGCGUGUGGCCCAAGCGAAAGAUUUCUCUGUAUGAAACUUUUUUUAUCACUUAUUGAUGGCGUUGGUGCGUAAUGUUUUGCAUCUUUAGUGACAAUUUUCAUGACGUACUGCCAGAAGUUAUUGCCACUUUAUUAUUAGGUAGAGAUUAGGUAUAGAUAGGAACUACCAGUAAAUUAGGUAGAUGAUAGAGACGAUGACUCCGAAGAAGAUCACAUGUGUCGAGCUUGGAACAUGCUAACAGAUCUUAGGGCAUCUCCGAUGUAAACCCAUAAAACAGACAUCGCAAAUGUCCGCGAACACGCACCGGACUGGUUCGCGGACACGAUAGGGGAGGGAGCCAUCCAACCUUGAUGGAUGCUACCCGUAUUUCUCUCACAUUUCUCCAGCAUUUCAUCGAACAAUUGAUGUGCAGAAGUAGGACACGUCUGGUUCAUGCAGCUGGGGCGUCCUGGGAGUUCUGCCUCAUCGGGCACGAUUGAUGUGUCACAGGACGAUGGGUGCGGUCUCGGGCGCGUCGGUAGCGGCCACGACGACAAGAGGAGGUCGCGCCACGAGCAGAGCUAGCCACGGGAGCCGCCAUUGGUGCAGCACUUGGCGCAGCCAGCCCACGACACGCCGGGCAUGGCGGCAAGAGAGCUUCAUGAGGCCAGAGCCGAGCUCGGCCUUGAGCUACUUGCCGAGCAGCCAUGGAGGGCAUGGGGAGAUGAGAUGCGCAGGGAGAAGGGAGAGAGGACAGGGAGAAGGGAGAGAGGAGUAGAGAGAUAGGAGGAGGCGGCGAUGAGGAUGGAGCGCUCGCCUGCAGCUGCCCUCACCGUUGUCCGUAGCCGGCAUCGGUGCUCUCCGUUUAGUGUUAUUUGUAAGGAGAGGGUGGGAGUGGAGACGUGGUGUUUUUUUGGUUAGCUGGAUGUUCAGACUCUCACAUAGUCCCUCAAAGUUGUUCGUGUGAUAUCGAAAUUUGAACAUGUGGGCUGUUCCGCGGAUAUUUAGAGGACCCCACUUGAAGAAUAAAAGUGGUCCAAACACUACUGUCUGACAUUUUGCCCUUAGUAGUUGGUGGAUGUCGAUGUGCUAUCCCUCCAACCUAUAUCAAGAGAUCCAUUCACCGUCUGAUCCCUUCUACCAAACACGUCAUUGCUUUCCAUGGUUCUCUCUUGUCGAUGUGUGAAAUAUUAGAAUUUGAGUUGUUUGGUGAAAUGUACGAGCUGACCGCCAAAAGAACAAAAAAUUUCUUUCUUUUUCCUUUUUUUAUAGUUUUGGCAGGUGCAUUUUCAUAUGGUACAUGUCUAGACCAUUUGAACAGUUUAUUUUGAAUUUGUUUCUUCCAUUCUAGCUAAAUAUAAGAGUUUACAAUGUUCGUUUUAAUCCUUUGGAAUAAACAUUUAUUACUAGUAUUAAAAAGACUAAAUUAGCUGCCGCAUUUUUUUCCCUAAUCAACUUGAAGGCUAUCUACACUUUGAUUAAAUUGUCAUUUAUACAUUUCGUGAUAUAUUAUUUCCAUUAUGUAUAUUAACUGCAAUAAAAAUGACGAUAAUCUGUUUUUCCUUAAGUUUUAAUGAAUGUACUAAAUAAUUAAAUAAUAAAAAUUUACUUACAAAAUAUUAACAUGAAAACGUGCCCUAUGAAUAAAAGGUAGAUAUCUAACUCAGGCACUUAUCUGCAAAAUAAAUGUUUUUUUAACAAAAUUGAAAGUAUUUAAAUUAUUUAAAAUGAAUAAAAAGUACAUGGUCCAUUCUACUUUACCGCUCGAAACACACUGAUUUGUUGUGGCAAUAGAAACACUGAAUUUCAGUCCCACUUAUUAAUGUUUGCUAAGUGAUAUCUGACAAUAAAACGUAAAAUAAAUAUUUUUUAUAUUAAAAUUUUUAAUUAUUAAAUUAAUCAUUUUGUCUGUGAUCUUAAUGUGUAAUUUUCUAUUACUUACGUAAAAUAGUUAACCAUAUAACAAUGUUGCUAAAUAAGAGUUAUAAUGUUUCUUUGUUAUGUAGUUGCAACAUAUAUCAGUAAAAUAGUUAAUUCAUAUUUAAAAGGUAUGAUAGAACAAAAGUUAUUUUUUCAAUCAAGUCUUGAAAUUAAAUAAAUUUAUAAUGUAUAUACAUAUAUUUCCAUACAUUUGUAUGUGUUCAUCGAGAUUUUAAUGUCAUUAAAUAUCAUGUUAGAGAUUUCAAAAGUGUGCUUUCUAACAUGUAUCUUAGUAGUAGUUUCUAGUGUAAUACUAUGUAAUCAUAUUUACAGAAAUUUCUAGAGCACGAAAUAUAUGUCUUGCAAGUUGGAUUCGGUAAUAAGUUGGCAUCAUGACCAUGCUAUUUGUUACAAUUAUUUUUUAUUUUAAAUAAUAACAAAUAACAAAAAAAUAUAAAAUUUAUGGGUGAAUCAUGCAAGUGAGGAGAACACACCAAUGAUGAAAGACAGUGCAUUUCUACGUGGAAUUCAUAUUGACAAACCUUAAGAAUCACAUUCAUUUCUAUGUUUUUAUAGAUUAUGCCCCAUUUGCGGGACUCAGAUACAAGUCAGUUCAAGGUGUGGAGCACGAGAAAACAUAGGAUUCAAGACCAGAUCAGCGACCGACUUCAAAAACAAAUAAGUAAAAAUUGCACAUUAGGUAUCAAGAUUAGGAGUAGAUGGAAAAUUAAUUGAAAGAAAUGGAGCAAAUAGCUCUGCAAUAAGUGCUCUCGCUAGAAAAUAAAUGUUGCGUUAGACGAUCCACUUGAAAACACACAUAUGAAGUGGUGGAGCCGGAAUUUUCACAAUGGGUAUGCAAAGCUAUAAAAAAUUGAUGGGCAACACUAACAACCAUGAAACUGCAUAUUAUUCUCCCUUUUUUUCACAUAUCGACAAUUUAAAUAAAAAAUGACUAGUUAAGCUUGAUUGAAUACUACAAUAAAUUAAACAACAGAUUGAGGAUCAGCCUCUGCUCCGAGUAAAAAAAUAAAGGGAAACUCUAUACAUCAGUAGUCUGCUGUUUCAUCCAUCGGAAUCCUCCACGGCCUUAGAUUCAUUUUCCAUUUGACAUACAUGAUGCUCAUCUAUCCUUAGCUGCCAGCCUCUGGGCCAGAAUGACUACCCUACCCGUGCCCCCACCUUCACCCGAGAGACACCCACCUUCACAUUCUUCCUGUCCAGGAAAGCGACUAAAUUUAGCUUCUCCUCCCACACCAGCAAAACUCCAUCCACCUCGGCCAUCUCUUACUUCACCGAUUGAUCUCCACCUGGUCGCAUGAUAUAAGCUCAUUAUCCUUCGAUGGAAGCAUAAUUAACUUGUAGUGCUAAAAACAAACUUGAAGAUCGUUGGGAGCAAAAUGUGCUCCUUAAGAUAGCAAACUAGUACAAGUAUAUUGGGAAACUCAUUUUAGAGUCAUUAAUUUCCGUAACACUCAAAAUCAGUUUCCUAGAAUUUUGGGGGCAUGAAUUAAGCGAUCAUGUUAAUAAGGGAUCUCAUGUAAUGUUCGAUUCCUAAAAAGCUAUAACCCACUACCUAUUUUCCCUUUACAUGCAACCAUUCCACAUAAGCAAGUCAUGCAUGCAAGUCAUAAAUUACAUUGUUUUUGCAUUACUCUAUGCAUACAGCGUUGCCACAUCAUCAACUCAUGCAUGUUAGUCAUAAUCUAUUGUUUGCAUUAGAUUUUUAUUUUUGGGAAGCAAGAGCUUUGAUUCAUUAAUUAGUGGGCUUACAAUCGUUUUGUAGACAGACAACUAAAAUGGUAUGCACAUAAUUGAUCCAAAGACAUCUCCUUCUACUAGCUGGCGCUUGUUGUGAGCAAAGAUGUGCCCGUUCAUUGGCCUUAUGUCCAAUGAAGUUCAAUUUGAAAAAAAAUCCAAAUUGCCGCUAAGAUCCUCAAUUUCUUGUAGAAUCGAAGCAAUCACAGACCGACCCUUGGCGCAAUCCAUCCAAAGCUUGACAACUUCACUUGUAUCAAACUUUAGAUAGGCCGAAAAAUGACAGACUAGCUCGAAUCCAUCCCGAAUUGCUAGAGACUACAAGAUCAAAGCGUUAGCUGCUUGGUCGUACCAGAUAGCUUGUCCCCUAAUCAAGCUACCCAGUGGUGUUAUUACGGCCCUGGGGUGCCUCACUUUGUUAGUUGUCGGCCCACUAGGUUAGUUCCACGCUCAGUCAUCAUGCCGACCCACGUGCCCUAUACAAAGAAGACUCCAGAAGCCUUGCCAUUCAAGACAAGGAAGCCGGAGUGUUGGUGUACAAAAAUAGGGGUCUUUCUGUACCCCUUUACUUGUGCGCGGACAGUUGUAGCCACACCUGCGGCCACGCUUGGCGGGGCAAAGGAAACGAAGAUACAGGACUGCCAGGGCAGUGCUCAAGCCAGAGGCGCAAAGAGCAAAGGGACAAGAUGGAUUUCCCCCGGCGAGAGCCUUGCCGGGGUGACCUACAUAGCCCCGGCAAGAGCCAUGCCGAGGCAACUUGCCCAACACCUGCAAGGCCGCCACCUUUGAGCUUGAGAGUUCUGACACCAUCGACAACGUCGAGACCAAGACUCAGGGGCGCCUGUGUGAUGGCAAGCAGAUCUUUGUGAGGAACAAAGGCCUGCGAAUCUGGACAGAAACCAGAAGGCGAAGACCCACGGCAAGAGCCUUGCCAGGGACAGGCGGAGACCACCGGCAAGAGCCUUGCCGGGGACAGGCGGAGACCCCGGCAAGAGUCUUGUCGGGGACAGAUGAAGACCCCCGGCAAGAUUUUUGCCGGGGACGCCCGCGAGACCCCGGCAAGAUCUUUGCCGGGGGCUUCUGCGGGGCUAAGGCCAGGCUCUCACUUACCAACGUUUCGCUGCCCCGCACCCGUGCCGACGCGACAAUCAGCCCGCCAACCAGGCAGGCGCCUGCGUGGCAGCAAGCAACCUCUAGGCCAACUAGACAAGCACCUGCGUGGUGGCAUGCAGAUCUUCGUGAAGACCCUGCCACCGUACUAGCACAGCAGCCAGCCAGCCAGCGUGGCGCUGCAUGCCUCGUCAGCUUGGAUGCGCGUCGAAGCAAGGCGAGGCGGCGAUGGACGGGACAAGCUUCUUUUCCGUCCCUAAUAAAGCAAGAGGACACGUAGGCGCAUUAAAUGAGUUUGUGCCACGAUGUCAGGGAUAGACUUGUACACUAUAGACACUUUCCACCUCCCGUGUGCCACUGUGGAAACCCCUUUGACAUAUAAAAGGAGGCUCGAGGCGUACUGAGGAAGGAUUUCGGACUUUUUGAACUAGGCAUGCACCGCAGCUAGUUCAACAGCUCAAGAACACCAAAUAUAUACACCAAAGUAGGACUAGGGUAUUACACAUCGCUUGCGGCCCGAACCUGGGUAAAAAAUCCCCUAGCGCUGAUCUUUUAGUCCCGCUCUUUGCACAGCUCUGCGCCCCGCCAACCGUAGUAGGGAUUCCCCGUGAUCCCAUAGGUGUCGUUUCCCCCGACAUCUUUGGCACGCCAGGUAGGGGGCGCAAGCUGUGAAAAUCUGGUCUAGGUGUUAGCGCAUCGACUUCAUCGUCGCCAUGGCCCCCAAGAAGAAGGGGAUCACAACGAUCUGGUCGUCCGGAGACGGCCCGUCCGCACCGGUGCGGGCAGCCAACGGGGUGGCCAUGGAUGGUGCCGGAGGCGCGGCCCGCGAGCAUCCACGACACUAUGGCAAUCGGAGCCAGGCGAGCGGCGUCGUUCGGAUCCAAGACAACGAGCCACACGCGGUUGGGUCCGGGGGCGGGGCCGUGCUGCCCAUGGGCUACGCGGCAACCUCUAGGACGCCCCAGCUGGCGCCCGCGCCGCGGCCCAGGCCGCGCGCCACGAGCAACACCGCGACGUCGGUGCCCCCGGGCGCCGCCGCGGGAAAAGCCCAUUGCGUCACUCUCAGGACGCACAGGGCCGUCGUGCGCACCUGGACGCUGGCGGAAGCGGCGCGCGACCGCGAGACCGUGAUAGAGCUCCUUCUAACGUGGUUAGAAGUCGGACCGCGUCACAAUCCAUGCAGAUUUCGCCGCCACCCACGCCGGCAGAAGCAUUGGCGGUCGUGCAACUGCUCCUCGACUUUCCUCCUGCCGCGGAGAAGCUUGACGAGUGGAGAGUCACCAUUCGAAGCCUCAUCAGCUUUGCCAAUAAAUAUGAACCAUGACCGGCGGGACCCUCGUGUCGGCGCUCCGUCGAGCCGGCGCACGCCGGUGGUGGGAGGACCGCGGCUGCUGCGACCACGGUGCACUCUCCUCCCCUUGCCAGCAACAGCAGCCACCGGCUCGUCGGGCCGACGCCUGUGACAAUGUUUCCACAACGUCGUCCGACCCGCGAGCCCGCUGCGACCAACAUCAAGUUCUGAGCGAGCUCAGGAGGACACUCGGACCACCAUCGAGCGGCAGCGGGAAGCGUGCCAUCAGUCUGGGGCCCACUAUGGACCGCCCAACGCAGGGGGGGCUCCGGCGACCUACCUUACGAGGUGGGUUGUCCACCCUUUACCCGUGAGCUGCGGCAGUUCAAGUGGCCCACCCACCGCAUGUUCAAGCCUGAGGUUGAAGAGAAGUACAACGGCAAGACUCACCCGUCGGAGUUCCUCAGCAUCUACACUAUCGCGAUGCAAGCUACCGGGGCUCGCGACAAGGUGCUUGCCAACUACUUUCCGUUGGCGCUUAAGACCAACGUCAUGUCAUGGUUGAUGCACCUGCCAGUGGAUUCCAUCUCUUCCUGGUCGGAUCUGUGCCACGAGUUUGUUGGCGCCUUUACCAGAGGCCACCAAGCUCCUGGCCAGGCAAAUGAUUUGCAUGUCAUCCCCCAGAAGGACGACGAGACCCUGCACAAAUACAUACAAAGGUUCAGCCGUGUGCAGUACAACAUCCCAGAUGUUCACCCCACCGCUGUCAUUAGUGCAUUCCAUCAGAAUGUGCGCAACCGCAAGAUGCGUGAAGAGCUGGCGAUGAACAAGGUUAAGGAUGUAGCCGAGCUUUAUGUUCUAGCUGAUAUAGGUGCGCUCGGGCUGAAGAAGGAAGGAAGUACCCCGGCGAGGACGCGGGCGCGGAAACCGACUCCAUGGAUGAAGAUGCCGUUGCCCCGGCAAAGAAGGGUCGACGCCGCAAUAGGAAGUGUAAGGGCAAGACCGUGCUUGCCAUUGAGGGAUCCGGCAACCCCGGCGCCGCCAAGAAGGCCAAGGCUGACGACCACGGCAAGGAAGUUGCCGGGUGCGCCAUCUGCCGGGCUUUGGCGGCUGCCAACAAGCAGUACUGCAAGAUCCAUCGCACCAAGGGCCAUGACCUCCAGAACUGCCAACAGGUUGAGCUGCUUGCGGAGAAGUAGAAAGCUGAAUAUGAAAUGCGGGACAAGGAGAAGGGUCAGGAUGGUGCCGUGGGGUCCGGCAAGGAGCGUGUCAGCCAGGGAGGUCACUGCGGCAAAGAUAAUCAACAAGAGAGGCCCGCUCGGGGCCGUGAUAAGAAAGAGGGGGACGAUGACCAUGAUGGCGAUGACGAGUCCACCAAGCAUGAGUUCUAGAAGGCCACGGAUUCCAUGUGCGUCAACGGUGGUGCCUCGUUUCACACCUCUCACCACCAGCUGAAGCAGUGGGCGCGUGAAGUCACUGCGGCAGAGCCAUUGUUCGAUGCCCAGACGCCACUGAAGUGGUCCAGCACACCUAUCAUUUUUUACACCGAGGAUCGAUAUCACCCCGAUCGCACAACUGCGGUCGGGUGCUUGCCGUUGUUGGUUUCACCAACGAUAAGCAACCUCAAGGUGACAAAAGUGCUAGUUGAGGGUGGGGCCGGUUUGAACUUGAUCCCGCCCGCCGUGAUCAAGAGACUACAGAUCCCUGAUGGAGAUCUCGAGGAGACUGGCACGUUUCAAGGGGUCAACCCGGGGAGGAGUCAGCCGAAGGGUAAGGUCACGUUGCCCGUUACAUUUGGGGGCGAGCUGAAUUAUAGGAUGGAGAAGAUCGUUUUUGAUGUCGCCAAGAUCCCCUUGCCCUGUAAUGGGAUCCUUGGCCACCCGGCACUGGCCAAGUUCAUGGCGGCGUCACAUUACGCCUACAACACGUUGAAGAUGCCCGGGCCAAUGAGCAUCAUCACCGUCCCUCCGACAAGAAGGACGCUCAUCUGUGCCGACCAACUUUAGCGGGAGGCAGUUGCAGCAACUGCCGCCAAGGCACUUGCUCCUGCCGCUGAAGCCCAGGAAGGGAAGAGAACUGGCAAGACCUCCUGCACCCACUCCGGCAAGCGCGCCUCUUCGGAGUGCUGCACUCCCGUCGAGGGCGUGCCAGAGAGCUCCACCGGCAAGAGCAAGAAAUCCAAGGCAGCACCACCUGAGACCAAGAAGGUGCCCAUCAAGGAGGACGGCACGGGCGGGGAUUUUACUAUAAGAUCCACCCUUGACAGUAAAUAGGAAAGCGCGCUCGUCGCCUUCCUGCGGGCGAAUGUCAAUUUGUUUGUGUGGCAAGCACCGGACAUCCCCGGCGUUCCCAGGGAGUUGAUUGAGCACCAUCUUGAUGUCUGUCCUCAUGCGCGGCCUGUCAAGCAGAAGGUCAGGAAGCAAGCUUUGGAACGAAAAGAAUUCAUCGUCGAGGAGAUCAGGAAGUUGGAGGCAGCAGGCUUGGUCAGAGGAGUGCUCCACCCCACGUGGUUGGCGAAUCCAGUGGUGGUGCGCAAGGCAAAUGGGAAAUGGAGGCUGUGUAUUGACUAUACAUAUAUCAAUAAAGCCUGUCCAAAGGAUCCUUUCCCUCUGCCACGCAUUGACCAGAUAGUGGACUCCACUGCUGGGUGUGACUUGCUGUCAUUCCUCGACGCCUACUCAGGAUACCACCAGAUCUUCAUGAUGAAGGAAGACAAAUAAAUGACUGCGUUCAUCACCCAUGUGGUAUGUACUGUUUUGUACGGAUGCCUUUCGGGUUGAAAAGCAUUGGUUCGAUAUUUUCCCGAGCAGUCCAAAUUGGUUUUGAGCCAUAGCUGCAUAGAAAUAUGGAAGCUUAUAUGGACGAUAUAGUGGUCAAAACCAAGGACAAGGCUACGCUCGUGCAGGAUCUGGAGGAAACAUUUGCAAACCUACGCAAGAUCAACCUCAAGCUCAAUCCAGAGCAGUGCGUGUUCGGCGUUCCGUCCAGCAAGCUUCUUGGUUUCUUUGUGUCUCAACGUGGAAUCGAAGCAAAUCCCGACAACAUCAAGGCGAUUGAGCAAAUUGAGGCACCAAGACGGGUCAAGGAUGUCCGUAGACUUUCCGGCUGCGUUUUUGCUCUAAGUAGGUUCAUCCCCAAAUCUGCUGAGCGCGCCCUCACCUUUUUCAAAGUUUUGAAAAAGGCGGGUCCAAUGAAAUGGACUCCGGAGGCAGAGGCAGCGCUGCAAGAUCUGAAGAGGUAGCUCUCCUCCACGCCAACACUGGUCACGCCUAAGCCACAAGAGCCGUGCUACCGUAUCUAGCGGCAACGAAUCAAGUGGUUAGUGCUGCACUGCUGGCGCAGGGGAACUUGAGGAAGAAACAGCGGUAGCGGCCGAGCCGUCGGAUGAUGUGCCAAGGCAUUCCCCAGCACGGCCUGAUAUCGGCAAGGUGGGACCCCCGGCAAGGCCUGAUCCCGGCAAGAUAGAGUCUGCGCAAGUAGGCGAAGUUGAACAGAAGAAGAAGGUGGUGCAGCACCCGGUUUAUUUUGCCAGUUCCCUCUUGCAGGGGGCUAGAUCAAGAUAUUCUAGUAUGCAGAAGCUACUUUUCGACCUCCUCAUGUCCUCGAGAAAGCGGCGCCACUAUUUCCAAGCACAUGAGAUCACCGUCGUCACCCUCCCUUUAAAGUGAAUCUUGCACAACCCAGAUGCGACUGGGAGGAUUGUGGAGUGGGCGUUGGAGCUGUCAAGCUUUGGCCUCAAGUUUGAAAGUACUUCAACGAUCAAGAGCCGGGCCUUGGCAGAGUUCAUAGCAGAAUGGACCGCAACGCCCGACGAAGAGAUUCAAGAGACCACCCUUCCCGGUAAGGAGAUGUCCGUGAUUGGGUUAUGUACUUUGCUGGAGCUUUCCCACUGCAAGGUGCUGGUGCCGGCAUGCUACUCGUCACACCCACUGGAGAGAGCCUCAAGUACGUAGUCCAGAUGCACUUUCACUUGGAAAAAUCAACGAACAACAUGAUGGAGUAUGAGGGAUUGCUUGCCGGUCUCAGGAUCGCAGCAGACCUCGGAAUCAGGAAGCUCAUCAUCAGAGGUGAUUCGCAGCUAGUCGUCAAGCAAGUUAACAAGGAUUACCAGAGCCCGUUGAUGGAGGCCUAUGUGGAUGAAGUGAGGAAGUUGGAAGAGCGUUUUGACGGUCUACAAGCAGAGCAUGUUCCCCGAGCAGAGAACAGCAUUGCCGACGACCUGUCGAAAUGCGCUGCCCUCAAGUUGCCUGUGGAACCAGGUACCUUUGUGCUUCAAUUAACUCAGCCAUCCGUUGAGCCGUCAGUAGGACAGAACAAGCGAAGGAAGGCAGGCCCCGGCAAGUACUUUCCCACUGAGCUCCCAGGAGCCGCGGGCAAGGAAGUUGCCGGGUAUCCCAAGCUUGCCGAGGAGCAGCAACCUCCGGCAGGGCACCAGGCCCUGACCGUAGAGGCAGCUGCCCCUACGGCCGAGAAUGAGCCUUUAGUCCUUGCCGUCGAGCCCCAGGCUCUGGCAUGGGCGCAGCGCACCGUCCGUUUCCUCCAAACGGGGGAACUCCCUGAGGAAUAGGAAGAAGCAGAGAAAGUAGCCCGUCGGUCCAGCACGUACCAGUUUGUGGAUGAUACCCAAUACAGAAGGAGACCAAACGGUGUGAAAUUGAAGUGCAUUCCUCAGGAGGACGGACUGGAGUUGUUGGCGGAAAUACAUGGAGGCAUAUGUGGCUCUCACAUAGGAUCAAGGGCCCUUGCCGGCAAGGCAUUCUGGCAAGGUUUCUUUUGGCCCACUGCCCGCCAGGAUGCAACUGCACUAGUAACCAAGUGUGAAGCGUGUCAGUUCCAUUCAAAGAAGCUCCAUCAGCCAGCUCAAUCUCUUCAGACAAUCCCUCUCUCCUGGCCAUUUUUGGUCUGGGGGCUCGACAUACUGGGGCCCUUUCCCCGUGCUGUCGGGGGCUUUGAGUACUUGUACGUUGCAAUCGAGAAGUUCACAAAGUGGCCAGAAGUGGAACCGGUGAGAAAGGUGACAGCACAAUCAGCUGUCAAGUUCUUCAAGGGACUAGUAUGCCGUUUUGGUGUGCCAAAUAGAGUCAUCACCGACAACGACACACAGUUCACAAGCCGCACCUUUAUGUAGUAUAUUCGAAACCUCGUCGGCAAGGUUUGUUUUGAUUCUGUUGCUCAUCCCAGAAGUAAUGGCCAGGCUGAGAGGGCGAACGCAAAGGUGUUGUGAGGACUCAAGACCAGGAAUUUUGACAGGCUACACAAGUGCGGAAGGCGCCGGAUUGAUGAGUUGCCAACUAUUCUUUGGUCGAUCAGAACGACGCCAAAUCGAGCCACUGGCCAGACACCCUUUGCCCUGGUAUACGGGGUAGAAGCAGUUCUCCCCACGGAACUCAUAUACGGGUCACUGAGGGAGUCCUGGACAAAGGGGUCCUCGGGCGUCCGGCCUGUUAGCCAUGGGCCGGACUGAUGGUCUAUGAAGAUACGCAGACCGAAGACCCUACCCGUGUCCGGAUGGGACUCUCCUUGGCAUGGAGGGCAAGCUUGGCGAUUAAAUAUGUAGAUUCCUUUCUUUGUACCGACCUUGUGUAACCCUAGAUCCUCCCGGUGUCUAUAUAAACCGGGGGGACUUAGUCCGGAGGGGGGAGAGACUCAUUACCAUAGUCAUACAGGCUAGACUCUUAGGGUUUAGCCAUUAUGAUCUCGUGGUAGAUCAACUCUUGCAAUACUCAUAUUCAUCAAGAUCAAUCAAGCAGGAAGUAUGGUAUUACCUCCAUAGAGAGGGCCCGAACCUGGGUAAACAUUGUGUCCCCUGUCUCCUGUUACAAUCGACCUUAGACGCACAGUUCGGUACCCCCUACCCGAGAUCCGCCGGUUUUGACACCGACAUUGGUGCUUUCAUUGAGGUUCCACUAUGCCGUCCCCAAAAGGUUUGAUGGCCCCUUCAAUCGUCAACAAUGAUGCUGUCCAAGGAGAAACCUUCCUCCCCGGACAGAUCUUCGUGUUCGGCGGCUUUGCACUAUGGGCCAACUCGCUUGGCCAUCUGGAGCAGAUCGAUAGCUACGCCCCUGGCCAUCAGGUCAGAUAUGGAAGCUUGAACUACGUCGCGGACAUCCGUGGAGACUUGAUUUUUGACGGAUUUGAGACCGCGGCGACCGCUCCUUGUCGCCACGAUGAACAUGAGUUAAAUCUGUCAUCGGACCGCAUCCAGGAGAUAGCUUCCGUAACUGCUCUGGCUCUAGAUCCGGAGCAGACCGCGCCAUCCGAGGACGGGAAGCUCAACCCCGCCAUGGAGGUCACAGAUUCUGCAGCGUUGGAGCCGCACAUAGACUUAACCUCACGCAAUAUCUGUGUCACCGGAACUCCGGACUCGUCUCCGGCUAUAAGUUCCGAACCAUGUGCGUCCGCAGAGGCCGAGCUUGAUCAGUUAUCGAUCUUCGAAUUCAGUGCCGCAGACAUCUUCUGACACUCGCCCCUCGGCCUUGUGCUGAACUCGUUAAAGAAUCUUUCCUUGGCGAGGGACUCACAGCCGAAUUAUGUCCGGUUUGAACAGGAGGCUGACGAUGGGGGAGAAUUUCGCUUCCCACCCGCCACCCACUUCAUAGCCACUGUCGAGGACUUAACCGACAUGCUUGAUUAUGGCUCCGAAGACAUCGACGUUAUGGACAACAAUGCUGAGGAGGAGCAAAGGCAAAACCCGCCAUUUACUGGACGCUGGACGACCACCUCUUCGUAUGAUGUGUACAUGGUGGAUACACCCAAAGCAACCAACGACGAUGACAAAGAAAAUACAGUUGAGAGUAAACCUCCUGAGACACAGCACAAACGUCGGCGUCCUCGGCGCCGCUCUAAGUCACGUCGUUCAAAAGACAGCAAUACUAGCACCGGAGAAAAUAAUACUCCGGACGAUGCCGAAAACAAUGAAGACCCUGUUGAGGUAACAUCCGAACAGGAGGAACAAGAAAACAGGCAAGUUAGCCCCGAUGAACAGGCCAUGCCCAACGACUCGUAGGACGGUAGUUAUCGUCCGCUCUCCGAGGAUGAGGAAUGCCUCGGCAACGAGGAUUUCAUUGUGCCCGAGGAACCUCUUGAGCAGGAGCACUUCAAGCGGCAGCUAAUAGCCAUUGCAAGGAGCCUGAAAAAGAAGCAGCAGUAGCUUCAAGCUAACCAAGAUCUGCUCGUCGACAGGUGGACUGAUGUCCUGGCAGCCGAGGAAUACGGCCUCAGACACCCAGCCAAAAGUUACCCGAAGAGCAGAUUGCUACCUCAGUUCGAUGAAGAAGCGCCAGAGCCCAUACCUCCCUUGCAUAAUGCGGCCGAUCGACCACUACGCGGUCGGGAUAGUGCGGCGGACCGACCACCAUGCGGUCGGGAUAGAGCGGCAACUCAGGCCGAACAGCAGCCCGCCCCACCGCCAUGUAAAAAUAGAGACAAAACAGUUCGGGGUCAUACAUACGACCUUCGGCAGGACCUGGAUAGUAGAGCAGGAUAUACCAGAUCGAUUUACGGAUCGCGAGGAUGUUCCUCGACACGCGAUGAUGGCUACUUAUUCGGACGUGACAAACCUAGUCACGCCCGGGCCGACAACCGCAGACGGACUCCAUCAGAGCUACGUCGCGAUGCGGCCAGAUAUAGAGGCGCCGCACACCCUCUUUGCUACACUGAUGCAGUAAUGGAUCAUGAAUUCCCCGAAGGGUUCAAGCCCGUGAAUAUUGAAUCAUACGACGGGCAACUGAUCCCGCGGUAUGGAUCGAGGACUUUAUCCUCCACAUCCACAUGGCCUGCGGAGAUGACCUCCACGCUAUCAAAUACCUCCCACUAAAGCUUAAAGGACCAGCUCGGCACUGGUUAAACAGCCUGCCAGAAAAUUCUAUCGGCAGCUGGGAGGACUUGGAAGAAGCCUUCCUCGACAACUUCCAAGGUACAUAUGUCCGGCCACCAGACGCCGAUGACUUAAGCCACAUAGUUCAACAGCCUGGAGAGUCAGCAAGGAAAUUCUGGACUAGGUUCCUAACUAAAAAGAACCAGAUCGCCGACUGUCCGGAUACCGAGCGGCCUUUAAACAUAGCAUCCACGACGAAUGCCUCGCCCGCCACCUCGGCAAAGAAAAGCCAAAAUCUAUGGCAGCCCUUACGGCACUCAUGACCCGCUUUUGCGCGGGUGAGGAUAGUUGGCUGGCUUGUAGUAAAAACACAGCCAGCGAGGCAGGCCCCUCUGAGGUCAAAAACAACAACGGCAAGCUCCGACGUAACAGACACAAACGCCGAAGCAAUGGUGAUAAUACCGACGACACUACAGUCAACGCCAGAUUGAGCGGCUCCAAGUCCAACCAACAGAAGAAACCGUACGAAAGAAACAAUCAGGGACCAUCCAGCCUAGACCGCAUACUCGAUCGUCCGUGCCAGAUACAUGGCACCCCAGACAAACCAGCCAAUCAUACCAACAGAGAUUGUUGGGUUUUUUAACAGGCCGGCAAAUUAAAAGCCGAGAACGAGGAAAAGGGAUCGCAAAGCGAGGACGAUGACGAGGAGCCCCGGCAACUGAACACAGGGGGGCAAAAGAAGUUUCAUCUCAGGUCAAAACAGUAAACAUGAUAUAUGCUACACACAUCCCCAAAAGGGAACGCAAGCGCGCACUCAGGGACGUCUACGCGAUAGAGCCAGUCGCCCCAAAAUUCAAUCCAUGGUCGUCAUUCCCGAUCACCUUUGAUCGUCGGGAUCAUCCGACUAGUAUCCGUCAUGGCGGUUGAGCCGCGCUAGUCCUCGACCCAAUCAUUGAUGGAUUUCACCUAACGCGCGUCCUUAGGAACGGGGGUAGCAGCCUCAAUUAGCUCUAUCAGGAUACAGUGCGCAAAAUGGGCAUUAAUCCAUGAAACCCACCAAGACUACCUUCAAAGGAGUCAUACCAGGUGUAGAGGCCUGCUGUACGGGCUCAAUCACACUAGAGGUUGUCUUCGGAUCUCCGGACAAUUUCCGAAGCGAGGAGUUAAUCUUUGACACGUCCCCUUUCGCAGCGGCUAUCACGCACUGCUCGGACGGUCCGCAUUCGCUCGAUUCAAUGCAGUGCCACACUAUGCUUAUCUCAAGCUCAAGAUGCCCGGUCCACAUGGCGUCAUAAUGGUCAAUGGAAAUACGAAACGCUCCCUCCGUACAGAAGAGCACACAGCUGCCUUAGCAGUAGAAGUACAGAGCGGCCUUCUCAAGCAGAACCUUAAUUCGGCUGCCGAGCCCACGGACACCGUUAAGAGGGUCCGAACUACCCUGCAGCAGGACAGCUCGGCUCGUUAGGAGCUCGACUAGCAAUUCGGCCUCCGUCUCAGUCCCGGUCAAGUGGUGGCAUUCGUACCACGCGUACAUAACUACGCACUCAAAAUUCCAUGGGCAUCGACGAAGGCAUAGCUAGUUUGUGAUCCACAGUAUGGCUCAACCAGCACCGGAUACACACAAACUUUCACUUUUAUUCGUUUCCUUUUCAGGUUUCAAUCCCGCAGGCCCCAUCUGAUGGCCUGAUCACCGGUCCUCUUGAAGGAUAAACACACCUAGACGGCAAGAAACACAGACGUUUGGGGGACUUUCAAGGUGGUUUCAUUAACGAUCACUCUACCUGUUUUUCAGGACCCACAUGCAGCUCUCCCUUGGUUUUUGGGCAUGUUAAAUAGCCUGUUGCUUAUCGCACUACUUGUAUCAAUGCGCCUUGAUGUAUUAAUCAAAUUACAAUGGAAACAGUUCGCGGCCCGAGCUUUAGGGCCCCAGCUUAUCACCUUUGCACCCUUUCUGUUUUCUUUUCUUUUUUUCUCUCCUAUGGGUAACCUUAUCAGGUAGCACCCGUACACUUUGGUACGUUUCAUAUUUGCCAUGGGCUUCACAGCACCCCGCACUACGGCAACAAAAGUCCAAACACUUUUUAUAAUAUAGUUCGGCACCCCGAAUUUAACAAUAUAUGCAUUGGCUCCGAAUCAUGUCUUUGGUCAAUAGUUGGGUUGCCCGGCUCCUGUGCUUGCUACCUUAUGUUCCGCUAUAUCGGCUAAGGUAGUAAAGGGAGAACUACUGCGAUUCGGCCUUGGUUUAUCGAAAGGAGCACCUCAGUAGAGAAUGCCGAAAACUGACUGCCAUGAUGCGGCGAGAGCCGGUCAGCUCUUCGGAGGUCGCAAAUCGUUGGAGAUUUCUUUCGCAUUACGCGAACGAUCGGUACUUCCAAAUCAGGCACUUAUAGCACUCUAGUUCGGAUACUAGGGUCUAUGCCAACAUUUUUAUUAUCAAACUCCUAUGGCUAAGUGAGGGCGUUAAAGCCGCAUAGUCUGAUUACCUGGUUCGUUGCGCUAAACAACUCCUUGAAGGAACAUAUAAUUGGAUCAAGAGUGUUUAGAUUCCAUCCCGAACACCUCCGUACUACCUACGAGGGGGCAGAAGCCGAUGACUGGCCAACCCUCAGAUUUCAUACAACACUGCCGCACAGGAGGUAAUUUUUUUAACAUAACAAACAUUAUAUUACAAACCGAAUUUGUUUUAUCAUACAAGGUAGAGGCAACUCGAAUACAUUCAUUCCAAGAUAAUGUCCUGCGAACACUGCGUCGCUACAAUACGAGACCCCUCCAGGACGUCUCCAAAAUACCACUCGGGUGUGCGGUGCACCUUGCCCUCGGGUGGCCCCUCGGUCACAAUCUUGAUGGCGUUCAUCUUCGCCCACCAGACCUUGACGCGGGCGAAGGCCAUACGCGCACACUCGAUGCAGACGGACCGCUUGACGGUGUCCAGCCGAGGACAGGCAUCCACCAGCCGCUUCACAAGGCCGAAGUAACUACUGGGUAUAGCUUCGGUUGGCCACAGCCGGACUAUUAAAUCCUUCAUGGCCAGUUCGGCCACCCUGUGCAGCUCGACCAGCUGUUUUAGCUGAUCGCUGAAGGGCACCGGAUGUUCUGGCGCAAGAUAUUGCGACCAGAACAGCUUCUCCAUGGAGCUCCCUUCUUCGGCUCGGAAGAACUCCGGAGCAUCGGCCACACUACGUGGCAGAUCAGCAAAAGCCCCUAGAGAACUCCGAAUCCGGGUUAGUUAAAGAUACUUCCUCUUCACAUACUUGCUUUGCAUACUAAAUGCCUUACCCGCCGCGAUCUUCCUGGCGUCCUGGAUCUCCUGGAGGGCGCCCUAGGCCUCAUUCCGGGCCGUCUCCACGCUCUGACGAGCCUUGGCGAGUUCGGUCUCUUGAGCCGACGCAUCAUGCUCCAAGGUCUCGCACUUCCUCACCGCGUCCUGGAGCUCUUGCUCGACCUCGUUGACCCUGGCCUUGAGCUUCUUACGGGCGGCCUGCUCCUUGACAGCCUUCCCCUCAGCUUCGGUCAGGGCCUUUUUUAGGGCCUCGACCUCGGUCGUCGCUCGUAUACAUAUCAUGACACUUCAGUCAAUAAAUAUCAUUUUACUCUUUUCGAAUAUAUAACGGGUUAUUACAUACCUUGCUUCUCUUAGAGCUGCCUCCUCACCUGGUCGAGCUCCUCCUCGGCCUACUCCAGUCUUUGCUUCAGUCCGGAGACUUCGGCACUAUGCGAGGCCGCGGCCAGCAGCGACGCCUGCGUAUUCAUUUCAGACAUAUUUAGUAGUUUCCUGCAAUAAGGGGAUUAUCAUCUGUCCGUCUUUUCUUUCCGAACACCGGACAAUGUCUCAGGGGCUACUGUCUGUAUUGGGAUCUUCUCUUUUUUCGUCGCUUACCUCAAAACCUGUUAGCAGGCUGCUGCAGGCUUCGGUUAGUCCGCUCUUGGCGGACUGAACCCUUUCAAUUACCGUGCCCAUAAGAACACGGUGCUCAUCCAUAAUGGAAGCGCCUCACAGCGCUUCCAGCAGAUUAUCCGCUGCCCCUGGUUGGACAGGGGUCACCGGCGGAAUAGGCAUACCCCUUCUUUCGAAGGAGGUUGCAUGCCGGAUUCCGGAGCCGUAUCGGUCUCCGGAAUCAAGUUCGGCUGAGGGCCGAACUGAAUAUGGCCCUCAUCACCAGUAUCCAUGGGGAUUGGCUCCCCCUGGUGUCCGGCAACGGAGGCUUCACCUUCUGGCGCCUCCUGAACCUCUCCUCGGCCUGGGAAAGUCCUUCAAGACAGCACCUCGGCGUCGCCCUUGGCCUUGGGGGAGUGAGCGGUCGGCGAUGAAUCGCUGGCCAUCGCCUUUGAAUCCAACGAACCUCUUGACGAGGAUCGCUGGGAGCUGUCGUGGGCCGACUUCAAUAGCAUAAUUAACCAUGUCAAUACAAUGAAGAGGAGAGGCUCGAUUUAUGAGUAUGUAUGAGUCUUAGCACUUACGAUGUAGCCCGAGGCUUAGUGCGGGGGCGUCGCUCCGGACUGCUGUCGACAUCCCACGCGGAGUUAUCCGCAAGGGAGCCCUUCCCCUUCUUGGACGUCUCCGCCUCCAGAUUCGUGGAGGCCGCCCUCUUCUUCUUUUCCUCAUCAGGGGGAGGGUUGUUCUCCUCCUCCUUCUCGUCGUCGUCGUCCUCAGCAGCGGAGGCAAGGGUCACUUCGUCUUCGGACGUCACGUCCGAAGCACCCUUGCGACAGGGGCCACCUUUGGCCCCCUUGGCCUUCUUCUUGGCCUUCUUUUUCGGCGGCUGAUAGGGCGCCGGAACCAGCAUCUUCGCCAGGAGCGGGAUGACUGGCUCUUCGGGCAGCGGAGCCAAACUCUGGAUCCGCUCCGCUCUCUCCGUCCACACCUGAAAAAAUACAGCAAAGAUUAGGCAUCCUCCUUGAAUAGACAAGUAGAAGGUACGCCUUAAGAAAAGGAGAACUUACCGCAUUGGCGGAUGGGUGUGAUCGUGCCCACGGUCCGAAUCUAUGACCAGCGGCUUCUUGUUGCCCUUGAAGAGCAACUUCCAGGCAUCUUCAUGAGUAGUUCUGAAGAGCCCUCCUAGGGUCUGGUGCUUCUCCGGAUUGAAUUCCCAUAAAGGGAAGCUUUGGCUUUGGUAGGCGAGAAUCCGGCGAACCAGCAUCACCUGGAUCACGUCGACGAGCUUGAUGUUUUUAUCCACCAUACUCUGAAUGCGCAUUUGCAGCGCUAUCAGCUCGUCCGACGCAGACCAGUUGGGGCCCUUCUCCGUCGAGGAGGUGAGCCGCAUUGGAGAUCCGGCCUUAAAUUCGGGAGCCACUGCCCAAGUGGCGCCGCGUGGCUCUGUGAUGUAGAACCACUGCUUCUGCCACUCCUUGACAGUCUCCACAAAAGUGCCUCUGGGCCAAGUAACGUUGGGCAUCUUGCUCACCAUGGCGCCUCCGCACUCCGCCUGCUGACCAUCCACCACCUUCGGCUUCACGUUGAAGACCUUGAGCCAUAGGCUGAAGUGGGGCUGGAUGCGGAGGAAGGCCUCGCACAUGACAAUGAAUGCCGAGAUGUUGAGGAAGGAGUUCGGGGCUAGAUUAUGGAAAUCUAGCCCGUAAUACUACAUCAGUCCGCGGACGAAGGGGUGAACUGGAAACCCCAAUCCGCGGAUGAAGUGAGGGAGGAAAACUACCCUCGCUAUAGGCUUCGGGGUGGGGAUGACUUGCCCCUUGGUAGGCAGGCGAUGGACGAUUCCUUUCGCCAGAUACCCGGCCGCACGAAGCUGGGUGAUGUCCUUCUCCUUGACGGAGGAGACCAUCCACUUGCCUUGGCCUCCGGAUCCGGACAUGAUUGAGUGCUUCCUUGAGGAGGAGAAGAUGGGAACUUGAGCUGGAGCUCGAGAAUGGAAGGACAGAGAGGAAGAGAAGGCGUGGGUAAAGAAAGAGAAUCCUUAUCUCCUUAUAAAAGCAGUGAAUAUUGAACGCCUCCCCACUCACCUUAAAACUCACCUCUUUACAAGGGCUGUGUAAACAACACGUUGGGUUACCCACCCCCGUAUUGAUGAGAAUCCCGCAAUAAGGGGACACGAUCUCUGCUUCGACAAGACGUGCCAAUGGCAACCGCGUCUCGAAACAUGGAGGAACAGACGAAAAACGGUUCGAAAUUAUGACCGGGCGAACGUGAUGUCAUGUUGCAAAAAGUUGUCAACAGAUUGGACUCGUGGAGUGUUAUAUUCUUUGCGGUUCUGUGUGGUGUGCGUGUUACAGGUUCAUACACGAUCAGUGCGUCCGAAGACUAUCUUGGAGUUCGGAAGGAGGAACCCGCCUUGCAAUGCCGAAGACAAAUCUGCGUGCUGGAUACCUCAUCAUUGAAGCCAGGUUCAGGGGCUACUGGGGGAGUCCUGGACUAAGGGGUCCUCGGGUGUCCGGCCUGUUAGCCAUGGGCUGGACUGAUGGGCUAUGAAGAUACGAAGACCGAAGACCCUACCCGUGUCCGGAUGGGACUCUCCUUGGCGUGGAGGGCAAGCUUGGCGAUCAAAUAUGUAGAUUCCUUUCUUUGUAACUGACCUCGUGUAACCCUAGAUCCUCCCGAUGUCUAUAUAAACCGGGGGACUUAGUCCGGAGGGGGGAGAGACUCAUUACCAUAGUCAUAUAGGCUAGACUCUUAGGGUUUAGCCAUUACGAUCUCGUGGUAGAUCAACUCUUGUAAUACUCAUAUUCAUCAAGAUCAAUCAAGCAGGAAGUUGGGUAUUACCUCCAUAGUGAGGGCCCGAACCUGGGUAAACAUUGUGUCCCUUGUCUCCUGUUACCAUCGACCUUAGACGCACAGUUCAGGACCCCCUACCCGAGAUCCGCCGGUUUUGACACCGACAGUCACAUCGAGUGCUCGCUUAUGAUGAGCUUGAGAAAGAGCAGUUGCGCCAAGACGAUGCGACGCUCGUCGAGGAAGAUCGUCUUCGGGCUCCUGUGCGAGCCGCUCGCUAACAGCACCUUGCGCCGCUACCAUAGCCGGAAGGUUCAUGCCCGAAGCCUUGAGGAAGGCGACCUUGUUCUUCGGCGAAUCCAAUCCGCCAAGAAUUCCAACAAGUUGACGCCAAAGUGGGAAGGCCCUUAUCGGGUAAUACGAGUCACCAGGCCCGACAUAGUCCGCCUGGAGACUGAAGAUGGUAUCCUAGUGAGUAAUUCCUGGAACAUCGAGCAUCUUCGCAAGUUUUACCCAUAAGGCUCGGUUGCCGCCCCCCGGCAAACCACCUUUUUGUACAAGCCUUGUCGGCGAGGCAUGUAACCCUUUGUACAAAGCCAGGCGCAGACCCUGAGCAACAGAUGAAUAAAUGAAGCGCUGGCGCCCUAAGUUUUAGCAUGCAUGUUAGGUUGAGUCUCCCUCUGGUAGGGUUGAUAGUGCUUAGCGGCUACUAACCCCUAGCAUAGAGGUUGAGUUUGUGUCUUUGCGUCCCUUCCAGUCCUUCUUGAUUCACAGGCUACACGGGCGCUUCAGCGGAACUUUUUGGGGAAAGGAGACGAGUUGGCACCCCGGCCCCGACAAGCCAUUCUUGCCGGGGGCAACACAUUCAGAUAAGUCUUUUUCCCAGCCACGUACUUCCGUAUGAAGCUUGAACGUAUGAACCCUCGCUUGAUCCCAUGCCACCAUGCUCCCUCCUCCCUAAAUCCGAAUCCCUUUCGGGUUGGAACUUGAUUGUAGUUGCGGUGGAAGGGAGACAGACGAAGGGCCCAAUCCUACUUUUCCACUACCCUCGCCAAGGGCUUGAGUGUAGUCGUGGUAUAAGGUGGGAGGACGGCAAGGCCUGUUGCCGGGCGACGUUGUUUACUUAAAGAAAAACAAGGAUUCGUUCCUUGGUGUGGGCCUCGCUCGCGCACAAAAAACCUGGCAAACCCCCUUUUCAUUGAUACGUUGAUUAAACAAGUACAGUUCAUACGGAAUGUGAACAUGAGCAAGGGGUUGCAAAGUCUAAAUUCGACAAGUGCGCGUAGGCUUAAUAUCUAGAAAAAGAUAAGAUGCAGGUAAUCCGUUUCUUGUCCCUCUUCUCAGGAGGCGGAUUAAGAUAGCGGCAGGGCAAAAGGAGUGGCUAGGCGAGAUACGAGCAGCAGAUGGCACCAAGUGAACGUCCCGGCAGCCGGCCAGAAGAGGGCUGGUGAUGACGGUGCCGGGGAAGAAGCCGAAAGAUGAGGCAGCGGGCCGACAAUACGAGACGAGGGCGUCGAUGCCAUCGUACUCCCACUUGACGGCCCGCCACCCGCCUUCUUCGUCUUAUCCAGCCUUCUAGCGCCAGCCGCCAGAGGCAACGACCCCGAGAAGUUCAAGGAGCUGGCUCGAGGAGCCGCGCCAAGAACUACCCCCCGGCAAAUCACUCUGUCGGGGAGAAGGCCAGGUGCAGAUGGUGCUGCUGUCGGCGUCGCCUAUGGACGGGGCGUCCGACGUCUAGUCGGACCCGUCCCCGUCGUCCUCCCCACCACCCCCCUCCUCGUCACCGUCGCACGAGGAGGAGCUCUCGUCAUCGGUCAAGCUCUCCGCGGAACACCCUAACCUGAUUCCCGAGCGCCCGAAGACCUUGACGGAGAGCAGGUCGCUCUUCACUAAUUUGAAGUGGGGAACGUGCCCCUUCAUCAAGCAGUGGGUGCGUGCGAAGGUUUUCCAACGCCGACGAAGGAGCAUUACAUGAGGGACGGGGAACCUUGUGUUCACCCACAUGUCGCCGUUACAACAACCCUUCAUGUGGAGCCUCAACCUCGGCGGUUGGUCGAUCUCCAGCACCCUCGCAAACGCCUCGGGAAGACGAAGGCGGCUAUGCGGCGGCUCGCGCAACUACAAGAUGAACUCCAACGCUGUGUCUCCAACAUGGCCGCUCGACGAAGCAUGAGGAGAUGGUGGCGGAGACGGCGGCGUUGCGGGUGUCCCCCUUCUGCCCCCACCUCUGCCUCGACCACUUCGCCGAUCGCGACUCCGUCCGGCGCCUCCGCCUUGAGCGUCUGACUCUUCCUUAACCGCCGUGGCCCUCUGGCGGGAGGAAGACCUAGUCGGCUCCACAGAAGGACGGCCGCGGCCGUGCCCUCUCGGCAUGGCAGUCGAUGGAGAAUGGAGAAGAAGGGUAGAAACGAGAGGAUGCCUCUCCUCCUUCUCCUGGUCCCCUUCUUAUAGCCAAGCAAAGAAGGCUGAAGACUGGCUCUACAUCUCCGAAGAGCCCUUUCAAGUCCGGCUUAUUAAAGCCAUUUGAUAACAAGCAAGGGCAUCGACCGCCCUCCCAACGCCAAUCAAAGGCGCAUGGGUAUCGGCCAUGGAGCGCCUUCCCAUACCCUACACAUCCUCCACCUACCCCAUGCCAUGCAUGCAGCAUACGUGACGAAAAAGGCGGGCGUGGUGGGAAACAUGGAACAGCGGUUCCAAGAUUAGCAAAGGCACAGAGGGUAAAUGAGCAGCACCCCUGCUUUUCCCUCUUUUUUAUGGGGAAGAUGUGGGCCGCCUCUUUACUAUUCGCCGCAGGGUGACGCAAGCACGCUGCAAGAGUCCCAUGCAUGAUCCCCACGUUACGCACUCAAUGCGGGUCGUGGGGAAGCGCAAGGAGUUACCACAGUUAAAACCCUGCCACGCGUGCCCGCGCACCGUUCUGGGCCUAGCCCAACAACGCUUUACGCUUAUGUGUGGCCCAGGCCCGAAGGCUCCUGUCGGUGUACAAAAGUAGGGGCCUUUCUGUACCCCUUUACUUGUGCGCGGGCAGUUGUAGCCACACCUGCGGCCACGCUUGGCGGGGCAGAGGAAGCGAAGAUACAGGACUGCCAGGGCAGUGCUCAACCCAGAGGCGCAAAGAGCAAAGGGACAAGAUGGAUUUCCCUCGGCGAGAGCCUUGUCGGGGCGACCUACAUAGCCCCGACAAGAGCCUUGCCGAGGCAACUUGCCCAACACCAGCAAGGCCGCCACCCUUGAGCCUGAGAGUUCCGACACCAUCGACAACGUCGAGACCAAGACUCAGGGGCGCCUGUGUGGUGGCAUGCAGAUCUUUGUGAGGAACAAAGGCCUGCGAAUCUGGAGAGAAACUAGAAGGCGAAGACCCCCGGCAAGAGCCUUGCCAGGGACAGGCGGAGACCCCCGGCAAGAGUCUUGUCGAGGACAGAUGAAGAACCCCGGCAAGAUCCUUGCCGGGGACGCCCGCGAGACCCCGGCAAGAUCCUUGCCCGGGGCUUUUGCGGGGCCGAGGCCAGGCCCGCACUUACCAACGUUUUGCUGCCCCGCGCCCGUGCCGACGCGGCAAUCAGCCCGCCAACCAGGCAGGCGCCUGCAUGGCAGCAAGCAACCUCUAGGCCAACUAGACAAGCACCUGCGUGGUGGCAUGCAGAUCUUUGUGAAGACCCUGCCACCGCAGCAACGUAGCUGCCAGCCAGCCAGCGUGGCGCUGCAUGCCUCGUCAGCUUGGACGCGCGUCGAAGCAAGGGGAGGCGGCGAUGGACGGGACAAGCUUCUUUGUCGUCCCCAAUAAAGCAAUAGGACACGUAGGCGGCGCAUUAAAUGCGUUUGUCGCACGAUGUUAGGGAUAGACUUGUACACUGUAGACACUUCCCACCUCCUGUGUGCCACUGUGGCAACCCCUUUGACAUAUAAAAGGAGGCCCGAGGCGUACCGAGGAAGGAUUUCGGACUUUUUGAACUGGGCAUGCACCGCAGCUAGUUCAAUAGCUCAAGAACACCAAAUAUAUACACCAGAGCAGGACUAGGGUAUUACGCAUCGCAUGCGGCCCGAACCUGGGUAAAAAAUCCCCUCACGCUGAUCUUUCAGUCCCGCUCUUUGCACAGCUCUGCGCCCAGCCAACCGUAGUAGGGAUUCCCCGUGAUCCCAUAGGUGUUGUUUCCCCCGAUAGGGAGCCGUGGAGGACUCCCCUCCACCGACGUAGCGGAUUAGGUUGAGUAACCAUAGGGGCUCUGGUAUCUUAUAUAAGCCGAGGUUGAGCUAGUCGAUAGAGCACAUUAGAAUCUCUCGGUUCAGUGAGAUCUGCUCACUGAAACAUGGUAUUGGUAUAUUGGAAAUGCAACGCAUCAUUAUGGUAGAAAGAAAAGAUUUUUACACCAGGUUAUGUUUUAGUUGUUUCGCAAAACAAAAGAAGUUUUAGUAGAAUUGGAAGCAACUUUCAGUAACAUAGGAACCAAUUCUUGCUUGAAAAGGAAGCAAAUUGCAAGGCAGGAAAGAUAACAGCAUCUCUAGCAGAUUCCCUAAAACUCAUACUCCCUCUGUUCCUUUAUACAAGGUGUUUGGGUGUAGGGCUGCUAGCUACUGCCGCAUGUCGAGUGCGUACCUUCUGCUGCAGCUGCCUUCUGCUGUUGUUGGAACUUGUCCGGGUGAGGGAGACUGGCGCGCCAUCUGGCUGUCGGACAAUGACAGGUGGUCGGUUAGGCAUGUAGCUUGGCGGCCGGCGGCGAGUAAAAUUUCACCUGGGGAAAGGUGAAUCAUAGACUGAAGAGCUUUACAUUGGGUCACCUAAGAGUAAGAGUGCUUGCUGGGAUUUUAUUUUUUUGGGGCCAAUCUCUAUUCUCCUAUGGUAUAACGGUCAAACCAAAAUAUCAAGGGCGGGCCACGGCACAUCGGGCUUUUCUCGAAAUCACUAAUUAAGGAGCACUCUUUGCAACGGUCACUCCCACCUUCCCAGGUUGCGACAAGUGGUGUCACAACCUGGGAUUUUUUUUCUGUAGAUCCGUUUAUUCAAAAUGUUUUACCUCAUAAAUCGUGCGCCUAAAUCUUGAACCGUUUUCACCAUUGGAUUCCUUGCGUCGAGAUCUUCAAAACUACACCCUAUGUUGAUAGGUUGUAACGAACUUUUUUUCACGAAAAAAACAGGCGAAAAGACCAAAUCGGGAGCACUUUUUUUUACCUUUCUGAAGGCGGCACGACUGUGCCUCUCGCGGAAGCAAAUCCGUGCCUCCAUGAGAAAUAAACUCGUGCGUCUAGUGGAAGGAAAAAAAUUCCGAGAAGCUUGGCCAUGCGUCCCGCGGAAGGAAAAAAUGACAGAAAUCGCGUUUUUUCGUCUCCAGAGACACGGCCGUGCCUCUCGCGGAAGGAGAAAAAACCGCAUUUUUAUUCGUUUCCAAAAGGCACUCGCGAAAGCAAAACCGUGCCUCUCACGGAUGGAAAAAAAUCUGUUUCCGAGACUACCGUGAAAGCAAGACCGUGCCUCUCGUGAAAGGAAAAACACAUUUUUUCCGUUCCUCUAGCGGAAGCAAAACAAAUGAAAAUGAGUUUUUUCGUGUAAAUGUUUUGUCCAAAAGCUAAAAAACCAGGUGGAAAACCGAAAACCCAGAAAACAUCAUCUAAAAACCAAAAACAUGUGCGAAAAAAAAACAAAAAUCCGAAGGACACACACCCAUUGCGUGACACGUGACGGCGAGUGAACUCUCAGGCCACCCCAAGUGAUCCUUGGGAAGGCUCCCGAAGGAGUGCUCCGUCGUGAGUUGCUCACCUUUUUCCUCAAUUUCAGUAUAGGGGAUCUUGCAAAAAUGUAGGAUCAGCUUGACUUCCCAAAAUCUGGGAUUUGUUUUCACAAACCAUGCGAGCAGUUAUUAGGAAUUGUUUGGCUUCCUAAGAUCUCCCGUCAUGGCGUCCAUGCUCUCGGGGGGCCCCGCGACUUGGCCCGCGCCGCCCACCAAGUUGUGUUGGCUGCUCGCCGGGCAGCGCUGGUGAUCGUGGCUCGCCUAGCCCCCUCAGAUCUGCCGAGCGCGACAUGUGAUGGUGAUGUACGUUCAGUGGGAGGAGACGUUUCCCUCGACUAUGAAAUCGAUUUCGUCGAUCUCAAGAUGAAGUGCCGGCUCAGUACCAAGAAAGUGCUCAUAGGAGUUGGUUGUGCAUGUGUGCGUUUAUAGGGGUGAGUGUAUGUGCGUGUAUGCAUGAACGUCUGCAUAGUGUGUUAAGGAUCUAUUUUGCUUCCUAAAAUCUAUGGUGGAAACUAGUGUGUUAAGGAUCUAUUUUGCUUCCUAAAAUCUAGGGUUUGUUUCCACAAACCAUGCGAGCCGUUAUUAGGAAUUGUGUAACGCUUGCAUAUUAAUAUACUUCCUCUGUUCCUAAAUAUAUGUCUUUGUAGAGAUUACACUAUGAACCACAUACGGAUGUAUAUAGAUGCAUGUUAAGUGUAUAUUUAUUCAUUUUGCUUCGUACGUAGUCCAGCUAGUUGAAUCUUUACAAAGACUACUUAUGUUUAGAAACGGAUCUUGCUUUAUUAGUAGGUAGGUAUAGGUAUAGAUAUAGAUUGUGUAACCAUUUAUUGCAAAAUAACCUAAAAACUUAAGACCCGUCUCUUUCCUAAAAAAACAAAAAACUUUAAGACCCGUCUCUCGUCGCCGCCAUCCACAUCUAUCAGAUCCACACUGUCGAUCGUCUCCCGACAUGGCGUCUAUCCUCUCGCGGGCCUCCCGUGACUUGGCUCGCGCCGCCCGCCAAGUCUCGUCGGCUGCUCGCCGGGCAGCGCCGGUGACCAUAGCUCGCCCAGCCCCCUCAGAUCUGCCGAGCCGCCGCCUGUCCGUCCACAGCGGCGCCACCGACGCCAACAUCCCCGGCUACACCAACCCACCCCCCGACGAGCCAGUGGAAUUCGUGGCUUCAGACAACGACCUGGAAUCUGACGAGGCCCUGUGGGCGCUCUACGAGCGCUGGUGCGAGGCUUACAACGAGGAGCGCGACCACGACGAGAUGGUUCGCCGGUUCGACACAUUCAAGGAGGCUGCUUUCAUGGUGGACCGCGUGAACAAGGCCAAUCUGCCCUACACCCUGAAACUAAGCCAGUUCGCCGACGGGAAGCUGGCAGAGUCCGUGUGCAAUAAGUGGUGUGGUGAUAAACCUCGCCCUGAUCCCGCAGCUUAUCAUCGGGAGGGUGAGUUUUACAUCUAUGAUGAUGGCGGAGAUGAUGUGCCGAAAUAUCCCACGAUGAGGUUCCUCUUCUGUGAACGUGGAGGUCCCAUCAUCCCCUUGGAAUGAAUUGAUCAUCCCAUUAGCAGCAACCCUGAAUAAAGUUCUGCGUGUAUGGUGUUAUACAUGCUUAUUUUUACAAUGAUGGGCGUUUGCACACGCUGCUACCGUAGCGAUUGUAAGGCUUCGUAAACCUUGCUGUUGUAAUCUCGCUGGUUCUUCAUGAUUAGGUUUGAUAACCACCAACUAUCCCCUCUAUCCUAAUUUACCGUGUAUUAAAAUAUUUGGUUUAUUCAUUAAAAAUCAGGUGGAAAUACUUUUGCAGGGGAGGGAUUAUUCUCCGACUCAUGCUUGUGGAUUUUCAUCAAAAUGACUUUCAUGCCAUUCAGUUUAUUUUUGAAGUUAUUUAUUAGUUUAUUUUUUUAAAUCAUUAUUUGUGGAGAUGUCGAAGUAAUGGUUAAAGAAGGAAAUUAUACUGUUUUAGGGACUGCACCGAUGUCAAGUACGUUAAUCAGCAUAUUUAAAUCCCAAUGAGUCAUCGACUAUAUAAAAUUCAUAUGCAAUGAUUAACAAAGAAAUCUCGGCCUUGGAUAUUUUAAUAGUUAAAUAAUCAUUUGCAGAGAUAUUGAAGUAGCGGUUGAAGAAGAAAGUUAUAUUUUAUAGAUAAUGAUGAUAUCGGAUGGUCGGAUUCCUUUUGGUGAAAUCUGGCUAUCCGGGAUGAAGGUUUACACUUAACAUGGCAGUGACGGAGCUACAAAUACAUUGUUGGGCGGGAGAAGCCAAAGAACACGAAAGUUUGGAAUCAAAAGAUCAAGUUAGCAGUUGUAAACAAAAGAAGCCACACCAAAAUAUAGCUUCACAUUUAGAUAUUUUAGUUAUCGAUUACAGAAGUAUGGAGAAUUGAGUGAAAUUUUGAUGCAGGGAAAAUUGUGAAUGAACCAAACCAAAUUGGAUACAUGCCUACAAUCAAUCAAUUUGGAUAAAAAUCAAGCUCUAGGUGAAAUUUAAGGCAAGGACAUUGUCAAUGUGUCGAAGAAAAUGAGUUGUGCAGCUGGCAUUCACAGAAAUUGGAGUGUGCCGGAGAUGAGAGGAUCAAAUUCAAAGAAGAAAGUUAUGCGCCUAUGCCUCACUUGUAGCAAGACCGAAGAAGCUCUCACUAAAGGAAUGCCCUCCCAGACGCAAGUAAUGUGCCCGCCCAACUUUCAGUUUAGUUCCUUUUCUUUACGUUUCUACAUUGUUUCGUUUUGUUUUGUUUUCAAAUAUAUUUUUAAUACAUGCAUUAAAAAUAUAAAUUUACUAUAAAAAUAAAACCAAAAUUUGAUUUUUUUUUUAAAAACAGUGUAAAGUUUUUGCCAGCAUAACUUAAAAUAUGUUGGUAGUUUUCAAACAAAUGCUUGUGACAUUCUAAAAAUGUUCCCGUAUUACAAAAACAUGUACAUGAAAUUUUAUAAAAAUAAAUAUACAAAGUAAAAAUAAUCCAUACAAAAUGCUAAACAUGUAUAAAAAAAAUGUUUUCGAUGACUAAGAAAAAUGUAUGAUGUGUACCAAAAAAGGUAGACGUCAAGCCAUAUAUUUAGGAAAAUGUUAAUCAUGUUUAUUAAAAAUGUUAAACAUGUAUAAAAAAUGUUGUAGAUGUAUACAAAAAAAUAUACAAUGUGUAUGAAAACAUUAGGCAUCAAAACAUAUAUUAAAAAACAGUUAAUCAUGUAUUUGAAUAAUGCUAAACAUUAUUGAAAAUUGUUUUAGAUGUAUACAAUAUGUAUGUAUGAAAACAAUAAACAUCAGACAUAUAUUUGAAAAAUAAUAAUUAAUCAUGUAUAUGAAAAGUGUUAAACCUGUAUAAAAAAUUGUUUUAGAUGUAUACCAAAAGUAAAUUCCGUAAGAAAACAAUAGCCAUCUAAACAUAUAUUUAAAAAUGUAAUCACGUAUUUAAAAAUUGUUUAACAUGUGUUAUAAAAUAUUUGAAGUGUAUACGAAAGAUGUACAAUGUGUAUGAAAAUAAUAGGCAUCAAAACAUAUAUUUGAAAAAAGUUACUAAAGUAUAUGAAAAUGAUAAACCUAUAUAAAACUAUUUUUGAAUUAUACCAAAAAUAUACAAUGUGUAUGAAACUAAUAGAUAUCUAAACAUAUAUUUGAAAAAUUAUCUUGACACAUACGAGAAAUGUACAAUAUGAAAGAAAAUAUGUAGACAUGUGUUAAAAAAGGAACAAAGAAACCCGAAGAGAAAAAAGAAAACAAGAAAAGCAGAGAAAAACAAGUGUAGAAGAGAAAAAGGAAAUAACGAAAACAAGAAAAUCAAAGGAAAACUUGAAAGAAACAAAAAAGAAGAGAAAAGAAAUAAAAGUAAAAUGUCAGUGAAAACCAAGAAAGCAACGAAUAAAACCAGUGAGAAAACAAAGAAAAUGGGAAAAUUGGUGAAGAAACAAAGAAAACAAAAGAAAAAAAAAACUAGCAGACGUCGAGCGAACGAACAUGCAAAAAUAGCCCGGCCUAAAUACUGUGGCACAGAGGAAAAAUCUGUAGGCGAGAGUAUCAUACGACUCGCUGUAUGCGCGAGAUAGUCGCCACACAUAGAUGAGUCCUAGCGUAGCGGUGCUAGUCGGUACAUCUCUAUAGGAACACCUCUUCAUUGGACCGGCCUGCGAACUACACUCACCUACCAAUUGCGCCUGUCGCUUAUCUGUAGUCCUGUCGCACUGCACUGCGAUCUUGUUCCUUUUUCAAAAUCUUGUCCCCUUCGUUUACUACAGUCAUCUUACAAAUUCAAAAUGCUUAACUUACAUGGUUUUUUUUGCAAAUCUGAAAAAUGUUUCACUAAAUAUUAAAACAAAUGUUCACCUUUUAAAAUUGUUCACGCAAUUUAAAGAAAAUGUUCAUCUCAUUCUAAAAAUGGCGACAACAUUUAAAAAAAUGUUCACAUUUUUAAAAACUUAGCUAUAGGAGGUGAAGGCAAGGGGGGCUGGUGCGUGGGGAGGGAGACUCCUGGAGCUAGGGAGCACGCCGACGCCAUUGCUCACGGUGCAAGUUCGUUUCAAUCUUCGAUCCUGCUCGCUCUUGAUUCUGGGUACAGUAAAUUUUAGCUAGCUACGCUGCAAACUAAGUGGUGUGCCUCGUAUUAAUCUAUCUAUCUAUCCUAUCUUUUAUUCGGCGAGAUGGUUGCGCCUGUGGCGGAUGUGGCCGCCGCCAUCGCCGGCACCUAACCUGGUCUAGAUCCCUCCACUAUAGGAAUCAGCUACUUGACCGUCUGCCACGGCAGACGGCAAAGGCAAGGAUGGCGGACGGCAAAGGCCUUCGCCGUCUGCCGCGGACGGCAAAAGGCUCCGGCAAAGUAGGCUACGGUAAAGAGCUUCUUUGCCGUCUGCUUUCUGAAGGAGAUGGCAAAGGGGCCUUUGCCAUCGGCGGCGGACGGCAAAGAAAGCCGACGGCAAUAAAUUCGCUGUUAGUCCGUUAGGCGUCUAACGGCAGUCUUUGCCGUCCGCCGCUGACGUCAAAGAGCAUCAAGCCUUUGCCGUCUGCCACUGUAGGCAAACUGACCAAAUGGGCCAGCAGCCAGGAAGCAUAGGUGGUUGCCGUCGGUGGCAGACGGCAAAGAGCCCGUUGCCGUCGGUGGCAGACGGCAAAGAGCCUGCAUUGCCUCUUUUUUCUUUUUUUUCUUAUACCCAUCCAUUUUCACAGCAAAUAGAUGAUACAUAUAUAUUUUUCACAUGGCAAGUUCACAGCAAACAUAUGAGAUAUCCAACACAUAUAAUUUCAUCAUACAUGCAUCGUUCCAUCAACCAUACAUAGCAAGUUCCACAUACAUGCAUCCAACCAUACAUAUUACGAUAGUGUCAUCCUACCAUACAUGCAUAGUUCAUCGAUACAAAAGAAACAUAGUUCAUCCAAACAAGCACUCCAGUUAUAAAAGCAUAAAUGGAAAAGAAGCACUCCAUCCAUGCAAGCUUCCGUGAAUUAAAUCAAAUAUGCAAAAUGAUAAACAAGAUGUUAGAAAAAGAAGAAGAAAAUGAAGAAGAAGAAGAAGAAGACUAUAAGAAGUAAGCAUACUUAUGUAAAAUGGAGCUAACCUAGUGGAAAAUGAAGAAGAAGAAGAAGAAGAAGAAGACUAGAAGAAUACUAGAAGAAGACUAGAAGAAUACUAGAAGAAGAAGAAGAAGACUAUAAUUAAGCUUAUUAUGUAAACUUGGUCAUUUUGUGCUAACAUAAGUAAUUUUGGAGUUAACCUAUAGGAAACUAAGCAUAUUAGAGAUAACUUAGCAUAUUAGAGCCAACUUAGGUAAAAUGGAGCCAACCUAGCUAAUUAUGCCAUCUUUGAGUGAACUAAGCAUAUUAGAGCUAACUUAUAGCUAACUUAUGUCAUUUUGGAGAAGAAGAAGAAGAAGACUAUAAUUAAGCUUAUUAUGUAAACUUGGUCAUUUUGUGCUAACAUAAGUAAUUUUGGAGCUAACCUAUAGGAAACUAAGCAUAGUAGAGAUAACUUAGCAUAUUAGAGCCAACUUAGGUAAAAUGGAGCCAACCUAGCUAAUUAUGCCAUCUUUGAGUGAACUAAGCAUAUUAGAGCUAACUUAUAACUAACUUAUGUCAUUUUGGAGAAGAAGAAGAAGAAGAAUAUAUGACAUUUAUGAGCUAAUUUAGGUGAAAUUGAUAGUUUGUGAGCUAACCUAGGUGAAAUGGAUCGUUUAUGAGCUAAUCUAGGUAAAAUGGGUCAUUUUAGAGUUAACUUGAGUAAAAUGCAUCAUUUUGGAGCUAACCUAGGUAAGAUGGGUCAUUUUGGAGCUAACCUAGGUAAAAUGGGUCAUUUUUAGAGCUAACAUACGUAAAAUGGAUCAUUUUGGAGCUAGUCUAGGUAAAAUGGGUCAUUUUAGAGCUAACUCGGGUAAAAUUGAUCAUUUAUGAGCUAACUAAGGUAAAAUGGGUCAUUUUAGAGCUGACUUGGGUAAAAUGGAUUGUUUAUGAGCUAACUAAGCUAAUUAUGCCAAGUCUAGGUCAUUGUGGUAAGCAUAUUGGAGGAAAUAAGGCUAAGUCUAGGUCUUUAUGCAUUUGUUAAGCAAAACACUAGAUAAACUUACCAUGAUCAUGGAGGUGUAGGGGCGGGAUGGCUCGUGCCGGUAGCUGGAAAAGGAUCGUGCGAUGCUUGUCUGGAGUUACGCUGCACCAAAGAUCAUUUCCAAUGUCUCGUUAGCAUGAUGACACUCAAAUGUUAAGACUAGCAAGUAAUGUCCAUUCAAAUUAAACCCACCAUGGUCCCAGGAGCAAUCACUGGCAUCGGCGGAGCGGUCUGACCGGUCUUCUCGCACACAGACUGCACAUUUGGUUUUGACGACUCAGUCAUACUAGUUAGUAAUGAGACAAACACUACAUGAAUGUUUUGGCUAAUCUGCAGAAGAAACUUACCACAAGGAGCUCGUACAUGGCCCUUGCCUGCAUGUCAUUCCGUGCCCUCUCCUCCUCCAACAUCUUUGUCGUCCUCUCCUCCAACUCCCGCUGCCUCUCCGCCGCCUCCGCCAGAAGAUUCUUCGUUCUAUCUCUCUCACUCUGUAUAGCAGCCUGCAACGCGACUCCUCAUUACCAUUUGUAAUCAUUGAUGGAAGCACACACAAUGUAAUGGAGAAAGAUAGCUGAGUACGUGUAACUAACCUUGAUGGCGAGUUGGACUGGCCGUUCACGAGGCCUUAUCUUAGGAGCGGAGCUCGACUGGCGCGCCUUGAUCUCCUGGAGAGUGCUAGGACAACGGAUAAGUCCAUCUUCAAUGGCUAUGGAGCCAUGGGACCUCCCGCCACCAGAUAUCAUCACCAGCUCUGGAUCAAUGGGACCCUGGCUCGGGUUAAAGUCCUCCCCUUUCCUCGCCUUCCCCUCAUCUGUAUAUUUCACGAGCUUGUCGUGGGAGGAGAUGUUGGUGAAGUUUUUUGCAUCAUCGAGGUCACACGGAGAGAAUGCCUUGACUUUCUUGAAAGAGGCAGUGUGGGCCAUGGCAUACAGGUCGUACACCUCUGGCACCUUAUCCGCCUUAUUGUAGCGUGCCUGAAAGAGAGAAACAAAGUAAAUUAGUAAUUAAAGGGCUCAAGCUAGCAUGAUGAAUGAAUUGCAUGAAUCAUGAAGCAAACCACAUACCCAGUUCUGCCCGAACUGAUAUAAGUUGGCGCUGCCUUGAUGGUGUGGCACACCUUCCAUUUGGGCACGUUUGUCCUUGGCCGCGUUGUGGACGGCUAGCCAUUCUUUUGAGCACCACUCAUUGACCAACACCUCCCAACAAUCCAUCCGAUCCGCACACCAUCUCGGAGGCGCCUAAGUUAGCAAAUAGAAACUUGAGCGCUACGGCUAUGAAUUACUAAAUGAAGGAAGUAAGUACAAGGCCUUAAGAAUUACCUUCAUGUACUGCUCCUUACUUAGGAACUUAUCGCGGCACGCCGGCUUGGGCUUCUUGAUAUAUACCACGCAAGGCGUAGUAGUCUCGAACAGCCUGCACCCGAGCCUCGUGCCGUAAGUUCUGUAGUAGGCGCUUGCAGACGUUCUCGAUAACAUUUGCCGCCUCCUCCUCGUAUCCCUCCUCACACCUGUAGAAUGUCUGCAAUCAAAUGAGACAAUAUUAAUUAGUACAAUUAAUAACUAGCUAGUUGAAGAUUUUUAAAUGUGUAAAGGAGAAAUUACCCAGAACUUUCUGAUCACCACGUCUGCCCUCGUGUCGCACAAGACACCGUCGAUAAUCUCACCCGGCGGGGCCGGGGCAGCCAAGUAGUGCUCCCAGCUCAAUCCAAGCUCUGGAAGCCGACCCUCACCAGGCAACGUGACAAACCCCGGGACGUUUUGCCGGCAAAGCACUCCAAGGACAGAGUUGGGCCGGCGGACACUAUGAUGGUGGUCCCAACCCCUACAGCAUGACAAGACCAACGCAUUAGAUAUUUGAAGAAACGUCAAUGCAGAAGGUACAAAAAGAUUAAAUGCACUUACCUCUCCCCAUCAGGGUAAAUCAACCACCUCUGCUCGCGGGUCGUCGGCACGGACGGGAGCCGUGUACAACCACGCUGGUAGACGGUGCCCCCUCCUCCUCAAUAUCAGUCGGCUCCCCGCCAUCAUCAGCAUGGCCACUCGGCCCCUCAGGCUCAUCCGGCCAGGUACCCCAUCCAGACGUGUGCUCCUCCGGGGUCUCGUGGGCCGAAGGCCCGUCGACCCGAGGCUCGUGGGCCGAAGGCUCGUGGACUGGAGUCCAUGUAGCCUCCUCCUCGGACGAGUCCACCCUAGCAGUCACGUGCUCGGGUGAAACAGCUGGGGGUGGCGGCGAGGAAGGCGCCCUAGCAGUCACCCUACCUCCUCUCCCGCGACCACGUGCUCCUCUCUUCUUCCCUCCCUUACCUCUUCCCCUGCUGGGCACUGCUCUCGACGAAGAAGGGCCCGGCGGUGUCGCCAUACUGUCCAGCAACGCUCGGCGGAGAGGUGCAUGUGGAAUGGAAGACCUCCCACCACGCGCCGACGAAGAAAGGGCCUCGGAGCGCUCCCGACCAGCGCCCAACAUCUUUCAACACCUGCCAUGACAAAGAGUAAACGAAAUUAGUACAACAUAAAAAAAAUACCGACAUUAAUAAUAAUAUAUGAUGUUUUUCAUAAAAAAAUCAAAAAAAUAUAUAUGAUGUUUAAAUCUACCCGAUCAACACAAUUAUAUAUGAUGUUUCUCAUAACAAAAUCGAAAAAUAUAUGAUGUCAGGGUGUCGGGGGUCGGGGUCGGGGUGUCNNNNNNNNNNNNNNNNNNNNNNNNNNNNNNNNNNNNNNNNNNNNNNNNNNNNNNNNNNNNNNNNNNNNNNNNNNNNNNNNNNNNNNNNNNNNNNNNNNNNNNNNNNNNNNNNNNNNNNNNNNNNNNNNNNNNNNNNNNNNNNNNNNNNNNNNNNNNNNNNNNNNNNNNNNNNNNNNNNNNNNNNNNNNNNNNNNNNNNNNNNNNAGGGGGUCACGGGGUAGGGGUGUUUCCUUCUCUCCUUCUUCUUCUUUCCUUCUCUUCUUCUUCUUCUUCUUCUUCUUCUUCUUCUUCUUCUUCUUUCCUUUCUUCUUUUUCUUUUUUCCUUCUCUUCUUCUUCUUCUUCUUCUUUUAUUUCUUCCUUAUUUUCCUUUUUCCUCUUCUUCUCAUCUCUCCUCUUUUUCUUCUUCUUCUUCUCCUCCUCCUCCUCCUCCUCCUCCUCUUCUUCUUCUUCUUCUUCUUCCCCCUUCUACAUAUUCUUCUUUUCUUAUUCAUCUUUUUUCAUCUUUUUCUACUUCUUAUAAUUAUAUAACUAAUUAACUAAAACCCAUGCACUAGUCUAAUCUAAUAUAAUCUAGCACUAAAUCGAACACUAACACAUAUCUAGUAUAAUCUAACAAUUAAACAGCAAAAAAGAAAAAACAGAAAAAAACUCACCGGAGAUGGCGUUGGCUGGGGCUUCGCAGCGGCAGGGUGGCGGUGGUGACGGGGGCCCCAGGGCUUCGGGGCGGUGGCGCCGGGGCGCUGGGAGGUGGUGGGGGCGGCGGGGCACCGCGGCGGUGGGCUGUUCGGGCGGUGGGGCGGCACGGCGCCGCAACUGUGGGCCNNNNNNNNNNAAAAAACUCACUGGAGAUGGCGUUGGCCGGGGCUUCGCAGCGGCAGGGUGGCGGUGGCGACGGGGGCCGCAGGGCUUCGGGGCGGUGGCGCCGGGGCGCUGGGCAGGUGGUGGGGGCUGCGGGGCGCCGCGGCUGUGGGUUGUUCGGGCGGCGGGUGUUGGGGGCGGCGGCGGGUGGCGGUGGUUGUCGGGGAGGAGACAGAAACAGAGAGAUGGAGGGGCGGGGUGGGGCUCGGCCGUUAGUUAGGUUAGCUCUUUGUCGUCCGCCCCACCUUUGCCGUCCGCUUUUUUUCUCUUUGCCGUCUGCUGGUAGACGGCAAAGAAGGGGCUCGUUAAGUUUUUUAUGAUCAGCUCGUUAGCGGGGGCCACCACUCUCUUUGACGUCCGCUAGCGGACGGCAAAGAAUUGGCUGAUGGCAAAGACCUUCUUUGCCAUCAGCCCAUUCGUUGCCGUCCGUUUUCCUGAAGCGGACGGCAAAGACCUUCUUUGCCGUUAGCCAGCAGACGGCAAAGAACUGGCAGACAGCAAAUAAGCUAAUUCCAGCAGUGCUCUUUUGUAUUUGAGAAAAAAAGAUUUCCCUCUUCUCUUGUGAUGAGACUGGGUGGAGAUGGUGAGAGAUGAGGUCGAUGACUUUGGGGAGAGGAUAAGGGCGGACGCCGGCGGUGAGGCGGCGUGAGGAAGACGAGGUGGUUGGCGUCGGCGAGACGUGAGGGGAGGGGAAGGGAGGGGUAUCAGUGUGCGGUGGGAGAGGGUGUGCGGCGUUCCCAGUUCGCGAGAGAGGAGAGAGGUCGGCAAGGGAGCGAUCCAUGGGAGAUUUUUUCCUUCCGAGCGAGCCUAGUUGGGCUAUCUGCGCCGUCCAAGGCCCAAUGCACCACAUGUCUUCAAAUUGGCGACCAGUAGCAGCCCUUAGAACAGACAGGGCCAGUUUGCAAAUUUAAAAAUAUAAGUUCUUAGCACGCAUGGAAAACAUAACAUGUAUCUUUCCAUACAUAAUGAACUAUAGGUACCAGCCAAAAAAACAUAAUGAACUAUAGGUUGUCACAAGAACUCAUGCCAUCCCACAGCCUCCCUCAGACCCUGCCAACAUUGCUGCAGCUGCACUCACAAGCGUUACCGUAGAUGAUCAUUUGCAUGAUUUCACGCAAAACAAAAUAAGAUCUACAAAUGAAUAGAAGCUACACAUACCUUGGUAUGCACACACAUUGCAAGCCAUACUAAGCUGAUAAGUGUUAAUAACUUGUACAACAUAUACAACACUUAAGACAAGUAAAAGCAAUUUGAUUAUUCAUGGUCUAUCAAAGCAAGCUACAUAACUACUCUAAUCUAUCUUAACAGGUCACACAUGAUGACAAUCUUUUUUGUGUGCAAGUCAAGCUUAUCUAGUUUACACGUAACAACUUGUAGAACAUUACAAAAUUGAUGUUUGUUAAUAACUUGAACACUACAACACUUGGCAUGUAAAAGGAAUUUGAUGAGUCAUGACCUACUAAAGCAAGUUACAUUACUAGUGUCAUCUAUCUUAACAAGCCACACAAGAUUACGACCUAAUUUCUGUGCAAGCAAUGCUUAUCUAGUUUACACGUAACAACUUGCAUAACAUUACAAAUUUAGUUUCAGAAAAUUAGGCAAUCUAGAUUUGUGUUUGCGCUGUAAAGUGAAUAAGAUGAGUCAUGUGUGUUAUCACAUCUUUUUGGUCGUGAAAUGAUAGUGCCACCAAACACAACAUACCAAAUUAUGAUUUCGGGAAGCAUCGAAGCACUUUCCAGACAAGUGCCAAUUGUGAAAAAGAUCAUGUCAUGGCAGCUAUAAAUAGGCCUGUAGCAUGAUGAUCAUCCUUCCUCAUCCAUCAUCUCAUAAGUAGAGCGCAUCAUUUAAGCCAAGCAAGCGGGGGUCAAUAAAAAUCCACCAUGAAGACCUUUCUCAUCCUAGCCCUCCUUGCUAUCGUGGCGACCACCGCCACAAGUGCAGUUAGAGUUCCAGUGCCACAAUUGCAGCCGCAAAAUCCAUCUCAACAACAACCACAAGAGCAAGUUCCAUUGAUGCAACAACAACAACAAUUUCCAGGGCAGCAAGAACAAUUUCCACCACAACAGCCAUAUCCGCAUCAGCAACCAUUUCCAUCACAACAACCAUAUCCGCAGCCGCAACCAUUUCCGCCACAACUACCAUAUCCGCAGACGCAACCAUUUCCACCACAACAACCAUAUCCACAACCGCAACCACAGUAUCCGCAACCACAACAACCAAUUUCGCAGCAACAAGCACAACAACAACAACAACAACAACAAAUCCUUCAACAAAUUCUGCAACAACAACUGAUUCCAUGCAGGGAUGUUGUCUUGCAACAACACAACAUAGCGCAUGCAAGCUCACAAGUAUUGCAACAAAGUAGUUACCAACAGUUGCAACAAUUAUGUUGUCAGCAACUGUUUCAGAUCCCCGAGCAGUCGCGGUGCCAAGCCAUCCACAAUGUCGUUCAUGCUAUUAUUCUGCAUCAUCAUCAACAACAACAACAACAACCGUCGAGCCAGGUCUCCUACCAGCAGCCUCAGGAACAAUAUCCAUCAGGCCAGGGCUCCUUCCAGUCAUCUCAGCAAAACCCACAGGCCCAGGGCUCUGUCCAGCCUCAACAACUGCCCCAGUUCCAGGAAAUAAGGAACUUAGCGCUGCAGACGCUGCCAGCAAUGUGCAAUGUCUACAUCCCUCCAUAUUGCUCGACCACCAUUGCGCCAUUUGGCAUCUUCGGUACUAACUGAGAAGAGAAGAACUCUAGUACUAGAUAUAUGAAACACCGUUUUCUUAAUCGACAGUUUGAUCGUUGUAGCGGUGAAAAAAUAAAGUGUCAUGCACUAUCAUGUAAGAACCCGAACUAUACUAGUUCAAACUUGGGAAUAAAAGACAUACACAUGUCUUGUCUGCAUAUGAUUAUUUGUUUGAGUUCCAUUCAUGUGCCCGUUCAGAAGUUCACCCCUAAUUAAAUAUAUUAUGCAUUAACUAGAUAUUUAUGUGGCAUUAAUCUAAAGAUAACAAAAUAGGUUUGAAACUUGAAUUACAUUGAAGUAUUUUCUUGGGCUUUCAAAUUGAGUAUUAUUAAAGUAGUAAGGACUAUCCACAUCCUUGGCUUGCCCUUGAUCGAUUAUUUACAGAGAAGCAUUCAAUUCAUCAAUCAAUUACAUUGAUUUUUGUGGCUGGUACUUCUCCGCAUCAUGAGUAUAUUCCUUGCGGCUACUCCAAAUCGACCACAUAACCGAAGCAUUAAUAACGCCCUUCCUUGCAUCAAGGAAAUGUGGUCGAAGAUAUCUCUUGACCAUGUUUCCGGGUGCAACCUUGGGAGUUUGAUGUAAAAUAUUCUCAAGCACGAUCCAAGAAUAAACUUGGAUGCUCAUGUGUGAUAAGGGCAUAUGAAGUAACAUUUCCUCCCCAUGGCCACACAUAGGGCAACAUAACCCCAUCACAUGCCUUUUUAGUUAUGCACAUGAAGGUGGAUGUUUUUAAUUACUAUCCACCAAAAUACUCUUAACAUGGGUUCUACCCUGUCGGUGUCAAAACCGGCGGAUCUCGGGUAGGGGGUCCCGAACUGUGGAUCUAGGAUAGAUGGGGAACAGGAGAUGCAGAACACAAAAUUUACCCAUGUUCAGGCCCUCUCUAGGAGGUAAUACCCUACGUCCUGCUUGAUUAUAUUGCUUGUGUAUAUCGGGGUUACAGAGUUGAUCUACCUCGAGAUCAGAGGAACUAAACCCUAGCUAGGAGGACGGUGAUUGUUCUCCUAGCCUCUACGGACUAAAUCCCCUGGUUUAUAUAGACACCAGGGGUACUAGGGUUUGCAGAUAGUUGGUUACAUCAAGGAAACUCUACAUAUUCCAUCUUGACUUGAGGUACACACCAAGGCACAAAGGUCUUCGUUUCAGAUACGGUGCUGCCCAAUAGUCCGCCCCACGUGUGAUGAGCCGGCAUCCCGAGGACCCCCUAAGCCAGGACUCCCUCAGUAGCCCGCGAACUAGCCUUCAACAUCGGCCUCAUAUACCUCCAUGACUGCGGCCUCCGUCUUGCAGGCGAGUUCCAUUUCUUCGGAGUAUUCGGAAUAAUCCUUCUUCAGCUUCAUACCUUUAUAAACGGUCCUCGAUAUAAUUCUGCCAUACGUCGAGCCGUAUCCGGAUUCUAAACUAUCGAUUUUACUUAGCCCUGAAUGCCAAUCUUUCUAGUGUGAACAAUAUCUUUGACUGCAACUUUCGGUGAAGGGUCGUGUCCGGUCAUAAUUAUGAAGACUCGAUGCGCGGCUUAAGGCAGCCCCUUCAAUGGCACGUCCCGUCGAGGUGGAGAUCGUUUCCCACCUUUUAAGGGAUUUGAUCAAUGAUUCACAGUAUCCCACUCGUGCAUGACGCCACAAGUAUAUCGAGAAGUGGCGAGGCCGGCGACGCAUUUAGAGGACUCUUGGUAUCGCGACUGCUUAUAAUAGAACCCAGUCAUAGUUAUCCCCGCACACCUUCUUCCUCUCGCCAUCACUACUGCAAUCAGAGAUUUUGCCGUCUGUCAGUUCUUUGCCGUCAGCUCGCGGAUGGCAAAGAGGGUCUUUGCCGUCACCUCACAAAAAGCAGACAGCAAAGAAUUUGCUGACGGCAAAGAUCCUAUUUGCCAUCAGUCAUUUCUUUGUCGUCUGCUGGCUGACGGCAAACAAUCUUUGAUGCCCGCUAGCAGAUGGCAAAGAGGUGGGUGUGGUCCAGUGGAGGCCCAAGCCCUAACGGCCCACUAGCCCCACCUCUUUGCCGUUCGCUCGCAGACGGCAAAGAAUCUUUGCCUUCUGCCAGCAGACGGCAAAGAAUUGAGUAUGUAACGGCCGUUGCCCCCGCCUCCUCUCUCUCUAUUCUCCCUAUUCCUAACCCUCGUUCCCCGCUGCCGCAGCUCCGGCCACGGCGCCCCCGACCCUCAUCCGACCCCCACCGCACCCCGCCGCCCGCUGCUGCCGCCGCUCCAGCCACGGCGCCCUGGAUCCCGUCCCGACCCCGCCGCCCGUUGUCGUCGCCGCUACGGCCACCGCGUCCCCGACCCCCACGGAUGACCUGUCAAUGCUUGACCGAUUAUGUAAAGGUGUCCUUCCACAUGAUGAUGCAUUUAUUAGUGGUGAUGAUGAACACGUCAUUUUUGAUAGUGAUGAUGAUGAUGCAUUUAUUGAUCCCAGAGCAUUUAUUGAACCCGACGAUCCAGAUUAUUAUUAGGUAUUCAAUUUUUUAUGUUGUACUUGAUUUAUAUAGUUACUUGUAUGAUUGUAUGAUUUAUAUAGUUACUUGUAUAUUCUUACUUUGUACGAUUGUUUCUUAUACAUAGUGCCAUGGUCUUGAUAUCCGGCCCUGUCGGCCCUCGCCCGCUUUUAUGAUUCGGAUGAGGCAAAUUAUCUUUUAUAACUAUUUGUUGCAUUUCGCAUUUAUGACAAUUAUGGCUAUCAAGUUGACAUAGAGAUAUUUUAAUGUAGGAGGUAUGUGACCCGGAAUUUGCAACUGACCCUCUUGUCGAGAAGUUAAAUUUAGUUGAAAAAGAAAAUGAGUAUUUGAAAGAAAAAAAUAAAAGAAUUGAUGAAGAGAAGAUGACAUUGGAGUUGUAUGUUGCCGAUGUCGUCGAUGAUCACAAGAUGAAGAUGAAUGCAAUGCGCUUGAAGAUGGAUGCAAUGCGCUUGAAGAUUAAGAUGAUUAGAAAAUAUGCCAUUGAUAAUGAGGCUUGGUAUCAUUAUGCUAUUGGAUCAAUUGUUACCUUAGUUGCGAUCUUCAUCGCAUUUGUUGUGAUGAGGGUAAGUUUUCUCUAGUGUUUUGCUUAACAAAUGCAUACUUAGCUUAUUUUCCUCAUAAAUGGCAUAAUGACCUAUACCUACCUUAUUUUUCUCCAAAUUGACAUAAUAAGCUUAGUUGACCUAUACUUUACCUAGGAUAGCUAUAAAAUGACCUAUACUUAGCAUUUUUUCCUCCUAAAUGACUUAAUAUGCUUAGUUAGCUAAAAAUGACAUAACUACCUAGGAUAGCUCAAUAAUGAUCUAUAAUUAGCUUACCUAGUUCAUUAAUGACAUAAUUAGCUUACUUAGGUCAAAAAUAGCAUAACUACCUAGGUUAGCUAAAAAUGACCUAUUCUUAGCUUCUUCAGUUCAUUUAUGAGAUACUUAGCAUACUUAGGUAAAAAAUGGCAUGAUAAUCUUUGUUACCUCCAAAAUGACAUAGGCUUAGCUUAUUUUCCUCGAAAAUGACAUAAUAACCUUACUAAGCUCCAAAAUGACCUAUUUACCUAGCUUAGCUCUCAAAUGACGUACACUUAGCAUUUUUACCUAGCUUAGCUAAAAAAUGGCAUUUUUCCCCUACCUUAGUUAGAAGAAGAAGAAGAUAAAGAAGAGGAGAGGAGAAAAAGAAAGAGAAGAAAAAUUCUUCUUCUUCUUCUUCUUCUUCUUCUAGCUAGUCUUCUUCUUCUUCUAACUUUCUUCUUUCCCAAAUUGCAGAUUUGCUUUCGAUGAGGAAGCUUGCGUUGAUAGAGUCUACUCUUCUCCUUGUGCGUCCUUUUUGUUUUGAUUUUGUAGGAUGAACAAUGUGAAACUUGCUACCUAUAUAUGUAUGUAUGGAUGAAACCAUUGCAUGCUUGUUGUUGGAUAUGUUGGCUAUCUAUAUAUGUUGCAUAUGGACUUUUGAUUUGGUAUGUAUAUGUGCUGGAUGAUCAUAUCCAUAUGCCAGGGAUAUGAUUUGGUAUGUAUAUGUGUUGUUAUGCUUGUUGAAAGUAUUUUCAAAUGUGUGUGUGUGUAUAUAUAUUUAUAUCUGUGAAAUUCUGUGAAAUUGAAUGAAUUUAAGAAAAAACAGGGGUUAUACAGGCUCUUUGCCGUCUGCUGGCAGACGGCAAAGAGCUUUGCCAUCAGCCAGCAGACGGCAAAGCUGCCACGUGGCAGCUACCUGUGCAACCUGGGGUGCACUGGGCUGGCCUAUUUGGCAGCUUUGCCGUCCGCUGGCAGACGGCAAAGACCUUGGCAUCUUUGUCGUCUGCCAGCAGACGGCAUAGCGUGCCAUGUGGCAGCUACCUGGGGGGCAUCUGGGCUGGCAUAUUUGGGCACUUUGCCGUCUGCUGGCAGAUGGCAAAGAUGCAAAGGUCUUUGCCGUCUGCCAGCAGGCGGCAAAGCACGCUGUUAACCCCUUAACGGCCCUAAGCUGCCACGUGUGCCAUGCAGGUCCUUUGCCGUCUACUGGCGAACGACAAAGACCUUUGCAUCUUUGUCCUCCGCUAGCAGACGGCAAAGUACCAUUUGCCAUAGUUCGUUCAACCGGACGUGUUGCCAUCUACUAGCUGAUGGCAAAGGUCUUUGCUGUCCGCCAGGAAUGCCUUUGUCGUCAGCCAUGGCAGACGGCAAAUUUCCUCAUUCCUAUAGUGAGAAGAAGAAGAAGAAGAAGAAGAAGAAGAAGAGGAGGAGGAGGAGGAGGAGGAAGAAGAAGAGGUUAGGGCUGCGGCGGUGCCGACGGAACCGGGUCGAGGUUAGGGGUGCGUCGGCGCCCUGGUCGAGGAUCACUGAUCGCCAAGGGGUCGAGGUUCGGGGCACAGGGUCGAGGAUCGCCGGUCGCCGAGGGGUCGAGGGUCUUGGGUUCGAUGGUCGAGGAUCUUCUGGUUCGAUUGUUGAGAGAGUAGUGUCAUAGCUUAAGAUAAGGACGUCCCCGAGCUUAAGGUCAUGAGCGUGGGUGAACUGCUUCCAUCCGUGCACGAAGAACGGAUGGAAGCAGUUCGUCCGUGCUGAUGACCUUCAGCUCAGGCACGUCCGCAUCUUAAGCUACGACAACAGCGCACCAUGCUCAAAGUGAAGGUGUUCGACAUGACCGUCGAGGGACCGAGGGCCGAGGAUUGCCGAGGGGUCAAGGGUCGAGUGGUCGAGGGUCGCCGAGGAGACGAGGGUCAAGGAUUGCCGUGGGGUCAGGGGUCGAGGGCUUGAGGGUCGCUGAGGGGUCAGGGGUCGAUGGUCGUCGAGGGGUUGAGGGUCGAGGAUUGCCUAAGGGGUCAGGGGUCGAGGGGCGAGGGGUCCAGGGUCUAGGGGUCGAUGGUCGAGGAUCUUCUGGUCCGAGUGCUGGCCGACUGGUGUCAUAGCUUAAGAUGAGGACGUCCCCGAGCUGAAGGUCAUGAGCGUGGGUGAACUGCUUCCAUCCGUGCAUGAAGAACGGAUGGAAGCAGUUCACCCGCGCUGAUGACCUUCAGCUCGGGCACGUUCGCAUCUUAAGCUACGACUACAGCCGCACCAUGCUCACAGUGAAGGUGUUCGNNNNNNNNNNNNNNNNNNNNNNNNNNNNNNNNNNNNNNNNNNNNNNNNNNNNNNNNNNNNNNNNNNNNNNNNNNNNNNNNNNNNNNNNNNNNNNNNNNNNNNNNNNNNNNNNNNNNNNNNNNNNNNNNNNNNNNNNNNNNNNNNNNNNNNNNNNNNNNNNNNNNNNNNNNNNNNNNNNNNNNNNNNNNNNNNNNNNNNNNNNNNNNNNNNNNNNNNNNNNNNNNNNNNNNNNNGGUCGAGUGGUCGAUGGUCGCCGAGGGGUCGAGGGUUGCCAAGCGGUCAGGGGUUGAGGGGUCGAGGGUCGCCGAGGGGUCGACGGUCGAGGAUUGCCGAGGGGUCAGGGGACGAGGGGCGAGGGGUCGAGGGAUCGAUGGACAAGGAACUUCCGAUGUGAGUGCUGACCGACUGGUGUCGUAGCUUAAGAUACACUAGUAUUAGUUAAUUAUAUGCAUAUUAUUAUUCAUGUCGUUAUUAAUUUUUUUAUGUUGUACUAAUUUCGUUUACUCUAUGUCAUGGUAGGUGUUGAAAGAUGGUGGGCGCAGGUAAGGAGCGCUCUAAGGCUCCUUCAUCGGUGCAUGGUGGGAGGGGUACUCCAUUCCACCCUAGACACUCCGGAGAGCGUUGGUCGACGGUAUGAAGACACCGGUGGGCGCUUCUUCGUCGCUGUCGUUGCCCACCGGGAAGGAGGUCGGGAAGGGAAGAAUAGAGGACGUCGAGGAGGACUUGGCCGUGGGAGAGGUAGGUAGGCUCCUAGGACUUCCUCGCCGCCACCCCAGCUGAUUCACCCGAGCACAGGACUGCUAGGGCGGACACGUCUGAGGAGGAGGCUACGUGGACUCCGGUCCACUAGCCUCGGGUCGACAGGCCUUCGGCCCACGAGAUUCCGUCCUAGGAGACGCCCAAAUGGGGUACCUGGACGGGUCCGCCUGAGGGACCGAGUGGCCAUGCUGAUGGUGGUAGUAAUCCGUCUGAUAGCGAGGGGGAGGUGGUUGAGGGGUCCACCAUCUACCAGCGUGGUUGUACAUGGCUCCCGCUCGUGCCAUCGACCCGCGAGCAUAGGUGGUUGAUUUUCCCUGAUGGGGAGAGGUAAGUGCAUUUACUCUUUUUGUACCAUUUGCCUCCACGUUUCUUCAAAUAUCUAAUGCAUUGGCCUUGUCAUACUGCAGGGGUUGGCACCACGCUGAUGAUGUGCGCAGGCCCAACUCCGUCCUUGGUGUGCUUUGCCAGCAUAACUUCUCGGGUGUUGUCACUUUGUCUGGUGAGGGUCAGGUUCCGGAGCUAGGAUAGCUAGGAGCACUACUUAGCUGCCCCGGCCCCAUCGGAGGUGAUGAUCGACGGUGUCUUGUGCCACACGAGGGCAGAGAUGGUGAUCAGAAGAUUUUGGGUAAUUUCUCCUUUACACAAUUAAAAUUCUUCAAAUAGCUAGUUAUUAUACUAAUCAAUGUUGUCUCGUUUGAUUGCAGACCUUCUACAGGUGUGAGGAGGGAUACGAGGAGGCCGCGGCAAAGGUUAUCGACACCGUGUGCAGGUGCCUACUACAGAACUUAUGGCACGAGGCUCGGGGCUGUUUGAGACUACUACGCAUCGCGUCGUAUUAGGAAGCCCAAGCCGGCGUGCCGCGAGAAGUUUCUGCAGAAGGAGCAGUACAUGACGGUAAUUACCUAUUCUUAAGGCCUUGUACUUAGUUUCCUUGAUUUGAUUCGUACGCGUAGCGCUCAAGUUUCUCUUUACUAACUUAGGUGCCCCCGAGAUGGUGUGCGGAUCAGAUCGACUGUUGGGAGGUGUUGGUCGAUGAGUGGUGCUCAAAGGAAUGGCUUGCCUAGCACAACAAUGCCAAGGACAAGCGUGCCCAAAUGGUAAGUGUUCCACACCAUCAAGGCAACGCCAACUUAUUUCAGUUUGGGCGGAACUGGGUAUGUGGUUUCCUUCAUAAAUCAUGCAAUUCAUUCUUCAAGCUAGCUUGAGAGCUUCAAUUACUAAUUUACUCUGUUCCUCUCUUUCAGGCAAAACACAAUAAGGCGGAGGUGCUAGAGGUGUUCGACCUCUAUGCCAUGGCCCAUACUGGGCCAUACAAGAAGGUCAAGGCAUUCGAGCCGUCUGACCUUGAUAAUCCAAAGAACGUCACCAGCAUCUCCUCCCACAACAAACUCAUGAAGUAUAGAGAUGAGGGGAAGGCGAGGAAAGGGGAGUUCUUUAACCCAAGCGGGUAGUUUGAUCCGGAGCUCGUGAUGAUAUCCGGUGGCGGGAGGUCCCAUGGCUCCAUAGCCAUUGGAAAUGGACUUGUCUGUUGUCCUCCCACUCUCCCGGAGAUAAAGGCGCGCUAGUCGAGCUCCGCUCCUGAGAUGAGGCAUCGUCAACGGCCAGUCGAGCUCGCCUUCCAGGUUAGUUAUACAGACACAGCUAUCUUUCCUCCAUUACAUUGUGUGUGCGGCCAUCGAUGAUUACAAUGCUAACGAGGAGUGGUGUUGCAGGCUGCUCUUCAUAAAGAGAGAGAGGCAACAAAGGAGCUUCUGGCGGAGGAGUGGGAGUGGAGGAGAGGACGGCUAAGUUGUUAGAGGAGGAGAGGGCACGGAAUGACAUGCAGAACCGGGCCAUGUAUGAGCUCCUCGUGGUAAGUUUCUUCUGCAUGUUAGCCAAAUCAUUCACGUAAUGUUCAUUUCAUUACUAACUAGUAUGACUGACCCGUCAAAACCAAAUGUGCAGUCUGUGUGCCAGAAGGUCGGUCGGACCCCUCCGCCGAUGCCAGAGAUUGCUCCAGGGACCACGGUGAGUGUAAUUUGAAUGGUCAUUAGUUACUAGUAUUAACAUUUGAGUGCCGUCAUGCUAACGAGACAUUGCAAAUGAUCUUUGGUGCAGCGUGCCUCCAGACAAGCAUCACAGGAUCCUUCUCCAGGUGGUGGUACCAGCACGAGCCACGCCGGUGCUUCACCUCCGUGAUGAAGGUAAGUUUUCUCUAGUGUUUUGCUUAACAAAUGCAUAAAGACCUAGACUUAGCUUUAUUUCCUCCAAAAUGCUUACCAUAAUGACCUAGACUUAGCUUAUCUUCCUCCAAAAUGACAUAAUUAGCUUACUUAGCUCCAAAAUGAUCCAUUUUACCUUAGUUAGCUCUAAAAGGAUCUACACUUAGCUUUGUUUCCUCCAAAAUGACCUAAGUUAGCUCUAAUAUGCUAAGUUGUCUCUAAUAUGCUUAGUUACCUAGGUUUGCUCAAUAAUGACAUGCACUUAGCUUACUUAUGUAAAAAAUGGCAUAAUUAGCUUACUUAGGUUUGAAAUGGCAUAACAACCUUGGUAACCUCAUAUAUAUCAUAUACUUAGCUUAUUUUCCUCAAAAAUGACAUAAUAAGCUUCAUUAGCUCCAAAAUUAUAAAUUUUACCUAAGUUUGCUCCAACAUGACCUAUACUUAGCUUACUUAUGUCAAAAAUGGCAUAAUAUGCUUAGUUAACUAAAAAUGACAUAAUUAGCUAGGGUAGCUCCAAAAUGACCCACUUUACCUAGAUUAGCUCCAAUAUGAUCCAUUUUACCUAGGUUAGCUCCAAAAUGACCAAGUUUACCUAGGUUAGCUCCAAUAUGAUCGAUUUUAGCUAGGUUAGCUCCAAAAUGAUCCAUUUUACCUACGUUAGCUCAAAAAUGGCAUAACUACUUAUGUUAGCACAAAAAUGGCCUAUACUUACCUUAUUUCCUCCAAAUUGACAUUAUCUGCUUAGUUAGCUCAAAAUGGCAUAAUUACUUAUGUAAGCUCUAAAAUGACACAAAUAAGGAAUAAGAAGAAGAAAAACAAGGAAGAGGAGAAAAAGAAAGAAUAGAAGAAGAAAGAGAAGAAAAAGAAAGAAUAAAAGAAGAAGAAUGAGAAGGAAAAGGGUAAAACCCUUCUUCUUCUUCUUCUUCUUCUUAUAUGCUAACUUACCUAUGUUAGCUCAAAAAUGACCUAUACUUAGCUGUUUUUUUAAUCAAAAAUGGCAUAAUAUGCUUAGUUCACUCAAAAAUGGCAUAAGUAGCUAGGUUAGCUCCAUUUUACCUAAGUAUGCUUCUUCUUCUUCUUCUUCUUCUUCUUCAUUUUCUUAUUCUUCUUCUUCUAGUCUUCUUCUAACUUUCUCGUUUCGCAUUUUGCAGAUUACGUUCACCUCACAGAAGCUUGCAUGGAUGGAGUGCUUGUUUUCCCUUUCUGCUUUUCUUUUGUAUCGAUGAACAAUGUGGAACUUCUUAUAUGGAUGGAUGGAACUAUGUGUUGGAUGAAGAAUGUGAAACUAUUGUAAUAUGUAUGGAUGGAACUAUGUGUUGGUUAUGUAUGUAUGAUGAAACUUGUGUGUUGGAUAUGUCAUAUGUCUGCUGUGAAAUUGCCCUGUGGAAAAAAUAUAUAUACAUAUCAUAUAUUUUGCUAUGAAAUUGCUUGGAUAUAAGAAAAAACAGAAAAAAAGACCAACCUCUUUGCCGUCUGCCACCGAUGGCAAAGGGCUCUUUGCCGUGUGCCACGGAUAACAAAGAGGCCAUGUGGCAGCAACUGGUACAACCUGGCAGCUAUACCAAUUGGUUACUUUGCCGUCUGUGGUAGACGACAAAGGGGAGGGCAUGUUUGCCGUCCGCUGGCAGACGAUAAAGGCUGCCGUUAGCCACCUAAUAUGGCUAACGCCUGUUCUUUACCGUCCACUUUCUUCACCGUCUGGCAUGGACGGCAAAGAUUCUUUGCCGUCCGCUUUGAGGAAGCAGAUGGCAAAGAAUCUGUUUACCGUCAGGUUGCAGGGCAGCUUUGCCAUCGGUGGCAGACGGCAAAGGUGUUUGUCGUCAGCCUUUGGUGCCUUUGCCGUCUGCCAUGGAAGACGGCAAAGAAGCUGAUUCCUGUAGUGCAUAGCAUUCCCCAAUCUACAGAGCUCGAGCGCCCCAAUCCACUUUCCGCGAAGUCGAGCUCGGCAAUGGCCGGAUCUGGAGCGAAGGGCAAGUGGAGGCCUCGUGUAUCACGAACAACGACAUCGAGGACCUGAAGCGAGCAGGCUUCCUCUCCCCAGCCUCUACAUAACUAAGAUGCACAUACCCAAAAGCAGAAGUCCGACAAAAAUAAGAUAAGAAACCGACAUAUCGACAAGAGUGAGUCAUAUAGGUCCGACACCAUACCCCCGUCGAAGGAGGUGGUGGAGCGAUCUGGAGCUUAUGCUGCCAUCCAUAUUGGGUAAAAUAUUCCCUGGCCACUUGCUCCAACCGCAUACACACCACCAUAAACAACGGUUGGUACUCCGUUCGAUGUAUCAUACACCACGUAGGAAGCGAGUGUGUAUUCCUAGUUACUGAAAUAUGUACAGCAACUAAACCCAUUUACACGUAGUUAAUGACCAAAAAAAAGUUGAUGCUUGCUACGCGGAUGAGUAGUACAAAUUAAGAAGUGCAAUAUAAAAAAAUGCCGGUCCUUGAUUUGUUGCUGACGUAAGCAUGCCAUCAUCAACUUGUAGUAUUCAUACAAAUUGGCUCAUUCAUAGAGUUGGAGGUUAGCUCUGUCAGCAUGCCAUUAUCAACUUGUAGUUAUCAUACAAAUUUUCAUAGAGUUGGAGGCUAGCUCCUUUGAUCAGCACGCGCUUCAACUCGUGCUUGCCCAGCAAAUAUGGUUCGACUGGGUAGAAGAAAAGGCAUUUUUGCUAAUAUGCCUGGAGAAAAUGCCUUUGAUUAGGGCAUCUUCAACGGCGACCAGUAAAUUUUCUUUCGUGUUUGUCCAUGGACAGGGGAUCAGUCCGCGGACACAGAUACAGGAAUCGGCCAUCCAACGCUAUCCACAUAUAUUCUAACCACUUUUUUUAACAAAACAGAUGAAAUUCAUGCAAACACAAUGGAUUUCAUACAAACCGGACAAAAAAAUUUACAUUUUGGACAUAUUUUUAACUAAAAACUCUACAGCCGGCGUCGGCGAAUAUCCACUCCGGCGACAUGGAUACCAUUGACUAGUCUACUGCUGGCCGCAGCGGAUCUCCAAUGUCGUCCGCAUGUUCGCAGCUGUGAGCCCUGGAGGUAUAUGCUUCGGCGCAAAUAACGGCUUGCUUACCUACCGCUCGUCAGAGUGGAAUAGCUAGCCGAUGCUUUUGUCGGUGGGGAAGGGUCCUUACGCUACACAGUUUUGAGUUGGUUUUGGGUAGGGAACGACGAUGGCCUGCCAGUAGGCAAGACACUGGCUGUGUACGCCAGCUCACCUCGGCGUGGCAUUCAUGGGACCCAAGUGGCAGUGGCUCCUCGAUGAUGGCUCCGAGCGCGGAUGUGCUGGCCGCCACCUCGUCAAUGUUCGUGCAGCCCGCUUCUUUCUCUGUAGGAAGGGCGCGGUUACGCGCGCGUUGACAUCGGAUGACGCGGUCGCAGGCACCUGAGGGGCGGUACGACACAUCACCAUCAACGGCAGCCACGAUGCCUGUGCCGCCGUGCUCCCCCCAGUGCCGACCUGGAGCAACUCACCACCCCUCGGCUCAUGACCGGCGGGCUUGACAGGCCAGCUAGCAAUUUUUUAUGCCAGACAACUCUUCUUCCUGCUCGACGGAUGCCAUGGAGAAAACUGUUCAAGGAGGAAAAUGGUGAGUGGAGGUGUGAUGCGGUUCUUGCCCGGCAUCUGACAUUGUUUAAAUAGCGAGGGGACACGUGGAGCCAACUGGCAUUCUGUUUAAUGCCAGUCGGCUUGCGAACGGACAUGUGGCCGGAGUAAUCAUCUUGGCACACACGCGGGUUUAAUGGUGGAAGGCUGGCAGUCUGCAGGAAUGAGGUGAGGAUGCGUGUUCAGCUGGGCAUGCAGCGGGUGGCACCCUCGUCCGGUGUGCCGUUUCCAUUGAGGAGGCAGUGAGAGGUCGCGUUCACUCUGUAGUGGCAUGGAUGCGGGCAGCUGGCGCAUGGCGGAAACGCGUGUGGGCGAGGUAGGAUGGGGUUUGGGUGGGCACGGAUGGUCAGAAGGGGUCGUGGGAGUUGUCCGGACGCCCGCAAAGCCCCUCUCCCCAUGUUUGUCUCUAGUUUGCAGGACAAAAUACGUCUGGACCGCCCUGAGAACCGAUAUAGGCCCGCGUUGAUGGCACAGCACGUCCGGACCAUGUGGUCCGGAUGGUUGUGGACGGUUUGAGGGUCAGCGUUGGAGAUGCCCUUAGAGUUUAUGACUCUAUUGUGUUUUUCUAAUAAUAAAAAAGCACUUAUGAUAAGUUAUAAGAAAAAACACAUCGAUAUAUUAGGUUCGGACUCCAGCUUUCCUCUUACGUAUGAUUUUUUCUGAUCCGACCGAUUCCAAUAGAGUGAGCCUUGCUUUGUUUUUCUGGAAACUCACCAGAUAAGGAGACAUGCUUAUGCAUUCUUUCAAGAAAAUUACAUCCAUUCUUUCUAACUCAUUUUUUCUUGUUUUAAUAAUAUAAUAGAAAUAGAUCAUUUGUAUUUUUUAUUUCAAACAUUUGACUUAUAAUUUGUAUUGUAAUCUAACGAUAAUGUUUGGAUUUUACUUUCAAAUAUAUUUGAAAUGGCCAUGAUGGAAUCACAUCCAUUUAUUUUAUUAUUAUUUGAACUAGCAGAGUGGCCCGCUCGAUGCGCGGGCUAGAAUUUUAAGAUGACCAUUAAAACUUUUGAGUGUUUCAACUUAAGAAAGAUAUGUUGUGUAAGACAUAAAGAAGGAGAAAUAAAUGUGGUCUAUUAUUUCCUAGUAGAUAUAUAAUAUCAUAUAUUCAUUCGAGCCCAUCACACGUAGAAAGGACUUAGACCACAUUGUAUGUAAGUCUACAAUAAUGUAUAUUUUCUAUUGGCCAAAAGAAAUUAUUUAUUAGCAAAUGAUCUUUAGAAGUGAAUAAUAGUUCUUGUUCUAUGAAAAAAAUCAAUAUGUACUAUUAUUUCAUAUGGUUGCCAUGUAGCAUGUUUUCAUUAUUUUACUAGUAGAACAACACAAGAAAGCCUAAUAAAAGAUCAACAAUAUUAUAUGUACACGCCACUGAUUAGUGAGUCGAGCAAGCAUUGGAGUAUUUUCACGACAUCGUGGCAUUAUUUAAACUUUCAACGUAUUUUAUUGUAGUUGUUUACACUCGUAAAACGCGUACCAAUUCAGCACAAGAACUACAAUUUAAUGACCAAUUAUAUAUAAUAGAAAGAUUGAUCAAAUAACAGCUCAAACAGAUACAAAGCAUCUAUUAUAUUGAGAAAUAUACCACUCAGCAAGAAAUGUUAUCUCUAACCAUCUUAAGCAUGAGGAAGAUUAUCUGUGGAAACAAAUAAGUCAAAUCAAGCGACCAGAUAAUAUCCUAGCUCAAGCAUAUACAGUACACAUCAAUUUUUAAAUAAAUAAAUUACAUUAGAUGACAUUCUCUCAACUCCCGUAACAGCCAUGUGCUUGCGGCAAGUCUGGCCUGGCGCUUGGUAUGAAGAUUGUUAUCUGCUUGAUCGAAGAUACCAACACCAUAAUGAGGUUGUUGCACGGGUUUCAUUGCACUUCACUAGUAGAAAACAGGGCUUUGGUUGGGGCCUGGCCAGCCCAUUAGUCCCGGUUCAGACACGAACCAGGACCCAUAGGGGCAUACGUCCUGGUUUGUGCGCACAGGGGGGCGGCCGGGCCUCGUGGGGCAUUGGUCCCGGUUCGUCUGGACCCAUUUGUCCCGGUUCCAGGCACGAACCGGGAGCAAUGGUCCUAGCACGUGGGGCAUUGGUCCCGGUUCGUGGCUAGAACCGGGACAGAAGGGGGGCCUUUAGUCCCGAACCGGGAUCAAUGAGUUGCCUAUAUAUAUCCCAUUGCCGCAACAGAGCCCUCCACACUGCUUUGUUUUUUCUGGCCGGCGAGGGGAGAGCUUUGUGGUGCUCUAGCUCACCUCCUAUGCACAUGAGGUGUUCGAUGAAAUGUCCGAGCCACACUAGUUAAGCUUUCUCCUCUCGAAGCUCGACCUCAAAACUCUAUUUUCCCCGAGAUUUGUCUAGGUUUAGCGGUCCGUCACGUCCCGUCCCCGUCUUCACCGCCAUCGAUUGCCCGCGCCGAUCUCGUCGCCGGCACCCCGUGGUGAGCCUCUUGUUCUUAUUUCCUUUUUGAAAGAAAAAAAUUCUUACUUUAGAUAGAUAAUUAUCUAAUUUUCUUACUUUUAUUAUUGCUUGUUAUUAUAUAGUGCGAUGGUUUUGGUAUCCGCCCCCGUCGGCCCUCGUCCUGUCUAUGAUUCGGAUGUGAUAUAUAUUAUCUUUUAUAACUAUUUGGUUCAUUUAUUGUUUAUGACAAUUAUGCCGACCAACGUGACAUAGAUUUUAUUUAUCUAGGAGGUAUGUGAACCGGAAAUUCCAACUGACCCUAUUGUCGUGAGGUUAAAUUUAGUUGAAGAAGAAAACCAUUACUUAAAGGAAAAAAUAAAAAAAAUGAGGAGGAGAAGAUGAUAUUGGAGUUGCAUGUUGCGGAUGUCAUCGAUGAUCACAAGAUCAAGAUGGACGCAAUGCGUUUGAAGAUUAGAAAGAUUAGAAAAUAUGCCAUUCAUACCGAGGCUUGGUAUCAUUAUGCCGUUGGAUGAAUUGUUACCUUGGUUGCGAUUAUGAUUGCAUUUGUUGUUGCAUUGAAAUGUUUUACAUAGUUUCAAUGUAUGGUUUAAUUAGAUUCUCUGGAGAGCUAUAUGUUGUUCAAUAAGAACUAUGUAUGUACUUUGGUUUUAAUGUGAUGAUGAACUUCUAUUAAUUUGGUCACUUAUCUAUCCAUGAUGUUCUGUAAUGGUUUUUGACACACUUAAUUAUAUAUAAUGCACGCAGAUGAACCGGCAAUAGAUGUACGGUGACAGACACAACUCCGAGUACGUUAAGGGCGUGCAUAAUUUUAUCAAAGUGGCUGAGGCAAACAAGCAGAAUGAUUUUAUGUGUUGUCCAUGCCCUAUAUGUGGGAAUACGAAGUCUUACUCUGACCGGAAAAUCCUUCACAGCCACCUGCUUUAUAAGGGUUUCAUGCCACACUAUAAUGCUUGGACCAGGGACGGAGAAAUAAGGGUUAUGAUGGAAGACAACGAAGAAGAAGAGGACGAUGACAACUAUGUGCCGCCGGAAUAUGGUGAUGCUGCAACGGGGGAAGCUGCUAAAGAUUAAGAGGAACUAGACGAUAUUGUGCCCGAUGAUGAUCUCCGCCGGGUCAUUGUUGAUGCAAGGAGACAGUGCGAAAGUCAAAAGGAGAAGCUGAAGUUCGAUCACAUGUUAGAGGAUCACAAAAAAGCGUUGUACCCCAAUUGUGAAGAUGGCAACACAAAGCUCGGUACCAUACUGGAAUUGCUGCAGUGGAAGGCAGAGAAUGUUGUGCCUGACAAAGGAUUUGAGAAGCUACUGAAAAUAUUGAAAAAGAAGAUUCCAAAGGAUAACGAAUUGCCCGACAGUACGUACGUAGCAAAGAAGGUCGUAUGCCCUCUAGGACUGGAGGUGCAGAAGAUACAUUCAUGCCCUAAUGACUGCAUCCUCUACCGUGGUGCGUACGAGGAUUUGAACGCAUGCCCGGUAUGCGGUGCAUUGCGGUAUAAGAUCAGACGAGAUGACCUUGGUGAUGUUGACGGUGAGCCCCCCAGGAAGAGGGUUCCUUCGAUGGUGAUGUCGUAUGCUCCUAUAAUACCACGGUUGAAACGUCUGUUCAGAAACGAAGAGCAUGCCAAGUUGAUGCGAUGGCACAGAGAGGACCGUAAGAAAGACGGGAAGUUGAGAGCACCCGCUGACGGGUCGUAGUGGAGAAAAAUCGAGAGAAAGUACCGGGCUGAGUUUGCAGGUGACUCAAGGAACGUAUGAUUUGGUUUAAGCGCGGAUGGCAUUAAUCCUUUGGGGGAGCAGAGCAGCAAUCACAGCACCAGGCCCGUGACUCUAUGUAUGUAUAACCUUCCUCCUUGGAUGUGCAUGAAGCGGAGGUUCAUCAUGAUGCCAGUUCUCAUCCAAGGCCCUAAGCAACCCGGCAACGACAUUGAUGUGUACCUAAGGCCAUUAUUUGAAGAACUUUUAUAGGUGUGGAAUGGAAAUGGUGUACGUGUGUAGGAUGAGCACAAACAGGAGGAAUUUAACCUGCACGCGUUGCUGUUUGUAACCAUCAACGAUUGGCACGCUCUCAGUAACCUUUUAGGACAGACAAACAAGGGAUACCACGCAUGCACACACUGUUUAGCUGACACCGAAAGUAUAUACCUGGACAAAUGCAGGAAGAAUGUGUACCUGGGCCAUCGUCGAUUUCUUCCGACCAACCAUCAAUGUCGAAAGAAAGGCAAGCAUUUCAAAGGCGAGGCAGAUCACCGGAAGAAGCCCGCCAUGCGUACCGGUGAUCACGUACUUGCUAUGGUCAAUGAUUUACACGUAAUCUUUGGAAAGGGUCCUGGCGGACUAUCUGUUCUGAAUGACGCUAAGGGACGCACACCCAUGUGGAAGAAGAAAUCUAUAUUUUGGGACCUACCCUACUGGAAAGACCUAGAGGUCCGCUCUUCAAUCGACGUGAUGCACAUGAUGAAGAAACUUUGCGUGAACCUGCUAGGCUUCUUGGGCGUGUAUGGGAAGACAAAAGAUACACCGGAGGCAUGGGAGGACCUGCAACGUCUGCACGAAAAAGACGGCAUGCCUCCAAAGCUGUAUGAAGGUCCUGCCAGCUACGCUCUUACCAAAGAAGAGAAGGAAAUCUUUUUUGAAUGCCUGCUCAGUAUGAAGGUCCCGUCUGGCUUCUCAUCGAAUAUAAAGGGAAUAAUAAAUAUGCCAGAGAAAAAGUUCCAGAACCUAAAGUCUCAUGACUGCCACGUGAUUAUGACGCAACUGCUUCCGGUUGCAUUGAGCGGGCUUCUACCGGAAAACGUCCGAUUAGCCAUUGUUUAGCUAUGUGCAUUCCUCAAUGCAAUCUCUCAGAAGGUGAUCGAUCCAGAAAUCAUACCAAGGCUAAGGAGUGAUGUGGCGCAAUGUCUUGUCAGUUUCGAGCUGGUGUUCCCACCAUCCUUCUUCAAUAUCAUGACGCACGUCCUAGUUUAUCUAGUCGACGAGAUUGUCAUUCCAGGCCCCGUAUUUCUAGACAAUAUGUUCCCCUUUGGGAGGUUCAUGGGAGUCCUAAAGAAAUAUGUCCCUAACCGCGCUAGGCCAGAAGGAAGCAUCUCCAUGGGCCAUCAAACAGAGGAUGUCAUUGGGUUUUGUGUUGACUUCAUUCCUGGCCUUAAGAAGAUUGGUCUCCCUAAAUCGUGGUAUGAGGGGAGACUGACUGGAAAAGGCACGCUUGGAGGGGACUCAAUAAUAUGCAGGGACAGGCAUUCUUGGUCUCAAGCACACUACACAAUUCUACAUAACUCUACCUUGGUGACCCCGUAUGUCGAUGAACACAAGAACAGUCUGCGCUCCAAACACCCGGAGCAGUGUGACGACUGGAUUACAUAUGAACACAUCAGGACUUUCGGCAGUUGGUUGGAAACACGUCUCAGAGGUGACAACACUGUUUGUGAUGAGCUGUACUCGUUGUCCAGGGGACCAUCUUCGAUUGUAUUGACUUACAAAGGAUACGAGAUAAAUGAGAAUACAUUUUACACGAUCGCCCAAGAUCAAAAUAGCACCAACCAAAACAGCGGUGUCCGCUUUGAUGCAGCAACCAAGAGGGGAAAGGACACAUAUUAUGGUUACAUAGUGGACAUAUGGGAACUUGACUACGGACAUGAUUUUAAGGUCCCUUUGUUUAAGUGCAAAUGGGUCAAUCUGUCAGGAGGGGGGGUACAGGUAGACCCAUAGUACGGAAUGACAACAGUGGAUCUGAACAAUCUUGGGUACACAGACGAACCGUUCGUCCUAGCCAAUGAUGUGGCGCAGGUUUUCUAUGUGAACGACAUGUCUACCAAACCGAGAAAAAGAAAAGAUAAGGAAGCGAACACAUCAUACGAUGAGCCAGAGCGCCACAUAGUUCUUUCAGAAAAAAGAGACAUCGUGGGAGUGGAGGGCAAGAUAGACAUGUCCGAAGAUUAUGAAAAGUUUCAUGAAAUUCCUCCCUUCAAAGUCAAGGCUGACCCAAGCACCCUGAUAAACGAUGAAGAUUAUCCAUGGUUACGGCGCAAUAAGCAAAGGACACAAGCCAAGAAAAAGUGAAGACUUUCUCUCCACAACUAUUAUGAUGAUGCCUUUGAUCUAGAAUAUCACUGCAGUUACAUGUGAAGAAAUGAAAUGCCUGUUGUAAUAGACAAAUUUCCGUAUGAAACCCUGAUACCUCGAAACAGAUAGUCCGUUUUGUACACGAAGUGCAUCCAGUUUUUGUCGUAACCCUCUCAACUUUUUAGCACAUGCUAUGUGGGUGAAAUGAUUAUGCCAUGCCAACUUUCAACCUUUUCAUAGUUCAUUUGAAAUGCUUUUCAAUUUCAGGGUCAUAUAGCUCAAAAAAUUCAGUAAUGCAUGAAAGAUAACAAAAUGAAGUCAGAAAGGGUUGAAAAUUGAUGAUGUGGCUUUGAAUGGUGCAUUUUGAACACACAAAAAGUCGGGAGUUCAUAUAAGUUCAAAAAAUGAAAUCCCUUUGUAACAGAUGAGUUUUCGUCCGAAACCCUGAUACUUCAAAAGAGAUUGUCCAUUUUGUACACGAAGUGCUUCCAGUUUUUGCCGUAACCCUCUCAACUUUUUAGCACAUGCUAUGUGGGUGAAAUGAUGAUACCAUGCCAACUUUCAACCUUUUCAGAGUUCAUUUGAAAUGCUUUUCAAUUUCAGGGUCUUAUAGCUCAAAAAAUCAGUAAAUGCAUGAAAAAUAACAAAUGAAGUCAGAAAGGGUUGAAAAUUUAUGAUGUUCCUUUGAAUGGUGCAUUUUGAACACACAAAAAGUCUGGAGUUCAAAUAAGUUCAAAAAGAGAGGCGCAAUGCUCACCUGCACGUUGCUUAGCUUCAGGCCUUGAGAAACUACACAUAGCUCCGUGCAUUCUACACCAUUUCAAGGCCUGAAGCUAAGCAACGUGUAGGUGAGCAUUGCGCCUCUCCUUGAUCGUCUUUGCACUUAGGGCUUAUAAACCGCUGCGAGUGCCUCUCGCUUGGCGAGGUGGGACUAAAAAUAGCUGCAGAAAGAAUCAACUAAAAAACUAUUAUCGGUUCAUGCCACCAACCGGUACUAAAGGUGCUCGUGGGGCCCCAGCCUUAGAACCGGUAAUAAAUGAAAUGCCUUUGUAACAGCCUUAGAACCGGUACUAAAGGAAUCAACUAAAAAGCUUUAUUGAAACUAAACUCAUAUAAAAUUUAUGCAACUAAAAUUAUCAAAGUAUUUUCUAUUCAAAACAUUAAAAGAAAAGAGAAUUUUCAUAAAAUAAAUAAAAAAGCAAUUUAAAAGGGUUACGGCAAAAAUAUAUGAAAAAGUAGGAAAAAACCGAAUGCACUUCGUGUACAAAACACAAUAAUAUUUGCAUACCCUCUCAACUUUUUGCAUACCUAAAAAUUACCAAAUUUAAUAUAAUGAUAAAACACAAUAAUAUUAAAUAGCAGGAAAAAGAAUCACUCAAAAAACUAUUUUUUUAGUAAAGUUAUUCACACACUAGUAAUUCACACUAAUUUAAAAGAAUUCAAAUUUAAACUAUUUAAAUUUGAAAAUUAAUGGCACUAACAGAAAGUCUAUAAUUUUUGUGACCUAAGAGCAAAAAGAAUUAAUAAAAUAAAGCAAAAAACAAAUGAAAAUAAAUAAUGCAAAAAAAUAAAAAAAAAUGCCACCUACUGGGCCACCACGGCUUGAAUACGACUAGAAACCCCAUUGGGCCAGGAUUCAGGCCCGCAGCAGGCCCACAGGCACACAGAGAAGUUUAGGCCAGAAGGCCUGCAAUAGUGAGGAGUUCGAAUGGGAUGGCACAUCAGCGCUUAUAAACAGGUGCCGGAGCUCCUCAUCUAGCGAGGUGGGACUAAACUUCCCACCGCACCGCGCCAGUACAAGGCUUUUGGUCCCGGUUGGUAGCACCAACCUGGACGAAAGGGGUGCUUUGGUCCCGGUUCGUGGUACCAACCGGGACCAAUGCCCCCCUUUUAGUCCCAGUUGGUGCCACCAACCGGGACCAAAGGCCUCUGCUUCCCGCCCUUUGGGCUGCUGAAGAGAGACCUUUGGUCCCAGUUGCUGGCAUGAACCGAGACCAAAGGGGCGCAUUCGUCCCGAUUUGUGCCACGAACCGGGACCAAUGCGCUGUGUAUAUAAGCAUGACUUGUAAUUUUUCCAGUUUCAUCGACCAUUUGCCCCCCGACGAGCCGAACUCAUCGACGCUGCCAGGCUACCCGUGCUCGUCGUCGCCGCUCCACGGUCGCCGUCGCCUUCGCCGCCCGCUCCUCGUCGCCGUCGCCCCGCGCCCUUGCCCUGCCCCGACGCGCCACCCCGGCCCGUGUCCCUGCCCCGACACGCCACCCCGGCCCGUGCGCCCCUGCGCGGACGCGNNNNNNNNNNNNNNNNNNNNNNNNNNNNNNNNNNNNNNNNNNNNNNNNNNNNNNNNNNNNNNNNNNNNNNNNNNNNNNNNNNNNNNNNNNNNNNNNNNNNNNNNNNNNNNNNNNNNNNNNNNNNNNNNNNNNNNNNNNNNNNNNNNNNNNNNNNNNNNNNNNNNNNNNNNNNNNNNNNNNNNNNNNNNNNNNNNNNNNNNNNNNNNNNNNNNNNNNNNNNNNNNNNNNNNNNNNNNNNNNNNNNNNNNNNNNNNNNNNNNNNNNNNNNNNNNNNNNNNNNNNNNNNNNNNNNNNNNNNNNNNNNNNNNNNNNNNNNNNNNNNNNNNNNNNNNNNNNNNNNNNNNNNNNNNNNNNNNNNNNNNNNNNNNNNNNNNNNNNNNNNNNNNNNNNNNNNNNNNNNNNNNNNNNNNNNGAUUAUAUGUCCUGUUUUUUUAGAUUUUUUAUUCAUAUAUAUGAUGAUUUUUUUUGCAUUUUUAUAAAAAUGUAUAUAUGUAUGUAUGUUCUCUGUGUAUAUAUGUUCAUACAUGCAAAAUUUAGAUUUUUAGAAAAGUUUUAUCUAUGUAUGUUAUCUGAUUUAGUAUAUUUUAGGUUAGUUUCAUUUUUAGAAAAGUUUUAUAUAUUUAGGAAGAAGGAUGAGAAGGAAGAAGGAAGAAGAAGAAAAAGUUUUAUAUAUGCAAAAGUUGCAUUUUUAGAAAAGUUUUAUAUAUCUAGCUAGGAAGAAGGAAGAAGGAAGAAGAAGAAGAAAAACUUUUAUAUCUGCAAAAGUUACAUUUUUUGAAAAGUUUUACCUAGGAAGAAGGAAGAAGGAAGAAGAGGAAGAAAAAGAAGGAGAGGAAAAAGGAAAAUAAGAAGAGGAAGAACGAGAAGAAGGAGAAGAAGAGGAGAAAUAAAUAAGAAGAGGAAAAAAGAAGAAAAAUUUCUAUUUUUUCUUCUUCUCCUCUAUUCCUUUCUACUUCUCCUCUUUUUUUCUUUUUUUUCUUCGAUCUUCUCCUCUAUUCCUUUCUUCUUCCUCCUCUUCUUAUUUUCUAUCGGGUAUGUCGUUGUCGAUAUACCCCUCCCCGAUAACUUCGACAUGAGGGGGGUCGAUAUACCCCCUCCUCGAUAACUUCGACAUGAGGGGGGGGAGGGGUCGCCGAGGGUUCGAGGGGUGAGGGUCGGGAACUGGGGUAGAGGGUUGAGGGUCAUCGAGGGGUCGAGGCUCGCCGAGGGUUCGAGGGUCGAGGGUUCAAGGGUUGUUGAGGGGUCGAGGGUGCGAGGGUCGAGGGUCGACGAGGGGUCGAGGGUCGAGGAUCGCCGAGGGGUCGAGAGGUUGCCUAGUGUCAGAGUAUUGAAGAAAUCCAUGCCUUCAUCAUUUUCCGGAAGUAACCAGGGCAUGUUGGUACGAAGUUCUGCAAAGUUGUUCUGGAACGGAGUUCCGGAUAGGUUAAUCCGCCUUUUGGUACGAAUUUCAGAAUAGGCCUUCCAAAUAGCGAUAUUCGGAAGACUCUUGCUGAACUUUGUACCAAAAACCGAAUUAUCCUAUCUAGGACUCCGUUCCAGAACAACUUUGAAGAGCUUCGUACCAUCAUGCGCCUGUUACUUUCGCCUAAUGAUGUAGACAUGGUUUUGUUGAAUCCUUUGACACUAGACAAACAUGACAUGAGGGGGUCGAGGGUCGGGAACUAGGGAAGAGGGUCGUGGAUCGCCGAGCGGUCGAGGGUCGAGGGUCGUCCAGGGGUCGAGGGUCCAGAUUUAUCAUGAAUGCCCCCAUUAUGGAUGUGGACAAGUUGAUCCAAUUUUUUCUGUAUAUAUAUAUAUAUAUAUAUAUAUAUAUAUAUAUAUAUAUAUAUAUAUAUAUNNNNNNNNNNNNNNNNNNNNNNNNNNNNNNNNNNNNNNNNNNNNNNNNNNNNNNNNNNNNNNNNNNNNNNNNNNNNNNNNNNNNNNNNNNNNNNNNNNNNNNNNNNNNNNNNNNNNNNNNNNNNNNNNNNNNNNNNNNNNNNNNNNNNNNNNNNNNNNNNNNNUUCUAUAUGUCACGUUGUCUGUCAAAGUAUUGAAGAAAUCCAUGGCUUCAUCAUUAACUAAAAGUAACAGGCAUAUGAGGCGGUCCGGCCCAAACCCUAGAAGCGCUGUCGAGGCCACGAAAAUUUACCAGGUUAAAAGAGCGUUGUCGUCGAGGCCACCCGAACCCUAGAAGCGUUGUCGAGGCCACCCCAAACCCUAGAGAAGCGUCGAGGCCACUAAUAUGAUUCCUUGUUGUGAUUAGCUACCUAGGUCUAUGUUUGCCACUAAUAUAUCCAUUACAUGUUUUGUAUAUUAAUUGCAAUGUUGUAAUAUGAUACGUCUCCAACGUAUCUAUAAUUUUUGAUUGUUCCAUGCUAUUAUAUUAUCUAUUUUGGAUGUUCAAUGGGCUUUAAUAUGCUCUUUUAUAUUAUUUUUGGGACUAACCUAUUAACCGAAGACCCAGUGCCAGUUUCUGUUUUUUUUGCCUAUUUCAGUGUUUUGUAGAAAAGGAAUACCAAACGGAUUCCAAACGGAAUGAAACCUUCGUGAUGAUCUUUCUUGGAACAAACGCAAUCCAGAAGACUUGGAGUUGAAGUCUGGAACUCCGCGAGGCGGCCACGAGGCAGGAGGGCGCGCCCAGAGGGGUAGGCGCGCCCCACCCUCGUGGGCCCCAUGGAGCUCCACCGACGUACUUCUUUCGCCUAUAUAUACUCUUAUACCCUAAAAACAUCAGGGGGCCACGAAACCACUUUUCCGCCGCCGCAACCUUCUGUCCCCGUGAGAUCCCAUCUUGGGGCCUUUUCCGGUGAUCUGCCGGAGGGGGAAUCGAUCACGGAGAGCAUCUACAUCAACACCAUAGCCUCUCCGAUGAUGUGUGAGUAUUUUACCAGAGACCUUCGGGUCCAUAGUUAUUAGCUAGAUGGCUUCUUCUCUCUCUUUCGUUCUCAAUACAAAGUUCUCCUCGAUGUUCUUGGAGAUCUAUUCGAUGUAAUACUCUUUUGCCGUGUGUUUGCCAAGAUCCGAUGAAUUGUGGAUUUAUGAUCAAGAUUAUCUAUGAAUAAUAUUUGCUUCUUCUCUGAAUUCUUAUAUGCAUGAUUUGAUAUCUUUGCAAAUCUCUUCGAAUUAUCGAUUUAGUUUGGCCUACUAGAUUGAUCUUUCUUGCAAUGGGAGAAGUGCUUAGCUUUGGGUUCAAUCUUGCGGUGUCCUUUCCCAGUGACAUUAGGGGCAACAAGGCACGUAUUGUAUUGUUGCCAUCGAGGAUAAAAAGAUGGGUUUUAUAUCAUAUUGCUUGAUUUUAUCCCUCUACAUCAUGUCAUCUUGCUUAAUGCGUUACUCUAUUCUUAUGAACAUAAUACUCUAGAUGCAUGCUGGAUAGCGGUCGAUGUGUGGAGUAACAGUAUUUGAUGCAGAAUCAUUUCGGUCUACUUGACACGGACGUGAUGCCUAUAUUCAUGAUCAUUGCCUAGAUAUUCUCAUAACUAUGCGCUUUUCUAUCAAUUGAACGGCGGUCAUUUGUUCACCCACCAUAAUAUAUGCUAUCUUGAGAGAAGCCACUAGUGAAACCUAUGGCCCCCGGGUCUCUUUCUUAUUAUAUUACAUCUCUUUUAUUUACAUCAAAUCUCUUUUUACUAUUUUGCAAUCUUUACUUUCAAAUUUAUACAACAAAAAUACCAAAAAUAUUUAUCUUACUAUCUUUAUUAGAUCUCACUAUUGCGAGUGACCGUGAAGGUAUUGACAACCCCUUUAUCGCGUUGGUUGCAAGUUCUUGAUUGUUUGUGCAGGUACUAGGUGACUUGCAUGUUAUCUCCUACUGGAUUGAUACCUUGGUUCUCAAAAACUGAGGGAAAUACUUAUGCUACUUUGCUGCAUCACCCUUUCCUCUUCAAGGGAAAACCAACGCAUGCUCAAGAGGUAGCAAGAAGGAUUUAUGGCACCGUUGUUGGGGAGGUUUACGCCAAGUGAAGUCAAGAUUUGAUCUCCCGUCAACUUGCCAAUUUCUGGCGCCAUUGCCGGGGAGGUUUACGCCAAGUCAAGUCAAGAUUUGAUCUCCCGUCAACUUGCCAAUUUCUGGCGCCGAUGCCGGGGAGAUCUACGCUCAAGUCAAGACAUCCCAAGUACCCAUCAUAAACUCUUCUCCCUCGCAUUAAAUCAUAAAAUAUUUUCGAAAACCUUUGCCUUUUCUUCGCCCCUUUUCCAUUCGCCUCUUUUCUGUUCGCCUGCUUCUUGUGUCCUUGGGUGUUUGUGUGCCUGUUUUCUCUGAUGGCUUUACCAAAAAGCGUUGAUCCUCAUCUUAGAAGGUUGGAAGAAAUUGAAAACAACGUUUGAAGCUUUAUGUCUUUGCAGUUUGAGCAUAAUAAUUUCUUCAGAAAUGAGCUCAAAGAACAAAAAAGUUUUAUGGAGUACAUGAAUAAAGAGCUUGAUGAUAUGUCUAAGGAAUUUUAUGGUUUAAAAUCUCAGUUGGCUCAUCUUGAAAAUUUAGUAGGCCAAAUUUCGGAUAAGCAGGCCACCUUAGUUAAUAAGAUGGCCGCUAAACCAGAAGAUCUAGAUAAUAAUAAAGAUGAAGAUCUAAAAGUAAUUGAUGUGACUCCUAUUAAAUCUUUGUUUUCCAAUAUGAAUCUUGAUAAAGAAGGGGCUGGAGAUGAUUCAACUUUAGUUAAAACGCCUCCCAAUGAUUCAUAGUUUUUAGAUCUUAAUGCUAAAAUUAAUAAAAGUGGGAUUGAAUAGGUCAAAACUUUACAUAGCAAUGAACCCACUAUUUUGGAUUUCAAGAAAUUUAAUUAUGAUAAUUGCUCUUUGAUAGAUUGUAUUUCCUUGUUGCAAUCCGUGUUGAAUUCUCCUCAUGCCUAUAGUCGAAAUAAAGCUUUCACUAAACAUAUCGUUGAUGCUUUAAUGCAAUCCUAUGAAGAAAAGCUUGAGCUAGAAGUUUCUAUCCCUAGAAAACUUUAUGAUGAGUGGGAACCUACUAUUAAAAUUAAGAUUAAAGAUUAUGAAUGCUAUGCUUUGUGUGAUAUGGAUGCUAGUGUUUCCUCGAUUCCAAAAAAUUUGUGUGAUGUCUUAGGUUUCCGUGAAUUUGAUGAUUGUUCUUUAAAUUUGCAUCUUGCAGAUUCCACCAUUAAGAAACCUAUGGGAAGGAUUAAUGAUGUUCUUAUUGUUGCAAAUAGGAAUUAUGUGCCCAUAGAUUUCAUUGUUCUUGAUAUAGAUUGCAAUCCUACAUGUCCUAUUAUUCUUGGUAGAGCUUUCCUUAGAACGAUUGGUGCAAUUAUUUACAUGAUAGAAGGAAAUAUUAGAUUCCAAUUUCUGUUAAGGAAAGGCAUGGAACACUUUCCUGGAAAGAAAAUUAAAUUGCCUUAUGAAUCAAUUAUGAGAGCCACUUAUGGAUUGCAUACCAAAGAUGACAAUACCUAUAUCUAUUCUUGUUUUCAUGCCUAGCUAGGGGCGUUAAACGAUAGCGUUUGUUGGGAGGCAACCCAAUUUUAUUUUUGUUCUUUGCUUUUUGUUCCUGUUUAGUAAUAAAUAAUUCAUCUAGCCUCUGUUUAGAUGUGGUUGUAUGUUUUAAUUAGUGGUUGUGCCAAGUAGAACCUUUGGGAAGACUUGGGUGAAGUCUUUGCAAUCUUGCUAUAAAAACAGAAAAUUUUGCACUCACAAGAUUAGAUGCCAUUUUUUACUAGAGAAUUUUUUUAGGUUGAUUCCUUUUGCAGAUGAUUAAUAGACAAAUGCCUCACGUCCACCAAUUCAUUUCAGAAUUGUUGGAGUUCCAGAAGUAUUCGUUUGAUACAGAUUGCUACGGACUGUUCUGUUUUGACAGAUUCUGUUUUUCAUGUGUUGUUUGCUUAUUUUGAUGAAUCUAUGAGUAGUAUCGGGGGGUAUGAAACAAAAAUAAGUUGGAAUACAGUAGGUUUAACACCAAUACAAAUAAAGAAUGAGUUCAUUACAGUACCUUAAAGUGAUGGUUUGUUUUCUUAUACUAACGGAGCUCAUGAGAUUUUCUGUUAAGUUUUGUGUUGUGAAGUUUUCAAGUUUUUGGGUAAAGAUUUGAUGAAUUUUGGAAGAAGGAGUGGCAAGAGCCUAAGCUUGGCGAUGCCCAAGGAACCCCAAGGUAAAAUUCAAGGACAGCCAAAAGCCUAAGCUUGGGGAUGCGCUGGAAGGCAUCCCCUUUUUCGUCUUCGUCUAUCGGUAACUUUACUUGAGGCUAUAUUUUUAUUCACCACAUGAUAUGUGUUUUGCUUGUAGCGUCUUGUAUGAUUUCAGUCUUUGCUUUUUAGUUUACCACAAUCAUCCUUGCUGUACACACCUUUUGGAGAGACACACAUGAAUCAGAAUUUAUUAGAAUACUCUAUGUGCUUCACUUAUAUCUUUUGAGCUAGAUAAUUUUGCUCUAGUGCUUCACUUAUAUCUUUUUAGAGCACGGUGGUGGUUUUAUUUUAUAGAAAUUAUUGAUCUCUCAUGCUUCACUUAUAUUAUUUUGAGAGUCUUUUAGAACAGCAUGGUAAUUUGCUUUGGCUAUAAAAUUAGUCCUAAUAUGAUGAGCAUCCAAGAUGGGUAUAGUAAAAACUAUCAUAUAAAGUGCAUUGAAUACUAUGAGAAGUUUGAUUCCUUAUGAUUGUUUUGAGAUAUGAAGAUGGUGAUAUUAGAGUCAUGCUAGUUGACUAGUUGUGAAUUUGAGAGAUACUUGUGUUAAGGUAUGUGAUUCCCGUAGCAUGCACGUAUGGUGAACCGUUAUGUGCUGAAGUCGGAGCAUGAUUUAUUUAUUGAUUGUCUUCCUUAUGAGUGGCGGUCGGGGACGAGCGAUGGUCUUUUCCUACCAUUCUAUCCCGCUAGGAGCAUGCGUGUAGUACUUCGUUUCGAUAACUAAUAGAUUUUUGCAAUAAGUACGUGAGUUCUUUAUGACUAAUGUUGAGUCCAUGGUUUAUACGCACUCUCACCUUCCACCAUUGCUAGCCUCUCUAAUACCGUGCACCUUUCACCGGUAUCAUACACCCACCAUAUACCUUCCUCAAAACAGCCACCAUACCUACCUAUUAUGGCAUUUCCACAGCCAUUCCGAGAUAUAUUGCCAUGCAACUUUCCACCGUUCCGUUUAUUAUGACACGCGUCAUCAUUGUCAUAUUGCUUUGCAUGAUCAUGUAGUUGACAUCGUAUUUGUGGCAAAGCCACCGUUCAUGAUUUUCAUACAUGUCACUCUUGAUUCAUUGCACAUCCCGGUACACCGCCGGAGGCAUUCACAUAGAGUCAUAUUUUGUUCUAAGUAUUGAGUUGUAAUUCUGAGUUGUAAGUAAAUAAAAGUGUGAUGAUCAUCAUUAUUAGAGCAUUGUCCCAGUGAGAAAAUGAUGACGGAGACUAUGAUUCCCCCACAAGUCGGGAUGAGACUCCGGACGAAAAAAAGAGGCCAUAAAAAAGAGAAAGGCCCAAAUAAAAAAAAUUGAGAGAAAAAGAGAGCAGGGACAAUGCUACUAUCCUUUUACCACACUUGUGCUUCAAAGCAGCACCAUGAUCUUCAUGAUAGAGAGUCUCCUAUGUUGUCACUUUUAUACUAGAGGGAAUUUUACAUUAUAGAACUUGGCUUGUAUAUUCCAAUGGUGGGCUUCCUCAAAUUGCCCUUGGUCUUCGUGAGCAAGCAAGUUGCAUGCACACCACAUAGUUUCUUUUGUUGAGCUUUCAUACACUUAUAGCUCUGGUGCAUCCGUUGCAUGGCAAUCCCUACUCACUCACAUUGAUAUCUAUUGAUGGGAAUCUCCAUAGCCCGUUGAUACGCCUAGUUGAUGUGAGACUAUCUUCUCCUUUUUGUCUUCUCCACAACCACCAUUCUAUUCCACCUAUAGUGCUAUGUCCAUGGCUCACGCUCAUGUAUUGCGUGAAGAUUGAAAAAGUUUGAGAACAUCAAAAGUAUGAAACAACUGCUUGGCUUGUCAUCGGGGUUGUGCAUGAUUUAAAUAUUUUGUGUGAUGAAGAUAGAGCAUAGCCAGACUAUAUGAUUUUGUAGGGAUAACUUUCUUUGGCCAUGUUAUUUUGAGAAGACAUGAUUGCUUUAUUAGUAUGCUUGAAGUAUUAUUGUUUUUAUGUCAAUAUUAAACUUUUGUCUUGAAUCUUAUGGAUCUGAAUAUUCAUGCCACAAUAAAGAGAAUUACAUUGAAAAUUAUGUUAGGUAGCAUUCCACAUCAAAAAUUAUGUUUUUAUCAUUUACCUACUCGAGGACGAGCAGGAAUUAAGCUUGGGGAUGCUUGAUACGUCUCCAACGUAUCUAUAAUUUUUGAUUGUUCAAUGCUAUUAUAUUAUUUGUUUUGGAUGUUUAAUGGGCUUUAAUAUGCUCUUUUAUAUUAUUUUUGGGACGAACCUAUUAACCGAAGGCCCAAUGCCAGUUUUUGUUUUUUUGCCUAUUUCAGUGUUCUGCAAAAAAGGAAUACCAAACGGAAUCCAAACGGAAUGAAACCUUCGCGAUGAUCUUUCUUGGAACAAAUGCAAUCCAGAAGACUUGGAGUUGAAGUCUGGAACUCCGCGAGGAGGCCACGAGGCAGGAGGGCGCGCACAGGGGGGUAGGCGCGCCCCCACCCUCAUGGGCCCCACGGAGCUCCACCGAUGUACUUCUUUUGCCUAUAUAUACUCUUAUACCCUAAAAACAUCAGGGGGAGCCACGAAACCACUUUUCCACCGUCGCAACCUUCUGUACCCGUGAGAUCCCAUCUUGGGGCCUUUUUCGGCGAUCUUCCAGAGCGGGAAUCGAUCACGGAGGGCUUCUACAUCAACACCAUAGCCUCUCAGAUGAUGUGUGAGUAGUUUACCACAGACCUUCCGGUCCAUGGUUAUUAGCUAGAUGGCUUCUUCUCUCUCUUUGGUUCUCAAUACAAAGUUCUCAUCGAUGUUCUUGGAGAUCUAUUCGAUGUAAUACUCUUUUGCGGUGUGUUUGCCGAGAUCUGAUGAAUUGUGGAUUUAUGAUCAAGUUUAUCUAUGAAUAAUAUUUGGUUCUUCUCUAAAUUCUUAUAUGCACGAUUUGAUAUCUUUGCAAAUCUCUUCGAAUUAUCGGUUUAGUUUGGCCUACUAGAUUGAUCUUUCUUGCAAUGGGAGAAGUGCUUAGCUUCGGGUUCAAUCUUGCGGUGUCCUUUUCAAGUGACAGUAGGGGCAGCAAGGAACGUAUUGUAUUGUUGCCAUCGAGGAUAAAAAGAUGGGGUUUAUAUCAUAUUGCUUGAGCUUAUCCCUCUACAUCAUGUCAUCUUGGUUAAUGCGUUACUCUGUUCUUAUGAACUUAACUAGCAGGGUGACCCGCGCAUUUGCGCGGCUAGAUUAUAUACAUGUUCAAUGGACACAGUUGUCUCAAAUUUUGACAAUUUUGACACGCUUUCGAAUGCACAACUUUGCUUAUUAUUUAUAUAUGAAUAUGGUUGUCUUUUAUCCACCAAUUAGAAUGUCUGAUAUAAUUUAUAUUCUUAAAUUAGAUAUAUAUUGUCAAUGUAUGCAUUUGUGGGGGAAAUGUGCUUCUUUUCUUUUUAUUGCAUUGAAAAUUAUAUGUAAAGAUAAAUGUAUUAAGCAUGCAUGUAAUAAUUAGUACUCCUGCCGUUCCUAAAUAUUUGUCUUUUUAGAGAUUUCAAAUGGACUACCAUAUACGGAUGUAUAUAGACAUAUUUUAGAGUGUAGAUUCACUCAUUUUGCUCCGUAUGUAGUCACUUGUUGAAAUCUCUUGAAAGACAANNNNNNNNNNNNNNNNNNNNNNNNNNNNNNNNNNNNNNNNNNNNNNNNNNNNNNNNNNNNNNNNNNNNNNNNNNNNNNNNNNNNNNNNNNNNNNNNNNNNNNNNNNNNNNNNNNNNNNNNNNNNNNNNNNNNNNNNNNNNNNNNNNNNNNNNNNNNNNNNNNNNNNNNNNNNNNNNNNNNNNNNNNNNNNNNNNNNNNNNNNNNNNNNNNNNNNNNNNNNNNNNNNNNNNNNNNNNNNNNNNNNNNNNNNNNNNNNNNNNNNNNNNNNNNNNNNNNNNNNNNNNNNNNNNNNNNNNNNNNNNNNNNNNNNNNNNNNNNNNNNNNNNNNNNNNNNNNNNNNNNNNNNNNNNNNNNNNNNNNNNNNNNNNNNNNNNNNNNNNNNNNNNNNNNNNNNNNNNNNNNNNNNNNNNNNNNNNNNNNNNNNACGAAAGUUUCAGAACUCCUUUCCAUAUGAAUAUUCUUGGAUAAAAUUUUAAAUGGUAAUAGUUUGCAAAAUCGUAUGCGAGGACAAUAAUGAUAUAAUUGCUAAUGUUAUAUAUGUUUGGGCACAACCAAUCAUUUCAUUCUAGGCGUUUGUGAUUCUUUGUCGACAUCACCCUGCAAAAGAAGGUGUUUUUUAUCGAUGGGUAGUCGGACAACAAUAACACGUGGGUAUGUUACCUUGUAAAUAUCUUCUUCACAAUUUUUAACCCAGAAUUGGACAAUAAUAAUUUUCUUCUAUGUUGACUAAUUACUAUCAUCCGCAAUGCAUACACACAUCGUGUAUGUAAUUAUGAUACCCAGAAUUGCCAAUUCAAACACUAAAUAUAUAUUCCCCAAAAAUGAACACUAAAUAUAUGUUUCUUUCUCUAGUUCGUUUUUCUUUACAUAUUUCUUUUUUUGCUGAUGUGUUCAGGUUUCAGCCAUCAUACAAAAUACAAAAAUAUUGGGACGGGACACUAUUUUUAUUCGUGCCAGCUCAAACCAAAUACCUUUCUUAAUAACAGUGCAAAACAAAUACUUACUCCUACAUAUAUCUGUGCUAUGUAUCUAGAAGGGAGUUAUUACUCACGUAUUGGAACCAAACUCUGAUUCUUUUUUUCUCUCUCUUUGAAACAUUACAGUACGGAUUCACUAUUUUCAUCAUGUAUACGUGACCAAUUUUAUUAACACAUGUACACAUGACGUGCACAAUGCAGUCUGGCCUGUUUGAACCUAUGGCCUCCGGGUCUCUUUCUUAUUAUAUUGCAUCUCUUUUAUUUACAUCACAUCUCGUUUUACUAUUUUGCAAUCUUUACUUUCAAAUUUAUUCAACGAAAAUACCAAAAAUAUCUAUCUUACUAUCUUUAUUAGAUCUCACUUUUGCGAGUGACCGUGAAGGGAUUGACGGCCCAUUUAUCGCGUUGGUUGCAAGGUUCUUGAUUGUUUGUGCAGGUACUAGGUGACUUGCGUGUUAUCUCCUACUGGAUUGAUACCUUCGUUCUAAAAAACUGAGGAAAAUACUUACGCUACUUCGCUGCAUCACCCUUUCCUCUUCAAGGGAAAACCAACGCAUGCUCAAGUGGUAGCAUAAUAUUUGCAGAAACUAUGGAGCACCGAGACUUGGAAGAAGAACACGUGUUGGGGGACAUAAUCCUCGCCGGAGGUGAUGUCAUGUCGUAUCUCAACGACACCGAUGGUCUGGAAGGAGAGGGUGAAGCAGGCUACGGUGAUCGAACAAUGGAGGAGGAAGGACAUGAUUAUGAUGGCUCCGGUGACCGAAUGCCGGUGGAAGAAGGACACCGUGAUGACGGCUCCGGCAACCGAACGGAAUCCGGCCAGGUAUAUAUAUAUUAAUUAAGUCUAUGCUGACUAUAGCUAAUUGAUGCAUUAAUCGUUUUGAUAUGUACACAUAUUAACUCUCUUCUUUCUUCUUUUCUAGCCCUCCGGAUCGAGCUAAACUUCGGUAACGAGACGAGGCCUGAAGAAAAAGUUGCGCCAGGAUGAAAGGUUCACGAUCAUAGAAAUCGCACGCGAUGGCCAACCGAUUGCACCCGUCCGGACUAAGGAAGCAUUUUCUGCUCAGUGCGGGGUUCUUGUUAGGGACAUGAUCCCGAUCAGCAUCCACCAAUGGUACAAGCCUAAGAACGAAGACCCUGAGGUGUCUUGUGUCAACGAUAGGCAGAAAGAUGAUCUUUGGACCACGCUGAAGGCAAAUUUCACCCUACCGCCAGAGGAGGAUCCGGAGAAGCCUGCUAUUAUAGAGCCAUUGGUCAAGGCUCAUGCUCUUAAGAAGAUGGCAGAUCUAUUCAGGAGGUGGAAGAACGAGCUAAAAACAACGUUUGUCGACAAAGACAAGACUCCAUAACUCACCGGCCGGUUUGAGAAGAUCAGAGAUCACUGGGAUGCAUUUGUGGCCCACGAGACAUCAGACAAGAGUAAGAAGAUGUCAGCGACAAACAAGAAAAAUGCUGUGAAGAAGGAGCAUCACCAUCGCACGGGGUCAGGUGGCAACCUCAAAGCCCGGCCGUUGCGGGAGAAGGCUGAGAAUGACCUGCUUGAUGAAGGGGUCGAACCAGAGACAUUGAACUGGCCAGACCGUUCAAGGACUUGGUUCUUCGGGGUUGGGGGAACCUUGGACCCUCAAACAGGAAAGUGCGUUUGGACGAAUGAGCAAAUGCGAAUACCCGUCACGAAGCUUCAGGAGUAUAUCGCCGCAGCACAGCAAGGGACGUUCGUUCCCGAUAGAGAGAACGACGAGCUCACAAUGGCCCUCGGGAAUCCUGAGCACCAUGGACGGACACGAGGCACGCCAGGAUCCGUUUCGAGGAAGGCCGGGUUUCCCGACGCAGGCGGUUACAAAGGCCGGGAGAGGAGGAGGAAAGUGGAGCAGACCCAACUGCAGGAGCUGCAUGCAAGGGUACAAGCACUUGAGGAACGAGAAGCAGUUCACAGCAAGCGAUCUGCCGAAGCUACCCUUGAAGCUACCCCACCAUCUCAGUGGAGAAGCAGCGUGGCUUCCACGGCUCCUGCUCUGUUGCACCUCCUGAACCCGGCGCAACUUUUCACUGCCGUCCGAUUCCAGAAGGAUAUGCUGCUGUGAUGGUGGAUGAAAUAACGGAGGGAUUUGAGGAGCUCGAGCUUGACCACCCUACCGGCGAAGGGGAGACUCGGCUGAGUUCUUCUCUGAAGACUCCAUGUCUAUGCCGUAAGGAGCUCAUCAACCUUCCGAACUGGACGCCUCCGCCUCCUCCUCCUCCUCCUCCUUCGGAGGGCACUCCGCCUCCUCCUCCGGUGAGUGAUCAGGGCACUCCGCUUCCUUCUCCAGCGCGAGGCGGCACUCCUCCUCCUUCUCCGCCUAUGCCGGCGCAUCCGAACAGCCCGGCUCCUCCUCCGCCUUGUCAGCAAGGGUGGAAAAUAGCCGCCGCCGCUCUGGCUGCUCCGGCGGUAGCAGUCCGCCUCCUUCUCCGCCUCAUAAGCAACAAAGGAAGCCAGCCGUCGCCGCUCCGGCGUCUAGCAGUACAGCCAGAGGCGGGCGGCAAUACAGAUUCGGUCCAUCUCUCAAGCCUCUAGAGAAGUUACCAUACGAGAGGACCGUGGAGGAAAACAAGGAGAUCUGUCAAUCCUAUGUGAAGAACUUCUUUGAAACGCAAAGAGCUAAGUGAUACGUCCAUUUUGCAUCAUGCUUUUAUAUCGAUAUUUAUUGCAUUAUGGGCUGUUAUUGCACAUUAUGUCACAAACAUUAUGCCUAUUCUCUCUUAUUUUAUAAGGUUUACAUAAAGAGGGAGAAUGCCGGCAGCUGGAAUUCUGGGCUAGAAAAGGAGCAAAUAUUAGAGACCUAUUCUGCACAACUCCAAAAGUCCUGAAACUCCACGGAAGUUAUUUUUGGAAAUUAUAAAAAAUACUGAGCAAAGAAAAUACCAGAGGGGGCCCACACCCUGGCCACGAGGGUGGGGGCACGCCCUACCCCCCUGGGCGCGCCCCUGCCUCGUGGGCCCCCUGGUGGUCCUCCGGUGCCCAUCUUUUGCUAUAUGAAGUCUUUUGUCUAAGAAAAAAUCAUAAGCAAGCUUUCGGGACGAGACUCCGCCGUCACGAGGCGGAACCUUGGCGGAACCAAUCUAGGGCUCUGGCGGAGCUGUUCUGCCGGGGACACUUCCCUCCGGGAGGGCAAAAUCAUCGCCAUUGUCAUCACCAACGCUCCUCUCAUCGAGAGGGGCCAAUCUCCAUCAACAUCUUCACCAGCACCAUCUCCUCCAAAACCCUAGUUCAUCUCUUGUAUCCAAUCUUUGUCUCAUAGUCUGGGAUUGGUACUUGUAGGUUGCUAGUAGUGUUGAUUACUCCUUGUAGUUGAUGCUAGUUGGUUUAUUUGGUGGAAGAUCAUAUGUUCAGAUCCAUUAUGCAUAUUAAUACCCCUCUGAUUAUGAACAUGAAUAUUCUUUGUGAGUAGUUACAUUUGUUCCUAAGGACAUGGGAGAAGUCUUGCUAUUAGUAGUCAUGUGAAUUUGCUAUUCGUUCAAUAUUUUGAUGAGAUGUAUGUUGUCUCUCCUCUAGUGGUGUUAUGUGAACGUCGACUACAUGACACUUCACCAUUGUUUGGGCCUAGAGGAAGGCAUUGGGAAGUAAUAAGUAGAUGAUGGGUUGCUAUAGUGACAGAAGCUUAAACCCUAGUUUAUGCGUUGCUUCGUAAGGGGCUGAUUUGGAUCCAUAUGUUUCAUGCUAUGGUUAGGUUUACCUUAAUACAUCUUUUGUAGUUGCGGAUGCUUGCAUUAGGAGUUAAUCAUAAGUGGGAUGCUUGUCCAAGUAAGGACAGCACCCAAGCACCGGUCCACCCACAUAUCAAAUUAUCAAAGUAACGAACGCGAGUCAUAUGAACGUGAUGAAAACUAGCUUGACGAUAAUUCCCAUGUGUCCUCGGGAGCGCUUUUCUCUAUAUAAGAGUUUGUUCAGGCUUGUCCUUUGCUACAAAAAGGACUAGGCCAUCUUGUUGCACCUUAUUUACUUUAGUUACUUGUUACAUUUUACAUAUUACCUUAUCACAAAACUAUCUGUUACCAAUAAUUUCAGUGCUUGCAGAUAAUACCUUACUGAAAACCGCUUGUCAUUUCCUUCUGCUCCUCGUUGGGUUCGACACUCUUACUUAUCGAAAGGACUAUGAUAGAUCCCCUAUACUUGUGGGUCAUCAAGACUCCUUUCUGGCGCCAUUGCCGGGGAGUGAAGCGCCUUUGGUAGGUGGAAUUUGGUAAGGAAAAUUUUAUAUAGUGUGCUGAAAUUUACUGUCACUUGUUAUUAUGGAAAGUAAUCCUUUGAGGGGCUUGUUCGGGGUACCUUCACCUCGAACUGUAUAGCAAAGAGUUGCUCCUCAACCUACUGAACCUACUGAAAAUGAAAAUGUUUACUUUGAAAUUCCUUCGGGUAUGAUAGAGAAACUGCUAGCUAAUCCUUUUGCAGGAGAUGGAACAUUGCAUCCUGAUUUACACUUAAUCUAUGUGGAUGAAGUUUGUGGAUUAUUUAAGCUUGCAUGUAUGCCCGAUGAUGUUAUCAAGAAGAAGGUCUUCCCUUUAUCUUUGAAGGGAGAUGCAUUGACAUGGUAUAGGCUAUGUGAUGAUAUGGGAUCAUGGGACUACAAACGGUUGAAAUUGGAAUUCCAUCAGAAGUUUUAUCCUAUGCAUCUUGUUCAUCGUGAUCGUAAUUAUAUAUAUAUAUAUAUAAUUUUUGGCCUCGCGAAGGAGAAAGCAUCGCUCAAGCUUGGGGGAGGCUUAAGUCAAUGUUAUAUUCAUGCCCCAAUCAUGAGCUAUCAAGAGAAAUGAUUAUUCAAAAAAAUUAUGCUCGGCUUUCUAACAAUAAUCGCUCCAUGCUCGAUACUUCUUGUACUGGUUCUUUUAUGAUGAAGACUAUGGAAUUCAAAUGGGAUUUAUUGGAAAGAAUUAAACGCAACUUUGAAGAUUGGGAUCUCGACGAAGGUAAGGAGUCAGGUAUAACACCUAAGUUUGAUUGUGUUAAAUCUUUUAUCGAUACCGAUGUUUUCCGUAAAUUAGCACUAAAUAUGGACUUGACUCUGAGAUAGUAGCUUCUUUUUGUGAAUCUUUUGCUGCUCAUGUUGAUCUCCCUAAGGAGAAGUGGUUUAAAUAUAAUCCUCCCGUUGAAGUAAAAGUAGUUGCACCUAUUAAAUUUGAAGAAAAGACUAUCACUUAUAAUGAUCCUAUUGUUCCUACUGCUUAUGUUGAGAAACCACCUUUUCCUGUUAGGAUAAAGGAUCAUGCUAAAGUUUCAAUUAUGGUUCGUAAAAGAAAUAUUAGAACUCAUACACCCCCUGAGCAAGUUAAAGUUGAACCUAAUAUUGCUAUGGUUAAGGAUCUAUUGGCUGAUAAUAUUGAUGGGCAUGUUAUUUAUUUCUGUGAGGAAACUGCUAGAAUUGCUAAACCUGGUGCUAAAGAUAAACAUAGACCUAUGGUAGGCAUGCCUGUUAUUUCUGUUAAAAUAGGAGAUCAUUGUUAUCAUGGCUUGUGCGAUAUGGGUGCUAGUGCUAGUGCAAUACCUAUUUCCUUAUACAAAGAAAUUAUGCAUGAUAUUGCACCUGCUGAGAUAUAAGAUAUAGAUGUUACAAUUAAACUUGCCAAUAGAGAUAGUAUUUCACCGAUUGGGAUUGUUAGAGAUGUUGAAGUCUUGUGCGGGAAAGCUAAAUAUCCUGCUGAUUUUCUUGUUCUUGGUUCCCCACAAGAUAGCUUUUGUCCCAUUAUAUUUGGUAGACCCUUCUUGAAUACUAUUAAUGCUAAGAUAGACUGCGAAAAGGAUGUUGUUACUAUUGGUUUGGAUGAUAUGUCUCAUGAGUUUAAUUUUUCUAAAUUUCGUAGACAACCUCGUGACGAGGAAUUGCCUAGUAAAGAUGAAAUUAUUGGUCUUUCUUCUAUUGCCGUACCUCCUAGUGAUCCUUUAGAACAAUAUUUGCUAGACCAUGAAAAUGAUAUGUUUAUGAAUGAGAGAAGGGAAUAGAUGAAGUAUUCUUUAAAUAGGGACCUAUUCUGAAACACAACUUGCCUGUUGAAAUCCUAGGGGGUCCUCCUCCACCCAAGGGUGAUCCCGUGUUUGAGCUUAAACCAUUGCCUGAUACUCUUAAAUAUGCUUAUCUUGAUGAAAAGAAGAUAUAUCCUAUUAUUAUUAGUGCUAACCUUUCAGAGCAUGAAGAAGAGAAAUUAUUGAAAACUCUAAAGAAGCACCGUGCUGCUAUUGGAUAUACUCUUGAUGAUCUUAAGGGCAUUAGUCCCACUCUAUGCCAACACAAAAUAAAUUUGGAGAAAGAUGCCAAACCAGUUAUUGAUCAUCAACGACGGCUGAAUCCUAAGAUGAAAGAAGUGGUAAGAAAGGAAAUACUAAAGCUCCUUGAGGCAGGUAUAAUCUAUCCCGUUGCUGAUAGUCAGUGGGUAAGUCCUGUCCAUUGUGUCCCUAAGAAAGGAGGUAUUAUUGUCGUUCCUAAUGAUAAAGAUGAAUUGAUUCCGCAAAGAAUUAUUACAGGUUAUAGGAUGGUAAUUGAUUUCCGCAAAUUAAAUAAGGCUACUAAAAAGGAUCAUUACCCCUUACCUUUUAUUGAUCAAAUGCUAGAAAGAUUAUCCAAACAUACACAUUUUUGCUUUCUAGAUGGUUACUCUGGUUUCUCUCAAAUACCUGUGUCAGCUAAUGAUCAAGCAAAGACCACUUUUACUUGCCCUUUUGGUACUUUUGCUUAUAGACGUAUGCCUUUUGGUUUAUGUAAUGCACCUGCUACAUUUCAAAGAUGCGUGAUGGCUAUAUUCUCUGACUUUUGUGAAAAGAUUUGUGAGGUUUUCAUGGACGAUUUCUCCGUUUAUGGAUCCUCUUUUGAUGAUUGCUUGAGCAACCUUGAUCGAGUUUUCCAGAGAUGUGAAGAAACUAAUCUUGUCUUGAAUUGGAAGCAAUGCCACUUUAUGGUUAAUGAAGGCAUUGUCUUGGGGCAUAAAAUUUCUGAAAGAGGUAUUGAAGUUGAUAAAGCUAAAGUUGAUGCUAUUGAAAAGAUGUCGUGUCCCAAGGAUAUCAAAGGUAUAAGAAGUUUCCUUAGUCAUGCCAGUUUUUAUAGGAGGUUCAUUAAGGACUUCUCAAAAAUUUCUCGGCCUCUGACUAAUCUAUUACAAAAAGAUAUACCUUUCGUUUUUUAUGAUGAUUGUGUAGAAGCAUUUGAAAUACUUAAGAAAGCAUUAAUCUCGGCGCCUAUUGUUCAGCCACCUGAUUGGAAUUUACCUUUUGAAAUUAUGUGCGAUGCUAGCGAUUAUGCUGUAGGUGCUGUUCUAGGGCAAAGAGUUGAUAAGAAAUUAAAUUUUAUUCAAUAUGCUAGUAAAACCCUAGACAAUGCCCAGAGAAAUUAUGCCACUACUGAAAAGGAAUUUUUAGCAGUCGUAUUUGCUUGUGAUAAGUUCAGACCUUAUAUUGUUGAUUCUAAAGUAAAUAUUCACACUGAUCUACUAUUAAAUAUCUUAUGGAAAAGAAAGAUGCUAAACCUAGACUUAUUAGAUGGGUUCUCUUGCUACAAGAAUUUGAUUUACAUAUUAUUGAUAGAAAGGGAGUUGAGAACCCCGUUGCAGAUAACUUGUCUAGGUUAGAAAAUGUUCUUGAUUACCCACUACCUAUUGAUGAUAGCCUUCCUGAUGAACAAUUAAAUGUCAUAAAUGCCUCUCGUACUGCUCCAUGGUAUGCUGAUUAUGCUAAUUACAUUGUUGCUAAAUUUAUACCACCUAGUUUCACAUACCAGCAAAAGAAAAGGUUUUUCUAUGAUUUAAGACAUUACUUUUGGGAUGACCCACAUCUUUAUAAAGAAGGAGUAGAUGGUGUUAUUAGACGUUGUGUACCUGAGCAUGAACAGGAACAGAUCCUACGCAAGUGUCACUCUGAGGCUUAUGGAGGACACCACGCUGGAGACAGAACUGCACGUAAGGUAUUGCAAUCCGGUUUGUAUUGGCCUACUCUCUUCAAGGAUGCCCGUAAGUUUGUCUUGUCUUGUGAUGAAUGUCAAAGAAUUGGUAAUAUUAGUAGACGUCAAGAAAUGCCUAUGAAUUAUUCACUUGUUAUUGAACCAUUUGAUGUUUGGUGCUUCGAUUAUAUGGGACCUUUUCCUUCCUCUAAUGGGUAUACACAUAUUCUAGUUGCUGUUGAUAACGUUACUAAGUGGGUAGAAGCUAUUCCAACUAGUAGUGCUGAUCAUAACACCUCUAUUAAGAUGCUUAAAGAAGUUAUUUUUCCGAGGUUUGGAGUCCCUAGAUAUUUAAUGACUGAUGGUGGUUCACAUUUUAUUCAUGGUGCUUUUCGUAAAAUGCUUGCUAAGUAUGAUGUUAAUCAUAGAAUUGCAUCUCCUUAUCACCCACAGUCUAGUGGUCAAGUAGAAUUGAGUAAUAGAGAGCUCAAAUUAAUUUUACAAAAGACUGUUAAUAGAUCUAGAAAGAAUUGGUCCAAGAAACUUGAUGAUGCAUUAUGGGCCUAUAGAACUGCAUAUAAAAAUCAUAUGGGAAUGUCUCCGUAUAAAAUGGUUUAUGGAAAAGCAUGUCACUUACCUCUACAACUAGAACAUAAGGCAUACUGGGCCAUUAAAGAGCUCAAUUAUGAUUUUAAACUUGCCGGUGAGAAGAGGCUAUUUGACAUUAGCUCACUUGAUGAAUGGAGAACCCAAGCCUAUGAGAAUGCCAAGUUGUUUAAAGAAAAAGUUAAAAGAUGGCAUGACAAAAGGAUACAAAAGCUUGAGUUUAAUGUAGGUGAUUAUGUAUUGCUAUACCACUCUCGUUUAAGAUUUUUUGCAGGAAAACUUCUCUCUAAAUGGGAAGGUCCUUACAUUAUCGAGGAAGUGUAUCGUUCCGGUGCCAUAAAAAUCAACAACUUCGAAGGCACAAAUCCAAAGGUGGUGAACGGUCAAAGAAUCAAACAUUAUAUCUCAGGCAAUCCUAUAAAUGUUGAAACUAAUGUUAUUGAAACCGUAACACCGGAGAAAUACAUAAGAGACACUUUCCAGAACGUUUCAGACUCCGAAAAGGAAUAGGUACGUGGUAUGGUAAGUAAACCCACUCCAAAACGGUUCUAAUGGCAAAUUUUCUCCGUUUUGGAAUAUUUAAAAAAUAGGAAAAUAAGAAGCAGUCCGGGAAGGACACGAGUCCUCCACGAGGGUGGAGGGUGCGCCCUACCCCCCUGGGCGUGCCCCCUGCCUCGUGGGCACCGCGUGCGCUCUGCGGACUCCGUUUUCUUGCACGAUACUUCUUUCGGUCGGUAAAAAUUCAUUAUAUAAUCUCCCAAAGGUUUUGACCACCGUAUCACGCAAAUAUCCUCUGUUUUCGUUUCGAGCUGUUUUCUGACAGAUCUAGAUCACCAUGACAUCUCCAAGCGCCCCCAAGGACAAGUUCUUCGAGAAGGUCAUCAACCCCUACCUCGCGGAGGUGCUGCAACACCCUCAAACCAUUGAGAUGCGUGAUGGGUUGCUGCACAUCCGCGAUGUUGAGGGGCCAAGGAGGACCGGAAGCCUGGAGACAAGGCUCGAAGCAAUGGAGCAACAAGUUUUCAAGUGCCAGGGGACGGUGGAACGUGGACUCAACGCCAACCACAUGAUGAUCGUGGAGUUCACCAACAACCACAAGCUGGAUGCCAAUAACAUUGGGGAAACCAGCUUCAAGCUUCACGAGAAGAUCGAGCAUCUCCAAGCCCAAAUCUAUGACCUGCAAAACC